rnacentral:lncRNA from 1 species
AGAGAAAGAUAGGAAGAACAAACCCUAGGUGAGGAAUUUCAAGAGAAAAAGUGUGGAAAAUCAAGGAAAAUAAGUGAAAAAGGUAGGAUUUUUCAACUUAAGCUUGAAAUCUAUUUUCCUUAAGCAUUUCUCCUUAUUNNNNNNNNNNNNNNNNNNNNNNNNNNNNNNNNNNNNNNNNNNNNNNNNNNNNNNNNNNNNNNNNNNNNNNNNNNNNNNNNNNNNNNNNNNNNNNNNNNNNNNNNNNNNNNNNNNNNNNNNNNNNNNNNNNNNNNNNNNNNNNNNNNNNNNNNNNNNNNNNNNNNNNNNNNNNNNNNNNNNNNNNNNNNNNNNNNNNNNNNNNNNNNNNNNNNNNNNNNNNNNNNNNNNNNNNNNNNNNNNNNNNNNNNNNNNNNNNNNNNNNNNNNNNNNNNNNNNNNNNNNNNNNNNNNNNNNNNNNNNNNNNNNNNNNNNNNNNNNNNNNNNNNNNNNNNNNNNNNNNNNNNNNNNNNNNNNNNNNNNNNNNNNNNNNNNNNNNNNNNNNNNNNNNNNNNNNNNNNNNNNNNNNNNNNNNNNNNNNNNNNNNNNNNNNNNNNNNNNNNNNNNNNNNNNNAAAGUGAGAAGAAUUGAUUUGGAGUUAAAUUGGAGAUAAUAGGUCGAAUUAGGUCAGCACCGCAUUUAAGCGGUAGUCGGAUAAGUUGUAUAUCAUAUCAUGCAUAUAUACCGAGCCUGAAUUGAUUUUAUAAUGGUCAAGCAUUGAUGUGGUGAAUUAUGUAUUCUACAUUGUGGAUAGGUGGUGAGCAAAGUACGCUAGUAAAAGUACAGAAAUUGUGCUUGGAGACUGAGAUUAGGAGUACAUCGACUCCUAAAACUGUGAGUGAACUUAUUAUCGUCUUAAUUAUCUAGAGUAGUUUUAUUCAAUUGUGUGUUUUUAUGAAAAAUGGGUUUAAAUGGUAAAUUGCUAUGUUUUAGGAGAAAUUACAAUUUUAUAAAAUGAUUUUAUAAAUUUUCUGAAAAAUCAAAUACUGGUUAUGAAAAUAGAGUAAUUGAAGACUGUCUGCUUGUGUUCUAAAUUUAUGGUUUUAAAUUGAAUGGCUUAUGACAAUAAAUGAGCAUGAAUGGCUAAACUGAUUUUGGUGUUAGAAUUAUUUAUAUUGUGUAUUCAGCCUUGAGAGGUUAGGUUUCGAUAAAUUGCCAUGUCAUGUUAGAAUAAAUUUUAUUGAUUGGUGGAGUAUAUAUUAAUUAUUCACUGCAGAGGGGGUUCCGUGGACCAUCCUAUUAGAGGGGCACGAUAAACUCCAUUAUAUUCUUAUCUCGAACGGAGAGGCACGUAAGGUAUUUCCUAGGGUAAAGCUUAGGGUUCAGUUCACGCCAAACCACCACGUGAAGGGGAACUUAGCCAAUGCCAAGGAACGACUGUAUUUUUCUCAAACUAAAAAUACAUUUUAAGUGUAUACAAAAAUUUUAACAGUCUUGGCGGACUCGGUUGGAUGCCCUGCGCAAGGUAUCGUCGAGUAUGAGUUUUGGCACGAGCCAAAGUUUUAAGAAAUUCAUAAGCCAAGUUGAUUACUCGAUUUAUAUGGAUUGAUUUUAUUUGGUUGAAAUGAGUUGAAAGGUAAUGAAAUUACAGUAUGAUGACUUAUUUCAAUUGUCUCCAUUUACUCGACUUUAGAUAGUUUAGAAGGUAUUUGUUUACUCACUGGGAUUUUAUAAUCUCACCACCCUCAUUUCCUCACAUUUCAGGCUCAGAGAAUUCCAUAGUUAGCUGACUUUGACAAGGACCUUCAUUUGGACUCGAAUCGGUAAAAGCUGUAGGUUUCCAGCUUCUGAUGCAUUUUAGUUAGAUGUGGGUCCACGUGUCACUGUAAAAGAGAUUUUAUGCUUUGGUUAUUUGCUUUAUAGUAUAUAUGAAUAUAAUUAACUUUUAUACUAUAAGAAUUAUGUACCGAUAGUUUUAUGAAAAUUAUUUUACAAGAAAAUAGUUUAUUUUAUUAAAUAUUUUUAUUAUAUUCAAAUGGUCAAAUUUUCACUUUAAAUGAACAUUUUAGAUACUUAAUUUGUUUUUAAAUCAUUAAAUAUAUAUUUUCUGCUUACCUACUAUAUUUUUAGCAAGUUUUGAGAUUUUCAACAAAAAUGACGAAAAUGCCUCUGUGAGCCAAAAAACAAUAUGUUAUGUUCUGAUUUGGAAAUGAUUUGUAAUCCUUCGGAUUUUGAUAUUUGAUAACUAUUGCUCACCGAGGAAGUGUAAAAGCUGAUAUGAGAGCCUUGCGAGGUGUCGAUCGACAUUUGGGGUGAAGAAUGUUUUUCGAGGCCUCGUGACAGUUGUCACGGGCCUGAUGGGGAGUUCCGGGUCGUGACAAUAAGACUUUGAAGUUAAGCCAAGUAGGGUGAAGAAAGAAGUCAAUUCCAAUCAAGAUUUCCUCAUCAGACUAAGUGAGUCGUGGCCUUGACUAAUUAAUUAUCAGAAAUUGUAAUUCCUUUAAGAUUGCUGUAGUGCUUCAACUUCGUCAAGAUGUUUAACCACUUUCUAGGUCGACCUGGGCAAAGUGGUAACAUGAAAGUUGUAGCUUUUUCUCUUAGCUUUCCAAUGGUCCAAGAAUUAUCUCAUUUAGAUUUAUGUAGAGAGAGUUAUGGUCAAAAUAUCGAAACAUGUGUAAUGGAAGUCUACACCUUGAAGUUGCUCUCCUUCUUCUAUUAAAAUUCUUCGUUCAUUAAACCCUUACAAAAUCACGAAUAAAUCAAUAACAACCUUACUUAAUUACAUUAAUAACAAUUUACUGAUAAAAUUAACUAAGACUAAAUUGACUCAUCUCAAUUAAUUAACUUAAAAUAAUUUAGAUAAAACUUACUAAUGUCUAUGCAUUACUACAAGAACUAAGGUAAAUUACUAUCAAAAUUAAAUCCAAAUAACCUUAUAUCAUAGAGUUAUCACACCCCUAAACUUAAUUUGUUUUAGUCCUGGAGCAAAACAUCUAUAAGAAACUAACCUACGAAAAUCAAUUUCAGAUGGUGAAAACAAAAUAAAUGUAGCAAUUACUAUAGAUAAAGUGCAUCAACUCAAUGAUUCCCCAUAAUUUCCUUAAAAACAUGUCUAUCAAUCUUCAAGUUAUGGAAAAAUAUAGGCAUCAUUCAAAUUCAUUUUCAAUUCUAAUGCAAGCACAUUUUUUAAUGGAUUUUCGUGUGUGUGUGUGAAAUCUUCUACCAAGAAUAUCAUGACAUUCGGAUGAGUUUAUGCUAAUACAAAAUUUAAAUUACUACUAGAAUUCCAUAGGUUUACCUUUCAAUAGAACUUAAUAAAGCUUGUAAUGUAUGGCUAAGGUCAAGAUAGGAUAAAAGAUAUAAUGUGGCUAGAAUCACCCUAAGCACAUAAUUAGUCUAGAACCUAUAUAUAGAGCUUUAUUUUCAUUUUCCAAGUACACAUUUUCUUCCACAUUUGAACCUUUUUUUUUAACAUAUUUUCAUUUUUUUCGUUUCUUCUUCUUUGUUUUUUUUUCACAAUUUCAUAAUUUUACACCCCAAACUUAUUUUCUUUGUAUUGUAAGUAGUGGGGUGGUUUUUAAUGUUUUGAAUUUUUUUUUCACAUCAACAUCACCUUUCCACCUUUUUCAACAUUUAGCUCAAUCUAUAUUUUCUAAAACACUAUACAUGCUCAGGAGUGAGAGUUGCAAAAUUGAAAAUUUAUUUUAAAGCUAAGCUUAUUAUUAUUUAGUUAAACAAAGAAAAGGGAAAUUAGGCUCAAAGGGGUAAACUAGGGAUAAAGAUUUUAACAAGGUUGGCUUUUUAAGCUCAAACGGUCCAAAGAUGGUUUAAAUCAUGUCCCUAACUUAAAUAUUGCCUAGGAUUUUGCCUUGAGAGAGAAUCAAGCAAAUUCUAGAAUUCUUAACAUAAUCCAAAAUUCACAUCAGUAUAAACCUUCUCUAUAUAUGUACAAUAAUCCAAAGCAAAACAUAUAAUGCUCAAAAUUGUGGAAAUCAUAUCCUAGCAAUGACACUUAUCAAAAGAAUUUAGCAUAAAUCGAAACAAAAACCUUAUUCAUCAAAAGCUAAAAAUUCAAGACAACUAGUUAUCAUUAUUAGAUAAGGAAAUCAUCGAAAAAAAUUGGCACAACUUUACUCUAAAUUCCUUAAAUUUGAGCAAGUAAUAAAUUAAAUUACCAGCUAAUCCUAAUUAUUUAAAAUCUAGAUAAACAUGAAAAUUAAAUUAAAUAUAAAACUUCAACAGAAUAUUCACAACUAGAAAAAUAAAUUCACCCCUUAAAUUUAAACUAAACAUUGUCCUUAAUGUUAGAAAAAUUAAAGGAAAGGUAACAAAUACUUCCGUGAUGGUUGAAUGAAUCCGGUGAAGCUCUAGACCUCAUCUUCAUCCCCAUCAUCCUCUUUCGUAUUGUCCUCUACCUCAUUGGCACCCUUAAGAGGAUUAGGUGCUAGUGGAAAAGUAGUCAUGUCCAUUCCCAUAAAAGCACCAUAAGCUUAAAAUAUUUGGUCCAUAUGUUGAUUACAUUGGGUUUAAUAAGUCAUGUGUUGCUCAAACUAGUGCUUAAGUUGCUCAACUAGGUGCUCAAGGUUCUCAAUUCUCUAAGUCAUUGUCAAUUGUCGAUGUUGUGAUCGAGGGGGUGCAGGAUGGUGUGUAGAAGAAGAACUACCUUAAAUAAAAUGUUGAGGUUGUCUGAGGAUGAAAUUGAGAUCAAUUGGGAGUUUAAGGUGCAACAACUCCUCACUAGCAUCCCAAUUUACCCCAACUUCCUUGCAUAUAACCAUAAUCAGAGAAGGGAACCCCAAGCCAUCGCACUUAGUUUGUGCAGUGUGAGUCAUGGCUUUGUAAAUUACACAACCAAUAUCAAUUGUGCAUCCCGUCAUGAUGGAACGAAUAAGGAUGGCUUGAUCUUUUGUGACAUCAUUGAGAUAUGUUGUAGGAAGUAAUUGGAAAGCCAUAAAAUAUAACCAUAUAUUAGAAGUUGGUUUCAUCACAUUCCUCUUGAAUGAAACUCGUGCAUUAUUGAAGAAUCACCAUUGAGCACCUUCCUCACAAAGUAUAUAAAGGAUAUCAUCCCAAUCCUCAUGCUUAGCCAAAUAUUGACCAUAGUCAUCGUUUUCAAUAUCAGGAGCUACAUAAUAUUCAUUGAUGGCAUGGCUUGAGAAUGGAACUAAUUUAUCUUACACAAAAACAAAAUCAUUAGUAGCUUCAAUAGCGUUAGCGUAAAAUUUUCUUACUAGAGGGAUAAUCACAGCUGCUAGCGAGGCACAAAAUUUUUGCCAGUGGUGUUCAUUAAUCAUUGGUUGAAGGUUAAGGUGUGUGAUAAACCCUUGAUCUAGGCCUCGUUUGGGUAUUGCAAUUUUGUUGAUGAGAAAACUAGCAUGUCUAGCCACAACGUCAGUUGACACAAAUUUAGUGUGAUCAAACGAAUCACUGGAAUUUAGGCUUGCUCGUUUAGGUGCCAUUCUCAAAUUUUCAGUAAUUAAUUCUCAACCAAAAGAAAAGUACCAACAAAAUACAAUAGACCACCAACAAUAUCAGCCAAUAUGUCUUAACAUCAAAAUAAAUUAAUGCCCAUAGUAUCAAGUAAAACUACAAAGAAUAAAAAAUAAUUUGAAAUCAAUAAACUUACACAUAUUCCCAAUUUCAACUUACCCAAGAAAUUUAAAGCACAAAUCCAAACCAGCUAUCAUACCUAAAAAAUAACUAAGCACAUUGUCUCAAGAAUCAUCAAUAUCCAUCACAAACGUCCAAUAAAAUAAAUAAUGUGAAGCAAGACGACAAUAUUUCUUAAAAGAAAAUGUAUAUAUAUAUAUAUAUAUAUAUGUAUAUGUGAUGAGUGCAUCAAAUACAUAUAUUUAAUGGGAGAUUAAAUACCUAAUUAGUCUAAGUUAGACUAGAUUUAGGAUCAGAUUUAAGUGUUUUUAGUUAUUUUAUUAGUUUAGUCUAAUUUAUAUUUAAAUGUUUAUUUUAAGUUAGUAAUGUUAGUUUUAUGUUAUUUAUAUUUAUUUUUAUGUUUUUGUAGGAGUGGGAUCAAAAAUAAUUGCAAUUGGUGAAGAAAUGUGCAUAACGAAUUGGUGCUUUGUUUGCAUAUGUUUUGGUUUUUGAGCAUAUCUCCCACUACUGAAGUCCAAAUGACAUGAGUUUUAGACCAUUAGAAAGCUAAUAGGUAGGACUACAACUUUUAUGCUUACCACUUUGCCCAAUUCUGAUCGAAAGGUGGUCGAAUCUUUAUCGAAGUGAAAGUACUACACCAGAAGAACAAAAUUGAGACAAAAUCUUUGAGAACCGCGGCUCUGGGAAAUGAAAGCCGCGACACUCAACGUAUUUUUCAAAAAUAAUAAGCUUACGGGAUUUUGGAAGCUAGGGCUUUUAGAGGCUAUUUAAGGGGCUUUUUUUAGAGGUUUCUUGGAUGAGGCAACAAGCAAUUUCUCUGGAGAAAAAAAGCCAAAAACAAAGCAAGAAAGUAAGAGAAUUGAAGGGAGAAUCAAGAUCACAAAGCUUCAACUAUUAGUUUUCUCUCUCUGCUUUUGUGUUUUUCUUAUUUUCUUUGACUUGGAUUAACGACUAAUUUUCUUUGGAUGAAGUUUUUAUUAAAUAUUAUGAACUCAACUAUUUUUCUAGAAUUGCAAUUGAACUCACAUGUAAUCUAAAUUUCUAAUCUCUUUCUUGCUUAUUUUUAAUAUAUUUGAGUUGUUUAUUCCAAUUUGUUCUUAAUGCUUUUAAUUGCCUAAUCACCAAUUAAAUUGAUUUAGGAACCUAAACAAACUUGGGAAAGGAAGUUUAGAGUAGACUGAAAUUGGGAUAAAAUAUGAUCAUAUUAAUUGAUUUGCGUAUAGGAUAGGGAUAUGCAUAUAGGCCAUAUGUAGCCAGAUUAGAGCCUAAACUUAAUGAGUCUAAUUUAAUUUCAAUUCACAUAGGGAUAUAGUGUUUUGGUUAAAAUAGAUAUUUUUAUAAGACGAGUCGGGAGAGUCUUAUAAAUAAUUGAGGACUCUAGGUUAGCAAUUCAACCCAUUGAAAUAAGUUAAAGAAGAGAGGUAAGAUUUAGAUGAAGUGUGAGGGAUAUUGUAAUCCUAGGCUUGUUUGAUUUGCUAUUUACCCAAUUAUCUUGUUGCUUUAAUUUUUAAUUAAAUUAGUUUUAGUUGAGUAGUUUUUAGUUUAAUAGAACUCAGAUAUUAAUUAUUUGAAUAAAACUAAAUUGUUCUAAUUUUAGUACUUAGUAAAAUUUUAGAUCAAUUCUCUGUGGGAUCGAUACUCUACUUGCUUAUAUACUAUCUAUUCGAUAUGUAUACUUGCGUAGUAGAAUUUCAACUGACAAUAUGAAAAAGAAAUAAAAAAGAAAUAUUGAAACUUACUUAAAAUCUUGAGCUAAGAUGUUGAAAAUAAGUGUGGACAGAAAGAUAUUGACAUGGGUAAUUGGUAUGCAGGAAGAUAGAUGAAAGGUGAAUAGUGGUGAGAGGAAGAGUAGAGGAGAGACAGAGAGUAAUAAGUAGGAAAAGAUGAGUGAAAAGUGUAGAAAAUUGCACUAAGAAUGAGUGGUAAGGUUGUUGGAGUGAAGGGGAUUUAAAUAAAAGGGUGAGAUAAGGGGGAAUGAUUGGUUUAGUGGGUUAAGUAGAUUGUUGGCUGCCCAUUUUUGAUAACCCAUAAAAACAAGGGGAGGGAGGGGUCUAAUUAAAUUGUGGGUGGCUCAAAAUAAGCAGCCCACAUGAAGGGGGGCCGAGGCUUACCGUGACCCACAUGGUUCAAUUUCGCGUGGCCGUGACCACACUAUGCAAGUGCCACAGCUCGCGUUAGUUUAAAAGUCCUAGGCAAUGCUCCUCCUUUUUAAAAAAAAAAAUGGGCCACUACUUGGGACCUAAUGAGUUGUAGCCUACAUUAUAAUGAGUUUGGGAGGCCACGACCUACACCCUAUCUCUUAAAUUUUUUUCUUUUUUUUAUUUUUUAAGGGGAGCUUUAAUCAUACUUGCAAGAAUUUCUUCUUUUUUUGAGAAUUAAAUUCAAGAAGGAAAAUUACUCACAAGACAGUUCACAAAAUCAACAUACCAUGGCAAAUUUUUCUACUUCUCAACAUGAACCAAUUGCUCAUAAGGAAAAGUCUCAUUGAUCGUUGUUGAAUUCCUAACUUGUUUUGCAUCCUUUUUCUCGAUCAAAUUUUUGAUAGCUGCAUGAUUAGUGUAAACAAUGACUUUAGUACAAACAAGAUAGGAACGAAAUUUAUCAAAAGCAAAAACAAUAGCAAGCAACUCCUUUUCCAUUGUGGUGUAAUUUGCUUGAGCCUCAUUCAAUGUGUUGUUGGCAUAAUAAAUAGGAUGCAAAAUCUUCGCUUUUUGUUGGCCCAAGAUUGCGCCAAAUACAUAAUCACUAACAUCACACAUUAGUUCGAAAAGAAGUUCCAAUUAGGAAUAGUGAUAAUAUGAGUAGAAAUUAAUCUCUUUUUCAAUUCAACAAAAGCAUCAUGGCAAGCAUCAUCAAAAUUAAAAAGGAUAUCCUUUUCUAAUAAAUUGCAAAGUGGUUUAGAAAUUUUAGAAAAGUCUUUAAUGAAUCUCCUAUAAAAUCCAGCAUGUCCUAAAAAACUACGAAUGCCUUUAAUAGAGGUGGGGGUGGAAGUUUUUCAAUUGUUUCAAUUUUUGCUUUGUCUACUUCUAAACCCUUACUAAAGACUUGAUGGCCUAAAACUAUGCCUUCUUGCACUAUACAGUGACAUUUUUUCCAAUUUAAAACUAAAUUAGUUUCUUCACAUCUCUUAAGUACUCUAGCAAGAUUAAAUAGACAAUCAUCAAAAUUAUCCCCAAAAACUGAAAAAUCAUCUAUAAAUAUUUCCAAACACUUUUCAACCAUAUAAAAAAAAUUACCAUCAUACAUCUCUGAAAAGUGGUUGGAGCAUUGCAAAGUACAAAAGGCAUUCUACAAAAAGCAAAAGUUCCAUAAAAACAAGUAAAGGUGGUGUUUUCUUGGUCUCCAAGAGUAAUGGCAAUUUAAUUAUAACCAGAAUAACCAUCCAAAAGGCAAUAAAAGUCCUUACCUAUUAGUCUAUCACGCAUUUGAUCAAUAAAAGGGAGUGGAAAGGGAUCUUUUCUAGUGGUGUUAUUCAAUUUUCUAUAAUUCAUACAUACCCACCAUCUAGUCAUAGUUCUAGUGAGCAUGAGCUCAUAUUUUCAUAAGAAACUAUAAUCAUACCUCUUUUCUUUAGGACAUAUUAAACUGGACUUACCUACAAACUAUCAAAAAUAAGAUAGAUAAUACAUGCAUCUAGCCACUUGAUAAUUUCUUUCUUUACCACCUCUUUCAUGAUUAGAUUUAACCUCCGUUGAUGCUCAAUGGUUGCCUUAUGAUUUUCUUCCAAAAGAAUUUUGUGCAUGCAAAUUGAUAGACUAAUUUCUUUGAUGUCUUGAAUGGUCCACCCAAUUGCGUUUUGGUAAUCUCUUAAAACUCGAAGGAGUUUAUUUUCCUAUUCAUCAAAAAGAUAAAGAAACUAUUUCUAGUAGUGUAGAAGAAUUUCCCAAAAUGGCAUACCUUAAACGGUUAGGCAGUGGUCUGAGCUCAAGUGAAGGAGGUUUUUCAAUGGAAGGCUUGAAUGGUGAAGUUGUAAUUGAUAAUUCUAAAUACUCAAAUUAGGAUUUUGAAAGACGUGAUGGCGCAUCAAGCUGGUUAGCAAAUUCAUGAACUUUUUCAUCCAUAAUAUCACAUGAAGAAAUUAAAGAUGUUUCCAAUGGAUCAUCAUAAUAAUUCUCAGUAAACAUAUUAUUAGUAAUGUUAUCCACCACAUUAAUUGAAAAACAUUCAUCAUGUUCAUUGGAAAAUUUUAAAGCUUUAAAAAUACUAAAUGUUACCUAUUGAUCUUCAACCCUUAAGGUAAGCUCACCUUUUUCUACAUCAAUUAGAGCUCAAGUAGUUCUCAAGAAUGGUCUCUCAAGAAUGAUUGGAAUUUCACGAUCUUCUUUCAUAUCAAGAACAAUAAAUUCUACUGAAAAAAAUAAACUUACCAAUUGUUACCAAAACAUCUUCCACAAUACCAUAAAGUUAAAUGAUGGAUCAAUCAACAAGUUGUAAAGUCACAGAAGUUGGCUUAAUCUCUUCCAAACCCAAUUUUUUAUAAAUGGACAAUGGCAUCAAAUUUAUACUUGCACCCAAAUCACAUAAAGCUUUAGCAAAAUAAAAAGCACCAAUAGUGCAAGGAAUAGUUAAACUACCUAGAUCUUUAAGCUUUGGUGAAAGUUUACUCUGAAUAAUGGCACUCCACUCUUCAGUAUGUGCAACAGUUUCAAUCUUACCUAAUUUUUCCUUUUUAGAUAGGAUGUUUUUCAAGAAUUUAACAUAUCUUGGUCUUUAUUCCAUAGCUUCAACAAAAGGAAUAUUAAUAAGUAACUUUUUAAACACAUCAAUAAAACUUUGGAAUUGUUUGUAAAGUUUUUCUUUUUGAAAUCUUUUUCAGAAAAGGUGGUGGAGGUGUGGGAGCAAAUUUAAGUGUGAUGUUUCUUUUUUUGAAUUUUUAGUAGAUUGUUCAACCACAAUUUUUUUUAGUAUCUUUUUAAUUUCUUUCUCAUCAAAUUUAAUUGAAAUUUUAUAAUUUAAAGUUUUAUUGUUUACCUCUUUUAUUGCUAAGAUUGAUUGCCUUACAAGGUUCCUCACCUUUUUUUCUUGGGUUAGGUUUAGUAUCACUUGGUAAGGUACCAUGAGGUUUAGAAUUUAGAGCACUGGCAAGUUGUCUCAUGUGUGUCUCAAGAUUUCAAACUGAUAUUGCUUGACUUUGAAUGGAAGCAUCAAUCUUUGUCAUGAAUGCAUUAGUUUUUGUCAUGAAUUGCAUGAACAUAUCCUCCAUUAAAGGCUUUUUCUUUAGCAUGGGAGCUCUAAAUGGAAAUUUAGGUGGAAAGUUUAACUUAGAUGCUAAUAAAAACCCUUGGUUGUUGCUCCAUGAGAAAUUAAGAUGAUUUCUCCAACCGAGAGUAUAAAUGUUGGAAUAGGGAUUGUUCUGUUACUUAUUUUCAACAAAUUGACAAGAUUUAAUAUAAAUGGGACAAUUGUCAGUGGAAUGUCCUUCUCCACAAAAUUCACAAGUCACAAAGGGCCUCAAAACAUCAUUAACACUCAAUUUAUUUAUUUUCUUUGUGAGAGAAGCCAAUCGUGUAGAUAAAGAAUUCAUCACAUCUAAUUCACGAACUCUAGCAAUUUUUCUUGUACCCAAUCUUUCAUAUGGCCAUUGAUAGUUAUUGGAAGCCAUUUCUUCAAGCAAAUCAUAAGCCUCGUCAAUGGAUUUACCCAUAAGUGCACCUUCAGCUGCAAAAUCAAUGGUAGUUCUAAUACAUCCCAGAAAAAACAAUUAUAAAAAGUCUGAACUAGUAGCCACUUAGAUAAUCAAUGGUGAAGACACCAUUUUAACAAAUCCUAAUACCUCUCCUGAAUCAAAUUGCAUGAACAAAGUGAUAUCAUUUCGCAUCUUUGUUGUCUUGGUAGGUGGAAAGAAUUUUGCUAAGAAUUUCUAAGCCAAAUCAUCCCAAGUAUUAAUGGAACUAGCAAGAAGCGAAUUUAACCAACUCUUUGCUUUAUCUUUCAGUGAAAAAAGGAAAAGCUUCAAUCUUAUGACAUCAUCAUUAACACCAUUAGCCUUGAAUGUGUUACAAAUUUCCAAGAAAUUCAUAAUAUGAGCAUUAGGAUCAUCAUUAGGCAAACCCCUAAACUAAACAAAAGUUUGAAUCAUCUGAAUGAUUGCUAGUUUAAUUUUAAAGUUGUUGGCUUGAAUAAGAGGUCUUCGAAUACUAGAGUGGAGACCUUGUGCUAAUGGGAUAGCAUAUUCCCUCAAAGACAUGGUUUCUUCCCCUUGAUGUUCAACCAUUGUUUUACUUGUAGCAUAAAUUUUUUUAUUUUUUUUUCUCUAAAGCCUUUAAAAAGUCUUUUGAAUUUCUAGAUCAAAAGGAACAAUUUUCAAAUUUUGGGUUCUUCGCAUACAACGAUCAAAAGUACUUGAAAAAUUAAAGAAAAUAGAAGCUUGUAUUAAGAAUAAAAAUGCUUGGUAUUAAUAUUAACAACAAAGAUUUAAAAAUCAAUUCCCUGGCAACGUUGCCAAAAACUUGUUGUUAAUUUCUCAUGUAACUACACGUAUCGUUAACAAGUGAUAUAAUAGAAAGUAGAAUUCGUUCCCAUGAAGAAUUGAAGUAAUUCCUAAUGUUAACUAUUAAAAUUAACACAUCUUAAUCUUAUUCAAACAACCUAAUUAUUAAAAAAAAAAUUAAAACUAAUAACUAAAACUAGUCUAAAAUCUAUCAGCAAAAUUACUUUAUUAAAUUUGAGUAACUACCCGACCUAAGAUUAUGAUGUUCCUCAAUACUUCUAAAUAUUUUCUCUCUCUCUCUCUCUCUCUCUCUCUCUCUCUCUCUCUCUCUNNNNNNNNNNNNNNNNNNNNNNNNNNNNNNNNNNNNNNNNNNNNNNNNNNNNNNNNNNNNNNNNNNNNNNNNNNNNNNNNNNNNNNNNNNNNNNNNNNNNNNNNNNNNNNNNNNNNNNNNNNNNNNNNNNNNNNNNNNNNNNNNNNNNNNNNNNNNNNNNNNNNNNNNNNNNNNNNNNNNNNNNNNNNNNNNNNNNNNNNNNNNNNNNNNNNNNNNNNNNNNNNNNNNNNNNNNNNNNNNNNNNNNNNNNNNNNNNNNNNNNNNNNNNNNNNNNNNNNNNNNNNNNNNNNNNNNNNNNNNNNNNNNNNNNNNNNNNNNNNNNNNNNNNNNNNNNNNNNNNNNNNNNNNNNNNNNNNNNNNNNNNNNNNNNNNNNNNNNNNNNNNNNNNNNNNNNNNNNNNNNNNNNNNNNNNNNNNNNNNNNNNNNNNNNNNNNNNNNNNNNNNNNNNNNNNNNNNNNNNNNNNNNNNNNNNNNNNNNNNNNNNNNNNNNNNNNNNNNNNNNNNNNNNNNNNNNNNNNNNNNNNNNNNNNNNNNNNNNNNNNNNNNNNNNNNNNNNNNNNNNNNNNNNNNNNNNNNNNNNNNNNNNNNNNNNNNNNNNNNNNNNNNNNNNNNNNNNNNNNNNNNNNNNNNNNNNNNNNNNNNNNNNNNNNNNNNNNNNNNNNNNNNNNNNNNNNNNNNNNNNNNNNNNNNNNNNNNNNNNNNNNNNNNNNNNNNNNNNNNNNNNNNNNNNNNNNNNNNNNNNNNNNNNNNNNNNNNNNNNNNNNNNNNNNNNNNNNNNNNNNNNNNNNNNNNNNNNNNNNNNNNNNNNNNNNNNNNNNNNNNNNNNNNNNNNNNNNNNNNNNNNNNNNNNNNNNNNNNNNNNNNNNNNNNNNNNNNNNNNNNNNNNNNNNNNNNNNNNNNNNNNNNNNNNNNNNNNNNNNNNNNNNNNNNNNNNNNNNNNNNNNNNNNNNNNNNNNNNNNNNNNNNNNNNNNNNNNNNNNNNNNNNNNNNNNNNNNNNNNNNNNNNNNNNNNNNNNNNNNNNNNNNNNNNNNNNNNNNNNNNNNNNNNNNNNNNNNNNNNNNNNNNNNNNNNNNNNNNNNNNNNNNNNNNNNNNNNNNNNNNNNNNNNNNNNNNNNNNNNNNNNNNNNNNNNNNNNNNNNNNNNNNNNNNNNNNNNNNNNNNNNNNNNNNNNNNNNNNNNNNNNNNNNNNNNNNNNNNNNNNNNNNNNNNNNNNNNNNNNNNNNNNNNNNNNNNNNNNNNNNNNNNNNNNNNNNNNNNNNNNNNNNNNNNNNNNNNNNNNNNNNNNNNNNNNNNNNNNNNNNNNNNNNNNNNNNNNNNNNNNNNNNNNNNNNNNNNNNNNNNNNNNNNNNNNNNNNNNNNNNNNNNNNNNNNNNNNNNNNNNNNNNNNNNNNNNNNNNNNNNNNNNNNNNNNNNNNNNNNNNNNNNNNNNNNNNNNNNNNNNNNNNNNNNNNNNNNNNNNNNNNNNNNNNNNNNNNNNNNNNNNNNNNNNNNNNNNNNNNNNNNNNNNNNNNNNNNNNNNNNNNNNNNNNNNNNNNNNNNNNNNNNNNNNNNNNNNNNNNNNNNNNNNNNNNNNNNNNNNNNNNNNNNNNNNNNNNNNNNNNNNNNNNNNNNNNNNNNNNNNNNNNNNNNNNNNNNNNNNNNNNNNNNNNNNNNNNNNNNNNNNNNNNNNNNNNNNNNNNNNNNNNNNNNNNNNNNNNNNNNNNNNNNNNNNNNNNNNNNNNNNNNNNNNNNNNNNNNNNNNNNNNNNNNNNNNNNNNNNNNNNNNNNNNNNNNNNNNNNNNNNNNNNNNNNNNNNNNNNNNNNNNNNNNNNNNNNNNNNNNNNNNNNNNNNNNNNNNNNNNNNNNNNNNNNNNNNNNNNNNNNNNNNNNNNNNNNNNNNNNNNNNNNNNNNNNNNNNNNNNNNNNNNNNNNNNNNNNNNNNNNNNNNNNNNNNNNNNNNNNNNNNNNNNNNNNNNNNNNNNNNNNNNNNNNNNNNNNNNNNNNNNNNNNNNNNNNNNNNNNNNNNNNNNNNNNNNNNNNNNNNNNNNNNNNNNNNNNNNNNNNNNNNNNNNNNNNNNNNNNNNNNNNNNNNNNNNNNNNNNNNNNNNNNNNNNNNNNNNNNNNNNNNNNNNNNNNNNNNNNNNNNNNNNNNNNNNNNNNNNNNNNNNNNNNNNNNNNNNNNNNNNNNNNNNNNNNNNNNNNNNNNNNNNNNNNNNNNNNNNNNNNNNNNNNNNNNNNNNNNNNNNNNNNNNNNNNNNNNNNNNNNNNNNNNNNNNNNNNNNNNNNNNNNNNNNNNNNNNNNNNNNNNNNNNNNNNNNNNNNNNNNNNNNNNNNNNNNNNNNNNNNNNNNNNNNNNNNNNNNNNNNNNNNNNNNNNNNNNNNNNNNNNNNNNNNNNNNNNNNNNNNNNNNNNNNNNNNNNNNNNNNNNNNNNNNNNNNNNNNNNNNNNNNNNNNNNNNNNNNNNNNNNNNNNNNNNNNNNNNNNNNNNNNNNNNNNNNNNNNNNNNNNNNNNNNNNNNNNNNNNNNNNNNNNNNNNNNNNNNNNNNNNNNNNNNNNNNNNNNNNNNNNNNNNNNNNNNNNNNNNNNNNNNNNNNNNNNNNNNNNNNNNNNNNNNNNNNNNNNNNNNNNNNNNNNNNNNNNNNNNNNNNNNNNNNNNNNNNNNNNNNNNNNNNNNNNNNNNNNNNNAACUUAUUAUCGUCUUAAUUAUCUAGAGUAGUUUUAUACAAUUGUGUGAUUUUAUGAAAAAUGGGUUUAAAUGGUAAAUUGCUAUGUUUUAAGAGAAAUUGUGAUUUUAUAAAAUGAUUUUAUAAAUUUUCUGAAAAAUUGAAUACUAGUUUUGAAAAUAGAGUAAUUGGAGACUACUUGCUUGUGUUGUAAAUUUAUGGUUUUAAAUUGAAUGGCUUACGACAAUAUAUGAGCAUGAAUGGCUAAACUGAUUUUGGUGAUAGAAUUAUUUGUACUGUGUAUUCAGUCUUGAGAGGCUAGGUUGCGAUAAAUUGCCAUGUCAUGCUAGAAUGAAUUUUAUUGAUUGGUGGAUUAUAUAGUAAUUAUUCACUGCAGAAGGGGUUUCAUGAACCAGCCUAUUAGAGGGGCACGGUAAACUCCAAUAUAUUCUUACCCCGAACGAAGAGGCACAUAGGGUAUCUCCUGAGGUAAAGCUUAGGGUUCACUUCACCCUAAACCACCACGUGAAGGGGAACUCAUCCAACGCCAAGGAACGACUGUAUUUUCUCAAACUAAAAAUAUAUUUUAAGUGUAUACGAAAUUUUAACAGCCUGGGCGGGCUCAGUUGGAUGCCCUGUGCAAGGUAUCACCGAGUAUGAGUUUUGGCACUAGCCAAAGUUUUAAGAAAUUCAUAAGCCAAGUUGAUUUCUCGAUUUAUAUGGAUUGAUUUUAUUUGGUUGAAAUGAGUUGAAAGGUAAUGAAAUUACAGUAUGAUGACUUAUUUUAAUUGUCUCCAUUUACUCGACUUUAGAUAGUUUAGAUGGCAUCUGUUUACUCACUGGGAUUUUAUAAUCUCACCACCCUCAUUUCCUCACAUUUCAGGCUCGGAGAAUUCCGUAGUUAGCUGACUUUGACAAGGACCUUCAUUUGGACUCGAAUCGGUAAAAGUUGUACGUUUCCAGCUUCCGAUGUAUUUUGGUUAGAUGUGGGCCCACGUGUCACUGUAAAAGAAAUUUUAUGCUUUGGUUAUUUGCUUUAUAGUAUAUCUGAUUAUAAUUAACUUUUACGCUAUAAGAAUUAUGUAUCGAUAGUUUUAUGAAAAUUAUUUUACAAGAAAAUAUUUAUUUUAUUAAAUAUUUUUAUUAUAUUCAAAUGGUUAAAUUUUCAUUUCAAAUGAACGUUUUAGAUACUUAAUUUGUUUUUAAAUCAUUAAAUAUAUAUUUUCUGCUUACCUACUAUAUUUUUAGUAAGUUUUGAGAUUUUCAAAAAAAAAUGAAAUGACGAAAAUGCCCUUGUGAGCCAGAAAACAAAAUGUUAUGUUCUGAUUUGGAAAUGAUUUGUAAUCCCUUGAAUUUUGAUAUUUGAUAACUAUUGCUCACCGGGGAAGUGCGAAAGCUGAUACGAGAGCCUUACGGGGUUUCGAUCGGCAUUCGGGGUGAAAAAUAUAUGUCGAGGCUUCGCAGCGGUUGUCACGGACCCGAUGGGGAGUUCCGGGUCGUGACACCAUGGCCUCGACCAAUUAAUUAGUAGAAGUUGUAAUUGCUUUAAGACUACUAUAGUGCUUCAAUUUCGACAAGAUUGUUUACCACCUUCUAGGCUAAGCUAGGCAAAGUCGCGAACAUGAAAGUUGUAGAUUGUUCUCUUAGCUUUUUAAUGAUUUAAGAAUCAUUUCAUUUGGAGUUCUAUAUAAAGAGUUGUGGUUAAAAUAUCGAAACAUGUGCAAUGGAAGUCUCCACUUUGAAAUUGCUCUCCUUCUGUGAAAUCCCACCUUGAGUAAGAUGAUAAGUUAGAAAAUCCUUAUGAGAGCAUAUAGAGUACAUGUUUUGAACAUCAAACUUAGAUUGAACCUUUAAAAGAAUUAUUGACACUUUUUGUUGUCUAUCACUUUUAAAGCAGAAAAUUUUCUAAGUUUGGAAAUGGUCAAAAUAUGUGAUUUUAAUAGAACAAUCUUUUGGAAAUAAAAAAUAGUGGUACUGAUUCCUUUGAUUUUCAAAUGAUCAAAAAUGAUUUUUUUCAAAAUUUUUGGAGCACGUUUGCUAGGGUAAAUGGGAAUUACAAAUUUAAUUUCAAUCAAACUUUUUCGACUUUGUUCUUGAAAGCAAAAUUUAAAUUUUGAUUCUUUUGGAUUUUUAUUUUUUUGAUAUUUUUAUUGAAUCCAAAUGGGUGGUUGUUUACUUAUUUACAUUAAAUAUCUUAAGUAAAUGGAAAGUAAAAAGUAAAGAGGAUAAAUGGAAAGUAAAAAGUAAAGAGGAUAUUUACUUAAAUGGUAUUUAAUGUAAAUAAGUUGGGCAGAUUUUAUAGGCAAUCUAUCUCAAAAAACUACAUUCUAUCUCAAAAGGAAUCGUAGUUUCUUAUCAUCACUUUUUUUACACUCUAGCUUAUAAAUAUAUCACAUUUUUAAUGUUACUGAAAUGAUUAUGGUUGUUAUAUUUAUGGUAUGUUGUAUGUUAAGUUCAUUUGAGUAGUGUUUAUGGUUUAUACCUUAUGAUGGCAUGAGAAUGUGCUUAGUGAGAAGAAUUGAGCCUUAAAGAUAGUUCUUGAGAUGUAAACGGGCUUAAGGAAUGACAAAAAUGCUGAAAUUGUUUAGAAACUAGGUCUCUGUGUUUAAAGUAUCGAUACAUACAGAACAUGUAUCGAUACAUUCUAAAUAGAUUGCCAUAGGACGUUUUCUAUGUGAAAUGUAUUGAUACAUUUUACCAAUGUAUCGAUAAUUGCUUGAAAGUAUCAAUACAUUCAAUAAUGUAUAGAUAGAUAUGGUACGGAAAAGGAUAUUUGAGUGAAUUUGAUAAGGAUUUUAAAGGUAAAGGAUUUCUAAAGGUUUAUAUAAGUUUGUUUUCAUACGAAAAGUAUUUAAAUGAGUUUAAAUGACAUGUAUAAUGAAUUUUAUGAUUCGAAAGUUAUGGACGACAUGAGUUAUAAAUGCAUGGUUACAAAAUACUUUUAUCCCCUGGCUUGUCCCUUUCCUGUAUCCACUCAUGAAGUCUUUAUGACUCACACGUUAUUUUUCCCCAUUUAUUUUGUUGCAGAUCAGUGAUAGCGUCUAAUAGUAGCUAGUGUCGCGGAUACCAACGUCCGGUCUUCAUUCCUUGGUAGGUGUUUAGCAGCCACUAGAUGCCUAGAGGGUCGAUCACAUUUCGCCGAUGGGUCGGUCUUUACUUUAUGUUAUGUUUACAGACUAUGAAUAUGUUUAUGUUGAUAUUGCCAGUGUUUGGGCAUCUUAUAUGAAUAAUGUUAUGUAUGAUAUCAUGAGGAUGGCUCGAGAGCCUAUAUGGACACCCGAGGUUGCUGAUGAUGUUUAAUAUUUGUAUUAGUGUGCACUGUGAUGAUGGCACUUGUUAAUACACAUAUAGAUGUAUUAAGUUGAGAACUUCCUUUAUUGUGUAUUAAGUUUUAAGAAUGUAUGUAUUACGAUUAUGUACGUUAAUGGAUGUGAUAUAACGCUUCCGCAUGUGAUGAUAAACGUUUGAUGAUGCUAUGAUAAAAGGCUUACUUGGGCCUAACGGGUUAUGCUCGUUUGGGUGCACGCUCCGAUCACAAUCCCUCCAAGAAAUGGGAUGUGAUACCUUCGUCCAUUAAAAUUUUUCCUUCAUUAAACACCUAUAAAAGCACAAAUAAAUCAAUAACAAUCUCUCUUAAUUACAUUAACACCAAUUACAUUAAAUUGACUCACCUAAAUUAAUUAACUUAAAAUAAUUUAGAUAAAACUUACUAAUUUAUAUGCAUUAUUACAUGAACUAAGCUAAAUUAUUAUCAAAAUUAAGUCCAAAUAACUCUAUACCAUAGAGUUAUUUGUGUUUUAAUUGCAAACUAUGAACAAAAUUCUACACUAAUCCUGAUACUAAGUUGACCGACAUAAACAGACUUAGGAUGCUCUAGAACUUAAGUGCUCUAAUACCAAGUUUGUUAUAACCCAAAUCAUGGAGUCAUGACAGACACAGACAAGCCUGACAAGUAAUGCUCAUGAGACUCAAAGAAGCCUUAUAAUUCCUAUUCAUUAUUCAAUUCAUGGUAUCAUACACAAAUACAUAAUCCAUCUCAUUUCAUAAAUCCUUAAUACAAAGUUCAUAAGGCCACACAUAGGCCAAUCAUCGAGUUCAUUCAUACAACCCUUUUUCAAAUUAAUAUAUGGCACUUAGUUCCUACAAUAUCCUUAAUACAAAGUUUCAAAGCUUAGUGCUGAAGCAUUUCAUGACUUGGACUCAGCGGAGUGGACAUAUUGUAAGUGUACCUAUCAGGUGUCAAAAUCUAGUCCGUCCAAUGACGACACUAAGCCACAUAUAAUAGGUGGCAUCACUUAUCUACACAUGGUACACAAAAAGGGGUGAGUCAUUCUAAAACUUAGUGAAAUGGGGAUGCUAAACAUACAUAUUAUAACACAUUAAUAACAAUAAAGGAGACACAUUUAUUAUAUAAAAGCCUACACGACUAUUUAUCAAACAUCUCUAAAUAUAAGUGUGAGGAUCGUGCCAACAUCUUACAUACUCUUCAUAUCAAAUUUUACCUUCCCGAAAUCACACCUUAAUGGCAUUCUGAUUCUUAGAAAUAGAUUUUACAAUUGAAGAGUGUUCUUCCCCAAAACAUACACAAAUCAUGCACGGUGGCCAAUUGGCAGAAUCAAAUCGCUCAUCCGGAGUAAUCUCCCAAUGGAUGGCAUUACAAUCUUAGUCUUCACCUAGAGUAAUCUCCCGACAAGUGGUAUCACAAGCAUAAUCAUCAUUUGGAGUAAUCUCUCAAUGAAUAGUAUCACAAUCAUAGUCAUCACCUGGAGUAAUCUCCUGAAGGGUGGCGUCACAAGCAUAAUCAUCACCUAGAGUAAUGUCUCAACAGGUGGUAUCACAACACUGCAGGUGGGAAUCACAAGCGAGACUAAACCAUAUCCCCUAUUUACCACCAACCCUGCAGGCAUACUCAUAAUCAUGGGGAAAACGCCACUCAACACUAGUCAUUUCAACAUCCAGAAUUACUCCUCGGACGGAAUAUAAUCACAAUCAGGCCAUCAAUGCCUCUAUUACUCAUAUAUAUUUCUUAAUCACAUUUUCCAUCAAUAAUCUUGGCCUUCUGGCCUCACAAGUAUCAACAUUCAUAUUCUAACUUAGUCAUGGCCUAGUAGCCAUAUACAAAUAAACAAUUCGUGUCACAUACGAGAAUUCAAUAACUUCAUAUAUUUAAGCAAUCUCACUUCAUAAUUCACACACUUACGAGCAUCACAUAUGCAUAUCAAUAAUACAUUGGUCUAAGCAUCCUCAACUAGACACAAGCACAUCAAAUUAUCUAUUAGCUUAUGCUUCCCAAUUACAUAGUAUUGCAAUAUCUCACUGCCACUAUGUGGCUUACAAUAUAAUAUAUCACAUAUAUAUAAUCUAUAUACAAGUCUAGGCAUACUCAACUAGGCAUAAACACAUUAACUAUCUAAGUAGCUCAUGCUUGUUGAUGCCACAACAUAUACACAUUCUUUAACACGCAUAAUUAACAUAUCAGCCCAAGCAUGCUCAUCUAGGCCUAUCAUAGAAAUACAUUGUACCAUGGCAGUGCAUAACAAUAUACAUAAUGCAUCCACAUGCAUUUAAUCAUAAAGCCCCACUCACCUCGACAAUCGGGCACUCUUGUAGCUUAAUUCGACACUUGUUGCUCACUUGUGCCUUAACUCUAACUCGGUCAACUUCACCACUUAGCAAAUGGGUUGAAUUCUCACUCCUAGUUGUAGUCUAGCAUUCAUCAAUUACAUAUUUAUCAAUAUUCAUGCAUUAUUCACUAUCUCUAAGCCAAAUCAUAGCGUUCAAAUUAAUUUUAGCUUUCAAAAUAUGACAAAUUCUACACUACACUCUCAAAUCUUCAUAAUUCCUCAAUUUCAACUUCAAAUGCACAUAAAUUCUUACCUUAGAUGAGUUUCAACCAAUUUCCAACUCUUAAUCCUUAACAACUCAAAGGAAGAUAUAGCCCUUCUACUGCAUCAUGGAUUUCACAUUAUAAUCAUUUAAGUCGAAAAACAAUCGGUCAAAAGCUUUAAAUUUACCUCUACAAUGAUUUCCCAAGCUCAAAAUCACUUCUCCAAAUUCCAAAAUUUGAAUGAAGGAUAAGGAGUUUGAGAGAGAGACGUGAGAUAGUGUUUUUGGGCUAUUUUGGCAAUGGGCGGAUUGCCCAAUGCCUUUUUUUUUUUUUUGCCAAUCUACAUGCAUGUAUCAAUACAUUUGGCUAUGUAUCGAUACAUCUCCACGGGUUCCCUUUAAUUAUAUCGAUACAUGAGGCAUUAUAUCAAUACAUUUCUUUGAAUCAACCUAAAAUCUGUCGAUACAUUUGGACAAUGUAUCGAUACUUUUUAAAUCAAAUGCUCUCUACCGUAAAUUUAUUGAUACAUUUAGACAAUGAAUCGAUAGAUAUAACACAGAAUACUUCCCCAUUCAAAUCUAUUGAUACAUUUGAACAAUGUAUCCAAGAGUACGGGCUACAACUUUCAUGUUUACCACUUCAUCCAGUUCAGAUCCGAUCAUGGUGAAAUUGAGUUAGAAGACAAUGGACAGUUGUAGUUCUACACAGCAUGUUGAUUAAAGGUCGCGACUCUAAGUUACUCAUGGCCACAGUGUUGAGGGAGCUAGGGCCGUAGCGUUGGGAAGAUCAUAGCCUCGGUGUUGGACAGUUUAUGUGCAUCAUACUUUGGCCUAAGACCAGAGCGUCGUGGUGCUGAAUAAGCAAUGUCAUGACGCCACCAAAGACAGCCACAACACCACAACGCCAAGGAGUUAUGGCUGCAACACCACACCAAUUUUCAAAAAUAAAAUGUUUGACUGUAAUUUGGAAAUUAAGGCACCUUGCGCAUAUUUAAGGGACUUUUUCAUAGAAGAGAAGGGGGCAGCAACUAUUCUAAAGAUUUGGAGCCAAGAAUAAAGCAAGAAAGCAAGAUAAUUUGAGAAAGAUUCAAGAUCAAAAGCUUCAAUUAUUAGUUUCUUUCUUUACUUUUAUAUUUCUCUUAUUUUCUUUGACUUGGAUUCAUGGCUAAAUUUCUUUGGAUGAUGUUUUAUUUGAAUAUUAUGAGCUAAAUUAUUUUUUUAGGAUUGUAGUGGAUUUUAACAUGUAGUCUGAAUAUUUGUUUCUCUUUUAUUUAUCAUGAAUGGGUAUAGUUUUGCUUAUUCAAAUAUUUUCUUAAUAACUUUAAUUGCCUGAUCAAAAAUUAAUUGAUUUGUGAAUCUAAUUAAAACUCAAUAGAGAGAUUUUAGCUUGGACUAAGAUUUAAAUAGUGUAUACAUCACUUAGGUUAUCUGAUUCGCAUUUCGAGUAGACAUAUGCCAAUUGCCAUACAUAGCCAAAUUAGGACACUAGCUUAAUGAACUUAAUUUAAUUGAUUUCUAUAGACAUAUAGUGAACUAAUUAAGUUAGGUAUUUGUGCAAGCAUCUCGACAGAGACUUAUAUAUAGUCUUGGAUCAUAGGUUAGUAAAACCACCCAGGAAGAUAAAUAAUAAAAAAAGCUGGUAUUUGAUGAAGUGCUGAAUGUACCCAUAAUCCUAAGUCUUUAGUCUAUUGUCUUUCAUAAUUAUAUUUUAUUGUUGCUAGUUAUUUUAGUAUUUAUUUUCAUUUCGUUAUUUGUUAGUUUUUCUUUAAUUUUCGAUUACUUAAAUAAGAUUAAAUUGUUAUAAAAUUUUGGUACUUAAAGAAAAUUUAAAAACAAAUCCCUACAGGAAUGAUACUCUACUUUUACUAUAUUACUUGUUUACAAUAACAUGCACUUUCGUGAAAAUUCGACAAUAAUAUCAAGCAGCAAGAAAGAUCUAAGAAAAAAAUAACAAAACAAAAUACUAUUUAAAGAGAAUAAACAAACAUAUGGCUCACAAAACUUUAUGAUAAAAAAUGUGAUAUUUUAAGAAAAAAUCAGUAUAUAUAAUAGCAUAAAAUUAUUAGAAAUUACAAAGAACAAAAAUAGUAUACAUACUAAAAACCUAGUGCUUCACAAAACAUUAUGACAAAAAUGCCAAGAUUUUUUUAAAAAAAAAGUAAGCAUACAUUAAGGAUAAAAUAAUAAUAGCACAAAGAGUAGCAAAAUAAUUGAGAAAACAUUCAUCUGGUUGUUUUGAGUUAACCAUAAUUGCACUAUCAUUGGAUGGUUUGAAUUUUGACUAGAGGAAACAUCUUUCUCAUUGCUAAAGGAAAAAAAGGCCAUACUACAGCUUGUCGAUCUUGUUUAAUGAUCAAUCAUUCCCUUAACAAUGAGAUGAAUUUUAUUCUUUUCAAAAUUGAACCAUCAACAACAAUACAAAACAUUGCAACUCUAAGCCAAUAAAAUAAUCAAAUAUGAUACAUGAAAGAACACUUUUCAUUUCAUAAGAACACAUAUAGCAUUUAAUAAGUAGUAGUAAGCAUGAAUUAAGGCUACAAUAACAAUAGUACAAACAGUCACAAAAUUAACUGGAAAGCAAGUACUUUAUAAAGCUUUAUAAUUAUAACCAAUCACUUAAUAUAAUGGUUUUAUCAAUAACAAACUUAAGUAACCUAUCAAGUAAGGUUGACAAAUACUUACACUUACUUGGUUAAUUAGCAAAUUCACCCAAAUUUUGCUUUACAUUAGACGCAAAAAUAAAAUUCAAUAAGAAAAAAGUAUAAUAAUUUCAAACAAAAAUUGUAAAAAUCAGAUGACAAAUAUCACAUAGAAACAAAAAUUGUACAAAUUAGAUAAAAAAAAUCAAACUCUUACAGUUAGUUACAUCAAAAUCUCAAAAAAAAAUUAUGAAAAUAAUAAGGCAUAUAUAAGAAACAUGAUUGAUUGCAUGUAAUAACAUAUUAACAUAUCAUACAAAAAAAGCAUAAAGAAGUGCAGGCAAACGAUAAAACAGUAUCGUGGUGUAGGGAAAGCAUGCAACAGUAGAGCAAGUAUUAAUUACUAUUAGCAUGGUUACCUUCAUCAAACCAUCAAGUACAAUAGAAAACAAAGUUAAAAAAACAUAAAAACAAAAAAAAUAAUGUACACAAAAACAUAUAGUUAUUUACUCAAUAUUUAUUACUAUAUCGACAUGCAAGCUAUGACAGAUUUUAACCUAAAAUUGUACUUUUGUUUUGUUUUCCAAUUCAAAAAACUUAAGGCAUAAUAAAACUAUGAUGUUCUUUACCAACAACCAAUUCUCAACUAGAUAAUUACACUUUUGAUUCAAAUCUUUCUUACAUGUAAACAGUGCAAAAAAUCAAUAAUAAAACAGAACAAUAAUAGCAAACAAAAUAGUAAAAAUCACAACUACAAAAUUAAGUUGCAUCAACAAUUAAAUUUAAAGAGAUUAUUUUUUGAAAGCAAACAUAAUAAUAACACAUUUCAACCAAAAUGGUAAAACAAUAAUGAUAGCAAAUGAUUAAAAACGGUGUUUCCCUCAAAACAAAACAUUCAUUGAUUGAUGAAUGUUGUUUCCAUCAAAACAAAAUAGUUUGGGAACCAAAAUACAACACAAAAACUCAAACAUCAUCUAUGUCUAACAUUAUUUGUGAAACAAAAAAACUACAAACUUUAUAUAUACACCACACUAGAAAAAUGACAUUUUUUUUAUUCAGUUUAAGUUAAGCUGCAAACUAAGAGAAAAACUCAGUAAAAGACUGUUACAAUAGUUGUAAUCAAAAUAAUAAAAAUCACACAAAAAAGUGACACUUUUGUCCAGUUUAAUUUAAACAAUGCAUUUUUUAUCAACAUUAAUAUAAAGUAAACAAAAUACAAAAGUGAUGAACAGCUGUUACGCAAAUUAUUAUCAUUAUAUUAAUGAUUAAGAACGGUAUAAAAAAUCAGUAAGAGAAUGUAAUUUCUCUAACAAUAAUUGUAAUCUAAACAAUAAAAAUCACACCAAGAAAAUGACACAUUUUUCAGUUUAAUUUAAACAGAGUAUUGUUUACAAACAUUAAAACCCUUAAUUGAACCCUUGGUUGAUAAAUCAUGUGACGAUAGAGAAUUCAUAUCCAACAUGAAAUUGGAGAAGUGGAAAAUAUGGCAAAAACCAGCCAAAUGAUAAGCGAAAUAGAAAGUUUCAUUCUCGCUGCAGCGAGAAACAGAGCAACAAGAAAGACUUCCUUUCAUCCCAAAUAAACCAUUUCACUACAAUGCAAAUCAAUUUGGAUUACAAAAAAAUGCUCAAGGCUCAGCAAGCAAAAUUCCACAUACAUUAUAGUCACACAUGUUAUUCAUAAAAUCUUUAUUGCAUUAAUACAUGUGAAGAUAUGCAAACAUAUAUGUAUAUAUAUACAUCCAUCGCCUCCCCAACUCUUGUGCAUCCCCCCACAUCGUGCACAUAACUGGAGUCAUCGUGUGCAUCCCCCCACAUCAUGCACAUCUAAUGCCGUCGUGUACAUCCCCCACAUCGUGCACACGAGCAAUGCCAUCAUCCGCCUACGUCACCACCGUCAUUACCGAUAUGUGCAUCCCCACACGGUUAUAUCCAUUACACAAUAUUAUCUACCAAUGUACUAUACAUAUAUAUAUAUAUAUCAACAUUAUACCGAAAACACAUGGAUUCAUCACACUUUCCAUCUCACAACACAAAGACAUUUCAUAAGGGCUUGUUCCCAGGCACUUUUUUUUUUAAAAGAGAAUUGGAUAAAUCAUUCAAAAUAUUUGUCCAAAUACAUUCACAUAUCCCAAAACAGUUUUGAAAUGCAAGUUCAUUCACUUGUUUUUGUUGAUUCUUAAAGCAGCUUUAACUUCCACUAAUGCCCCAAAUGGUGACGUAGGGUUUCGGUGGAGCCUAUCAUACGUUAGCAUCACAAUCAACUCAAUCACAUAACCAUAAUUCUAAAAGCUAUCUCCUAAAUCAUGUUCCACCAGUUAUUCCUAACUAGCUUCUAACUACCAUCAAGUGGCUAUUUAUUUGCACUAUUAUAAUCGCACCAAAAUGAAUAAACUACCUUAACUACACAACACUCAUAAAUCUAACUAUUAAUCAUUCUCAACAACUAAAAUAUCAACUCAAUUUCAAUGCUCACCUUGNNNNNNNNNNNNNNNNNNNNNNNNNNNNNNNNNNNNNNNNNNNNNNNNNNNNNNNNNNNNNNNNNNNNNNNNNNNNNNNNNNNNNNNNNNNNNNNNNNNNNNNNNNNNNNNNNNNNNNNNNNNNNNNNNNNNNNNNNNNNNNNNNNNNNNNNNNNNNNNNNNNNNNNNNNNNNNNNNNNNNNNNNNNNNNNNNNNNNNNNNNNNNNNNNNNNNNNNNNNNNNNNNNNNNNNNNNNNNNNNNNNNNNNNNNNNNNNNNNNNNNNNNNNNNNNNNNNNNNNNNNNNNNNNNNNNNNNNNNNNNNNNNNNNNNNNNNNNNNNNNNNNNNNNNNNNNNNNNNNNNNNNNNNNNNNNNNNNNNNNNNNNNNNNNNNNNNNNNNNNNNNNNNNNNNNNNNNNNNNNNNNNNNNNNNNNNNNNNNNNNNNNNNNNNNNNNNNNNNNNNNNNNNNNNNNNNNNNNNNNNNNNNNNNNNNNNNNNNNNNNNNNNNNNNNNNNNNNNNNNNNNNNNNNNNNNNNNNNNNNNNNNNNNNNNNNNNNNNNNNNNNNNNNNNNNNNNNNNNNNNNNNNNNNNNNNNNNNNNNNNNNNNNNNNNNNNNNNNNNNNNNNNNNNNNNNNNNNNNNNNNNNNNNNNNNNNNNNNNNNNNNNNNNNNNNNNNNNNNNNNNNNNNNNNNNNNNNNNNNNNNNNNNNNNNNNNNNNNNNNNNNNNNNNNNNNNNNNNNNNNNNNNNNNNNNNNNNNNNNNNNNNNNNNNNNNNNNNNNNNNNNNNNNNNNNNNNNNNNNNNNNNNNNNNNNNNNNNNNNNNNNNNNNNNNNNNNNNNNNNNNNNNNNNNNNNNNNNNNNNNNNNNNNNNNNNNNNNNNNNNNNNNNNNNNNNNNNNNNNNNNNNNNNNNNNNNNNNNNNNNNNNNNNNNNNNNNNNNNNNNNNNNNNNNNNNNNNNNNNNNNNNNNNNNNNNNNNNNNNNNNNNNNNNNNNNNNNNNNNNNNNNNNNNNNNNNNNNNNNNNNNNNNNNNNNNNNNNNNNNNNNNNNNNNNNNNNNNNNNNNNNNNNNNNNNNNNNNNNNNNNNNNNNNNNNNNNNNNNNNNNNNNNNNNNNNNNNNNNNNNNNNNNNNNNNNNNNNNNNNNNNNNNNNNNNNNNNNNNNNNNNNNNNNNNNNNNNNNNNNNNNNNNNNNNNNNNNNNNNNNNNNNNNNNNNNNNNNNNNNNNNNNNNNNNNNNNNNNNNNNNNNNNNNNNNNNNNNNNNNNNNNNNNNNNNNNNNNNNNNNNNNNNNNNNNNNNNNNNNNNNNNNNNNNNNNNNNNNNNNNNNNNNNNNNNNNNNNNNNNNNNNNNNNNNNNNNNNNNNNNNNNNNNNNNNNNNNNNNNNNNNNNNNNNNNNNNNNNNNNNNNNNNNNNNNNNNNNNNNNNNNNNNNNNNNNNNNNNNNNNNNNNNNNNNNNNNNNNNNNNNNNNNNNNNNNNNNNNNNNNNNNNNNNNNNNNNNNNNNNNNNNNNNNNNNNNNNNNNNNNNNNNNNNNNNNNNNNNNNNNNNNNNNNNNNNNNNNNNNNNNNNNNNNNNNNNNNNNNNNNNNNNNNNNNNNNNNNNNNNNNNNNNNNNNNNNNNNNNNNNNNNNNNNNNNNNNNNNNNNNNNNNNNNNNNNNNNNNNNNNNNNNNNNNNNNNNNNNNNNNNNNNNNNNNNNNNNNNNNNNNNNNNNNNNNNNNNNNNNNNNNNNNNNNNNNNNNNNNNNNNNNNNNNNNNNNNNNNNNNNNNNNNNNNNNNNNNNNNNNNNNNNNNNNNNNNNNNNNNNNNNNNNNNNNNNNNNNNNNNNNNNNNNNNNNNNNNNNNNNNNNNNNNNNNNNNNNNNNNNNNNNNNNNNNNNNNNNNNNNNNNNNNNNNNNNNNNNNNNNNNNNNNNNNNNNNNNNNNNNNNNNNNNNNNNNNNNNNNNNNNNNNNNNNNNNNNNNNNNNNNNNNNNNNNNNNNNNNNNNNNNNNNNNNNNNNNNNNNNNNNNNNNNNNNNNNNNNNNNNNNNNNNNNNNNNNNNNNNNNNNNNNNNNNNNNNNNNNNNNNNNNNNNNNNNNNNNNNNNNNNNNNNNNNNNNNNNNNNNNNNNNNNNNNNNNNNNNNNNNNNNNNNNNNNNNNNNNNNNNNNNNNNNNNNNNNNNNNNNNNNNNNNNNNNNNNNNNNNNNNNNNNNNNNNNNNNNNNNNNNNNNNNNNNNNNNNNNNNNNNNNNNNNNNNNNNNNNNNNNNNNNNNNNNNNNNNNNNNNNNNNNNNNUAUAUAUAUAUAUAUAUAUAUAUAUAUAUUAACUUAAAAAAUUAUAUCAUUUAAAAUAGAUAACCUGUAAUUUCAUAUUAAUACAAGUAUAAAUAAAUAUACAUAUAUACAUAUAUAUUCCAUUGCUAUGAUUCAAAAUUUGUAUACAUAUAAUAAAUUAAUAUAUUUUAGAUAUAUUAUAUAAUAAGUUUACUAUAUAUAUUAGUUUUUUUAAUUUAUAUUAACUAAUAUUAGUACGUACCUAAAGUAUUAUUAGUUUUUGUUUAAUAAAUUAUUAGAUUUUAUCAUUUUUAUAAAAUUAAAAUGUUAUUAUGUUAUUUUUAUAAUUUUUUUAAUUUUAUAACAUUAUUGAAUUUGAAAUUAUUAAUUUAUAAUUUAUAAUUCAUGUUUUGAAAAUAUAUAAAAAUAAUAAGAAAAGAAAAACAUAUUAAGAUUUUUAAUAUUAUAAAACUCUUUAUGUCACGACCCGAAACUCUCAUCGAGCCCGAGACAACCGUCGCGACGUCCCGAUAGGCACUCAUUACCCCGAAUGCCGAUCAAAACCCCGCAAGGCUUAGCAUCAGCUUCCGCAUUUCCCUGGUGAGCGACAGUUAUUAAAUCUCGCAUUUCAAGAAAUCAUAAGUCGUUUCCAAAUUAAAAUAAUAAAAUAUUAUUUUCUAGCUCACAGAGGGAUUUUCGUCAUUUUUUUUCGAAAAUAUCGAAACCUGCCAAAAACAUGGUGUAAAAUCUAAAUAUGUUCAUACAUACUUUAAAUCAGAUAACUGAAGUAUAAAAUUACUUUUACAAUGACACGUGGGCCCCCAACUGACCAAGAAGGUGUAGGGCUACGAACCCUUACUUUCUAGGAUGCAACUCCGAGAUUAAUUCUCGUCUUAAUCAACUAUCAACAAACUGUCUUGAGCCUAAAAAAUGGAUAGGAAGAGGGGUGAGAUUACAUAAUCCCAGUGAGUAAACAAUUACCAUAAAAAACAUCUCAAGCCGAGUAGAUGGAGAUAAUAUAAAAACGUUAUAUCUCAAGAAUGUUAAUAACGUAAAAUUCGUUUCAAUCUAUACCAAACAUUUUCUUUUCAUCAAAAUUUCUCGGGUUAUGAAUUUCUUAAACUUGGUCUCUACCAGAAUCAUUCUCAUGAGUACCUUCGUCAAGGUAUCCCACUGAGACUGCCAAGGUUGUUAAAUGUCCCACACCCAUAAACAUAUUUUCGCAUCUGACACACAACCGUUCCUCGGCAUUGGCUGAGUCUCACUCUCACUUGGUGGCCCGAACGUAAGGUGCACUCAAAUCUUACCUCAGGAGAUACUUCAUCCAACAUCUCCCCCCGGAGGUAAAUAUAUAAUUAGGUUACCGUGCCCUUCUCAUAGGUAGUCCACGGAAACCCCCACCACUGUAGUGACCAUUUAACAUACCACUAGACCCAUAAAAUUUUCAGUAGCAUAAUAUGGUAAAUAAAAUUUAAUCCAGUCUACCGAGACCAAUCCAAAACUGUUCAUAUAUUUGAUCCAACCCCAAAAAUUUAGCCAUCAUGCUAUCAUAGUGUCAUAAGCCACAAUUUCAAUAACAUAUAAAAUCAUAAAUUCAACACAGUCUCCAUAUACUCAAUUUUUCCAAAAUAAUAUUUGAUUUCAAAACCAGUAUAAAUCUCAUUUUUAUUAAAAAACAUUUUAAUUGAAAAACAUAAUAUUUUAUAAUUUAAACUCACCAUUCAAUAAAAGCAUCAAACAAGUAUAAUUACUUUAGAUAUUUAAGACGAUAAAUUGUCCACUUACAGUUCUAGGAGUCGAUGUACUUCUAAUCCCAGUCUUCAAGCACAAUCUCUGUACUUUUACUAAUGUAAUUUGCUCACCACCUAUCCACAAUGUACAAUACAUAAUUCAACACAUUAAUGCUUGACCAUUAUAAAAUCAAUUCAGGCUCGAUGUAUAUGCAUGAUAUAAUAUGCAAUUUAUCCGACUACCACUUAAAUGCGGUGUUGACCUAAUUCGGCCUAUUACCCGAUUAAAUGACAAUUGUGUCUGAUUUGGCUCCAAAUUGCUCCAUUUCAUUUCUAGUACCUCAAUUCACCGAACAUUAUUCAAAUAACACCAAUUUCAGCAUCAAAACCCUCCCAUUUUUUCAAGGAAAAAUUCAGCCAUUACAGUACACUAACACUGUGAUUUUUCCUACUUAAUUUUCUCACCAUUAUUGUCAAACCCUAUUCUAUAAAAUAAUUACGACGUCAUUUACAUGCUCAAUAGAAUGUUUGCAUGUUUAGGAAGUUCGAGGAAUCGUUAAAAGACGAUAUUACCCCUAAUGGUACCAUUAAGUUGAUUAAGCCUCAAACUAGUUCAAAUAGGAAUUUUAAGGUAAAAUUAAGAGUUUCACAAUUCAGGGAUGACUCAAAAUGGUAAUUUGGAGUUCAAGGAUCAAUUUGGAGUCAAACCGAAAUUUUCACUAUCUAGAGGCAAAAUGGUCAUUUGCCACCUGAGGACAAAAUGAAAAUUUUGAGAAAAGCUUUUUUUGGCCCCAUUUAACUUAUUGGAGUAUGAUUUGAGUAUUGGAGUAUAAUUUGAGGGUUUGGCAGUGAAAUAGUUUAAUUUCGGUUAUUUCUGGAGUGUAGGGGCAAAAUUGUAAUUUUUUCAUCUACGGAUAAAAUUUGAGAUUUUGAGAGACUUUAGAUCAAAUUUGACAAAUUAGAGAAUGGUAUGAGUAUAAGGGAUGAAAAAUAUGUCUAUGGGCAAUUUUUCAGUUUUUGGGGUAAAAAUAUAAUUUUUGACUUUUACAGGGGCAAAAAUGUAAAUUUCAAAAAUUACUCCACCAAGACUUUGGAUAAGUCUGAGAAUUUUAUCUAAGCUAUGGAUAUGUGGGACAAGUGUAUGGUGAAAAUUUGGAAAUAAAUGGAUGGCUAGAAUUUAAAGAAUUAAUAAAACAAAAAAAAUGAAAAAAAUAAUAUUAUAUUAUUUUAGCCUUUAAAAAUGUCAAAAUUCCAGAAUUCUCAUCCUCUUCAGCUGUCCAAACCAGGAGAGAAAAAGGGGGAAAAGAAAUAAGAACCCUAGCUGAAAAAAUUUGUGGAAAAUCAAAAGAAAUCAAGAAAUCAAGCAUUAAAAAGGUAAAUUUCAUUGAUUUUCCUUGUGAUUUUCACUACCCAUGCAUUUUUUUCUCAUUUCCAUGCAAAAUUAGAAAGUGGGUAUGGACACCCAUGCUGGCCAAACCUCCAUGGAUGAGUUUUGAGCUUGAGUUUUGGUUGAUUUUAAUUGAAUUAAGUGAUUUUAGUUAGGUUAUAUUGAAAUAUAGCAAAAAUAAGCUAGANNNNNNNNNNNNNNNNNNNNNNNNNNNNNNNNNNNNNNNNNNNNNNNNNNNNNNNNNNNNNNNNNNNNNNNNNNNNNNNNNNNNNNNNNNNNNNNNNNNNNNNNNNNNNNNNNNNNNNNNNNNNNNNNNNNNNNNNNNNNNNNNNNNNNNNNNNNNNNNNNNNNNNNNNNNNNNNNNNNNNNNNNNNNNNNNNNNNNNNNNNNNNNNNNNNNNNNNNNNNNNNNNNNNNNNNNNNNNNNNNNNNNNNNNNNNNNNNNNNNNNNNNNNNNNNNNNNNNNNNNNNNNNNNNNNNNNNNNNNNNNNNNNNNNNNNNNNNNNNNNNNNNNNNNNNNNNNNNNNNNNNNNNNNNNNNNNNNNNNNNNNNNNNNNNNNNNNNNNNNNNNNNNNNNNNNNNNNNNNNNNNNNNNNNNNNNNNNNNNNNNNNNNNNNNNNNNNNNNNNNNNNNNNNNNNNNNNNNNNNNNNNNNNNNNNNNNNNNNNNNNNNNNNNNNNNNNNNNNNNNNNNNNNNNNNNNNNNNNNNNNNNNNNNNNNNNNNNNNNNNNNNNNNNNNNNNNNNNNNNNNNNNNNNNNNNNNNNNNNNNNNNNNNNNNNNNNNNNNNNNNNNNNNNNNNNNNNNNNNNNNNNNNNNNNNNNNNNNNNNNNNNNNNNNNNNNNNNNNNNNNNNNNNNNNNNNNNNNNNNNNNNNNNNNNNNNNNNNNNNNNNNNNNNNNNNNNNNNNNNNNNNNNNNNNNNNNNNNNNNNNNNNNNNNNNNNNNNNNNNNNNNNNNNNNNNNNNNNNNNNNNNNNNNNNNNNNNNNNNNNNNNNNNNNNNNNNNNNNNNNNNNNNNNNNNNNNNNNNNNNNNNNNNNNNNNNNNNNNNNNNNNNNNNNNNNNNNNNNNNNNNNUGCAGUGGUGGGGGGUUCCGUGGGCCAGCCUAUUAGAGGGGCAUGGUAAACUCCUUUAUAUUUUCACCUCGGUCGUAGAGGCGCAUAGGGUAUCUCCUGAGGUGGGCUUUUUGAGUGCACUUCACGUGGACCACCGCGUGAGAGUGAGACUCAGCCAAUGCCAAGGAACGGCUAUGUUUCAAAAUAAAAAUAUGAUUUAUGCGAAAUAUGAAUUUUUAACAACCUUGGUGGGCUCGGUUGGAUACCCCUGGUCCAGGUGUCACCGAGUACAGGAUUUGGCAUGAGCCAAGUUUUGAGUAAUUCACGAGCCAUAUUAAUUAUUUGGUUGAAAUGAAUAUUCGUGAUGUGAAAAAUGUACUAAAGUUAAUUAUUUUUUAAUUGUUUCCAUUUACUCGCCUUUAGAUAGUUUAGAUGGUGUCUGUUUACUCAUUGGGAUUUUAUAAUCUCACCACCCUCAAUUCCCCACACUUCAGGUUCGGGAUAACCGGUAGAUAGUCGAUUGCAUCAAGGACUUCAGUUAGCCUUGCAUCGACAAAAUUGUAGGUUCACAGACUCACAUCUUAUUAGUUAGUUGGGGGCCCACGUGUCAUUGUAAAAGUAAUUUUAUACUUUAGUUAUUUGAUUUAAAGUAUGUAUGAACAUAUUUAGCUUUUACACCAUGUUUUUGGCGGGUUUAGGUGUUUUCGAAAAAAAGAACGACGAAAAUGCCCCUGUGGCCAAAAAAUAAUAUUUUAUUGUUUUGAUUUGGAAAAGACUUAUGAUUUCUUGAAAUGCGAGAUUUAAUAACUGUAGCUCACCGAAGAGAUGCGAAAGCUGAUGCUAAGCCUUGCGGGGUUUUGAUCGGCAUUCGGGGUAAUUAGUGCCUAUCGGGACGUCGCGACGGUUGUCAUGGGCCCGAUGGGGAGUUUCGGGUCGUGACAAUUAUUCAUCAUUUUCUAAGCUAUUUCUCUUGAAAUAAUAACAAUCCAUCACCCACAUACAUCAAGGAAGAUUCGGCCAAUGAAGAUUCAUGGGAAAAAUGGAUUCUUUUCUUAUUGUUUUGCUUCUAAAUAUGCUAAACUAACCUUAAUCACUAACAUAACUUAAAAUCAAACAAUUCCAACUUCAUUCUCUCUCCAUAACCAUUUUGACCAGCCAUGAAUUCAUCAUGAAAACAUGUAAUUUAAGCAUGGAAAAUAAGAAGAAAUGCUUAAGGAAAAUAGGUUUCAAGUUUAAAUUGAAAAAUCCUACCUUUUUCACUUGUUUUCCUUGAUUUCCCACACUUUUUCUCUUGAAAUCCUCCACCUAGGGUUUGUUCUUGUUUUUCCUUUCUUUCCUUUUGUCUUGGCCGAAUAUGGAGAAGAAGAAUGGGAUAAAUAUGGGCUGAUUUUAAUAGAAAAUAAUAAAAUAUCUUUACUUGACACGUGGCAUGUUUCCAUUGGUCUAUUUUUAAAACUUUAAAAAUUUUAAACCUUUUAUCUCCAUCACAUGAUUAGUCAAAGGUCAAAAUGAGGAUAAGUGAAGACCAUGUGCUGGACAAAUGUUCUGGUGGUGAAAAAUUACUUAUUUGCCCCCGAAGUGAUAAAAUUAUCAUUUCGCCCCUAUACUCUAAAUUAUAUCGAAAAUUAAAAUUUUUCACUUCUAGUCCUCAAAUCAUACUCCAAUACUCAAAUCAUACUUCAAUAAGUCAAAUGGAGCCAAAAAUCUUUUCUAAAAUUCUCAUUUUGUCCCUAGGUGGCAAAUGACCAUUUUACUCGUAGAUAGUGAAAAUUUCGGUUUGACUCCAAAUUGAUCCACGAACUCCGAAUCACCAUUUUGAGUUAUCCCUGAACUGUGAAACUCUUAAUUUCACCUUAAAAUUCCUAUUUGAACUAGUUCGAGGCUUAAUCGGCUUAAUAGUACCAUUAGGGGCAAUAUCGUCUUUUAACAAUUUCUCGAACUUCCUAAAGAUGCAAACAUUCUAUGAAGCAUGUAAAUGACGUCGUAAUUAUUUUAUAGAACAGGGUUUGACAUUAUAUAUAUAUAUAUAUUUAAUUUUAUUAAUAUAUUUCUUAUAAAAGAUUAAUAAAUUUUUUAAUAUAUUUUCAAUAAAAAAUUUAACAAAUAGUAAUACCGACAGAAUUUUCCAACGAAAAAUUCAGUUAGAAUAUUUAGUGGGUUUUAAUUUUUUUUGGCACCAUAAACUUUUUGACGGAUUUUCAACAGAUUAUUUUCCCGUUGGAAAAUUUCGAUUAAAAUCUGUUGGAAAUUUCGUCAUAAAGUUUUGCAAGAUUAAAGUUUUAUUGCACUAAAAAAAUUUCUAUCAGAUUUCCAACGAAAAUAUUUCGUUGGAAAAAUUCUAUUGGAAAUCUAUUGAAAAUCCAUCGAAAAAAAUCAAAUUAAAGUUUUGUUGGAAAUUUGUUGGAAAUUGCCAACGAAAAUUUCCAAUGAAAUUUUUUCAAUCGGAAAACCCUAUUUUCUUGUAAUGUGAUUGCGUCAAAUUCAUAAUCACUAGUAACUCUUCUAGACGCAAAUUAUUCAGAUGACCACUGAUAAGUAUAAUUAUUCAUCAACCAAAAGUACUUGAAAAUAAAGAAAAUAAAGCUUGAAUUAAGGCUAGCUUGAUUAGUAUUAAUAUUAUCAAACAAAAAUAAAAACACAACUCUUUGGCAACGACGCCAAAAACUUGUUAUGCUUGCUAAUUUAUCUAGAUAAUUUGCUUUAAAACUUUUAUCAAAUUAGCAAAAUAUCAUGCAAGUGUACAUGGUUAACAGGUAAUAUAAUAGUGAGUGAGUUAUCAUCUCCAUAGGGAAUUGUAUCUAAAUUCUUGCUAAUUACUAAAAUUAGACAAUCUAAUCUUAUCUAAGGAAAUCUAAUAUGGAAAUUAAUUGAAAAUGAAAAAAAAUUAAAGUAGCAAGGCUAAAUUAGUGAACUAAGCUAAAAAAAAUGCAAGUAAAUUGAGUUUGAAAGCACUAGGGAAGUUGUCAUGACUCGGUACUCCCCUAGAGCCAGUGACAACAGUCGCGGUAUCUCGAUAGACACUUAUUGUCCGGAAUAUCAACCCGAAACCCCGCAAGGCUUUACUAUCAGUUUCUCUGUUCCCUUGUGAGCAACCAUUGUCAAAUAUCGUGUUCUAAAAGAUUUUAAGCUAUUUCCAACUUUAAACAAAUAAAAUAUUAAUUUUUCGUCUCGCAGGGGUAUUUUGAUCAUUUUUCUCAAAAAAUUUGAAACUGGCUAAAACGUAAUAUAUAAGUACAAAACACAUAAUUCAUAUUCAAAAUGAGUUUAAAAGUCUAAAAUCUUCAUUUAAAACGAAAUUAUGGUUAUUUGAAUAUAAUAAGAAAAUAAAAAAAAUAUUAAGUAAAAUAUUCUAUUUUCUUAUAAAACAAUAUUUAUAGAGUUAUACGUGAAUAAUUUUUAUAACGUAAAAGCUAAAUAAAUUUAUACAUACUUAAAUACAGUAAGCCAAAAUAUUUAAUUUAAUUUACAAUAACAAGAGUGCCCCCGAAUAAACAAAAGUAAAGAGGACUGUGAACCUACGGUUUGGAAAAUGCAGAUCCCACUGUAGUCCUCGAUGAGAUCAGCUAUCUACAGUCUAUACUGAACCUGAAAUGGGUGGAAAGGAGGGUGGUGAGAUUAUAAAAUCCCAAUGAGUAAACAAACAUCAUCAUAAACAUCUAGAGUUGAGUACAUGGAGACAAUAAAGUAAAUCAUCAUAAACUGGGUUAUAGCAUUAGAACACAUUUUGUUCAAAACACGUAAAGAGGCUUAUGAAUCUCAUAAAAAUCUAGGCUUGUGCCAUAAAUCCAUUCUCGGGGACACCUUGGCCGAGGCAUCCUACCGAGACCGCCAAGGCUAUUAAAAUUCACAUUUCACAUAAAUCAUGUUUUUGUUUUGAAAACAUAGCCGUUCCUUGGCGUUGGCUGAGUUCCCCCUCACGUGGUGGUUUAGCGUGAAGUGAACCCUAAACUUUACCCCAGGAGAUACCCUACGCGCCUCUCCGUUCGAGGUAAGAAUAUAAUGGGGUUUACCGUGCCCCUCUAAAAGGCUGGUCCACAGAAACCCCCUACUGCAGUGAUUAAUUAAUAUAUAAUCCACCAUAUAAUAAAACUCAAUAACAUGAUAUGGCAAUUUUGUAAUUCGUAGUUUUUCAAGGUAACCAAACAAUUCGCAUUUCAAUACAAUUGCCAACUAGCCAAUCAUGCUCGAUUUAUCAUAAGCCAGUUAAUUUAAACAAUCAAAUUGCCACAAUUAACAGUCUCCGUGUACUCUAUUUUUCAAAAUCACUAUUAAUUUCAAAACAAUUUAUAAUUUAAUUUCAUUGAAACUCAUUUAUUCAUAAAACAUGAAAAUUUAUCUUUUUAAAUUCCUUUUUCCAUAGAAUUCAUGAAAGCAUUUAAAAACCACCCUAGAUAAUUAAAAUGACAGUAAGUUUACUCACAAUGUCUAGAAUGCAGACUUUCGAAGCACUCUGUCUACUGGUCCUCGGAUGCAAUUUCCUUGCCUUUAUCGGAGGACUCACCACCUUGACACAGUACAAAAUCGAGAGUUUCACCAAGUUGGUACUAAAUCAAAAUUAAACUAAUUUAGACUACCAAUGCAUGAUAUGGAAUGCAAAAAUGCACUGGUAACUAUCUAAACCCGGUAUUGGCCUAAUUCGUCUUAUCACCCGAUUAAAUUCCUAACGGGUCCGUUUAAACUCCAAUUUAAUUCUUUUCAGUUUCUAUACCUCAAUUGCACCCAAAUUAACUUAAUGUCCCUCAGUGUGGUGCAAAUUAUCAGUCUCAACAGUAAAUUACGAAAAUACCCCUAGUGGGUAAAAAUUCGUAUUUUUGCUCCGAAAAUUCCCAUUAUUUUUCUAGGCUCAUAAUUCAUCAUUCCUUAACCAAUUCUCCUAGAAUAAAAUCAAACUCAUCCUCACUCACUACAUGGUUAAUUCAGCCAUUAAUGGUUGGGGGAGAAAAUAAUUUCUUUUCUUGUUGUUUUCUUUCUAAAUAUGCUAAACUAAAUAAAAACACUAACAUAAAUUAAAAUCAAAUAAAACCAACAACUUUCUCUCUCCUAACCCAUUUUUUUCAGAAUUUAAUUCAUCAUGAAAACAUGUAAUUUAAUCAUGGAUAAUAAAGAGAAAUGCUUGGGAAUAAGAAAACUCAAAGCUUAAUAGAAAAAAUCUCACCCUUUUCACUUAAUUUCCUUGAAAAUUCACACUUUUUCUUUGAUUUUCUCUCUCUAGGGUUUUAUUUUUAUUUUCUCUCUCUUCUUGCUGGUUUGGGCAGCCAUGGGGUGGAAGAUGAGCUGAUUUUGUGCCUUUUAAAAAGGAAAAAAAUAAAUUAAUAAAGGCAUGACACGUGGCAUCAUGUCAUUGGUCUAUUUUUAAAAUUUUAAAAAUUUAAACAUUUUAUCUCCACCAAAUGAUUAGUCAAAGGUCAAAAAAUGAGGAUAAAGGAAGACCAUGUGCUGGAAAAAUAUCCUGGUGGUGAAAAUUACAAUUUUGCCCCUGAUGUGCCAAAAUUACCAUUUUACCUUUUUACUCCCAAAAUUAUACCGAAAUUAAAAAUUUUCACCUUCUAAACCUCAAAUCAUACUCCCAUAAGUCAAAUUAUACUCCAAUAACCAAAUGAGGCCAAAAAUCUUUUCUAAAAAUUCUCAUUUUGUCCUCAGGUGGCAAAUGAUCAUUUUGCCCCUCGUUAGUGAAAAUUCCGAUUUGACUCCAAAUUGAUCCUCAAACUCCAAAUUACCAUUUUAAGUCAUCCAUGAACUGUGAAACCCUUAAUCUCACCUUAAAUUCCUAUUUGAUCUAGUUCGAGGAUUAAAUAAACUUUGUUGUACCUCUAGGUACAAUACAGACUUUUGUAAAUUUUUCGGGACUCUCCUAGCAUGCAUACAUGCUAUUCAUCACAUGAAUGUCAUGAAUAGUAUUUUAUAAGGCUCGGGCUUUACAGAAGUACUUAGGAUUAUGGUUUCAAUUAAUGCUUCAUUUGGACUUAAGAUUGACUAAUUACCUACUUUUAUGGAAAACUAAUGCGAGCCUAGGAUCCUUAAGCAUGUACAAUUCUCCAUCUAGCUAUUGUACAAUGGCCUAACUUAAUUUAAUUCUCUAUAUGUCUAUAGCUAAUUAAUUAAGCUAAGUUCUUUAAGUAUAAGUCUUAUAAAUUGACUGUAUAUGGUUAACAGGUGUAUGUCUACCCUAUUAACAAAUCACCCAACUAAUUCCUACUUGCAAUGAUCAUAUACUACCCAAACCAUGAUCUUUUUAGACUAACUUUAUCAAGUAUUAUCUAAAAACUCAUACACAUCCUAUUGGUGAUCAGUCAAUAAAAUGAGAAAUAAGUACAAAUUUGAAUAAACACUAAAUAUUCCAUCAAAACAAGUAAUAGUCAAUCAAGCAUCCAAACUAUAUAGUAAUAUUCACCAUAAUCCUAGAAAAAAAAGUUUAGCUUAACAUUUCAAUAGCUCAUAAUAAAUUUAAGCAAAACUAAGCAUUUACACAAGGAGAUUUAAAGAGAGAAAAAUAAAGAUAGUGAGAGAAAACUCUUUUGGUGUAGCUUUGUCAAGCUUUUCUUCAAGAUUUUUCCUUUUCUUUUCUCCUUGUGGAAAGCUCCUUUUUGCCUCUGAAGUUGCUCCUCCAAAUGCACCUUUUCAGCCCUAAAAAUUUAUUGUGUUUAUGCCCAUUUUGAUGAUUAUUUGAUGUAAAAUCGAAUGCCCAAAAACGUGCAGAAUUAUGUGUCGACAUCUAGGUGCCCAAGGGCUGAUGCCUAGGCACCCAAGGUUUUGUUUUGUGGCUUGUUUUAACAUGUUGGAUAGUACAUUUGGCACCUAGGCACCGAAGCUUCUGAAAACACUGACUGUAGUCUAUUACAAUUAGUUAACUUCAUCUACAUUUUUUACCAUGAUCCCUUUUGAAUUAAGUGAAGUACUAAACAUCAAAGUUGUAGCUCUUCCUCUUAGCUUUUCAUAGGUCCAAGAAUCGCGUUGAUUAGAAUUUUGUAGCUCAAGUUAUACCAAAAUAUUGCAGUAUGUUCGAAGGCCUUACUUAAGUUAGUUGCACCAUCCUUUGCCAUUUAAGUUUCAAGUCCUUGCACAUCCUUCAAUAUCAAAAAAUCAAUUAAUUAGAGGCUGAAAUGAGAGAUUUUAACAAGAAAUUCAUUGAAAUAGCAUAAAUGAUAAAUGUCAUUACAUAAAUUAAAUUACCACUACUAAGCAUAAAAUUACCUAUGGAUUACUUAAAAAUAGAGGACUUAGUUCAAGUUUAGGUUCCAAAAAUGCAUAAAAUAACUCUAUAUAAUAGAGUUAUUAGUUGGCAAUAAUAUAAUCUUUGUAAACACAUUUCAAAAAACGUAACGCAUAAUAAAAGCAAAUUUAUUCUCUAACUUUGUAAGCGACAUUCUAUAAACAUUAAGAAUAAUCAAACAAAAUUUGUUAUUUUGAGCAAGAAAAUCAAAACCAAAUAUACACUCAAAAUUAAAGUAUUAACCGCUAGACUAUAACCUUAGAUUGAAACAUUACUACCAAACACAAAAGAGAAUUCUCAAAAGACAGCAGUAGAAAUGCAGAACAAUGAUAUUCUAAAACUAACCCACACCAACACGAUUCAAUAUGCACCCACAAAAAACCUUACAAGAAAAGGUAGAAAGAACGAACAAUAGAGCCGAAAGAGCAAGAUGUACUGAAAGGAUAAAACAAUGGAAGAAAAAAGCAAGGUAAAAUGAAGAAAAAAAUCAAUGCAAGAAAUUAAAAAAAAAGCAAAAAAUACAAUAGAGGCAAACAAUGGGUGAAAGACUUGGAAAAGAUAGUUCUACAUCGAACAGCAAAAAUAAAACAAGAAAACUCAUUUCAGCCACACACGUAGCCUAUUGUACAAUCAAAGGCAGUCGAAAGCUCUUUUCAUGAGCUUCAACAUUAAUAGGCAUGUUGAAAGGAUAUAAUGGAACUGAUAAAUUCACUCGAAAAAUCGAUAAGUUUAACAAUAAAAGCAUCCUCUCUCCCUAAAACUAACGGAAACAUGCAUGAUCCUUUUCAUAAAUUGCUCAUUUUUCCUUUUAGCCCUACCCCUCAUGAUAAACCCUUCGUAUUUCCUUUUAGUCCAACAAGCCUUUCAUAGUCCCUUUCAGCCAACAGGCCAAAGCUUAAAAUUCUCUCCAAAUUCAAUUAAGCCCAACAGCCCUAAACCCCGUGCAAAUCACAAUUAAUGUGGCACGCAUCGGAAUAAAAAACGUGGACUAACUUAAAGCAAAAACGUGGCUUAACAUAUGAGCUCCUUUAGACCUUCCUAGUAUAGAUUAUAGAUUUUUAUCAUAAUUUCAUAUUUAAACUUUAUUAAUUAAUUCUUAAUAUUCGAUUUAUACGAGCUAAAAUAAAUCUACAGUGGAAAUGAGCGCGACCUUAAAAUGACUGAAACCGAAACGGACCGAUCCGAACCCGCCAACACCGCCCGUUUGCAAAUCAAUCUGCAAGUUGCUAGCUUUCACUCAGUGACUACAAAAGCUGAAAUGAGAAAGGAAACGGAGCUAAUCAGCUACUGGGUCAUUUAUGGUCUCCCUUUGGAGAUGAGAAGCAUCACGCUACCACAUUGUUGCUACUCCUCCGCAAACUGUAAGCGCACGACUGUCAUCCUCAUGGGCAAAAGCAAUAAGUCCCCUUCUCCUCCUCCGGAUAAGGUUUUCCAUUUACUCCUAUGGUUCCUUUGUUCUCUCUCUUUGUUUCAGCUCUAAUUUCCAGUGCUAUUCCUUUUCUGCUCUCUCUUUGGAUUAAUGGGUUUCGUUUACCAUCACUAGGGUGGCCAAACAAAUCAUAGGCAAAUACACCUCCUUCUAAAUUGAGCCAGGAUACGUGAAUCACUUUUCACCACGCUUUUUCUCCUUUGAACUCGCUUGUUUGUUAGUAUUGGUGCAUCGAGAGCACAGAACUAUCAAAUUAUAUACCACCAAUUUUGAUUGCACAAUACCCAUAUCAUAUACAGAAUUUAAUAAAUUACGCGGGCUUGGAUGGAGAGAGAGAUACUUCUCUCAUUGUAUAUCAACUAAUUCAAGCAACUGUUAAGUCUUACCUAGCAGAACAAUUUGGGAAAAAAAGUUUUGAGUAAAUCAAGGCGUCCACUAUUUGAGCUAAAUAAAUAUGGUGAAUUUUACUCCAAAUUAUUAAGAUUAUUUUAUUUCUUUACGUUGCUUUGGACCAUUGCCCUCCAUUUUAGACUGCCUCUGACAAGCUUACCAUUGAUAGGGUCCUGAAUCAGCUGCUCCAAGAAUCACAUCCAAUGUCAAGCAGAACUUGCAGUUUUUAAAGUUGUGGAAGGUAUGUUAUUGGUUUGCUUCUAAGAUAUGUAAAAUGCUAUUUAUUCUGUAUCAUUUUAUCUUAUCUGAGAAAAAUCUCGUAGGAAUAUCAAAAGAGGAAAUCUAGUGCACCUAAGCCUGCUACUAGUUACAGGAGAAAGAAGAUGCAAAAGGAGGACCUUUCAGAUGAUACAGAACUUUAUCGUGAUCCUACAACAACUCUUUAUUAGUAAGCACUGUCUUGGUUUCUUUCUAUGGUCAUUUUUGAAUCAAUCCACUUUUCAGCUUCUUGGUGCUAAAAGUUUUUACAGUACCAACCAGGGUUUAGAUGAUGCAGUCCCUGUCUUGCUCGUUGAUGGUUACAAUGUAUGUGGCUAUUGGAUGAAGCUGAAGAAGCAUUUUAUGAAAGGAAGGCUUGACAUUGCACGCCAAAAACUAAUAGAUGAGCUUGUAAAUUUUAGUAUGCUAAGAGGUUUGUACUUUGCAUCUUCCGUUACUUGUCUGAAGUUAUGGUUGUAUCAGUUUCCUAUAAAACCUUUGGGCAGGCCUGAGUGGAAUGCUUAUAAAUAUUUUGUAUAUGUUCUACUUCUUAUUACCCCUUGGAAUUCUCUGCAUGAUCAUGAUGCUUAACUAUCUAAACACGUAUAAUUUAAAAAAAAAAAAAACUAUCUAAACAUGUAGCAAAAGUUAAUAUAUGCACCAAUUAGAAAAUGGUAAUGAUCUCACCUUUGUGCUUCAGUACCUUAUAACUUAUUAAGGAGUUAAUCAAGUUUGUUAGAAUUGAAACUGAACCUUGGAUCUGAAUAUAGAGUUACUUGAUUAAUGUAAGAUGUUUUUGUGUAUCCAUUGUUGUUUUCUGAUUUAAUGUCCUAACUCUGUUAUUUCUGAAAUAUUUUCAGAGGUUAAAGUUGUUGUUGUGUUUGAUGCCAUGAUGUCUGGACUUCCUACACACAAGGAAAAUUUUUCUGGGUACUGUAUAAUUCUGAUUCUGUUAUUGUCUAAAUUAAUUUCCAUCUUUUUUUAUUCUUUAUGUUCAUGACCAAGAAUAUAUAUAUAUGUAUAUAUUAUUUAUGCUUAAACUUGCUUGUUUUGACUAGACUUGACAAUUUUGGACAAGACCUGUUAACACUACAUGAGAACGAUAUGGAGUUAAGCAAGUUUUGAUUUAGGGUUACCAUAUUUUGUGUUUUAAAUGUGUUGACAUGUGUAAGGCUUGGCCAUUUCGUGUCUUAAAUGGGUUAAACCCGCUUAACUUGACAUGUUUAGCCCAUUUAAUUAGUCAUGUUAUUGUGUCAAUUCCUGUAAUAUGACCUGUUUAAUCCAUUUUUGAUAUUUAUUUAAACAGGUUAAUCGUGUUUAAAUGGGUUUUACAUGUCAUAUUCAUGUUCAACAAUCAUGUUAAUCAUGUCAUGUUGUGUAACAUGUGUAAUAAACAUAUCUGUGUACUUGUUUAGAAUUUUGACCCGGUUAAUUAAUCAUCUCGUGUUUGCGUUUACCCAUAUAACUGUUAAUACUCUACUUAAACACGACAUGAUUAUGACACAACAACACAAAUUGCCAGGUCUGGUUUUGAUAAACCAGUGAAUCUUCCCCUUACAUAUGGAUGAAUUGUUAUUUAUUGACAGAGCUAGGUGAGCUAUUAUUUGAACCAUUAUAAUUGCAAUGAUUUACUUGCUUGUUUCUACUGGAAAACUUCAUUCUGGUUUUUUUUAAAAUUAGGCCAACAUAUAUUGUUUUCUACUUAUUUGAUCUUGCUGAAAACUCCAUGCUUGAAUGAUGAUGAAUUACUUUGUUGCUAAAUCCACAAUGCUGCAUGCUUACUAACUUUUUAAGUUUAUCCUUGGUUAGUUUACCUUUCCUUCUGGUUUACUUCAGACUCCUAGCAAAAUAUUUUUUUAAUUUAUUGUACAAUUUGUCCUAUACUAAUCCUAUUCGAACAUUGGCAUGUCAGAUGCUUUACAUCAUGUCUUGGGUCUACCUGUAUUUCAUUUUAAUUUGGUGGCUGUACAAGAAUUCAUUACUCCACUUACUCCACCUUAAAGCUGAAAUUGUAUGCAUAACUCCACCUUUUUCUUGUUUUUUAUUUAAAAGAGAUAUUGAGACGACUCAAAAACUUGAACUUGCAGUCACUCAUGUGAUAGAGGUGUUACUCAGCCAUUUAACUGAAGGAAUUUGACAUUCAGUCAUUGAUCAGUUAGCAGUUAUAUAUUUCUACUAUUGGUUAUGCUAAUCUUUUUCCUCUGUAUUUGUGUUAGUAUGACAAGUCAGGCAUUGGGUAUGGCCUAUGAUUCAAUUUAAUGUGCAUGUGAUAUGUUAGUGGUUUCUAUAUCUUUUGCAUGAAAUGCUUAGAACGUAGGACAAUGUAUCUUUUGCAGAAGUUAAGUUUAGCAAAAAAGAAAAAGGUAAUAUGAAGAGUCAAAUGCUUGAUAUUGAUAGUAGUCAACUGCAUGAAACUUCCAUAACGAGUCAUAGUAUGCACAUAACAUCCCUUUUAAUGCUAGCAUGGUCUUAAAUACUUUAUAUUCAAAAGUCACUUAUUUAUAUAAAUGAAUUUCCUUGCUGUUGAUAAAAUUCAAAUUUAAUGUGUGAUGUUAAUAAUUUACAAUUUUCAGUGUUGAUGUAGUUUACUCAGGAGAAUCUUGUGCUGAUGCAUGGAUUGAAAAGGAGGUAAGAGAUGACAGCAAGCUGAGAAUGUUGAAUUGUUCCUUUACUAUUAAUGUAGCAUCUUUAGUUUUAUAUAUAGAAGGAUUGGAUUUCAAUAUGCCUCAUUGUGUUUUUUUUCCCUUCACAUUAUGGAGAUAGUUUUACUUUGCCUUCUUGUUUGAUGAUAAGUUAUUUUAAACUAUAAAAUUAUGUUCUUGGCCAAAAAAAAAAGGCUAUAAAACCAUGUUUUUGUUUUGCUCAAGAAACUGCAAUAUAUAUCAUGAAGGGAUUGUACAAGUAUCACCAAAAGUGGUUGGACAUGCAGCAUAUCCUCUUAGGUGUUUCCUUAAACUAUAUAAAAGACCACCACAUCUUAAUAUUUGAAGCCUCCUUGGUUAAAAUGUGUUCAGGAGUAUUAUGUAUGUAUGCUUUGGAAUAUGUUGGGGAGUAUCUGAGAAGUCUCAUAUUAAAUAAAGAUGCUGCCCCUCUGAUAGACUUUCUGCAUUGAAUAGCUCAAUAUUAGGGGACAGUUUCAGUUUUGCGUUUAGCAGAGUCAGCCUAGUCAGCUUUGUAAGUUAUUUUCUACAGCAUAUGUUUUUCAAACUGUUUUGCUUGACACCUUCAGUAUACAUCUUUGUGUAUAAUCCGAAGUAAUAUAUCUUGUCGUUGUUAUUGAUUUCUAGCAUGGCAUCUCAUAUGUAUAACAGGUUGUAGCCCUGAAGGAGGAUGGAUGCCCCAAAGUUUGGGUUGUGACUUCUGAUCAUUGUCAGCAGCAAGCGGCAUAUGGAGCGGUAAGCAUUUGCCUUCUGAUCAGGAAAUUAUUCUAUUGUAGUGAUCAUGACAUUCUGCCAGGCUAUAAUCGUCUGAUGCUAAUUUCUACUAUUGUGCUCAUAUUGUCUUAGCGGAUAAAUUUUGAAUUCUGCUUAAUAGUUAGGAUGCCUUAUAAUGUUUUUGAGUAUAUAAUUUCAUUAACUAAGUUACGGCCACUUGACUUGUGACAGUAAACUCGACAAUUGAGUAGCACAGUAGGUAAAGGAAAUUGAAGUAUGACCAAACUGUAGCAAUUACAAUAACUUUGGAGAGAUUACAGGACCUUAUGGAGUCACUCAAGUAGUAUGGCACAUCAUACUAGUUCACAGCUAGGGUUCUUUAGAGUCACACCAAAAAAGAUGAAUCACAUUGACCAGUGAAUAUCAAAGGACAUCUUUUUUCACUAUCCUUCAAGUUAGAUAUUAUAACCCUAUGUGUACGAGCAUUCGUCCACCAUUCUUUUGGCCAGAUAUUAAAUUUUAUAUGUAGGAACUAUUAGGAGGAUGCUUACUUUGUGAUAAAUAAGGAGGUGCUCUUAAUAAUAGUUGGAGUUCAUCUCCUUUGGUAUCCUUUAUGAUGAAGUGAUGUAAAAAGAAUCCUUUAUCCUCAUUUAUCAUUUAGCAUGAAGUAUUAGAAAAAAAAAGGGUUCAUUAGUCAAUAAAGCACAUAGGUGGGAAAACCAAAAUACUUGCUCAAAGUAAGAAAAUUAUUGUUAUAAAAAUCAAAUGGCUGCCUGAUUGUCUUGAUCCUUGUUGGCUACAUCACGUACUAAAAUCAUGUCGUAUAUAUUUCACUUUUCCAUUCUUACUUGUAGGGAUAUUGAAAAUUUAUUUAAGCUAGUGUUUUAGAUGUAUAAGUUUUCACAGAAGAGUUUUAGAAAGUAUAUUUAUUGUUUUUUGAGGUCUAACAACAUUUUAACCGUUGAAGAAUUUAAAGCAAACAUAAAUGGUUAGUUGGAAGCAAGGAUCUUCCUAAAUCUAUCGUGGGAAACACUCUUUGGGUCUUAGGAGUAAUAGAGUAAGGGAUAGAAAUUGGGGUCUUAUGAGUAAUAGAGUAAGGGAUAGCAAUUGGGUUUUAAUUUGAGGUAGACAGAUAAUUUAAGGUUCAUCUGUUGAGGUUUCCUAUAGGUUUUGUGAUUAGUUUAGUUUUUCUUUUCUUUUUUUUUUGUUUUCCAAUAAUUGAAAAUAGAAAAUAUGUUUGGUAUGUGAUUUUGAAAAAUAGAAUAACGUUGUUGAAAAAUAAUUAAAUUCAAUAUAGAAAUAGUAUAUUAACAAUUAAAUAAUAAAUAAUCCCCGUGAUUAUAGAAUACUAUAAAUAUUGGUGUGAUAUUUUAUUAUGUUAUGUUAUCUAUGAAAAGUUUUGUUAUGUAUGUUUCCUUUAAACAAUACAUAACUAUUUGGUAACCGGAAAAUGAUUUGCUGGGGGAAAAUUUUUUGUCUAAAAUAUUUUACAAGAAGGCUUCAUUUGGUAACCAAAAAAUAACUUGUUGAGGAAAAAUUUUUUUAGUGUAAAAUAUUUUAUAGGAAAAUUUAAUGUUUUCCAUUGUUUGGAUAAACUAUCGAAAACAUUUAUCGUUUGGAUCAUCCUGUGGAAAAUAUUUUCUGCCAUCACUAGCGGAGUAAGCAGUGGUGUCAUUUGAUUCACUAAUUGGGAUCAAAAUAAAGAAUAGAUAUGAAAAUGGGUAAAAUUACUAAUAAUAUUUUCCAAAAUAUUUAACCACGUAUCUAUAACUAUAUAUAAAAGGAAGCCAAUCCCUUAUCUUUGCAUCAUGUGGAGUGAUAAUUUUGUACCGUGUAGAGCUACAGUUGAUUGACAUGUGGGUUGGUUGAGUUUGGAUGCUUCUAGUUGACAUGUGGAUUGCUUGAGUUUGGAGGCUUCUAGGCAUGGGUUUGGUCUUUUUGGACUUCCUCAUUAAAUGUGUGGGCUUGCAGUCUCCCACGUUUGUGUUUUUUAUUUUUGAAUUAUUCUAUUUCUCAGUAUGAUCUUCCUUUAUCAAUUCUUCUAUCCUUUCUAGGUUAAUGAAUUUCUCUGUCAAUUCCGUUAUCUAAUCCUCAAUCAUUAGGUUUCAAACAAUGAUUAGAUCCUUGCCUUUUACCUUAGUCUGAUUUUUUUAUAAUUUGUGAAAUCAUAUUUGUUGGGUAAUAGGCUUUGAGGUAUGUGUUAACCAUUGUUGUUGACCCAUAAGAUUGAAAUAGUGGAAGCUAGAUGGAUGCAUGACCUGUCAACUUGGUAGUAAAUCCUACUAAUUGCCUCACACGUCUUCUGCAUGCAUGUGGGUGUAGAUCAUUUUUGCUCCCUUAUUGUUAGUAGUACUAUAGAACCGCAAUGUUUUCCUUGAGUAAAUCAUCUUCCUUUGAUGAAAAAUAUUUUACAGCAAUUAAGUUGUUUGGAUCCGAUUAAUGGGUUUGGAUCCAGUUAAUGGGUGUUUAUAGAUGCCAGUUAAGCAUGCUCAGAUCUGAAUAUUUUAUUUAAUGAAAAUAAACUCUAAUUUUCAAAAAAUUUUCAUCAUAUCACUUUUUUACCAUAACACUAUAAAAAUAUAAAUAUUAAUCAAUUGUGUAAGGCAUCGAAAACCUAUACUUAUAAAUAUGUAUUCAUUAAAUGACGAUCAUUGAAAUAUUUUUUAUUAUAAUUAUUUGUAAGAUUUAAACCUAUACUUAUAAAUGUAUAUUCAUCAAAUGAAGAUCAUUGAAAUAUUUUUUAUUAUAAUUAUUAGUAAGAUUUAUUUAAUUUAUAAUAAAAAUUUUAUUGCAUUGAAUGAUUUUAUUAAAAAAAAUAUUUUUUUAUUUUAAUUGUGUUAAAUAAUUUAAAUAUUAAUACUUUAAGUUAAAAGAAAUUUUAAAAUGUUUUUAAUGUUUAAACUUAAAAUGUUUUCACUUAAAGAUUUCAUUUAUAAUAAAAUGUUCCUGUUGACUUGUAAAAUGUUUUACAUCUGGAAUUAAUUUUCUAUCUUCCAAACAAGUAUUAACUCCUGAAAAUGGUUUUCGGAAAAUAUUUUGCUUCAAAACAAACGGACCCUAAAUUGCAAAAUGACUAAGUAAUAAUAAUAAGUUAAACAUUAAAAUGUUUGUAUAUGUAAUAUAAUGUUUAAAUAUAACAAGAAAAACAAGAUUAGAUUUAUAGACAACAUUUUAAGAGAUAUAAUAAUAUCUUAUUGAAAAGUAUUUAAAAUUAUCUUAUAUAUUUUAAUUGCUAUGACCUAACAGCAUGACAUAUUGUUGGGAAUACUAUGUUGUAUAAUUAAUGUAAUAUUUAAUUUAUUAAUAUCUUUAUAACAUGUAGUUUAAUACUUUAAUUAUGAAAAUAUUAUAAUAUGAUAUUUUUUUAAAUAUAAUAAAAUGGCAUUCAUAAAAUAUAAGAGUCAUAUCUAUUAGUUUUUUAUAUUUUGAGUUUUUUUAUUAUGUUAUUGUAAUAUUAUGUUAUAUUGAAUACAUUAUUUCUUUAUAUAUCUACUUUUUCUAUGAUUUUAUAUUAAAAGUUAAAAUAUUGUUGUAAGCAUAUAUCUUAGACAUUAUAUGUUUAAUUUGAAUUGAUAUAAUUUAUUUGUAUAUUUAUGAUUUGAUUUAGUAUAAUUUUGAAUAUUACUAAAAUAUAAUUUGAAAAUAAUAUAAUAUUUUAAUUCAGAAAGAAUUUAUAUAAUGCUUAUUAUAUUAUACAAAAAUUGUAAAUAUUUUUCCAUUUUCACUAUACUUAUAUAUUAUAAUGUUUUUUUUGAAAGACUUAUAUAUUAUAAUUUUAUUAUAAAAUAUUCAAUAUAAUAUAUUUAUAGAUCAAAGUUUUAUUUGGUUAUAUAUGUCAUAUUUUAUAUUGUUUAGCUUUUGUACGCUUCUACCCUAAUUGUACUAAAAUGGUGCUUUUGCUUCAUGUUGCAUCACUUAUUUUAUAAAAAAAGAAACUGUUUAUGAAAAAAAACAGGAAUAAUGGUAAAUUGAAGAAUAUUACAAUUAUAAUAAAAAUUAAUAAAGGUAAUUAUUCUAAAAUAUUGACUUUUUGAAUAUUUUGAAGACAAUAAUGAAAAGAUUACUUUAAUCACGUGAAGGAAAUGGAAAGAAUAAAGUGUCAUUGGCAUUUUGGUCAUUUUAUAAAAUUCGUUAACGGUGUUAUGGUUUUGGGACGGAAUGUCCAUUUUCAAUACUAAUGGACCAAAAAUGAAUUAGGGUGAAACCUUAAGGGGGUUUUAUCCUACAAUUAAUUAUAAUUAGUGCUAUUUGUAAUAUCUCUCAUUAUUGUCUUCAUUAAAAUUAUUAAGUAUUUGAAUUUUAAUAACAAGCCCCAAGUUACAAAGCAUCAAUUGUUUUCUUUUACCUUGUAAAAUACAAAUUAAUUCAUCACAAUCAUAUAAAAUAUGGGAAAAGUUAAGAGUUGUAGGUGUUUAAAGCAAGAAAAUGAACACAAUUUUGGGAUAGGUAUCUAUGGAUAAAGGUGGACAAUCUAUUUGGAAAAAAGGGAGUACGUUUUAAAUUUUUUAUUAUCAUGUUAAUUGAUACAAAAUGUUUUUAGUAUUUAUUUAUCGAAUCUUUUUUUCUUAAAAAUUAUGUAAGUAUUAUUUAAUUAACUAUAUCAUAUCCUUCAUUAUUACUUAUUUCUCACUGCAAAAUCAAAAUGCCAAACCUAUUUGCAAUAAUGAUGAGUUAAUUAUGUUAGAAUUAUUUUUAUUGAUGAAGAAACAUAUUAUUUGAAAAAUACCAAGAUUAUAACUAUUACUAUAAAAUAUUAGAGUAACAGAAAAUAAAAAUAAAGUGAGUAGGAAGAAAAGGAAAAUUAGAUUAAGUUGUAAAAAUAAAUAAUCAAGCGUUUUUUUUAAUCUAAUUUAUUGUUUAACUUUUUUUUUUAAAAAAAAAACUCCUUUUAUUUCCUAUGUUUCCAUUUUCCUUUUUUUUUCUUCCCUGCUCUAUCUCUUUUUGCUUACCUAGCCUCCUUUCCAGAGUCAUUGUUGGCUGUUGAUAUGGUUGCCAAAGACCAGAUCCAACACGAUGGCAACUUGCCUUGUUCCCUUUCCCCCUCUCUUUCCUUCACUCCUCCCUCCUUUUCUCACUAUCAAGGCCCUCUUGCUUUGGCUUGACCUCUCAUUCACUUUGCUACCUAUCUUCGUGGCACUCUCCCUAUCCUUAGUGGUGAAUCCAGAAUUUUGUAUAAGGAAUGACUAACCAAGGUGGAGAAACACAGUGAUCUUUUAAUUUCAAAAGUGAGUGGUUAUUGCCACCAAGAUGUCUGCUUAUUCUUGAAUAGCACUGUAGUUGAUAAUUGGUAGAAGGAAAUUAGAGGAAAAGGGAAAUGGUUAAGCAAGGAACAUGGGAAAGAUGGGAAGGAAAUUAUUUAACUAACUUCAUAUUUAGCCACAAGGUCUAACUCUUUACAACGUCCCGUAAAUUGGACUUAACCAAAGAACCUUCCUUCUCGUUGUGAGGUUAAACUAAAUCCAAGAUCUAAUUCUGAUAAGACGUGCUAAGGAAUAGAUGUAAAUUAGUAAAUUAAUAGUUAAUAAAAAAUCAUCUACAUUUUGGAGCAUAGGAUUUCCUUGGGAAGGGAUUUCAAUGCAUCUCUAAUAAAAUUCUAAAUAUAGUGAUCGAAAGUGUAGUACAUUUGAAGUUCUGAAAAAAAGAAAUUCCCAGUCUUUACGCUUUGCCCUUGUAUAGAAAACCCUUGCUAAUGUGUUUACAUGCACUAAACAAUAGGAGAGAGUGAAGAUAAAUAGAAAAGUAAGAACAUUCUUAGUAUUAUAACAACAGAAGUUAUUCACAAGUGUAUUCUAUUUUAUGCAUAUGUUAUAGUACUUGUUAUUGUUUGCAGAAUAUCUGGCAAAGUAUUGAAAACAGAAUAGUAAGAGAGUGACAUUUGCAACUCUCAUCAGUGCAAUGAUAAACAUAAGUUGAAAUAUGGACUUUCAGUGUACCAAAAAGACGAUAUGAGACUUUCAACAUUUAAAAGAAACAUAUAAAAAUGCGAGUUUGUCAGGACCACAAAUCUUACACAUACAUAUAAUGUGCUUUUCUCCAUUUCUGUGGUCACCAAACUCUUUAAUUCUUUUCUUUCCACCACUUUGCUAUUUGAUUGAGAUUAUAACCUUCUUCCAUAUGCCUGACAUUUGUUAACUCUUUUUCCAACUCCUCUAACUUUUUAUUCCAUUUUUCAAUUGAUGCAAAUUUUUAUGGCCAAACUUCAUUACCUAUUUCCAUGUUAGUUGUUGAGCUUUGUUUUACACAAAUUUUAUUGCAACUUGCAAGUUUCUUCCUUUAAUUUUUAUUUUCCACAAAAGAAAGUUUUCACUUUAAUCAAUUUUGCUAUUCGAUUGAGAUUAUAACCUUCUUUCAUAUGCCUGACAUUUGUUAACUCUUUUUCCAACUCCUCUAACUUUCUAUACCAUUUUUCAAUUGAUGCAAAUUUUUAUAGCCAAACUUCAUUACUUAUUUCCAUGUUAGUUAUUGAGCUUAGUUUUACACAAAUUUUAUUGCAACUUGCAAGUUUCUUCUUUUAAUUUUUAUUUUCCACGAAAGAAAGUUUUCACUUUAAUCAAUUUCGGUAUCCCAGUUUUUUCAUGAUGGUAGAUGCUACUUAUAAGUAGAAAAUUCCUAGAACUAUGACUUUUUGUAGUUAGAAAAGUGCCACUUAACUAUUAGCUAUUUAGAAAUAUCUUGCUAUUCUGCCUCUUUUAGCAAUUAAAAGGCUGCCACUUAACUAUUUGCUUUUUUCAAUUUGCUUUGUGGUGACCCAACAUGUGAUUAUCAUAAGCCAUAAGUUUCACUUUCUAUCUUAAACAAUUGAAAAAUAGUGAUAGUUACCUUCUCUUAUAUUUGGCAAUGGUUUGAUUAUGGUCUGUUAAAUUAUUCUUUGUGCGUUGGACUUAUUUAUAUAGAUGGUUAUAUUCAGGGAGCCUUUAUUUGGAGCUCCAAGGCAUUGGUUUCUGAGGUGAGGCAUAUUAAUUGAAUCACAUGCUGCAUUAUGUAUUCCACACAAAAUGGAUAUCUGUAUUAAACUUAUUUAUCAGCUGUGGCUCUUAGAAAACCUAAUUUAUCUUAUCAUGAGCAUUAUUCAUGUACUUGUUAACUAGUUACUUUGUCCUUGUUUCUUCCUUGUGAAAUAGGUUAGCAAUACUAAACCAAAACUAUCAUCCAUGAUGGACGGGGAAUAGUUGCUCAUUAAUUUGUUAAUUUUAUGAUACCAUCUUGGAGUGCUUCUAAUUUAUAACAAAUAAAUAGGAAGAAAGUGAAAAUAAGAGUUUUCUUGGGAAACUCCUUUUACUUUAAGGAAUUUCAAAGAAUUUAAAUUACAAAAUUUAACUAAAGAGUUUAGUCUUUACAUAGAGCUAAUACCCUCAAAAAAUAAUAAAAUUAAUUGAUAAUAUCAACUAGUUGAAAAUAUCUCAUCCUUAUUGAUAAAUCAUGAAGAAACAAUAAAUAAAUUUUAGUUACCCUACAUAAAUCCUAAUCACAUGAAGAUAAUAAAUAUCUAACUAAUAACAAGAUAUAAACACAAAAAUUUUUACCUCUUAGAAUGGUUGUGUCCUCAAUGUUGGAAAUCAUGGAAUCAUCUCUUGAAGUCUUCCUUGGCGCUUUGAACCUCAUCCAUGUAAUGGACCAUGUCCAUGUGGCACCUAGAAACUUUUCUCUUGUUCUCUAUCACCUUGAAGGUUUUAUUGAUGAAGCAUAAUCGUAAGCCCUCCACAUGUUUUCAUGCAGUACUUUUUGAACAUAUAUAUGCCUAUAAGAUGACACACACAAGACCACUCUUUUUCUUUGUAGGAAUUUUGUAGUCUAGCAAUUGAACUUGUGGCAAGCUGGGUAACUUUGCCAUUUCCUUGAAGUUUUCAACUAAUUCUAAUUGAGGAUGGCCUUCUUCUACUGCUUGACUCAACAAAGACUCUUUCAUAAUCUUUACCAGUCCUAAAAGAUUCACUAGAAUGAUAUGCAUGCUUAGAACUGGAUGGACAUCUACAAAUUUUCCAUCAAAAUCAACUUCACCACCCUUUGACUUUGGAGGAUCUUAGGGUUCUUUAAUUAUACUUUAACAGCUUGUCUAAGGACUCAACCAUUCCCUAAGUUUGUUCCUGGAGUGGGAGGAAUACCUUUACCAUAUCUUAGAGCUGUACACACAUUUCAGUCAAUUUUAUGGGUUCAACCUCCUCCCCCACCUUACAUUUAUCCAAUCUCUUUACUAUUUGUUUAUCUUUUGAUUUAUAAUAGAUAUUGCAUGUUCCAUAGAGUCCAUUUUACCUUCUAAGACUUCAUUUUUGCAGUUUAGCCAUCUAUUCUUCUUUAGGUAAAAUUGAGGCUAGAACAUUUUGGGGAAGAAGAUUUUAAAUCAAAGGCAUCAGAAAUUUGAGUUGUAACACCUCAUACCUUGGUAUAAUAGCCCAUAUGACCUUAUUGAUCAGAGGAAGGUCAAUUGAAGCUAAUUCAAGUGCUAACCAGUGGUGAACAGUAAAAAGAAUAUUUUAGAAUAAAAUAUUUUGUACGUGAGAAAAUAAUAUUAAAAUAAUAAAAUAAUAAUAUUUUAGUGAGUAUGAGUUAGUGGAGUUAAAAGGUGAUUUGGAAGUGAAGUGGGGCAAAGUAAGACACUUUGGAACCUGAGAAGACAAGUGAAAAAUUUCAGAAUAAAAUAAUAUUAAAAUAAUUUUGAUGCAGGAAUCUCACAGGUUAAGUCUGAAUGGGAGAGACAAAAAAAAAAAAUAAUUGGAUAAUGAGUAGAAUGAUAUUUUAUUCUUUAUAUUAUAUUAUAUUAUAUUAUAUUAUUUAAAUAGUAAAUUUUUUGGCGACAUGAAAAUGUGAAUGAAGUGAAAUUAAUUAACCAAGUAAAUGAGGUUGUGUGGGAGAAUGGAAAAAUGCAUGUGAGUUUACUAUUACAUGCAAAAGUGUAACUUAAGUGGGGAACGUGGGACUCUCACUAUGUGAAAAUCAAAUGGGAAUAAGACAAAAGGAAUAAAGAUAAAAGAUAAGAUGAGACAAAAAAAGAAGAAAUAUAAUGCAUGCAUGACAAGUGUGUAAGGUGGUAUAUGCAUGUGAAUUAUUUAGUGAAAGGAAUAAUGGGAAAAUCGUCCAUGCAUGACACAUGGCGGCAAAGGUAAAGAAAAGAAAGAAAACAAUGGUUGCAUGUAAAGACAUUGGCCAAAAGGGUGGUCAAAUAAAAUACAAAUGUGGAAGAACUUUCAUGAAAAUCUAUUGGAUGCAAAGAAGGUAAAAUCAAAUGGAAAAUAAAUUGAAGAAUGAAAGAACAUUGACCAACUUGGGUGUCCGGUUGGAUAAGAAUAACAAAGGAGGGUUUUUAGCCAAUGAUGUGGAUGGAAAUUUGGUGCAUGAAAUGUAAGUGGUCUUAGAGGUGGUCAAUGAAAUAAAAAGAAUAAGAGUGCAUGUGUUUUGAUUAGUCUAAGAGGGAGGCCAAAUAAAAAAACAAGUAGAAUAAUUAAUAAAAAGGAAAAAAGAAAAGAGAAUGGGGCUUGGAGGACUUAGGCAAAUCCGCCCAUUGAGAAAUAAGAAGUAGGAGAAUUUAGUUCUUGUAAGCUCCACCCAAAAGAGGAAAAAAAUAGAGAGGAAAGAAGAAAAAUCAAGAGGGAGCUCGGUUUUGUAGAAAACUAAAGAAAACCAUGAGGUUUCUUCCCUCCUCCUUGUUGGGUUUUUGACAUUUGAUCAUCAAAGAAAUCUUCAUUGUUAAAGAUAGAACAGUGGAGUUUUAAAGGAGAUGUAGAACUUGGUUUCAAGAUUCAAGAGAAACAAGGUAAGGAUGUGGUUUUAGUUUGAAUAUUUUUUAAAAAUGGGUUGGUAACAAUGGGAAAUGUUUUGUGGCAGCAAAGAUUACCAUGAUUUGAAGGAAUAUAGUUGCAUGCAUGCAACCAAGCCAUUGUUGAGUGAUGUAUUUGAAGUGUGAAAGAAAAAGGGUAAGUGUGAUCUUGAAUUUUAAAUCCUAUGAGUUGCUAGAAAACUUUGGGAAUUUAUUUAUGAGUUAUUGUGGCAGCUUGGGUGUUAAAGCUUUGAAAGUAUAUUGAAGUUGCAUGAGGGAUUUAAGCCAUCACCAAGGUAAGAACAUGCAACUCAACAUUACAAUGAUGUCUUGGAGAUAGCUUGUUGAAAGCUUUGAAAGUUAUUGUGAAUAAAUAUUAUUUUGAAAGAUUUAAGAGAUUAAGAAUGUGAAUGAGAAAGUUUAGCAUCUAAAUUGAUAUUGGUGCAUGUGAAUGGCAGUUGAUAUUGUGCUUAGUGGCAGCAUGCUCAAUGUGAAUAAUGGUGCAUAUAAGCUUAGAAUUAAUUGGUGAAAUGGGAUUUUUAGUUGCUGCCAUGUAUAUGAUCAAUAGUAUAGAAACAAUAGUUUGAACAUGAUGCAAAGAUUGACAUGGGCAUUUCAUGUUGGCCAUGCACCAAAUUUCUAUCCACAUCAUAGGUUAAAAACCCUCAUUUAUUAUCCUUAUUCAAUCGGCCUCCCAUGUUGGCUAAUGUUUUUCCAUUCUUCAAUUUAUUUUCCAUUUGAUUUUGCCUUUUUUGUACCUAAUAGAUUUUCAUGCGAGUUCUUCUACCUUUGUAUUUUAUUUGGCCACCUUUUUGGCCAAUGUCUUUACAUGCAACCACUUUCUCUUUUUUUUCUUUUUCACCUUUGCCGCCAUGUGUCAUAUAAAGAAGAUUUUCUCAUUCUUCUUUUUACUAAAUAAUUCACAUGCAUAUACCAGCUUAUACACUUGUCUUGCAUGCAUUAUGUUUCUUCCUCUUUUGUCUCAUCUUGUUUUUUGUUUUUAUUCCUUUUGUUUUAUUCUCAUUUGUUUUUCACAUGGUGGGAGUCCCACAUGUCCCCAACUUAAGUCACACUUUUGGAUGCAAUCAUUUGCAUGUAAUAAUAACCUCAGAUGCAAUUUUUCAUUCUCUCAUACAACCUCAUUGACUUGGUUAAUUAAUUUCACUUCAUUUGCAUUUACAUGUUACAAAAUUUUUCACUAUUUAAAUAAUAUAUAUAAUAUAAUAUAAUGAAUAAAAUAUUAUUUUAAUCAUUAUAUCCAAUAAUUUUAUUUUUUUCUCUCCCACUUAGACUUAACCUAUAUCUCACAUGAUGCAACCCAUUCUUGCAUCAAAAUUAUUUUAAUAUUAUUUUCUUAAUAAAAUAUUAUUUUAUUUUGAAAUUUUUCACUUUUCUUCUUAGGUUUCAAAGUGUCUUGCUUUGUCCUGGUUACUUUCAAAUCAUCUUCUCACUCCGCUAACUCAUCCUCAAUAAAACAUUAUUAUUUUAAUAUUAUUUUCUCACAUAUCAAAAUAUUCCUAUCACCCUUCACCACUCUUUAGCAUUUCAAUUAGCUUCAAUUGACCUUCGUCUUAUUGACAAGGUCAUAUGGGCUACUAUACCAAGGUAUGGGGUGUUACAUGAGUAGUUUCAAGAUGCUAAGGGGAAAAAAUUGCAACAAAUAAUAUGAAAUUUAAACUACAAUGAUGCAUGUAUGCAAGACUAACAAAUUCAAUGCUCAUGACAUGUCAUCUUAUGAUCAGAGGGGUUUGGUGCCAGCAUAUAAAGAUAACAACUAUUUUUUUUAUGUUUUGAAAAAGAAAUUAGGACAGCCAAAUUUAUUUGGAAAAAGCUAAUUUACUAGCUUCGCAAAUCAAAUAUAUAAUAGUCAAUCUAAUGGAGAAUUUACCAAAAGUAAAGUACUUGAGAACCUCUACUCAUUUGCUUUCGAAAUUAAGAGAGAGCCUUUCAAAUUGGACUUCAAAUUUGGAAUCUGAAGGUCGAAAUUAGCAAAGGAGGUUCCAAAAAUUGUUGAUGUGUCGUUGCAUGGUGCACACGUGGAUGCUGACAUGACAUUGGUUGGUGAAAUAGCAUUUGGUGGUGCAGUCUAGUGUGCGAAACGUGUUGAGUCCCUGACCCUUAGUGGCCACAACCUAACCCAGCAUGUGCAAUGGCUUUUGUGUAUGAAACUUCACCUGCAAGACAAUUUGUGGCUGGUGACAAAGGUGGUUGUGCCUCUAUUCAGCGGCCAGAUAGCAAUAUAUCUAGCUUCAAAGUUUCGGUUGUUAUUCCUUAAUUCUUUUCUGAUGCAUGGUGAGGCUAACAGUGAUCUCACUUAAUGGGAUUAUCAAUGAGAGACUGGCGAAGCUAGUGGCAACAAAUAUUGGUGAUUGGAUGGCCAAUGGGGGCAAACUAGUUUUCUUGUUGUUUGGGCACUUUUGUAUUUUUGAACUUCUUUUUUUUUUCCCCAUAAACAAGCCUAGAUGGAUUUUUUUUUUAAUUUAUUGAUCUAGAGGGUAGACGAAUAGUAAAAGCCAUUUUAGAGCUCUAAUACCAAAUUGAUGUAAAACGAGGGAAAGAGAUAGAAAAUAAAAAUUUAGAAGAAAAUUAGAACCAGACAAAAGCACUUAAGAAGGAACAGAGGAAAUCAGGGGAGAAAGAGAAGAAUUUAUCUGAUUAAAAAGGGUUAAAAAGGGUUACUAUUGAUAAGUGCAGCUUGAUGUUAAUAUGAUUGCCUGUACAAUUUAUCUGAUUUCAUUCAAUUAAGAGAUAAGCAUCCAUGUUAUGACACAUUGUUAUCCUUGAUGUAGCCCUUUUUUAUCGAAGUAUUGUUUGUAGAUGACAUGGAUGAUAUGACAGAUUCUUAUCCUUGUUUAACCUCUUUUUCCUGAAGUAUUGUUUGCAAACUGUCAUUUUUAUUAAUUGUUCCUCUAUAAUUAUGUGUAGAUUAAUGCUUCACAGAAGGAGUUUGAGAGGAUGCUUCAAGAACAAAGGUGUUCUCUAAUUGGAAUGAAAGCUUAUAAAACCCUACACCUAAGAAAUAAAAAAAAUUGCAUGCCAUUUCUUCAGUUUAUGUACUGCAUUUUGAAAUUACCUUACAACUAAUUAUGUUUUGCAAUAAAUUUCUUCUUAUUCACUAAUAGGGGAUCUCAAAACGUGGUCAUAAUUAAAUAGUAUUGAGUGACAUAUUCUAGGUUCUAAAUGGCACAUUAGGCAAAUAUAAUAUCAUGUUGAAGGAUGAGCCCAAGUCUGAAAUCAUAAUUCUUGUGGCCUUAUCUCCUUCACAUACGCCUGUAACAAUAAACUAAUGGCAUAUUGGUCAUUUCUGGGAGAUCUAUAACCCGUUUUGUCUGCAUAGUACUAUGUAGAGGGUCUACUAGGGAUCUCAUGGGACAUGACCUAAGGGAACCUUCUACCUAUAAAUAUGACGACAUAAGUACUCCAAGGUAAAUUUUCCCAUGCACACUUUGAAAUACUGUGCCCUGUUUCACACUUCAUCAAACCCACCAACUUUGGCAUUGCAAGUGUUGAGAAGAUGCAUAAAGAUUUGAAAUAAUUUUGAGGGAUCCAUUGUGCUGUCAUUCCUUUCCCUUUGGAAGUUUGGAAGUGGGUGGGCUCUAUGAACUAGCUCCUUAAGUAGAGUAGAGAUGUCCAUUGUUGGUCAAUCAGUCAUUUUUUUCGAGUGUACUGUACUUUCUUAGUUAAGCAGAGCUCUUUGAAAGUUGAGGCUUGUAUGUGCGUUGAUUGGCUCAUGAGGGUUAGGUGACUCGAGAUUUGGUGGAUAUGCUCAAUGUGUUACUAUUAGAUUAGCAUGGCAAGUGCUUGGAUCUAGCUUGGUAAGUGGUUGUAUUCAUCUAUUAUGAUAAAGGGGGAUUGGAUGGAAUUUGAUAUAGUACUAGGUAAUGGUCAGUGGCAGUGUAAAAGGUACAUGGAAAGUGAAAAAAACUUGCUUGGGUGAAUUGCGGUCAAGGUUGUUUGUGUGGUGGUGAUUUGGGAGAGGGAAUAGUUUAUUGUAGGUGAAGUUAACAUGGUGCAGGUGUCUAAGGUGUUGAGGAGAGGUACCAACAACGGUGGUAGUAAUGGGAGAGAGGAGACCUGAAAUUGAAGUUGAUGGGAUAGAAAGUUCCUAGUUGAAGGGAUAAGUGAAGAUUGAGGAGUAUGCUCUAGACCUUGGGGUGAUCCUAGCAAAGAAUGAUGGUAUAGAUAAUGGUGUGAUGGAGGAAAGUAGUAGAUCAAUUGCUAAGGAAGUAGGUAUGGGUAGAUGACAUGCCCCUUUCAAUCAGCCCAGAGGUGGUGUGCUGAGGAGGCCAUGCUCAGGAUGGACAGCAUGCUGAUGCUCGGGGAGUUGGCUAGGAGAACCCAGCAGAACCCAUUGACUAGGCGCCAGGAAAAGUCUUGGGUAGGCCAGGUGAGACAGCCUGCAAGCCAGAUAGGCUAGUCUGCAUGCCCUAGUGAAUUGCUAGCCCACCCAAACUGUUCAAACGGCCUGAAUAUUGUUCCAACAGGUAGGAACAGUAUACCAACAGGUUGAAAGGCUUGGAAACACAGCAGAGGCACCUCUAAAGAGCUGUUGGAGUAUGGGGACAACAUGGGGUUCAAAUUUUCCCCCUCAAGGGCAAGGGGCUAUUGAAAAGGGGAGCCCUCUAUAUAAAGGACAUCCUAGCCCUUUGUAAAUGGGUUAGGCUACUGAGAGAGAGCUUAAGGCUUUGUAAAUUUAUAGAGACAUUGUAUUAGGAAGCUAGCAAUUGUGAAUACACACUUCCUUUGCCAUCCUUUAUUGUGCUUUACUUUUCUGCACUUUACUUUCCUUUGUUGAGUGAGCCUUUCUUGAGCGUGAUCCAUUCCCUUCAAUGGAAAGGCCAUUUAGGCUAAUUUGGGUAGUGGUGAGGGUCAAGGGUUGUCCAAGGCUGCACGAGUGUUCUUAAGCAGACACCCCUUAACACCUGGUUUCAGAGUGGUGAGAGGAGAGAGCUCAGUGAUCGGAAGAGAAUGACGGCGUCAUCAUCACAACCAGAUCCUACCCUGGAGGUAUUAGAGGCUCGUGGGGCAGGUAGAGGUUGAGGGAAAAAUGUUACUUUGAGGGAGAUGAUGUCCUCUAUGGAUGCACAACUAGCCAAGGUCGAGUUGGUUGUGGGUGAAAUGAAGAAGUUCAAGGACUGAGGGAUGCAUCGAAGGGCUAGACUCCAUGAGGAAGGAGCUCUGAGGAGAGAUGCAAGGUGCCUUGAAUGAGGUGGUGGAUGGGAUGGCACAGGUCAUGGUAGUAGCCUUGAUGGAAGAGCUCAGACAGCUCAAGAGUGAGCUUGCUGCGUGUCGAGCAGCCAUCACCACCAGUUUGUUGUUGGGAUCUUGGGGGGAAAUUGCUCUGCCACGGAUAUGGAUAAUUUCGUGUGGGCCAUUGAGCAGUACUUCCAAGGGAUCGGCAUAAUAGAGGAUGCUAAGGUAAACACCGUUGUUUUUUAUUUGACUGGUAUUGCUCUUUUGUGGGACGUCGAAUGUGUGAUAGAGUGAGGCACAGAGAUUGCGUAAUCACCACAUGGGACGAAUUUGUGAGGGAACUAAGGCAGCAGUUCAAGCCCGAUCAUGCGAAGGAUGAGGCUCGAGGCAAGCUUCUCUGACUCAUGCAAAGAGGUAGAGUGAGGCAGUAUUGCAAGGAGUUCUCGGAGUUGAUGCUGAUGAUACUGGAUUUCAGUGAGAAGGAAGCAUUCUUUUCCUUGGAUGGGCUGAGACCAUGGGCAAAGAUCGAGUUGCAGCGUUGAGCAGUGUAGAAUUUGAGUCAGGCAAUGGCAGCAGCGGAAUCAUUGAUUGAGUUUGAGUGCGUUAAACCUCUUGAAUCGUGGAGUGAAUGUGAUGAGAGAGGACAGCAGCUCCUCAUCUGACAAAGAAGAGGCUGGAGAGAAGCCGAGACACCACAAGGCCAAGAUUGACGGGGCUGCCUGUGGAAGGGGCAAUGUGAAAAGGCCCAUGACUUGCCACUGGUGUAUAGGUCCACACUAAGUGAGGGACUGCCUAGUGAGAAAGAAGUUCUCAGCCAUAGAAAGGACUGAGUCAAAAAAUGAGAGUAGUGGCCAAUAGCAUGAGGAGCCCAAGAGAGUGUUGGGGCUGGGUGCCAUCAGAGAAAGGAUCCAUCGAGCAAUAGAGGAUGGGCAUGAUGAGGUGGUCGAGAAGUGUCAUAUUUCGAGACCUGGAGUACAGCCUGAUCAUUCUUGAGAGAGUGUGCCCAAAGAGAUGCACAAGGGAAGGUGGAGCCAGAGGCUCAGAAGGUUAAGGGGAUUGAUGCUGGAUGAGAGUGCCAAGAAUUCUCUCAUCAUUAGAUAGUGGUGGCAAGGUGCCAUAGCCGAAGAGUGGGUCAGAUGCAAGUGGCAGUAGAGUGCCACAAGCCCAGGCCAGAAGUGCAACUAGACAGCUCUAGAGGGUGCGCGUGGAGAUAGUUUCAAGACAGCAUUGCGUGAAGUGAGUGCGCACAAUUGGGAAGUCUGAGGAAAAGACAUACGAGACGUGCGAGGUGUGAAGCAAGGCAUGGCAAUACCCUAGCAAUGCGGGCAUUGCUCGAAUGAAUGGGUGUGUGCCACGCCCCUAUUGAUCAGCCCAAAGGUGGUGCGCUGAGGAGGCCAUCAAGCACGGCACAAGAGGAUGGGCAGCAUGCUGAUGCUCGAGGAGUUGGCCAGAAGAACCCAGCAGAACCCGCUGACCAGCUGUCAAGAAUAGUCCUGGGCAAGCCAAGUGGGCCAACUUGAGCACGGCCUGCAUGCCAGACAGGCCAGCCUGUGCGCCCUAAUGAGUAACCAACAUGCAAAUAGCACGCCCACAACUAUCCAACAGGCAAGAACAGUACUCCAACUGUUUGUAGGCUUGGAAAUUGCAUCAAAGGCUCCUCCAAAGAGCUGUUGGAGUAUACGGAUCACUUGGUGUUCAAAAUUUCCCCCCUUGAGGCGAAGGAGUUGUAAAAGGGAGCCCUCUAUAUAAUGGGCAUCCCACACUCUUGUAAAUAGGUUAGUGAGAGAAAGCUUGAGGUUUUAUAAAUUUGUAGAGGCAUUGUAUCAGGAAGCCAGUAAUUGUGAAAACACACUUCCUUUGCCAUCCGUUAUCGUGCUUUACUUUUCCGCACUUUCCUUUUGUUGAGUGAACCCAACCUCUCUUGAGCACGAUCCAUUCCCUUGAGUGGAAGGGCCAUCUAUGCUAACUUGGGUAAGUGGUGAAGGUUAAGGGCUGUCCAAGACCGCAUGAGAGUGUUCUCAAGCAAACACCCUGUGACACAGGUAUGGCUCUUUCCCGCAGACUAUUUGAAGUGAUGAUGUUGGUUCAACAAGGGGGCUUGUGGGCCGACCACUUUGAUGCUUGAUCAUUAAGUGUGAACCUGGAACUGGUAGGUCAUGUUUGUAGGUAUUAGAAAAAUGCUUGAGGUUAUGGCUUGUGAGAUCUGCUGGUGAGCCCACUUCAUCAUGUUGUGCAGAUUGAGGUGGUUAUUGGUCUAUUGGCAAUGACCAUAAUGUGCUUAGUUUGUUGGCUAUGUGCGGAAGUGUAGGAGAUAAGGUCACAUGUAUUUACAAUUUGGGCCUUGGGACCAUAUCGCAGCUAUCAUAAAGGAAGCAACCAUACUAGAUUAUUGGAGUGUUGCAGAACUUGGCAACUUAAGCUAGACUUUUUCCGUGGACUUAACUCUUAGUCUAUUUAAUUCCACAUAUCACAUCUCAUUUGAGAAUAGUUGAUACCUUCAACUGAGGGAAAGUUUCAAGGUUGUUUAACUGUUAGGAAAAGAAUGCCAGCCAGCUUCACUAACAUCUAAAUUAUGCUAGGUUUUUUUUUUUUUUUUGAAAUUUCAUGGUAUAUUGAAAACAGAGGUAAGUAAAAACUUUACCCCUGGAAAGCAACAAAGUGAUUCAUGUCUGUUACUGUCCAAAGUUAAGAAUAACAGCCUAAAUUAUGCUAGUUGAACGUACCAAAGUUAGAGCAAUAAUUGGCUCAAGAUCCAACUUAAAGUGUGGAUGUUGGGUGAUUGUUUGAUGAAGUGUGCUGUGCAGCUUUGAUACAAAAUGUUUUUGAUUCAUCUUCUUCCUUUUUCAGAUCUAGUUCAUUUCAAGGUAAAUUGUUAAAGCACAAUCUCAAUUCUGAAGUUGUUGAUGCUCUUAAGGAUCUAAGAAGACAGCUUUCUGAAAAUGAGUCCAAAUAACUAUUCUGGUUUGGUGUGAUGUUAUUGGUUCGAGCCGGAUACUGCAAAAUCAAAAAGGUAAUCUUAGUAGAUAUCUAGGUAGGUGCUAAAUUCAUAUUCAAUAUAGUUGUCUCUUUUUAAGAUUAUUGUUGUAUCUUUUUCACUUUUUUAUUGCUAUUGCUACUCAUAUCCCGCCUGGAUAGACUUUGCAGCUACAAUUCCUAGUUCUUUUUGUUUUCCAUAAAUGUUUUGAAGCCAUGAGCAAGUUAUUCCUUUUGUUUUUGGUAAUUUAUCGUCAGCUUAUGAACCUUGUCUAUUUACUACUAAGAACAUAGAUGUUACUUUUCUAUUAUAACGCUUUCUUUUUUCUUCUUUUUCUUUAUCAUUGAACUUCAUGAUUAUUGUCCUAUUAACUAUCCUAUUAUAAAUUCUAGCAGGUUUCUAGUGCAGGGGAUGUUCUUCUAUAAACAAAUGCUUCUGGUGACUUAUGAGUGGAAAGCAAGGAGUUAAAUGCAACCGCAGUCCCUAAACUUAUUGUGAGGUCAUUUUGAUUUCCUGAACUUCAAAUUGUACCAAUUUCCUCCUUAACCUUAUUAGAUGGUUUUAUUUUACUUUUUUUGUCAAUUUGCUCCAUUGAAACUAAUGAAAUUGACAUGUAAGCAUUCACGUGACACAUUGUUGCAUAUUUCAAAAUUUUCUAUAAAAGAAAAAUUAAAGAAAAAAAAUGCCACGUGGAUGCUGGCAUGUCAUGCUAUCACGUAAAUUUUGUUAAUUUUAAUGGAGCAAAUGGACGGAGUGGAUUAAAAUAGAUUCAUAUAUUAUAGGGUUGAGGAUCAGACAGAAACAAUUUGAAGUUCUGGGACCAAAAAGAUACCUUAUAAAAAAAACUUGGAGGCUAGGUAAGCAUAUUAGCUUUUGUUGACUUGCUUGUUAGCAUAAUUAUAUUUCGAUGACGCAUUGCCGGUUAGAAAAUUAAAUAAAUUGAAAGUACAUAUCUUUGCAAAAAUGUAGUAUCUUGGUAGGAUAUAAUAUUGGUGCCACUUAAAGGUAUUUCCAAUCUCUUUUUGUUUUUGUAUCAUAGUAAUAAAUUAUUAGAAUUGAAAUUGUAGGAAGAACCAUGCAUUGAAUUGUCAAAAACUUCUGAUGUAAAUAUCAAUUUUCGAAUGGUCUAUUUGCUUUUGCUGAAAAAUCUAUUGAUUGGGUUAGAAAUUAAUAUGCAACUUUUUUUUUAAUACCGAUUUUCAUCUCACUCAUGACCCAAAUCUAAUAAUUCAAACUAUUUAUUUUUAUUGUCCAUUCUCCAUUUAAAUUCUUUUCAUUUUCUAAAGUUGUUUUCCAAUUUUUAUUUUAGAAAAUAGUUAUAGUUGUGCAAGAAAAGAGAAUGUUUGUAUGAAGCAAGUUUUUGUUUAUGGAGGAAGGGGUAAUGAUUAAUUUUUUAGAGUAAAUUUUACCCACAUUCUUUAUAAUUUUAACUUUUUUCGCAUAACAUCUUCUAAUUUGUUAUUUUUUUUUUCAAUUAGUACCUUGUUGAGUUGUAACAAGAGAUUUACUUGUUAGUUUCACUCAAUAAAAUUAUCAAAAUAUACUCAAUUCAAUAAUUAUCUUAUUAAGGGAUAUAAUUAAUUGCCUUAGUUCUCAUGAGAACAAAGUCUAAACCACAUGGGCAAAUUUUGCAGUAAGGUUGUCAUUUUUGACCUUAUUGUAAAGUCAUCAUUUUUGACCUUACUGUAAGGUCAAUUAAUAAAGACCAUAUGAUCUAUGAGAUUAAAUUACAGUCAUUGAUUUAAAACUCAUAAAGAAACUGGUAAACCAAUUCAACUGGUAAACAAAAAAUCUUCCUUUUGAUGGACUCUUUUUAUGCCUUAUUAAAAGAAAUUAUUUAUUUUUAUUUUUUUAUUUAAUGGUUGAAAUUUCAUAUUAUAAGUAAGAUUAUCACUAUAAUAAAUCAAAAAGUCAAAAUUAAAAAUGUAUAAUAAAAAAAAACACAUGUAAUUUAAAAUUGUCAUUAAAAAACCUAGACAGUUUUUAAAAGUUAUGAUUAAAAAUCUUCAACGUAAAGCAAUAAGAAUUGACAUAAAAACUCAUAUAGGUAGAGUAAUUAAAUUUAAAAUCUUAACGUAAAUGUAUAAAAGUUAACGUAACAACUCAAUUAAAGAAAAAAAUUUAAUUUUAAUGAAAAAUAAAUAUUUAAAUUUAUACUCUCGAAUUAAAAUUGUUUAAUGAUAUAUAAAUUUUAAUUUUUAAAUAAAUAAUAAAAAAAAUAAUUAUAGUUCAAAAUUGACAUAGAUAAGUCUUGACGUAAAACUGUAAUAAUUUACGUAAAAACUUAUAAAGGUGAAAUAAUUAAAUUUUAAAUCUUAACUUAAAUAUGUGAAAGUUAACAUAACAAGUCAAUUAAGUAAAAAAAAUCUAAUUUUAGUGAAAAAUAAACAUUUAUAUUUAUAUUCUCAGAUUAAAAGUGUUUAACAAUAUACAAAUUUUAAUUUUUAAAUAAACAAUAAUAAAGAUAAAAAUCAUUAUAAUUCAAAAUUGAUAUAAAAAAGCUUUGACGUUAAAUUGUGAGAAUUGACGUAAAAACAUAUAAAUGUGAAAUAAUUAAAUUUUUAAUCUCAACGUAAACGUGUGAAAGUUAACGUAAUAAAUCAAUUAAGUAAAAAAAAUCUAAUUUUAGUGAAAAAUAAAUAUUUAAAUUUAUAUUUUCGGAUUAAAAGUGUUUAACGAUAUAUAAAUUUUAAUUUUUAAGUUUUGAUGUAAAACUGUAACAAUUGACGUAAAAACUUAUAAAGAUGAAAUAACUAAAUUUUAAAUUUUAACGUAAAUGUGUGAGAGCUAACGUAACAAGUCAAUUAAGUAAAAAAAAUUAAUUUUAGUGAAAAAAAAUUUAAAUUUAUAUUUUUAGGCUAAAAAUGGUUAAUGAUAUAUAAAUUAUAAUUUUAAAAUAAAAAAUAAUAAUGAAAAAAAUUAUAAUUCAAAAUUAACAUAAAUAAGCCUUGACGUAAAACUGCAAGAAUUAACGUAAAAGCUUAUAAAGGUAGAUUAACUAAAUUUUAAAUCUUAACGUAAAUAUUUGAAAGUUAACAUAAUAAGUUAAUUAAGUAAAAAAAAUUAAUUUUAAUAAAAAAUAAGCAUUUAUAUUUAUAUUAUCGGACUAAAAGUAUGUAAUGAUAUUCAAGGUUUUACUUUUAAAUAAAGAAUAAUAAGGAUAAAAAUAAUUAUAGUUCAAAAUUGACAUAAAAAAGUCUUGACGUAAAACUGUAACAAUUGACGUAAAAAAUUAUAAAAGUGAAAUAAUUAAAUUUUAAAUCUUAACGUAAAUGUGUGAGAGUUAACAUAAUAAGUUAAUUAAAUAAAAAGGUCUAAUUUUAAUGAAAAAUAAGUAUUUAUAUUUAUAUUAUCGGGUUAAAAGUCUGUAACGAUAUACAAAUUUUAAUUUUUAAAUAAAAAUAAUAAAGACAAAAAUAAUUAUAGUUUAAAAUUGAGAUAGAUGUCUUAACGUAAAAUUGUAAGAAUUGAUAUAAAAAUUUAUAAAAGUAGAAUAAUUAAAUUUUAAAUCUUAAUGUAAAUCUGUGAGAGUUAACGUAACAAAUCAAUUAAGUAAAAAAAAAUUAAUUUUAGUGAAAAAUAUAUAUUUAAAUUUAUAUUUUUAGACUAAAAGUGUUUAACGAUAUACAAAUUUUAAUUUUUAAAUAAAGAAUAAUAAGAAUAAAAAUAAUUAUAGUUCAAAAUGGGCAUAGAAAAAUAUUGACGUAAAACUGUAAGAAUUGACGUAAAAAUUUAUAAAAGUGAAAUAAUUAAAUUUUAAAUCUUAAAAUAAAUGUAUGAGACUUAACAUAAUAAGUCAAUUAAGCAAAAAAAAAUUAAUUUUAUUGAAAAAUAAAUAUUUAAAUUUAUAUUUUCAAAAAUAAAAGUAUUUAAUGAUAUACAAAUUUUAAUUUUUAAAUAAAAAUAAUAAGGAUAAAAAUAAUUAUAGUUUAAAAUUGACAUAGAUAAAUCUUAACGUAAAACUGUAAGAAUUGACAUAAAAACUUAUAAAAGUGAAAUAACUAAAUUUUAAAUCUUAACGUCAAUUUGCAAAAGCUAACGUAAUAAGUUAAUUAAGUAAAAAAGUCUAAUUUUAAUAAAAAAUAAGCAUUUAUAUUUAUAUUAUCAGGCUAAAAGUAUGCAACGAUAUUCAAAUUUUUAUUUUAAAUAAAGAAUGAUAAAGAUAAAGAUAAUUAUAGUUAAAAGUUACUAUUGAAAAAGGUUAACGUAAAAUUGUAAGAAUUAACGUAAAAUUUUAUAAAAAUGAAAUAAGUAAAUUUAAAAUUUUAACAUAAAUAUGUGAGAGUUAACGUAACAAGUUAAUUAAGUAAAAGAAUUUAAUUUUAAUAAAAACAAACAUUUAAAUAUAUAUUCUCGGACUAAAAGUGUUUAAUGAUAUAUAAAUUUUAAUUUUUUAAAUAAAAAAUAAUAGGAUAAAAAUAAUUAUAGUUCAAAUUUGAUAUAGAAAAACCUUGAUGUAAAACUGUAAGAAUUGACGUUAAAACUUAUAAAGGUGGAAUAAUUAAAUUUUAAAUUUUAACGUAAAUGUGUGAGAGUUAACUUAACAAGUCGAUUAAGUAAAAAAAUCUAAUUUUAGUGAAAAAAUAUUUAAAUUUAUAUUCUCAAAUUAAAAGUGUUUAACGAUAUACAAAUUUUAAUUUUUAAAUAAAAAAUAAUGAGAAUAAAAAUAAUUAUAAUUUAAAAUUAACAUAGAUAAACUUUAAUGUAAAACUGUAAUAAUUGACGUAAAUACUUAUAAAAGUGAAACAAUUAAAUUUUAAAUCUUAACAUAAAUAUGUGAGAGUUAACGUAACAAGUCAAUUAAAUAAAAAAAAUUAAUUUUAGUGAAAAAUAAAUAUUUAAAUUUAUAUUUUUGAGCCAAAGUAUUUAACGAUAUAUAAAUUUUAAUUUUUAAAUAGAGAAUAAUAUCAAUAAAAUAAUUAUAGUUCAAAAUUGAUAUAGAUAAAUCUUGAUGUAAAACUGUAGCAAUUGACUGUAAAACUUAUAAAUGUGGAAUAACUAAAUUUUAAAUCUUAACGUAAAUGUGUAAGAGUUAACGUAACAAGUCAAUUAAAUAAACAAAAUAGUCUAAUUUUAGUGAAAAAUAAAUAUUUAAAAAUAUAUUCUCUGAUUAGAAGUGUUUAACGAUAUAUAAAUUUUAAGUUUUAAAUAAAGAAUAAUAAUAAUAAAAAUAAUUAUAGUUAAAAUUAGUAUAGAUAAAUCUUGACAUAAAACUAUAACAAUUGACAUAAAAACUUAUAAAGGUGAAAUAACUAAAUUUUAAAUUUUAACGUAAAUGUGUGAGAGUUAACAUAAUAAGUUAAUUAAGUAAAAAAGUAUAAUUUUAAUGAAAAAUAAGCAUUUAUAUUUAUAUUAUCGAGCUUAAAGUAUGUAAUCAUAUUCAAAAUUUUAUUUUAAAUAAAGAAUAAUAAAGAUAAAGAUAAUUAUAGUUAAAAGUUGCUAUUGAAAGGUUUGGCGUAAAAUUGUAAAAAUUAAUAUAAAAUCUUAUAAAAGUGGAAUAAGAAAAUUUAAAAUCUUAACGUAAAUGUGUGAGAGUUAAUGUAAUAAGUGAUAAUAAUAAUUUUUAUUAAAUUAAUUAAUUAAAUAUAAUUUUAAUAUUAAAAAGAAUAAUAUUCUUAUAGUUUAAAGUAAAAAAUAAAAUAAAAUUAAAAGUUAAAUAACUUUUAAAGUAAACUAAAUAAAUUUAAAAAUUAUCUACAUUGUUAUCCUAAAAUGAAUAAAUUUAAAAAUUAAAUAUAUUGUUUACCUGUUAACCUGUUUAACAGGUUUUUAUUAUUUUUUGAAAAUUUUAUUUAUUGACCUAAUGUUAGAUUUACUGUAGCGUUCACCCUAAAUACAUGUUGCUAAUUGAAAAAGGAAAUUGCAAUGUGCUUUGUCUGAAAAAUUAAAAUCAUAAGACAUGGCGCUGAAUGUUGACUCUUUACCAAAAUUUUCUCAAAGAAACGCUAGCCAAUGACAAGUGGACAACUCAAGGGGUGAAAAAACACAAAGAAAUUUAAGAAAAGAUCAAAUUGCAUAAAUAUAUGAAUUAGUGUCCGAGUUUUGAGUAUAUAUUUGGGAUCCAUGUGUUUGCAAAAAUGGCCUUUUAGAAAAUUUAUUUUAGCAUUUUUUGGUAUUUGAGUAGAGUGUUUAAUGGUCAACCGGAAUGGCAAAAAGAGUUGAUAGGAAAAAACACAUUGGAUAAAGGAAAUUAUAAAUAUUUCCAUAAACUCACACAUAUUGAUGGUAAAAAUUCAAUAUGAUUAAAAUAAAAAUAAUAAAAUUCAAUAUCAAGUUAUAAUAUAGUAACAAUCUUAGUAUUUAUCUCUUGGUUAUUCGUGCCUAUUUCUUCUCCAAAAUUGACUAAAAUUAAAACUUAAAUAGAUACUUUUUCUUGUUUUAUUUUUCUAAUUGUUUUUUCUCUUGGCCAUUCUAAGUUAUACGAAGUGGGCCACAUCCAACAAAAUAAACAAGGUUGGGCCUCUGCAAGCCCGCCAGGCAAAUAUCAUAACUUUUGAGCCGUUGAGGGUUUAGAAGUCGGACCUAAUUGGUUGGUGAGGCCUGAAUCUGCAUUGGGUUUCGCAUGGACUGCCACUCUCAGAUCACAACAAAAAGAAGUAGCACUUUCAAUGAAUACAUAGCUUUACUUUCAUACCAAAUAGGAACAUUACUUUAUGCACCGAUUGGAGUCUUAAAUCUUCACAAAGAGCAUAGAGAUUAAUUAUUUUAUGAUUGAUGUCAUGUUUUAAUUAUUUCUUCAUUUUAAAUCAAUUAAUUAAUAAUUUUGCUUCUUAUCUUUCGGUUUGGUUUUAGGAUUAUUAUUCUAAACAUCAAAAUUGGAGUCUUUGAAUUCCACAAAUGAAUUUAUAAACAACUUCCAUUUGUCUGUGUAAUAAUUAUAUUAAUUCAUUGAUUUCCUUAAUCCAACCAUAAAAAGACAUGCCACAUUCAUAUAAAUUCGCUUGUGAAAUUUAAAAUCUUUAUUUUUGGUGUAUAAGAUAGCCUUUUGUUGAUUUAGAAGUUAUUAUCCUAUAACCGACCUUGAUUUUUUUUUUACUCCAAAAAUAUGUCCAUAAGGUUGCCUCAUAUCUAUAUAAGAAUUAUAUUAAUUUAUUUAAUUAUACCUUAUUAAACAUGUAAUAUUUGACAAAUUUUAUAUUAUUUUGUUAAUAAACUGACAUCAUCUCAUAUCCCGAUAGUUUUAAUAGUUUAUAGAAGAUAUUUAUUGUCACUAUAUCAAAUAUAAAUCUAAAAAAUUAAUAAGAAAAUCAUUGCAAAAAGGAAAUUAUAACAAUUCCUUGUUAUGACUUGUCCAAAGGUCGAUAUUUUGAAAUCAAUUAGUGGAAAAAAUUCAAUACCAAGUCAUGUUAUUUUAUCCCUGGGUUGUUAUCCAAUAUUGACUAGCAUUAAAGCGUGAUUGGAUACAUUUUCUUCCAGCGGGAGGAGAUCCGCUCGACUUUUUUUGAGGUGGGCUACAUAGCAACAGAAGAACAUAAGGUAUUGGGCCCAUCAAAGCCCAUUCAAAUAUCCUAACAUUUGAUGACGAAUAGGAACAUUUUUUUUAUACAGCGAUUGGAGUUCAGAACUUUACAGAGGGCUUGGAGAUUGUCAGUACCAUACACCGAUGGUAGAGGGUUAAAUGUACUUCUUUUAGAGAAAAAAAUGUUAUCUAUAUAAAUUAAUUAUUUUAUGAUUGAUGUCUUGUUAUAAUUAUUUCUUCAGUUUUAAUCAAUUAAUUAAUACUUUUGCUUCUUAUCCUUUGGUUUGGUUUAGGAUUAUUAUUCUUAACAUCAACAACGGAGCUUUUGAAUUUCACAAACAAAUUUAUAUACAACUGCCAUUUGUCUAUGUAAUAAUGAUAUUAAUCAAUUGACUUCCUCAAACAAACCAUAAAAGAAAAUGUGACACCAAUAUAAACUCGCUCGGGAAAUUUAAAAAUUUUAUCAUUGGUGUAUAAGAUAAUGUUCUGUUGAUUUAUAAAUUACUACCCUGUAACCGACAUUGAUUUUUUUGAGCUCCAUAAGGUUGCCUCAUAUUUAUAUAAGAAUUUAUUUAAUUAUACAUUAAUAAUAAACAUGUAAUAUUUGACAAAUGAUCUGUAAUUAUUUAUUAUUAUAAAAUUGGUAUGUAAAUAACAAUAAGUAGUGAUGUGGCAUGAUAAGAAUAAGCCACAUCACUAGCUUUUUGGAAGCCCUCAUUUAGUAGGCUACGGUGGAAAGGUCGGAUUGGGCAAAUGUUAUUAAAUACCACCGCAACGGCCAGACUGUCAGUCGUUUGGGCCUUUUUCUGUGUCUGACUCUGUUUGACAUUUUGCUGUUGUUACAAAUGUUCACGUGUUCUUCCGCCCUGGCACUCGAAAAAAGUUAAAUAAAAGUUAUCUCAGAGAGAACCUACGGAAUUGAGGUAGCCAUCAGAUCAGGUUGAGAAUCCAGGAAAGGAAUUGUGCACAUGCAGAGUGAGAAAGGACAGAACAGUAUGAAUGGGAGUGAGAGUCUGUCUGAGUCAGUGCACUUAGGCGAGUCAACGCGUUGCAGAGACUGUAACGGAUAUGAUUCACAGGAUACCUGCUUCCUUAUUUACUCUCAGAGGCUGACAGCUCUCUCCCCCUAACAAAACGGGUACAAAAAUUCAGUUCAGCUCCAUCAAGAAGGAAAUAAAUGAACUAAGUCAGAGGGUCAAAACGGGGUGGUCCCGGCCCCAUCCCAGUCAAGUCAUAUGGUCAAGCUUUGACUCCUUCAUUUAAAUCCAACGGUGGCGGUGGACCCUCCCAUGUUUCUGUGAUGGUUGAUGAUUGAUGAUUGAUGAUGAUGCUGAUGUAACCCGUCAAGUCACUGUGUUCUGGUUUGUCUUUUUAUGUGCAAACUGGAAAUGCAAUUAAACAUGAUCUGCUCAGUUCUUGAUCACCACCCUCUCUGAUGUUGCAUUUCUACAAUUAAGAGUCGGCAACAUUUGCAAGCCCACAUCUUUAACUAACAUCAAAACUGAAUCUUUGUAUAUGGAUAUUUAUGGAAAGGAAUUUACUUGUAUGGUCAUGCACUUGAAGUUUUAUAUCUAUUCAAUAUUCAAAUUAUAUUGAUAAAAAAUAUUAUUUUAAUAUAUAUAUUUAUUAGUUAAAAUUUACUUCGUUAUCAAAGCGAAUGAUUAAAAAUACGUAAUUAAUUUUACAUUGAUGUGACAGGAUAUUUCUCCCCUCUCUCUAUAUAUGUAUUAUCUGUUUUAAAAUUUUCUUUCCCCACACAAUUGGCAAAUCUUCUAACAGUUGCAAUAUGAUAAGGAGGUCUGACCACUGACCAUGACUAUGACCAGCUCUACUUUGAUCGCAAUUAAUCAUGUCCUUUUGGGUAUUCUAGGGUUGGACUACUACCAAACUUUUCUCAUAUUAACCUGCAGUUAUGAUGUUACCAACUUCACCCAUAUUUGCUUUAUAUUCUUCAGCCAUCAUAAAGUGCAUGAUUCAAAAAUCGUAUCCCUUUCCCUCUCUCUCUCUCUCUCUCUUUUUGAAGAAAAAAGAAGUAAUGCUACAUUAUAUGUAAGAUAAACACACCUUCCCUUUGCAAAUGGAAGUUUUCUUUGAUCUAGUUUUGAGACCUUUCUUAUAAGUUUGAUAAACAGUAAUUACCAUAAAAUUUAAGGUUGGUCCAAUUGGUUAAUUUAUUUUCCUCAUAGUAAAAGUUAUGAGUUUGAACAUGAGUGGUUCCUACUUGACACUAUCUAGAAUACAAGUCCCUUCACUAUAUAAGUAGGAAAACUGCACAACAACUGCAUUUUAGUUUGAGACUGAAGCACCUAAACGUUAGAAUCUUUGACUAAUUAUCGGUUUGGAAGUGCAAAAAGAAAAACAAAUCUUUGACUAAAUAAUUAACAUAAUAUCUGCUUUCUUAGAGGGCGGGGUCUGGUAAACAUGCAGCUCAUUUCCAGAUGACCGAUUUUGUUCACUGCAUUCAAACUUCUAUUAACGAGCCUAAAAAUCGUAAAGAGGGAACUUUCGAGCAACUUAUUUGCUGUAUUAAUUUGACCUUAUCUGUGGACAACGUCGUGGUUCCCAGAUAUUUGAAAAGAGAAUCAAUAAUCGAGAAAAUAAGGUGGAAAAUCAUCAAUAAACAACUCUUAUAUAUAUAUUGGGCCAAAAUAAACAACUUAUAUUCAAUGUCCCCUGAGGGACACCUAUGGGUUAUAGUUUAAGAUUUCAUUUUAGAGGUCUCAAAUUCGAAUCCUAAAAUGGGUAUAUAAUGAAAUUUAUGAGAUGAGAGGGGAAUACUCUUCACUUUGUUGCUUGUUGGAUUGUUUACUUGAAUAUUUUGGGAACUUGAAUUUAAGGUGUGAGAUUUAACAAGUUUGUUAGUGUAACAUUCAUAAUUUUCAGUGUAAAUUAAAUUAAUUGAGAAUGAUUUAUGAAAUAUAUUGAGUCUUGAGGACUUUGAUGAUAUGCUAAAUAUGCCAAGUGUAUGGGAAUAUAUAUAUAGACACUUAGGAAAAUUUUCUUGAAAAUAUGUGAUAAAUCUUAUAGAUUUGAUUUGAAUUUUAGUGGUUAUGUGGAUUGUGACUUAAGUAGGAAUGAUCUUGGGGUGUUAAAUGUGGAUUUUUGGAAGUUUAAGAAGCUGAAAAAUCUACCUAUAGGAGAAAAUGAAUCGAUACAUUUCCCAAUGUAUCGAUACAUUCUUGGCAGAAUGAAUAAUAUAAGGCGUACAGGGGAUUUUCUAUCAAUACAUUAGGAAUGUAUCGAUAGAUUUGAAUAAGGAUGAACAUUUAUUGAUACAUUGUCAAAUGUAUUGAUAGAUUUGAAGCAGAGAGCACCCAAGGGGAAAAAGUAUUAAUAAAUUCUUUCAUGUAUCGAUACAUUUUGGGCAAUGAGCAUUUUGCUUGAUUUCUAUUGAUACAUUACCCAAUGUAUCGAUAUAUUUGGUUGAAACUAGUAUCAAUGUAUUGAUACAUUAUUGGGUAUUGGCAAAAAUAAAAAAGAUUUUGGGCUAUUCGCCCAUUCAAACAAACCCUAAACCCCAUUCUCUUUCUACCACUUUAAAAACCAUAACCCCCAAACAUAUUUUUGGAGUGGAUUGGAGCUUGGGAAACUCCUUUAGAGGUAAGAUUACACAUUUUUACCAAUUGAUUUUCAAUUUAACCAGUUAACAACCAAGAAAUUCGAUUUAUUCCAGCUUUUGUGAGUCCCCCUCGAUUUGUUAGAAUUUGGAGCUUAGAUUGGUGCAAUCCAACUUUUAAAGUAUGGGUUUAACUCAUUGUUGAAGGAUUUGAGCUUGUAUAAUGGAUUACUAAAAAUUUAGCUAUUUUUGAAAAGCUAGAUAUUUUUGACAGCUAAGAAAUAAAUAUUUUUAUGAUGUUUUGAUGUGUUUAAAAGGAACUUGGGGAUAAUUAACUCGUGGGUGAGCUAAAAGAUGGUUGGAGGCCAAGGGUCAGAACUUGGUUGUGGGUGCACCUUCGACUGUCACUGUGAGUGGGUUUAAUUAAAAUGCAUGUGAUACAUGAUGCAAAAUAGAUGCACUGCCAUGGUACUAAAAUAUGUAUGUAGGCCUAGAUGAAUAUGCCUAGGUUAGAGAAAAAAAUAUAUGUGAUUAUGUGCCGUGUUGUGUGCUUUAGUGCAAGCCACAUAGUGGCCUAUAUUGUGUGAGCCUAGAUUAGGAAGUCUAGUGACGAUGAUGAAAGUCUAGGAGUAAAUUACUUAAGACGAAUGAUUUUUAGAGAGUUUGAACAUUUGAUGUCUUAGAAAUUUAAGGGCACUUAAUACCGUAUCAAGCUUGUAAACAAUUGAAGCUCGUUAAAUAUGAUUUGUAAUUUGAUGUGGACAUAUGGGAUUGUCGAAGACAUAAUGGCCUUGUUUGUGGAUUUGUAUUCUGUCUAAAGAAUGGGUUCCAAAUGUUGAUUUGAUUUGAGGUUGAGUGGAGUCCUAUUCCUUGUGACAUUGUUCUAUACUUGUAGGGAUGGUGGUAUUAGUCCCGCCAAUGAUUCCCACCUACAUUGCUUUGAUGCCAUUCAUUGAGAUUACUCCGAAUGAUGACUCUGCUUUGAUGCCACCCAUUUGAGAUUACUUCGAGUGAUGUCAUCCGUUAGGAGAUUACUUUAGACGAUGACUUUGAUUCUGCGCUUGUUGUUUUGGCACGCGCGUGAUUUGAUUCUCUACUAGUAGUUUAGCCCUAAGUAUGAUUUGACUUUGCUGAUUAGCCACCGUGUGUGAUUUGAUGAUAUCUAGGGAAGGACCACUCCACAAUUGUGAUAUGAUUUGUGAACGAUAUGACAUAACCUCGAAUAGGCUUAGAAAAAAAAUGAUUUGAAAUUCAUAAGAUACCUUGGCAACAAGUGUGUGCCAAUUGAUAUUCACAUUGAUAUGGCUUUGGAGAUAAGUCUAGUGACAUAUUUUUGUGGAGACUCCUAAGGAUGAUUGAUAUGCCUUUAACAUUGGAAAUGCUUGUCAAAAUAUUUGGUUGCACUGAUAGUGCAUUAAAUAUAUAUAUAUAUAUAUAUAUAUAUAUUAGUCUAAUAUUUAUAUGUUUGAUUUAUCUGUAUCCUUUAUUGAGUAUUAGAUGACUCACCCACUUUUGUACCAUGAGCAAAUAAAUUGGCCAUAAGACUACGCGGUAAAGGUCGUCCAUUGACAGACCAAUUUUGGCGUCUGGUAGGUCUUCAUUCCGACAUGUCCACUUUGCUGAGUCUGUCAUGAACUUCUGCCUUUGGAUUUUGGUUCAGUGGUUAUUCAUGUAGGCAUGACGUGCCAUUCAAACUUGUAUUAAAAGUUGUUAAGUACGAACCCGCUUAGUUGGCCAAUGUAUGGCUUUAUGGAUAAUGUAUUAAUAUUGUGUGCAAAUUAUGUGCCCAAGGGCAACGUUUACAUAUUUGAGUUUAAAUAUUAUAUGAAUAUAUGAGUUUGGAAACCCUUGGCUAUGUGUGUAUGAUUUGGAAUUCCAAGGCUUGCUUGGGUCCGCGAGCUUCACUUGUCGAACUUGUGCAUUGGUCAUGGAUCUUUGGGUUUAGGUCGUGACAAAGUUAGUAUUAGAGCCUAAGUUUUAGAGUGUCCUAGGUCAUCUUAUGUCUGUCAAUGGAGUGUUGGGAUUAGUGCAAAGUCUUGUUCAUGGUUUCUGAUUGCAGCAUAAUUCAUGUGUGAAAGGCUACAUAAAUUCCCAAGUUCUUAGUAACAAACACUUAUUGGAUGACGAACUUUGAAAAUUUUUGAAUAUGGUGUUGCUUUGUCUUGGUACAAGAUGCCGUCCUAAAACGAGAGCUAGCUCAAGGGCCAUAAAAGAGCAAGAUGCCUUGGAGGAGCCUAUGGAACAACCACGAGUGUCCACUUAAGGAGUCGUGGUAGAAAUGGAGCUAUUAGAUGUGCUUAAAAUGUGGAACCCAGUUACAUGUAUAUGGGUGAUGAGAAUGUGGAAGUUGGGGAUGACUAAACCCUAUAAGAAGAGGUUUCACCCUAGAAGAUCGAGUGGUAGGGCUACAAAGUUUGGCUAAUGAGUGUGCUAAGUUUCGUAAUAGAGGUGAGGCACAAUCUAAGGAAUGGGUUGAUUUUAGUUUGCAAGGUCCAGACUAUGUGGCUCAAUAUGAACAUUCGAGAGGGGCUAUUGAGGUUACCUUGGUAGAUUUUAUGAAGCUUAUGGCUUCGUCUUUUACUGAUUCAAAUGUAGAGGAAGAUAGAUAAAAAUUUUUGGAAGAAAUGGAAUGUAUCUGUUUUACUUUGAGAUACUCCUUAUACCAAUCAGUGGAAUUGGUGGGGUUUAAACUAAAAGAUGUGGCCAAAAUAUGGUUUAUCUCCUUCAAAAGAAUAAGCUAUCAGGGUCAGUUUUGAUAACUUUGGAGGAAUUUGUCUAAGCUUUUCUAGAUCACUUUUUGCCUGAGAGUGUAAGAGACGCUACGACAUAAGAGUUUGAAACAUUGGUACAGACCCCAAACAUGAUAGUGACAGAGUAUGAUGUUUGUUUCACUCAAUUCUCUAGAUAUGUUUUUAACUUGGUCUUAAUUGAGCAAAAGAAGAUCAAGAGAUAUAUUUAGGGACUGAUGGAGCCACUGUUAAGAGUUUUUGCCACCCAGAGGUUUGCUUCCUAUGCCGCAGUGGUAGCUGUGGCUAGAAUGAUUGAAACUAGGAGAAUGGAAUCUAGAUUAUAAAGAAGUAAGGGUCAAAGAGCUCAAACACAAGGCCAAUAGAGUUGUAGAGAUUCUAGCACUACUAAAAGUUCAAUAUUUAUACACCAUUAGAGUCAUGAGGGAACCAUUCCUAUACAUAGGCCACCUAGGAAUAGUGAUUCAUUUAGCCCAUCUUCUAGAUGAGAUUAUUCUAGUGGAGCAACUAACUUGGACCUUAGAUAGAGGGGUGUUUUAUGUAAUUAUUGGGGAAAGGCACAUGAUGGACUGUGCCAUAGAGUAGCUGGGUUAUGCUUUGGAUGUGAUCAAUUUAGGCAUUUGAUGAGAGAUUGCCUAAUGCAAAGGCAGCCAAUAGAGGUUGACCAUGGAUAUGUGAGACAAGUUGCAACUACCUCGCUUAGAAUGACAGUGUUUGGGAAGAAUGUUGGAGGUGACAAAGGCAAGGGUAUAACCUCAUCAUCUCAAGGUAGAUUGGCACAAUCGACUAAUGAUGGUGGAAGUCAAGUGCGGGUGUUUGCUCUGACACCCCAAGACGCUUAGACUUCCAAUGCAGUGGUCACAACUAUACUUCCUAUUUAUGGUACCAAAGCUUUAGUUUUGUUUGAUCUCGGAUCAACACAUUCCUUUGUGUCACCACACUUUGUGCCAAAGUUAGAUUGGUUUUGUUGUAAUAUGGAGGAACCCCUGAUUAUGACUAUUCUCUUAAAUGAGGCAUUUGUGGUAGAGUAUGUGUAUAAGUCUUGCAUGGUCUGCAUUAAGGACAAGGACACGUUAGUAGACUUGGUGCUGUUGUUGACUUUAAAUUUUGUCGUAAUCUUGGGAAUGGACUACUUAGUGUCAUAUUUUGCUAAAGUAGACUACCAACAUAAGCUUGUGAAGUUUAAGUUCUUGGGGAAACCUUUGUUUGUGAUCUAUGGACACGACAGUCCAAUGUUAUGGAAGUCAUAUCAGUUAUGGCCAUUAGACGUUUGCCAGAGCAAGAAGGCCAAGGGUAUCUACUAAUGACAGGAGAUGUUUCAAUGAAUGAAGGGAAUGUGGAUAAUGUAUGGGUAAUAGGUGAGUAUUCGGAUGUAUUUUUGGAAGAAUUACCCGGAUUGCCUUUUGAAAAGGAGAUUGAAUUUCUUAUUAAUUUGGUUUCGGAUAUGAAGCCAAUUUCUAUAUCUCUUUAUCGAAUGGCACCGGCUGAAUUAAGAGAGUUUAAAGAGCAAUUGGAGAAUUUAUUGAGCAAUGGCUUUAUACGCCUAAGUGUUUCACCUUAGGCAGCUUUGGUGCUAUUUGUUAAGAAGUAGAAUGGUAGCCUUUGGUUGCGCAUAGACUACCAGUAGUUUGAUGGAUUUGGCUAUAGAUGGCAUGCUCAAAAUACGUAGCGGAAAGAAAAUUAAAAACUUUAUAACUAAACAACAAAACAUGCCUCCACCCAUGGAUCACCUUGGUGAUAUUUAACACAUAAAAGCACAAAAUAAAUUAUUUUUUAGAAAGUUACCUUGCCAUGUAAUUUCGUAAUCACGAUGACACUUUUUGAAGCAAUCCCGCGAACACCACAAGGAGCAAAAACCCUAGCUAAUCAAGUGCUUGGCCUCCAAUGGUAGUACACACGAUUGCACUUGAACCUUCAACAAAGGAAGUAGUUUUUAACUAUACUUUAUGCUAAUAAAAAGGACAACGAUUGUCUUUUUCUUUUUUUUUCAUAAUCUUAGUUGAACCUUUCUCGAAAAUUGCUUCAUAAGCAAUUUUCUCUUUCACAUAAAGGGAGUGGUGGCAAAGAAAGAAAACGUUUUUCUUUUUUUUGACAAAAACUACGUUUUCUUCAACUGUGAAAAACUCUCAUAUGGAAAAAUAUUUAAAAGGUGACUUAUAUAGUUAGGUUAAAAUAACUUCAAUUUUGAAAUUAAGCCCUCAAUUUUAUAACACAUUAUAAUAUUGGGCCUAUUACUUAAUUAAACUCUUUUAAUUAAGUCUUUGGAAAUUAAAAUCAAAAUUAAUUUCCUUUAUAUUUUGCAAUCAAGGCCUUAUAGUUAUAACUAUUUAUAAUUAUGAGAAAAACUUAAUUAAACUCUUUUAAUUAAGUUUAUAGAAGUUAAUUACCUAGCAUUUGAUUUAAGUCUAAGUUAAAUCGUCACUCUCCCAAUUUAAUUCAAAUGCAAUCAUUGUAUGUGACUCGUUAGGUUUCCAACAUAUUGGCAAUGGAAUUGAUUAAUGACUUAAUUGAUUAAUAUAAAUUUCAAUCAGUUAGUUUAUAAUCAAUUCCAUAGACCAAGAUUGGCAUCUAGCAAUGCAUCAUGGCCACCUAAUUGUUGGGAGAGUCAAAGGGUUCUUUGACAACCUUUCAGUGUACAGUCUAUCAGUGUAAUUCAUUAACUCAUCAUAUAUCUCGGAGAUGAUAAGAGCUUGGUACAAUGUCUACUUUUAUUGACCUCCAUAUUUGUUCCUGCAAUUAUAGCAUUAGCUUUAUAGAGAGUUAUGAAACCUUUUUCAUAAUCUCCAUGUCGCCUUGGCCAAGGACUUCAAUAAGCUAAUGUUAACCAAGAACUGAUAGAAUAUGUCCUCUAAAACACUUGAGGUGAUGAUUUCUAUCUUGAUUACUCAUUUGCCUUCACAUGCUUCAUACUAUACCCAAAAGCAUCCUGUUUUGGCAUCCUUGGUUAGGCACUCAUAGGGAUGAAAUGAAAGCAUAGCACUCUACAUAUAAGACAACCUAGUGUCUCAAGUCUAGGGAGUAUUUACAUGACUGACACAUGAGAAGUGUUGCAUAGACACUAGAGUGUAUUACCAAAUGCACUUUUCAUGGAGGGUCAUGUUUAGUGAACUUGUUCUCCCAAGCAAGCACUUAUAUUCUAGUUCCAAGUAUCUCUAUACUUCAAUCUAUGAGAUUGAUUGCUUACUUCCAAAGAAAGGAACAUAGAAUAUACUAGUCUCUAAGCAUCAUUGAUGUCUAGUCUCAAUGAUACAUUGACCAGGAACAUUUUGAGAUUAUGCUUUGAUGCAUAGGAAUCUCAUAACUGCAACCUAUUACAGUUUUCUUGCAAGGCAUAUUAAUCUCAUGGACUUCAUCCAAUUAGACUUAUAACUCAUUAUAAUUAAUGUCUUAUUGAUGAAGGAAAACCUCUAAUCAUUCAACAUGAAUGAAACUAUUGCAUGAUUGGAAUCAAGCCUCAACCAAUCCCAAUUGGCUACAGGACUCAUCCCAACAUAGCUUAAUAAAGUGACAAUAAAGAAUAAAUAUCCAUUUAUGAGGAUCGAUGACUUGUUUGAUUAGUUGCAGUGUAAUGUGCUUUUCCAAGAUUGACCUAUGCUCGGGGUAUCACCAAUUGAGAAUAUGAGAGGGCUAUAUACCUAAGACAACGUUUCACACAUGCCACGGGCACUAUGAAUUCUUGAUGAUGUCAUUUGGACUCACCAAUGCACUUGCAUCAUUUAUGUACUUAUUGAAUAAGGUCUUUCAGGCAUAUACAGAUAGAUUUGUGGUCAUGUUUAUAGACGACAUAUUGGUGUAUUCUAAGAGCUUGGAAGAACAUGCACAACAUUUGAGAAUCGUGUUUCAAACUUUGAGAGAGUAUUAAUUGUAUGCUAAAUUUUUGAAAUGCGAAUAAUAAAGUAAGUUUCUUGAGACAUGUGGUGUUAGAACAAUGGGUACAAGUUGAUCCUAGUAAGCUGGAGUGUGUAACAGAAGUUAGAAGUUUUCUAGGUUAAGUUGGAUAUUACAAACGUUUUGUACUUGACUUUUCUAAGAUUGCAUCCUCUUUAACAAGAUUGACUCAAAAAGGAGUUAAGUUUGAUUGGUCCAAUACAUAUGAGACUAGUUUUAAGAAGCUUAAGGCCUGUCUCACUUCUACAUCAAUGUUGAGCCUACCGUGUAUUGCAAUACAUCACGGAUUAGAUUGGGUUGUGUGUUGAUGCAACAUGGGAAAGUCAUAACAUACGCUUCCCGACAACUAAAAAGGCAUGAACAGAACUACCCUACACAUGACCUAGAGAUGGUAGCAAUUGUAUUCGCUUUGAAAAUAUGGGGCCAUUGUCUUUGUGGUGAGACUUACAAAAUAUAUACUGAUCACAAGAGUUUAAAGUAUAUAUUUUAGAAGAGGGAUUUGAAUCUGAGACAACGUAAGUGGUUAGAGUUAUUGAAAGACUAUGACUACACCAUACUUUACCAUCCCUGCAAGGCAAAUGCAAUGGUGAAUGCCUUGAGCUUGAAAUCAAUGGGGAGUUUGGCACACGUAAAAAUGGAGAGACAAUCUUUGUUGUUGAGUUUAUAAGAUUUGGGUAAUAUGGGUGUACAUUUUGAGGUUAAUGAUUCCAAUGCCUUGAUGGCACAUUUUAGAGUUCGUCAAAUGAUUUUAGAUCGAAUUAAAGUUACCCAAGACUAAGAUGAAUGUUUGGUGAAAAUAUUGAAGGACAUGAGUGAAGAUAAAGCUUGAGACUUUGUGUAUGAUGCUGAUGGUUUGAUGAGGUAUCGAUCUUCGGUUUAUGUGCUAGAUAUAGAAGGUUUGAGGAAUGAGUUUUGGAAGAAGCUCAUGUUGCAGCCUAUGUGAUACACGUAGGAGCCACCAAGAUGUAUCAUGAUUUAAAGUUUAUUUAUUGGUGUCUAGGAUUAAAGAAAGACGUGGUUGAAUAUGUCUUUAAGUGCUUGACAUGUCAGCAAGUGAAGGCUAAACAUUAGAGACCUUUAGGAUUGCUACAACUGUUAUUGAUACCCGAAUGGAAGUGGAAACAUGUAGCCAUGGACUUUGUAAUGGGUUUACCAUGAGCUAAGGGUGGCUAUGAUGCCAUUUGGGUGAUAAUUGAUCAACUAACUAAGUCAGCCCACUUUCUCCUAGUCAAGACUAAGUAUGGAGUGGCUGGGUACACCCAAAUUUAUAUUAAUGAGAUUGUAAGGCUACAUGGUGUUCCAGUAGUGAUAGUGUCUAACAGAGGAGCGUAGUUGAUGAGUCAAUUUUAUAGGAAAUUGCAAGAGGCCUUAGGUACAAGAUUGGAAUUUAGUAUGUCUUCCAUCCAUAAAUGGAUGGCCAAUCUCAAUGCACCAUUCAGACACUCGAAGAUAUGUUGAGAGCAAUUAUACUCAACUUUAGAGUUUCAUGGGACCAUUAGUUGCCUUUGAUUAAGUUUGCUUAUAAUAAUAGUUACCAAGCCUCGAUUAGUAUAGCUCCAUAUGAAGCUUUGUAUGGGUAAAAAUGUAAGGUGCUUAUUGGUUGGCUUGAAGUUAGGGAACGAAAACUCUUAGGAUUGAAAAUGGUCUAAAAAGCUUAGUGAUGUAUCCAUGAGAUUCGAGAAAAGGUGUUAAUGGCUCAAAUUAGCCCAAAAUCUUACACCGAUAAUAGGCGUAGACCUUUGAAGUUUGAAGUAGGCAACUAUGUGUUUUUAAAAAUCUCGCCAACCAAGGGAAUUAAGAGAUUUGGAAAGAAGGGGAAACUAAGCCCUAGGUACAUCGGACCGUUUGAGGUGUUAAAGUGUAUUGAUGCUAUUGCUUAUCACUUAGCAUUAUUGCCAAAUUUGUUUGAUGUUCAUCCAGUUUUCCAUGUAACCAUGCUUGGGAAAUAUGUUCCCAAUCCUUCACACAUGAUUCAGUAUGAUAAAGACCAAUUACAAGACGAACUUAGUUAUGAGGAGCAACGCAUAGUAAUAUUAGAUUUGCAAGUAAAACGGAUACACUCCAAAGACAUCGCUACAAUGAAAGUAUUGUGACAAAGCCAUUUGGUUGAGGAAAUCACAUGGGAACUCAAAGAGGAAAUGCAAGAGAAAUAUCCCCAAUUUUUUGAGGUAUAAUAUAUGUUUUAACUUGUGGUGUGUAAUUAAAUUCGGGGACGAAUUUCCUAUAAAGAGAGAAGAAUGUAACACCACUAAUUUUUAGUGUAAAUUAAGUCAAUUAAGGAAUAUUUAUGAAAUAUAUUUUUUUUUGAGGACUUUGAUGAUAUGCUAAAUAUGCCAAGUGUAUGGGAGUAUGUAUAUUGACACUUAGGCAAAUUUUCAUGAAAAUAUGUGAUAAAUCCUAUAGCUUGAGGUUUUGAUUUGAAUUUGGUGUCAUAUUUGAUGUACAAGAUAUAUGAGUUUAGUGGCUAUGUGAAUUGUGACUUAAGUAAGAAUGAUCUUGGGGUGCUAAAGGUGGAUUUUUGGAAGUUUAAAAAGAUGAAAAAUUUGCCUAUGGGGGACAAUGUAUCGAAACAUUCUUGGCAGAAUGAACAAUAUAAGGUGUAUAUGGGAUUUUCUAUCGAUACAUUCAGGAAUAUAUCAACAGAUUUGAAUAAGGAUGUACAUCUAUCGAUAUAUUGUCCAAAUGCAUCGAUAUAUUUGAAGCAAAAAGCACUCAAGGGGAAAAAGUUUCGAUAGAUUUUUUCAUUUAUCAAUACAUUUUAUGUAGUAAGCAUUUUGCCUGAUUUUUAUUGAUAAAUUUUCCAAUGUAUCGAUAGAUUUGGUCGAAAUCAUUAUAAAUGUAUCGAUACAUUUCCAAAUGUAUGGAUACAUUAUUAGGUAUUAAUUAAAAUGAAAAGGGUUUCAGGCUAUCUGCCUAUUUAAAAUGAACCCUAAAUCCCUUUCUGUCUCUACUACUUCAAAAACCUUAACCCUUAGACAAAUUUUUGGAGUCAUUUAGAGCAGAUUGGAGCUUGGGAAACUCCUCUAGAGGUGAGAUUAUGCCUUUUUACCGAUUGAUUUUCAAUUUAAUCGGUUAACAGCAAAUAAAUUCGAUUUAUUCCAGCUUUGGAAAGUCCCAUUCGAUUUGUUGAAAUUUGGAGCAUAGAUUGGUGCAAUCCAGCUUUAAGAUAUGGGUUUAGUUCAUUGUGGAAGGAUUUGAGCUUGUAUAAUGGAUUGCUAAGAAUUUGGCUAUUUUUUGAAAACCUGGAUAUUUUUGAAAGCUUGGAAAUUAAUAUUUUUGUGAUGUUUUGAUGUGUUUAAAGGGAAGUUGGAGAUAAUUAACUCAUGGGUGAGUUGAAGGAUGAUUGGAGGCUAAUGAUCGGAGCUUGGUUGUGGGCGUGCCUUCAAUUGUCAUUAUGAAUGGGUUUAAUUAAAAUGCAUGUGAUGCAUGACACAUAAUAGAUAUGCUACCAUGGUACUAGAAUAUGUAUGUAGGCUUAGAUGAACAUGCCUAGGCUAGAGAACAAAAAUAUAUGUGAUUGUAUGUUGUGUUGUGUUCUUUAAUGCAAGCCAUAUAGUGGCCUAUGUUGUUUAAGCCUAAACUAGGAAGUCUAGUGACUAUGAUGAACGUCUAGAAGUAGAUUACUCAAGAUGAAUGAUUUUUAGAGAGUUUGAACAUUUAAUGCCUAAGAAAUUUAAAGGCACUUAUAACCAUAUCAAGCUUAAAACGAUUGAAGCUUGCUAAAUGUGAUUUGUGAUUAGAUGUGGACAUAUGGGAUUGUCAAAGGUAUGAUGGCCUUAUUUGUGGAUUUGUAUUCCGUUCGAGGAAUGGAUUUCGUGUCACGACCCGAAACUCCCAUCGAGCUAGUGACAACUACCGCGACAUCCCGAUAGACAUUCAUUACCCAAAAUGUCAAUCGAAACCUCGCAAGGCUUAACAUCAGUUUUUCUCACUUCCCCUGUGAGUAUUAGUCAUUAAAAUUAUGUUUUGAGAGAUUAUAAACUAUUUUCAAAUCAAAACAAUAGAAAAAUAAUUUUUUUCUCACAAGGGCAUUUUGAUAAUUUUUCUUAAAAAAUCUCGAAAUUCGCUAAAAAUGUAGUAUGUUGGUGCAAAACACAUAUUUCAUAAUAAAAAAAUAAAUUUGGAUGUCUAAAAUAUUCGUUUAAAAUGAAAUUAUGACUAUUAGAAUAAAAUAAAAAUAUUGAAUAAAAUAAUCAAUUUUCUCAUAAAACAAUAUUUUUAGAACACUGAAUAAAUAAUUGUUACAGUGUAAAAGUAAAAUAAAUUCAUAUAUAUCGUAAUACAGUAAGCCAAAGUAUUUAAUUUAAUUUACAGUAACAAGUGGGCCCUCGAACAACCGAAAGUAAGAAAAAUUGUAAACCUACAGUUUGGAGGAUGCAAAUCCAAUGGUUGUCCUCGAUGAAAUCAGCUAUCUAUAGACUAUCCUGAGUUUGAAAUGGGUGGAAAGGAGGGUGGUGAGAUUAUAUAAUCCUAGUGAGUAAACAAAUACCAUCUAAAAUAUCUAAAGCCGAGUAAAUGGAAACAGAUAAAACAGUUUAAUGUACUGUAAUUCAUCACCUUUUAACUCAUUUCAAUCAAAUAAAAUCAAUUCAUAUAAAUCGAGUAAUCAACAUGGCUUAUAAAUUUCUUAAAACUUUGGCUCGUGCCAAAAUCAUUUUUAUACCCAGUUAUCAGGGAUGCCUUGAUCGAGGGCUAUCCCAACCGAGUCCGUCAAGGCUGUCAAAAAGUUAUGUACGCAUAAAUCAUGUUUUUAUUUUAAAAACAUAGCCGUUCCUUGGCAUUAGCGGAGUUCAUCAUCAUGAGGUGGUUUAGCGUGAAGUGAACUCUAAAGUUAUACCUCGGGAGUUACCCUAUUCGCCUCUUCAACCGAGGUAAAAUAUGACUAGGUUCUGUGCCCCUCUAAUAGGCUAGUCCACAGAACUAGCCCACUACAGUAAGCUAAACCCACCAUACAAUGAAAAUUCAACAACAUGACAUGGCAAUUUUAUCAUUAUCCAGCCUAUCAAGGCAAACAACAGUUUAUACAUUUCAACACAAAUACCAAUUCAGCCAUUCAUGCCAAUAUUGUCAUAAGCCAAUCAAUUAGAACCAUAAAUUCACAAUACAUCAAAUGGUCUCAAAUUACUCUAUUUUCAAAGCCAUUAUUCAAUUUUAAAGCAAUUUUAUGAAAUCAUUUCAUUAAAUCACAUUUGGUUUAUAAAACUGAAAAAUUAAUCAUUUAAUUCAUUUUCCAUGAAAUUCACAAAAUCGGAUAAAAACCACUUUAAAUAAUUAAGACGAUAGUAAGGUUACUCACUAUUUCGGGAGUCGAAUUCCAAGUACUCCGAUUCUUGAUUCCUCAGGUACUAUCUCUUUACUUUUGCCAGAAUGCUCACCACCUAGACAUAAUGCACAAUAAGCCAUUUACUACAUUGUGCUAAAUUGUUAUAAAACCAAUUCAGGCUUUAUACUAAUGUAUGAAAUGGGAUGCAAAUUGUUUGGAUUACCGUUUAAAUACGGUAUUCUACACAAAUUCAAUUGUGUACCUAAAUUAAACGAUAUUGGCCUAAUUCGAUCUAUCACUCGUUUAAUUGGCCAAUACGUCCAAUUCAACUCCAAAUAAUUUCAUUUUUCUCCCAAUACUCCAAAUCAUCAAACACAAAUUAAAUAACUUGAAAUAUGGCAAAAUCAUCCUCACAUUUUCUCUUGGAAAAAUUCGGCCAUGGUGGGUGCAUCAACACUAUAAUUUUUCCUACUUGAUUCUCACACCAUAAAUCACUAAUUCCUAACCAAAUCACUUGAAAUAAAAUCAAAAUCAUUCUCAAUAUUUCACAUGGAGAAUUCGGCCAAUGAUGGGUGAUGGGAGAAAAUGAAUUUUUCUUGCUUGAUUUUCAUGUUACACAUCAUUAACUAACUAAAAACAUUAAAAUACAUUGAAAUCUAACCAAAACAACCAUCAAAUCUUCUCUCUCUAAAUUUGGUCAGCCAUGAAUCCUUCAUGAUAUCUUGUGAUUCAACCAUGAAAAAUGCAAAAUAAUGCAUGAGAAAGGUAGAUCACAAGUCAAAAUCAAGAAAUUUUACCUUUGAUUGCUUGAUUACUUGAAAUCCACCAAUUUUUCUCUUGAAUUUUCACCUUAGGGUUCUUGUUCUUUCUUUUCUUCCUUUGUUCUUCUUUGGCCGGCCAUAUGAAUGAGAAAUAGGCUGAUUUUGUGCUAAUUUAUAAGGAAAAUAAUGAAUGGAUGAGAUUUUGACACAUGUCACCAUUCUAUUGGUCCAUGUGUCAUACUUAGCCAUUAAGCAAUCUCUCUCUGCCACUUAAAUUUCCUCAAUUAUCCAUGAUAAUAUUGGGUAAAAUCUAUGUGCUGGACAAGUGUUGGGCGGUGUAAAAUUACAAUUUUGCCAUUGGGGUGGCAAAAUGACUAUUUUACCCUUAUGCUCUGAAAAAUGCCGAAAUUGAAAUUUUUCACUUCUCAAACUCAAAAUUAUGUUUUAAAUAGUCAAUCUUGAUCAAAAACGUCUUCCAACAUUCUAAUUUUUUAACCUCGGGUGGCAAAAUGACCAUUUUACCUCUAGGUCAUGAAAAUUCCAGUUUGAUUCCAAAUCGGUCCUCGAACUCUGAAUCACCAUUUUAAGUCAUUUUGGGAUUUUAAAAUUCUCAAUUUCAUCUUAAAAUCUCUAUUUGGACUAGUUUGAGGCUUAAUUCAACUUAAUUGUACCAUUUGGUACAUUGCUGUCCUUUAACGAUUUUCGAGGUACUCAAGUAAGCAAAUAUGCAUUCUUAUGUAAGAAUGGCAUAAUAAACAUAUUGUAGAGUCGGGCUUGACAUUUUAGACGUUAACUUGAUUUGAGGUUAAGUAGAGUCUUACUCUUUGUGACUUUGUUUUGUGCUUGUACGGAUGGUGGUAAGCAGGAAUGGUGGUAUUAGUCCUGUUUCCAAUGUUUUAAUGCCAUUUGUUGAGAUUACUCCGUAUGAUGACUUUGCUUUGAUGCCACUUGUUUGAGAUUACUCUAGGUGAUGCCAUUAGUUGGGAGAUUACUUUGGACGAUGACUUUGAUUCUCUGCCCGUUGCUUCGAAACACACAUGAUUUGAUUCUCCAUCAAUGGCUUAGUCCUGAGCAUGAUUUGACUCCAUCAGUUGACCAUCGUGCGUGAUUUGAUAAUGUUCAGGGAAUGACCACUUUACGAUUGUGAUUUGAUUUGUAAGCAAUAUGACAUAGCCUUGGAUAGGCUUAGAUAAAAAUGAUUUAAAAUUGAUAUGAUAUCUUGGCAACUAGUGUUUGCCAAUGGAUAUUCACGUUGAUACGGCUUUAGAGAUAAAUCUAGUGAUAUACUAUUUAUGGAGACUCCCAGGGAUGAUUAAUAUGUCCUUAACAUUGGAGAUGCUCGUUAAAAUAUUUGGUUGCACUGAUAGUGCGUGAAAUAUAUAUAUUUGUCUAAUAUAUAUAUAUGUUUGAUUUAUCUACACCCUUAACUGGGUAUUAGAUGACUCACUCAUUUUUGUAUCAUGUGCAGAUAAAUAGACCAUAGGACUAUGUGGUAAGGGUCGUCCAUUGACAGACCAAUUUUGGCUUUUAGUAGGUGUUAAGAAUUUUGAGAAUAUGGUGCCCUAGAAAUCAAGUGUAUUCUCAUGCUUAAUUUCAUUAAAUUUGUAAUGAAAGUGCAUUUUGAUAAUAAGAUGAAGAGUUUGUUUUAAGUAACCAUUCAUUAUUUAGUUAUUAAGGUACCAUGAUUCUAUUGAGAUAUUAAAAGACAUUUGUAUGAAGAGUCAUACAUAGGAGACAUGUAUUUUAAUUGAAUGUAAAAAUUAUUCACAGCCAUAUAAUAAAGCUGGUCACUUUAUUGUGUUAAGGCUGUAUGAUCCAAAUUAAUAAAGCUGGUCACAGCCUUAUAAUCUUUGAUUUACCAUGAGCAUGAUCAUCAUAAAGCAUUGAUCUAGACUUCAUAUUUUGGGGAUUAUAAUCGAGAUGAACAUUUGGGAACAUAUAUCCAAAUAAUGGUGUUCAUAGCAUUAACAUCAUUUCUAGUGAUUUCAAGAAGAUUGGUGAUUAAUCUGGGCUCAAUGGAUUGAUGAAUUAGCUACUCAUCACAUCUAGAUACUCAAAAGAUUAGACCUAGAGUAUUGAAUCACUAAUUGGAUGAAAUUUAAGGCUAGGGGUAGGGAUGUCAACGGGUACCCUAUUAUAAGGUACCCUCGAGUACCCGAUCCGGUUACACCAGGUUAGGGUACUUAAUAAACCGGUUCGGGACAAGUUCGGGUAGUGAUUUCACUACCUGAAUUGGGUUUGGGUAUCACUUUUUGGAUAGCAUUACCUGAACCCAAUUAUGUAAUAUUCGGGUUUUGCGGGUACCCGCCCUGAACCCGAUUAUAAUACUCGUAUAUAUAUUUUUAUUAUUUAAAUAACUGACUAAAAUUAAUCCAUUUUGUUGCUGAUUUGAUUCAAACCCACGUAAGGAAGAAAAGCACCCAAAGUUUGUACCAUCUUGACAAACAAUUUCUUUUGUUGAAUGUUGACAAAUAUAUUAAAAAUAUAGUUACUCAAAUUAUUAAUGUGAUGACAUUAAUAUAUAUAUAAAUAAAAAAAUUAUUAGAUUAUUAAUUAUGUUUAAAUAAUAUGAAUAUCAUAUCAUAUUACAAAAGAAUAUAAUUACUAUUAUAUACAUUUUUAAUAUAAAUGUAUUUACUUUUUAUUUUGUGUUAAGAUUACAAAAAUUAUAACUUAUAAUAUAUAUACUUAAAGAGAGUCUUUGAGUUUAGAAUAGUUUUGGAAUCUAACUAGUUUUUUAAUUUCAUGUAAUUAAAGACAAACUCAUAUAGUUAAUUAAAUUAAUUCAUUAAACUAUGAUUAUUAGUUAACUUGGAAUGUUUUUAAAUAUAUAUACAUUAUAUAUAUUGAGUUCAUUUAUAAGAAAUAUAAUUACUAUAUUAUAUAUAUACUAAUACUUUUAGUAUAUAUAUAUACUUUAAAUAUAAAUAUAUUUAUUUUUUAUUUUGUGUUAACAUUAUAAAAAUUAUAACUUAUAAAAUUAUUAAUUGUAAUAUAUUUAUAUACUUCAUAGUAUAUAACUUGUAAUGUCUUUUAACACAUACACUUUAUAUUAUAUAUUAUGUUCAUUUAUAAAAAAUAUAAUUACUAUUAUAUAUUAAUUACUAAAUAAUAUAUAUACCUUUGUUUAUAUAAAUUUAUAAUAUAUAAACUUAAUUAUCUAAAAAGAAGUUGAGAGAUUAGAAUAGUUUUGAAACUUAGUUAUUGUCACGACCUGGUAUUCUCUUCGAGCCCGUGACAACCGUCGCGAUGUCCCGAUAGACAUUCAUUAUCCGGAAUGCCAACCGAAACCUUGCAAGGCUUUAAUAUUAGUUUUCUCACCUCCCUUGCGAGCAACAGCUGCUAAUAUCAUAUUUUAAAAGAUUAUAAACUAUUUCCAAAUCAAAACAAUAAAAAAAUAAUUUUCGUCUCUUGGGGGUAUUUUGGUCAUUUUUCUCUGAAAAUUUUGAAACUAGCUAAUAAUGUAGUAUACGAGUGCAAAACACAUAUUUCAUAAUCAAAAAUAAGUUUAGAUGUCUAAAACAUUCAUUUAAAGUGAAAUUAUGACUAUUUGAAUAUAAUAAAAAUAUUCAAUAAAAUAUUCCAUUUUCUUAUAAAACAAUUUUUAUAGAGUUAUCUAUAAGAAAUUUUUUGUAGUGUAAAAGCGAAAUAAAUUCAUACAUACUGUAAUACAGAUAGUCAAGGUAUGUAAUUUAAUUUACAAUGACACGUGGGCCCCCAAAUGAUAAAAGUGAACGAAGGCUGUGAACCUACGAUUUUUGAAGAAGUAAAGCCAAAUGUAGCCUUCGAUGAUAUCAGCUAUCUACAAACUAUCCUGAGCCUGAAAUGGGUGGAAAGGAGGGUGAUGAGAUUAUAUAAUCCCAGUGAGUAAACAAAUAUCAUCUAAAAUAUCUAAAGCCGAGUAAAUGGAGACGAUUAAAAUAGAUCAUCAUAAAAUGGUUCAUAACAUCAAAACACAUUUCAAAUCAUCUAAGCCAGUUACAUUUCAUCCAAAAUAUACAACGAGGCUUAUGAAUCUCUUAAAAACUUGGCUCGUGCCAAAACUCAUUCUCGGGGAUACCUUGGCCGAGGCAUCUAACCGAGUCCGUCACGGUUGUUAAAAAGUCAUAUACGCAUAAAAACACAUUUUUAUAUUUAAAAGCACAGCCGUUCUUUGGCGUUAGCUGAAUUCACUCUCACGUGGUGGUUUGGUGUGAAAUGAACUCUAAACUUUAUCCUAGGAGAUACCCUACGCACCUCUUCGAUCGAGGUAAGAAUAUAACCGAAUUUCGUGCCCCUCUAAUAAGCUGGCCCAUAGAACCCGCCACUGCAGUGACCAAUCUAUAACCCACCAAUUCAAUAAAAAUUCAACAGCAUGACAUGGUAAUUUUAUCAUUAUCCAGCCCAUCAAGGCAAACAACAUUUUAUACAUUUUCAACACAAAUACCCAUCCAGCCAUUUAUGCCCACAUUAUCAUAAGCCAUUAAUUCAAAACAUAAUUUACAAUAUAGCAAGUAGUCUCCAAUUACUCCAUUUUCAAGUCAUUAUUCAAUUUCAAGACAAUUUAUAAAAUCAUUUCAUUUAAACACAUUUUUCAUAAAAUUACAAAAUUGGAUAAAAACAUACUUUAGAUAAUUAAGACGAUAAUAAGGUUACUCACAAUGUUAGGAGUUUGAAUUCUUUUAGAGUACUUCGACUAUUGAUCUUCGGGUACAACUUCUUUGCCCUUAUCGGAGGAUUCACCACCUAGACAUAAUGCAUAAUCAAACAAUUUACCAUAUUGGUGCUAAACCGUUAUAAAACUAAUCUACGCUCUAUAUGAAUGCAUGCAAUGGAAUGCAAAUUGUUCGGAUCAUUGUCUAAACACAGUGUUCUAUAUAAAUUCAAUUGUGUACCUAAAUAAAACGAUAUUGGCCUAAUUCGAUCUAUCACCCGACUAAUUGGCCAAUAUGUCCAAUUUAAUUCCAAAUAACUCCAUUUCUAUCCCAAUACUCCAAAUCAUCAAACUCAAGUCAAGUAACAUAAAAUUUAGCAAGAUCAUCUUCACAUUUCUUGUUGGGAAUUUCAGCCAUGGUGGGUGCAUAAACACUAUGGUUUUUCUCACUUGAUUUUUACACCAUAAAUCAUUAAUUCCUAACCAAAUCACUUGAAAUAAAAUCAAGUCCACCAUCAACACACCAUAGGGAAGAUUCGGCCAAUGGAGGGUGAUGGAAGAAAAUGAAUUUUUCUUGUUUGCUUUUCAUGCUACACAUCACUAACUAACUAAAAACACUAGAAUAUAUUGAAAUUUAACCAAAUCCAAGUUCAAAACUCCUCCCCCCAUGUCCGGCCAGCAAAGGUAUCCUCAUGCAAACUUGAUUCUCAACCAUGAAAAAUGAAAAAAAAAUGCAUAGGAAAGGUAGAUCACAAGCUAGAAUUGAAAAAUCUUACAUUUUGUCACUUGAUUCUUUGAAAUUUUGUGAAUUUCUCUUGAAUUUCUUAGCUAGGUUUUUGUUCUUCUUCUUUUCUUCCCUUUUCUUCCUUUGGCCGACCAAGAGAAAUGAGUUGGGAGGGUCUGGUUUAAUGUAAAUUAUAAACAAAUAUAAGCUUGCCACUUGUCACCAUACCAUUGGUCCACAUUUUACACUUAACAAUUAAGCUUUCUUUCUCCACCAUAUAAAAUAUUUCAAUUAUUCACCAUAUAAAAUGUUAAGGGAUGAAAUCUAUGAGUAUGACAAGUGUUGGGUGGUGUAAAAUUACAAUUUUGCCUUCAAGUGGUAAAAUGAUCAUUUUGCCCUUAGGUCAUGAAAAUUUCAUUUUGACUCCAAAUCGAUUCUCGAACUCCGAAUCACCAUAUUAAAUCAUUUUGGGAAUUUAAAAUUCUAAAUUUCACCUUAAAAUCUUUAUUUGGUUUAGUUUGAGGCUUAAUUCAACUUAGUUGUACCAUUCAGUACACUACCAUCUUUUGACGAUUUUUCGGGGCUUUCCAAGUAUGCAAGCAUAUUGUUAAUCACAUGAAUGACAUGGCAAGUAUUUUAUAAGGUCGGGCUUGAUAGCUAUUUUUGUUAAAUUUCAUGUAACUAAGGACAAAUUCAUAUAAUUAAUUAAUAAAAUUAUGAUUAUUAAUUAAAUUGUAAUGUCUUUUAAUAUCUAUAUUUAUAAAGAAUAUAAUUACUAUUUUGUAUAUACACUAUAAUACUAUUAAUAUAUAUACUUUAAAUACAAAUAUAUUUAUUUUUUAUUUUGUGUUAAUAUUAUCAAAAUUAUAACUUAUAAAAUUAUUCAUUGUAAUAUAUAUAUAUAUACACACACUUUAUAGUAUAUAACUUGUAAUAUCUUUUAUCACGUACACUUUAUAUUAUAUAUUAUGUUCAUUUAUAAAGAAUGUAAUUACUAUUGUAUAAAUUAAUUACUAAAUAAUAUAUAUACCUUUGUUUAUAUAAAUUUAUAAUAUAUAAACUUAAUUAUCUAAAAAGAAGUCGUGAGAUUAGAAUAGUUUUAAAACUUAGCUAUUUUUGUUAAAUUUCAUGUAACUAAGGACAAAUUCAUAUAAUUAAUUAAAUUAUUUAAUGAAAUUAUGAUUAUUAAUUAAAUUGUAAUGUCUUUUAAUAUCUAUACUUUAUAUACAUUGGGUUCAUUUAAAAAAUAUAAUUACUAUUUUGUAUAUACACUAUAAUACUUUUAAUAUAUAUAUAUAUUAUAAGUAUAUAUUUACUUUUUAUUUUAUAUUAACAUUAUAAAAAUUAUAAUUUAUAAAAUUAUAAAAUUCAUAUAGCAGAAUUUGUUUUCUUGUGCUUAUUAGAAAAAGACUAUUAACUUGCUUCUCAAUUUCCUAAUCCAAAUGUUUAUGUAAUUGAUGUUAAAAAAAAAACUAAAAACCUUAGCCACUCCUUUCUUUUCUUUCUUUUUUCUCUUUUAGCCGCUUCUUCAGUUCUUUUUCUUCCACAGCCACGCCCCGCGCUCAUUCUUUCUUUUCUCCUUAGCCAUAGCCAUGCCCCACGCUCUUUCUUUUUUCUUUUCUCCCCAGCCACUACCACUGCCAUGCCCCACGCUUCUUCUUCUUUCUUUUCUGCUCCAGAUUCCAGCCACUGCUAAAAUUUUUGGCAUUGAUUUUGUUAUAAGGACCUAUAAGAUUGUUUCCUCAAAAUUGUCUGUAACUUCACACCUUGCAAGAACCUCUAAGAUUUGUGCUUGCGGCUAGAACAGGAACUCUUUUCCUCGGGUCAACCCCUUAACUGGUAUGACUUUCUCAUUCAAGUUAUCAACUAUUUUGUUGCUGUGGUGCGUAAGGAUGUUUGUGCUAUGGCCACUUGUAAACCAUAUUGGGAAUAUGAAUAUGUAAAAUUCUUUAUUCUAUUCUAAAACUGUCAACCAUUCUAAGAAUAACUAUAAGAAGGAAGUUGAAAAAUGAUUUAAAUACAUUUUGUUCUAUGACUUGUCAAGAAAGAACAAAUGGGACAAUAGACUAUAGCUUGUGAUAAUAUUGGGACCUAAGAUCUAUUCAAGUGUUUCCUUGAUUAGAGACAUGGAAUCAAAACCUAAAAUAUGCAAUUAGCUGUAACAACAAAAGCAUGAUAACAUUGAAUUCAGUCAAGAGGCUAAUUUAGAAUAACCAUCAGCAAUUUAACUGAAAAUGUCUUAAGGUAGAUGCUUUAACAAGCUCAGCAUCACAUAACUUCUCAGAAAGGAUAAAACAAAAGAAUUAACUUUCUCACAUCUCCCUUAUUUUUCUCCAUUGAAUGGCUAUUCACUUUACUUUAAGAUACAGCUUCUCCUUAGUAGCACUAGCAACCAUAUUCCUUGUUAAUUUAACCAUAAUCUCAAAGCUUUGUUAUCAGUUUCUUUGUAACUUUUAAACAUUAAUAUUCAGUGUGUUGCAGGGCUAUAUUUAUUUUUUUCAAAAUUGAUUUAGACAUUGAUUUUGUUAGUUUUAUGUUUCUAGGUCUUUUGAAAAAUGGACGCAGCUAACAAAUGUGAUGAUAAUAUUAAUUAUAAUUACAAUAAGACACUCUCUCAAUCAUCAGCAUAUGUAAGGUCAAGUUCACAACAAACAUCUUUAGUUGAGCCUUCUAGAACUCCUGCUAGUGGUAGUCAACCUUUGAUCUCGGCUAUCGAAAGUAAACCUCCAUUGUGUAGUUCAAGUACCAAACGUCGUUGCAAAUUAACUUCAGAGGAUUGGAAUCAUUUUGAAAAGAAAAAUAUCGAUGGGGAAGAUGUGGCAAUUUGUAAUUAUUGUAAAGCUAUUCUUAAGCCCAAAAUCAAGAAUGGAAUAAAAGCUUUAAACAAUCACAUGAGUACUUGUGCAAGGAGAAAAAAUUCAAGCAUUGAACAAUGCUUUGAAAAGCAAAAGCAACUUUGCAUAAAUACACAAGCUGAUGGGACGAUUCAGAUUAGAAAUUGCACAUUUGAUCAAGACAUUUCAAGACAUGAGUUGGCUUGUGCUAUAAUCUUGCAUGAAUAUCCGCUUUCUAUUGUUUUUCAUGCUGGUUUUAAAAAGUUUGUUGCUAGUCUUCAACCCUUGUUUAAGAUGGUCUCUCGCAAUACAAUUAAAGAGGACAUUCACAAGAUUUAUUACUCAAAGAAAUCCAAGCUAUAAUAGGGGUUUGAGAAGUUAAAAAGUCGAAUAGCAAUCACGACGGAUAUAUGGACUUCAAAUCAAAAGAAAGGUUACAUGUCCGUCACUGCUUAUUAUAUUAAUGAAUCUUAAGAGUUGCAAAGCUAUAUCUCGAGGUAAGCAAUUUUUAUUCUAAUUCUUUAAAUUGUGUUAUGCUAUAGAUUAAUGGUUUUAUGAAAAAAAAUUUAAGCAAAUUCAUUAAUAUUAUUUUGUAAACAUGUAGAUUUGUAUAUGUCCUAGCAUUUCACACGAUGUAUGUUCUUGCUCAAGAAAUGAUGAAUGCUUUGGCUGAAUGGUAGAUAGAGAACAAACUCUCUACUAUUACUGUGGAUAAUUGUAGCUCCAAUAAUGGUAUGAUUUUUAUCCUAGUGAAUAACUUAGGUUCUGAACUUUUACUUGAUGGAAGAAUUCUUCACUAGAUGUUGUGCACAUAUAUUGAAUCUUGUUGCUAGAGAUGGAUUAUCUGUGAUUGAAAAUGUUUGUGAUAGUGUAGUAUAUUGGUCAGUUAGUCCAUCUAGAUUGGAAAAAAUUGAAGAAGUGGCUCGCUAAGCUAAAGUGUCGUAUUCUAAAAAGUUGAGUCUAGAUUGUAGAACUAGAUGGAAUUCAACUUAUGUGAUGCUUCGGACUGCUAUAGGAUACAAAGAUCUCUUUCCUAGGUGGAAACUUAGAGACAAAGGUUACUCUUAUAUGCCUAGUGAGGAAGAUUGGGAGAGAGCAAAAAAUAUUGCUGACAAGUUGGAAAUGUUUUAUGAUCUCACUAAUUUGUUUUUUGGGACAGAGUGUCCUAUUGUAGAUUAUUUUUUUUGUCAAAGUUUGUAAACUUCGAAUUGCAAUUGCGAAUUGAAUGUGCUUUGAUGUUGUGACAAUUAGUGCAAUGGCAAAGAAAAUUUUUGAUAAGUUUGAAAAAUAUUGGAAGGAUAUUCAUAUUGUGCUAGCUGUGACGAUUAUCUUGGAUCUUAGGUAUAAAAUGAAGGUGGUUGAGUAUAUUUUUUCUAAAAUUUAUGGUGGUGCUGUAAAUUAUGAGAUUGAAGAAAUUAGGAAAACUUGUUAUGAUUUACUUCAAGAAUACUAGAGUAAAUCCACCAAUCUAAAACUAGAGUCUUCUCAUAAUUCAUUAGCAACAACAUAUGAUGAAUCACCCGAACCAGAUGAAUGUAUGUUGUAUGAAUUUCUUAAUUCUUCUAUUGAUGGGCAUGUGAAGUUAGAAUUGGAUCAUUAUUUGGAAGACAAAGUUUUGCCAUUUACUAAAACUUUUGAUAGUUUGAGUUGGUGGAAGACAAAUGGGAUAAAGUAUUCCACUUUACAAAUGAUUGCUAGAGAUUUUCUCGCUAUUCCUAUUUCUACAGUUGCAUCUGAGUCAGCCUUUAGCACUGGUGGGAGAGUGGUGACUGACCAUCAAAGUAGGCUUAAAUCAUACACUUUGGAGUCAUUGAUGUGCACUCAAAAUUGGUUAAGGAAUGAAAAGAAAGGUAAAUAAACUCACUAUUUUUUUAUUUCAUUUGUUUUCUUUAAAAAAUUAUCUAUUAUCCUAAGUGUUAUAUAUAUUCUUAUUUUUUUUAUUUGUUUUGGAUCAUGUAUAACAAUUGAAGAUUCAAUUGGACACUUGUUGACACUGACACGGAUGAAGAUGAUUGAAUUGUUCAUGAGCUUGCCUUAUUGUCAAUUUGUAAUGUUGUUUAACUAGGUGUUUGGAUAUUUAUUUUAGUUAUUUAAGUUUAUGUUGUUGUUGUUUGGAUAUAUGUGUUUGGUUAUUUAAGUUUUUGUUAUUUGUUUGGAUCUUUGUGUUUAGUUAUUUAAGUUUAUGUUGUUAUUUGGAUAUUUAUGUAUAGUUAUUUAAGUUUAUAUCAUUGUAUGGAUAUUUGUUUUUAGUUAUUUAAGUUUAUGUUUAAGAUCUUUGUUUUUGUUAUUUCAAUUUAAAUUUUAUUAUUUCUAUUUUUAUUAAUUUAACUAGUAGUUAAUUUUAUGAAAUACGUAGAGAAAUAUUAUUGUAUAUGUAUACAGAUUCGGAUAAUUGGGUAUCCAUGAAGAAGAUUUUAAUAAUUUGUUAAUCUAAUCAGGUUUUUAAAUAUGGUAGUAAAAAUGUAAUAAGGCUAAGCUUAGGAUAGUAAUUUUUAAAAUUAUUCGGGUAGUUAAUAGGGUUAGGGUAGUUGAUUUUUUAUAGGGUUAGGGUUCGGGCAUCUCGAAAUUAUAAGGUACCCUACUCGUUGACAAUCCUAACAAGGGGACAAAUUGACAUAAAGGGUAAAAUGGUAAUUUCAUCUUUUGUCAUUGGAUGGUUAUGAGGGUUCACAAUAUAAGGUUUGCAAUUGAGCAACUAAUAAUUAAUAUCAAGUAUUGAAUUGUUUCUUGUAAUUUUAGUUAAUCCAAGAGUACAACUAUGAAUCUAUGGUGGAGUGAUUUCAUGGUUAAUAAGUUUGAAUCAUUUUUAAUGAGAUUAAGAAUAAUUAUAAGUUUAUUGGAGAUUGGAAUAUCCAUGUCCAAAGAGAUUCCUCGCUUAGCUUCGUAGAAUUCAACUUAUUUAAGUUGGAAUGCAUGUUUUAAUUUAAUUAAUUAAAUUGUGUACAAAAAUGACAGUUUCAUGUUUGUCUUAAUUUAGAUAAGAAAACAUGUUUGGUUUUGAUUUAGACAAGAAAAUAUAUUUGCCUUAAGUUAAGACAAGAAAAAUAUUUUCUGUCUUAAUCUAGACAAGAAAACAUAUUUGUCUCAAUUUAGACAAGAUAAAAUAUUUUUGUCUUAAUUAAAUAUAAGAGUUGUCUUAAAUUUAGAUAAUGCUAGCGGGAUUCUUGUAAAAUGAAUCUAAAUAUCCAUGUUGAUAAAAAGAGACUCCAUGUUUUACUAUCACUCUUUUAUUUAUUAUUAAUUCUUUAUAAAUAAAGAUGGAUAAUAAUAAAAUAAGAGUUAUUAGUCAAUAAGAAGUUUUAUUUAUCAAGAACUCUAAAUGAUACUUAAAGAAUUAAAUUUUUUAUUCUUUAAUUUUAAUUUUGAUAAUUAUGUAGUAUGUUUAAUGCUUCCAUAACUCUAAAUAGAUAGUCAAGAUCGAUUUAAAGGUGUUUAAUUGUGACACCCAGUAUCCUAGUAUAGAAAUCAAUAUGACCUUAUCAGUGAGACAAAGGGUCAAUGGAUGCUGAUUUAAGUGCCAAAGGAUGGAGAUGGGUGAAAAGAGUAUUUUAAGAUAAAAUAUUCCGUACGUAAGAAAAAAAAAAAAAUUUUUAUCAAGAAAAAAUUUGCAAGAUAAAAGGUGAUUCAGAUGUGAAUCAAGGCAAGGUAAGAUGUUUUGGAGCCUCAGAAGGCUAGUGGAAAUUUUGAGAUAAAAUAUUAUUUUAUUAAUAAAAUAAUAUUAAAAUAUUAAUAUUUUAUUCGAUGUCAAAAUUUUUCAUGAUGGAGAAAUAUAUGGUCAAUCUAAGUGGAAGAGAAGAAGGAUGAGGAAAUUUUAAAGAAAAAUGAUGUUAAUGGGGCCUAACGUGUUUUUAUUAAAUAAAGCUAGCGUUGGAUAAAUAAAUAUUUAAAUAUUACGGUGUUAUCGCGUUAAAUUAUAAAUUUGAUAUUUAUUGGUACAAGUGUUAAGGAAGAAAAAUGAAAAGAAAUUGGAAUCAAAAGAUUAUGGGAGGAUACAAUUAAAAAGGGUGAAAACCUUGGAAGGCAAAACGAUAAUUUUUCAUAAAGCUUGGUCAAAGCUUCCUUUGGAAGCUUUGACUCUCCAUCCUUAUCCCAUGGCCGACCAUUGUGUCCAAGGCAUCAUCUUCCUCCUUCAUCUCCUCCCAAUGCUGUCACAGCCCAAUUUUAGGGCCAUGAUCGGUGCAAGGGCCCAAUGGGCUCAGGCCACUAAGCCUAAGCUAGCUUAUUUAUAUAAUCUUAUACAUUAAUCAACAUUUCUUUAAAAUCUACAAUUAGUAGUGUUCAAAUAUAGUUCCUUUGAAAACAAUUCAUAAAACCCAAUCAUGCAUUCAAAUGGCAUCAUCAACCAUUAUAUACAUACAUAGAUUAACAAAUGAAUCUUAAUAUUUCACAUCAAGUAUUCAUAUACACAUAAUUAGACCUUGACCGUCAGCGGAGUGACUCUGGGUACGGUUGCUAAUGUUUAGUGUCAUGUUAAACCUACCGAGCAAUGGAUAGGGAGGAGCACUUCGUCCUAGGAUCCAAUCACCUUUAACUCAGAAAACCUAAAACAUGAAUUUUUAAAACGUGAGUACAAACUCAAUGAGUGAACAUAGGAAGGGAACAAGCAAACGUUAAGGAAUGUUUAGAAAUCAUGAUGCACUUAAGUUCCAAAAACAAUGCAAUUUAGCUUAUUUCUUAUAGAAAAACCCCUCAUUCGAGUCCUUGUCGUUUAGUCACUUGAUGACGAAAGACCCAUGAACAACAAAGAAGUUGAAAAGUGAAAACUUUAGUACAAUUCAAGCAAGUCAAGCAUAAUAGAUUGACUCUCACUGCAGUGAAAAGGUAUUCUCGCUGCUAUGAAAUUCUGGCCAGAUAAAAUCCAAAGGGCUUUCACUGCCACCGAAAAAAUCCAUUCAUGCCACAUUACACAUUAAAUUGACACAUUGACAAUACUUAAAUUUUCAACAUUCAAUGCAAUCACAUAUUAAAUCCAAACAUCUCUAUAUAGUAAAUAUAUAUAUAUAUAUAUAUAAGCACAUACACCACCAUCUCACCCAGCUCAUGUGCAUCCCCCCACAUCUUGCACAUAGCCGGACAGCCCGUCUCACCCAGCUCAUGUGCAUCCUCCCACAUCAUGCACAUAGCCGGAGUCAUUGUGUGCAUCCCCCCACAUUGUGCACAACCAAUAUCAUUGCUUUAUACAUCCCCCCACAUCAUGCACAAGCGAUAUCAUCAUCGUGUGCAUCCCCUCACAUCGUGCACAGCUAAUGCCAUCAUGUGCAUCCCCCCACAUCGUCCACACGGGCAAUAUCACCAUCCAUCUCCCUCACCACCGUCAUCAUUGGCAGAUCCACACUCACCCUGCACAUGCACGGUUGCAUUUUGUCACACAAUGUACCAUUUAUGACAUAGUAUAUAUAUAUAUAUAUUAAUAUUAUACAGAAACACAUGGAUUCAUCACACUAUCCAUUUCAUAACAUAAAAACAUUUCAUAAAGGCUUGUUCCCGUGCGAGUUUUUGAAGAAAAACCAAUAAAACGUUUUAGGGGAUUCAAUCAAACAUAAAUGUGUACAUCCAAAAACAUUUUAAUGCAAGUUCACUCACCUUACGAUAGCGAGACAUUACAUCGCUAUUUGUUCGGAGGUGUAUCUAGCUAUUCCUACUUGCCGAUCGCUCGUUAUUUCCCCCGGCACACCACUACAGUACUCUAACUUUACCUUUGCACUUCCUAGCAAUCAUACAAAUGCAAUACCUUUAGUGUACAUCAUUCCUACUUCUCUUUUUCCUUCCAUCUGAAUACUUAUUCAACUAACUUAUAUCUUGACACAUUUUUACCAAAGUUGCCUUUAUCCUUUACUUGCGUAAUUCUUUAAAUUAUAGAUACCGGCAACUUGUUUAUAACUUUAGCACAUACAUUAACCUUUUCUAAGGAUAUUUAUCAAGUUUAACCAUCAUUUUCGUAACAAUUAGCUAACAUAUGGCAACAACUACAAAUUUACUUCCAUCAAACACUUUCUAAGUUUACAUGUAACACUAUUCUCAUUUACAUGUUGCCAUCAAGCAUAACAUCAAUAUCCAUUCAUAUGCACCAACAUCCAUAACCCUUUUAAGCUUUUCCUAAUAACACAUAUAUCCACACAAUUCAUUUCUUUUCCAAGUUUCCAAUUAAUAUAAUUACUUUCCAAUCAUACCCAUGACACCACAAUAACACUACAUAUUGCACACAAUCAUUCUCACCAUAGUAAACCAAUCAUAGGCUUCAAAUUAUAGCAUGAAGCUUACCACUUAGUUUUAGCUUGGAUUUCAACUAACAAAAUUUAUAAUUCCCACACACCCAUGGUGUAAAACCCGACCCUAUAAAUACAUGUCAUGACAUACAUGCAUUGAGUAGUAUGUUAUUACGCUAGAAAAGCACCUAAGAAUAGACGAAACUUGAUAUUGUACCUAACAGUACACUUAAAUUGAUUUAACCUCGAACUAGUUCAAAUAGGAAUUGUAGGAUGAAAUUUAAUAUUUUAUAGUCCAAGAAUGACUAAAAAUGAUUGUUCGGAGUUCGAGGGUUCAUUUGGGGUAAAAUUAGAAAUUUUGAUAUUCAAGGGCAAAAUCGUCAUUUUGCCACCUAAGAUAAUAAUUUGAUCAUGGAGUGAAAUUUUUGACCAAGAUUAACUAUUUGGAGUAUAAUUUAAUGAUAGGAAGUGAAAAAGUUUAAUUCUGGUGAUUUUUGGAGUGUAGGGGCAAAAUCGUAAUUUUGCCACCCACGGACAAAAUUUGAGAUUUUGAGAGAAUUUAGAUCAAAUUUGACAAAUUGGAGAAUGGUAUGAGUAUAAGGGAUGAAAAAUAUGUCUAUGGGCAAUUUUUCAAUUUUUGGGGCAAAAAUGUAAUUUUUGACUUUUACGGGGGCAAAAGUGUAAAUUUCAAAAAUUACUCCACCGAGACUUUGGAUAAGUCUGAGAAUUUUAUCUAAGCUAUGGAUAUGUGGGACAAGUGUAUGGUGAAAAUUUGGAAACAAAUGGAUGAAAUUUUAAAAAUGGGCCAAUGGGAAAGUGACACGUGGCAUUUUUUAAUGAAAUAAUAUUAUUUUAAUGAAAAGUCAGCCCAUUUAAACCCAAAUUUUGAGUGCUGGCCGGCCAUAAGGAAGAACAAGAGAGGAAAUAGAGAGGAAAGGAAGAAAAAAAGAAAAACCAAAGAGAAACAAGAAAAUUCAAAGGGAAAUUCGCGGUUUUCGACCGUUUACGCGUCUAACGGUAAGAUUUUUCGAUUUUAGCUUGAUUUCUACCUUUCCUAUGCCUUUAUUUCCAUUUAGCAUGCUUGAGGAGAGAGAUCAAAAAGUGAUAUCAAGGGCUGGACGAAAUUCUAGGGGAGAGAAAUUGAAAUUUUUAGGUUUUGAUUUUUAGUUAAAUUGAUAGUUUUAGUUAGUUAAAUGUGUUUAGAAAUUAAAUUGGGCAAGAAAUCAUUAAAUUUUCACAAUACCCACUCUUGGCUGGAUGCUCAAUGCUGUACAAUGAUGAUGAAUUGAUUUUAUUCUAAGGAAAAUGAAGAGAAAAUGAUGAAAAACGAUUAAACGUGAUAGAAAAACAAAGUAGAAAAUUAACCGAGUUAAUGUCCCAUUUUUGGCCGAAUUUUCCAAGGAAGGGAGUGAGCUGAUUUUGUUGUUUUUAGAAGGUUAUUGGCUGAUAUUUAAUGGUUAGAAAUGUUGGAGAGAGAAUGGGAUGAUUUAGAGCUAAAAUGGAGCGCGUUAGCAAUUUAUCGGGCAAAGUGCCAAAAAUAGGUUAAUACCGCGUUUAAGCCGUUUUAGGCUAUUGCAUUUCAUACCAUGCAUUAGUAUAGGAUUUAAGUUAAUUAUAUAGUGAUUUAGCAUCAAUGUGAUGAAUUGUGUAAAUUUUUGUAAUGUGUCUAGGAGGAGAGCCUUCCGGAAAAGGCAAAGAAGUCGUACCCGACGAGUAGUGAUCGGGGCGCUUAGAAAGCUUUUAGUUUGUACAAACGGUGAGUAAACUUAUUAUUAUUGUAAAUUAUCUAGAGUUUAUUUUUAAAUGCCCUUUAUGUAUUUUAUGAAAUGAAAACGAGAUUAAAACGGGAUUUUUGAUGUUUUAGGAAUAAAUGUGACAAAUAAAAAUAUAUUGUAUUGAUUAUGAAAUUGAGUAAUUGGAGGCUACAAAUUGACUUGAAAAAUAUAUAUUUUCCUAGGAAUGGCUUAUGAGAAAUGAGUAUAUGUGGCUAUAUUUUGUGAAUGCAUUGGGAAAUUUAUGUAAGUUGUUUUACUAUGCAGGCUGGAUAAAUAAAUAAAAGCCACGUUAUACUGUCGAAAUUUUAUUAAAAUUGGUGGGUUAGUCACUGCAGUGACGGGUUUCCGUGGACUGCCUAUUAGAGGGGCACGGUAAACCCAGUUAUAUAGUUACUCCGGUUGUAGAGGCGAGGAGGGUAACUCCUGGGGUAGUAUUAGAGCUCACUUCACGUCGAACCCCCACGUGAAUGUGUAACUCGGCCAACGCCAAGGAACGGCUGGUUUUAAAAAUAAAAAUGUGUUUCACGUGUGAAUAUUUUAACACCCUUGGCGGACUCGGUUAGAUGCCUCGGCCAAGGUAUCCCCGAGGAUUAGUUUUGGCUUGAGCCUUGUUUUAAUAAAAGACAUAAGCCUUAACAACUGUUUUGGUAAAUUACAAAUAUUUUAUGGUUUAAGAAAUAAAUUGAAAACAUUAUGAAAUGGGUUGAAAUUUGUUGUUUAAACUUGCCUCCAUUUUACUCGCCUUUAGAUAUUUAUGAUAAUGUCUGUUUACUCAUUGGGAUUGCAAAAUCUCACCCAACUCCUUUCCACCCAUUUCAGGUUCAGUAUAGACUGUAGAUAGCUGAUCUCAUCGAGGACUACCAUUGGAUCUGCAUUUUCCAAACCGUAGGUUCACAGUCCUCUUUACUUUUGUUUUUUCGGGGGCCCUCUUGUUAUUGUAAAUUAAAUUAAAUAUUUUGGCUUACUGUAUUUCAGUAUGUAUAAAUUUAUUUAGCUUUUACACUAUAAAAAUUAUUCACGUAUAACUCUAUAAAUAUUGUUUUAUAAGAAAAUAGAAUAUUUUCUGUAAUAUUUCUUUUAUUUUCUUAUUAUAUUCAAAUAACCGUAAUUUCAUUUUAAAUGAAGAUUUUAGACUUUUAAACUCAUUUUGAAUAUGAAUUAUGUGUUUUGUACUUGUAUAUUAUGUUUUAGCCAGUUUCGAAAUUUUUGAGAAAAAAAUGACCAAAAUACCCCUGUGUGGUGAAAAUUUUAUUUUGAUUGUUUUUGAUCUAAAAUAGUAUAUAUUCUCUAAAAACUCGAUAUUUAACAAUGAUUGCUCACAGAAAAGGAAAGAAACUGAUAUGUAAGCCUUGCGGGGUUCUGGUUGGCAUUCCGGAUAAUGAGUGUCAAUCGGGACGUCGCGGCGAUUGUCAUGGGCUUGAGGGAGGUUCCGGGUCGUGACACAUGGUCACCAUAGCUGCCACAAAAUGAUUCACUCAUUAUUUUUCCAAGGAUUUAACCAACCAUGAACUUAAAACACAAAAUCCUUACCUUAGCUUGCUUAAAUUACAAAACCAAGCUUUUUCUUCCUUUCACUCUUUUUCUUUCUUCUUCUCCUAGGGUUUAGAUGUGCUGGAAAUUGGGGUUAGAAGCUUCAAGUUUAGUGCCCUAGAAGUUUGGAGAAGAAAUAAUUAAGAAAAGAAAGGAAAUGAGAAGAAACAAGGAAAAUCACAUGAAAAAUUUGAUUCAUGAACUUGACAUGAAAAUGGCCUUGGAAGCUUCAAGAAGGAGAAGAAAAUAUCUUGCUAGAGGAGAUAAGGGUAGUUUUGGGCUGAUAAAGGACCAAACUUUGUGUAAAAUUAUCGUUUUACCCUUCAAGUUUCUUAUCUUUUUAAUUUAGUCCUCCCAACACUCAUUUAACUCUAAUUUCCUUCUAUUAUCUUCUUCUAUACAUGUACAAACAAAGUAUAAAGUUUGUAUUCCAGCACGAUAUGCCCAUAAUAUUUAAAAUAUUUAUUUACUCUCGCUAUCUUUACUUAAUAAAGACACGUGGCCCCAUUAACGUCAUUUUUCUCCAAAAUUUUUCUCAUUCUUCUUCUCUCCCACUUAGAUUGACCAUAUACUCAUUCUUCAUGGAAAAUUUUGAUACUGAAUAAAAUAUUAAUAUUUUAAUAUUAUUUUAUUAAUGAAAUAUUAUUUUAUUUUAAAAAUUUUCUCUUGUCUCCUUGGUACUCAAAAUACCUUAUUAUGCCUCAAUUGACUUUCGAAUCACUUUUUAUCUAAAAAAUUCUUCUCUGAUAAAAAUAUUAUUAUUUUAUUAUUAUUUCCUCACGUGCGAAAUAUUUUAUCCCAAACUAUUCUUUUCGUCUUCUAUCAUUUUUAAACAUUAUAAUUAAUCUCAAUUGGCAUCCGAUAAGCUUUAUUAGUCACCAUAUCAAAGUAUGAGGUAUUACAAAUGCCAUUUUUGUUCCUCCACCAUAAAAUUCAAGAUUUUCAUUUUUCUUUUCCUUAUUUUCUUUUCUUUUCUUGCUCCUUCCUUCUCCUAACUUCUUGGGCAUAAAACCUGCAUCUUCUAACCCCAAUUUCUAGCACAUCUAAACCCUAGGAGAGAGAAAGAAAAAUCUCUCUCCCUUUCCUUUGUUUUCUAUUUCUACUCCACUAUCAACAACACUUGCUUUUUUAGCUUCAAAUCUUUAAGGCUAAAAGGUAUAUAUUUUCAACUCUUGAAUUUUUGAAUUUAUGGGUUUAUAAUUUUUAGACUUUAUUUUCUAAGUUUCUUCAAAUUUUCUUACCUUGAAAUUGCUAGAUUUGGUUGAUCUUUAUACCUUCAAGUACCAAGGUAAAGAAACUUCAAACUUGAAUAAUUAGUUCAAUGGGUUUGUGAAUUAGACUAGAAUUCUAGGUUAAAAGUUGGGUUAGAGUGUAGAUUGUAUAGUGUAUGUUUAUUAGAAUUAUUAAAUUCAAAUUAUGACUUGAUGGAGGUUGUUAUGGCUUAUUGGUAAAUAUAGGUUUUAACAGUAUUUCGGGACUACUUGGAUUAAGACUUUGUGGGCACUAGUCUUGUAAGGUGGCAUUAAGGUGAGUGAACUUGCAUUAAAUGUUUUAGGAUAAAUGCAUAUGUAUUUCGUUGAAUCACUUGAAAUAAUUUUAUUGAGCUUUUCUUUAAAUAUGCAUGGGAACAAGCCCUUGAUGAAACAUUUUUAUGUUGUGAAAUAUUAAUGUGAUGAACUCAUGUGGUUCUACAUUAUGUUGACGUGUAUGUUAUCCAUUGAAUAACACUAUUGGGUGACAAUUGUAACUGUGCGUGUGCGGUGUGGGAGUGCACAUGAUGGUGAUAGUGGUGUGCUGUGUGAGUGCACACAUUGAUGAUAUAUGCCAUGUGCGUGAUAGUGGUGUGCUGUGUGAGUGCACACAUUGAUGAUAUAUGCCAUGUGUGAGGGGGGAGUGCACAUGAUGAUAUUGCCUUGUGCGGUGUGGGAGUGCACAGGAUGAUUUUAGCUUUGUGCAGUGUGAAAGUGCACAUGAGCUGGUGAGAUGGGAGUUGUAUACAUGUAUACACAUACAUAGAGAGGUUAGGGAAAGUAAUAUGUGUUUGCAUUGAAUAUUGAAUGUUAAUAUUUGAAAAAUGCUUUCCAAUUGAUUUUCACUGCAGUAAAAAUGGAUUUUCAUUGUGACCAAAAUUCUUUUAAUGUCAUUGCCUUGUUUCUCGCUGCAGUGAAAUUCAUUCUAGCUGCAGCGAGAAACUCUUGGGUGCUGAGGGCUUGACUAGUCUAGAAUUUUGUUGCAGUAAAAAUGCAUUCUUGAUGUAGUGAGAAACUCUCUGGUUGUUGGCUCAAAAUUUUGCCCUAAAGUUUGCUGCAGCAAAAAUACCUUUCCGCUGUAGCAAGAUUUGCUUUGCUAUGCUUGCCUUGCUUGAACUUCCUAAAUGUUUUAAAUGAGUUGAAAAACAGCAUGGCAUCGGGUUUGUUCAUAAUAUACAAAUUGCAUUGUUUUUAAACAAGUGCAUCAUAUUUUCGAAAAGCUCUCCGUAUCGUUUGCUUGUUCCCUUCCUAUGUUCACUCACUAGGUUUAUAUUCAUCCUUUUCAACUUCAUGUUUUAGUUUUUAGGUUCGAAGAUAGUUAGAUCUUAGGUGAAGGCACUUCCUUCUGUUCAUCUUAUGGUAGGCUUACCAGAACAGUCCAUGAUAGUAUCCAUGCCAGAGUCACUCUACUGAUAGUCAAGGUAUUUUGUAUGUAUGGUUAUUUAAAUGUAAUUCAUGAGAUUUGUUGUAAACAAUAUAUGUUUGGUUUGCAUGAUAAUGUCACCACGGUUGGCAAAUGGUAAUAUUAUUUUGUGAAUGGUAUUGUUCAGUUGCCAUCAUUUAUUUUUGAAAGGAAAUUAUUUUUGAAAAUAAUGAAUUAAGAACCUUAGAGGUAAAAGAGGGACAAGUGGUCUAAUAAACAAGUUUUCAUGGAAAGGCUUGCUUGGGCCUAGUGGGCCACACUUAUUGGGUCCUUACGACGGUAAUAGCUUCGGAAUUGGGCUAUGACGUUGAUUUUGAUUAAACCUUUAAGGCAAGAGUUUUAAUAGAAAGAGAAAAGAUUGGAAGAAAAGAAACGUAUGUACUUUUUCUUGAAAAAGUUUUAGUCAUCACAUUUCUCCUCCUCCUCCAAACUUUGUCGUAUCUUUCUUCCUCUCUCCCAUUCUUGGCUGAAUUUUUUGAAAGAAAAGUAGCCAUUAAUUUUAGGAAGAAAAAAAAGACAAAAUGAGUUGCCAUCUUGUAGUCUAGCAUUCCAAACCUUGUUCACUCAAGGUUCAAGUUGAAAGCAUUUUUGAAGAAUAAGUGGUAAACUUGUUUGGUCGAGAAAUCAUUCAUUGGUGUGGUGGUGUCCAAAAAUCAGAAUCUCAAAAUAAAAGGUAUGUUUUUUCUUACUUAAUAGAUUCUUAUUUUUUUUAGAUUGUGAUUAUGUUACUUGCAAUAAGAAUGAUGUGUGUUUCCACUUGCGUAAUUCGAUUUCUUGCUUCCAUUAUAAAUGAAAUUUUUUGAAAUCCAUGCUUUACAUAAUCACAUCAAUCCACUAAGAUCCUACUCCAACAGUAGGUCCUUAUUUCGACAUGUUGAUUUCGCUGAGUCUAUCAUGAGCUUUCACCUUUGGAGUUUGGUUUAGUGGUUAUGCAUGUAGGCUUGAUGUGCCAUUCAGACUUGUAUUAAGGGUUGUUAAGUACAAACCUACUUAGUUGGCCAAUGUAUGGCAUUAUGGAUAAUAUAUUAGAUAUUGUGUGCAAAUUGUUUGCCAAAGGGCAACGUUUAUGUAUUUGAGUUUAAAUAUUAUAUAAAUAUAUGAGUUUGGAAACCUUUGGCAAUGUGUGUAUGAUUUGGAAUUCCAAGACUUGUUUUGGUCUCGUGGGCUUCACUUGUCAGACUCGUGUGUUGGUCAUAGACCUCAGGUUUGGGUUGUGACAUUAGCCUUGAGUUACAUCAUGUUUUGAUUUGACAAAAAUUGCAUGAUCUCUUAAGCAUUUAAAAUUGUCUCCAUCAUAUUUUUCAUCCCAUAAAGUCACAAAAUUGUUUGAAAAGGCAUGCAUCUUUAGAAAAUAUCACAAAACCUUUCAAACAAUGAAUAUUCAACUAAGUAAACAAAAAGCAUACAUGCAUUGAAUUAUUAUUUGAUUAUAAGAAUAAGGCAAAGAAGAAAUAGCUGGAGAAAGGUGCCAAAAAGUCAAGGAAUCCUCAAGACACAAGUCAAGAGUCGACCCUAGAGAAGCUCAAGUCGAUCCAAAGGUAGAAUGGUUGAAGAACAAGUGAAGAAUCAUGAAACAAAUAAGACAUAGUCUACCCUUGGAUGUUUAGAGUUGACCUUGAAGCAAAAAACUCAAAAAAUUGAAGAAUUAGCAAACAUAGUGAAGAAAAGGUUAAGGCCAUUCAUCAUGCCACAGCAGCACGAUUUGAUGAUAUCGACCAAAAUAUCUAGUGCAUGCUCCAACAUCAAGAAUCCCUAGAAGCCUACAUUGCACAACUCCUUUAAAAGGAGGACCUUAGCUUGGAUAUCUUGUAAUUCACUCACUCAUGCAUUCCAUUUUCAUGUUUAUAUUUAUAUUUAUGUUCAUGUAACCUAGAUGCUUGACUAUAUAUGUUUAUAUUUUUAAACUUUCAUGUACUUAAAGGAUAUAAUGUUCACAUGAUUUUUUGUGUGUGUGGCAUUCUUGGUAUUAAUAUAUGAUGUUCUUAAGUUAUGAUAGAUAAGCAUAUUUUCUCAUGCUUUGCUUAAACAUCCUUGAUUGAAAAUAUAUUUGUUAUUGCUUCUUGGCUAUGCUAAAUGAAUAUAUUUCCUUAUGCUUUGCUUGAAUACAUGUUGAUUGGAAAUAUAUCUUGAUUUAAUGCUCUCAAACUAUGAUGAAUGGAUAUAUUUCUUGAUCUCUUAAUUAAAUAUCUUUGCAUGAAAAUAUAUCUCAUUGUUUUGAUUUGAUGGUUAUGGAUUAUUAUUGGCCUUAAUGCUUAUCUAUGCUUAAUGAUUUUCGAGAACCAUUGUUUCUUGAGUUUAAGUACUUAAAGCUCACACUUCUAUUCAUUUUGAUAUGACAAAAAGGGGUAAAAGGUAUAUGAGCACAUUGUAAUGUUCUUGUAUGACUUAAAGCUAAAAUGUUUAAGAACAUUUUUGAACUUCAUGCAUAAGUUGAAGGGGAGAAUUUUUAAAGUUCUUAUUCAUAUCUUAUACCAUUUUCACUUACACUUACAUGUUUUCCAAAAAAAAAAAAGGUGUAGAGACUAAUAAAGUUAGGGGAGGUUUCAAGAAAUUUCAAAUGCAAUAUGCUUAUGUUUUUGUCAUAUAAAAAAAGGGGAGAUUGUUAGCCUUGAGUUGCAUUAUGUUUUGAUUUGACAAAAAUUGCAUGAUAUCUUGACUUUAAUGUCAAGCAUUCAAAAUUGUUUUAAUCAUAUUUUUUAUCCUGUAAAGUAACAAAAUUGUUUGAAAGGCCAUGCAUCUCUAGAAAAAAUCACAAAAGUUUUCAAACAAUGAAUAUUCAACUAAGUAAACGAAAAGCAUACAUGCCUUGAAUUAUUAUUUGAUUAUAGGAAUAAGGCAAGGAAAAAAUAGCUGAUGAGAGGCACCAAAAAGUUAAGAAAUCCUUAAGACACAAGUCAAGAGUCGACCCUAGAGUAGCUUAUGUUAAUCCAAAGGCAGAAUGGUUGAAGAACAAGUAAAGAUUCAUAAAACAAAGAAAACAUAGUUGACCCUAAAGCAAAAAGCUCACAAAAUUGAAGAUUACACAGUCAUAGUCAACCCUAUGAUAACUCUAUUUUAUAGAGUUAUUUGGUCUUAAUUUUCAAUAAUUUUGUCUAAGUUCUUGAGACUUAUCUUAAGUAUUAAUUGUUUUUAGUUAUUUUUAACUAUUUAUAUUAUUUUAUUUAAUUAUUAUGAGAUCAAUUGCAUUUGGCUAUUUUAUGUUAUUUAAGUUUAGUUAUUAUUUAAGUUAGUUAUGUUUUUGUAAGUGUGCUUUGAAAAGAAGGCCUAUUUUGUGAAGGAGAUGCAUUUUUGGCGCAGACUUCAAAUGCACAUGUUUCAGUAUUUUAAGCAUAUCUUUCAAUACAGAAGUCCAAUUGAAGUGAUUUUUGGACCAUUUGAAAGUUAAGAGGUACAAUAUUUAUGUUUACUACUUUGCCCAGUUUAACCUCAAAGUAGGAGAAAAUCAUGUUGAAAGUCAGUGCUACGAUGCUCACACCUCAUGGCCACAGUGACCCAACAAGGCAAGGACACUUUAAGGGUUUGCCUAGUGGAAUUUUAGUGUUUUAAGGACUCCGAAUGGCCAUGGACUUCAACCCUAUUUAAAUCACUCUUCUAUAGCUAAAAACAAACAAUAAUUAAGCUUGGAUUUUUUUAAGAAAAUGAGGCGUUAAAGCUAUCAAGGAAGCAAGGAAAACAAGGAAGAUUACAAAUUAAAAGCGUGAUAAAUAUUAUAGUUCUUUCUUUUCUUGUUAUCUUAAUACUUUCUUAUUUAGUUUUAAAGUUUAUGCUUUUUAGAUGAUUUUUACAAAUAUUAUGUCGAACUAUGCUGUUAAUUUGAAUUUGCAAUUAAACCCAAUGCGUAGUCUGAGUUUUUAAUAUUUUUUCUUGCUUAUGAUUGAUAUUGUUUGAGUUGUUUGUUUCAAUCUUGUUAUUAGUGCUUUUGAUUGCUUGAUCACCAAUUAAAUUGAUUUGGAAACCUAAACGAAACUGAAAGAGGGAGUUUAUAGUAAGCCAUGGAUGAAAUAAGAUAUGUUUGAUAUUAAUUGCAUGAGAUGAUUGAUUUGAUUUGCGGGUAGGGUAAACAAACACUGACAUGUCAUACUUAGCCAAAAUUAGAGUUUGUUCUUAAUGAAUCUUUCUUAAUUUCAAUUUGCAUAGACAUAUAGUAAAUUGGUUAAGAUAGAUAUUUUUAUAAGAAACUUGACGAAGACUCAUAAAUAAAUUAGAACUCUAGGUUAAUAACUCAAGCUUAUCUAAUAAGUAAAGGGAGAGUAAAAGAAAGUUAGAUGAAACAUUAAGGGGAUAUUCUGGUUCUAGAACUUUUGAUUAUUUGAUUCUAGUUAAAUUAUUACUCUAGCUUUCAGUUUUAGUUUUGACUUUAGUUUAUUGAAUUUUCAGUAGUUUAAAUUCUGUUAUUUGGAUAAGAUCAAGGUGUUUUAAUUUUAGUACUUAGCAAAAACAUUUGAUCAAUUCUUCAUGGGAAUGAACUCUACUUUCAACUAUAUUACUUGUUUACGAUAUAUGUACUUUUGUGAUAAAAUCAACAACACCCUGGCUCUUCUAUAGUUGACCCAAGCAAGCGUAAUACAUGGAAAAAGAGGAAAAAUGAAAGACAUAGUUGACCCUGGCUUCACCAUAGUUGACUUCUUCAUUGUAGAUUUGAAAAAUACACAUUCUCGAGAAUUAGAUUGAGUAAAGGAAGGUUAUACUCGAGUAUGAAAUCCUAAUUUGAGAAAUUUGAAGAAUGUAGUCAACCCUAGGAGCGUUGUAGUUGACCUUUAAGCUUUAGUGAUGGCUAGAUUUAAUUCAAACUUGUGUCUAAUGAUUCCAAACUUCACUCAAGCUACAAAAGGUCGCCUUUGAGUCAUUUUGAAGGCAAGAGAACAUCAGCACUCACCUGGAAAACCCUAGAGAGAAAUCCUAAAGCUUGUUUCCCCUAUUGUAGCGUUCAUCUUAAUCUUCCAUCAAGCUUUGAAGAAUCAUUCACUUGAAAAUCCUUGAGAAAAUAUUUAGUUUUUUGUACCCAAGCUUAAACUUCUUAGCACUUAGCCGGUAGUAGAGGCAUUCUUGCUAUGUACUCAUCUUGUCAAGGUUUUAGCUUAACCUUGAAAAGCUAUUUGUGGGAUUGUGGUUGUGCCUGUUAAAAACCAUUGUUAAAGGGUUCUGUUUGCUUCUGUGAAAAAACUUUGUUAAGGGUUUUGAUAACUCUAUUAUAUAGAGUUAUUUUUCCACAUUUUGAUUGCUAAAAAUAGCUAAGACUUUGUGUUUUCAAGUUGAUUUUAAGUAGUUUUUAUGUUUUUUGUUAUUAAGUUUAAUGCAUGUUGAACUACUUAAAUUCGAGUAAUUUUAGCUCAUUUUCAUGUUAAAAGUCCUAAUUUUAGCCAUCACUUAUUUAGUCUUUGUUUUGAAGGUUUUGAAGUGCAUAAAGCUUCAUUAAGUGGACUGCGCAAGGAUGGCUAGAUGUAGAUUUUUACUAAACAUGUAGCAUCAUUUUGUGCAUAACUCACUACAAAAGUUUGAUUGAUAAGAUUCUUAGACCGUUGGAAAGCUAAGAGGAAGGGAAGGGAUACAACUUUAAAGUUCAUCGUGUUGCCCAGUUUUGAUUAGAUCAUGGUAAAAAACCUUGUCAAAUUGGGAGAAUUGCAGUAAUCUACACAAGGGGAAACUAGAGGACCCAGCAUCACGACCUCAGAGUCUCAAGGUUGCAACGCUAGAACCUCAACAGCAUGGGACAUCAAUUGUCUAAGGGAGUCAACAUCGUGGAGCUAGAAGGCUAGCGUCACAAUGCUACGAUGGCUGAUACUUGCACCAAAUUCUAAAGGAGCUAGCACUUUUCUUCCAACUACCUAGCACCAUGACGCUAGCUUGAGUUUCCUAUUUUUGUUCACUUUAGGUUUGACUUUUUUAGGGCUUUUUGAGGGAUUAUGAAUAGAACUUUUUGAGAAAAAAACAUUAAAGAGAUUUAAGUCGUAGCUUUUUCAGAGAAAAAAAGUGGUUUUACAUAAAAGAAAAAUGGGAAGAAGGCAAGAUAAGUGAAGAUUGGAAUCAACAAAUAACUGUUUCUCACUCUAGUUUUGUUAUCUCUUUCUUUCUUUUGCUAUUAACAUGAAUUGUUUUGAUCAAAUCAUGUUGUUUGCUUUAGUUAUCAUACGCUAAACUAUUUUUCUAGGAUUGUGGUAGAUUUGAACAUGUAAUCUGAAUAUUUGUUUCUUUUUUAUUUAUUAUGAAUGCGUAUUGUUAUGUUUAUUCAUAUAUGUUCGCAAAGCUUUUGAUUGUUUAGCUAGAAAUUGCAUGAUUUAUGAGUUUGAAUGAUGACAGAUUGAUUUUAGAUUAGACUAAGUUUUGAAUAGUGUGUGUUCACAUCACUUAGAGAAUAGGUGAUCUAAUUCGCAAUUAGAGUAGAUGUAUGCCUAAAUGGCAUACAUAGUCAAAUAAAAACACUAGCUUAAUGAAUCAUAUUUAAUUAAUUACUAUAGACAUAUAGUGAUCCAAUUAAGUUAGGUAUUUGUACAAGCAUCUCGAUUAGACUUGUGCAUAUGUUUGGAUUAUAGGCUAGCAAAAACACCCAUGAAUGUAAAUAUUAAUAGAAAUGAAUGUCAGAUGAAAUAUUGAAUGAACCCAUAAACCUAGGUUUUAAUUCAUUACCUCUAGUGAAUUUUUUAGUUUUCAUUAAUUAGUUGAGUGUUUGAUUAAAUUUAGUUGUAAUUGAUUUUCUACAAAAUUGAGUUACUUGAAUAAGAUUAAUUGGCAUAAUUUUAGUACUUAGUGAAAAAUUAGAAGCAAAUCCCUAUGGGAUACAAUUUUGGAUUUACUAUUUAUAUUACUUGUUCAAUACAGAUACUUGCGUGUACUAAACAGACAACAAGUUUUUGGCAUCGUUGCUAGAGAUUUGUGUUUCCUAUUUAUUUUGCUAAUAUUAAUAUCAAUAGAUUAGUCUUAAUUCAAGUUCUUCUUUCAUUGUUUUUCAGGUACGUUCUAUCAUUGUAUGGAAAGAGCAAGAAGCUUGGAGAAUUUAUCUUGUGAUCCAAAGAUCCAGAGAAAACUUUUGAAGACUUGAAUGAAAAAUCAACAAGGUUCUACUUAGAUUGAUAUAAUGGUUGAUUAACAAAGUGAGUAGUAAAUCGAGCACCUUCACUAUGGUUACUCCGCUGGAAAUCGAGUCUUCUUUUUGAAAUGUAUAGACAAUCCUGAUGUAAAUUAUUAAGAUACAUGUUAUAGACAAUGUAUAUAUAUAUACUUGAUCGAUAUGCCACUAUGAGUUGGCAAUGUUUAGUAUUAUUUUGAUUCAAAGUUAUGAAAUAUGACUUCAGUAAUUUUGAUGGAAUAAUGAACAGAUUAUGUAAAUAGGCUUGCUUGGGCUUAGUGGGCUAUGUCCAUUGGGCCCAUGUGCUAGUCAUCGCCCGGAAUUUAGGUCAUGACACUAAUACCCAUGAUGAAGGAGAAAUGGUAGAUAGAUUGACGUCAAUCAUACACAUGGUCGAAGGUGAAACUUUUACAAGUUUCCUAUUCUUUGACUUUUGAUAACUCUAUUAUAUAGAGUUAUUUUGACACAUUUUGGGGGCUUAAGUAGUUAGAUCAUUGAGAUUUUAGGUUUGGAUCUUAGCAUUUUAGGUGUUUUUCUAGUUGAAGUUUGAUUACAUGUUGAGUAGUUAAUUUAAGUUACUUUAAUUAAAUUUUAUGUUAUUUUGUUUUAAAUUACUUUAAGAGUAGUUAUUGCUAAUUUCUCUUAUUGCUUUUGUAGGAAAUUUGAUGAAAAAUGCUCAUUUGAUGAAAAUCAGUGCAAGUAUAGUGAUGGCUUUAUUAGUAUAUAUUUUGGUAUUUUGACCAUAUUUCUCAAUAAAACUCCAAAAGAGGUGAUUCUUUGACCACUAGAAUUAUAAGAAGAAGGGGUACAAUGUUUAUGUUUACCAAUUUGCCCAGUUCUAAUCGAAUCAUGGUCAAAAUAUUUGUCUAAGUUAGAGCACUGCAGCAAUAUGCAUGGACUAAACAUGAUGCAGUAUUUGGACCAUAUCUUUCUAUCUGAAAGUCCAAUUGACAUGAUUCUUAAACCAUUGGAAAGCUAAGAGAUAGGGAUACAACUUUUAUGUUUCCACUUUUCCCAGUUUAGAACAUAUCAUGAUGAAAAUCACAUUCAAAAAUGAUAGACUGCUACAACAUUAAGAGAACAAGGCUGUAGCGUUGGUGAAAGGAAGCUCACCAUACAAUUUUCUAGAGAGCUCAGCACUGUAGCGCUGGCGAAGUAGCACCGUAGCGUUGGGUGAUUUUCCAAAAAUAAAAAAAAGUUGAUGGGAUUUUGGAAAUUAGGUUAUUUGAAGCCUAUUUAAGGGACCUUUUUUUAGAGAUUUUAAGGAAGAGGCAACAAGCAACUAUUCUGGAGAUUUGGAGCCAAGAACAAAGCAAGGAAAUAAGAGAAUUGGAGGGAGAAUCAAGAUCACAAAGCUCCAACUAUUAGUUUUGUCUCUUUACUUUUGUGUUUUUUUUAUUUUCUUUGACUUGGAUUAAUGGCUAAUUUUCCUUGGAUGAAGUUUUUAUUAGAUAUUAUGAGCUAAAUUUAUUUUUCUAAGAUUACAAUUGAACUCACAUGUAAUCUAAACUUUUAAUCUCUUUCUUGCUUAUCUUUAAUGGGAUUUGAAUUGUUUAUUCCAAUUUGUUCUUAAUGCUUUUAAUUACUUGAUCACCAAUUAAAUUGGUUUAAGAAGCUAAACAAACUUGGGAAAAGGAGUUUAGUGUAGACUAAAAUUGGGAUAAAAUAUGAUCAUAUUAAUUGAUUUGCUUGUAGGAUAGGGAUAUACCUAUAGGCCAUAUGUAGCCAGAUUAGAGCCUGAACUUAAUGAGCCUAUUUUAUUUUCAAUUCACAUAGGAAUGUAGUGUUUUGGUUAAAAUAGAUGUCUUUAUAAGAUGAGUCGGGAGACUCUUAUAAAUAAUGGAGGACUCUAGGUUAGCAAUUGAAUUCAUUGAAAUAAGUUAAGGAAAAGAGUUAAGAUUUAGAUGAAGUGUGAAGGAUAUUGUAAUCCUAGGCUUGUUUGAUUUGAUUUUUGUUCAAGUUAUUAUUGCUUUGAUUUUUCUUUUUAGUUUAAAUUUUGGUUAAUUAGUUUUAGUUAAUUAAUGAAUUGAUUGUUUGGAUAAGAUUAAAUUGUUAUAAUUUUAGUACUUAGUAAAAUUUUAGAUCAAUUCUCUAUGGGAUCAAUACGCUGCUUGCUUAUAUACUAUCUAUUCGAUACGUAUACUUGCAUAGUAGAAUUUAACUGACAACCUUGUCAAGAAGGUAAAAAUAUCUUCUUCAAUGACAUCUACUCUUGAUAGAUGUUCAAGAACAUUUCUCAAUCUAAUUUAACAAAUCCAAACAUAUUGGCCAAGAUUUCAUAAUAGCAUUAAGUAUGUCGUGUAAAGUGGUAUAUAUACGCAUUCUAGCAAACUAGACAUUUAAAGAGCAUAUGUAAGUUUUCAUGUAUGACCAAUCAAUUUAGAUGAGAUAGUAAAUCUUAAUUUGAUUGCUCCCACAAUUUUCUUCAAGAUGAUAACCAUCUAUAUCAUCUCGAGAGAGAUCUACAAGGACUCUCUUAGUGGGCUAGGAUCCCAUCGAUUCUAGUUAUGACCUAGAGUUUGUUUAACAAGCUAUGAUAGGUCGAUUAGGUAGGUAACUGAACUUACCAAUUGUACCUCUAUACAAACCCUAGAUUAGUGAGGUGGUAACACAUUGCCUAAACAUAUCAUAUAUGUAUCGCCUUAUUACUGUCUCUAGUUUCCAUAAUAAUCAACCUUCCAAGCCUCUGGAUUUUAUGAAACUAGUUGAGUAGGACCCACUUUUCAUAGUAUCGACAUAUUGGUAAUAAAGUUUGACCUUGAGUUUGCUCAACAAGCCUUUUUUAUUAAGAGCUCUGGUUUUUACUAUGAAGGUGGAAGGCAUCUUAAUCAUGCGUGACAUGUGACUCAAUAUUUAAUUAGGGAUUGUUUUUAAGGUCUUAUCUUUGGAUGCAAAACAUUUAUUAAAUUGCAUAAAAUAAAUCUAUCACAUGCAUACAACUUUGGAUGAUUAUGGACUUUUACUAUACUAAUUUCCUCGAGCCAUCGAAGGAAAUUAGUUUGAUCAAACCAAGGGGAUUGCAUACAACAUUUCCAAACUUGUUUUCAGUAUUCUUGUCCUCCUUGGCACCAUGGAUCUUCAUCUUUGAGUUUACAAAAUUUUAAUUCCUAAUCUAUCUUAAUUUCUAAUGACAUUUGAAUGUAGAAACCUCGAGUUACAUUUGAAGAAAGUAAGAUGAGGAAAUAAUUUAACAAACUAAAAUAAAGAAUUAAGGUAGGACUUGCAAGCCCUAUUUCAAAAAUACCAAAGAAUUACAUUCAACCAUAGGACAAUCAUAUUGGGCCUAAGUCCAUAAUCAUCCAUGUACAUUUAUCUAUAUAAGCAUAUAUAUAUAUAUAUAUAUAUAUAUAUAAAACUUAAAGUCAUAUCUCAUUCAAAUUGUUAAUCAUAUGCAACUUUUGAGAUUACAAUUUUCAACAUUUGAAUUUCCUAAUUUUUCGAGUGGUUAUUUAAUUCUAUAUAUGGAAACCUUUCAUAUAUGGAAAGUUUUACUAAUCAAAAUUAGCAACUUAUCCAUGCCUAAUCAUAUUAGGGUGUCACAACCUAAAUCCCAGGCCAUGACCGGCUCAUGGGCUCAAUGGGCAUAGCCCACUAAGCCCAAGCAAGCCUUUUUAUGCAAUCCCGAUCAUCAUUCCCAACCAUCAUUUUUAAAAUCACAUAUUGUAAUUCUUUACUAAAAUAUUUCAGUAAUAUUUUAUAGUGACCCAAUACUAAUAAUUUUAUUAUGUCAAAAUAAUGUCACCCGUUUGCCAAGUCAUAGUGGCAUCAGUAAUCAAAUAUACAUAUUUGACUUAUAACAUGUCACGACCCGGAACUCCCCAUCGGGCCCCUGACAACCGCCGCGAGGCCUCGACAGACAUUCUUCACCUCGAAUGUCGAUUGAAACCCCGCAAGGCUUAGCAUCAACUUCCGCAUCUCCCCGAUGAGCAACAGUUAUUAAAUCUCGCAUUUCAAAAAAAUCUUAAGUCAUUUUUAAAUAAGAACAAUAAAAUAUUAUUUUCUGGCUCACAGGGGUAUUUUCGUAAUUUUUCGUCAAAAAUCUCAAAACUUGCUAAAAAUGUAGUAGGUAAGCAGAAAAUAUAUAUUUAAUGAUUUAAAAACAAUUAAGUAUCUAAAACGUUCAUUUGAAAGCAAAUUGUUGACAACUAGUACUAUUCAAAAAUAAUAAAUAAAAUAUUCUAUUUUCUCAUAAAAUAAAUUUUUAUAGAAAUAUUCGUAAAUAAUUUUUCGCACAUGAAAGUAAAGUAAAAAUUGUAUGAAUAGAAAUACAGAUAACCAAAAUAUAAGUUUUGAUCUGCAAUGACACGUGGGCUCCAAUUGACCAAGAGGAUGUAAGACUGUGAACUCUUACUUUCUAUAAUGCAGUUCCGAGCUUAGUUCUCGUCCUACUCGACUAUCUACAAACUGUCCUGAGCCUGAAAAAUGUAUAGGAAGAAGGGGUGAGAUUUUAUAAUCCCAGUGAGUAAACAGAUACCAUCUAAAGUAUCUAAAGCCGAGUAAAUGGAGACAAUUAAAAUAAGUCAUCAUACCGUAAUUUCAUUACCUUUCAGUUCAUUUCAACCAAAUAAAAUCAAUCCAUAUAAAUCGAGUAAUCAACUUGGCUUAUGAAUUUCUUAAAACUUUGGCUCGUGCCAAAACUCAUACUCGGUGAUACCUUGCGCAGGGCAUCCAACCGAGUCCGCCAAGGCUGUUAAAAUUUUGUAUACACUUAAAAUAUAUUUUUAGUUUGAGAAAAAUACAGCCGUUCCUUGGCGUUGGCUGAGUUCCCCUUCACGUGGUGGUUUGGCGUGAAGUGAACCCUAAGCUUUACCCCAGGAGAUACCCUACGCGCCUCUCCGUUCGAGGUAAUAAUAUAAUGGAGUUUACCGUGCCCCUCUAAUAGGCUGGUCCACGGAACCCCCUCUGCAGUAAAUAAUUAAUAUAUACUCCACCAAUUCAAUAAAAUUCAUUCUAGCAUGGCAUGGCAAUUUAUCGCAAUCUAGCCUCUCAAGGCUGAAUACACAAUAUAAAUAAUUCUGACACCAAAAUCAGUUUAGCCAUUCAUGCUCAUUUAUUGUCAUAAGCCAUUCAAUUUAAAACCAUAAAUUUACAACACAAGCAGGCAGUCUCCAAUUACUCUAUUUUCAAAACCAAUAUUCGAUUUUUCAGAAAAUUUAUAAAAUCAUUUUAUAAAAUCACAAUUUCUCUUAAAACAUAGCAAUUUACCAUUUAAACCCAUUUUUCAUAAAAUCACACAGUUGUAUAAAACUACUCUAGAUAAUUAAGACGAUAAUAAGUUUACUCACAGUUUUAGGAGUAGAAAUACUCCUAUCUUCCGCCCUCGGGUGCAGUCUCUUACCCGAAACAAUUGACUCACCACCUAUCCAUAAUCCAUGACACAAAAUUCAAUAAAUUGUGUCAAUUUAUCAUAAAUUAUUUCAGGCUCUUAUCCAUGCGUAUGCACUAGAUAGGAUUUGAAAUGUCUAGACAAUCGCUUAAUUGCGGUGUCCGACCUAACUCGCCUAUACACGGUGUAAAUUCCUAAAAUCCCCAAUUCGACUCCAAUUCCAUCCAUUUCAAUUUCAAUUAUCCAAUUAUAUCCACAAUACCUCAAUGACUGUGAAUUUGGUCCAAUUUAUCAGUCCGGACUAUAAAUUACGCUUUUACCCCUAGUGGGUAAAAAUUUCAAUUUAUUGCACCGAAAAUUCCCAUUUAAUUUCCAACCUCAUAAUUCAUCAUUUUUCCACCCAAUUCUCUUAAAAUAAAGUCAACCUCAUCCUCACAUACCAUUGGCUAGAUUCGGCCUAGGGAAAUUCAUGGAGAAGAUAAAUAUUUUUCUUGUUGUUUUACUCAUAAACAUGCUAAACUAACACUAAACACUAACAUAGCUCAAAAUCAAAUUUAUCUAACAACUUUCUCUCUCUAAACCCAUAUGACCAGAAUUCAAAUCAUCCUCAAAUCACAUGAUUCAACCAUGAAAAAUGAUGGAAAAUGCAUGGGAAAGGUAAAGCACAAGACAAAUUUAAGAAAUGUUACCUUUUUUCACUUGAUUUUUGAAUUUCCACCUAUUUUCCCUUUAAAUUUCUUAGCUAGGGUUUUAUUUUCUCCUUUCUCUCUCUUGUUUCUUGCUUGGCCGAAUGUUGAAGAAGAAGAAUGGGUGGGCUGAUUUUUUUAUGCCUUUUUUAUUGUUUAAUGAAAUAAUAUUAUUUUAUUCAUAUUUUAAAUAUUUUAUUAAUUCAUUUUUUUUUCUAGCCAUCCAUUUGUCCUACUUUUUCCACCAUGCAUUCCCUUUGACUUAUCCAAGUCUUAAGUGAAAUUUCCAGAUUUUUCCAAAGUUUUGGUGGAGCAAAUUCUUCAAAAUUACACUUUUGCCCCCGAACUUUUCAAAAAUUACAUUUUUGCCCCAAAAAUUGAAAAUUUGCCAUAAUGCAUAAUUUGCACUCCUCAUACUCAUUUCACACUCCAAAUAAUUAAAUUUGAUCAAAAUCCUUUCAAAAAUUAAAUUUUCGAUUCCGGAUGGCAAAAUUACCAUUUUACCCUUUUUCUCCAAAUUAUACCGAAAUUAAAAUUUUUCACUUCUAAACCUCAAAUCUUACUCCAAUAAGUCAAAUGGGGCCAAAAAUCUUUUCUAAAAAUUUCCAUUUUGUCCUUAGCUGGCAAAUGACCAUUUUGCCCCUAGAUAGCGAAAAGUUCGGUUUGUCUUCAAAUUGAUCCUCGAACUUCAAAUUACCAUAAUAAACCAUUCUGUGAGUUUAAAAUUCUUAAUUUCAUCAUAAAUUCUCUAUUUGAUCUAGUUCGAGGUUUAAAUCAACUUUGUUGUACCUCUAGGUACAAUACCGACUUUUGUAAAUUUUUUUUUUUGGGACUCUCUUAGCAUGCAAACAUGCUAUCCAUCACGUGUAUGUCAUGACAAAUAUUUUUAUAGAGUCGGGCUUGUCAUCUUCUCCCCCACUUGGAUCAACCAUAUGAUCCUUCUUCUUGACUGAUUUCGACAUCCGGCUAAAUAUUAAUAUUUUAAAAAUUUUAUCUUGUCUCCUUGGUACCUGAAAUACCUUAUUAUGCCUCACUUGACUUCUGAAUCGCCUUUUAUCUCACAAAUUCUCCUCUGAUAAAAUUAUUAUUAUUUUAUUGUUAUUUUCUCACUUGCGAAAUAUUUUAUCCUAAACUACUCCUUUCGUCUUUUAUCACUUUUAAACAUUUUAAUUGACCUCAAUUUGCAUUCGAUCAACUUUAUUUAUCACUAUAUCAAAGUAUGGGGUAUUUCAAUCUCCCCCACUUAAAUAGAAUUCGUCCUCGAAUUCCCGUCGAUGUUGCGUUAUCAAUCUCCUUCUAUGAUCCUACUCCUUGUUCCUUCUAUAGGGACAUUCAAUUUAUUUCCCUCGUUCACCUUCAGUUCAAUUAAAUGCUUUAUUUACGGCAAUUAUCAUCCUUUGGAAUCGGAUCAGUAAUACUUUUCACAACCAUGAUCUCUUAUAUCUAGACACUAAGCAUGCCUUUAUCACCAUUAUUACAUUUGAACCAUAACUUCAUCUCAAUUAUACCGAUUUCGAUCACAUAUCAUACUUACUUAUGUAUACCUAUUCAUCGUUUUAUUAAUUUGCUCCAUACCAAUUUUCUCAACCUUGAUUCAUCCAUCUUAUACUGGUCCAAACCCUUCCUUUAAUGGAGUUCCAUUAAAAACUUAAACAAUUUAAGGUUUACUUUCAAAGUCAUUCAUAACUUUAAUCGUUCAUUACAUGUCUGUUAACACUUUAGCUCACUAACCUCUCUGGACACUAUUUCAAAAUCUCCCAAUUACCGAGAACCAUUCUUCACUUCAGUUAGUAAAAUUAUCAAUUUCAUAUAUACAUAUAUACAUGCAUUUUCAAAUGUCAACAUCUCUCUUUAUAUAUAGGAAUCCAUGUGUUCACAUGCCUUGGACUACAUUCCCCCUUUAUUCAUCCGUAUCCCAAUCCUAGUUUCAAUAUAAUAAUUCUUAUAGUGCAUGUCAACCUUCUUAUUAUACUUGUGUAUAACUUCAUAUCAUUCAUAUCAUUUCCAACCAUAUGUUUGAGUUUCCUUAUACUAUAUAUCAUUCAUCACAAUGUCAUCUCCAUUGAAUUAUAAUCUAUUAUGCGUGUAUGCUUUAUAAUCCUAUUGAUGCCUCAAAGAUUUAUCUCAACUUGAUCAUUGCAUCUCAUGCAAUACCACAAUUCCUAAGAGUCAUCCUUUUGUCCUUAAUCAUCUUUCAUGCCUCUAUAUUACCUUGUAUCUUUCUUGCAUUACGAUAUUGAUUUGUCACUUAAGACUCGAACCCAUUUGAAUCAUGUAUGCCUUAAGCAUUUUCGAAUUCCAAUUUCCAUAAUAUAUUAGGAAAGUUUCAUUAUCUGACUUCAUUUUCAAGGUCAACUUCUAUCAUCCUUUGUUCCACUCCUUCAUAUGAACAUAACAUCAUUCUUCCUUAACUAAUUUAUAAAUUGUACUUGAAAUUGUAAAACUUAAAACUAGAUUCUCCUCAAGUAUUUUUCAAUAUUAAUACUAAUAUCACUCUCAGCUUACAGCUUCCUUUUUAUAAUCACAUAACUUAGUGCUUGCUUUAACGAGAUCCAGAGCAAAACUUCUCUUGAGUAUUUCCUUGGGAAUAUCUAUCUUAAACUUAUGUCUCACAGCAUGUGAUCCCUUAACUUGUGAUUUAGCCGUUAGGCUUCUCAGCAAGUUUUAAAAAUUUUACGUUUCAUACUUGCUGUGUAUGAUUAGAAUCUCUUCUCAAAGAUGUUUAUGUAUUCCUAAAACACUUAAUCUUAAAGAUAUAUAAAUACGUACUCAUCCAUUCAAUCCCUAACUCAUCUUCAUAGGUUUCUAGGGUGUCACACAAUUAGCCUCAUGUUGUUCCUAACUCUUGUCAUUUUACUGUAUCAAAACAGAUAUUACAAAUUCUCGUAAUGAUAUUCUAUAUAAACUGAUUUUCUAUACCAGUCUCGUAAUUCUUCCUUCACACUUUCAUUACUUGGUAUCUCAUCUCAAUAUAGUCAUCUCAAGAAUCUUUCAAUUUUUUUUUUUUUUAUUAUAUGCCUAUAUACAAGGCAAUAAAGAAGUUUUUCAAUUCAUUUGGGUAAACAUUCUCCAGAAUAUUUAAGACUCCCAGAUAACAAAACACAAUGACCAACAACCAAAAUUCAAUUUGUAAGCUCAUUAUCGUGUCACUCCCAUCUUACUCAUGCAUCAUAGGCGUGAGGUAUUCGGAGCAUUAUAACGUUGAACAGUCAAUGUUGAAGCACUGUAGCUAUUAGAAAUUUUCUCAUCAAAGCUAUUUGUCUGCAUUCAAAGUCACCACAUCAAUCAUUCUCAACCAGUGGUUUCCCUUUUAGAUAUAUAUCAUGAGUUCCAUAAGUAUAGGUACCUUCUAUUUUCUUGUCAUACACACUAAGCCAGAUUAAUACUUUCAUCUCAUGUCAUCUUUUGACUUUUAUCAACAUUCAUAAAAUUCCACCUCAAAACAUCCUUUCCAUACAGUGUAAUAAAUUCAUGAUACAUAUACCACUCCACACAUAAGUUGCUUACUAUCUACAACUUUCCUCAAAUUUAUUGUCAUCCCUAUCCAAUUAUCUUCUUUGUCUUAUACUCCAAUAAUCUUAUUGACUUUCGGUAUAAUUAACUACGAAAACAGCCCAGCUUCCUCCUUACUUUAUUCUCGCAAUCCUUACUGAAUCAAAAUUUUAUAUUCCCCAUAUUCCAUAAUUUAACUUCAUUGGGUUAUAUUUGUGCCCAACUAUUACCUCAUAGUGUCAUAACAUCACUGAAUAAUCCCCUUCAUGCUUAAAUUACAAUCAUUAACGUAAUCACAUUAUCCAUUCCGAAUGUCAUUUAUAACCUUAUUGCUUCCUUCUAUAACCUUCCUCAAUAAUUAUAUUACCAAUUUAUCUCUAUCAUACUAAAGAUUCCCAUAUACCUUCAGUUACUUAAACAACCAUUUUAUAAUACAUUCUAGUCCUAUACUUUAAAAGCCAAACUAUUUUUACUUCUUUGUAUAGAUAAUUAUUAUCUCUUUUACACAACAUCUACUUAGAGUUAAGGUAGUGUAAAAUCCUACGAAAAUAUUACAUGUCCUUGGGAUCAUCAUCUUAAUCUGAUCUUAUCGGAAGAUUCUACUCCGAGUCCUCCUAAAGAUCCUCUUCCGGGUUUUCCUCCUCUUGAGAUUUUUUUCCUUUGCUCCUCAAUCCAAGCUUGUUGUAUUCUCCUAUACUCUUCAUCACUCACGGGUGCAGCAUUUCUUCCACAACCGGGAGGAAAAUGUCGUACACUUGACACUUUUCUAAGGGGUCUACUUGCCACUGUUAUUUUCUCCUUAUCCUUUUCUGGUUGUCCCCUUACAUUUCUCCCACAGCCUGGUGGAAAGUGUCGGACUACUCUCACACUCUUCCUAGAACGAAUACCUCCUUCGGCUAUCCUUAAUUUUCCCUUUCUUUAGUAUAUUCCUUAGAUUCUCUCAAAAGGGAACCUCUUAUGCUUACAUUAAUAUUAUUACUAUCUGCACUUUUUGGACUACUCGGUUCGGGCUGCCAUCGGCUCCUAACAGUAGAAUCUAGAGAUCCCUCACUAAUACUAUGAGAGGCGUCGGGACUACCGUCUCUCCUAGAUAUGGUGUGUAUGUCACCAGUGCACCUCAAAACCUAUAUGCAAUCAAAUAGUAAUUGUUUAAUUAUUUAUGCAUCUCAAAAGUAGGUAGAUUUCUAUAUGUAGAUGCAUACAUUCUAUUCAAUCUAACCUAACUUAACUUAACUUAACUUAUCUUAACUUAACUGGACUUGGGGCCACGCAGUGUCAGUGUAGAUUUCUUAAAACAACCUUAAAAUCAAAAACUUUAAAAUCCAAAGCUUUAAAAUCAAAAUAUCUGAUCUUUAAACCAUGCUCUGAUACCAAUCUAAAUUGUCACGACCCGGAACUCCCCAUCGAGCCCGUGACAACCGCCGCGAAGCCUCGACAAACAUUCUUCACCCCGAAUGUCGAUCGAAACCUCGCAAGGCUCUCGUAUCAGCUUUCGCACUUCCCCGGUGAGCAAUAGUUAUCAAAUAAUCAAAAUACGAAGGAUUACAAAUCAUUUCCAAAUCAUAACAUAACAUUUUUUUUUUUUUUUCACAGGGGCAUUUUUGUCAUUUUUGUCGAAAACCUCGAAACUUGCUAAAAAUGUAGUAGGUAAGCCGAAAAUAUAUAUUUAAUGAUUUAAAAAAAAUUAAGUAUCUAAAACGUUCAUUUGAAGUGAAAAUUUGACCAUUUGAAUAUAAUAAAAAUAUUCAAUAAAAUAAACUAUUUUCUUGUAAAAUAAUUUUCAUAAAACUAUCGGUACAUAAUUCUUAUAGCGUAAAAGAUAAUUAUAUUCAUAUAUACUAUAAAGCAAAUAACCAAAGCAUAAAAUUUCUUUUACAGUGACACGUGGGCCCAUAUCUAUCCAAAAUGCAUCGGAAGCUGGAAACCUACAGCUUUUACCGAUUCGAGUCCAAAUGAAGGUCCUUGUUCAAGUCAGCUAACUACGAAAUUCCCUGAGCCUGAAAUGUGAGGAAAUGAGGGUGGUGAGAUUAUAAAAUCCCAGUGAGUAAACAGAUACCAUCUAAACUAUCUAAAGUCGAGUAAAUGGAGACAAUUAAAAUAAAUCAUCAUACUGUAAUUUCAUUACCAUUCAACUCAUUUCAACCAAAUAAAAUCAAUCCAUAAAAAUCGAGUAAUCAACUUGGCUUAUGAAUUUCUUAAAACUUUGGCUCGUGCCAAAACUCAUACUCGGUGAUACCUUGCGCAGGGCAUCUAACCGAGUCCGCCAAGGCUGUUAAAAUUUUGUAUACACUUAAAAUAUAUUUUUGUUUGAGAAAAAUACAGCCGUUCCUUGGCGUUGGCUGAGUUCCCCUUCACGUGGUGGUUUGGCGUGAAGUGAACCCUAAGCUAUACCCCAGGAGAUACCCUACGCGCCUCUCCGUUCGAGGUAAUAAUAUAAUGGAGUUUACCGUGCCCCUCUAAUAGGCUGGUCCACGGAACCCCCUCUGCAGUAAAUAAUUAAUAUAUAAUCCACCAAUCAAUAAAAUUCAUUCUAGCAUGACAUGGCAAUUUAUCGCAACCUAGCCUCUCAAGGCUGAAUACACAGUAUAAAUAAUUCUAACACCAAAAUCAGUUUAGCCAUUCAUGCUCAUUUAUUGUCAUAAGCCAUUCAAUUCAAAACCAUAAAUUUGCAACACAAACUAGCAGUCUCCAAUUACUCUAUUUUCAAAACCAAUAUUCGAUUUUCCAGAAAAUUUAUAAAAUCAUUUUAUAAAAUCACAAUUUCUCUUAAAACAUAGCAAUUUACCAUUUAAACCCAUUUUUCAUAAAAUCACACAGUUGUAUAAAACUACUCUAGAUAAUUAAGACGAUAAUAAGUUUACUCACAGUAUUAGGAGUAGAAAUACUCCUAUCUUCCGCCCUCGGGUGCAGUCUCUUACCCGAAACAAUUGACUCACCACCUAUCCAUAAUCCAUGACACAAAAUUCAAUAAAUUGUGUCAAUUUAUCAUAAAUUAUUUCAGGCUCUUAUCCAUGCGUAUGCACUAGAUAGGAUUUGAAAUGUCUAGACAAUCGCUUAAUUGCGGUGUCCGACCUAACUCGCCUAUACACGGUGUAAAUUCCUAAAAUCCCCAAUUCGACUCCAAUUCCAUCCAUUUCAAUUUCAAUUAUCCAAUUAUAUCCACAAUACCUCAAUGACUGUGAAUUUGGUCCAAUUUAUCAGUCCGGACUAUAAAUUACGCUUUUACCCCUAGUGGGUAAAAAUUUCAAUUUAUUGCACCGAAAAUUCCCAUUUAAUUUCCAACCUCAUAAUUCAUCAUUUUUCCACCCAAUUCUCUUAAAAUAAAGUCAACCUCAUCCUCACAUACCAUUGGCUAGAUUCGGCCUAGAGAAAUUCAUGGAGAAGAUAAAUAUUUUUCUUGUUGUUUUACUCAUAAACAUGCUAAACUAACACUAAACACUAACAUAGCUCAAAAUCAAAUUUAUCUAACAACUUUCUCUCUCUAAACCCAUAUGACCAGAAUUCAAAUCAUCCUCAAAUCACAUGAUUCAACCAUGAAAAAUGAUGGAAAAUGCAUGGGAAAGGUAAAGCACAAGACAAAUUUAAGAAAUGUUACCUUUUUUCACUUGAUUUUUGAAUUUCCACCUAUUUUCCCUUUAAAUUUCUUAGCUAGGGUUUUAUUUUCUCCUUUCUCUCUCUUGUUUCUUGCUUGGCCGAAUGUUGAAGAAGAAGAAUGGGUGGGCUGAUUUUUUUAUGCCUUUUUUAUUGUUUAAUGAAAUAAUAUUAUUUUAUUCAUAUUUUAAAUAUUUUAUUAAUUCAUUUUUUUUUCUAGCCAUCCAUUUGUCCUACUUUUUCCACCAUGCAUUCCCUUUGACUUAUCCAAGUCUUAAGUGAAAUUUCCAGAUUUUUCCAAAGUUUUGGUGGAGCAAAUUUUUCAAAAUUACACUUUUGCCCCCGAACUUUUCAAAAAUUACAUUUUUGCCCCAAAAAUUGAAAAUUUGCCAUAAUGCAUAAUUUGCACUCCUCAUACUCAUUUCACACUCCAAAUAAUUAAAUUUGAUCAAAAUCCUUUCAAAAAUUAAAUUUUCGAUUCCGGAUGGCAAAAUUACCAUUUUACCCUUUUUCUCCAAAUUAUACCGAAAUUAAAAUUUUUCACUUCUAAACCUCAAAUCUUACUCCAAUAAGUCAAAUGGGGCCAAAAAUCUUUUCUAAAAAUUUCCAUUUUGUCCCCAGGUGGCAAAUGACCAUUUUGCCCCUAGAUAGCGAAAAUUCCAGUUUGACUCCAAAUUGAUCCUCGAACUCCGAAUCACCAUAUUAACCCAUUCUGGGACUUUAAAAUUCUUAAUUUCAUUGUAAAUUCUCUAUUUGAUCUAGUUCGAGGCUUAAAUCAACUUUAUUGUACCUCUAGGUACAAUACCGACUUUUGUAAAUUUUUCAAGACUCUCUUAGCAUGUAAACAUGCUAUCCACCACAUGUAUGUCAUCACAAAUAUUUCUGUAGAGUCGGGCUUGUCAUCUUCUCCCCCACUUGGAUCAACCAUAUGAUCCUCCUUCUUGAUUGACUUCGACAUCCGGCUAAAUAUUAAUAUUUUAAUAUUAUUUUAUUAAUAAAAUAUUAUUUUAUUCUAAAAAUUUUAUCUUGUCUCCUUGGUACCCAAAAUACCUUAUUAUGCCUCACUUGACUUCCAAAUCGCCUUUUAUCUCACAAAUUCUCCUCCGAUAAAAUUAUUAUUAUUUUAUUAUUAUUUUCUCACUUGCGAAAUAUUUUAUCCUAAACUACUCCUUUCGUCUUUUAUCACUUCUAAACAUUUUAAUUGACCUCAAUUUGCAUUUGAUCAACUUUAUUUAUCACCAUAUCAAAGUAUGGGGUAUUUCAUAACAUGGAUCCUAGCAGAUUACAUUACAUAUACACGUUCACAAGUAACAAACUCUUGACCGUUAGCGAAGUGAUCGUGGGUGAAGGUACAGCUACUGAGAUGCCAUAGUACCUACAAAGAGGACGAGCAUAUGUGGACACUCAAUCUAGGUCCCAACUGUCUUCGAAUCUAAAAAAAUGAAGUUUAAAAAUGUGAGUAUAAAACUCAGUGAGUGAACAUAAGAAGGGAACAAGCAAUCGAUAAGGAGAACUUGGAAAUCAUGAUGUACUUAUUUCAAAAACAAUGCAAUUGAUUUAAUUUCUUACUAAAAACCCCUCAUUUCAAACUUUGAUUAAUAACCUCAUAGUGUUGCAAAAACCCAUGAUUAAUCCAUGAAGUUAAAUGGGUGAAAAAUAUGUCAAAAUCAAGCAAGGUAGCAAGUAGAACAACAAGUUUCUCGCUACAGCAAGAAACAGUCUUAGUUUGCAUAUGUUUUGGUUUUUCAAGAAUAUCUCCCACUACAGAAGUCCAAUUGAUCUGAUUUUUGAACCAUUAGAAACCCAAGAGGCUGGGAUACAACUUUGAUGUUUGCCAUGUUUCCCAUUUCUGAUUGGAAGGUAGUCAAAAUCAUUGUCAAAGUGGAAGAGCUGCACCAGAAUUUUGGGUCUACUCGAGAGUUUCUCGUUGCAGCGAGAAUCCAAUUUCGCUGCAGCAAAAUUGCUCGCUGUAGCAAGAAUUCUUUUUCGCUACAGCCAAAAACAGGGCUGGUUUGUGCCCCCACCACCAGAGAGUUUCUCGCUGCAGCGAGAUUCAAGUCAGAUGACGAUUAAGGGAUUUUCACAUGCCACAAAAUCCAUUCAUACCAUAUUGCACAUCAAAGUGAACACAUUGACAAUAAUCAAGUUUCUGAUUAUUCAUUUCAAUCACAUAUUAUAAUCAUAAACUUUCUAUCACAUAUACAUAUAUAAACAUAUAUAAACAUGUACACUACCCCACUUCAUUUAUUGUCAUAGCAGGGUCAUCAUCAUCGGAUUAUGCGCACUACCUACUCUCACAUAGCCGGGUCAUCCUCAGUUCAUGUGCACUCCCACAUCGCACAUAGCUGGGUCAUCAUUAUCACACAACAUUAUUCAUCAAUGCACAACACAUAUUCAUAUAUAUACAUACCAACAUAACAUGGGAUCACAUGGAUUCAUCUUUUUACACAUUUCACAAUUUCACAAGAUCAAAACAUUUUAUCAAGGGCUUGUUCCCAUGCAUAAUUUAAUGAAAACCAAGUAAAAUCAUUUAAAUGUUUCAUCCCAACACAUAUGUAUUUCCCAAAAACACUUUGAUGCAAGUUCACUCACCGGUCUUGUUGAUUCUUUGGCUUGACUUUAACCUCAACUAAUGCUCCAAAUUGACAUGUGAGGCCUUGUUAGAACCUAUACACACACAACAUCACAACUAACCCAAAUUGGCAUUAAUAUAAUUCCAAAAGCUCUUUCCUAAAUCAAGUUCUACUAGUUAUUCCUAACUAGUUUCCAAUUGCUAUUAAGUGGCUAAUUAUUUACACCACUCUAGUCACCCUAAGAGUGAAUAAACAACCUCAACAAUAAAACACUCACAAAUCCCAUUGUUGGCCAUUAUCAACAACUAAAGAAAUUUAACCUUAACUUAUACUCACCUUGAUGGUCUUUGUAGUUGAAUUCUCUUUCAAAAUUCUUCAAGCUAAUAAGGGAAAUCACUCUCUCUCUCUCUACAUGUCCAACUAGUGAGAGAAAGAUGGCAAUAAGACUUUUUAAGGGUUUUAAGGUGGGAGAGUGAAAGAGCACCAAAGGUUCUAUGAAAAAGUGCACCAAAGCUUGUAAAUUGAAGCUAAUUGAGAGAGCUAUGGAAGCUUUAUGGGAGGCUCCCAUGGAGAUGAAGAAACGCGAGAUGGGAAGGGAAGGAGAAAUGGCUGGAAGCUGCUGGAAAUUGCUGUAGCUUUAGAUAUUUAUAUAUAAAGUUUAUCCAAUUUUUCAUGUAAUUUACCAAAAUGCCCUCCAUAAGGUGACUUUGUCUUCUUCUUUCCUUCGGUUCAACUUUUUACUCUUUGGACACUGAGACAAAGUCCAUAAUGGUUUAGAAGUACUCGAGUUCACGAAAACUUAGAAAUUUAGACUCGAGAUACAAAUGACCAUUUUGCCCCUACCUUGGAAAUCAUCAUUAUUUCUAUUUCCUUCAUCAUUUUAUCCUUAUUUUCAUCAUUCAUUUGUGCCUUAGGCCUACUUAAGCCUUAAUAAUAUUUGAAAGCAUAUUUCUAAGGGCUAACUAAAGAAAAUGAUGAAAUUACCCCUAGUCCGUUUUAUCGCGUCUACUUCUAGUUACGUGUCUAUAGAGGUUGAGGCUUCGCAGGUUCACUUUUGAAUUACCCGUUUUUCUCCAUAAUCAACCCCAAUUAGUAGCCGGUAAGCAUUAUUAGCCACGACCUCAAAGUGCGAGGUACUACAUAGGGUUAGGAUUAAAUUUUAUUACAAACUAAAACAAUUUUAAUUUGUGCUCCUAAACGUUUAAGUGGUCAUAUUAUUAAUCCAUCUAUAAUUAAGCAUUGCAUGCCAUCCAUUACCCAAACAUUGUAGGUAAUUUAAAUGAAAUUAUGGACAAUAAAUCUUUAUUUAAUAUUCGUGUCACGUUUAAAUUUUCUUGUCUUAACUGAAAAUAUGUUCUACUGCAGACAACGAUAAACAUGUCCCGAUUACAUGACAUUAUGGUAGCUCGUUUUAGGAAUUUAAUUCUAAUAAAAUUAAUCCUAACAGCCAACUCAUGGACCAAUUCCAAAAUAUCUUUUCAGAAUUUUAGGAGGUGAUUAGACUAUUCAAAAAAUUUAAGAACCGUAAACCAUAUCUACAUGUGGCAGAAUCGGUUCUUAAAUUCUUUGGUGGCCUAAAAUUACGAAUUAACUUCUAAUGAAAUUUAUCCUAAUAGCUAACUCAUGGAACAAUUUCAGAAUAAUUUUUCAGGAUUUAAGGAGGUGAUUUGACUAAUCAAAAAAUUUAAAAACCGUAACCCGUAUCUGUAGGUGGCAAAAUCGGCUUUUAAAUUUUUUGGUGGCCUAAAAUUAGGAAUUAAAUUCCAGUAAAAUUUAUCCUAAUAGCUAACUCAUGGAACCAUUCUAGAAUAAUAUUUUAGGAUUUUAUGAUGUGAGUUAACUAUUCAAAAAAUUGAAAAAUUGGGACCUAAAGGUACUGCUCGCAACAACAUUUUUUAGUCACGUUUUGUGACUUUGCAACCUCCCUCCAUCCUUGGACAACAUUUUCUCUUGGAACAUUUCCAAGGUACUUGUCCUCCUUACAUUUCUAGCAAUUUAUUGAGACUUUAAUCUCCAUUUUACAUGCUGAUAAUGCACCAAGAACAGAUCUAAAUAGCUUUGUAUUCUGUUCUUAAAAUAGCCCCGUAUCAUCAGGAUAACGAAUUAACUCUUGAUGUUUCAUUUGGGCAUCUUAUGCACACUUUAAUCUGCAUAUUUGGGCACUUAAAGAUUUGGAUUAAUGUUUUAUAAUUAAGGAUUAAAGGACAUAAAUCAAAUCUUCCUCGAAAAAUAAAAAUUAUUUCAAGAUAGAACCGAUAUCAUGAGAACAUUUCUUGUUAGUUACCCAAACAUUUCAUAUACAAUUUCUAAAUGAUAUUAACAAUAAUAGACAUGAUAAACUGAACCAUGUACUACCAUGGAUGGCUUUAAUACCAAUGUUGGUUUCCUUGAGUCAUGCAAUUACAAAUAAAAUACAUAGCGAAAAUAUUAAAACUCGAGAACCUAAACCAUGAAGCAACAUAGUCGGCUAUAAUAGAAACAAACAAAAUGGUUGUACCUUAGCCCUUAGAAUGUAUAGAUUCUUAAAGGGUAGAAAAGAUAUUUCUUCUCUUGAAUGCACACCAAGGUUCAGUUGUUGCAAACCAAAACCAUCCUAAUGUCUGGCCUCCAACGUAGUCCACAUAAUCACUAUGAAUUCGAACCUUCUUCAAGAGGUUAGGGUUGUUUUUAGCCAAACCUUGUGCUAGUAGGGAAGUUUUACAAAGAUCAAGUGUUUUAUUUAGUCUUUUUCUUGGCCAAACCUAGGAAGAAGAACUUUUCUUUCUCUAUUUUCAAUGUGCGACUAAAGCAAGACUAGGAAGAAAAGGUACAUUUUUUCUUUUUGGUUUAAAAUAACAUAUUUAUAGUUAGGGUUAAUACUUAAGUAGCUUUUGGUUAAGACCACAUAACUUUUAGAUAAUUAAGUAUUUAACUCCAUGAAUUAUUUAAACAUUUUAGUUAAGCCGAAUAGAAGUUCAUAACCUCUAUUCAAUUAUGUCCUAUUUAAUUGUAAAAUCCCAUUUUAAUCUUAUCAUAGUGAUUUUAUGUGUAUGAGCCAUUAGGCUCAUAACAAGUUGGCAAUGGGCAAGAAUUAUAAUCCUAAUGGAUUAGGAUUAAAUGAAUCAAAUUCAUUAUCGAUUUUCGAUUGAUUAACUCAAUUCCAUAGACCAAGAUUGGCUUAUAGCAAUGCAUCAUAGCCACCCAAAUAUUACGAAAGUCAAUAUGGUUUGACUAAUGUUUUAGUGUACAGUCUAUUAGUGUAAUUCAUUCCUUAAUCAUAUGUCCCUGAGAUAAUAAGAGCAUGGUGUAACAUCUACUCUUAUUGAUCUCCAUAUUCGUUCUUGAAGUUAAAUUACUAGCUUUAUGGAGACUUAUGAAACUUUUUUUUAUAAUCUCCAAGUAGCCUUGGCCAAAGACUUCAAUAGGUUAAUAUCAACCAAGAACUGUUAGGAUAUGUCCCCUAAAUCACUUGGGGUGAUGAUUCCUUUCUUAACCACUCAUAUGCCUGUACAUGCUUUAUACUACAACCAACCAUAUCCUAUUUUGGCAUCCUUGGUAGAACCAUAGUAAUAUCAUCAAAUAUAUAGCACUCCACAUAUUAGACAACCAGGUGUCUCAAGUCUAAAGAGUAUUUACACAAUUAACACAUGAGAAAUAUUUGCAUAGACACUAGAGUAAGAUACCAAAUCCAUUUCUCAUGUCAAGUCAUGUUCAAUGAACCUGCUCUUCUAAGGCAAACACCAACAUGCUAGUUCAAAGCAUCUCUAUACUUCAACUUAUGAGAUCGAUUGCUUACUUCACAAGUAAAGAACAUAGUAUGUGUCGAUCUUUGAGCAUUAUUGAUGCCUCAUCUCAAUAAUACAAUGAUUAGGAACUUUUAAGAAUAAUGUUUUGAUGCAUAAGGAUCUCAUAAUUGUAUCUCAAUACAAUUUCUUUGCAAAGCAUAUAUAGUUUCAUGGGCUUUAUCUUCAUAAGUAUAAAUAUGAAUUAAAUUACAAACUCAUGGAUGAAGAAUGUCACGACCCAAUUUCCAGGGCCAUGACCGACGCAUGAGCUCAAUGAGCAUAGCUCACUAAGCCCAAGCAAGCCUAUCCAUUUACCUUUGCUUAACAAAUUUAUCAUAUCAUGCAUACACACACACACCUUUUCCAGGGUGUGAAUAUAGCCAAAACACAAUGGCAUUAUCGAUAAUAAUAUACAUGCACUAUACCAGUCAUGUAUUUAGCAAUUUACAUUGCAUACACAUAUUCACAUUGUUAGAUUGUAUUCACAAUACAAAAGGACCCAUAAUUUCUAGCGGAGACAUUUACAAUAAAAGGGACUACUAUUGAAUGCCAGACACAUACCCAGGAGAUGCACUACGGGGACUCCUCGAUCUAGGGUCCAACAGUCACCUGAUCUGAAAACAUGAAUUUUUAUAAAACGUGAGUACAAUACUCAGUGAGUGAACAAGAAGGGAACAAGCAUACCAUAAGGAAUGUUUAUCAAAAUCAUGAUGCAUUCAUUUUCUCAAAACCAUGCAAUUGUUUUAGCUCCUUUAAACCCCUUGUGUAAACCCCACAUGAGUAAAUCACUUCACAAAAAAAUUAGAAAUAUGGCAAAAACCUACAAGUUAGCAAAAUGGACAGAAAGUUUCUCGCUGUAGUGAACUUCAUUCUCGCUGCAGCGAGAACCAGAACAUCAAGGAAAAAGUCUCCUUUUUCCCUUAAAACAUGUCAUCCUGCUAAAAUAACAAUAGCAACAUGUAACACAUGUAAACUUCCAAAUUCCAACAAAACAAAUGCUUACAUAUUUACAUUUACAACCAUAUACCCAUCAUCAACAUGCACACCAUCCCAUCAUUAUCAUCAUGCACACCAUCCCAUCAUCAUCAUCUCAUAUGCAACGGCUUAUGCGCAUAUAGCCGGGUCAGCAACGGCUUAUGUGCACUCCCACUCACACAUAGCCAGGUCAGCAACGGCUUAUGUGCACACUUACUCGCACAUAGCCGGGUCAGCAACGACUUAUGUGCACUCCUACUCGCACAUAGCCGGGUCCAAAUCAACAUGCAAAGAAGCAUCCAAUGGAUAUCAUGCAUUUUAUCAUAUUGUGAUAACAUAUAAACCAUUGUAUAGCACAUUUUCACAAUAUAAAAUCAUUUUACUAAAAGCUUGUUCCCAAGGUACAUUUUCUAAGAUAAGUUGGAUAGAAUCUUUCAUAUUCCCUAAAACAAGUUUGAAAUGCAAGUCCACUCAUCGGUAUUAGGAGUAGAAAUACUCCUAUUUUCAGUCUACGGGUACAGUCCUUUACCCGUAUCCAAUGGCUCACCACCUAGCCAUAAUCCAUGACACAUAUUCCAAUUAAAUUGUGUCUAACAGUCAUAAGCUAUUUCAGGCUCGAUAUAUAUAUGAUAUGAAAUGAAAAAUGCACGGGUAACCAUCUAGACCCGGUGUUGGCCUAAGUCGAUUUUUCAUCCGAUAAAUUGGCCAAUGCGUCCAAUUUCACUCCAAAUUAAUCCAUUUCUCCUCUAAUACCUUAAUUUACCACAUACCAUUUAAAUAAAGCCAAAUUCAAUAUUAGAACCCUCACAGUUCCUUAUUGAAAAAUUUGGUCAUUUGGUGCACUAGCAUCGAAAAUUUUUCUACAUAACCGUUUCACCUUAAUUCAUCAUUUUCCAAGCCAUUUUCCUUGAAAUAAAAACAAUCCCCCAUUGAUAUUCAUCCCUCAUGGUUUGACCAACAAGGAACCCUAGAGAAAUUGAAUAUUUCUUUUGUGUUUUGUUCAUAACCAUGCUUAACUAUCCCUAAACACUAACAUAGUCUAAAAUCAAAUUAUUCCAACAACAAUUCCUCUUCCAUACCCAUUUUUCAGAAUUGAAUUCAUCAUGAUAACUCAAUAUUCAACCAUGGAAAUCAAGAACAAAAGCAUGGGUAAGCUAGGUAUCAAGGAGAAUUAAAGAAAUUUUAACUUACCUAGCUUGUUUCCUUGCAUUCCAACACUUUCUCUUUGAUUUUUCCCACCUAGGGCUUGUUCUUCCUUGGUUUCUCUUCUCUUCUGGUUUGGCUGAUCACUAUGGGAGAAAUGGGCUGAUUUUGAUGCCUUUUAUAAAGAAAAUAAUGAAUGGAUGAGAUUUUGACACAUGUCACCAUUCCAUUGGUCCAUGUGUCAUACUUAGCCAUUAAGCAAUCUCUCUUCACCACACAUUUAUCAUGUUUAUCCAUUUCCAGGAUGAAUAAAAUCCCUUGGCCUUGACAAGUGCUAAGCGAAAAAUUUACCGAUUUGCCCCCGAGGUAGAAAAAUUACGAUUUUACCCCUAUACUCUGAAAUUUACUGGAAUCACAUUAUUUCUACUUUUCAACCUCAAAUAAUACUAACAUUGAUCAAUAUUAACCAAAUGGAGCAAAAAAAUCGUUUAAUAAAAAUUCCCGUUUAGUCCUCUAGUGGCAAAAUUACCAUUUUACCCUUGUGCUCCAAAAAUACCAGGAAUCACAAUUGUUUUUCACUGUUAAACAUCAUUUUAUAGUCCAAUAAUCAUAAUUAUAUUUCAUAUAAUUAUUCUUGGUCAAAUGUGAUCAAAUCUUGACUAAAAAUCUCCAUUUUAUCAUCAAAUGGUAAAAUGACCGUUUUAUCCAUAAUCGAUCAAUUUUCCUGAUGGACUCCAAACUGGACCUUGAACUCCGAAUCACUAUUCUAAGCCAUUCUGUGGGUUUCAAAAUUUUCAAUUUCCUCUUAGAAUUUCUAUUUGAAUUAGUUCAAGGCUAGAUUUAACUUAGUUGUACGACUCGGUACAAUACCGUCUUUUAAUUGAGCUUGACAGGGUCUCACAAAAAACUACCUCAAUGUUAUUAUAAAACAAAAUGUUAUACAUAAAUAGAUUAAAGUGUAAUUCCAAUACAACCAUUGAUUGGCUUGUAAGGCUCACACUAACAAUGUUUCCUAGUGUGGGGGUAAGAGCCCUAGGUUGUAUAAGUCUUAGGAUUAUGGAUGAACUUAUGUUGGUGAAUGUGAUGGAUGACUAACCCAUGCAUUUAUGGAUUUAGUCUUACUUGGGCCUAAUUGCCAUACCCACUUAGGUGCAUGUGCCAAUCUCGAUCCCUCCCGAAAUGAGAGAUGACAAAGUUGGUAUUAGAGCCCUAGGUUGUAUAAGUCCUAAGAUUUUCUUGGUCGUGUCAAUGUUGUAUGUGGGAAUAUUGUUUUUGCUUUGUGUGCUAGAGCACAAAUUGAAAACAAGAGACUUGUGUAUCAUUCUUUGUUUGUCUUCCAAGUUUAGUUCCAAUUUACUAAUGUUGCCUAUUUAUAUAUGUCUAUAUAUUGAGACCUUUGUGUGUAAUUGCUCUUGUCUAGGUGUGGGAAUGUUGCUUAGAAGCUGAGUAGCUUUUAGAGAAGCAAUAGAGUAAGAAACUUUCACAGAUGCUACAAAUGGACCAUAGACGCCUAUUGUUAAGGGUCGUGGCAAAUGCGAUAGACCCACAAGUUCAAUGAGGGUUGAACACCUACUGAUGAUCAUGUGGAGGAUCAGGCUCUAAAGGUUGAGAAGGAACACCCAACUAGGGGUGUGACCCUUGAGUAAAUAGUAGUUGGUAAGCGUGACUUAGGCCAGACUAUGAGAGUUAUGCCCAAGAGUUGUUAGGGAAGAGACAUUAGGGUGAGGGACCAUCUACCAUGCAAGCAUCUUUUAGUUCCUAAGGUUAGAAUGUCUAAUAGUAGUUUAAGGUAGUGAGAAGUAGAUUGGAUAUUUCUCUAUCUGAUUUCUUGAGGUUUAAACCUCUUUUCAUGAGGUCUGAUGCAUCGGAGAAGCCUCAAGCAUUUCUGGAUGGUAUAGAUUAGAUUUGCGCUGCUAUAGGAUAAUUUAGUACUCAAGCUAUGGAGUUAACUAGGUUCCGAUUGGAAGAUGUGAUUUAGGAGUGGUAUGCUUUUUUACAUAGGGGUAGGCUAGCUAGUGUUGCUUCAUUUACUUGGGAUGAGUUUAGUACUGCAAUUAUGAAUUGCUUUUAACUUUUUAGUGUACAACAUGCUAGAGCCUACGAGUUUGAGUCACUAGUGUAAACUCCGGGGAUGAUUGUGGUAAAGUAUGAUGUUAAGUUUACUCAUUGGCUUAAUGUGCACCAUAUCUUGUCUCCAUGGAGAAGAUGAAGAUUAGGAGACUUGUGGAUGGUUCAAUGGAGCCUUUCUUUAAAGAAGUGGCUUCUUAAGAAAUUGAUUCCUAUGCCUCAACUAGGGACUGUGCUCAAAGCAUAAAAAUUAAGACUGUUGAGAAUAAAGCAGCUAGAGAUAGGUCCAAGAGAGCUAAGACUAAAAGUCAUAGGGAUUCUAAAGGUAGUGGGGACUUUUUUUCCAUUAGACAGCCUAGAGAUCUUAGUUUUCCCAUCAGGGGAAUAGUUCUAGUAGUGGUUAUGGCAAGCAUGACAAGAGAGAUGGUAGACCACCUAGACAGUAGAGUUUAGGAUAGGAUCGUCAGUCCUUUCCAUUGUGCUUUACUUUUAAUAGGAGGUACCGAGGUCAGUUUCGAAAGGGUACCUUAUCUUGUUAUGGUUAUGGCUUGCUUGGAAAUGUGAUAAAGUACUAUCAUGAGGGUCGAUAGUUAGAGCAACCUUCUCAACUAGCUAUAGCACUUGCUCUUAUUACUGCAUAACCAAUUAGAGAAAAUGUAGGGCUUGAGGUAAAGGUUCCGGUAACGCCACUCAAGGUUGAGCAUUAGGAUUUGGAGCUUCAGGUAUAGUUGGUCGAGGACAAGCUAAAGUUUAUGCAUUGACCCCACAAGAUACAUAGGCAUCUAAUGCAAUUGUCUCAAGUAUUCAAUCUAUUCUAUUAAUGCAAAUGUGUUGUAUGAUCUUGGUGUUACACAUUCAUUGGUUUUCGCAUACAUUACAUCUAAGUUGGGUAUAUUACACUCUAAGAGGGAGCAAAAUUUAGUAGUUUCCACACCCUUGAGAAAGGUGCUUAUGGUAAGGUAUGAGUAUAGAACUUGCGUGGUCCGAGUUAAGGAGAAAGACACUCAAGCUAAUUUUGUAUUGAUGGAUAUGCUAAAUUUUGGUACGAUUCUUGGGAUGGAUUGGUUCUCCCUCAACUACGCUAGUGUGGAUUGUCACCACAAGAGGGAAAACUUUUAGUACCUGGAGAGACGUCAUACUAUAUUUAGGAGAUCAAAGUAUGGCCUCGAACAGUGUAGUCUCGACCAUGACUGUUAUUCAAUUUUCUACCCAUGCAAGUAUAUAUAUCACAAAGAUAAUAUAGUGAUGAGUAGAGUGUCAAUCCCAUAGAGAACUGAAUUAAUUCUUACUAUUAACUGCUAAAAUUGUAACACCUUAAUCUUAUCCAAACAAUUAAAUUUAACAUUAUUAAAAAGAAAAAUUAAACUAAUAAACUGAAACUAAAAUUAUAUAGUAAAUUUGUUUUAUAAAACUCACUUAACUACCAAACCUAAGAUUAUGAUGUCUCUCAAUACUUCAUCUGAUUAUUGUCUCUCUCUCUUAACUUAGUUUAGUGGAUUAAGUUGCUAACCUAGAGUCUUAAAUUAUUUACAAGCCUCUAUCAAGUUUCUCAUAAAAGUACCUCUCCCAAUUAAUUUAUUAUAUAUCUAUGCAAAUUAAAUUGAAGAAAGAUUCAUUAAGUUUGUGCUCUAAUUUUGGCUACGUAUGGCUUAUAGGUGUAUGUCUACCUUAUAUGCAAUUCAAACCACUUAAUCAACUAAAUGUAUUCGAUCUUACGCUAUUUUAUUCAAGGUCUACCUAAAUCUCCUCCGUCAAGGUUUAACUUAGGUUUCCAAUUGAAUCUAAUUGGUGAUCAAGCCAUUAGAAGCAUUAAGAACAUAAUAAAAUAAACAACUUAAAUCUAUAAUAUAUAAACAAAAGAGAGAUAAAUAAAUUAGACUACAUAUUGAGUUCAAUCAUAAUCUUAGAUAAAAAGUUUAGUUCCCUAUUAAGUUACACAUCAUCAUUGAAUAAAGUUUAAACAUUAAAAACAAAACCAAGAGAAUAAGAGAAUAAAAAAAUAGAAAAACUCAAGAAUUGUAUGCUUGAUAUCCAAAUCUCCUUGAAUCCUUCAAAUUCUUCUUAGCUUCAAUGAUUUUGUGGCUUGACUCUCAAUUGACAAUUUGGUGUUUCAUUCAUUUUUUUUUUAAGUCUUUCGAAAGGUUGUUUCUAUAGGAUUUGAAGUUAUGCCAAGUUGGGUGAAGAAAGAAGUGAAUUCCAAUCAAGAUUUCCUCAUUAGACUAUGUGAGUCGCAGCCUUGCCCAAUUAAUUGAUAGAAAUUGUAAUUGCUUUAAGAUUGCUGAUUUAUUUUAAUUUCGACAAGAUUUUUGACCAUAUUCUAGAUCGAACUGGGCAAAGUGAUAAACAUGAAAGUUCUAUCUUUUUCUCUUAUCUUUCCAAUUGUCAAAGAAUCAUAUCAUUUGGAGCACUAUAGAGAGACUUAUGAUCAAAAUACUGAAACAUGUACAGUGCAAGUCUACACCUUGAAAUUGCUCUCCUUCUUUCAUUAAAAUUCUUCUUUCAUCAAACACCUACAAAAGCACAAAUAAACUAGUAACAACCUAUCUUAACCACAUUAACACCAAAUUAAGCAUAAAAUUAAUUAAGAUUAGAUUGACUCACCUAAAUUAAAUAAUUUGAAAUAAUUAAAUAAAAUCUACUAAUUUAUAUGCAUUACUACAAGAACUAAGCUAAAUUACUAUCAAAAUUAAGCCCAAAUAACUUUAUAUCAUAGAGUUAUCAAUGACUAUUAAUAGAUUCAUGAGACACAGAUGCCAAGGAUUUUUGGCAAUAAUCUUGGAUACCCAAGUGGAUGUGGGUAAUGCGGUAAAUGUGCCAGUUGUAGGAGAUUAAGUUGAUGUGUUCCUAGAGGAGUUUCCUGUAUUAGAUCUAGAAAGAGAGAUAGAAUUUUGUGUAGAGUGUAAGACAUCAAUCCCAUAUCUAUACCACUUUAACGAAUGGCACCAGUAGAGCUUAAAGAGCUCAAGGAACAGUUAGAGGAUUUGCUAGACAAAGGUUUCAUAUGCCUUAGUGUCUCACCAUGGGGUGCACUGGUAUUAUUUUUGAAGAAGAAAGAUGGAUUAAUGAGACUUUGUAUCAACUACAAGCAGUUGAACAAAAUGACCAUCAAGAACAAGUACCUUUUCCCAUGUAUUGAUGACUUGUUCGAUUAGUUGCAAAAGGCUAAGUGCUUUUCUAAGAUUGAUAUGCAAUUGAGAUACCAACAAUUGACGAUUAGAGAUGGAGACAUACCCAAGAUUAUUUUUCAAACGAGGUAUGUUCGUUACGAGUUUUUGGUUAUGUCAUUCAGUUUAACUAAUGCCCCUGCAACUUUUGUGGAUAUAAUGAACAUGGUGUUUAGACCAUACUUGGAUAAGUUUGUGUUCGUGUUCAUUGAUGAUAUCUUAGUGUACUUGAGGAGUUGAGAGGAACUCGAGCAGCACUUGAGAAUUGUGCUAUAAACCUUAAAAGAGCAUCAAUUGUAUGCGAAGUUCUCCAAGUGUUAAUUUUGGUUAAAUAAAGUUAGUUGCUUGGGUCAAAUAGUAUCUAAGGAUGAUGAGAUGGUAGACUUAAAGAAGAUUGAGGUUGUGAGACCUUGAUCUUUAUAGACUUGUAGCUAGAAGUAGACGUGAUAUCAUGGACUAGGGGUUAUUUCGUCAUUUCUUUAAUGAGCCCCUAGAAGUAUGCUUUUAAACAUUAUUAAGGCCUAAGUAGGCCUAAGGCAUAAAUGAAUGAUUGAAAUAAGGAUAAAAUGACAAAGGAAAUAGAAAUAAUAAUGAUUUCCAAGGUAGAGGUAAAAUGGUAAUUUUUCAUUUCAAGUCAAAAUUUUUAAGUUUUCGUGAACUCAAGUAUUUCUAGACUAUUAUGGACUUUGUCUCAGUGUCAAAAGAGUAAAAAGAUUACACAAAGGAUAGAGAACCUAGUGCUACCUACUCUUUUAUUUCUCCAUGUUUUGUAUCUCAUUUGGGUACAGAUUGUGUUAUAAGAGAAGAAUAAUUAGUGGUGUCUACCCCUUUAAAGGAGGUAUUUAUGGCAGAAUGGGAAUAUAAGUCUUGUGUAGUUUAGGUCAAGGACAAAGAAACCUUGGUAAAUCUAGUUGUAUUAGACACCUUAGAUUUUGACGUGAUCUUGGGAAUGGAUUGGUUAUCACCCUGCCAUGCCAGCGUGGACUGUUAUCAUAAAUUGGUUAUAUUUGAUUUUCCCUAUGAACCAUCAUUUAGCAUUCAGGGGGAUAGGAGCAAUGCUCCAACCAAUUUUAUAUCUAUCAUGUCUACUAAAAGGCUAUUAAGACAGGGUUGUGAAGGUUACUUGGCUGUUGUGAAGGAUACCCAAGCGAAGGUCGGAGACAUAAACCAAGUGUCGGUAAUGAAUGAAUUCAUGGAUGUAUUUCCUAAGGAACUAUCAGGUUUGCCUCUCGAGCGAAAGAUUGAAUUUUUUCAUAGAUUUAAUUCCUGACAUUAGACUUAUAUCCAUACCCCCAUAUAGAAUGGCACUUGCGAAGCUUAAAGAGUUGAAGGAUCAGUUAGAAGAUUUGUUGGAUAAAGGCUUCAUCCAUCCUAGCGUCUCACCAUGGGGAACACUGGUGCUAUUUGUAAAGAAGAAAGAUGGGUCGCUUAGAUUGUGCAUUGACUACCGACAGCUUAAUAAAGUGACGGUGAAAAAUAAGUACCACCUUCCAAGAAUAGAUGAUUUAUUUGAUCAACUACAAGGAGCAUAAUGUUUCUCUAAGAUAGAUCUAUGAUCUGGGUACCAUCAGUUGAGGAUCCGAAAUGAAGAUAUACCAAAAAUCAUAUUUCAAACCAAAUAUGGGCACCAUGAGUUCUUGGUGAUGUCAUUUGGGCUUACGAAUGCCCUUGCGACCUUUAUGGAUUUGAUGAACUGAGUGUUCAAGCCCUAUUUAGACAAGUUCAUGGUGGUGUUUAUUGAUGACAUCUUGAUCUACUUCAAGAGUCGAGAGGAGCACGAGUAACAUCUUAUGAUAGUGCUCCAAACUUUGAGAGAACAUUGAUUGUAUGCCAAGUUCUCCAAGUGUGAGUUUUGGCUUGAAAUCGUUACAUUCUUGGGACAUGUGGUAUCCAAGGAUGGGGUACAAGUUAAUCCAAAGAAAGUUGAGGCAGUGGAAAAGUGGCCAAGGCCAACAUCAGUUACGGAGAUUAGAAGCUUUUUGGGUUUAGUUGGCUAUUACCGUCGUUUUGUGAAGGACUUCUCCAAAAUAGUCACCCCUCUGACUAAGUUGACACGUAAAGAUACAAAAUUUGAGUGGUUAGAUGCUUGUGAGGAUAACUUUGAGAAGCUUAAGGCAUGUCUCACUACUGCUCCAAUAUUAAGCCUAUCGCAAGGCACAUGGGGUUAUACGGUAUUUUAUGAUGCAUCGCGGGUUUGUUUAGGGUGUGUAUUAAUGCAGCAUGGGAAGGUGACUGCGUAUGCAUCAAGGCAACUUCAAAGGUAUGAGCAGAAUUAUUCCACACAUGAUUUGGAGAUGGUAGCAACCGUGUUUGCCUUAAAGAUUUGGAGACAUUACUUGUAUGGUGAGACUUACGAGAUAUAUACAGACCACAAAAGCCUUAAAGUAUAUAUUUCAACAGCGAAAUCUUAACUUGUGACAACAUAGGUGGAUGGAGUUGCUAAAGGACUAUGAUUGUACUAUUAUUUACCAUCCCGAUAAGGCAAAUGUAGUGGCGAAUGCCUUGAGUCAAAAAUCGAUGGGGAGCUUGGCAUAUAUCUCUACAGAUAGAAGAUCCCUGGUUAGAGAGAUGCAUAGCUUGGGAGACAUAGGUGUGUAUUUGGAAGUUUCGGAGGCAAAUGCAUUGUUAGAACAUUUUAGAGUGAGGCCUAUCUUAAUGGAUCAGAUUAAAGAAGUACAAAGUAAAGAUGAGUUCGUAGCUAAGGCCUUAGAGGACCCUCAAGGAAGGAAAGGAAAGAUGUUUACUAAAGGCACAGAUGGAGUAUUGAGUUGUGGAACCAGACUUUAUGUGCCGGAUAGUGAUGGAUUGAAGAGAGAAAUAUUGGAAGAGGCGCACAUGGUAGCCUAUGUGGUACAUCCAAGGGCUGCAAAGAUGUAUCAAGAUUUGAAAGAGGUAUAUUGGUGGGAAGGACUUAAGAAAGAUGUAGCUGAGUUUGUCUUCAAGUGCUUGGUUUGUCAAUAGGUUAAGGCCGAGCAUCAAAGGCCUACAAGGCAAAUACAACCUUUACUAGUGCCCGAAUGGAGUAUGAACAUGUUGCAAUGGACUUUGUAAAGGGCUUGCCUUGAACUAGUGGGGGUUACAACUCGAUUUGGAUCAUAGUAGACCAACUAACGAAGUCAGCCCAUUUUUUUCCAGUUAAGACUACUUACGGGGAUGCCUAGUAUGUUCGAGUUUAUGUGGAUGAGAUAGUACGACUGCAUGGUAUCCCCAUUUCUAUAGUAUCUGACAAAGAGACAUAGUUCACUAAAAGGUUCUGGGGAAAAUUGCAAGAAGCUCUAGGCACUAAGUUGGAUUUUAGUACGGCUUUCCACCCUCAGACUAAUGGACAGUCUGAACGAAUGAAAUAGACGUUAGAAGAUAUGUUGAGGCAUGUGUAAUAGACCUUGGGGUUAGGUGGGAUCGAUAUUUACCCUUAGUGGAGUUUGCCUAUACCAAUAGCUUCCAAACUAGCAUCCAAAUGGCACCGUUUGAAGCAUUAUAUGGACUGAGAUGUAAAUCACCCAUUGGAUGGCUAGAGGUGGGAGAAAGGAAACUCCUGGGGCCUGAGUUGGUGUAGGACGCCACCUAGAAAAUACUCAUGAUUCGACAGAGGAUGUUAUCAGCACAAAGUAGACAAAAAUCAUAUGCUGAUAACAGACGGAGAGACUUGGAGUUUUAAGUGGGAGAUCGCGUGUUUUUGAAAGUCUCACCAAUAAAAAAGGUAAUGAGGUUUGGCAAGAAGGGAAAAUUAAGUCCUCGGUAUAUAGGACCUUUUGAGAUCUUAGAAAGGGUUGGAGCAGUGGCAUAUCGUCCGGCACUGCCACCGGACCUUUCGAAUAUCCAUCUUGUAUUCCAUGUGUCAAUACUUAGGAAGUAUAACCCAGAUCCAUCUCAUGUAAUACGGUAUGAAACCAUCCAGUUGUAAGAUGAUUUAACCUAUGAGGAGCAACCAGUGGCUAUCCUUGAUAAGCAAGUCAAAAAGCUUCGUUCAAAGGAAAUAGCAUAAGUGAAAGUGUUAUGGCAAAACCACACUAGUGAGGAGGUAACUUGGGAAGCUGAGGAGGAGAUGCGAACAAAGUAUCCGCACCUCUUUAAUACAUAAAGGUAUGUUACCUUAUAGUUCGAUUUAAAUUCGAGGACCAACUUUCUUUUAGUGGGGGAGAAUGUAAGACCUUGAUCUUUAUAGACUCGUAGCUAGAAGUAAACGUGAUAUCACGAACUAGAGGUAAUUUCGUCAUUUCCUUAGUGAGCCCCUAGAAGUAUGUUUUCAAACAUUAUUAAGGCCUAAAUAGGCUUAAGGUAUAAAUGAAUGAUGAAAAUAAAAAUAAAAUGAUGAAAGAAAUAGAAAUAAUGAUGAUUUCCAAGGUAGGGGUAAAAUGGUCAUUUUUCAUGUUGAGUCUAAAUUUUUAAGUUUUCGUGAGCCUGAGUAUUUCUAGAUUAUUAUGAACUUUGUCUCAGUGUCAAAUGAGUAAAAAGAUUGCAAAAAGGAUUUAAGGAAGACAAAGCCUACUUGUUAAGGGCAUUUUUGUAAUUUAAGUGGAGUUUGGAUAAACUUUAGCUAUAAAUAUCAUUUUCCAGCAGCUUCUUCUUCUUCUUCCUCCCAUCUCACGUUUCUUUCAUCCUCCAUGGAAGCUUGUUUUGAAACCUUCAUAACUUCUCUCAAGUUAACUUCAAUUUUCAUGCUUUUGUGCACUUUUUCAUAGAACCUUUUGUGCUCUUUCACUCUCUCACUUUAAAACCCUUAAAAAGUCUUACUUCCAUACUUUCUCUCACUAGCUAGCUAUUUUAGAGAGAGAAAGAGAGAGCUUCAAUAAUAGCUUGAAAAAUUUUUGGAAAGGAAUUUAAUUACAAAGCUACUAAGGUGAGUAGUGAAUUAGAGUUGAUUUUUAAGUUGUUGAAAAUGGCUAGUGGAUAGAUUUGUGAAUGUUUUGUAGUUGAGGAUUAUUUAUUCAUCUUUAGUGUGAGUAGAAUAGUGAAAGUAAAUAGCUGCUUAAUGGCAAUUGGAAGCUAGUUAGGAAUAACUAGUAAAACAUGCUUUAAGAGAUAGCUUUUAGAAUUAUGGUUAUGUGAAUUGAGUUGAUUUGUGAUGCUAUUGUGUGUGAUAGGUUCCAACGAGACCCCACAUCUCCAUUCGGAGCAUUAGUGGAAGUUAGAGUCGUUCUAAGAUUUAACAAAUACCGGUGAGUGAACUUGCAUUUCAAAAUGUUUUGGGAAGUGCCUACAUGUUUAAAUAAAUCAUUUGAAAGUUUCAUUUGUUUUUGCUUUAAAAAAAAAUAUACUUGGGGAACAAGCCCUUGAUGAAAUGUUUUUAUCUUGUGAAAUGUGCAAUAUGAAUAGUUCAUGCGUUAUCACAUUAUAUUGAUAUGUAUAUUAUGCUUUGGAUGCUUUUUUUGUGUGAUAAUGAUGACCCAGCUAUGUGCGGUAUGGGAGUGCACAUGAGCUGAUGAUGACCCAGCUAUAUGCGAGUAGGGAGUGCACAUGAGCUGAGUGUGGAGGGAUGGUAUGGAUGAUGAUGUAUGUAUAUACAUAUAUAUGUCUAUAUAUUACAGAAAGUUUAUGAAAAUAAUUGUGAUUGUGUUGUAUGUUGGCAUUGUUAAUUGCUCCCAAAUUGCUUUUCAUUUCAGCAAGAAAAUAGCUUUUUGAUGUAACAAUACCCCUUUUAACUAAAUUGCUCUAUUUCUUGCUGCAGUAAGAAACUCUCGGGUUGGGGGGGGGGGGCGUUACACUGGCCUGGUUCUCGCUGCAGCAAGAAAUUUCCUGAAGCUUCUCGUUGUAGGGAGAAUGAAUCUCGUUUUGACAAGGAUUUUAACCAUCUUACGAUCAUAAUUGGGCAAAGUGAUAAACAUCAAAGUUGUAGUCCAGCCUCUUAGCUUUCUAAUGACCUAAAAAUCAUGUCAAAUGGACUUUUGUAGUGGGAGAUAUGCUUGAAAAACUGAAGCAUAUGCAAAUUGAGAAUGCCUUUUCAUUGCAGCGAGAGAACCCUCUAUUGCUUGUAUUGCUUGGUCAUUGCUGAAAUUUUCAUUCUAUUCAACUUCAAGGUUUAUCAUGGAUCUUAUAACAUUAAGGGAUUAAACAUUCAAAGUUUGAAAUGAGGGGUUUUAACUAAAAAUUAAACUAAAUUGUAUGGUUUUAUCGUAAGUGCAUCAAACAAAGAACUAAAUGCAAUAACCUAAACAUGAAAACAUUUCACUAGAGUUCAAUUGCAACAUUUCAUUAAUUACCUUUAAUAUUCUCAAAAGUUCCUCCAUAUUUAUAACUUUAAUCCACAUACAAAUAUUAUUCAAGUUAAUGUCUCAAUUCAAAUGCAAGCUUAUCAUUAAGUGAAUUUCCGUGUGUGUGUGCAAUCUACCACCUAGACAUUGUACAACCUGGAUUUCCAUAGCGAAAUAGGCAUGGGGUGCAUGCCAAAGUACAGUUGUUUUAUUUUGUGAAUAUUUAUAUGAAAUGUAAAAGAAACCACACUUUACGUUGAGAAGUUCCACAAUGUGCUGGCUUUGCUGAAUUAUUCCAUAUUUUGAUUAUAGAUGAACUUAUGUUAGUGAAUGCGAUGGAUGAGUAGCCCAUGCAUUUAUGGAUUUAAGCGUGCUUGGGCCUAGCAGGCCCUAUCCAUGUAGGUCCAUGCGUCAGUCACAAUCCCUCGCAAAAUGGGAUGUGAUAGUUAUAAAUCACCUAAGAGCAUCAAAACAUGAAUUAUACAAGUUAAAAAUCACUUUAGAAUAUUAGAAUAUGAAUUAUACAAGUUAAAAACUUAGUAUCAAGUGGUGUUUGACAGUUUGCUAGGAAUGUGAUUGCUGAUAAGAUAUUUUUGUAGCGUUUGGUAUAACAUGGGAAAUUGAUGAUUACAGAGAAUGUUAAUUUUGUAGCGUUUGGUAUAACAUGGGAAAUUGAUGAUUAUAGGGAAUGUGAUCGCAUUGUAGUGUUUGGUUUGGAAACACUUUAUUCGGAAUGCAGUGUAAAUUUACAAAAUUAUCCUUAUGUAUGAAAACAUAAAGUUGAAUAAACUUAUAUUCUUUUUUAAUAUAAAUUUUAACUUUUUCAACUUGAUUCCUUAAAAUAAUAAAUAAUAGCAUGACAAAAAUAACAUAAUAUUUGAAUACUAAUUAUUUAAAUAUUAUAAUAUGUGAAAUUAUUAAAUAUUUAUUUUUAUUAGAUUAGUUAAGUUUUAAAGAACUAAAUUAGUUGAUUUGAAUUAUUUUACAAAAAUAUUAGUUAAUUAGUUAAUUUAAUUAGUUUAAAACAGUUAAUCGAUUAAUAUUGGAACUGUAGCAUGGUGACCUUUUUUUCAAGUUAUAUUUGGAUAUCUAAGUUGCCACACAAUCCAACACAUUAUUUCUUUUUCUUUAAUUUUUUUGCUUAUUUCUUCCUGCAACCAUCGUUGUUCUUGAUGGGCUGAGGGUUCUUUUUCUUUUCUUUUCUUUCUCUUUUUCUCUCUUUCCUCAUUCCCAUCACCAAAUUCAAAUGACGCCCCUUUUUGCUUCCCAGAGAGUUUAGCUUGAGGGGCAUUUUGCAAUUUUGGUCUACUUUACUUUCCCUCAGUCAUGGGAAAGUAACAUUCCCUCCAAUCUAGUAGGGAAUCAACUGUCAUGACCUGAUUUUUGAGACAUGACCGAUGCAUGGAUUCAAUAGACAUAGUCCACUAAGCCCAAGCAAGCCUAUUUAUAUAUUCUUGCUAAUCAUCCCGUCACUAUUCCUACAUUUACAUCUCAUAAUCUCGACCCUUAGGUACUUAAAUAGUAAGUUAUAACAAUCAAAAACUGCAUUUAUAUUAGCCCAAAAUAACAUUAAUCAUUACCACUCAUGGUGGCUUUACCAAUUAAAAUAUACAUAUAUGGUUUAAGGCAUACAUCUUAGUACUUUACAUCACAUGUACAUAUUAACAAACAAAAUGACUCUAGGCUUUCAGCGGAGUGACCAAGGUGAACGUGCGGCUACAGAAUGCCAAGGUACCUACCAAGGAUAAGAAAUUACAAAGACACCUUGACCUAGUUACUGGCUGCCUCCUGAUCUAAAAACAUGAAGUUGAAAACGAUGAGUAUAAACCUAGUGAGUGAACAUAAGAAGGGAACAAGCGAACGAUGAGGAAAGUUUAAAGAAAUCAUGAUGCAUUUAUUUUCAAAACAAUGCAACUUAGUUUAGUUCUUAUUAAAACCCCUCAUUAAACCCUUAAUGAGUUAAUCACUUGACUAAAAAGGGUCCAUGCACAACAAAGGAUUCAAAGAGUGAAAACUUUAACAGUAUUCAAGUAAGUCAAGUCAAAAAUGACGGGUCCUUGCUGCAGUGGAAAGGCAUUCUUGUUGCUGUGUAGCUGCAGUGAGAAUGAAUUUUCAUUGUCGUGAAAUUUGGCUCAAAUUGUCAACUAGCCGAGGGUUUCUCACCAAACCCCCUUAUUUCAAACUUAAUUAAAUAAUUCCUUGAUGUUGGAAGUCCAUGCUCAACCAUGAUGUUAAAGAAAUGGAAAAUGUGGCAAAAACCAACAAGGUAGCAUGCUGGAUAGAAAGUUUCUCGUUGCAGCGAGAUUCAAAAGAUAAAACAUAAAGUUUCUCGAUGCAGCGAGAAUCCAUUCUCACUACAUCGAAAUUCAAGCGGCAAAAUAGAAAGUUUUUCCCUGCAACGAGAACUCAUUCUCGCUGUAGCGAGUUGCAGGCAGCUAAAACAGAAAGUUUCUCGCUACAACGAGAAGCAAGGCACCUAAAUAAUGAGAGUGCUCAUUUGUACUAAACAUCCAUUUAAUGCUGCAAUAAAAUCAAUUUGCAAGUAAAUGGGAAAUUUUCAAGAUUCAUCAUGUCAUACAAUCACAUAUUACAAUCAUGGUCUUUCUAUUGCCUAUACAUAUACCUAAACAUAUAUCAAUUUGUAUACCAUCCCAUCUCACCCAGCUCAUGUGCAUCCCCCCAUAUCGUGCACAUAUCUGGAGUCAUCGUGUGCAUUCCCCCACAUCAUGCACAGUUAAUGCCAUCAUGUACAUCCCCCCACAUGUGCACACAGGCAAUAUCACCAUCCAUCUCCCUCACCACCGUCAUCACCGACAAGUGCAUCCCCCCACUUUGUGCACACGCACGGUUAUGAUUAUCACACAAUGUCAACUAUCAAUUGACAACAUAUAUAUGUAUAUAUAUAUAUAUAUAUAUAUAUAUAUAUAUACUAACUAUAUAGUAGUAGUACUAUAGUAACUACCUAACUAANCAUAUAUAUAUAUAUAUAUAUAUAUAUAUAUAUAUAUAUAUAUACUAACAUAAUGUAGUAGUACAUGAAUCCAUAACAAUCCCAUAUCACAACAAGAGACAAUUUAUCAAGGGCUUGUUCCCAUGCAUAAUUUGAUGAAAAGCCAAGUAAAAUCAUUUAAAUGCUUCAUCCUAACACAUAUGUAUUUCCCAAAAACACUUUGAUGCAAGUUCACUCACUUGUAUUUGUUGAACCUUUAGUCGACUCUAACUCCCCUAAUGGUCUAAUUGGGGUUGAGGGGCCUCGUUAGAACCUAUCACACACCAAAAACAUCAUAGCCAAUCCAAUUUACAUUAAUAUAGCACCAAAAGCUAUUUCCCAAAUUAAGCUUCAAUAGCCCUUCCUAUUUACCUUCUAAUUACCAUUUGAUUGGCUAUUUAGUUUCUCUUCUCUAGUAACACUAGAAAUAGAUAAACAACUUUAACAAUAACAUAACUCAUUACUUCAAUUACUAACCAUUAUCAACAACUUAAAACCACUCCUAAUUCAUCACUCACCAUGGUGGAUUAUAAUGAAAUGCCUUCUCAAAAUUCUUCCAAGCUAUUGUAGAAGUUCCUUUUUUCUCUCUCUAAAACACCUAGCUAGUGAGAAAAAGUAUGGAAGUAAGACCUUUCAAGAGUUUUAAAGUGAGAGAGUGAAAGAGCACAAAGGUUUUAUGCAAAAGUGCAUAAAAGCUUGAAAAUUGGAGCUAUUUUGAAGGAGGUUAUGGAGGUUUCAUAACAAGCUUCCAUGGAGGAUGAAAGCAACGUGAGAUGAAAGGAAGAAGAAGAAGAAGAAAAAACUGUUGGAAAUAGGAUAAGAAGCUACUGGAAGAUGAUAUUUACAGCUCAAGCUUAUCCAACUCCACUUAAAUUAUGAAAAUACCCUUAACAAGUUAGCUUAUUCUUCCUCAAUCCUUUGUGCAAUCUUUUCACUCUUUUGACAUUGAGACCAAAUCCACAAUGGUCUAAAAAUACUUGAGUUUACAAAAACUUAAAACUUUAACUCGAGAUGAAAAAUGACCAUUUUGCCCUUACCUUGGAAAUCAUCAUUAUUUUUAUUUCCUUCAUCAUUUUACUCAUAUUUUCAUCAUUCAUCUAUGCCUUAGGCCUACUUAGACCUCAAUAUCAUUUGAAAGUCUACUUCUAGGGGCUUAUUAGGAAAAUGAUGAAAUUACCCUUGCCCUGUGUUAUCGCGUCUACACCUAGCUACGAGUCUAUAAAGAUUAAGGUCUCACAUCAACUUCCUUCCCACAGUUGCAAUCUGAUACCCAUGUAAAGUUAUGUCAAGCCUGACUCUAUAAAAUACUUGCCAUGUCAUUCAUGUGAUUGACAAUAUGCUUGCAUACUAGAAAACUUCGAAAAAUCAUAAAAAGUCGGUAGUGUACCUAAUGGUGCAACUAAGUUGAAUUAAGCCUUGAACUAGAUCAAAGAGAGAUUUUAAGAUGAAAUUGAAAAUUUUAAAGUCCUAGAAUGACUUAAAAUGGUGAUUCGAAGUUCGAGGACCGAUUUAGAGUCAAAUUGGAAUUUUGAUGAUCAAGGGGCAAAAUGGUCAUUUUACCACCUGAGGUUAAGAUGUGAGUGUUGGAUGAAAUUUUUGUCUAAGAUUGAUCAUUUGGAGUAUAAUUUGAGUUUGAGAAGUGAAGAAUUUUAAUUUCGGUGUUUUUUCCAGCAUAAGAGCAAAAUAGUCAUUUUGCCACCCCAGGGGUAAAAUUGUAAUUUUACACCACCCAACACUUGUUCAGCAUAUGGAUUUUACCCAAUAUUAUUAUGGAUAAUUGAGGAAAUUUAAGUGGUGGAGAGAGAUUGCUUAAUGGGUAAGUAUUACACAUGGACCAAUGGAAUGGUGACAUGUGUCGAGUUUAUAUCCAUUUAUUAUUUAGCUUUAAAUUAACAUAAAUUCAGCCUAUGUCUCAAUCAUAUGGUCAACCUAAACAAAAACCAAAGAAGAACAAAGGAAGAAAAGAAAGUACAAGAACCCUAGGUGGAAAAAUUCAAAGAAAAAGUGUGAAAAAUCAAGGAAAACAAGUUAAAAAUGUAGGAUUUCUCAAUUUAAACUUGAAAUCUAUUUUCCUUAAGCAUUUCUCCUUAUUUUCCAUGGUUAAAGUUCAUGUUUUCAUGGUGAAUUCAUGGCUAACCGAAUGGGUAUGGAGAGAGAAUGAUGUUGGAAUGAUUUGAUUUCAAGUUAUGUUAGUGUUUUUAGUUAGUUUACCAUGUCUAGAAGCAAAACAAUAAGAAAAGAAUUCAUUUUCCCCAUCACCCAUCAAUGGCCGAACCUACCUUGCAUUGAGUGAGGAUGAAUUUGAUUUUUAUUUUAGGAGAAUGGUUAGAAAAUGAUCAAUUAUGGUGUGAAAAAGUAGUAGAAAAAAUCACGGUGUUAAUGCAUCAUUAUUGACUGAAAAUUCUAAGAAGAAAAGUGAAGAUGGUUUUGCCAAAUUUUAGGUUAUUUGACUUAUGUUUGGUGAAUUAAGGUAUUAGAAAAGAAAUGGAGUAAUUUGGAGCUAAAUUGGACGCGUUAGCCAAUUAAUCGGGUGAUAAGAUGAAUCAGGCCAAUAUCGGGUUUAGAUGGUUACCCGUGCAUUUUGCAUUCCAUAUCAUGCAUUAGUAGUAUAAAUUUGUUUAAUUUCGAUUUAGUACCAAUGUAGUAAGUUUCUCGAUUUUGCAUCAUGUCUAGGUGGUGAAUCCUUCGCUAAGGGCAAAGAAAUUGUACUCGAGGAUCGGUAGUCAGAGUACUCUAGAAAUUUGACUCCCAAAAUAGUGUAUAACCUUAUCAUCAUUUUAAUUAUCUAAAGUGGUCUUUUUAUCCAAUUUUGUGAAUUUUAUGGAAAUGAGUUUAAAUAGUUAAUUUUUAGGUUUUAUAAACAAAAUGUGUUUAAAUGAAAAGAUUUUAUAAAUUAUCUUGAAAUUGAAUGAUGGCUUUGAAAAUAGAGUAACUGGAGACCACUUGAUGUGUUGUAAUUUAUGGUUCUAAUUGAUGGCUUAUGAUAAUAUGGUGGCAUGACUGGUUGGAAUUGUGGUUUGUGAACUGUAUGAAUUAUUGUGUUUUGCAUUUACAAACUGGGUAGUGUAAUAUUAGUCAUGCCAUGCUGUCAAAAUUUUAUUGUAUGGUGGGUUUAGCUUGUUGCAGUGGGCAGGUUCUGUGGACUAGUCUAUUAGAGGGGGAUGGAAUCCGGUUAUAUAUGUGCCUCAGUCAGAGAGGCGUGUAGGGUAUCUCCUGAGGUAUGGUUAGAGUUCACGUCAUGUCGAACCACCUCGUGAUGAUGAACUCCGCUAACGCUAAGGAACGACUGUGUUUUUCAAACUAAAAAAUAUGUUUAUGUGUAUACGAAAUUUUUAACAGCCUUGGCGGACUCGAUUAAAUGCCUCGGUCAAGGUAUUCCCGAGAAUGAUUUUGGCAGGAGCCAAGCUUUUUAGAUACUCAUAAGCCAUGUUGACUGUUUAAAUGAAAUGAAUGUUUAUGUUAUGAAAUACAUAUUUAGAUGGAAUAUUUUAAUCGUCUCUUUUUACUCGACUUUAUAUAUUUUGAAUGAUGUUUGUUUACUUAUUGAGAUUUUAUAAUCUCACCACCCUCCUUUCCACCAAUUUCAAGCUCAGUAUAAGCUGUAGAUAGCUGAUAUCGUCAAAGGCUACAGUUGGCUUUACUUCUUCAAAAACUGUAGGUUUGCAGCCUUCGUUUUAUUUUUGUCAUUUGGGGGUCCACAUGUCACUGUAAAUUAAAUUACAUACUCUAGUUAUUUGUACUACUGUAUGUAGGAAUUUAUUUUGCUUUUACGCUGUAAAAAUUAUUUACGCAGUGUUCUAAAAAUAUUGUUUAUAAGAAAAUAAAAUAUUUUGUUUAAUAUUUUUAUUUUAUUCUAGCAGUCAUAAUUUCACUUUAAAUGAAUGUUUAAACAUCUAAAUUUAUUUUUGAUUUUGAAAUAUGUGUUCUGCACUUAUAUACUACAUUAUUAGCUAGUAUCAAAAUUUUGAAGAAAAAUGACCAAAAUACCCGAGUGAGAUGAAAGUUAUUUUUUAUUGUUUUAGGUUGAAAAUAGUUUAAAAUCUUUUAGAAUGUGAUAUUUGGCAAUGAUUACUCACAGAAAAAAAUGAGAAACUGAUAUUAAAGCCUUGCGGGUUUCCAGUUGGCAUUCCGGGUAAUGAGUGUGAUCGAGACACUGCAGCAGUUGUCACGGGCUCGAGGGGAGUACUGGGUCGUGACAAUUCGAUUGGUAUCAGAGCUUUUGAUUUUAAAGAUUAGAGUUUUUAGUUUUAAAGUUGUUUUAGAAUUUACAAUGUCAAUGUGGCCCCUAGUUAAGUUAAGUUAGGUUAGGUUGAAUAGAAUACAUACAUCGGCAUAUAGAGCUUGAGGUUGCCUAAACUUGCUGUUUUCCUCUUAUAGAUUAUCAUGCCUCCUCGACGCGAGCACCCACCUCUCACUAGAUUGGCUGGGAGGGGAAGAGGUCGUUCCCAACGUUGUCAGCUAAAUGCAGUAGAGGGGGAAUCAGCUGCAUCCACCAUUCGGGCAGCACCUACUACUGAGCAGGUCGAGACUCCUCCACAUCCUCCAUAUCCUCAACAUUCUCCACAUUCUUCACAUCCUCCGCCACCUACUGGUACUCUUGCCAUGUCUCUUGAGGCAGUCCAAGCAUUGGCAGCCUUCUUUACGACUAUUGCUGGCCAAGCUCAAGCUGGUCAGGCUCCUCUUAUAGUACCACUAGUUGCUCCUUCAGUACCACCACCCCUACCUCUAGUUCCACCGCCAGUACAAGAUGUAUUUAUUGCUAAGAAGUGGAAGGAAGCUAGACAACUAGGUUGCGUUUCUUUUACGAGUGAUUUGGAUGCAACCGUAGCCAAAGAUUGGAUUAAUUAGGUUUCAGAGACACUGUCUGAUAUGAGGUUAGAUGAUGACAUGAAGCUAAUGGUGGCCACAAGAUUACUAGAGAAGAGAGCCUGUACAUGGUGGAAUUCAGUAAAAUCCUAUUCCACUACUCCUCUGAUCUGGGCAGACUUCCUAAGAGAAUUUGAUGGUUAGUAUUUUACUUAUUUCCAUCAGAAAGAAAAGAAAAGAGAAUUUUUGAGUUUGAAACAGGAAAAUUUAACGGUAGAGGAGUACGAGGCUCGUUUUAACGAGCUGAUGUUAUAUGUGCCGGAUCUGGUGAAAUCUAAGCAGGAUCAGGCCAAUUAUUUUGAGGAAGGGCUUCGUAAUGAGAUUAGAGAAUGUAUGACAGUGACUAGUAGGGAACCACAUAAGGAGGUGGUACAGAUGGCUUUAAGGGCUGAGAAGCUUGCAAAUGAAAAUAGGCGAAUGCGAGCUGAGUUUGCAAAAAGGAGAAAUCCGAGUGUAACUUUUAGUCAACCACCAAAAAGGGGCAAAGACUCAUCUGCUUCGGGGAGUACUACCUCAGUUUUAGUGACAUCUCCUUGACCUCUAUUUUCACAAACACAGUAGAGGCCUCCAAGAUUCAGCAGAUCUGCGAUGACUUAUUCUGGGAAGAGUUCUGGAGGUUCUGAUAGAUGCAAGAAGUGUGGGAAGAAUCAUGUUGGGCAGUGUAGGGGAUUAGUACGAUGUUAUCAUUGUGGUCAGUCGGGUCAUAUUAGGAGUGAUUACGCACAGCUAGGACGGGCUACUGUAAUAGCUCUAUCUUCACCAGUUCGUACUGAUAUGCAAAAGAGAGAUCCUUCUGGGUUACCAUCGAGACAGGGAGUAGCUAUACAGUCUAGUGUAGAGAGUAACACCCUGGCAUAUCCACCUUCGAGACCACAGACUCGUACUUCGACAAGAGUUUUCGCUGUGACGGAAGAUGAGGCACGAGUCUGACCUAGAGCCGUGAUAAGUACUAUGUCUUUGUUUGAUAAAGAUGUUUAUGUUCUGAUAGAUUUUGGCUCAGUUAGGUCAUAUGUGAGUAUGGCAUUUGCAUCAAUUGCUGAUAAAAACCUGUCACCAUUAGAGAAAGAAAUUGUAGUUCACACCCUUUUAGGAGAAAAGCUAGUUAGAAACAGUUGUUAUAGAGAUUGUGGGGUUAUGGUUAGUGAGGAAGAAUUUAGGGGUGACUUGAUUCCUUUAGAGAUCCAAGAUUUCGAUUUGAUAUUAGGUAUGGACUGGUUAAUUGAACAUCGAGCGAAUGUGGAUUAUAUCAGGAAAGAAGUUAUUCUUCAGAAUUCGGAGGGAGCAAGGAUUAUAUUUGCAGGGGAACGUCGAGUAUUACCGUCUUGUGUAAUCUCGGCCAUCAAAGCUUUGAAAUUAGUGCAGAAAAGGUAUCCGACAUAUUUAGCACAUGUGAUCGAUACUUCAAAAGGGGAACCUAAAUUAGAGGAUGUCCCAAUAGUUAGUGAGUUUCCUGAUGUAUUUCCUGACGAAUUACCGAGACUACCUCUUGAGCGAGAGCUUGAGUUCCCUAUUCAUUUACUUCUAGGUACCGCACCUAGUUCUAUCCCUCCAUAUCGAAUGGCACUAGCGAAAUUGAAGGAACUAAAAGUCCAACUGCAAGAUUUGGUGGAUAAGGAUUUUAUUCGCCCUAGCACUUUUCCUUAGGGAGCACCAGUCCUAUUUGUAAAGAAGAAGGAUGACACUCUUUGAUUAUGUAUUGAUUACCGUCAGCUGAACCGAGUGACCAUCAAGAAUAAAUACCCUCUACCACGGAUCGAUGAUCUUUUUGAUGAAUUACGAGGGGCUAUGGUAAUUUCUAAGAUUGAUUUUAGGUCUGGUUAUUAUUAGUUGAAGAUUAAGGAGCAGGAUGUACCCAAGACUGCUUUUAGGACGCGUUAUGGGCAUUAUGAGUUUCUGGUGAUGCCGUUUGGUUUGACUAAUGCCCCGACAGCUUUUAUGGAUCUUAUGAACAGGGUGUUCCAUCCAUACUUGGAUAAAUUCGUGAUAGUAUUCAUAGAUGACAUCCUGGUUUAUUCGAAGAAUGAUGAUGAACAUGCUGCCUUUGCGCAUUGUGUUGCAAACUUUGCGCGAGAGACAACUCUAUGCCAAGUUUUUUAAAUGUGAAAGGAAAUGGUUUUCUUGGGACAUGUGGUGUCCGGAGCUGGAAUUUAUGUUGAUCACAAGAAGAUUGAGGCAAUCUUACAAUGGGAGAAACUGAGAACGGUAACUGAGAUUCACAGUUUUCUUGGCUUAGUCGGUUAUUAUCAGAGAUUUGUUUAGGGAUUUUCACUGAUAGCGGCUCCUUUGACUCAUUGACUUGUAAAGGAGUUAAGUUUGAGUGGGAUGAUGUUUGUGAGAGUCGAUUUCAGGAGCUAAAGAACCGGUUAACCUCCGCUCUCGUUCUAACACUUCCGGUUGGUGGGAAAGAAUUUGUGGUAUACAGUGAUGCCUCUAAAUUGGGACUAGGGUGUGUGUUGAUGCAAGAUGAGAAAUGAUAGCUUAUGUUUCCCAACAGUUGAAGAAGCAUGAGAUGAAUUGCCCUACCCAUGAUUUGGAGUUAGCAGUAGUAGUUUUCGCAUUGAAGAUUUGGAGGCAUUAUUUGUAUGGUGAGCGUUGUCAGAUUUUUACUGAUCAUAAAAGUUUGAAAUAUUUGCUCACCCAAAAAGAACUUAAUUUGAGACAAAGACGGUGGCUAGAGUUGGUCAAGGAUUAUGACUUAGUGAUUGAUUAUCACUCUAGAAAGGUAAAUAUUGUAGCGGAUGCCUUAAGUCAUAAAUCUUCAUUGUCGUUAGCAACACUUCGGAGCUCUUAUUUUUCGAUGUUACUUGAGAUGAAGUCUCUAGGGGUCUAGUUGAAUAAUGGUGAGGAUGGAACCCUACUUGCUAGUUUCAUUGUGAGACCUUCAUUGUUGAAUCAAAUUAGAGAAUUGCAGAAAUUCGAUGAUUGGUUGAAACAGGAAGUUCAAAAGCUGCAAGAUGGAGAAACUAGAGAGUUUAGACUCAGUGAUGAUGGUACUUUAAUGCUUAGAGACUGAAUUUGUGUCCCUAAGGAUGAUUAGUUUAGACGAGCUAUUUUGGAGGAAGCUCAUUCUUUCGCCUACGCUUUACAUCCCGAAAGCACCAAGAUGUAUCGGACUAUCAAGGAAAGUUAUUGGUGGUCGGGUAUGAAACGAGACAUAGCAGAGUUUGUAGCAAAAUGUCUCACAUGCCAACAGAUCAAGGCAGAGCAUAAAAAACCAUCAGGCACUCUUCAGCUUUUACCUAUUCCAGAAUGGAAGUGGGAACACAUGACUAUGGAUUUUGUAUUGGGUUUGCCGCGAACACAGAGUGGGAAGGAUGCUAUUUAGGUGAUUGUGGAUAAAUUGACUAAGUCUGCCCAUUUCUUGGCUAUCCAUAGCACGUAUUCUAUUGAGAAAUUGGCGAAACUUUAUAUAGAUGAGGUUGUGAGAUUACAUGGAGUUCCAGUUUCUAUUGUUUCAGAUCGAGACCCCCGAUUUACUUCUCGAUUUUGGCCAAAAUUUCAGGAAGCUCUCGGAACGAAAUUGAGAUUUAGUACUACCUUUCAUCCGCAGAUUGAUGGUCAAUCUGAAAGGACUAUUCAGACCUUAGAGGAUAUGUUACGGGCUUGUGUCAUUGACUUUAUUGAGAGUUGGGAUAGACAGUUUCCAUUAGUGGAGUUCGCUUAUAAUAACAGUUUUCAGUCUAGUAUUGGGAUGGCACCAUACGAGGCUCUGUAUGGAAGGAAGUGCCGGACUCCAUUCUGUUGGGAUGAAGUGGGUGAGAGGAAAUUGUUUAAUGUGGAAUUAAUUGAUCUGACGAAUGACAAGAUCAAGGUUAUCCAAGAGAGAUUAAAGAUAGCUCAAGAUAGGCAAAAGAGUUAUUCUGAUAAACAAAGGAAAGAUUUGGAGUUUGAAGUCGACGAUAAAGUUUUUCUUAAGAUUUCUCCUUGGAAAGGUAAUAAUUUGAAAUUUCAAGUAUUAAAUCUUAUUUGAUUACACUAUUGUGAUAAUUUGUGGUAUUUAUUGGAUAAUGAAAGGUGUGAUUCGAUUCGCGAAGCGAGGAAAGCUCAAUCCGAGAUACAUUGGACCCUAUUCUAUCAUUGAAAGGAUUGGGCCAGUGGCUUACAAACUUGAAUUACCCCCGGAGUUAGAUCGGAUUCACAAUGUUUUCCACGUCUCGAUGCUGAAAAAGUAUGUUCUCGAUCCCUCUCACAUUCUAGAGACACCUUCCAUUGAGUUGCAUGAAGAUUUGAAGUUCGAAGUGCAACCUGUACGCAUUCUAGAUCGAAAGGAUCGAGUGUUGAAGAACAAGAGCAUUCCAAUGGUUAAAGUGCUGUGGAAGAAUGCUCAAAUAGAGGAGAUGACAUGGGAAGUCGAAGGUUAUAUGAGAAACCAAUAUCCACAUUUUUUCUUCGAAUUCGGUAAGUGAAAUUUUAAGGGCAAAAUUUUAUUUUAAGGGGGGUAGUGCUGUCAAGCCUGACUCUAUAUAAUACUUGCCAUGUCAUUCAUGUGAUUGACAAUAUGCUUGCAUACUAGGAAAGCCCCGAAAAAUCAUAAAAAGUUAGUAGUGUACCUAGUGGUGCAACUAAGUUGAAUUAAGCCUCGAACUAGAUCAAAAAGAGAUUUUAAGAUGAAAUUGAAAAUUUUAAAGUCCCAGAAUGACUUAAAAUGGUGAUUAGGAGUUCGAGGACCGAUUUGUAGUCAAAUUGAAAUUUUCAUGAUCUAGGGGCAAAAUGGUGAUUUUGCCACCUAAGGUUAAGAUGUGAGUGUUGGAUGAAAUUUUUGACUAAGAUUGAUCAUUUGGAGUAUAAUUUGAGUUUGAGAAAUGAAGAAUUUUAAUUUCGGUGUUUUUUCGAGCAUAAGGGCAAAAUAAUCAUUUUGCCACCCUAAGGGCAAAAUUAUAAUUUUACACCACCCAACACUUGUCCAGCACAUGGAUUUUACCCAAUAUUAUCAUGGAUAAUUGAGAAAAUUUAAGCGGUGGAGAGAGAUUGCUUAAUGGGUAAGUAUGACACAUGGACCAAUGGAAUGGUGACAUGUGUCAAGUUUAUAUCCAUUUAUUAUUUAGCUUUAAAUUAACAUAAAUUCAGCCUAUGUCUCAUUCAUAUGGCCGGCCAAAACAAAAACCAAAGAAGAACAAAGGAAGAAAAGAAAGAACAAGAACCCUAGGUGGAAAAAUUCAAAGAAAAAGUGUGAAAAAUCAAGAAAAACAAGUGAAAAAGGUAGGAUUUCUCAAUUUAAACUUGAAAUCUAUUUUCCUUAAGCAUUUCUCCUUAUUUUCCAUGGUUAAAUUUCAUGUUUUCAUGGUGAAUUCAUGGCUAACCGAAUGGGUAUGGAGAGAAAAUGAUGUUGGAAUGAUUUGAUUUCAAGUUAUGUUAGUGUUUUUGGUUAGUUUACCAUGUCUAGAAGCAAAACAACAAGAAAAGAAUUCAUUUUCCCCAUCACCCAUCAAUCGUCGAACCUACCUUGCAUUGAGUGAGGAUGAAUUUGAUUUUUAUUUUAGGAGAAUUGGUUAGAAAAUGAUGAAUUAUGGUGUGGAAAGUAGUAGGAAAAAUCACGGUGUUAAUGCACCAUUAUUGACCAAAAAUUCUAUGAAGAAAAGUGAAAAUGGUUUGGUCAAAUAGUAGGUUAUUUGACUUAUGUUUGGUGAAUUAAGGUAUUGGAAAAGAAAUGGAGCAAUUUGGAGCUAAAUUGGAUGCAUUGGCCAAUUAAUCGGGUGAUAAAACGAAUUAGGCCAAUACCAGGUUUAGAUUGUUACCCGUGCAUUUUGCAUUCCAUAUCAUGCAUUAGUAGUCUAAAUUUGUUUAAUUUCGAUUUAGUACCAAUGUAGUAAGUUUCUAGAUUUUGCAUCAUGUCCAGGUGGUGAAUCCUCCGCUAAGGGCAAAGAAAUUGUACCCGAGGAUCGGUAGUUAGAGUACUCUAGAAAUUCGACUCCCGAAAUAGUGAGUAACCUUAUCAUCAUUUUAAUUAUCUAAAGUGGUCUUUUUAUCCAAUUUUGUGAAUUUUAUGGAAAAUGAGUUUAAAUGGUUAAUUUUUAGGUUUUAUAAACAAAAUGUGUUUAAAUGAAAAGAUUUUAUAAAUUGUCUUGAAAUUGAAUUAUGGCUUUGAAAAUAGAGUAACUGGAGACCACUUGAUGUGUUGUAAUUUAUGGUUCUAAUUGAUGGCUUAUGAUAAUGUGUUGGCAUGAUUGGCUGGAAUUGUGGUUUGUGAACUGUAUGAAUUGUUCUGUUUUACAUUUACAGGCUGGGUAGUAUAAUAUUAGUCAUGUCAUGUUGUCAAAAUUUUAUUGUAUGGUGGGUUUAGCUUGCUGUAGUGGGCGGGUUCUGUGGACCAGCCUAUUAGAGGGGCACGGAAUCCGGUUAUAUAUGUACCUCGGUCAGAGAGCCUCGUAGGGUAUCUCCUGAGGUAUGGUUAGAGUUCAUGUCACGUCGAACCACCUCGUGCUAAUGUACUCCGCUAACGCCAAGGAACGACUGUGUUUUUCAAACUAAAAAAUAUGUUUAUGUGUGUAUAAAAUUUUUAACAGCCUUGACGGACUCGGUUAAAUACCUCGACCAAGGUAUUCCCAAGAAUGAUUUUAACAGGAGCCAACCUUUUAAGAUACUCAUAAGCCAUGUUGACUAUUUAAAUGAAAUGAAUGUUUAUGUUAUGAAAUACAUAUUUAGAUGGAAUAUUUUAAUCGUCUUCUUUUACUCGACUUUAGAUAUUUUGAAUGAUGUUUGUUUACUUGCUGGGAUUUUAUAAUCUCACCACCCUCAUUUCCACCCAUUUCAAGCUUAGUAUAAGCUAUAGAUAGCUGAUAUCGUCGAAGGCUACAGUUGGCUUUACUUCCUCAAAAACUGUAGGUUUGCAACCUUCGUUUAUUUUUGUUAUUUAAGGGUCCACAUGUCACUGUAAAUUAAAUUACAUACUUUAGUUAUUUGUACUACUGUAUGUAAGAAUUUAUUUUGCUUUUACGCUGUAAAAAUUAUUUACGCAGUGUUCUAAAAAUAUUAUUUAUAAGAAAAUAGAAUAUUUUGUUUAAUAUUUUUAUUUUAUUCUAGCAGUCAUAAUUUCACUUUAAAUGAAUGUUUAGACAUCUAAAUUUAUUUUUGAUUUUGAAAUAUGUGUUCUGCACUUAUAUACUACAUUAUUAGCUGGUAUCGAAAUUUUAAAGAAAAAUGAUCAAAAUACCCCUGUGAGACGAAAAUUAUUUUUUAUUGUUUUAAGUUGGGAAAUAGUUUAAAAUCUUUUAGAACGUGAUAUUUGGCAAUGAUUACUCACAGGGGAAAAUGAGAAAUUGAUAUUAAAGUCUUGCGGGGUUCUGGUUGGCAUUUCGGGUAAUGAGUGUCUAUCGGGACACCGCGACAGUUGUCACGGGCUCGAGGGGAGUACUGGGUCGUGACAAGUUACAGUCCCAGCAACUUGGCAUACCAAGCGAUGCGAAGUCCUUCCCACUAAUUAAAAUCCUUGUAAAGUGAUCCACUAUCCACGUACCAAACUCCUCUUAAAUGUUGGAAACAUGGAACAUGCAUGCUCACCUAAGGAUUUUUCUUAACUUAUUCUCUUACUUAAAAUGGAAUUCCAUAUUUUUCCCUUUUUUGAAAAUUUGUCCUCAAAUUUAAGUAGCAUACUAACCUUUGCUAAAUAAGUGUGCGUACCUAGUCUGCAUGUCACUCUCGAUUCCUAAGUCACCUCUUCGCUCGAGUGGUUUUUUCAUUGCACCUUUACCAAUGCUACAUCCUUGGAGAGUAAUUUCUUCACUUGCCUGUCUAAAAUGGCUAUCGGCACCUCCUUUAGAUCAAACCAUCUCUCAGCUAUAGGAGCUUAUGCUAAACCACAUGUGAUGGAUCCGAUUGGUACUUUUAUAAUACCAAAACAAGAAACAUGGGAUCAACACUAGCAAGAUCUGGCAGCAGUGCUAAUUGAUAAGCCACCGUGCUUAAAAUCAUUUAGGUUUUUAGCCUCUUCCAUAACAGUGACUUUUAGAUCUUCUACAAUAUUGGUGAAUCUCUCAAGCAUCUCAUUAAUUAAUUUACUCUCUUCCAUCCUAAAAUGCUCAUAGUCAUGAGUAAGCAAUCCAAUCUUGGAUUCCUUAACUAGGUUAGUGCCCUCAUAAGUGGUCUCUAAGGUGUCCUAUAUUUGUUGAGCACUUUAACACAUAGAAACUUUGUUGAACUCACUAACACUUAAGGCACAAAGGAGGGUGUUAUAUGCUUUACAAUUUGUUUGAAUUAAGUUCUUAUCUUUAUCACUCCACUUAUUCCUAGACUUAACCAUUAAUUUUCCUUUUACUUCCUUAUAUGGAACAUGAGGACCAUCUAAUAUAACAUUCCACAAUUUAGGUCCAUAAAUUGUAUAAACAUUUCUAUAUGUUUCUUCUAAUAAGGGUAGUUAGUACCUACAAAGAGAUGUGGCCUUUAGAUUGAUUGCCCUUCACCAAGCAUAGUUGUCUUAACCUCUAUUUUGAUGAUUUAAGCAUUUACUACGAAUCACUCAAACUGUUGCACCUACAAAAAUUGAGCCCUAGCUUUGAUACCAAUUUUUAGCAGUAUAAGCUUAAAGUAAUAUAUACCAAGAGAGGGGUAAAUUGGUAUUUAAAAAAAUCCUUUUAAACCAAGUGUAAAAAUCAAAUCUUUUUACAAUCAAAAUUCUUUUUUUGUCAAAACAAAGUAAUAGAUUUUCCUAAGGCUAAUGCAAGCAAUAAAUCACAAUGCGAAAAAUUAAAAUCAAGACAUAAAGAUUUAAUAAUGGUUCGACUUUCUUUAGUGCCUACAUCCAUUCCCUUGGAAACUAAGUAAUUUCAAAUACACUCUAUGAAAUGUGCUUUUUAUGUGAUCAAGCAUUAAACCUUUACAAUGUUUUUUCAUGGGACCAAGCAAAACCUUCAACAUACUUGUUCACGAUAACAAGUGGAACCCUUACAAUACAUUUUCACCAUCGCAUGUAGAACCUUUAACAACAUUUUUUAACGGGAGAAAGUGAAACACUUCAAUAAUUGUUUUUGUCACAACCCAAAACUCGGGCCAUGACCAACGCAUGGGCUCAAUGGGCAUAGCCCACUAAGCCCAAGCAAGCCUCUUUAUAUAAUCGAGUUCAUCAUUUCAUCAAUCAUACAUCACCAUUUCUAAACCACAAUUCUCAACUAUACGUAUUUCGGUAAUAUAACAUAGUAACCAAAUAUUUAUAUUUGUAAUAUCGUAAAGUAUUAUCAUUCAUUGCCAUCUCAUAAUGGCAUUAUCAAUCAGAAUAUACAUAUAUCGUUUGCAAAAUGAUCUUAGCGCUUCACAUCUAAUGUACAUAUGCACAUGCAAAAGACUCCUAAUGACUAGCAGAGUGACUUUGGAUGGGGGAUGCGGCUAUUGAAUGCCAUGAUACAUACCAAGGGUGAACACUAGUGGACCCCUCAAUAUAUGUCCCAACUACUUCCGGAUCUGAAAACAUGAAGUUAAAAAGAGUGAGUAUAAACCCAGUGAGUGAACAUAGGAAGGGAACAAGCAUACGAUACGGAGAGUUUUCGAAAACAUGAUGCACCCAUUUUAAAACAAUGCAAUUUGUAUAUCAUAAACUACUCGAUGCCAUGUUGAUAGUUAACUCGAUUUAAAACAUUUAGGAAGUUCAACUUUCAACAUUCAAUGCAAUCACAUAAUAUUUUCUUUAACAUUUUUAUGGUAUGUGUAAACAUGUAUAGAACCACCGGUCAUCAGCUCAUGUGCACUUCCACACCGCACAUAGCUGGAAUCAUCAUCCUCCGAUCAUCAGCUCAUAUGCACUCCCACACUGCACAGAGCUAGAAUCAUCACCCACCAGUUAUCAGCUCAUAUGCACUCCCACACCGCACAUAGCUAGAAUCACCCGUCAUCAUCGACAUGUGCCUUCCCACACCACACAUGCGUGGUUACAAUUAUCACUCAACAUUAUAUUUCAAUGCAUGGCACAUGUAACAAGAAUCUUUGCAUAACAAUACAUCACAUGCCACAAAUCAAUUGGCAAUUCAACAUAAUAUUUCAAAUACGUAAUUCAUCAGAUUAUGCAUAUCGCAUAAUAUAGGAACACAUGAGUUAAUCACAUUGCACAAUUUCACAACAUAAAGACAUUUCAUCAAGGGCUUGUUCCUAGGCACAUUUUUAAAGCAAAGACAAAUAAAGUUUUCAAAUGAUUCAUUCAAACACAUGUGCAAUUAUUUCAAAACAUUUUUUUUAAAUGCAAGUUCACUCACCUUGGUAAUGCCACCUUACAAAAUUGACACCAAUAAAACUUUACGCCAAGUUAAGUCUUGAAGUGCCAUUAAAACCUAUAUUUGCCAAUAAUCAAUAAUAGCCUCAAAUACAUCAUAAAUUUGAACUUAAUAAUUCUAAUAAGCAUAUGCUUGAUAAACUACAUUCUAGCCUAAUUUUUAACCUAGAAUUCUAGUCUAAUUCUCAAACCCAUCAUAUCAACUAUUCCAAUUUAAAAGUUCCUUACCUUGGUGAGUUUGGAGGCAUAAAGAUCAACAAAAACCUAAUAUUUCCAAGAAAAAGAAUUUGAAGAAAUUAGGAAAUAAAAUCUGAAAAUAUAACCCAUAAAUUCAUAAAUUUCAAGAGUUGAAAAUAUAUACCUUUUAGCCUUAAAAAUGGAGAUUUGAAGUGAAAAUUCAAGUGUUGGUGAUGGUGGAGUAGAAAUAGAAAAAUAAAGGAAAGAAAGAAAGAUUUUUCCUUCUCUCUCGUAGGGUUUAGUUGUGCUGGAAAAUGGAGUUGAAGCUAUAGGUUUGGUGCCCAAGAAGUUAGGAGAAGGAAGGAGUAAAAAAAAGAAAGGAAAGGAAAAGAAAAUUAAGAAAAUUUGAUUUUUCAUGGUGAAGUGAAAAUGUUGUUGGAAGCAUGAAGAAGAAGAAAAGCUACUGGAAGUGAGGAGAAAGUGUUGAAACUUUAGAUAUUUAUCUCUGAAGUUAGUCAAAGUUUCACAUAAUUUACAAUAAUGCCCUUUUUAGUUUUUUUGAUGCAAUGCUUUCACUUUAACAAGGAUUUUGACCACUUUCUGAUCAGAACUGGGCAAAGUAGUAAACAUAAAAAUUAUAGCCCUGCCUCUUAGCUUUCUAAUGGUUUAAAAAUCAUGUUAUUUAGACUUCUGUAGUAGAAGAUAUGCUGAAAAACUGAAAUAUAUGCAAAUAGAGCAACAGUCCAUUAUGCAUCUUUCUUCACCAAUUGAAAUUAAUUUUUGAUUCUACUCGUAUAAAAACAUGAAAUAAAUAUAAACAACAUAACACUAACAUUAUUAACUUAAAACAAACAUUUAAACACAUAUUAGACUAAACUAAUAAAAUAAAUAAAAAUACACAAAUUCGAUCCUAAAUCUAGUCCACCUUAGACUAAUUAGGUAUUUAAUCACCUAUUAAAUAUGUGAAUUUGAUGUACUCAUCAGUCUACCUUUAGUUAUGCAUUUAUGGAUGCCGAGGUUUCAUAGUUUUUAAUAGGCUGAACCACAAAUCCUAAAAUAGCUUUUCAAGGUUAAGCUAGAACCUUGUUAAGAUGAGUGCAAAGUAUAGUAAGAAUGCCUUUAUAAAGGCUAGCUGGUACGAAGUUUAACCUUGGGUACAAAGAGAAGAAAUAUAUUCUCAAGGAUUUUCAAGUGAAUGAAUAUUUAAAGUUGGAUGGAAGAAUAAAAUGAAUGCUAAAGAGGGAAAACAAGCUUUGAGAUUGCUCUUUAGGGUUAUCCAAGUGAGUGUUGGUCUUCUCAUGUCUUCAAAAUGACUCAAGAGUGGCAUUUUAUACCUAGAGUAAAGUUUGGAGCCGUUAGACACAAGUUUGAAUUAAAUCUGGCUAUUACUGAAGUUUGAGGGUCGACUAUGUUAUUCUAAUUUCUCAAAUUAGGGUUCCAUUGUUGAGUAUAACCUUCCUCUACUCGAUCCAAUUCCUAAGAGGGUGUAUUUUUCACAUUUGAGCGUAAAUAGUCUACUAUGGUGAAAUCAAGGUUGACUAUGGCUUUCAUUUUCCCUCUUUUUAACACAUCAAACCUACCAGGGUUGACUAUAAAAGAGCCAAGGUCGACUAUGUUUAUGUAAUUCUUCAAUUUUAUGAGUUGUUUGCUUCAAGGUAGACUAUACACACACCAAGGUUGACUAUGGCUUUAUAUUCUUCAAGCGUUUUACUCAUUCUACCUUUGGAUCAACUUUAACUUCCCUAGAGUCAACUCUUGACUUGUGUCUUGAGGAUUCCUUGACUUUUUGGCACCUCUCUUUAGUUAUUUCUUCCUUGCUUUGUUAAUAUAAUCAAAUAAUAAUUCAAGGCAUGUGUGCUACUUGUUUACUUAGUUGAAUAUUCAUUGUUUGAAAGCUUUCAUGAUGUUUUCUAAUGAUGCAUGGCUUUCUAAACAAUUUUGUAACUUUAGGGGAUGAAAAAUUUGACCGAGACAAUUUCAAAUGCUUGACAUUAAACUCAAGAUACCAUGCAAUUUUUGUCAAAUCAAAACGUGAUUUAACUCAAGGCUAACAAUUUUGUUAGAAACGAUAAGCUUAAAGUAAAACUACCAAGAAGGGGUGUGCAUUGGCUGUUAAGUAAAAAUUCCCCUUUUUUCAAAAAUUAGUUCAAUUGUGAAAGAAAAAAACAAUAAAACAGAGUAUGAACUUAAUGAGUAAAGAGUAGCAAAGUAAGAAAGGACUCAAUAGGAUUUUAUAAAGGUUUAGCCUUCCAAUGCCUACGUCUUCUCCCUUGAUAGCACAAGGAGUUUGAAUCCACUAUCAGCUUGCCUUUUCAACAAGAUCAGGUGUAACUUUUAGAACAUGGCUUUUGAAGGAUCAAGCGUAACGUUCACGACUUGCCUUUUGCAAGAUCAAGCAUAACUUCUACCAAGGCAAUGCUUUUUUUAGGUUAAACACAACCUUUACAUAAGAAAAUGCCUUUUAAAGGAUCAGGCGAAACCCUUCUACCUUUUGCGUAAAAGUAUAACUAAUGCAAUAGUGGAUUCUAGUCAACCACAAUCUAAAAGCAUCUAAAAAGGUUGAUAACGAAGUUUAGGUUCAGAAAGGUGUGAGCUUUCAUAAAAAUAAGAAUGAUCAAGGAAGGUUUAAGCUCAAGAAAGAUAGCUGAAGGAUAACGAUAUGAGCUUUAGGUUCUUUGCUUGCUUAAAGGUGCGAACUUUCUGCUUCUAGCUAUUUUUCUUGUUUUUCCAUUCUUUUCCUUUUCAAGGAUGAUUCAAACAUUUUCAAAAUCCGUUUUUCUUCUUGUUUUAACAUCCUUAAGAUGGAUAUUUAUAGUCUUUGAGAUUUUCUACCUAUUAAAGUAAGUUUUGAAUCAUUUCUUGUACGUUCCAACAAAGUUGCAAAAGUUUGUUGAUUUUGUAGAAUCUUUUCUUUGUAGUUAAGUUGUCAGUUCUUCAUAAAAUCUAUAGCUUUCUAUCUAUGAAAAACCGAUUAUUCUUUUUCAAGCUGUCUGUUCUCUUACAAUUGGGUGAAAAAGUGACACCUUUGCAAUCUUAGAGAAUCGAUUCCUUUUCCUCAAGGUGUUGGUUCUUCAAUAUGGAUUGGUGCCAAAAUUUGAAUUCAAGCUUGAAUUUUACCACUCUACUUUUGUCUAGUUUGCCACGCCUUUCUUGGUCACCAAGUUUCUAAGCAAUACUUUUGGAGCUUCAAAAACCAACUUUUUCUCUUUGUAAAAUUGAUUUUUUCUUCCUUGCUUUUCUUUUUAGCUAAAAUUGUUUGAAAAGCCAUACUUCUCUUAUGUUUACCUUUAGCACAUGCAUCACAUAAUCUAUCAUUUUCAAAUGUAAUUUUGGGCAAUCUAACAACUAGAUCAUGAUGAGAUAGUUUAGCAAUAGUAUGCAUGCUAACAUGUCCUAGUCUUCUAUGCCAUAUCCAACUAUCCUCAUUUUUCUUUGCCAUGAAACAUACAUUUUGACAGGAUAAGUCAUCUAGAUGCAUAACAUACAUGUUCUCUAGACGUUUUCCACCAAAAAUGAUUUUGUUAGUGUUUAUGUCAAUUAUUUGGUGUGAAAUCCCACCUUGAGUAAGAUGAUAAGUUAGGAAAUCCAUAGGUGAGCAUAUAGAUUACAUGUUUCGAACAACAAACUUAGAUUGACCUUUCAAAAGAAUUAUUGACACUUGUUGUUGUCUAUCCCUUUUAAAGAAGAAAAUUUUCUAGGUUUGGAAAGGGUCAAAAUAUAUGAUUUUUUUAGAACAAUCUUUUUGAAAUAAAAAAUGGCUUUAAUGAUUCCUAUGGUUUUUAGAUGAUCAAAAAUGAUUUUUCCUUAAUUUUUAGGGCAUGUUUGCUAGGGUAAAUAGGAACAACAAAUUUAAUUUCAGUCAAACAUUUUUGAUUUUGUUCUUGAAAGCAAAAUUUAGAUUUUGAUUUUUUGUAUAUUUUUAUUGAAUCCAAAAGGAGGGUUGUUUGCUUAUUUACAUUAAAUAUCUUAAGUAAACGGAAAGUAAAAAGUAAAGAGGACAUUUACUUGGAUGGUAUUUAAUGUAAAUAAGCUGGGCAGGUUUUAUAGGCAAUUUGUCUAAGAAAACUGCAUUCUGUCUCAAAUGUAUUGAUACAUGGGCUAAUUUAUUGAUAUAUUUCGUCGAUUUUAGAAAAAUAAAAAGGGUAAAAAUGUAUUUUCACACCCUAACUUAUAAAUAUAUCACAUUUUUUGAGGUUUUACAACCUUCAGCUACAUUUGCAAGGUAAAACACCUAUUCUUAAACUCUUGCAACACAUUUUUAAUCCAAAAUUCCAUUUUUAUGAUUCUAAAGCUUAGAUUUGGGUUUUAUGGAAAAAAAUGACACUUUUAGCCUUUAAAUCUUUUGGCUUUAGAUUUUCAUAACUUAAAUAGUUGCGUUAUUGCCCAAACUUUCUGUUAUUGAUUUAAGUUUAAAAGUUUUGUGAUUUGCUAAAGCAUCUAAGCUCACUUAAGGUAAAGAUGAAAGAUUUAUGGGUUUCUAAGCAUGGGUUUUAGCUAGAAAAUUAGUUUAGCCAAAGUCGAGUACUUUUGAAAGUACAUAAAAUGAUUAUUACGAAAUUCUUAUUCUAGGAAUGGUUGUGAUGAUUGUUGUACGAUAGAAACACUUGAAAACUCCACGGAUAACGUCAAAAAGGAGUUGUGAUUAGAGCUAGGAAUCGACUCUCCAAUUAGGUGAGUGGAUACCCCACUUUCAAAUUAUUUUGAUACUUAAAGCUAGCAUGAUUUUUGUAAUACCCCGUACUUUGAUAUGGUGACUAAUAAAGCUUAUCUGAUGCCAAUUGAGACAUAAUAAGGUAUUUUGGGUACCAAGGAGACAAGUGAAAUUUUUUAAAUAAAAUAAUAUUUUAUUAAUUAAAUAAUAUUAAAAUAUUAAUAUUUAAUCGGAUGUUGAAAUUAGUCAUGAAGAAGGAUCAUAUGGUUGAUCCAAGUGGGGGAAAAGAAGUACAAAUGAAUUUUGGAGAUAAAUGACGUAAGUGAGAUACGUGUUUUUUUGUUAAGUCGAGCCAACGCGGAUAAGUAAAUAUUUAAAUAUUAUGGUGAUACCUCGUUGAAGUGCAAUUUCAAUAUGUUUGUGGUACACGUGCAAAGGAAGAAAGAUAGAUGAAAAUUAGAAUUUUUAAACUUGUCGAAAGGAUUGAAUUUUAAAUAUAAAAGUUGAAAGAUUAUGUAGUAAAAUUAAAUGGGAGAAAUAAAUAAACAAAUAAUAGAAUAAUAAUAAAAGUAUAUAUAUAAUAAUAAUAAAAAAAAUAAAGAGAAAGGCCAACAUGGGUAGCCGCCCAUGUGGUCAAUUAAAGAGUCAAUAAUUUUUUUUUAUAGUGGUAGGGGCCGGCCAAAUUGAUAAGUAAAGUGAGAUAAAAAAAAAUGAAUGAAAAAUGAAAGAAGAGAAAAGACAAGAAAGAAGAGAAAAGAAAAGUCAAAGUCAGCUGUGAGGGAAAAGCUGGCUAUUUGAAGAAGAUAAAAGGAAAGAGAGAAGUUGGUGUGAGAGAGCAAAGGGAAAGCCAAAGAAGAUAGAGAAAAGUCAGUGUGAGAGAGCAAAGGGGAAAGCCAUAGGCCAAGGGAGAAAGAGCAGGCUGGAAGAGAGAGCAAAAAAAUGGCAGUUGCAGCCGCUUAGAGGAGUAAAGAGAGAGGCUUUGUGCUGCAAAAUUUUGAGAGGAAAAAGAUAGAGUUUUGCUACAAAUUUUGAGAGAGAAAACAAGGGCUGCUGUUGUUGGGUUUGUGGGGGAGUAAACAAAGGCUUAAGCUGCUGGUUUGUGAGUGAAAUGAGGGAGAAAGAAGGAAAAGAAAAAAAAAAGAAGAGAGAAGAAAGAAGCUACCGACCGGUGAGAAAGAGGAGAAGAAGAAAGAGAGAAAGAAACGAGAAAGAGAGAUAAAAGAUAAAAAAGAUAAAAAUAAAAACGAAAAUAAUUAUUCCUUUGGGCCUUUAACAGUACCUUUGGCAAAGAAAGUCCGGUGGGUUGCAAUAUUUUAUUUGGGUUAGCAUUUGAGCCCAAGUGAGGUAAAAGUUAAAAUCAAGCCCUUUUCUUUAUGGAUCCAUUAUAAAGUAUGUUGUUUGGGUUUAGUCCAACUCAUUGGGUUGAAUGUGUGAUAUAAUGACAUAAAAUAAGUUGAAUUAUUUGGUAUAAAUGUUCAUUGGGUUGAAUGUGUGAUAAAAUGACAUAAAAUAAGUUGAAUUAUUUGGUAUAAAUGUUUUAGAAUUGUUAGAUAAUAUUUAAAAUAUGAAAAUUUGUGCAAGUACAAUACAAAGGUAAAUGUCAAUAGUAAGAAAAUCAGUAAUAAAUUUAGUUAGUUUUAAAAUAAUAAUAAUAAUCAUAAUAAUAAUAAGUGAAUGGUGAGGAUGAAAAAUGGUGAUUAAGAAGAAAGAACGAGCUACUAGCAAGUAAAGAUAGUUAAAGACACCUCCAAACAAAUAGAGACUUAAUAUCUCGUUGUUACAAGGUGAGUGAACUUGCAUUAAAAUGUUUUGGGAUAUACACAUAUAUGUUUGAUUGAAUUCCCUAAAACGUUUUAUUAGUUUUUCUUCAAAAACUCGCACGGGAACAAGCCUUUAUGAAAUGUUUUUAUGUUAUGAAAUGGAUAGUGUGAUGAAUCCAUCUGUUUCUGUAUAAUAUUGAUAUUUAUAUAGUAUGUCAUAAAUGGUACAUUGUGUGACAAAAUGCAACCGUGCAUGUGCGGGGUGAGUGUGCACCUAUCGGUGAUGACUGUGGUGAGGGAGAUGGAUGGUGAUAUUGCCUGUGUGCACGAUGUGGGGGGAUGCACAUGAUGGCAUUAGCUGUGCACGAUGUGGGGGGAUGCAAACGAUGACUCCGGCUAUGUGCAUGAUGUAGGCGGAUGCACAUGAGCUGGGUGAGACGGGGUGUCCGACUAUGUGCACAAUGUGGGGGGAUGCACAUGAGCUGGGUCAGACGAGGUGUCCGACUAUGUGCACGAUGUAAGGGGAUGCACAUGAGCUGGGUGAGAUGGUGGUGUAUGUGCUUAUAUAUAUUCAUAUUUACUAUAUAGAGAUGUUUGGAUUUAAUAUGUGAUUGCAUUGACUGUUGAAAACUUGAGUAUUGUCAAUGUGUUCAAUUUAAUGUCCAAUGUGGCAUGAGUGGAUUUUAUCGGUGGCAGUGAAAGUUCCCUUAGAUUUUAUCUAGCCAGAAUUUUGUUGCAACGAGAAUGCCUUUUGACUGCGGUGAGAGUCAAUCUAUUAUGCUUGACUUGCUUGAAUUCUACUAAAGUUUCCACUUCUCAACUUCUUUGUUGUUCAUGAGUUUUUCGUCAUCAAGUGACUAAACGACCAAGGGUUUGAAUGAGGGGUUUUCAAAUAGAAAUAAACUAAAUUGCAUUAUUUUGAACUUAAGUGCAUCAUGAUUUCUAAACCUUCCUUAACAUUGCUUGUUCCCUUCCUAUGUUCACUUACUGAGUUUAUACUCACUUUUUAAACUUCAUGUUUUAGGUUGUUAGAGUCAAAGGUGAUUGGAUCCUAGGACGAGGUGUUCCUCCCUAUCCAUUGCCUGGUAGAUUUACCAUGACAUUAAAUAUUAGCAAUCGUGCCCAGAGUCACCCUGCUGACGGUCAAGUUCUGAUUACGUGUAUAUGAAUACUUGUUGUGAAAUGCUGAGAUUCAUUUGUUAAUAUAUAUAUAUAUAUAUAUAUAUAUAUAUGUAUGUAUAUUAUGGUUGAUGAUGUUAUUCUGAAUACAUAGUUGGGAUUUAUGAAUUUUUCCAAAGAAACUAUAUUGAAUGCUAUUGAUUCGAAUUUUUAAGGAAUACAGAUUAAUGUAUAAGAUUCUCUAAAUAGGGUUGCUUGGGCUUAGUGGGCUAAGCCCAUUGGGCCCUUGCGCAGUUCAUGGCCCUGAAAUUGGGCUGUGACAAUUUCAACAAAAAAAAUUAUAUAUGCAUGUUGAAAUUAUAUCUCUAAAUUUGGUUAUCAAAGGAGUUGAGAUUUUAAAAUGAAAAUGAUUUUCUAAGAAAAUAAAUUGAUAAGGAUUGUGAUGUGAUUUACUCAAUAGAUGUUUUUUUAAAUGUUUAUUGACCUACUAUGUAUUAGUUUUCAACAAAGGGGGACAAGCACCUUAUAUUUGAAGUUUACUCGAUUACAACAAUCUUCGAACUAGUGCGAGUAUGAGAUAUUGUAUGCUUAUUUAUAGAUGCUAUAAUAUGCAUGUUGGUAUGAUGAAUGCCAUAAGAUUAUGUAUAUGAUGUAAAUUUCAGACACCAUAUGAGAUGAUCAAGUAUGCAUGAUGUAUACUAUAGGAUGGUGUAUAUGUUAUAAAUUCCAUAUACCAUAUGAGGUGAUUAAGUAUGCAUGAUUAAUGCCAUGAGAAUAUGGAUAUGAUUUAUAUUCCACAUACUACAUGAGACGAUUAAGUAUGCAUGAUUAAUGCCAUGAGAAUAUGUAUAUGAUGUAUAUUUCAUAUACUACAUGAGCGGAUUGAGCAAGCAUAAAUGUCAUGAGAUUAUGUUUAUGAUGUAAAUUCCAUAUACCGUAUGAGAUGAGUGAGCAUGUAUGUGAAAGACAUUCCACAUACCACAUGUUACAAGUAUGAGAACUCAAAAAGUGUGAUUGAUACCACUCUCACGGUGUGCAAGUGACGACUUCACUCCUAUGAUGCAUCAUAAAAUACCCAAGGGCAAUGGGGACAUACGUUGCCAACCCAAGGUGCCAUGAGGUUGUACAUUGCUAGCCAAAGGUUAAUGGGGGUCAAACCAUCACAAUGUAUGAGUUUUAAUGUUAAUGAAAUGAUUAUCGUUGUUAUGUUUAUGGUAUGUUGUAUGUUGUGUUCAUUUGAGUAAUGUUUAUGGUUUAUACCUGAUGAUGGCAUGAGAAUGUGCUUAGUAAGAAGAAUUGAGCCCUAAAGAUAGUUCUCGAGAUGUAAAAGGACUUAAGGAAUGGAAAUAAUGCUAAAAUUGUUCAGAAACUUAGUCUAUGUGUUCAAAGUAUCAAUACAUGUCAUGACCCGAAACUCCCCUCGAGCUCGUGACAACAGCCGCGGUGCCUCGAUGGGCACUCAUCUCCCGGAAUGCCAACUGGAAUCUCGUAAGGCUUAAUAUCAGUUUCUCAUUUUCCCCGGUGAGUAAUUGUUGCCAAAUAUUAUGUUCUAAAGGAUUUUGAGUUAUUUCCAACUUAAAAUAGAUAAAUUAAAAAUUUUUGUCUCAUAGGGGCAUUUUGGUCAUUGUCCACUGAAAAUUUCGAAACCAAUUAAAAAUGUAGUAAACAAGUACCAAUCACAUAAUUCACAAUUAAAAAUAAGUUUAGGCAUCUAAAACCUUUAUUUAAAAUGAAAUUAUAAUUAUUUGAAUAUAAUAAAAAGAUAAAACAAAAUAUUCAAUAAAAUAUUUUAUUUUCUUAUAAACAGUAAUUUUAGAGUUAUGCGUAAAUACUUUUUGUAACGUAAAAACAAAAUAAAUUCAUUCAUACUGUAACACAAUAAACUAGAGUAUUUAAAUUAAUUUAAAUUUACAAUAUCAAGUGGGCCCACAAUAACCAAAAUUAAAGAAGUUGUGAACCUACAGUUUGGAAAAAGCAAAUCCAAUGGAAGUCCUCGAUGGAAUCAGCUAUCUACAGCCUACUCUAAGCCUGAAAUGGGUGGAUAUGAGGGUGGUGAGAUUAUAAAAUCCCAGUGAGUAAACAAACAUCAUUUAAAUAAGCUAAAGCCGAGUAAAAGGAGACAAUUAAAAUAUCCCAUCAUUUUAAGUAUUUCACAAUUUGAAAAUUUAUCUCAACCCAUGCAAACGGUUGUAUUUCAUUUAAUUUCUCAUUAAGGCUUAUGACUUUCAUAAAAAUUUGGCUCAUGCCAUCAAAUAGUACUUUACGACACCUUGAUCAGAGGUGUACACUCGAGCCAGCCAAGGCUAUUAAAAUUUCGUAUACGCGUAAAACAUAUUUUUUUUUAGUUUGAAAAACACAGCCAUUCCUUGGUGUUAGCUGAGUUUGUCAUCACGAGGUGGUUCAGCGUGACGUGAACUUUGUCCAUGCCUCAGGAGAUACCAUACACGCCUCUCCGAUCGAGGUACAUAUAUAUAUCCGGAUUUCAUGCCCCUCUAAUAGGUUGGUCCACAGAAUCCGCCUACUGUAGCAAGCUAAACCCACCAUACAAUAAAAUUUUGACAGCAUGACAGGGCUAAUAUUUUACUACUCAGCCUGCAAGGGUAAAAUAAAACAAUUCAUACAAUUCAUAGAACAUAGCCCAGCCAGUCAUGCCAACACAAUAACAAUAUAACAUAAGCCAUCAAUUUCUAAUCAUAAAUUUAUAACAUACGGAUGGUCUCCAAUUACUCUAUUUUCAAAAUCGUUAUUCAUUUUCAAUAUAAUUUAUAAAAUCUUUUCAUGUCAACACAUUCUGCUUGUAAAACACAAAAAUUUACCAUUUAAACUCAUUUUCAUAAAAUUUCAUCAAAACCGAUUAAAAACAUACUUUAGAUAAUUAAAAUGAUGGUAAGGUUACUCAUUGUACUAGGAGUUCGAUAUACUCCUAUUCCCAAUCUUCGGGCACAAUCUCUUUACCCUUGUUAGAGGGUUCACCACCUAUACAUCAUACGUGACACGAAUUUCAAUAAAUUGUGUCAAUUUAUCAUAAACUAUUUCAGGCUCUCUAAAUCUAAAUGAAUGCAUGUGAUGGGAUGCAAAAUGUUUGAUUAAUCACUUAAAUGUGAUAUUCGACCUAAGUCGCACUAUACUCGGCCUAAUCAGCUAAAAUCUCUGAUUUAACUUCAAAUCAAUUCUUCUCACUUUCUACACUCCAAUUGUACCUAAAUUACCUUAGUGACUAUGAAUGAGAUUCAAUAUAUCAGUCUCGGGUCAAUAAUCACACAUGUCUAUACAUUAGGUAAAAAUUCAGAUUUUCACACCAAAAUUUUCCAUUUAAUUUCUAGCCUCACCAAACAUCAAAUAUCACCCAAAUAUCAUGAAAUAUCAGCAAUUUCAGCCACAAUAUCCUCCCUAGAAAAUUUGGCCAAUGAUGGUGAUCGGGGAAAAGAGAUUCUUUUCUUAUUGUUUUGUUUCUAAAUAUGCUAAACUAACUAAAAACACUAACAUAACUCAAAAUCAAAUCAAUCCAACAUCUUUAUCUCUCCAUACCCAUUUUGACUAGCCAUGAAUUCAUCAUGAAAACAUGUAAUUUAACCAUGGAAAAUAAGGAGUAAUGCUUAAGGAAAAUAGAUUUCAAGUUUAAAUUGAAAAAGCCUACCUUUUUCACUUGUUUUCCUUGAUUUUUCACACUUUUUCUCUUGAAAUCCUCCACCUAGGUUUUGUUCUUGUUUUUCCUUUCUUUCCUUUUGUCUUGGCCAAAUAUGGAGAAGAAGGAUGGGAUAAAUAUGGGCUGAUUUUAAUGGAAAAUAAUAAAAUAUUCUUACUUGACACGUGGCAUGUUUCCAUUGGUCCAUUUUUAAAACUUUAAAAAUUUUAGACCUUUAAUCUCCACCACAUGAUUAGUCAAAGGUCAAAAUGAGGAUAAGGGAAGACCAUGUGCUGGAAAAAUGUCCUGGUGGUGGAAAAUUACUGUUUUGCCCCUAGGGUGGUAAAAUUACCAUUUUGCCCUUAUGCUCCAAAAAUACCGAAAUUAUAACUUUUUCACUUAUCAACCUCAAAUUAUACUCCAAUGAGUCAAAUGUGAUCAAUCUUGAUCAAAAACUUCUUCCAAUAUUCCAAUUUUAUCCUCAAGUGGCAAAAUUACCAUUUUGCCCCUAGAUAGUGAAAUUUUCGAUUUGACUCCAAAUUGAUCCUCGAACUCCAAAUAAUCAUAUUAAACUAUUCUGGGACUUUAAUAUUCUUAAUUUCAUCUGAAAUUCUCUAUUUGAUCUAGUUCGAGGCUUAAAUCAACUUUGUUGUACCUCUAGGUACAAUAUCGACUUUUGUAAAUUUUUCGGGACUCUCCUAGCAUGCAAACAUGUUAUCCAUCACAUGUAUGUCAUGACAAGUAUUUUAUAGAGUCAAGCUUGACAUCUUCUCCCCUACCUGGAUCAACCAUAUGAUCCUUUUUCAUGACUGAUUUCGACAUCCGGCUAAAUAUUAAUAUUUUAAUAUUAUUUCAUUAAUAAAAUAUUAUUUUAUUCUAAAAAUUUUAUCUUGUCUCUUUGGUUCCCAAAGUUCCUUAUUAUGCCUCAAUUCGCAUCCGACCAACUUUAUUUAUCACCAUAUCAGAGUAUAGGGCAUUUCAAUACAUAUGGAGCACGUAUCGAUACAUUCUAAACAAAUUCCAUAGGAGGCUUUCUGUGUGAAAUGUAUCGAUACAUUUUACCAAUGUAUUGAUAGAUGCUUGAAAGUAUCGAUACAUUCAAUAAUGCAUCAAUAGAUAUGGUACAGAAAAGGAUGUUUGAGUGAAUUUGAUCAAGAUUUUAAAGGUAAAGAUUUCUAAAGGUUUAUAUAAGUUGUUUUCAAACAAAAGGUAUUUAAAUGAGUUCAAAUGACAUGUAUAAUGCAUUUUAUGAUUCAGAAGUUAGGAAUGGUAUGAGUUAUAAAUGUAUGGUUACGAAAUACUCUUAUCCCCUAGCUUGUCCCCUUCCCGUAUCCACUCACAGAGUCUUUGUGACUCAUACAUUAUUUUUUCCAUUUAUUUUGUUGUAGAUUAGUGAUAGCAUCUAAUAGCAGCUAGUGUCGUGGAUACCAAUGUUUGGUCUUCAUUCCUUGGUAGGUGUCUAGCAGCCAUUUGUUGCCUAGAGGGUCGAUCACAUUCUGCUGACUAGUUGGUCUUUACUUUAUGUUAUGUUUAUAGACUAUGAACAUGUUUAUGUUGACAUCACCAAUGUUUGGGCACCUUAUAUGAAUAAUGUUAUGUAUAAGAUCAUGAUGAUUGCUCGAUAGCCUAUAUGGACACUUGAGGGUGAUGAUGAUGUUUAAUGUUUAUAUUAUUAUGCACUAUGAUAGUGGCACUUGUUAAUACACAUAUAGAUAUAUUAAGUUGAGCGUACACAAUUAAGUUGAAAAGUUUCUUUAUUGUGUAAUAAGUUUUAAGAAUGUUUGUAUUAUGAUUAUGUAUGUUAAUGGAUGUGAUAUGAUGCUUCCACAUGAGAUGAUGAAUGCUUGAUGAUGUUAUAUAGGAAGCUUGCUUGGGCCUAACAGGUUAUGCUCGUUUGGGUCCAUACGCUGGUCACAAUCCCUCUUGGAAAUGGGAUGUGACAGUGAGCCUUCAUUUUAAUUGAUGUAUGAAUUUGAAGAUUAUUUGUAUUUUACCUUAAGUUGAAAUUGUGGAAUAAUUUUUGUGGAAAGCUUGGAAAUCAUGACUUGGUGAAUUUUAUCUCAUGAAAAGUCUUUUCAUUAAUUUUCUUUGGUUUCUUUGUUUUCUUUUAUUUUGCUCAAGGACUAGCAAAAUCUUAAGUUUGGGAGUGUGAUAAUUCUAUAAAAUAUAAUUAUUUUUAUUUCAAAUUGUUCUUAAAAGUUAGCUAAGUUCUUGAGAUUAGGUUAAGAUUUAGUUAUUUUUAGUUUUUUCUAAUUAGUUUAUUUUUAUUAAGUUAUUUUGUUUUAUGUUAAUUUUAUGUUUAUUUGCCUUAGUUUAGUUUUUAUGUUUGUGUAGGACUUUAAAGGAAUAAGACUCAAUUUGGUGAAGAAAGGUGCUUAAAGAACCUAAGUCCUGUUCAUACAUAUUGCAAUAUUUUGAGUAUAACUUCCAAUCCAUAAGUCCAAAUGAGGUGAUUCUUAGACCAUUGGAAAACUAAGAGAUAGAGCUACAACUUUCAUGCAAAUCACUUUGCUCUAUUUGACUUUAAAGAUGGAGAAAAUCAUAUUGGAAUUUAAGGGAGGGUAGUAGUCAACAAGAGAAGGCCUAAAGCCAAGGGCCUGUCACAGCUUAGAUAAGGGGUGCCAUAGUGUCAAAGAGAAAAAUUUGAAUAAAUCACUAUGGGAAAGAAAUGGAUGUGAGCUAAUUUAAGUCCUAUGGGCUCUACACUUAUUUUAAGGUCAAAUUAAGAGUCCUUAGGCUAAAGUAGUUUAGUUUAGGAAAAUUUAGGUUAAGUUCCGAGUAUAACUAAAUAGCUUAAGGAGAACUUAGAGGCAUGAAGAAAAUCCUAAGAAGGAUUCAAGAGGUUAAAAGUUGAGGUUGAAGAUUGAAGAUCAAAGUGUUAAGAAUGUUUAGAAUAUGGUGCCUUGGAAAGCAAGUAUAUUCUCAUGCUUAAUUUCAUUAAAUUUGUAAUGAAAGUACUUUUGAAAAUAAGAUGAAGAGUUUGUUUUAAGUAAGCAUCCAUUAUCUAGUUAGUAAGGUACCAUGAUUCUAUUGAGAUAUUAAAAUAUAUUUUUAUGAAGAGUCAUACAUAGGAGACAUAUUGUAAUUGAAUCUAAAAAUUGUUCAUAGUCAUAUAAUAAAGUUAGUCACUUUAUUGGUUUAAGGUUGUAGUGUCAAAUUACUUCCAACGAAAUGAAUAUAAUUCAUCUCAAGGGAAAGAUGAGUCUUAAAUUAUCGAAAUGGUUAACUUCAACUAAUGACACUAUAACAUGCAUUGGAAUCAUGUGAGAAUCAAAUUUAAGUUUAAUCAUUAAUUAAAUCUUGAUCUCACACUUAUGCAUUUGCUUAUAAUAGAACCGAAAUCUUGAUGGAUAGUGGACUCGUGUUUAAUCUCCUUAUAAUCUUUGAUUUACCAUGAUCAUGAUCAUCAUAAAGUGUUGAUUUAGACUCCGUAUUUUGGGAUUAUAAUCGAGAUGAAUAUCUGGGAACAUAUAUCCAAAUAAUGGAGUUCAUAACAUUAACAUCACUUCUUGUGAUUUUAGGAAGACUGGUGAUUAAUUUGGGCCCAGAGGACUGAUGAAUUAACUACUCAUCACAUAUAGAUACUCAAAAGAUUAGAUCUAGUGUAUGGAAUCAGUAAUAGGAUGAAAUUUGAGAUUUGGGGACAAAAUUGGCAUAAAAGGUAAAACAAUAAUUUCAUCUGUUGUCAUUGGAUGGUUAUGAGGUUUACAAUAUAAGGUUUGCAAUUGGACAACUAAUAAUUAAUAUCAAGUAUUGAAUUGUUUCUUGUAAUUAUAGUUAAUCGAAGAGUGCAACCAUGAAUCUAUGAUGGAGUGAUUUCAUGAUUAAUAAGCUUGAAUUAUUUUUAAUGAGAUAAAGAAUAAUUCUAAGUUUAUUGAAGCUUGUAAUAUCUAUGUCCAAAUAGUUUUCCCACUUAGCUUUGUGAAAUUCAACUUGUUUAAGAUGGAAUGCAUGUUUUAAUUUGAUUAAUUAAAAUGUGUACAAAAAUGUCAACUUUAACAUGUUUGUCAUAACUUAGACAUGAAAACAUGUUUGGUCUUAAUUUAAAAAAUAUGUUUGUUUUAAUUUAAGAUAAGAAAAAUAUUUUUUGUCAUUAUGUAGACAAUAAAGCAUAUUUGUCUCAAUUUAGACAAGAUAAAAUAUUUUUGUCUUAAUUAAAGACAAGAGUUGUCUUAAAUUAAGAUAAUGCUAAGAGGAUUCUUGCAAAAUGAAUCUAGAUAUCCAUGUUGAUAUAAGAAGACUCCAUGUUUGACUAUCACUCUUUUAUUUAUUAUUAAUUCUUUUUAAAUAAAGAUGGAUAAUAAUAAAAUAAGAGUUAUUAUUCAAUAAGGAGUUUUAUUUUAUCAAGAACUCUAAAUGAUAAUUAAAGAAUUAAAUUAUUUAUUAUUUAAAUUUAAUUUUGAUAAUUAUGGAGCAUGUUUGAUGCUUCCAUAACUCUAAAUGGAUGGGCAAGAUUGAUUUAAAGGUGUUUGAUUUCGAUUAAACCUUUGAGGUAAGAGUUUUAAUAAAAAGAGAAGAGAUUGGAAAAACAAAAAUGUACGUGCUUUUUCUUGAAAAAGUUUUAGUCGUCACUUCUUUUCUCCUCCUCUAAAAAAACUUUGCCAUAUCUUUCUUCCUCUCUCCCAUUCUUGGUUGAAGUUUUUUGAAAGAAAAUAGCCACUAAGUUUUAGGAAGAAAAGAGAGACAAAAUCAGUUGCCAUUUUAUAGUCUUGCAUUCCACACCUUGUCCACUCAAAGUUCAAGUUGAAAGCAUUCUUGAAGAAUAAGUGGUAAACUUAUUCGGUCAAGAAAUCAUACAUUGGUGUGGUGGUGUCCAAAAAUAAGAAUCUCGAAAUAAAAGGUAUGUUUUUUUCUUACUUAAUAGCUUUUAUCUUCUUAGGAUGUGAUUAUGUUGCAAUAAGAAUGAUGUAUGCUUUCGUUCGUGUAAUUGGAUUGCUUUCUUCCUUUAUAAUAAAAUUUUUUUCAAAUCCAUGCUUUACACAAUCACAUCAUUCCACUAAGAUCCAAAUCCAACACAAGGUUGCAAAAUUAGUUUAUUUUCUUCUUCCUUAGCUUUUAUUAUUCUUGUUACUCUUGAUGGCUAAACUUGUUAUGUUUUUAUUUAUCAUUGCAAUUAUAGUAACUAAAUUCCUUUUUCUAGGAUUGCAACUAAACUCAUAUGUAGUCUAAAUUUUUAAUCUCUUUAUAGAUUAUUUUCAAUUGAAUUUAAUUGUUUUAUUCCAAUUUGUUCUUAAUGCUUUUAAUUGCUUGAUCACCAAUUAAAUUGAUCCAGAAAUCUAAACAUAACUUGGGAAAGGGAGUUUAGUGUAAACUAAAAUUGGAAUAGCAUAUAAUUAAAUUUAUUUGCUUGGUUGAAUAAAUUGGUUUCUGCAUAGGAUAAGAAUAUACCUAUAUGCCAUAUGUAACUAGUACUAGAGCUUGAACUUAAUGAAUUGGUUUUAAUUUCAAUUUAAAUAGGAAUACCAUUUUUUUGAUUAAAGUAUAUAUUUUUAUAGGACUUUUAGGAGAGCCUUAUAAAUAAUUAAGGACUCAAGGCUAGCUAUUUAAUCCAUUGAAAAAAGUUAAGGGAGAAAGGUAAUAUUUAGAUUAAGUGUGGGGGAUAUUGUAAUCGUAGGCUUGUUUAAUUUAAUUUUUAUUCAAUUAAAUUCAUGCUUUGAUUCUUAAUUAUUGUUCAUUAGCUUCUUUCUUUUGUUAAUUAAUUUUUAGUUUAAUUAGUAAUCAACUUUUAAGUGUUUCAAUAAGAUUAAAUUCUAUUAAUUUUAGUAAUUAGUGAAAUUGUAGAUCAAUUCCCUAUGGGAUUGAUACUUUGUUUACGAUUAUAUUAUCUUUUCGAUAUGUAUACUUGCAUUGGUAGAGAAUUUUAACAACAAAACGCUUCAUAUCAAUCAAGCACUUUAAAGAAAUUCUCUAAAUUAUAAAAAGAAUGACAAUUUAUGAGAGAAUUUCCUCAACAAUGGCAUAUCAUCAUGAAAUAUCAUCAUUAAACCCUUUUCGGUAAUCUCUUUUUAACAAUAUUUUCACACAAGCGUUUCAAUAAGUGUUCUCCAAAUAUGUAUAAGACUAUUAUUUCAAGGAGAAAUUUUCUCACCAAGACAGUUUAUCAAUAUCAACGAAGCAUUGCCAAGAUAUUUAGCACUUACUGCAAUGAUGUAAGAGAAUAUUAUUAUCAAGCAAGCACAAGUAUGAUUACAAAAAGAAUUUUGGUUAUCUUCACCAAUCGUGAUUUCAAUUUGUUCCAUGAAAUGCAUGCACUAAGUAUAUUAAGCUUGGUUUAUUGCUAGGAAGUGUGCAAGUGGAAAAGAAUACCGUGGAAACAUAAUCAGAUGAGUGGUGAAGUGAUAUCCUGCCAUUGUAAGGUGAGUAAGGGGUGUCUAUUUCAAAAUCUCUGCACUAUAGAUAUAGAUUUACAUUAAUAAACGUUGUUGGUUUCUUAAUUACAAUUGUGGAUAGCAUGAGUUGUUAGCCUUGAUAGGCAAUUUUAAAAUGGCUUUACAAUGAUUUAUAUAUUGCUAUUGUGGAAAACAUGGGUUGGUAGAAAUGUUAGGCAAAUUUGUGGAUGCCAUGAUAUUUUAAAUUGUUUUGGAUAUAUAUAUAUAGGUAAGCUAUAUAUGUAAAGUAUUUUAGAAACAGAGAAACAAGCCUUUUGUACUGUUUGCAUAAAAAAUCUAUGCCUUGUAUUUUUAUGUAAUAUGUUUAGUUAAAUGCAUUUGCUAAAUGAUUUAUUUGUACGUUUUUGAGAGCCAAUUUUAGUCUAUUUUUUAUUCAAGUAUUUACACCAUUCCUUUUUAAUGCGAAAAUCAAUUUGAAUAGUUAUCGAACCUUAUUUUCAAGUGAUUUAAACAAAAGUCUCAAAAAACAUGGAUUUGGUUUGGAAAACAGUUUUGACAAACCGAGAGCGUCGAGAGUAGGUUGAAUGUCAUAUCGGGAUAGUGUGACCCUUGUGCACAAGUGAGCUCUAGCUAGAGAACCUUUAGGUCACCAACGAGCUGUUAGACAUGGUUGGGACCAUGGCUUGUCAUUAUACGUGGCAAGGCCACAGGUUGUUAUAUACGGCUAGGCCACAAGUUGAUAUAUGCGGUUGUGAUCGCCUGAUUUCUCUAACAUCGACCAACAUUGUCGAGAUUACCAUGGUUGUGGGAACCCGGUGGAGUGGAGCUCUUGGAUUAUUAUUAUGUGGAAGAAGGUCCACAGAUUGAUUAUGUAUGAUUACCUACUCGAGAGGCUUGUGAGUUUUUCGAUAUGUACUCUUUUGCAUGGUGGAGAGUUAAGGUUUCUUUACAACUCCCCUUGUUUGAAUAAAAGCUUUCAGUGCUUCCUUGAUGAUCAUGAGUUAGUUUAUGUGGCUGUACACAUUAAUUUCUUUACAUGCAACACAUUUUGGGAGCGUGCAUACUUUUAUACUGUUAUUUGUAUUUUGAUGGAAAGUGAUGCUUUCGAUGUUUGAAAUCUAAUUUUGAUACAUAUGUUUUCAACAUCUUUUGCCAAGUGAAAUAUUGCAUUAUGAUUUUAUGGCAUGUUUUUACGAGGCGCAAACACCCUGCUUGCGAUUUGAUUUUUCUAAGAUUAUCACUUUUUAUUCUAGUUUUACUAUUCAAAAGAUGUACUUAAGCUAGUUUCCCAUCUCUGCCCUGCUCACGGAGCCAAUGUGAGACGUUGAUCUUUAUAGACUCAUAGCUAAAAGUAGACGCAAUAUCACUAACUGGGAGUAAUUCCGUCAUUUCCUUAACGAGGCCCUAGAAGAAUGCUUUCAAACAUUAUUAAGGCCUAAGUAGGCCUAAGGCAUAAAUGAAUGAUGAAAAUAAGGAUAAAAUGAUGAAAGAAAUAGAAAUAAUAAUGAUUUCCAAGGUAGAGGCAAACUGGUCAUUUGUCAUCUCAAGUCAAAAUUUUUAAGUUUUCGUGAACCUAAGUAUUUCUAGACUAUUGUGGACUUUGUCUUAGUGUCAAAAGAGUAGAAAGAUUGCACAAAGGAUUGGAGGAAGACAAAGCCAACUUGUUAAGGGCAUUUUCAUAAUUUAAGUAGAGUUUGGAUAAGCUUUAGCUAUAAAUAUCAUUUUUCCAACUGCUUCUUCUUCUUCCUCUCAUCUCACAUUUCUUUCAUCCUCCAUGGAAGCUUGUUUUGAAACCCGCAUAACUUAUCUCAAGCUAGCUCCAAUUUUCAUGCUUUUGUGCACCUUUUCAUAGAACCUUUUGUGCUCUUUCACUCUCUCACUUUAAAACGUUUGAAAAGUCUUACUUCCAUACUUCCUCUCACUAGCUAGGUGUUUUAGAGAGAGAAAGAGGGAGCUUUUAUAUUAGCUUGAAAAUUUUUGGAAAGAAAUUCAAUUACAAAGCUACCAAGGUGAGUAGUGAAUUAGAGUUGAUUUUUAAAUGUUGAGAAUGGCUAGUGAUUAGACUUGUGAGUGUUUUGUAGUUGAGGCUGUUUAUUCAUUUUAGAGUGAUUAGGAUAGUGAAAAUAAAUAGCCACUUAAUGGCAAUUGGAAGCUAGUUAGGAGAUAGCUUUUAAAAUUUAUAGUUAUGUGAAUUGUGAUGCUAAUGUGAUGAUAAGUUCCAAUGAAGCCCCACCACCCCAUUUGGACCUUUAGAGGAAGUUGGAGUUAGGUAAAGAUUUAACAAAUACCGGUGAAUGAACUUGCAUUAAAAUGUUUUGGGAUUAGGGCAUAUGUGUUUGAUUAAAUCCAUUGAAAUAGUUUAUCUAUUUUUCUCUAAAAAUAUGCAUGGGAACAAGCUUUGAAUGAAACGUUUUGCAUUAUGGAAUGCGACUGUGAUGAAUCCAUGUGUGUUUUUCUCUAAAUCUCGCACCCUCGUUGGACACAAAUUAGACCUUAUUGAUAAAACGAAUUAUCGUUUGAUGCGAACUGGCGUACUAAAGAGUGACAAAGGAUGAAAGGAACGUUCAAGAAUAAAAUGCUUUGCGCGUGCAGAAACAAUAAUUAAAUAAUAAUAUUUUUGUUGGAGAGGAAUUAGUAAGCUAAAGGAUGAUUCAGAAGUAAAUCAAGAUGUAAUGAUGUGUUUCAAGACCAAAUAAGGCAAGUGAAAUUUUUUGAAAUAAAAUAUUAUUUUAUUCAAUAAAAUAAUAUUAAAAUAUUAAUAUUUUAUAUGUUGUUGGAAUUAGUCAUGAAAAAUGAAAUAUGACUAAUUUAAGUGGGGGAGAAGAAGUAAAGAAGAAUUUUGAAGGAAAACGAUGAUAAUUGUGUCAGUGUGAUUUUAUUAAAUCGAGCCAACGCGGGUAAGUAAAUAUUUAAAUAUUAUGGUGACACUGCGUUGAAAUGCGAUUUCGAUAUUUUGAUUAUACACGUGUAAGAAAAGGAAGAUAGAAGGAAAUUAGAAUUUUUACACGUGUCGGAAGAAUUAAUUUUAAAAUAUGAAAAAUUAAGGGAGGUGUAUUAAAUAAAAUGAAGUUAAGGCAUAAUAUGUGAAUUUUAUUAUUUUGAAGAAAUAAAAAUAAAAUGAAAAUAAAAUGGAUGAUAAAAUAAUGAAGAAAAGGUGUUGAAAAGUCAAACAGUAUUAUUAUAUGUACAUGAGUGGCUACAUGAGUCAAGAAUGGAAUGAGGACAAAAACAAAAGAAAGAAAAGUGUGUGGCGGAUGGAAAAGGUGCACAAGUUUUUUUUGACUUUCAAUUUCAAUCCCAUGUGAGUAAAAAUAAGCAAGAUAAAAAUAAAAGCAAAAGAAAAGAAGAAAGACACGAAAUAAAUAAAGAAAACAAAAGAGAAAAAUGUAGAAAUGAUGGUGGGGCCAGCCAUGUGAGAUGAAAGAAAUGAAAAGAGAUAAAAGAGAAAAAAGAGAGGAAAUCGGUUGAGAGUGGGAGAAAAGAAAUAAAGGAAAGAAAGAACGGUGGGAGAGGAAGAGAAAAGAGAACAAUUUUGCUGCACUUUGAGAAAGGAAAAAGAGAGCUUUUGCUGCAAUUUUUGGAGGAAGAAGAAAGCUAAAAAUUUAUGAGGUAAGAAGCUGAUUUUUGCUGCACUUUGAGAGAGAAAAUUCGAUGCUUUUUAGAGGGAUUUUGGUGCUGAAAAUUCAAGGUUUUUGCUGCUAAAUUUUGAGGUUAUGUUGCUAGAAAUUUUUGGAGGUUUUUGCUGCCAUUGAAGGACAACUUUGGCUGCUAAAAAUUUGAGUUGUUUGCUGUCAAUUUGUGCAAAAAAAUUAGAGCUGGUUGCUGGUAGUUUGUGCAGGAAAAUUGGACAGCUUUGUGCUACCAAAAUUGAGAAGUUUUGUUGCUGGAAAUUUGAGCUGAAAAUCUACUGAUUUUAUAGCAAAAAAUGGCAGCAAAAAAAGGUGAGAAAAUGAGGCUUUUGGUGAUCAAUUUUGAGAGGCAAGGAAGAGAGGAAGCCACGGUGGUGAAGGGAGUGAUGGGUUGGAAAAAAAGAAGAAGAAGAAACGUGGAAAAGAGAAAAAGAAAGAAAAAGAAAAUAAAAAUAGGGAUGGCCCAAUAGGAGAUAUAUGGGCUUAGCCCAAAUAGGAAAAAUUGGAAAAGCCCAUGAAAGGGGGGGCCCCAAAGGUCAUAAAGAAAUGAAAAAGGCCCAAUGGUAAGUUAAUGUUAUAUUUUAAGGUUUAUUGGUAGUUUAAUAUUGUGCAUAUUUUGGAUGAAAAAUAUGCAAGUUGCUUAAGGAAUUUUUAAUUAAGUUGCUACUCAUACAAAUGUGUGAUUAAGUAUACUGAGUUUAAAUUGUUGCUAAAAAAGUUUGUCAUGGAGGAGUGCCGAACGAAGUAUGUGAUCGACAAAUAGGAAUAAUUAUAUACGCGUACGAAUCAAUAGUGAAGUAAUAUCCCAUUAUUAUGAGGUGAGUAAGGGGUGUCAAUUUUAAAAAUUUCAUAUAUAUACAUGUACGUAUAUUUUAUGUGAAGUGCAAAAUUUAUGGAAAGCAUGCGUUGAUAGAAUUUUAAGGAAUUGUGGGUGUAAGUUAUUUUUAGAAAUCAUUUGAAAUAUAUAUAUAUGUAUUAGACGUAAAGUGUUUUAAACAGGGAAACAAGCUUUUCGAAAAGAUUUACAUCAAAGGAAAUUGUGCCUUAUUGUUUGUGUGGUGUGCAUUCAUGAAAUUUAUUACAUAUUCACCAUGCCAUUUUGAUACAAAAUAUCAUGAAAAUAUUUACAAUGAACAUUUUACGAAAAGAGAGUUUUAACGUGAUCUGGGGAUCGAUAUUUUGAGAAAGAUUUAAAAUAUCCCCUUGAAGAUCAAAUUUGAAUUCUUUUAAAAAGUAAUUUCAUUUUAACCAAGAAAUUCAAGAGUAAUUGGAGACUACUACUUGUUGUGUUAUAAAUUGUAUUUUGAAUUGAAUGGCUUAUGAUAAUGUGGGAAUGAAUGGCUGGAUUGGUAUUUGUAUUGAAAAUGUAUAAACUGUUGUUUGCCUUGAUAGGCUGGAUAAUGAUAAAAUUGCCAUGUCAUGCUGUUGAAUUUUUAUUGAAUUUGUGGGUUUAGCUUGCUGCAGUGGGCGGGUUCUGUGGAUCAGCCUUUUUGAGGGACACAGAAUUUGGGUAUAUUCUUACCUCGGUUGGAGAGGCGUGUAGGAUAACUCUCAAGGUACAACUUUAGAGUUCACUUCAUGCCAAACUACCACGUGAGGGUGAACUCAGCCAACGCUAAGGAACGGCUAUGUUUUCAAAAUAAAAAUAUGAUUUAUGUGUACAUGACUCUUUAACAGCCUUGGCGAACUCGGUUAGGAUAGCCUCAAGCCAAGGUAUCCCUGAUAACUGAGUAUGAGAAUGAUUUUGGCACAAGCCAAGUUUCUAAGAAAGUCAUAAGCCAUGUUGUUUGUUUUUGAAAAAAAUGUAAUGGUUUUAUCUGAGUUGAAAUAAGUUUUAAUAUUAUGAAUUAUAUUUCUCUGCAUGGUGAAAAUGAAAUUAAACAGCUUUUCGCAGCUUCCUUGUUUGUUUAUCUAUGAAAUGAAUCUGUAAUUCCUCGCAUAUAGGGCGAGUUAUGAUUUGUGCAUGAUUUUAAAUAUUAUUUGGUUUCGCGGGAGCUCACUAAAUUUUAUUGAUUUGAUUCGAAAAUGAUUAUUAAUAUAUUUUGAUGCGAAAAAUUUUAUUACCUCGAUUAUUUAUACUUUAUAAGAAAUUCUCGAUUUUUAUAUAAGGCACAAACCCUCGUUUGAAACGAGUUGCUUUUAUAAUCUUACAUUUUUAUAUUCAACUGAUCUGUCGUUCGCUUGUUUCCCAUCUACGCCCUACUAGCUGAGUCGAUGAUUAUCACUGAGUUUAUGAGACUCACACCCCUUUAUUUCCCUUUUUGCAGAUAGGGAUCCGCCUAGCGUGUAAUCAGUGACGCAUUCGGUCCACCGUGAUAGGUAAAGGCAUCUCCUAGCAUUUUAUUCUGAGUCGCUCCACUGUUAGAGGUCAAGUCGUAGCAUUUUAUUUAUUAAGUUGUAAACGAAUUCUAAAUUUUUAUAUAAGCAUUAAUUUAAAGAUUAUAGAUUUUAAUGCAUAUACUUACGAAUAAAAGGAAAAAGUUUGUAUUGAUUUUUGUAUUUAUGGUUCAAUUUAUUAUAUGAAAGUAUCAAUAUUAUAUAGUUAUUGAAUGUAGUGGAUUAACGAGCAAAUUCUAGACAGGCUUGUUCGAGACUUGGCGAUCUUUUUUGGAAGUCUUGGACGCUGGUAGCAACCGGGGAGAGGUCGUUGCACCGUGUGCCAUGUGUUAUGUUGAUAUAUAUAUAUAUCUAAAUAUAUAUGAUAUGUAUUGAUAACAAUAUUGUUUGUACUUAUCACCGAGCAUGUGCGCAAUAUGGGGGAGCACAUGCUGGGUGUGGGAGUGUGGAUGAUGAUAUUGCUUGUGAGCGAUGUGAGAGAUGCACACGAUGACUCCAGCUAUGUGUACGAUGUGGGGGUUGCACAUGAGCUGGGUGAGAUGAUGGUGGUAUUGGUGGUUAUGUAUGUAUAUAUAUAUAUAUAUUUAUGCAAUAGAAAGUUCAUGAAUAUAGUAUAUGGUUGUAAUGUAUGUGAAAUCUUAUAUGUUGAACCUUGGGAAUUGCUAAGUAUUUUGAAGUUGAUUUUGUCAUUGCAGCAGAAUGGCCUUUUCUUGAUAUAAUGAAAACUUUUUCUUGGUGUCCUGUUUCUCGUUGAGUGAUAAACUCUCGGGUUGGGAGGCUGGCUAUAGCCUUGUAACUCACUGCAGCAAGAAUACAUUCUCUCUACAACGAGAUGCCUAUGGGAAAUUUCAUUGCAGCGAGAAUUCAUUCUCACUGCUGAGAGAAACCUUAUGUUGUGCUUGCUACCUUGUUUGGUUACGACCCUAUUUUUCACUUCUUUAGCACCAUAAUUGAUCUUGGACUUCCAACAUCAAGGAAUUAAUUGAUUAAGUUUGUAAUGAGGGGUUUUAGUGAGAAUGCCUUUCCUCUGCAGCGAAAACCCAUCAUUUCGCUUGACUUGCUUGAAUGCUACUAAAGUUUUCACUCUUCAAAUUCUUGGUUAUGUAUGGAUCUUUCAUCAUCAAGUGAUUAACCAAUUAAGGGUUUAAUAAGGGGUUUAAAUAAGAAUUAAAUAAAUUGCAUUAUUUUUGAAAAUAAGUGCAUCAUGAUUUCUUAAACUUUUCUUAUUGUUUGCUUGUUCCCUUCCUUUGUUCACUCACUGGGUUUAUACUCACUAUUUUCAACUUCAUGUUUUUAGAUCAGGAGGCAGUCGGUAACUAGAUCGAGGUGUCGUCGUAGAUUCAUCUCCUUGGUAGGUAUCUCAACAUUCAAUAGUUGUACUUUCGCCCGAGUCUCUCUGUUGGAAGUCAGGUAUCCUUUUUGUUGUGUAUAGACAAACCCGAUGUAAAUUAUUAAGAUGUAUGUUGUAGACGAUACAUGCAUAUUUUGAUUGGUAAUGCCACUAUGAAUUGGUAAUGGUUAGCAUUAUUUUGAAUUGGAAUUAUGAAAUGUGACUUUAGCAACUUUUGAUGGAUUGAUAAAUAGGUAAUAUAAAUAGGCUUGCUUGGGCUUAGUGAGCUACGUCCAUUAGGCUCAUGCGCCGGUCAUGGCUCAAAAAUUUGGUCAUGACAGCUGAUGAUCACUGAGUCUAUGAGACUCACCCCUCUUUUUUCCUUUUGCAGAUAGUGAUUGGCCUAACAUGAAAUUAUCAGCACUUAUGGUCCACCGUAAAGAGGCAUAGGCAUCUCAUAGCACUUUAUUUCGAGUCGUUCUGUUGUUAAAGGUCAAGUUGGUCAUAGCAUAAGUUAAUUGUAGAUAGUGUUUGUGAGACCCCAACCUCUAUAGGCUUGUAGCUAAGCACAGAUGUAAUAAUACGAGCUAGGGGUAGUUUUGUCAUUUUUUGUAAUAAACUCCCAGAAGAAAGUUUUAUGAUAUUUUAAGGCUUAAAUGGGUAUAAGACUACAUAAAUGAUGUGUGCUGAUGAAAACACAAAGAAAACUAGAAGUUUCAAUAAUUUUCAUAACAGGGGUAAAAUGGUCAUUUUUCACCUCGAGUUCAAAUUUUAUGUUUUUAUGAACCCGAGCAUGUUUGGACCAUUAUGGAUAUUGUCCCAGUGUUAAAAGAGCAAAAAGAUUGCAUAAAAGAUUGGAGUAGAGUAAGUUAAUUGGUGAAGGGGCAUUUUCUUAAUUUUAAAGGAAAAGAUAAGAUUGCCUAUAAAUACCUUGAAUUUCUAGCAACUUCUUGAAUUUUCUAGCAGCUGGUCUUCUUCUUCCCUUCUCCUCUCUCAUGUUUCUUCAAACUCCAUGGAAGCUUGAUUUUCAAACUUCCAUAACUUUCUCUCUCUAGCUCCAAUUUUCAUGCUUUUGGUGCACCCUUCCAUAAACCCUUGUGCUAUUUCAUUUUCUCACUUCAAAAAUCUUGAAAUAUCUUGUUUUCAUGCUUUCUCUCACUAGUUGGGCGUUUUAUAGAGAGAAAGAGAGAAUCACUCCAUUGAUUUGGAAGCUAUUAGAAGAGAAUCCAACUAUAAAGGAACCCUAGGGUGAGUGUUGCACCAAGUUUGAUUUUUAGCUGCAGAAAAUGGCUAGUAAUUGUGAUUUAUGAGCUGUUUUAUUGUUUAGUAUGUUCAUUACUUUUUAGUGAUUAAGAUAGUGAUCAUAAAUAGCCAUUUAAAGUGGCAAUUGAAAACUAGCUAAGAGAUAGCUUUUAGAGUUCAUAGUGUGUAAAUUAAUGUUAUGAUAAGGGUAUAUGAUUGCUAGUGGUGACAUAUGCCCAAAGGAUGAUUUUUGGCAUAUCGCAAAAUGUGGAAUAGAUAUGUUGGAAUUAAUGUUUUGAUUGUGUACUUGUGAUAGAAAGCAAGUGCUGCAAAUUGUGGUAUAGGCUUAGAAGAAAGCCAUAUGAUUGAGAAUGAUUAAUGUAGCAGCCUUACGGGUAGAAGAAUUGCUUUGAUAAAGUAAAUUCCAACAGCCAUAGCGACACAACAUUGACUCUUCAGCGCUGCAGCGUUUAAGCCACCUAAUUUCCAAUAGCUACAAUGCCUCAACGUUGACUGUCCAGCACCUUAGCGCUAAGAACACCUCAUGUCUAUGACGCAUGAGCAAGAUGUGAGUGGCAUGGUGAUGAGCUUACAAGUGAAAUUAUGGUCCCGGACUUGAUGUUAAGCUUUGUUAAUUGGAGUUAUAAGUGUUUUGGAGAAUGUUCAUAUGAAUGAAUUGAAAAGUUUCUUUAUUGCCUUGUAUGCGGGCGUAACGACCUCUAACCUGAUUGUUGCCGGCAUCCGAGACUUGCAAGUAAACCCGCCAAAUCUUGAACAAGCCUAAGUCGACCUUCCUAUUAAUUCCAUCAAAUAUACCUUCAAGAAUACAUUGACUAGCAAUAAUGAUACUAUCGUUAACAAUUAACAUGAUCAAAUGUCAUUAAACUCCAUACAAAAUUAACGUCACACUUAAUAUUCAUUACACAAUCACAAGUCUUUAACAAAUAUAGAUCCAUAAGGUUAACAAUACUUUAUAACAUCUAGCGGUUCUACGUGACACGACCCUAGGUAGUGGAAUGACUGGGAGUGGAGGGCUACAAGAUGCCACUACCUACGUCAUAGCAAAACAAGAUAUGUUAGACAACAUGCUUACAAUGAUCACUUGUCUGUAAAAGAAGGUGAAGGGGCUGAGUCUCACAUAUUCAGUGAUCAUCAACUCCGUGAGUAGGGUGUAGAUGGGAAAUAAGCUAAAAGUAGAGAAUUUGAAUGUUAAAAAUGAAGAAUAUAUAAACAGCUUAACUUAAAAAGGGAUGUGUGCCUUACAGGUAAACCAAGAAAUUUAAUGCAAGAUAAUUAAUCCAAAUCAUCAUUAUAUACGUAUCAAAACCAUUUAAUAUACACAUGCAUGCUCUCGUCAAGCUAAACUCUUGGAAAACUUAUAAGCAAGUUCACAAAUCACCUCAUGCAUGAGGAGUUAAAACCACAUCAUUGUAUAAACAAGGAAGCUGUCGAAAAUCUUAUUGCUCUCACCAUGUGUAGGAAUAUGAGUUCGAAAACCCAAAGAGACUUUACUCUCGAGUAGAAAAUAAAAUAAAACCCGUGGACCCAUUUCCAUGUAUUAACAUUUGGGAGCCCCACUCCAUCGGAUCUUACAUGCCAUGGCAGUCUCAACGAUGUUGGUUGACAUAAGAGAAAUCAAGCGAUCACAACCCUGAAUAUCACUGGUGGCCUAGCCACAUAUAUAUCAUAGACCAUGGCCCCAACCAUGUCUAACAACCCGUCGGUGACCCAAGGUUUCUUUAGCUAGAGUUCACUUGUGCACAAGGGUCACACUUAACCGAAGUGACAACCGGUAUACUCUCGAAUCUCCCGAUUUAGUUAAACCAUUUAAAAAUCGAGUUACGUUUUCAAAGGCUCAUUUCAAAACCUUUAUAAGCUUUGUAAUAUAAAAUCAUUGCAUGAAGUUAAUGUAUAAAUUCGUAUGGUGAACAUAUGUUUAUUUCAUGAAUGCACACCGCACAAACAUCAAGGGACAAUUGAUAGAAAAUCAUGGUGUAAAGGCUUGUUUCCCAUUUAAAAAGCACUUUACUUAUCUAACUUAUAUAUAUAAUAUCAAACAUUUCCAACCUUCUAAAAACAUUCACAAAGUUCCUAGGAUUCUACUAGCUCAUGUUAUCCACAAAUUUGGGUUUAAAGUAAAUCAAUAAGUAUAUAUAUAUAUAGUUACGAGAAUUUUUAAAAUGGACACCCCUUACUUACCUCGCAAUAGCGGGAUGCUACAUCGUUAUUGAUUCAUGUGCGUAUAUAACUAAUCCUAUUUGUCGAUCACUCCUUACCUCGGCCAGCACACCACCACAGCUCACUUCCUCUAUUUAUACAUUUCCUAGCAACCAUUCAAACACAAUUCUCUUAUGUACUUGUGCAUGACAGCAAAUCAACAAAUAAAUUCUUAAAUCUUAACAUGCACAAUUCUUAUCCUUAUUUUCUUCCACAUUGCAUCCUUACAACAUCAAUGUCACCACCAAUACAAGCAUUCCUCCUAAUCUAUAACCAUAUAACAUAAACAACCAAAGAUUUGGCCACAACUUGCCUUACCUUUACUCAAUAAUUCAACUCGAGCUUAAAAUCAAGAAAUCUCACAUUCCUUGUGGUUCACAAACAUGCAUGGUUUCCUCUUACUGUCACAAACAUUUUCACAUGUUAUAAUCGGUUUAAAAAGCAAAUAUUCUAUCAAACUAACAAUUUCUACCUUCCUUACCUUGAAAUCUUUAUGCCAAACCUCCAAGCUCUCCUUGAUUCUCAACAAUGGCAUAUGGGUCGGAGGAAAAAGCUCUUGAUUUUUCUCUAAGUCUUCCACCCAAACCUUCCCUCAUUUCUCUCUUUUUCUUUCUUUCUUUCUUUCCUUUCUUUUCUCUUUUCUUCUUUCUUUCUUCCCCUUUCUCUUUCCUCUUUGGCUAUGGGCGGAUUCUUUCAAGUUGAGCCUUGAAAAUGUUUGGCUUUCCUUGUUUAUUUUUGCACUCAUACGGGCGGAUUGCCCAAUGUUUGCCUUUUUCCUUAUUUUUCUUUUCUUUUUUCUUUGUUUUCUUACCAUGGGCAGAUUGCCCAAUGUUCCAUAGCUUUUUGACUUUUUUCCCACUUAUUUUAUGGUAUAAAAUCACAUGGCAAAAGGCAUUGCCACCUUCCACCCACCACUCACAUUUCAUUCUUUAUUUUUCAUCAUUUUUCAUUUCUUUAUUUCUUAUACCAUUUUUACUUUAUAUCUUAUUUAAUCAUUUAUUGUCCCAUCCAAACCUCAUUCACCCCACUUUCUUCUUCCCUCAUUUGACCACCAUUGAACCAAUCACCUUUCAUGCAAACCAAUUUUUAAUCUUAUUCUUUCUUUUACUUUACAUGGUAGGGGUCCCACAUGUCUCUCACUAACUUUUCCUUUUUGCAUGCUAUGGUUGCAUUUAAUACUAACUUUUACAUGUACAUCACAUUUUCCACUUAGUCUAACCUUCCUUGGUUAGCAAAUUCCCCUUUUUAACUCUAAAUAUUGAAAUUACAAAUGAGUCCUCAAACUUUUUCUUAUUUACCAUGCGACCCCUCCAACUUUCAUCCUUUAUAAUUGGGCCAUUCCAACAUUUCUUAUGUCAUGACCCGAUACUCCCCUCGAGCCCGUGACAACCGUCGCGGCUUCCUGAUAGACAUUCAUUGCCCAAAAUGCCAACCAAAACCUCGCAAGGCUUUAAUAUCAGCUUUCGCACCUCCCUUGUGAGCAACAGCUGUUAAGUAUCAUGUUUUGAGAGAUUAUAAACUAUUUCCAAAUCAAAACAAUAGAAAAAUAAUUUUUUUUCUGACGGGCAUUUUGGUCAUUUUUUCUCAAAACUCUCGAAACUAGCUAAAAAUGUAGUAUGCGAGUGGAAAACACAUAUUUCAUAAUAAAAAUAAGUUUAGAUGUCUAAUACAUACAUUUAAAGUGAAACUAUACUUAUUUGAAUAUAAUAAAAAUAUUCAAUAAAAUAUUUUAUUUUCUUAUAAAACAAUAUUUAUAGAGUUACCGGUAAAUAAUUUUUGUAGCGUAAAAGCUAAAUAAAUUCAUACAUACUGUAAUACAGAUAACCAAAGCAUAAGAUUUUAUUUACAGUGACACGUGGACCGACGAACGACCAAAAGUAUCAAAAGCGAUAAACCUACAGUUUUUGAGGAUGCAAGUCCAACUGUAGCCCUCAACGAAAUGAGCUAUCUACCGACUAUCCUAAGUCUGAAAGGGGUGGAAAGGAGGGUGGUGAGAUUAUAUAAUCCCAGUGAGUAAACAAAUAUCAUCUAAAAUAUCUAAAGCCAAGUAAAUGGAGACAGACAAAAUAGAUUAGCAUAAAAAUGAUUCACAUCAUUUCGAACUCAUUUUAAUAAGAUAAAAUAGAUUCAUUUCAUCCAAAUAAACAACGAGGCUUAUGAUUUCCUGAAAAGCUUGGCUGGUGCCAAAAUCAUUCUCAUACUCAAUUAUCAGGGAUACCUUGGCCUAAGGCUAUCCUAAUCGAGUCCGCCAAGGCUGUUAAAAAGUUAUGUACGCAUAAAUCAUGUUUUUAUUUUGAAAACAUAGCCAUUCCUUGACGUUGGCUGAGUUCACCCUCAUGUGGUAGUUUGGAGUGAAGGUUGUACCUCAGGAGUUACCCUACGCACCUCCCCAAUCGAGGUAAGAAUAUAACAGGAUUACGUGCCCCUCAAAAAGGUUGGUCCACAAAACCCGCCCACUGCAACAAGUUAAACCCACCAUACAAUAAAAUUUGCAAUAGCAUGACAUAGAAAUUAUUUUAUUUUACAGCCUCUCAAGGAAAAUCAAUAGUUCAUACAUUUUCAGCACAUUUACCAAUUCAACCAUUCAUGCCAAUAUUAUCAUAAGCCAUUCAAUUCAAACCAUGAUUUAUAACACAGCAAUUAGUGUCCAAUUACUUCAUUUUCAAAACCAUCUUUCAAUUUCAAGACAAUUUUAUAAAAUCAUUUCAUUUAAUCACAUUUUUGCUUAUAAAACAUAAAGAUUUACCAUUUAAACUCAUUUUCCAUAAAAUCACAAAAAUGAAUUAAAAUUCACUUUAGAUAAUCAAGAUGAUGAUAAGGUUAUUCACUGUAUCAGGAGUUUGAAAUACUUCUAUUCUCAGUCCUCUGACACAACGUCUUUACCCUUGUUAGAGAGCUCACCACCUAUAUACAAUACACGACACAUAAUUCAAUAUAUUGUGUCAUACCAUUAUAAAUCUAUUUCAGACUCUUUACUAAUGCAUGAAAUGGGAUGUGAAAUGCUCGAGUAACCAUCUAAAUACGGUGUUCAAUAUAAGUUCAAUUGUGUACCUAACUAAAAUGGUAUCGGCCUAAUUCGAUCUAUCACCCGAUUAAUUGGCCAAUACGUCCAAUUCAACUCCAAAUAAUUUCAUUUUUCUCCCAAUACUCCAAAUCAUCAAACAUAAGUCAAAUAGCAUAAAAUUUAGCAAAAAUCAUCUUCACAUUUUCUCUUGGGAAUUUCGGCCAUGGUGGGUGCAUCAAUACUAUGAUUUUUCCUACUUGAUUUUCUCACCGUAAUUCAUCAUUUCCUAACCAAUUCACUUGAAAUAAAAUCAAAAUCAUCAUCAAUAUUCUACAUGGAGAAUUCGGCCAAUGAGGGUUAUGGAAGAACAUGAAUUUUUCUUGCUUGAUUUUCAUGCUACACAUCACCAAUCAACUAAAAACACUAGAAUAUCUUAAAAUCUAACCAAAACAAUCAUCAAAAUCUCUCUCUAAGUGUUCAGCCAGCAAAAUACCCAUCAUGAAAUCAUGUGAUUCAACCAUGAAAAAUGCAAAAGAAUGUAUGGGAAAGGUAGAUCACAAGUCAAAAUCAAGAAAUUUUACCUUUGAUUGCUUGAUACUUGAAAUCCACGAAUUUUCUCUUGAAUUUUCACUCUAGGGUUUUUGUUCUUUCUUUUCUUCCUUUGUUCGUGCUUUGGCCGGCCAUAAGAAUGAAUGUGGAAGAGUUCAAAUUGGCUUUAUAAAGGAAAAUAUUGAAUGGAGAAAAAUUUGACAUGUGUCACCAUUUCAUUGGUCCAUGUGUCAUACUUACCCAUUAAGCAAUCUCUCUCUACCACUUAAAUUUCCUCAAUUAUCCAUGAUAAUAUUGGGUAAAAUCCAUGUGCUGGACAAGUGUCGAGUGGUGUAGAAUUCCGAUUUUGCCCUUGGGCGACAAAAUGAUUAUUUUACCCUUAUGCUUUAAAAAAUGUCGAAAUUAAAAUUUUUCACUUCUUAAACUCAAAUUAUGUUCUAAAUAGUCAAUCUUGAUCAAAAACUUCUUCCAACAUUCCAAUUUUAACCUCAGGUGGCAAAAUGACCACUUUGCUCCUAGGUCAUCAAAAUUCCAAUUUGACUCUAUAUUGGUCCUCAAACUCCGAAUCACCAUCUUAAGUCAUUCUAGGGUUUUAAAAUUCACAAUUUCAUCUUAAAAUCUCUAUUUGUACUAGUUUGAGGUUUAAUUCAACUUAAUUGUACCAUUUGGUACAUUGUCGUCUUUUAACGAUUUUCAAGGUACCCAAGUAAUCAAACAUGCAUUCUUAUAUAAGAAUAGCAUAAUAAACAUAUUGUAGAGUCGGGCUUGACAUUUUAAACUCCAAUUUCCUUAUAUUUUCCUUCCUAAACAUGUGUACAAACAAAAUAUAACGUUUGCAUUCCAACACGGUAUCACCAUAAUAUUUAAAUAUAUACUUACCCGCGCUAGCUCAAUUUAGUAAAAACAAGUGGGCCCCACUAACAUCAUUUUUCCUUCAAAAUCCUUUCUACUUCUUCUCCUCCACUUGGAUUAGUCAUAUAACUCUUCUUUCUAACUAACUUCAAUAAUGAAUAAAAGAUUAAUAUUUUAAUAUUAUUUUAUUCAUAAAAUAUUAUUUCAUUCUAAAAUAUUCUUUUUGCUUGUCACCGCUCUCUGGCACUUAAAUUAUACGUCAAAUGACAUUUCAUGUUAUCGAUAAGGCCUUAUUGGCUUCCGAAUAAGGGUACAGGGCAUUAUAGUGGGCAUGUAAUUAAAAGAAAAGUUGAAAGUUCUUGAGAUGGCUACAUUGAGAUAAGAUAUAAUGUGAAGUAUUAAAAUGAACACUAUGUUGACUAAAGUCAAAUCUUAAGAAUAAAGAAGACAAGAGAGUAAGCCUUGUCAAAGGCUAAGGAAAGAGUGGGUGAAAGUUUAGAUGAAAGUAUGAAACAUUGAUAAAGGAAUGCCAAUACCAAGUGAGGGAAUUGUGAAUGAAGGAUUAUAAAGUUGGCGUAGCAAAUGAGCUAAUAUAACUAAAAGAUUGCUUUGAGGAUUUACAAAUCUUAUUUUGACAUAGUGGAAAGAAAAAGAGCAGUAACAACACGUUGUCAAUCAUGUGUCAUGCUAGAAACCCAUGAGCAUAAAUUGAGGUAUGAAUAGAUGAUUAUGCAUUCAGAUAUCUUGGAGAAUAAGUGUAUGCUUGUUGGAGUGGUAUGCUCGAAAUGCUAAUGAACAAAUAGGUAAUUAAGUGUUUCAAAAAUACAUCGAAGUUUUAAAAAGGAUGUACCAAACUACAUGUGGCAAGAAUGAUUGUUGGUAUUAUUUUGGAAUAUGUUAUAUGCACAAUGAUGUAAUGUGGUAUUUGGAAAUUGCUAAGGAGCCUAAUAGUUAAACCAUGAGUUAGGCAGUUACAUGUUGUGAGACAUAAACUUUAAGUGGGCAUUUGCAAGAAAAUACUCAAGAGGAAUCUACUAUGAAUCUUGUGAAAACAAGCAAUGAAUUGUGUAGUUACAAAAAAGAAGUUAUAAGUUUGAAAAUGAACACUUUUAAUGACAUUGAGAAGCAUUUAAGUAAAAUCCUGAUUCGAGUUUUAUAAUUACGAGUACUAAUCGUAUGAUGGAUAAAGAGGAAUGAUGUUACAUUAGUAUAAAAGAAUAGUACAAAAGAUGAUUGAAGGUAACCAUGCUAAUGAAGUCGGUUAAUGAAAACCUCCAAAUGUAUUAUGGAAAUUGAAAUUUGAAAACGUAUGAGUUAUGCAUGGCUCAAAUAAGUCUAAGUCUUAAGUGACUAAUUAAUAUUAAAAAGCAAUAAAGAUAUAAUGUAUAUGUUAGAGGUAUGAAAGAUAAUUAAGAAAUGAGGAUGACUUUUGGGAAUUGUGGUAUUGCAUAAGAUGCCAUGAUCAAGUAAUGAUGAAUCUUGAAGGGUCAAUGAGAUUAUAAAGCAUAUACAAAUAUUGGAUUGCAACUUAAUGAAAAGGAUGUUUAGCAAAUAAGAUGUGAUUAAUGACAUUAUGAUGCAAAAGGAUAUAUAUAGUACACUAAGACUUAUGCAUAUGAUUGGAAAUGAUAACAAAAAAAAGCAUAAACAUGUAAAUUAUGUGAAGUUAUGCAUAGGCACAAUGAGAAUCCGUAUGGAUUACACAAGAGAUAACUUAUGGUAGGAUGUAAGUUAAAUGGUAACUUAAACAUCCAAAAAGGUAAUCUGGAAUUGAUUAUGCCCUAAUAUUCAUGGAUUAAAUUUAAAUCAUAGGAAUGAAAUGGAAAAGUAAAAAGGGAAACAUGGACUACGAGAAUAUGAUUUUGAACCUUGGUUAUGGAUUACAAUGAAUAAAGGGAAUUUAGUUCGAACGCAGUUGACGAGGGUUCCUACGUAUAGUGAUAGAUGUCGACACUUAAAUGUGUUUGUACAUACAUAUAUGUGGAGAUGAUUAUGUGACCAACUAAAGUGAAGAAUUAUUCUUAGUGAUUUGAGAUUUGAACCCAAUAUGUUUGAUGAGAUGUAUAGAUGAUACAAUGAUAGAGGGCACUUUCAGAAAUUGAGUUAUGGUGAUAUGGAAGAAUUCUGAAGCAAUAGUCAAGGAAGGAAUAUCAGGAAAUGGAAUCUAUAGUGUGGUUAAGCCAUUCAAGAUGGGUUAAUAUGGUUGAGAUGUAAGAAUUGAUUAAAUUCUAAGACAUAGUUGUAUUGGACUCUCCAUAAGGCAAUAGUGCAAUGGAUGGAGAAUAAAUGGUGAUGGUACUAUAAUGUGAGUAUUUGGAGAAAUUGAUUAAGGAAGAUAAAAUUCAAUUUUGUCAAUGAUGAUCAAAAAGUUCUAAGUCACAAUAAUGAUAAUAUAUUUUGAGACAUGAAGAACUAGAGUUUAUGAAGAAAAUUUGGUGGUGAAUGAAAGGGCUUACAAUUAAAGUUAAAGAUCUGCAAGAGAGUUACCUUUCCACAUGAUAUAAAUUGUAUCGAAUUAAGAAUGAUGCAGAAGAGUAAACCUUUGAACGUGCAAUUAAUGGAAAAAUUAAGAAGAUUGGAGUCGCAUAAAUGCAAGAUAAGCAUGAAGUAUGAGAGAAUAAUUGAAAGAUUCAACUUCCCUUAAUGUCAAAAAUUUAUAUAGGAAGGAAUAGGGCAUAUUUAUAAUGCCAUAAAGUUAUGUAACAGUGAAUAGGGAUAAGAUGAAUGAAUUUUGAAAAGUUUAACAAGAAUUGAAAUAAAGAUGUGGUAAUUAGGUAUACAUAAGUAAGCAUGAUUUGUGAUCAAAAUCGGUAUGAUUGAGAUUGAGAUGUGUUUAAGGUUUGUAAUAGAGUUAAAGGCAUACUUGAAAUCUUAGUUGUAAGAGAAAACAAAUGAUGAAGGGUACCGUUGUUUUGUCUCAAGGUGAUAAAAGGUGUAACUUACGUACCUAAUCUUGUAAAGUGUUCUAGUUAAAUUGAAAGUAAACGAAGUGACUAAAUCAAAUUCCCUAUGAAGAAGGAAAUGGAAUAAGAUCAAAGAGUGAGAUUAAUGACCCACCUCUGAUGUGAAUUCAGGGAUGAAUUCUUUUUAAGUGGGGGAGACUGUAACAUCCCGUACCCUUGUAUGGAAGCCAAUAUGACCUUAUCGACAAGAUCAAGGGUCGAUUGAUGUAAAUCUAAGUGUCAAAAAAUAGUUAAAGGAUAAAGGAAUUUAAUACCUCGUACUUUGAUAUGGUGGCUAAUAAAGCUUAUCGGAUGUCAAUUAAGGUUAAUUAUAAUAUUUAAAAGUGAUGAAAGGUGAAAGAAAUAAUUUGGAGAAAAAUAUUUUGCACACGAAGAAAUAAUAAUUGAAUAAUAAUAUUUUUAUUGAGCAUGAAUUAGUGAGAUAAAAAGUGAUUUAGAAGUGAAUCGGGCCAUGAUAAGACAUUUUGGGUGCCAAGAAGACACAUGAAAAAUUUUAGAAUAAAAUAAUAAUUUAUUAAUAAAAUAAUAUUAAAAUAUUAUUAUUUUAUUCAAUGUCAAAAUUUUCCAUGAAGAAUGAGUAUAUGAUCAAUCUAAGUGGGGAAGAAGAAGAACGAGAAAAUUUCAAAGGAAAAUGACGUUAAUGGGGCUCGCGUGUCUUUAUUAAAUAAAACUAGCGCAAGUAAGUAAAUAUUUAAAUAUUAUGGUGAUACCGCGUUAAGCUAUAAACUUGAUAUUUUAUUGGUACAAGUGUUAAGGAAGAAAAAUAGGAAGAAAUUGGAAUUAAAAGAUUGUGGGAGGAAUUAAUUAAAAAUGGUGAAAACCUUGAAGGGUAAAAUGGUAAUUUUGCAUUAGUCAUCCUUAUCUCAUGGCCGGCCAUCAUGUCCAAGGCAUUAUCUUCCUUCUUGUUCUCCUUCCAAUGCCAUUUUCAUCCUCCACCAUAAAAAUCAAGCUUUUUUUCCAUUUUCUUUUGCUUCUUUUCUUUUCAUUUCUUUUCUUUUCUUACUUCUUUCUUCUCCUAACUUCUUGGGCACCAAACCUGCAGCUUCUAACUCCAUUUUUCAGCACAACUAAACCCUAGGAAGGAGAAGGAAAAAUCUCUCUUUCUUUCCUUUAUUUUCUAUUUCUACUCCGCCAUCAUCGCCAACACUUGAAUUUUCAACUUCAAAUCUCCAUUUUUAAGGCUAAAAGGUAUAUAUUUUCAACUCUUGAAAUUUAUGAAUUUAUGGGUUAUAUUUUCAGAUUUUAUUUCCUAAUUUCUUCAAAUUCCUUUUCUUGGAAAUAUUAGGCUUUUGUUGAUCUUUAUGCCUCCAAGCUCACCAAGGUAAAGAACUUUUAAAUUGGAAUAGUUGAUAUGAUGGGUUUGAGAAUUAGACUAGAAUUUUAGGUUAAAAAUUAGGCUAAAAUGUAGUUUAUCAAGCGUAUGAUUAUUUGAAUUAUUAAGUUUAAAUUUAUGAUAUAUUUGAAGCUAUUAUCGUUUAUUGGCAAUUAUAGGUUUUAAUGGUAUUUCGGGACUACCUGGAUUAAGAUUUUGUUAGGUGGCAUCGUUAGGUGAGUGAACUUGCAUUUAAAAAUGUUUUAGGAUAAAUACACAUGUGUUUGAAUGAAUCAUUUGAAAACUUUAUUUGCCUUUGCUUUAAAAUGUGCUUGGGAACAAGCCCUUGAUGAAAUGUCUUUAUGUUGUGAAAUUGUGCAAUGUAAUUAACUCAUGUGUUCCUAAAUUAUGCAAUACGUAUAAUGUGAUGAAUUACAUAUUUGAAAUAUUAUGUUGAAUUGACAAUUGAUUUGUGGCAUGUGAUGUAUUGUUAUGCAAAGAUACUUGUUACAUGUGCCAUGCAUUGAAAUGUAAUGUUGAAUGAGAAUUGUAACAACACGUGUGCGGCGUGGGAGUGCACAUGCUGGUGAUGACGAGUAAUUCCAGCUAUGUGCGGUGUGGGAGUGCACAUGAGCUGAUGACCGACGGGUGAUGAUUCCAAGUAUGUGCAGUGUGGGAGUGCACAUGAGCUGAUGACCGAUGGUUGUAUACAUGUUUACACAUACCAUAGAAAUGUUAGAGAAAAUAUUAUUUGAUUGCAUUGAAUGUUGAAAGUUGAACUUCCUAAAUGUUUUAAAAUGAGUUUAAGAACAGCACAUCAUCGAGUUUUGUUCAUAAUAUACAAGUUUGCAUUGCUUUUAAAUGAGUGCAUCAUGUUUUCGAAAAACUCUCCGUAUCGUUUGCUUGUUCGUUUCCUAUGUUCACUCACUGGAUUUAUCUCACUCUUUUUAACUUCAUGUUUUCAAAUUCAGAGGUAGUUGGGACCUAGAUUGAAGUGUCCAUUUGUAUUCGCCAUUUGGUAGGUACCAUGGCAUUCUGUAGAGGCACCCACAUCCAGAGUCACUCUGCUGAUAGUCAAGGUCUUUUGCAUGAGUAUAUAUAGUUACUUAAAUAUAAAUUAUGAGAUUGUUGUGCACUUUGUAUGUUGAUUGAUUAACCAUGUCGUUUAGGGUUGACGAAUGAUAAUCCUAUUUUGGGAACGUUAUAUAUAUAUAUAUAUAUAUAUAUAUAUACUACUUNAUAUAUAUAUAUAUAUACACUUGGUUCUCACAGUCUAAUUUCAAAAGAACAUUCAUUAGAAAUUACAAGUAUUAGAUCUUAAAGAAAGAGAGGCUUGCUUGGGCCUGGUGGGCUAUGCCUAUUAGGCCCUUGCGCCGGUCAUAGCUCGGGAAUUGGGCUGUGAUAGGAAUAUUUUGAAAUAAAAUAUUCUGCACGUGAGAAUAUAGUAAUUAAGUAGUAAUAUUUUAUAAAGAAUGAAUUAACGAGUUAAAAAGGUGAUUCGGAAGAUAACCGGGACAAAGUGAGACAUUUUGGGUCUCGAGGAGACAAGUGGAAAAUUUUAAAACAAAAUAAUAAUUUUUGAAUAAAAUAAUAUUAAAAUAAUGCCGAUGUCAAAUUGGUUAUAUUACAUGAAGAAUGUGCAAUUUGUACAAUUUGUCUAAGUGGGGGAGUGGAAGUAAGGAAGAAUUUUGAAGAAAAUGACAUUAGUGGAGCCUGCAUGUCUUUAUUAAAUAAAGCUAGAGCGGGUAAGUAUAUAUUUAAAUAUUAUGGUGACACCUUGGUGAAGCGAAAAUUUGAUAUUUUAUUUGUACAUAUGUAAAGGAAGAAAGAUAGAAGGAAAUUGGAAUUAAAAGAAAUGAUUGAAGUACCAAAUUGUAAAGGAUGAAAAGUAUGGAGGGUCGAAUGGUAAAUAAAGCAAAGUUGAGGACUUAUGUGCAAUUACAAUAUUUGAAGCUAAAUGGAAAUUAACUAACCAAGGAAAAAUUAGGUUGUGUGGGAGGAUGGAAUAUGCAUGUAAAUUCACUAUUACAUGCAAAAAUAUGCAUGCAAGGAGAAAGUUAAUGGGGAACAUGUGGGACCCCCACCAUGUGAAGUAAAAAGAAAAGUAAGCUUAAAUCUAUUUGUAUGUAAGGACAUUGGUGCAUUAGGUGGCCAAAUGAGAAAUAAGAUGGGAGAAUGCAUGAAGGACCAUUGGUUGGCAAAGUGGUCAAAUGAAAAUAAAGGAAGAUUGGUGCAUAUAUUGCGAUUGGUUCCAAUAGGCGGCCAUAUAAAUACUAAGUUGCAAGAGUGAAAGAGAGAAGUGAAGAGGACUUUGGUGAGACUUGAGGGCUAGCCAUUUAAAGAAGAAAAGAAAGGAAAGAAAGCUUGAGAGGUUCCUCCCAAAGUAGAGAUUACUUAACGUGCCACACAUUUUGGGAGCAUGCAUACUUUUAUACUAUUAUUCGUAUUUUGAUGCAAAGUGAUGCUUUUAAUGUUUGAAAUCUAAUUUUGAUACGUUCGUUUUUGGCAUCUUUUGCCAAGUGAAAUAUUGCAUUAUGAUUUUAAGGCAUUAUUUUUACGAGGCACAAACACCUUACUUGUGAUUUGAUUUUUCUAAUAUUAUCAUUUUUUAUUUCGAUUUUACUAUUCAAAAGAUCUACUUAAGCUUGUUUCUCAUCUACACCAUACUCACGGAGCCGAUGAUCACUAAGUCUAUGAGACUCACCCCUUUUUUUCCCUUUUACAAAUAGUGAUCGGCCUAGAGUGUAACCAUUGGCACUUCUGGUCCACCGCGGAUAGGUAAAGGCAUCUCAUAGCACUUUAUUUGGAGUCGCUCCACUACUAAAGGUCGAGUCGGUCAUAGCAUAAGUUAAUUAUAGAUAGUGUCAAUGUAAAUGUGCAGUUGAAUAUUAUAGACUUUAACGUAUCCUUACAAUUAUGGUGAAUAAAGGUUAUGAUGGCUUAUUAUGAUUUAUGUCCAAAUCUUAUUACAAGAGUUAUAUGGUUCAAGGUAAUUUUACAGGUUGAUGGCAUGAAUAUGAAGUCAUAACAUGGAUUGGUAAACGAGUAUAGUGAAUUAAUGGGAAUUUCUAAUAAGGCUUGCUUAGGGCUUGGCUGGUUUUUUCUGGAGGUCUCGAACACCGAUAACGAUCGAAGAGCAGUCGUUACAGUUAUAGACAUCAAAUCUUAAGGUCAAGCAAGAUGAGAUAUCAUGUAACCAUGUGACUUGACCAAAAUUAUAGAUGAGCUAAAAAUGUUUUUCAGAAAGUUUAAUUGUGUUCAUCAUAAUCAAUUUCAUAUGCAUAACCAAGAAAUCAAUUUUGACACAAUCAAUUAAGGACAAUAAUAAAGUAUAUUCCAAAAAUUGAUUCUAGACAAAGCAUUUUAGCAUUUCAAUUUCUCAAGAAAUUUGUAACGACCCGUUUCUCGAUCGUUACCGACGUUCGAGUCUUGCAGAAGAACCCACCAAGUCCCAAACAAACUGUAUUAGAAACCAUUGUUAAUACAUUAUAUUCAUUCCACCUAUUCAUAUAAUCACUUUGAACCGUAUAACUCUUUGUAAUAUGAUUUAAUCCAAAAGUAGUAAUAAAUUGACUUAAACUUUAUUUCGCAUAAUUGUAAAAAUACAUCAAAGUUUAUAAUCUCCAAAUGUACAUUCGUAUUAACACUAAUGUCUAUUUUCAUAACAAAAUAAACUAUGACGACUUGACCUCUAGUAACAGAUUGACUCAAAAUGAAGUGCAAUGAGAUGCCUUUACCUAUCUGCAAUAGACAAUAAGUGCCGAUGAAUGCACGCUAGGCUGAUCACUUAUCUACAAAAAGGGAGAUAAGGGGGUGAAUCUCAUAGACUUAGUGAUCAUCGGCUUCGUGAGCAAGAUGAAGAUGGGAAACAAGCUUAGAGUAGAUAAUUUGGAGUAUAAAAUGAUAACCUUAUUAAACCAAAUAACAAAUAAGGUGUUUAUGCCUUGUAAAAAUAAUUUCGUAAAAAUCAUAGUGCAAUACUUUCCUUACCAAACCAUGCAGAAAACGAAGCGUAGUAAAAUAAAUUUCAAUUAAACAGGGGAGUUGCGAAAAAACAAUAUCUCUCCACCAUGCAAAAGAGUACAAGUCUAAAAACUCUCAAGGCUCUCGAGUGGGUAAUCAUAGAUGAUCAACCCGUGGAUCUUUUUCCACAUAAUAACAAUCUGGGAGGCCCCCCUCCACCAGAUUCCCAUAGCCAUGGCAGUCUCGACAAUGUUGGCCAACAUCGGAGAAAUCAUGUGGUCGCAACCAUGUAUAUCAACUCAUGGCCUUGUCACGUAUAACAACUCAUGGCCUUGCCAUGUAUAAUCACAGAUCGUGGCCUAGCCAAGUCUAACAGCCCGUCGGUGUCCCAAAAGGUUCUGUAGCUAAAGCUCACUUGUGCAUAAAGGUCACACUAUCCUGAUGUGACAUUUGGCCUACUCUCGAUGCUCUCUGUUUGUCAAAGCCAUUUUCAAAACCAAAUCAAGGUUCCCAAGAGUUUCCCUUAAAUCAUUUGAAAACAAGGUUUGAUAACCUUUCAAAAAUUGCUUUUCACUUUAAAAUGCAUGGUGUAAACAUUUGCAUAUAGCUUAGAUUAAACCGGCUCACAAGAAAUCAAAUUUAAGCCAUUUAUCAAGUGCAAUCAACUAUGCACACUUCACAAAGAUUCAAGGCACGGUUUUGAUGCAAAACAUUGCAAAAAGGCUUGUUUUCCUGUUUUUAAAGCACUUUACAUAUAUGUAUAUAUAUAUAUAUACAUACAUACAUAUAUAUAUAUAUAUAUAUANNNNNNNNNUAUAUAUAUAUAUAUACUAUACAUACAUAUAUAUAUAUAUAUAUAUAUACAUACAUACAUAUAUAUAUAUAUAUAUAUAUAUUCUACGCAAACAACUUCCAAAUCAAUUUGCAUCCAUAAUUGCCUAUGGUUUCUACCAGCUCAUGCUUUCCACAAAAGCAGUGGAGGUGCCACAUGUUCCCCACUACUAGUGCAUCCUUGCAUGCAUAUCUUUGGAUAUAAUAGUAUUUGUUUACAUGCAUAUUCCAUCCUCCCACAUAAUCUAGUUUUCCUUGGUUAGUUAAUUUUCAUUUAAUUUCAAAUGUUGAAAUUACACAUAAAUCCUUAAACUUUUUCUUAUUUACCAUUUGACCCUCCAAAACUUUUCAUCCUUUACAAUUUGGUCCUUCAAACAUUUCAUAAACUACAAUUUGAUCCUUCAACUUGUUCAUAAUUAUAGCUUUACCCCUUUACUUUUCGUUAUUUGUAAUUCCACCCCUUAACUUCUUAUUCUUUUCAAUUAGGUCCCCCCAUCAUUCCUUUAAUUCCAAUUUCUUUCUAUUUUUCUUCCAUUGCAGUUGUACAAAUAAAAUAUCCAAUUGACACUUCACCAAGGUAUCACCGCAAUAUUUAAAUAUAUACUUACAUUCUUUUGCUUUAUUUAAUGAAGGCAUGUGAGCCCCACUUACGUUUUUUUUCUUCAAAAUUCUUUCUUUCUUUUUCCCCCCUACUUAUAUUAGCCAUGUAGUCCUCCUUCAAGACUAAUUUCAACAAAGAUAAAAUAUUAAUAUUUUAAUAUUAUUUUAUUACUAAAAUGUUAUUUUAUUCCAAAAUUCUCCACUUGUUUCCUUGAGCCUUAAAGUGUCUUAUUUUGUCCCGAUUCACUUCCAUAUCACCUUUUAACUUGCUAAUUCAUCUUCGAUAAAAAUAUUAUUAUUUAAUUAUUAUUUUCUCGCAUGUGAAAUAUUUUAUUCCACAAUAUUCCUUUCUCCUGUCACCACUCUUUGGCAAUUAAAUUUACAUCAAUUGACCCUUCGUCCUGUCGAUAAGGUCUUAUUAACUCCUAUACGAGGGUACGGGGUGUUACAAUCUUUCCCAUUUAAAUAAAAUUUGUCCCCGAAUUCAUGUCAGCAUCGUGUUAUUAAUCUCACUCUAUGAUUUUAUUUCAUUUCCUUAUUCAUAGGGAAUUUGAUUUAUCCACCUCGUUUACUUUUAGUUCGACUAGAACACUUUACAAGAUUAGGGUACGUAACUUAUAUCUAUUAUCAUCUUUGAAUCAAAACAACGGUACCCUUCACAAUUGUUCUCUCUUAUCAUUAAGAUCCCGAGUAUGCCUUUAACUCCAUUACUAACCUUAAAAAUAUCUUUAUUUUGAUUCUUGUCAAACUUCUCGACAUUCAUUCAUCUUAUCCCCAAACACUAUUACAUAGCUUAUGGCAUUAAAAACAUGCCUUAUUCAUUCCUAUACAUAUUUCCAACAUUAGGGAAGUUGAAUCUUUGUCACAACCCAAUCUCGGGCCAUGAUCGGUGCAUGGACCUAAUAGGGAUAGCCCAUCGAGCCCAAGCAAGCCUUUCUAUGAAAACUUGUUCAUUAGACCAUUUGUCCUUCAUUUACCUUUAAGGUUCUUAAUUCAUAAUUAUCAAAAUAAUUUAUUCUCAAGGAUAAAUCAGGGCAACCGAACAUAUACUGUUCACAAAAUAAUAUUACCAUUUGCCAACUUGUGGCGAUAUUACUAUUCAAGCCAAACAUGCAAUGUUUAUAACCAAUCUCAUGAAUUACAUUUAAAUAGCCAUAUAAACAUACAACAGACCUUGACUAUCAGCGGAGUGACUCUAGCGUGGAUAUUAUCAUGGGGUGUUCUAGUAAACCUACUGUAAGAUUAAUAGGAGGAAGUGCCUCUACCUAAGAUCCAACUAUCUUCGAACUUGAAAACAAAAACAUGAAUUUGAAAAGAAUGAGUAUAAACCUAGUGAGUGAAUAUAUGAAGGGAAUAAGCAAACGAUAAGGAAAGUUUUAGAAAACAUGAUGGACUUAUAUUGAAAAUAAUGCAAUUUGGUUUAAUUUCUUCUUAAAAUCGCUCAAUUCAACCCUUGAUUAUUUAAUGCCUUAGUAUUGAAAGAUCCAUGAUCAACAGUUAAGUUAAAGAGUGAAAACUAUAGUAGAGUCCAAGCAGGGCAAGCAUGGCAGAGUGAAUCUCACUACAGUGAGAAUGAAUUCAGGGCAAAAUUUUUAACCAACCAAAUGGGAGUUUCUCGCUGUAGCGAGAAUAUAUUUUCGCUGCAACAAAAAUCUGGGCUAGUCAAGCCCCCAACACUUGAGAGUUUCUCGCUGCAGCUAGAAUGAAUUUCGCUACAGCAAGAAACAAGGAAAUGAAAUUAAGAGAAUUCUUGUCACAAUGAAAAUCCAUUUUUAUAAAAGUGAAAAUCAAUUAGAAAGCAUUUGUCAAAUUUUAGCAUUCAAUAUUCAAUGCAAACACAUAAUAUUUUCCCUAACCUCCCUAUGGUAUGUGUAUACAUGUAUACAACUCCCAUCUCACCAGCUCAUGCGCACUUCCACAUCGCACAUAGCUAGAAUCAUCUUGUGCACUCCCACACCGCUCAAGGCAAUAUAUCAUCAGUGUGUGCACUCACACAGCACACCACUAUCAUUGUCAUGUGCACUCACAUAGCACACCACUAUCAUUGUCAUGUACACUCUCAUACCGCACAUGGCAUAUAUCAUCAGUGUGUGCACUCACACAGCACACCACUAUCACCAUCAUGUGCACUCCCACACCGCAGACGACAUAUAUCAUCAGUGUGUGCACUCACACAGCACACCAUUAUCAUCGUCAUGUGUACUUCCACACCGCACACGCACGGUUACAAUUGUCACUCAAUAGUGCCAUUCAAUGCAUGACAUACAAAUCAACAUAAUGUAGAAACACAUGAGUUCAUCACAUUCAUAUUUCACAACAUAAAAAUGUUUCAUCAAGGGCUUGUUCCCAAGCAAAUUUUAAAGAAAGGCCAAUAAAAUAUUUCAAGUGGUGAAAUCAAGCAUAUAAUCAUUUAUUCCAAAAUAUUUUAAUCCAAGUUCACUCACCUUAACAAUGCUACCUAACGAAACUAGCGCCCACAAGAUCUUAAUUCAGGUAGUCUCAAAAUACCAUUAAAACCUAUAUUUACCAAUAAACCUUAACAACCUCAAUUGAGUCAUAAUCUGAAUCUAAUAAUUUUAGUAAAUGUAUACUAUACAAUCUACACUUUAACCUAACACUUAACUUAGAAUUUUAGUCUAAUUCUCAAACCCAUCAUAUCAACUAUUCCAAAUUUAAAGAUUCUUUACCUUGGAGAGCUUGGAGGCAUGAAGAUAAAAAAAAAACCUAAUAUUUCCAAGAAAAAAAAUUUGAAGAAAUUAAGAAAUAAAAUCUGAAAAUAUAACCCAUAAAUUCAUAAAUUUCAAGAGUUGAAAAUAUUUACCUAUUAGCUUCAAAAAUGAAGAUUUGAAGCCAAAAAUUCAAGUGUUAUUUAAAGUGGAGUAAAAAUAAAAAAUAAAGGAAAGAAAGAGAGAUUUUUUUUCUCUCUCUUAGGGUUUAGAUGUGCUGAAAAAUGAAGUUAGAAGUUUCAAGUUUGGUGCACAAGAAGUUUGGAGAAGGAGGAAGUAAGAAAAGAAAAGAAAAGAAAACAAGGAAAAGAAAAUGAAAAAUCUUGAUUUUUAUGGUGAAGGAACAAAAAUGGAGUUGGGAGGAGAUGAAGGAGGAAGGUGAAGCCUUGGACACAAUGGCCGACCAUGGGAUAAGGAUGGAGAGUCAAAGCUUCCUUUAGAAGCUUUGACCAAGCUUUAUGAAAAAUUACUGUUUUACCCUUUAAGGUUUUCACCCUUUUUAAUUAAAUCCUCCCACAAUCUUUUGAUUCCAAUGUCUUCCUAUUUUGCUUCCUUAACACUUGUGCCAACAAAAUAUCAAGUUUAUAGUUCAACGCGGUAUCACCAUAAUAUCUAAAUAUUUACUUACCCGCGCUAGCUUUAUUUAAUAAAGACACGCGAGCCCCAUUAACGUUAGUUUUCUUCGAAAUUUCCUUGUUCUUCUUCUCCCCCACUUAGAUUGACCAUACACUCAUUCUUCAUAGAAAAUUUAGACACUGAAUAAAAUAUUAAUGUUUUAAUAUUAUUUUAUCCUAAAAUUUUUUUUGCGUCUUUUUGGCACCCAAAAUGUCUUAUUAUGCCCCAAUUCACUUUCGAAUAACCUUUUUAUCUCGUUAAUUCAUCCUCAAUAAAAAUAUUAUUAUUCAAUUGUUAUUUCUUCAUGUGCAGAAUACUUUUCUCCAAACUAUUCCUCUUACCUUUCAUCACUUUUAAACAUUCUAAUUAACCUCAAUUGGCCUCUGAUAAGCUUUAUUAGCCACCUUAUCAAAUUACGAGGUAUUAGAAUCUUUCAAUUAUUCCCUUAUACUUCAUGUUUAUCUUGUAUUUAUGCAAUUUAAAUCUUCUUAAUCAUAUUAAUCCAUUUUGUAUGGCUUAACCAUGCUAUAGAUUACAUUUCCUUGAUAUCCUUCCUUUGACUAUUGCUCUAAAGUUUUUUAUAUUAACAUAACUCAAUUUCUGAUGGGAUCUCUUGUCAUUGUAUCAUCAAUACAACUCAUCAAACAUAUUGAGUUCAAAUCUCAAACCAUUAAGAAUAAUUCUUCACUUUAGUUGGUCAGAUACAUAUACGUAUGUACACACACAUUUAAAUGUCAACAUUCAUCACCAUGAGUAGGAAUCCUUGUGUCAAAUGCGUUUGGACUAAAUUUCCCUUUAUUCGUUCUAAUCCAUAACCAAGAUUCAAUAUCAUAUUCUCAUAGUUCAUGUUUUCCUUUUUACUUUCUCAAUUUCGACAUUUCUAAUUUACCUGUCCAUUUCAUUCCCAUAAAACAUAUUUAAUCUAUGAACAUUGGGGUAUAAUCAAUUUCAUAUUACGCCUUGGGAUGUUUAAUUUACCUAUCAACUUAUAUCCUAACAUAAGUUAUUGUCACGACCCAAAUUUUGGGCCAUGACCGGCAUAAAGGCCUAAUAGACAUAGUCCAUUAAGCCCAAGCAAGCCUAUUAAUUUGACAUGUUCAUUAUUCCAUCAUAAACUGCUAAGUCAUAUUUCAUAACUUAGAAUAAAAAAUAAUGGUAAACAUUGCCACUUCAUACUGGCAUAUUGAACAAGUGUAUAUACAUUAUCUACAACAUGAAUCUUAAUAAUUUACAUUAGGUUUGUCUAUACACAACAAAAGAAUACUCGACUUCCAGCGGAGGGACUCGGAUGAAUGUACAGCUACUGAAUGUCGAGACACCUACCAAAAGAUGGAUACAAGUCUACAAGGACACCUCGUCCUAGUUACCGACUGCCUCGUGAUCUGAAAACAUGAAGUUGAAAACGGUGAGUAUAAACCCAGUGAGUGAACAAGGAAGGGAACAAGCAACAACAAGGGAGAAUUUAAAAUCAUGAUGCACUUAUUUCAAAACAAUGCAAUUUAGUUCCAUUCAUAUUAAAAACCCCUCAUCGAGCCCUUAAAUGAUUAAUCAUUUGAAAAUCAUAAACCCAUACAUAACGAACCAUUUGAAGAAUGAAAGCUUCAAUGAUACGCAAGCAAGUCAAAUACGACACUAAGAAUGCCUUUCCGUUGUAGCGACGUUGGGAUUUAGUUAUUAGCCGAACGAGGGUUUCUCAACUGGCUGAAGGUUUCUCACUAAACCUCCUCAUUUUAAACUUAACUCAUUUAAUCCUUAAUGUUGAAAGUCCAUGCUUAGAUAUGAUAGCAAAGAAGUGAAAAAUAGGGCAGCAAUUCGACAAGAUAGGAGACAAAACAUAAAGUUUUUCAUUGCAGCGAUAUUCAAUCUCGCUGCAGCAAAUUGUAACCCAGAAACAGAAAGUUUCUCACUACAGCAAAAUUGCAACCCAAAAACAGAAAGUUUCUCACUGCAGCGAAAAUGAAUUUCGCUGCAGCGAGAAGCUAUAGUGUCAUUCUCGCUGCAGCGAAAAUGCAUUCUCGUCAUAGUGAGUUUCCUGCCAGUCUACCCCUCCAAACCAGAGAGUUUCUCGCAACAGCAAAAAUGAUUCUCGCUGUAGUGAGAAACAGGGCACCAAUGAAAAAUUUGCCCUUCUUCCCAAAGAAAUACCACCCUGCUGAAAUGUCUAAACCAACAUGGAACGCAUAACAAUUUUCCAUAGUUUAACAUGUCAAGUUUCACAUGCAUUACAACUAGAUACCAUUACUCAUUUAUUUCCUAUAUCACACAUAUUUACAUAUGUAUAUAUAUGUAUACGUAUACCCAUAAUCAUCAUGCACACCAUCCCAUCAUCAUCAUCACCAGCUCAUGUGCACUCCCUACUCGCACAUGGCUGGGUUAUCACCGGGUUAUGCGCACUCCCUACUCGCACAUAACCAUGUCAUCCUCGGCUUACGCACACUCCUUACUCGCACAUAGCAGAGUCAAUGUCAUUACACAAUAAUAUAUUCAUAUAUAUAUAUAUCAACACAAUGUGGUAGUGCAUGUAUCAAUAAUAGUCACAUGUCACAACAUAAACCAUUUCUCAAGAGCUUAUUCCCAAGGCACUCAUUUUUAAGAAAAGUUGUAUAAAAUCAUUCAAACACUUUGUACAAAGCAGUCAUAUUUCCAAAAUAGUUUUGAUAGGCAGUCCACUCACCGGUUGAUUGUAGAGCCUUUAGCUGACUCUAAUUCCCCUAAUGAUCCAAUUGUAAGGAUGGGACUUCAUUAGAACCUAGGAUCACAUUAGCAUAAGCAAUAGGUCAAUUCACACACUAUGGACCCUAAAAGCUAUCUCUUAGCUAGCUUUCAAUUGCCACAUUAAAUGGCUAUCUAUGUUCACUAUCUUAAUCACAAAAAAAGUAAUGAACAUACUCAACAAUAAAACAGCUCUUAAUCUAAAUUACUAGCCAUUAUUGACAGCUAAAAAUCAAGCUUGGUUCAUUACUCACCCUAGGGUUCCUUUGUAGUUGAAUUCUCUUCCAAUAGCUUCCACACAAAUGGGGUAAUUCUCUCUUCUCUCUCUAGAAUGCCCAACUAGUGAGAGAAAGUAUAGAAAUAAGAUUUUUUCAAGGGUUUUAAGGAGUGAGAGUGGAAGAAUACAAGGGUUCUAGUCAAAAGGGCUCAAAGGUAUGAAAACUAGAACUAGAGAAAGAAAAUCAUGCAAGCUCCAUAUCAAGCUUCCAUGGAGGUUGGAAGCAACGUGAAAGAGAAGAAGAAGAAAAAGACAAGCUGCUGAAAAUGGGAGAAGAAUCUUCUAGAAGAAAGGUAUUUAUAGCCAAUCUUAUCCAUUCCCUUAAAAUUACCAAAUUGCCCCUCCACCAAUUAACUUACUCUCCUCCAACCUUCUAUGAAAUCUUUUUACUCCUUUGACAUUGGGACAAGAUCCAUAAUGGUCUAGACGUACUCGAGUUCAUAAAAACUUAAAAUUUUAACCCGAAGUGAAAAAUGACUAUUUUGCCCCUGCCGUGAAAAUCAUCAAAAUUUUGGUGUCCUUUCCAUUUUACCCCUAAUUUCACCAUCCAUUUAUGCCUUAGGCCUACUUAGACCAUAAUAUUGUUUAAAAAUCUUACUUUUAUGGGCUUACUAAAGAAAUGACAAAAUUAUCCCUGAUCAGGGAUAUCGCGUAUACUUUCCUUUACGAGUCUAUAAAGGUCAAGGUCUCACAAUUAUCUCUUAUGUAAUCCAUACGGAUUCACAUUAUGCCUAUGCAUAUCUUCGCUUCAUUUAUUGCUCAUACUCCAUUUUAUCAUCUCUAAUCAUAUGAAUAAUUUUCAUUAUACCAUGUAUCCUUGCAUCACAAUGUCAUAAUCACUUCUUAAUUACCAAUUAUCAUUUUCAUCAAAUUAAAAUCCGGUAUCCGUGUAUGCUUUAUUAUCUCAUUAAUCCUUCAAAAUUCAUCUUCACUUGAUCAUUGCAUCUCAUGCAAUACCACAAUUCCUAAAAGUCAUCUUCAUUUCUCAAUUAUCUUUCAUACCUUCAACAUAUAUAUUAUAUCCUUGUUGCAUUUCAAUAUCAAUUAAUCACUUAAGACUUUGGCUCAUUUGAAUCAUGCAUGCCUUAUGCAUUUUCGAAUUCCAAUUUUCACAAUGCAUUAGGAGGUCUUCUGUCAUGACCCAAAUUCCAAGCCAUGAUCGGUGCAUGGGCCCAGUGGAUGUAGCCCACUAAGCCCAAGCAAGCCUCUUUACGUAAUCCCGUUCACUAUCCCAUCAAUUUUUCAUCACCAUUACUAGACCAUUAUUUGUAAUUUGCAACUAGACAUAUUUUCAUAAUACAACACAGAUACCAAAAAUUUACAUAUGUAUGAUAUCAAAAUAAGUUUAUUCAUAGCCAUCUCAUAAUGGCACCAUCAUUCCAAACUAUACAUGCAUCAUUAGCAAAGUGAUUCCUAGCAAUUUACAUUUAAUGUACAUGUACUCAUAUAAAAGACUUUUGAUGACUAGCGGAGUGACUUUGGCGAGGGUACGGCUAUCAAGUGCCAUGAUACCUACCAAGAGUGAAUGCAAGUGGAUGCCUUGUCUUAGUCUCAACUAUCUACGGAUUUGAAAACUCGCAAUCUAAAAGAGUGAGUAUAAACUCAGUGAGUGAACAUAAGAAGUCAACAAGCAACGACAAUGAAUGUUUUAGAAAGCAUGAUGCACUUACGAUAAACAAUGCAAUUUAGUCUAAUUUUUUUGUUAAAACCCCUCAUUUCAAACUUUGAAUGUUUAAUCCCUUAAUGUUACAAGAUCCAUGAUGAACCAUAAAGUUGAAUAGAAUGAAAAUUUCAGCAAUGACUAAGCAAGACAAACAAACAGAGGGUUUUCUCGCUGUAGCGUAAAGGCAUUCAUAGUUUACAUAUGCUUUGGUUUUUCAAGUAUAUCUCCCACGACAAAAGUCCAAUUGACAUGAUUUUUGGUCAUUAGAAAGCUAAGAGGCUGGGCUACAACUUUGAUGUUUACCAUUUUGCCUAGUUCUGAUUGAAAGGUGGUCAAAAUCUAUGUCAAAGUGAAAGCACUGCACCAGAAUUUUGGAACCACUCGAGAGUUUCUCGCCACAGCGAGAAGUUUCAGGAAAUUUCUCGCUGCAGCGAGAACCAGGCCAGUGUAACCGCCCCUAACCCUUGAGUUUCUCGCUGCAGCGAGAAUGAAUCUUGCUGUAGUGAGAAACAGAGCAAUUUAGUUAAAAGGGGUAUUGUUACAUCAAAAAGUCAUUUUCUUGGGGAAAUGAAAAGCAAUUUUGGAGCAAUUAACAAUGCCAACAUACAACUCAAUCACAAUUAUUUUCAUAAACUUUCUAUCACAUAUAUACAUAUAUAUAUGUAUAUACAUAUAUCAUCAUGCAUACCAUCCCUCCACACUCAGCUCAUGUGCACUCCCUACUCGCACAUAGCCAGGUCAUCAUCAGAUCAUGGGCACUCUCACACCGCUCAUAGCUAGGUCAUCAUUAGCUCAUGUGCACUCCCACACAAAAGGAGCAUCCAAACCAUAAUAUACAUAUCAAUAUAAUGUGAUAACGCAUGAACUGUUCAUAUUGCACAUUUCACAAGAUAGAAACAAUUCAUCAAAGGCUUGUUCCCCAAGUAAAUUAUUUUUAAAGCAAAAAUAAAUGAAACUUUCAAAUGAUUUAUUUAAGCAUAUAGGCACUUCCCAAUGCAUUUUGAAAUGCAAGUUCACUCACCAGUAGUUGUUAAAUCUUAGAUCGAUUCCAAUUUCCACUAAUGCUCCAAAUGGAGAUGUGGGGUCUCGUUGGAACCUAUCACACACAAUAGCAUCACAAAUCAACUCCAUUCACAUAAUCAUAAUUCCAAAAGCUAUCUCCUAAAUCAUGUUCUACUAGUCAUUCCUAAUUAGCUUCCAAUUGCCAUUAAGCAGCUAUUUACUUUCACUAUUCUACUCACACUAAAGAUGAAUAAAUAAUCCUCAACUACAAAACAUUCACAAAUUUAUCCACUAGCCAUUUUCAACAACUUAAAAGUAAACUCUAAUUCACUACUCACCUUGGUAGCUUUGGAAUUGAAGUCCAUUCCAAAAAUUUUCAAGCUAUUAUAAAAGCUCCCUCUUUCUCUCUAUAAAACACCUAGCUAGUGAAAGGAAGUAUGGAAGUAAGACUUUUUAAGGGUUUUAAAGUGAGAGAGUGAAAGAGCACAAAAAGUUCCAUGAAAAAGUGCACAAAAGCAUGAAAAUUAGAGUUAACUUGAGAGAAGUUAUGGAGGUUUCAAAAGAAGCUUCCAUAGAGUAUGAAAGAAACGUGAGAUGGGAGGAAGAAGAAUAAGAAGCUGCUGGAAAAUGAGAAGAAGUUGCUUAAAAAUGAUAUUUAUAGCUAAAGUUUAUCCAAACUUCACUUAAAUUACGAAAAUGCCCUUAACAAGUAGGCUUUGUCUUCCUCCAAUCCUUUGUGUAAUCUUUUUACUCUUUUGACAUUGAGACAAAGUCCAUAAUAGUCUAGAAAUACUCAAGUUCAUGAAAACUUAAAAAUUUUGACUCGAGAUAAAAAAUGACCAUUUUGCCCCUACUUUGGAAAUCAUAAUUAUUUCUAUUUCCUUCGUCAUUUUAUCCUUAUUUUCACCAUUCAUUUAUUUCUUAGACUUACUUAAGCCUUAAUAAUGUUUGAAAGCAUACUUCUAGGGGCUCCCUAAGGAAAUGACGAAAUUAACCCUAGUUUGUGAUAUCACGUCUACUUCUAGCUACGAGUCUAUAAACAUCAAGGUCUCACAUUCUCCCCCACUAAAAGAAAUUCGAUCCCCGAAUUUAAAUCGAAUUAUAAAGUAGCAUACCUUUAUGUAUUAAAGAGGUGCAGAUACUUUGUUCGCAUCUCCUCCUCGGCUUCCCACGUUACCUCCUCACUGGUGUGGUUUCGCCAUAACAACUUCAUUGAUGCUACUUCCUUUGAACGAAGCUUUUUGACUUGCUUAUCAAGGAUAGCUGCUGGCUGCUCCUUAUAGGUUAAAUCAUCUUGCAAUUGGAUGUUUUCAUAGCAUAUUACAUGAAUUAGAUCUGGGUUAUACUUUCUAAGCAUUGACACAUAGAAUACGGGGUGAAUAUGUAAGAGGUACGGCGGUAGCGCCAAACGAUAAACCACUACUCCAACCCUUUCUAAGAUCUCGAAGGGUCCUAUAUAUCGAGGACUUAAUUUUCCUUUCUUGUCGAACCUCAUUACCCUUUUUAUUGGUGGGACCUUCAAAAAUACAUGAUCCCUCACCUGAAACUCUAAGUCUCUCCGCCUGUUAUUAGCAUAUGACUUUUGUCUACUUUGUGGUGAUAACAUCCUUUGACUAAUCAUGCGUAUUUUCUCGAUGGCUUCCUGUACCAAUUUUGGCCCUAAGAGUUUCCUUUCUCCCACCUCUAGCCAUCCAAUGGGUGACCUGCACCUCCGUCCAUAUAAUGCUUCAAAUGGUGCCAUCCAGAUGCUAGCUUGGAAACUAUUAUUGUACGAAAACUCCACCAAGGGUACAUACCGAUCCCAUUUGACCCCAAAGUCUAUUACACAUGCCCUCAACAUAUCUUCCAAUGUUUGUAUUGUUCGUUCAGAUUACCCAUCAAUCUAAGGGUGGAAAGCCAUGCUGAAAUCCAACUUAGUGCCCAACACUUCCUGUAACUUUCCUCAUAACCUACUGGUGAAUUGUGCUCCUCUAUCAAAUAUUAUAGAAAUGGGGAUACCAUGUAGUCGUACUAUUUCAUCCACAUAAACCGGAGCGUACUAGGCAGCCUUGUAAGUACUCUUAACUGAAAGAAAAUGGGUGACUUCGUUAACCGAUCUACUAUGAUCCAAAUCAAGUUGUAGUCCCCACUAGUUUGAGGCAAGCCCAUUACAAAGUCUAUUGCAACAUGCUCCCACUUCCAUUUGGGCACUGGUAAUAGCGUAGUAGCCUUGUAGGCCUUUGAUGCUCGGCCUUAACCUACUGACAAACUAGGCACUUGAAGACAAACUUAGCAACAUCUUUCUUAAGUCCUUCCCACCAAUAUACCUUUUUCAAAUCAUGAUACAUCUUUAUAGCCCUUAGAUAUACCACAUAGGUUGCCAUGUGCGCCUCCUACGAUAUUUCUCUUCUCAAUCCAUCAUUAUCGAGCACAUAAGGUCUGGUUCCAUACCUUAAUACUCCAUUUGUGCCUUUAGUAAACAUUUUCCUUUCCCUCCUUAAGAGUCCUCUAAGGCCUUAGUUACGAACUCAUCUUUACCUUGGGCUUCUUUGAUCUGAUCUAUGAAAAUAGGCCUUACUCUAAAAUGUGCUAGCAAUGUAUUUGCCUCCAAAACUUCCAAAUACACACCCAUGUCUCCCAAGCUAUGCAUCUCCCUAAUCAAAGAUCUCUUAUCUAUAGAGAUAUGUGGCAAGCUCCCCAUUGAUUUUCUGCUCAAGGCAUUUGCCACUACAUUUGCCUUACCGGGAUGGUAAAUAAUAGUACAAUCAUAAUCCUUUACCAACUCCAUCAACCUACAUUGCCACAAGUUAAGAUCCCUCUGCUGAAAUAUAUACUUUAGGCUUUUGUGGUUCGUAUAUAUCUCUUAAGUCUCACCAUACAAGUAAUGUCUCCAAAAUUUUAAGGCAAACAUGAUUGCUACCAUCUCUAGAUCAUGUACGGGGUAAUUUUGCUCAUGCAUUUUAAGUUGCCUUGAUGCAUAUGCAAUCACUUUCCCAUGCUGCAUUAAUACACACCCUAAAGUAACCCAUGAUGCAUCACAAAACACCGUAUAACCUUUUGUGCCUUGCGAUAGGCUUAAUACUGGAGCUGUGGUGAGACAUGCCUUAAGCUUCUCAAAGCUAUCCUCACAAGCAUCUGACCACUCAAAUUUUGUAUCUUUAUGUGUCAACUUAGUCAGAAGGGUGACUAUUUUGGAGAAGUUCUUCACAAAAUGACGAUAAUAGCCAACUAAACCCAAAAAGCUUCUAAUCUCCGUAACUGAUGUUGGGCUUGGCCACUUUUCCACUGGCUCAACUUUCUUUCCAUUGACUUGUACUCCAUCCUUGGAUACCACAUGUCCCAAGAAUGCAAUGCUUUCAAGCCAGAACUCACACUUGGAGAACUUGGCAUAAAAUCGAUGUUCUCUCAAAGUUUGGAGCACAAUCUUAAGAUGUUGCUCGUGCUCCUCUCGGCUCUUCAAGUAGAUCAAGAUGUUAUCAAUAAACACCACCACGAACUUGUCCAAAUAGGGCUUGAACACUCGGUUCAUCAAAUCCAUAAAGGCUGCAGGGGCAUUCGUAAGCCCAAAUGACAUCACCAAGAACUCAUAGUACCCAUAUCUUGUUUGAAAUAUGAUCUUUGGUAUAUCUUCAUUUUGGAUUCUCAACUGAUGGUACCCAGAUCCUAGAUGUAUCUUAGAGAAACAUUGUGCUCCUUGUAGUUGAUAAAAUAAAUCAUCUAUUCUUGGAAUAGGGUACUUAUUCUUCACCGUCACUUUAUUAAGCUAUCAGUAGUCAAUGCACAAUCUAACUGAUCCAUCUUUCUUCUUUACAAAUAGUACCGAUGCUCGCCAUGGUGAGAUGCUAGGACGGAUAAAGCCUUUAACCAACAAAUCUUCUAACUAAUCCUUAAGCUCUUUAAGCUCCGUAGGUGCCAUUUUAUAUGGGGGUAUGGAUAUAAGUCUAAUGUCGGGAAUCAAAUCUAUGCAAAAUUCAAUCUCUUGCUUCGGGAGGCAAACCUAGUAGCUUUUUAGGAAACACAUCCAUGAACUCAUUCAUACCGACACUUGGCUUAUGUCUUCGACCUUCGCUUGAGUAUCCCUCACAAUAGCCAAGUAACCUUGACAACCCUGUCUUAAUAGCCUUCUAGUAGAUAGGAUAGAUAUCAAAUUGGUUGGAGCAUUGCUCUUAUCCCCUUGAAUACUAAAUAAUGGUUCAUUGGGAAAAUCAAAUCUAACCAACUUAUGAUAACAGUCAACGCUGGCAUGGUAGGGCGAUAACUAAUCCAUUCCCAAGAUCAUGUCAAAAUCUAAGGUUUCUAAUACAACUAUAUUUACCAAGGUUUCUUUAUUCUUGACCCGAACUACACAAGACCUAUAUUCUCAUUCCGCCAUAAAUACCUCCUUUAAAGGGGUAGACACCACUAAUUGUUCUUAUCCCAUAACACGAUCUUUACCCAAACGAGAUGCAAAACAUAAAAAAAUAAAAGAGUGGGUAGCACCAGGAUCAAACAAUACCCGAGCAUUCAUAUUACAAAUUGAGAGAAUACCUUAUGCCACUACGUUGGAUGUUUAGGCCUCCUACGGUGUUAAAGCAAACACCCUUUCGUGACCCCUACCGGCGAAACUCUAAUGUCAAGACCCAGAAGGCCUACCUUGAGAGGAAGUAACAGCACCUCUACCUCUUGAUUCGAUACCCUAGUGAUCAGAUGAGGAGACUACUGAAGAAGCAGAUGAGGCUGGUUAUGAGGAACUGCGAGCAAAACCUUGGGAUUGAUGAGCCAUCGGGCAAUUCUUCUUAAUAUGUCCAAGUUGACCGCACAAGAAAUAAACUCCCGUAGCACGAAGGCAUCUUCCUCUAUGUCGUCCCCCACAAAUAUUGCAACGAUGGAUAACUUAACUACCUUGCCUUAAAUAUUGCUACCUCUCAACACUGAAGGUUCUCUAUCUCGCCCCAAUACUAGCACUAGGUGAGUCACUCCCUUAUUGGGUUAUCAUGAGUCCCUCUGUGGGCCCUGAUGGCCAGAAGAUGAAAUACUACCACUAAAGUCUUUACGACCUUGAUAGCCCUCUGUCUUGGCCCUCUUUGCUCUAUCCCUCAUAACCUUACUCUCACUGGUCCUCAUCUCAAUCCGCUGAGCGCAAUCCACUACUUCGAAGUAGGCAUUGAAAUCUCGGGAUGCCACAACCUUAAACAAUGGCUCCACUAGCCCAUCCACAAACUUCUAAAUCUUUAUCUCCUAAGUAAAAACAAGAUAGGGCGUAAACCGAGCCAGCUGCGUGAAUUUGAUGUCGUAUUUCGACAUUAUUAUACUUGGGGUCUGUAGUAAUGCCUCAAACUCCUUAGCUCGUGCAUUACGUACACUGGGUGCUAAGAAUCUAUCUAAGAAGGUUAUAUUGAACUCCUUCCAAGUCAAAGAUGUUGUAUCGCCGGUCGACCUCUACGCAAAGAGCCAUACCACUUUUGCACUACGUCUUUUAAUCAGAAAACUACUAGCUCGACUGAUCUAAUACUAGAGCAACCCAAGGCCUCACAAAUUUUCUCCAUCUUAUCUAAGAAAAUCUGGGGUUUCUUUGAUGCAUCAAACCCUGAAAAUGACAAGGUUUAAGCUUCAGGAAAUCAGGAAAGGAAAUCUCUAAAUGACCCUUCUCAACCUCAAGAUAUUGGCGAUCAGCCUGCCUUUGAGAACUAAAGAAUUCUUGUACUAUAGAUCUCCUUUCCACGAUCCUUUGUAUAUAGUCCAUACGGGUUGCCAUCAUUUCUACAACCCGAUUAACUCCCUAUAGGCCUGCCACCAAGUUCUUGAUGGUGAUGGCCCCAGUUGGUUAUCUAUCCGCAUCGCCCGAAGACUGCCCUUUCUUUCUUCUACUCAUAAGUGUAUCCACCCUCACCGGCCUAGCGGCCCUGCCAUGUCUAUCUCACCUCCUAAGGGUGGAUGCCCGUGGCCUAUCUGUCAUCUCAUUAGGAGCAUCUUACGCCCCCAUCGGUCUUGAGGCGGCUCGUGUCUUCGGUGACAUUCUUACCUAGAUAAGAGCAAACGCUUGUUAUUAAACACAUUUUGCAAUUAUAAUCGUAUCUAAGGAAAAAUGUGGUUUCUAAGAUAGGGAAUCUAUGCGGCCUUUUGGUUGUAAAAUGUGUCGCGGUUCACACUUCACAACCAAAGUUUCCACAUAAAGACCCAACACUCCGCUGGACCAACAAAAAGAAGUCCUAGGACCUAAACAACUUAGGGCUCUGAUGCCAAGUCUUUCACCACCCAAAUUUAGUGCCAUGACUAGCACAUGGGCCUAGUGGACGUAGCCUAUUAAGCCCAAGCAAGCCUCUUUACAUAAUCCCGUUCACUAUCCCAUCAAUUUUUCAUCACCAUUACUAUACCACUAUUUGUAAUUUGCAACUAGACCUAUUUUCAUAAUACAAUAUAGAUACCAAAAAUUUACAUUUGUAUGAUCUCAAAAUAAGGUUAUUCAUAGCCAUCUCAUAAUGGCACCAUCAUUCCGAACUAUACAUGCAUCCUAGCAAUUUACAUUUAAUGUACAUGUACUCAUAUAAAAGACUUCUAACGACUAGCGGAGUGACUUUGGUGAGGGUACGGCUAUCGAAUGCCAUGAUACCUACCAAAAGUGAUUGCAAGUGGACACCUUAGUCUCGAUCCUAACUAUCUAUGGAUCUGAAAACAUGCAAUUUAAAAGAGUGAGUAUAAACUCAAUGAGUGAACAAAAGAAGGGAACAAGCAAUGACAAUGAAUGUUUUAGAAAACAUGAUGCACUUAUGAUAAACCAUGCAAUUUAUUCUAAUUUUUUGGUUAAAACCCCUCAUUUCAAACUUUGAAUGUUUAAUCCCUUAAUGUUACAAGAUCAAUGACGAACCAUAAAGUUGAAUAGAAUAAAAAUUUUAGCAAUGACCAAGCAAGACAAACAAACAGAAGGUUUUCUCACUGCAGCGAAAAGGCAUUCUCGGUUUGCAUAUGCUUCGGUUUUUCAAGUAUAUCUCCCACUAUAGAAGUCCAAUUGACAUUAUUUUUAGGUCAUUAGAAAGCUAAGAGGUUGGCUACAACCUUUAUGUUUACCACUUUGCCCAGUUUUGAUUGAAAGGUGGUCAAAAUCUUUGUCAAAGUGAAAGCAUUGCACUAGAAUUUUGGAACCACCCAAGAGUUUCUCGCUGCAGCAAGAAGCUUCAGGAAAUUUCUCCCUGCAGCGAAAACCAGGCUAGUGUUAUCCCCCUAACCCGAGAGUUUCUUGGUGUAGCGAGAAUGAAUCUCAUUGCAACGAGAAACAGAGCAAUUUAGUUAAAAGGGGUAUUGUUACAUCAAAAAGCCAUUUUCUUGCCGAAAUGAAAAGCAAUUCAGGAGCAAUUAACAAUGCCAACAUACAACAAAAGUACAAUUAUUUUCAUAAACUUUCUAUAAUAUAUAUACAUGUAUAUGUAUAUACAUACAUCAUCAUGCAUACCAUCCCUCCACACUUAGGUCAUGUGCACUCCCUACGCGCACUUAGCUAGGUCAUCAUCAGCUCAUGUGCACUCCCACACCGCACAUAGCUGGGUCAUCAUUAUCACACAAAAAGAGCAUCCAAAGCAUAAUAUACAUAUCAAUAUAAUGUGAUAACGCAUGAACUAUUCAUAUUGCACAUUUCACAAGAUAGAAACAUUUCAUCAAGGGCUUGUUCCCCAAGUAUAUUUUUUUUAAAGCAAAAAAAUGAAACUUUCAAAUGAUUUAUUUAAACAUGUAGGCACUUCCCAAAACAUUUUGAAAUGCAAGUUCACUCACCGGUAGUUGUUAAAUCUUAGAUCGACUCCAACUUCAACUAAUGCUUCGAAACAGAGAUGUGGGGUCUCGUUGGAACCUAUCACACACAAUAGCAUCACAAAUCAACUCCAUUCACAUAACCAUAAUUCUAAAAGCUAUCUUCUAAAUCAAUUCUACUAGUUAUUCCUAACUAAUUUCCAAUUGCCAUUAAGCAGCUAUUUACUUUCAUUAUUCUACUCACACUAAAGAUGAAUAAAUAAUCCUUAACUAGAAAACAUUCACAAAUCUAUCCACUAGCCAUUUUCAACAACUUAAAAAUCUGCUGUAAUUCACUACUCACCUUGGUAGCUUUGUAAUUGAAUUCCUUUCCAAAACUUUUCAAGCUAUUAUAGAAGCUCCCUCUUUAUCUCUCUAAAACACCUAGCUAGUGAGAGGAAGUAUGGAAGUAAGACUUUUUAAGGGUUUUGAAAUGAGAGAGUGAAAGAGCAUAAAAAGGUUUUAUGAAAAAGUGCACAAAAGCAUGAAAAUUGGAUUUAACAUGAGAGAAGUUAUGGAGGUUUCAAACGAAGCUUCCAUGGAGAAUGAAAGAAACGUGAGAUAGGAGGAAGAAGAAGAAGAAGCUGCUGGAAAAUGAUAUUUAUAGCUAAAGUUUAUCAAAACUCCACUUAAAUUACGAAACCACCCUUAACAAGUAGGCUUUGUCUUCCUCCAAUCCUUUGUGCAAUCUUUUUACUCUUUUGACACUGAGAGAAAGUCCACAAUAAUCUAGAAAUACUCAGUUUCACAAAAACUUAAAAAAUUUGACCCGAGAUGAAAAAUGACCAUUUUGCCCCUACCUUGGAAAUAAUUAUUAUUUCUAUUUCCUUCAUCAUUUUAUCCUUAUUUUCAUCAUUCAUUUAUGCCUUAAGCUUACUUAGGCCUUAAUAAUGUUUGAAAGCAUACUUCUAAGGGCUCACUAAGGAAAUGAUGAAAUUACCCCUAGUCCGUGAUAUCGCGUUUACUUUUAGCUACGAAUCUAUAAAGAUCAAGGUCUCACAUUUUGAUAAACUGACUUCAUUAUGAUAGUUACCUCCAAUCAUCUUUUGUACUAUUCCUUUAUACCAAUAUAGCAUCAUUCCCCUUUAACCAUCAUAUAAUUAGUACUUCUAAUUACAAAACUUGAAACAGGAUCUUACUUACAUACUUCUCAAUGUCAUUGCAAGUAUCCACUUUCAACUUACAGCUUUUUUUUUUGUAACUACACCAUUUAAUGCUUGUUUUCACAAGAUUCAUAGCAAGAUUCCUCUUGAGUAUUUCCUUGUGAAUACCCACCUUAAGCUUAUGUCUCAUAGCAUAUGACCACAUAACCCGUGGUUUAGCCACUAAGCUCCUUAGCAAGUUCCAAAUACCACAUUGCAUCAUCAUGCAUACAAGAUAUUCCAAAAUAAUAUCAACUAUCAUUCUUGCGAUAUAUAGUUGGUACAUUUUUUUCAAAACUUGAUGCAUUUUCAAAACACUUAAUUACUUAUUUAUUCAUUAACCUUUCAACAACAUUCAUUCCAAAAGCAUGCAUUUAUUCUCCAAGAUAUUUAAAUGCAUAAUCAUCUAUUCAUACCUCAAUUUAUAUUCGUAGGUUUCUAGUGUGCCACAUAAUUGGCCUUGUGUUGUUACUAAUCCUUUUCUUUUAACUGAGUCAAGAUAAGAUUUGUAAAUCCUCAUAGCAAUACUUUAUAUUAGCUCAUUUGCUAUGCCAACCUUGUAAUCCUUCAUUCACAAUUUCUUUACUUGGUUUUGGCAUUACUUUAUCAAUGUCCCAUACUUUCAUCUAAAUCUUCACUCACUCUGUCCUUAGCGUUUAACAAGGUUUUAUCUCUUGUCUCUUUUAUUUCUUAGGAUUUGACUUCAGUCAACAUAGUUUUCACUUUAAUACUUCACAUUGUAGCUUAUCUCAAUGUGGCCAUCUCAAGAACUUUCCAACAUCUCUUUUAAUUACAUGGCAAUCUAUAAGGCAAUAAAGAAACUUUUCAAUUCAUUGAUAUAAGCAUUCUCCAAAACACUUAAAACUCCAAAUAACAAAGCUCAACAUCAAGACCAAUGACCAUAAUUCGGCUUGUAUGUUCAUCAUAAUGCCACUCACCACUUGCUCAUGCCUUCUAGACAUAAGAUGUUCUUAACACUGCAGUGCUAGACAAUCAAUGGUGUGGCGUUGUAGUUGCUAGAAAUUGGGGGUUUCAACGCUGUAAUGCUAAAGAGUCAGUGUUGCGACGUUGUGGCUACUAAAUUUUUUUUUAUCAAAGUAAUUCUUCUACCUUUAAGGUUACUACAUGGAUCAUGCUCAACCAUUUGGCUUUCCACUAGGCCUAUACCACAAUUUCCAUAACCAUGUGUAUCUUCUCUUUUGCUUAUCAUAUGCACUAGGCCAAGUCAAUAUUUUCAAACUCAUAUUAUCCUUUAACGCUUAUCAUCAAUCAAUAAGUCCCACCUUAGGACAUCAUUUCCAUAUUAUGCAAUAAAUUCUCAAUAAACAAUACCACAUAUAUAAUUAUUCACUAGCAUCCCACAAUUCCUUAAUAUCCAUAACUAAUUGUCUUUCUUGUCUUGCAACUCAAAUAGUUUACAAGCUUUCACCUUAAAAUUGCCAUGGAAAUAGUUCAUCUUGAUCAACACCUUAUGCUCACAUUAUUAUUAAUUCAAGAAUUUAUCUUUCCCAAGUUCCAUAAUUUAUCUCCAAUAAUCUAUAUUUGUAUCAAAUUAUCAUUCUAGAAUGUCAUGACACCAUGUGUCUUCAUCCUUACCAUCUAUCGUACUCCACAAGAAUCAAUUAAAAGAUUUACAUACUUCUACCAAUGCCAAUCCAAAUAAACAACACAUGAAAAUUCCAAAUACUCAACAAAUCAGUAGAUUAGCAACUACAUAACCUGUUCAAACCACAUGAAAUCAGCAUGUUUCAAAUCCUCCAAAUACAUAAAUCACAACUACAAUUCAAUCCAACUAUAUCAGUGUAGUCUCAUAAUCAUACUAGUUUCAAAUUAACUAUUUGACUUAACUAAGAACUAUCGUUAUCUGGACCUAUACACAUCGACGGAUCAUAAUCCAAAUUGUCCUCGGCCUUUCGAGGAUCCUCUUCAUCCUCACCAUUCUCACUUUGUUGUUCAUUCACAUAAUCUUCCCUAUUAAUGGGUUCAGCACCUUUCCCACAACCAGGAGGAAAAUCUCAAACAGCAGAUACUUUCCUUGGAUGAUAGCUUCUGAUGGCUACUUCUUCCAUUUUCUCCUUGUCCUUUUUCUUAAGAUCAAUUGUAGUAUACGCCAUCCUUUCAAGGCUUUCCCAGCUCUUAAUAUUAUUUCACGUCCCAGGGGAAUCCAUCCAAUAGGGAGUCAGGGUAAGUUGCUUUCUGGCCUUUCACACUCUUGCACAUAACGGCUCUAAGCAAUGGAAUCUAUUGAUCCCUCUUCAGUACUAUGGGAAUCAUUCCCUUUCUCCUCACUGCUGCUCCUGUUGUGUCCUAGGGGCACCUCAAAAACCUGUACAUAACCAUGCGUUAAUUCUUAACCUAUUACGUAUUAAGACAAAGGUAGGCUUAUAGAUGAAUAAGAGUUUAUGUAGCCUCAUUCCCUUGAUUCGUGUUGUGCACCCAUAAUCCAAGGGCAAGACUCUAUACUAACUCUAACAACUCUUCUAAUAGACACAGAAAAUCCUAGAACUUAACUCAACCUAGGGCUCUAAUGUCAAGUCUGUAGCGACCUGCUCCUUGAUUGUUAUCGAUGUUCGAGUCUUGUGGGAAAACCCGCCAAGUCCCGAACAAGCCUUAUUAGAAACCAUUGUUAAUACAUUAUAUUCAUUUGGCCUACUCAUAUAAUUACUUCGAAACAUAUAACUCUUUGUAAUAUGAUUUAAUCAAAAAGUUGUAAUAAAUUGACUUAAACUUUAUUUCGCAUAAUUGUAAAAAUACAUCAAAAUUUAUAAUCUCCAAAUGUACAUUCGUAUUAACAUUAAUGUCUAUUUUCAUAACAAAAUACACUAUGACGACUUGACCUCUAGCAGUGGAGCGACUCAGAAUGAAGUGUUAUGAGAUGCCUUUACCUAUCCACGGUAAACAAUAAGUGCUAAUGAAUGCACGCUAGGCUGAUCACUUAUCUGGCAAAAGAAAGACAAUGGGGUGAGCCUCAUAGACUCAAUGAUCAUUAGCUCCGUGAGCAUGGCGUAGAUGGAAAACAAGCUUAGAGCAAAUAAUUUGAAGGAUAAAAUCAAAGUAUAAAAUGAUAACCUUAUAAAACCAAAUAACAAAUAAGGUGUUUGGGCCUUGUAAAAAUAAUUCCAUAAAAAUCAUAGUGCAAUACUUUCCUUAGCAAACCAUGCCGAAAACAAAGCAUAGUAAAAUAAAUAUCAAUCAUCUAAAUCAUCUGUUGGCUCCAUUAGUUUUUGAUGAUAAUAAAACAUUCCCAUUCAUUUGUGUCUAAUUUUUCUACUUGAGUGUGCAGGACCAAAUUGUAUGCAAAUAAACAAUCAAUCAUUAAAAUGCAUAUAUCAAAAAGCAUAGAAAUAAGGAAGUCACAAUUAAUCAAUAAGACAAAAGCCCCUUAGUUGAUUAAUGAAGAGUUAGUCAGCUAAGAUUUAAAUCAAAGGAUUGGCGGGCUGAAGAGUAUUGAAAAACAGAACCAACUUAGUCGACCAAGGAAUGAGUUAGUCGACUAAGUGCACACUGCCAGAACUGCUAGAAAUUGGGAACAGAAGACAGAGACAACUUAGUCGACUAAGAUAUCGGUUAGUCGACUAAGAGCAUUCUGCUUGUAAUUUUGAAGUCUGCACUGAAUAACAGAUUAACAGCUAGAACCAGCUCCCAACUGUUUCCAACAGUCAAAAAACUGUCAAACUGCCACCAGAGUUGUUUCUCUAAAUAUAAAAGAGGGUUCCAACAGCUAGAAAUACUAGAUUGAAGGAAUCCAAGAAAAAAGAGCUUAAAACCAGCAAAAAAUCUCUUUACACUUUACUGCACUCAAUGCCCAUCUUUGUAGUUAUGUUUUGCACUUCAACUUGUACCACUUUAAUCAACUUUGUGAUCAUAGAUACACUUCUAUUUCAUUUCUCUUUAUGUUUUUAUAGUGAAAGGGUCACUCUAAGGGGUUCAAUCAAGCUAGAAUUGCUUGUUUAGAUAAAGGUUCUAACUUAGCCUUGAAAAGUUAGGUGUGGGUUAUAGUUGAACCCGAAAAAAACUAUUGUGAAAGAUUUUUGCUAAGCUUGGUAAAAGCCAUUGCAAAGCUUGGUGAAAGCUUGCGAAUUUCACUGGUUCUUAAUGGAUUGGUUGGAAAAUCCUUGGUUGGAUAAUUAAGGUAGUGGAUGUAGGUCUUGGACUAAACCACUCUAAAUUCUACUGUCUUAUUUACUCUGUUUUUGUUUUAUUUGCAUUCCUCUUUUAUCUUGCAUUUGUCUACACUUAGAGACAAUUUUUUAAAGAGCCAAAUUAUGCUAUUCACCCCCCCUCUAGCACAUUUAACUGGGACCAAUAAGUAGUAUCAGAGCUACUUCCCUGUUCUUAAGGUCUAACACCCUUUGGGAGGAUCUAAAUGGCUCAACUAAAAUUAGUAGUUGCUGAGGGACAAUCAACAAACAGACCACCUCUAUUUGAUGGCUCUAACUAUCCUUAUUGGAGCACUAGGAUGUCUAUAUAUAUUAGAGUAAUUGAUUAUGAGAUGUGGGAUGUUAUAACUGAUGGACCAUACAUUCCCUCAACUCUAAAUGUAGUGAGAAAUGAGAUGAUCCCAAAGCCAAGGUCUGAAUGGAUCGAGGUUGACACUAAGAGAGUCCAAACAAAUUUUAAUGCUAUCAACACAUUGCAUUGUGCCUUGACUCCCACCGAAUUCAACAAGGUAUCAAGCUGUACAAUAGCUAAACAAGUGUGGGAUAAGCUUAGGAUAAUUCAUGAAAGGACUUCUCAAGUCAAAGAGUUCAAGAUAACCCUCUUGACCCAUAGUUAUGAAAUGUUUAAGAUGGAGCCUGGUGAAGAUAUCACCAGCAUGCUAGAUAGAUUCACAAACAUCAUAAACAAACUUAGUCAGUUAGGCUAACCAAUACUAGAGCAUGAGAUUGUUAAAAGACUUCUUAGAAGCUUACCAAAAAAUUGAAAGCUUAUAGUGACUACAAUCCGAGAAGCAAAGGACCUAAAUGUUAUUACUCUAGAUGAGAUUUGUGGUUCUCUCUUUACUCAUGAGCUAGAACUCAAGGAAAAAGAAGAAGAAGAUAGGAGGGAAGCAAAAAAAAUGAAAAAGAGCAUUGCACUAAAAGCCUACAUUCUUGAAGAAGAGUUGGAAAAGCUAUCUUGUGAUGAUGAUGAAGAGUUAGCAUUGGUUGCAAGGAAAUUUAGAAAGCUUAUGGGCAAAAGAAAUCGAAGAUUGGCUAGAAGAGGUUUUAGAAAGGAUCAAGGUUUUUCAUGGAGAACUAGAAACAAAAGUGACUCCAACAAAAAGAUGAGCUAACCUACUUUGAAUGCAAGAAGCCUGGACAUUUCAAGCCUGAAUGCCCAUUGCUGAAAGAUGAGACUCUAAAAAAAAACAAGAAAUCAAAUAAGGCAAUGGUAGCAGUUGCCUGGUCAGACAGUGACACAUCAAGUUCUAAAAAUGAGGAAGAAAAAGUUGAGGAAAGAGCAAACAUAUGUUAGAUGGCACAAGAUGAUGAAUCCUAGGUAUCCUCAUCCCUUUGUAAUAAUUCAAUUGCUGAUUUACAAGAUGAGUAUGAGUGCCUUUAUGAUGACUUUGAAAAACUCUUUUCAAAAUACAAGAUUCUAAAGAAAAAUAUUGCAUCUUUUGAAAAUGAUUUAGAAAAGAUAAAAAAAGAGUUCAAUUUUGUUUCUGGGCAAAGAAAUUUUCUACAAAUUGAGUUAGAACAUUCAAAACAGACUUUGAAAUUUUAAAAUUAGAGCUAGACGAUAAAUCUAAAGCUUUGUGAAAAACACUUGAUGAAAAUACAGAUCUUAAAAGUUUGAAAAAUGAAACUUCAAAAAGAAAAGUCUACUACAAGAAAAACUAUGUUAAUGCAACAUCUAGAUACUAUGUUUGCAAUAAAAUUGGCCAUUUAUCAUAUGAUUGUUUUAAAAAAAGAAGCACACAAAAAAUAAGAAAAAUAUGGGUUCCAAAAGGAUCCUAUGUUGUUGCUAACAAUCAAGGACCCAUCAAGGUAUGGGUACUUAUAAAGAAAAACUGAAAUUCUGUUUUGUAGGUUGAGCUGCACUUAAAGGAGACAUGUUCAAGAACUUAACUCAAGAAAAAGCAGCCUUGGUAUAUGGACAGUGGCUGCUCACAGCACAUGACAAGAGAUGAAAUGUUAUUUGCUCAGGUAGACAAAAGAAAAGGAGGUAUCGUAUCCUUUAGUGAUGCUUCAAAACGUAGAAUACAUGGUAUAGGAACAGUUGGUAAGAACUCCUAAACUCAAAUCAGUCAUGUGUUAUUAGUUAAAGGCUUAAAACAUAAUUUAUUAAGUAUUAGUCAAUUAUGUGAUAAAGGAUUUAAAGUAUGCUUUGAUUCAAAUAAGUGUGAAGUAAUAGAUAUAAGCACAAAUAAAGUUUCAUUUAUAAGAAAAAGAUUAAAGAAUAUGUAUGUUGUAUUUCUUGAAGAUCUUGAAAUGAAUUGUGAAAUGUAUUUAGUGGGAAAUGUUGAAAAUGAUAGCUGGCGAUGGCAUAGGGGACUAAGACAUGUGACCAUGCACACUAUGUCAAAAUUAAUUAAAAAAAAUCUAGUUGUUGGAUUGUCGGAUGUCAAAUUUGAAAAUAAUGAAAUAUGUGAUGCUUGCCAACUAGGAAAACAAGUUAGAACAUCCUUUAAGACUAAGAAGAUUGUAACUACAUCUAGACCUCUUGAAUUGCUACACAUUGAGAAGAUUGUAACUACAUCUAGACCUCUUGAAUUGCUACACAUUGAUCUAUUUGGUCCAAUAAGGACAACUAGUCUAGAAGGAAAAUCUUAUGGCUUUAUGAUAGUUAAUGACUACUCUAGGUACACUUAGGUUUAUUUUCUUACUCAUAAGAAUAAUGCUCCACCAGCAUUUAUAAGUCAUUGUAGGAAAGUUGAGAAUGAGAAAGGACUGACAAUAGCUGGUAUUAGGAGUGAUCAUAGUGGAGAAUUUGAAAGUGAUAAAUUUCAAAAUUUUACAAUGAAAAGGGGUUGGAUUAUAAUUUUUCUGCACCUAGAACACCCUAGCAAAAUGGAGUUGCAGAGAGAAAUAAUUGUACCUUAAAAGAAAUGGCUAGAACUAUGCUAUGUGAGAAUAACCUACCAAGUAUUUUUAGGCUGAGGCAGUGAACACAGCAGCAUAUAUACUCAAUAGAGUCUCAAUUAGAGCCAUGAUAUCAAAGACUCUACAUGAACUUUACAAUUGUAGGAAACAAAAUAUUUCACACCUUAGGAGUUUUGGUUGUAAAUGUUAUGUGUUAAACAAUGGAAAAUAGUCCUUAGGUAAGUUUGAUGCAAAGAGUGAUAAGGUAAUAUUUUUAGAAUAUGCAUUAAACUCAAAGGCUUAUAGAGUUUUCAAUAAAAGAACUUUAACUGUUGAAGAAUCAAUCCAUGUAGUUUUUGAUAAGUUUAAUGCCUUACAAAAGGAAAUUCAUGUUGAUGAUGAUGAUGUAGAGAUCCUAAAUAGCAAAUGGAAGAAAUGAGCUUACAGCACAAUAAGAAUAAUGAAGAAAGCUCACCUACAAGAGAAAAUGGAACUCUACCUCUAGAAAAUUUGCAAAGAACAUAAAUUCAACAUAGUGAUCUUCCAAGGAAUUAGAGAUUCACAAAAGGCCAUCCACAUGAACAAAUCAUAGAUGACAUUUCUUAAGGAGUUAAGAUUAGGAGAGCAACAAGAGAGACUUGUGAGUUUUCAGCUUUCAUCUCCCAAAUAGAACCUAAAAAUUUUGAAGAAGCUGAAAAAGAGGAAAGUUGGAUAAUUGCCAUGCAAGAGGAACUUUAUCAAUUCAAAAGAAACCAUGUAUGGUCAUUAGCCUUUAGACCUUCAAAUCACCUUAUUGUUGGCACAAAAUGGGUGUUUAGAAAUAAGGUAGAUGAGCAAGGAAAUGUAGUUAGAAAUAAAGCUAAGUUAUUAGACCAAGGAUAUAACCAAGAGGAAAGAAUUGACUAUGAUGAAACAUUUGCAACGGUUGCUAGGAUUGAAGCCAUAAGGUUGUUGCUUGCUUUUGCAUGCUUCAUGAAUUUUAAAUUGUACCAAAUGGAUGUAAAGAGUGCAUUUUUAAAUGGAUUCAUUCAAUAAGAAGUAUAUGUUGAACAACCACUAGGAUUUGAAGACUUUGAAAAACUAGAUCAUGUUUUCAAACUUCAUAAAGCCUUGUAUGGAUUGAAACAAGCUUCUAGAGCUUGGUAUGAGAGGCUUUCAAAAUUUUUGGUUGAAAAAGGCUAUGUUAGAGGUAGCAUUGAUACAACAUUGUUUAUCAAAAGAUACUUAAAUGAUUUAAUUGUUGUUCAAAUUUAUGUGGAUGACAUUAUGUUUAGUGCAACUAAUGAGGCUUUAUGCAAGAAUUUUACCAAAGAGAUGCAGGGUGAAUUUGAGAUGAGCAUGAUGGUAGAGUUGAAGUAUUUUCUUGGGCUUCAAAUCAAACAAAAUGAGAAAGAAAUCUUCAUCAACCAAGAAAGAUACACUUAAGACAUGCUCAAAAAGUUUGAUAUGCUGAAGCUAAAAUCAAUUUGUACACCAAUGAGUCCAUCCACCAGACUUGAUUUAGAUGAAAAAGGAAAGAAUAUUGAUCAAAAGCUCUAUAGAGGUAUGAUCGGAUCAUUGCUCUACUUAAGAGUAAGCAGACCAGAUAUUUAGUUUAGUGUGUGUUUAUGUGCUGGAUUUCAAUCUCAGCCUAAAGAAUCACACUUAACUACUGGUAAAAGAAUUUUUAGAUACCUCUUAGAAACACAAACCUAAGGAAUGUGGUACUCGAGAGAAUCAUUAUUUAAUCUUGUAGGCUAUUCGGAUGCAAACUUUGUAGGAAGCAAAAUCGAUAGAAAAAGUACUAGUGGUACAUGCCAAUUUCUAAAAAGUAUGUUAGUAUCUUGGUCAAGUAAGAAAUAGAAUUUAGUAACUCUAUCCACAACUGAAGCAGAAUAUGUUUCUCUAGGCAGCUGCUGUACACAAAUUUUGUGGAUUAAACAACAAUUAAAGGACUAUGGAAUAACAGUACAUAAUGUACCAAUAUUUGUGAUAAUACAAGUGCAAUCAAUAUAUCAAAAAAUCCUAUGCAACAUUCUAGAACUAAACACAUUGAAAUUAGGCACCAUUUUGUUAGAGACCAUGUAGUGAAGAGAGAUGUUAAAAUUGAGUUUGUGAAUACUUUGCACCAAUUAGCUAACAUCUUUACCAAACCUCUAAAUGAAGAUAGAUUUUGUGAGAUUAGAAGGAAUUUAGGAAUGAUUAAUAUGCAAGAGUUGUAAGAAUUUUUUUUUAACUCGUACACAUUAAACAGAAGGCACUUCGUCGACUAAAGAAACUCUUAGUCAACUAAGAGCAUUCUAUUUCAUUAAAUAAUAAGACUCAGUUAAGUUAAAGGCAAAGGGAAUAAAAUAAUAAGAAGAAACUGCCUACCGAGAAGUACAAUAGAGAAGAAAAAUACCGCCUAAAUCAAAAAAAAAUUAAGAGGCAAUUUUUGAAUUUUGAAGGUGGAGUUACCAAUUGCACUUAAAUAGGGGGAGUCAGACAGUUUUUCUCUUGGAAUUAAACUGAUCUUAACCCAUUUUCUUUACACUCUGUCUCUCUACUGAAACUGACGUCUGAAACUAAAACCCUCACCUCUCAACCAUUCGAAACCCUAUGUUGAAAAUCUUCCAAACUAAAUGGUGAAAUCAAUACAAUCUCAAUAACUUUUGGAAAAUAAGAAAGGCAAACGGCCAUUGGAAGAAAACAUGAAAGCUAAAAUACUAAAGAAAAAGAAAAUGAUUGAGUGGGAAUCUGUAAAUAAAGAAUCUAGAAAAUCCAAGAGCCACAAAUCUGAAAAAAAAGAAAGAAAUGAGCAAAUUGCACAAGAAAGGUACUUCUUCAUCUUCUAAAUUCAGAAAUAAAAUACAUGAAGAGAGAUUUAGGAAAAUAGAGAAUGCACCCAUCACUUGUGGAAAAUAUUUUGAUUGGGAGAGUUUUAGUGAAAUACCUGAAAUUUUGACAAGUCUAUCAGAUUAUUUUGAAGAGCUAAAAUUGAAAGAGUUCAACACAUUUGAAAACUGAUCAUAUAAUGCUAGCUUAGUUAAGGAAUUUUAUUCGAGUAUUGUUGUUGACAAGGAUGAAUUGGGGGAACCAGAUGAUUAUUCUAAUGAGGGGCUGAAUGUGUUUUUAAAUGGGAAGGAAUUUACUAUCAUUGCUGCAGACUUAGGGGAACUUCUUAAGAUAGAGUGUAAUGAGGGAGAAUUUGAAUUCCUUGAGAAGUAUGACCCCUAAUCCCUGUGGAAAGUGAUCAUUGGGAAGAAGCAAAAGUAUUCCUCCAAAAGCAAUGCAGGGCUUAUCACAAGUCGUCAAAUAAGGAUUCUACAUUACUUUGUUGCCGCUAAUCUUCAUGGGAAGAGUGGAAGCUUAAGCUACAUUAGCCUCCAAGAUUUAUGGCUAAUGGAACAUGCCUUUAGUGGUGUUGCACUUAAUCUAUGAAGGUUCAUGAUUGAAAGAAUAAGGGGUGCAUGCAGACUGGAGAAGAUCAACUUGCCUUAUGGAAAUAUCGUCACUUCUCUAGUGCAAAAGAAAGGAAUUUGGAGUUCUAGGUAUGAAGCAGACAAGGUCAAAACUAGAGACCAACCCAUUUAUCUAGGAAGCUUACCUAAAAUGGGUUACAAACUUGAUGGAGAAAGAUACAUUAAAACCCUCAAGGCUGCUCUAAGAAAGGAAUCCUCCUUACUUGCUCAACCAGAGAAUACACCAUCCUAAUUCUCAAAUGAAGUAAUCUUUAAUCUGCUAAUGAGAAUUGAUGGGAAACUCACAGAUCAAGGAGCAAGAAUUUAGAAAAUUGAAGAAAAGUUAAUAGAAAUGGAAAGCAAAAUGAAAGAAAAAUAAAAAAUGGCAUCUGAACUAGUUGCUGCAGACAGCUUUGUAACUCUUAGCUUGGCUUUUGCAAGACAGGAAACUGAGGUGCAAACUGAAGGUCAUGAACCUGAGGUGGAACAACAGAGAAAAUCUCCCUCACCUGAGCCUCAGGACAAGGAAGAAUCAGUACAAGCAACCAAAGAGCUUGGAUCACUUAAUGAAAAUCCUCCCUUUGAGCCCCAACCUCAACCAAGACCUUAACCAUCUCCUCCACAUUCUAAAAAGGUUUCAAUCAUGGGACUUUUCCAUCAAAUGGUUCAAGAGAGGGAAGCUGAGAAAGAGGUAACUAAGGCAAAAGCUCAACAAACAGCAUCUGCAUCAGCUUCUACUGCAGAAGGGACGCUUGGAAAAGGAAAAGCAAAGAUCAUUACUGCUCCCCAAGUCAAUUCCAAACCACCUGGCAUGGGUAAGAAAAUAAUAGCAACUAAAACAAAGUUCAACAAAAUGAGGAAAUCAUUCAGAUUGGCUGAGAAGGCUAAGCCAGCACUAAUCUCAUCUCCUCAAAACCCUCUUGAGAUUUCAUCCCCUGAACAAUCCCUUGAAAAAUCACCACCUCAACCCUUUCUUCAACCCCUCAAUGUCAAAUACUACACUGAUGAUGAGUUCUCUCCCUCAUCCUCCUCAAAAAGUGAUUAGAAGCUGAUGAUGACAAAAAGGGGGAGAAGUAUAACAAGGACCCAAGGGGAGAUAGGAAGUAGAAAACUGUCUAGGGGUAGUUUCGAAACAUUAAUAGUUAUUUUGUGAUAAUUUGCUGUUUGUGCCAUGAUGGCAAUUGAAAACUUAAAUUUAACCUUGUUGUUUAUGUUUUUUUAUGUGUAAUGGGAUGCUGAUAUGUUUAUGUUAUUUGGUUAUUGAUAAUUAAAUAUUUGAUGAUGUCUUACUAUCUAUGGUAUUUUAACUGUUGCGUGGUAUUUUAACUGCUGUUGAUAAAAAUCUGUUGCUGUACUGAUAAUUGGGAUAGUAUGAUGAAGAUUGAUUUUUAUUGUGAAUGGAUUGUGUUUGUGAAUACAUAUGGAUGCUGAGUAUAUUAUAUAUGAUGAAUAAUUAAUGGUAAAAACAAAAUUUGGUAACAAUAAAUUAUUGAUAGACACUGUUGAAAUAAAGAUGAAAAUCUAUUAACAUUCACCUGCUGUAAAUCACUUUAUAUUUCUACAUAUAUAUACUCUGAAUGAAUAAUGUUAUUUUCUAUUUGACAUGAAUAAAAUUUGCUAGAAUGAAUAAACAAGAUAUGCACACACUAAGGGGGAGCACACAUUUAGGGGGAGCAAUCCCCAUUCUCUGCAGGAUUAAAAAGAAUAAAAAGACAUUGUGCUAUUAAUCAAGGAAUGUUUUGUCAUCAUCAAAAAAGGGGGAGAUUGUAGGCUCCAUUAGUUUUUGAUGAUAAUAAAACAUUUCCAUUCAUUUGUGUCUAAUUUUUCUACUUGAGUGUGCAGGACAAAAUUAUAUGCAAAUAAACAAUCAAUCAUUAAAAUGCACAUAUCAAAUAGCAUAGAAAUAAUGAAGUCAUAAUUGAUCAACAAGACAAAAGCCCUUUAGUUGAUUAAUGAAGAGUUCGUUAGUUAAGAUUUAAAUCAAAGGAUUAGCGGGCUGAAGAGUAUUGAGAAACAGAACCAACUUAGUCGACCAAGGAAUGAGUUAGUCGACUAAGUGCACAUUGCCAGAACUGCCAGAAACUGGGAACAAAAGACAGAGAUGACUUAGUCAACUAAGAUAUCGGUUAGUCAACUCAGAACAUUCUGCCUGCAAUUUUGAAGUCUACACUAAAAGAUAUAUUAACGACUAGAACCAACUCUCAACUGUUUCUACUGGCCAGAAAACUGUCAAAUUGGCAUCAGAGUUCUUUCUCCAAAUAUAAAAAACGGUUCUAAUGGCUAGAAAUAAUAGAUUGAAGGCUUCCAAGCAAAAAAAGCUCAAAAACCAAUAAAAAAUCUCUGUACACUUUACUGCACUCAACGCCCAUCUUUGUAGUUGUGUUUUGCACUUCACCUUGUACCACUUAGAUCAACUCUGUGAUCAUAGGUACACUUCUAUUUCAUUUCUCUUUAUAUUCUUAGAGUGAAAGGGUAAUUCUAAGGGGUUCAAUCAAGCUAGAAUUGCUUGUUUAGAUAAAGGUUCUAACUUAGCCUUGAAAAGUUAGGUGUAGCUUAUAGUUGAGCCUGAAAAAAUCUAUUUUGAAAGGUUUUGGCUAAGCCUAGAAAAAGCCAUUGUAAAGCUUAGUGAAAGCUUGUGAAUUUCACCGGUUCUUAGUGAAUUGGUUGGAAAAUCCUUGGUUGGAUAAUUAAGGUAGUGGAUGUAGGUCUUGGACCGAACCACUCUAAAUUCUGCUGUCUUAUUUACUCUGUUUUUGUUUUAUUUUCAUUCCUCUUUUAUCUUGCAUUUGUCUACACUUAGAGACAAUUUUUGAAAAAGGCAAAUUGUGUUAUUGGCCUCCCUUCUAGCACAUUUAAUGUCAUGACCCAAAUUAUGAGCCAUGACCGGUGCAUGGGCCCAAUGGACGUAUUCCACUAAGCCCAAGCAAGCCUACUUAUAUUACUUGCUUAUCAUUCCAUCCCACGAGUUACUAAAAUCACAAUUCAAAAUCUUAAUUCGAAAUGAUGAAAACUGUUGCCAACUAAUACUGGCGUUACUCAUUAAAAUAUACACAUACUGUCUACAGUAUGUAUUCUAAUAAUUAACAUCAGAUUUGUCUAUACAUGUCAAAAGGAGACUCGAUGUCCAGCGGAGAAACUUGACGAAUGUACAACUACUGAAUGCUGAGACACCUACUAAUAGUCGAGUCUUCAAAAACACCUCGACCUAGUUACCAACUGCCUCGUGAUCUAAAAACAUGAAGUUGAAAACGGUGAGUAUAAACCCAGUGAGUGAACAAGAAAGGGAAUAAGCAUACCAUAAGGAAUGUUUAACGAAAUCAUGAUGCAUUCAUUUUUCAAAACAAUGCAAUUUAUUUUAGUUCUCAUUAAACCCCUCAUGUAAACCCCAUAUGAGAAAAAUCGCUUAUUGAAAAGAGUCCAUGCUCAACAAAGGAUUUGGAGAGUGAAAACUUUAAUAGCAUUCAUGGAAAUCAAGUCAAAUAAAUGUCGAGUCUUUGCUACAGCGGAAAGGCACGUUGCAGCGAGAAUGGAUUUUUGCUGUAGCGACACUUAACUUAAAUUAUCAUCUAGUCGAGGGUUUCUUAACUGGCCGAGGGUUUCUCACCAAACCUCCUCAUUUUAAACUCAAUUCAUUUAUUCCUUAAUGUUGGAAGUCCAUGCUCAACUAUGGUGUGAGACCUUGUCAAGCUCGAUUAAAAGACGGUAUUGUUCUGAGUGGUACAACUAAGUUAAAUCGAGCCUUGAACUAGUUCAAAUAGAAAUUCUAAAAGGAAUUUAAAAAUUUUGAAACCCACAGAAUGGCUUAGAAUAGUGAUUCAGAGUUCAAGGUCCAGUUUGGAGUCCAUCAGGAAAAUUGACCGAUUAGGGACAACGGUCAUUUUACCAUGUGAUGAUAAAAUGGAGAUUUCUAGCUAAAAGUUGAUCACAUUUGACCAAGAAUAAUUAUAUGGAAUAUAUUUACGAUUAUUGGAGUAUAAAAUGAUGUUUAGCAGUGAAAAAUUAUGAUUCCCGGUAUUUUUGGAGCACAAUGGCAAAAUGGUAAUUUUGCCACUAGAUGACUAAACGGGAAUUUUUAUAAAACAAUUAUUUUACCCCAUUUGGUUAAUAUUGAUCAAUAUUUUUAUUAUUUGAGGUUGAAAAGUAGAAAUAAUAUGAUUUCGGUACAUUUCGGAGUAUAGGGGCAAAAUCAUAAUUUUUUCACCUCGGGGGCAAAUCGGUAAAUUUUUCACCCAAGCACUUGUCAAGACCAAGGGAUUUUAAAUGUGGUAGGAUUGGAUAAAUACCAGAAUAUUUGUGGUGGAAAAUUAAGAAGAAAAAGUCAAAAAGUUAAAAAUUGGGCCAAUAAGCAUGUGACACGUGGCAUUAUUUUAUUAUUUUCUAUAGAAAUCAGCCCAUUAAAUCCCCAAUUCUCUCACCAUAUUCGGCCUAGGCAAUCAGCAACAAGAACAAAGGAAGAACAAAGGGAAAAACAAGAAAACCUAGGUGGAAAUUAAAAAAAAAAGUGAAAAAAUCAAAGUAACGAGGUAGGUAAGUUAAAAUAUCUUUAAUUCUUCUUGAUACCUAGCUUAUCCAUGCUUUUGUUCUUGAUUUCCAUGGUUGAAUAUUGAGUUAUCAUGAUGAAUUCAAUUCUGAAAAAUUGGUAUGGAAGAGAAAUUGUUGUUGGAAUAAUUUGAUUUUAGACUAUGUUAGUGUUUAGGGAUAGUUAAGCAUGGUUAUGAACAAAAACAUAAAAGAAAUAUUCAAUUUAUCUAGGGUUCCUUGUUGGUCGAACCAUGAGGGCUGAAUAUCAAUGGGAGAUUGUUUUUAUUUCAAGGAAUAUGGCUUGGGAAAUGAUGAAUUAAGGUGAAACGAUUAUGUAGAAAAAAAUUUCGGUGCUAGUGCACCAAAUGACCGAAUUUUCUAUAAGGAACUGUGAGGGUUCUAAUGCUGAAUUUGGCUUUAUUUAAAUGAUAUGUGGUAAAUUAAGGUAUUAGAGGAGAAAUGGAUUAAUUUGGAGGUGAUUUGGACACAAUCGCCAAUUAAUCAGUGAUCGAUCAAAUUUAAUCGAUACCGCGAUUAAGCGGUAAUCGGACGUAUUUUUGCAUUUACAUAUCAAGCAUUAGUAAUUUAAAUUAGUUUAUAUCAAUUUAGGGACAAUAUAGUAAAUUCCUCGACUUUGUUAUUUGUCAAGGUAGUGAGACAUCCGAAAAAGGCAAAGGAAUUGCGCUUGAGGACUAUUAGUCUGAGUGCACCCGAAAUCUGGAUUUUUGAUACUGGUGAGUGGACUGCCUAUCAAAAUUGUUUUGGGAAUAUGACUGUUUUGAGCAAAGUGUUUGAAUGAUUUUAUGCAAAUUUUCAUGAAAAUGUACCUUGGGAACAAGUUUUUAGUAAAAUGAUUUUAUAUUGUGAAAAUGUGCUCUACAAUGGUUUAUGUGUUAUCAUAAUAUGAUAAAAUGCAUGAUAUGCAUUGGAUGCUUCUUUGCAUGUUGAUUUGGACCCGGCUAUGUGUGAGUAGGAGCGCACAUAAGCCGUUGCUGACCCAGCUAUGUGCGAGUAGGAGUGCACAUAAGCCAUUGCUGACUCGACUAUGUGCGAGUAGGAGUGCACAUAAGUCGUUGCUGACCCGGCUAUGUGUGAGUGGGAGUGCACAUAAGCCGUUGCUGACCCGACUAUAUGCACAUAAGCCGUUGCAUAUGAGAUGAUGAUGAUGAGAUGGUGUGCAUGUUGAUGAUGGGUAUAUGGUUGUAAAUGCAAAUAUGUAAGCGUUUGUUUUAUUGAAAUUUGGAAGUUUACAUGUUUUACAUGUUGCUAUUGUUAUUUUAGCAGGAUGGCUUGUUUUAAGGGAAAAAGGGUUUGGAAUAGUAGUUAGAUGAAAAUGGCCUUAUUUUCAAUCGCUGCAUCAUGAUUGUCAAAUUUCCUAGUUGAGAUUGCUUGUUCCCUUCUAAUAUUCACUCACUGAGUAUUGUACUCACGUUUUAUAAAAAUUCAUGUUUUCAGAUCAGGUGACUAUUGGACCCUAGAUCGAGGAGUCCCCGUAGUGCAUCUCUUGGGUAUGUAUCUGGCAUUCGAUAGUAAUCCUUUUAUUCUAAAUGUCUCCGCUGGAAGUCAUGGGUCCUUUUGUAUUGUGAAUACAAUUUAACAAUGUGAAUAUGUGUAUGCAAUAUAAAUUGCUAAAUACAUUACUAGUAUAGUGCAUGUAUAUUAUUAUCGAUAAUGCCAUUGUGUUUUGGCUAUGUUCACACUCAGUAAAAAGUGUGUGUGUGUGUAUGCAUGAUAAGAUAAAUUUGUUAAGAAAAGGAUACGCUUGCUUGGGCUUAGUAAGCUAUGCUCAUUGAGCUCAUGCGCCGAUCAUGGCUCGAGAAAUUGGGUUGUGACAUAUGGUACCAAAGAAAUGGAAAAUAGGGUAGCAACUGAACCAAAUGAGGAGAAAAAUAGAAAGUUUUUCGCUGCAGUGAGAUUCAAUGUUGCUGUAGUGAAAUUUUGGGUUUCAAAAUAGAAAGUUUCUCGUUGUAGCAAGAAUGAAUCUCGCUACGGCGAUGAUGCUACAAUACUGUCUCGCUGCAGCGAGUUUCCAGCCAGCCAACCCUUUCAAAAUGCGAGAGUUUCUCGCUGCAACAAGAAUGAAUUUUGCUGCAGCGAGAACAAAGCAACAAGAGAAAAGUUUCCCCUCACUCCACAAAAAAGGCCAUCAUGCUAAACCAACAAAAUCAACAUAAAACACAUGAAAAUUCCAAAAGUGCAAUGUAUCACAUUUCACAUAUAUGUCAAUCAUAUAUCAUAUGCAUGAGCUUUCAUUUCAUAAGUAUAGAUUUGCAUAAUUACAUAGGUAAACAUCAAUAUCAUCAUAAUCACCCUCGGCUCAUGUACAUCCCCCCACAUCGUGCACAUAGCCGGUGCCAUCGUGUGCAUCUCCCCACAUCGUGCAUAAUCAGUGCCAUCAUGUACAUCCCCCCACAUCGUGCACACAAGCACUAUCAUCAUCCAUCUCUCAUGCCACCAUCAUCAUCGGCAUGUGCAUCCCCCCACAUCGUGCACACACACGGUUAUAAUCAUUAUACACAAUAUCAAUCAUCUUGCACAACACACAUAUAUAUAUCAUCAUAAUGCAAUAAUACAUGAAUCCAUAGCAAUCACAUAUCACAACAUAAAACCAUUUAGCAAAAGCUUGUUCCCAAGGCACUUGUUAUUAUGAAAAACUUGAUAAUUCAUUCAAAUGUGUAGCAAAUACAUUAUGUUCCCCAAAACAAGUUUUGAAGGCAAUUCACUCACCGGUAUAUUAUCAAGCCUUUAGCUGACUCUAAUUCCCCUAAUGAUCCAAUUGGGGUGAUGGGGCUUUGUUAGAACCUACCAUGAAAUUAACAUUACCAUAAUGUCAAUUGAUACUUAUGAACCCUAAAAGCUAUCCGUUAGCAAGCUUUCAAUUGCCACUUUAAAUGGCUAUCUAUGUUCACUAUCUUAAUCACUAUAAAAUGAAUGAACAUCCUCAACAAUAAAACAGCUCAUAAUCCUAAUUACUAUUCAUUAUCCACAGCUAAAAACCAAGCUUAGUUCAUCACUCACCUUAGUGUUUCUUUGUAGUGGAAUUCUCUUCCAAUAGCUUCCAAACAAAUGGGGUAAUUCUCUCUUUCUCUCUCUAGAACACCUAACUAGUGAGAGAAAGUAUGGAAAUAAGAUUUAUCAAGGGUUUUGAAGUGAGAGAGUGAAAGAAUACAAGAGUUCUAAUCAAAAGGGUUCAAAGGUAUGAAAAAUAAAGCUAGAGAGAGAAAAUUAUGCAAGCUCCAUAUCAAGCUUCCAUGGAGGUUGGAAGCAAUGUGAGAUGGAAGAAGAAGAAGAAGACAAGCUGCUGGAAAUUCAAGAAGCUGCUAGAAGGAGAAGAUAUUUAUAGCCAAACUUAUCCACUCCACUCAAAUUACCAAAAUACCCCUCCACACUUUGGCUUAUUCUCCUCUAAUCUUUUAUGCAAUCUUUUUACUCCUUUAACACUAGAACAAGGUCCAUAAUGGUCUAGAAAUGUUCGGGUUCAUGAAAAACUUAAAAAUUUUGACUCGAGGUGAAAAAUGACCAUUUUACCCCUAUUGUGAACAUUAUUGUCAUUUCUAGUUUUUUUCGUGUUUUCAUCAUUACACAUCCUUUUUGCAGUCUUAUACCUAUUUAGACCUUAAAAUAUCAUAAAACGUUCUCCUGAGAGCUUAUUAGAGAAAAUGACGAAACUACCCCUGGCUUGUGUUAUUGUGUUUAUGCCUAGUUACAAGCCUAUAGAGGUUGAGGUCUCACAUUUAAUUAGGACCAACAUCAUAUAUUUCCUUCAAAAAUAUAGUAGCCAUAUAAAAGCAUGCACGUUCCAAAAAUGUGUGGCAUGUAAAAAUAGUCAUGUACAUCCACAUAUAUCCACUCAUGAUCAACAUAUAAAGCACUAAAAGCUUUCAAUUAAAUUGGGGAGCUAUGGAAAAACAAUAUCUCUCCACUGUGCAAAAGAGUACAAGUCUAAAAACUCUCAAGACUCUCGAAUAAGUAAUCAUAGAUAAUCAACCCGUGGACCUUUCUUCCACGUAAUAGCAAUCUGGGAGACCUCUUUCCACCGAAUUUUCAUAGCCAUGGCAAUCUCGAUGAUGUUGGCCAACAUCGGAGAAAUCAUGUGGUCACAACCACAUAUAUCAACUCGUGGCCUUGCCAUGUAUAACAGCCAGUGGCCUUGCCACGUAUAAUCAUAAACCGUGGCCUAGCCACGUCUACUAGCUCGUCGGUGACCCAAAAGGUUCUCUAGCUAAAGCUCACUUAUGCACAAGGGUCACACUAUCCCGAUGUGACAUUCGACCUACUCUCGAUGGUCUCAGUUUGUCAAAACCAUUUUCAAAACCAAAUUAAGGUUUCUAAGAGUUUCCCUUAAAUCAUUUGAAAACAAGGUUCGAUAACCUUUCAAAAUUUCUUUUCACUUUAAAAUGCAUGGUGUAAACAUUUGCAUACAAAAUUCGGAUUACAACUAUAAUUGCUUUGAAUCAAUUUCUUUUCUUUAUAGUUCCAUUCGUUUAUAGUCUUAAUUACUAAUUUGUUGUCGACCUUUUUAUAUGAGACAUGAGGACCAUCUAAUAUAACACUCCAAACAUCUCACUGCAUAGAUUUUAUGAACAUUUCCAUUCUUUUUUCCAAUAAGGAUAAUUAUUACCUAUAAAGAAAGGUGGCCUUUCUUUGACCAAGUAUGGUUGGCGUUACCACCAUUUUUAUCAAUUUGAGCUUCUACAAAAUUUCUUUCACCAAUUAUCCCCCGUCUUGGUAUAUUGUUCAUUUUGAAACUCAAAUUUUCAAAGAAAAGCACUUCAAGGAACUUCAAAAAGAAAGUAAUGAUGGCAACUUGGAGUGAUACUGAUGAUUCAUAAGAUGAAGAGGGAUGAAAACGCUGUAAAUCUUUAGCACUUGAUGACUACAAGGUAUAUUAUUCAUUUUCUCAAAGGUGGUUAGACCUACAAAAUUUGACACCAAUUGUUAGUGUAGAAGUUUCAAAAUGAACAAUAUACCAAGACGAGGGAGAAUUGGUAUAUUAAAAUUUCUUUGAAAAUUUAAGUAUAAAUAUCACGACUUUUUCACUCAAAAAUAUUUAAUAGCAUCAAAAAGAGUUUUCCAACAAAUCACUUAAACAGAAAAACAAUAUAUCAAGAUAAAAUAUUUUUGCCAAGUUAAAUGCUAGCUAUGAAAAGUAAAGAGAAAUAUAUUUUUCUAACUGUAAAACAAUAAAUCAACAUAAAACUAUUUUCCUAAGGCAAAUAUAAGCAACAACUAAUAAUGCGAAAAAAUUAAAGAGAAACACAAGAAAUUUAUAGUGGUUAGGCUUUUUUGAUGCAUGUAUCCACUCCCUUGGCAACUAAGGAAUUUCGAUACACUAUCGACGAUUCUUACUUUUUAACGGGACAAAGCAAUACCCCUCACACAAUCUAUACAGGGAUUCUUUCCUUUUAUCGAGAUUAAGUGAUAACCUUUAUAACGAAUUUUUCACGGGAUCAAGCAAUAACCCUUACAUAAUCCACAAAGGGAUUAUUGCUUUUUAACGAGAUGAAGUAGUAACUCACCAACAAUGGUUUCUAAAGGCUUAAGCACAAACCAUCACAAAUAGCUUUUCAAGGUUAAGCUAGAACCUUUAUAAUGAAAUACAAAUUUCAACAAGAAAAUGCCUUUAAAAAGUAGGGUGCUAAGACUUUAAGCUUGUUUGAAGCUUUGGUUUAGGUAUUCUCAUCCUUCAAAAUGGCUCAAAUGCAGCUUUUUAUAGCUGAGCCAUCAUUUGGAGCUGUUAGACAUAAGUCUGAAUCAAAUAUGAUCAUUGAUGAAUCAAAUAUGAUCAUUGUUGAAUCUUGAGGGUCGACUACAAUAGUUUUAAGGUUAACUAUGUUCUUGACAUUCAUCAAAUUAGGCUUCCAUAGUCGAGUAUAAUCUUUCUCUAGUUGAUCUAUCUCCCUAGAACGUGUUUCUUGCAAGUUUGAGCUGUUAUACUUGUUACAGUCUUUACACAUGCAAGCCCAUGUGUCACACGAGUAAUAUGGAGGUAAGUAAGUAUCAUAUCCCACAAGAAAUUGUAUCUAAAAAUUUACUAAAUACUAAAAUUAAUGCACCCUAAUUUUAUCCAAGUAAACCAAAAUUUUGAAAUUUAAUUAAAGAUAAAAUCUACUUAACAACAUUACUCUACGAAAUGGAAACUAAAUUAAUAGAAAAGUAAUGGACUAAGAGUCUAGGAUUAUGGUUUCAUUCAACAUUUCAUGUGUAAUAAUGUUUCUCUUAAUACAUAAAUCAAUGGGUGGUGAUGCUACUCUAGAAUCCACAUUAUGUACAAGUUUCCAUCUAGAUAUUGCACAAUUUCCUAACCUAAUUGGUUCUAUAUAUGUCUAUAGUAAUCAAUUACGAUAAGUUCUUUAAACAUGUAUUCUAAUUUUACUACAAGUGGCAUUUAGGCGUAUGUCUACCCUAAUUGCUAAUCAAUUCAGUCAAUUUCUAUGUGAAAUGAACACACACUAUCAAACCAUGCUCUAAUAUAAACUAACUUCAUCAAGUCUCAUUUAGAUACCCACAUGCAUUCAAUUGUUGAUCAGCAAAUCAAAGGCAAUAAGCUCAUAUUUGAAUAAACAUCACAAUACCAAUUAAUAUUCAAUAAAGGAGGAACAUAAUAUCCACACUACAUGUUGAAAUCUACCACAAUCCUAAAAAAAUCAAUUUAACUCAUAAUAUCUUCAGCAAACAGCAACAUCCCAAGAAAAUAAAUCAUUUUUACAACAAAAGCAAAAGCGAGAAAGCCAAAUUUACAGAGAGAAACAGUUUCAGCUUUUCAAAAGCUCAUUUUCCUUAAUUUCUCCUCAUUUCCUUUUUUUGUAAAAAGCUUUUUUUUCUCUAAAAUGUUGCUCUAUCUAGCCCCCUUUUUUCCAACUAAAAAAGUGCCAUUUAUACCCCUCUUUAGAAGCCCUUAAGUUAAAAAUUUAGAAGUGCAGAAAAUUUAGAAACACAUGCUGGCACUACUAGAAUUUGAAUAAAGGCUAGAGAAUUAGGGAGUCGUGGCACUGGUGGGGUGGCACCAUGGUGUCCUGGUCUCUAUUUUGAUGUGUGAUGUAUUCCAAUCCCAUAGCCACAACCACUCAAGGCCACGGCACCAACUCUUCUUGUGUUUUCCCUACUGCAAUUUAGUCACUUCCAAUAAUAUUUUGACCACGACUUAAUCAAAACUGGGUAAAGUGAUAAAUAUAAAAGUAAUAGCCCUUCCUCUUAGAUUUCCAAUGGUUUAAGAAUCACAUGAUUAAACAUCUUUAUCACAAGUUAUGCUUGAGAUACCAUAGUAUGUUUGAUUAGAGUUUGCACUUAUUCAUCCUUGCAUAGUUCAUCAUUCAUUAACCUUUAUGAACUUGACAACCUUAAAAAGCAAAAGCUCAAUCAAUGACAGCACAAAUUAGGACUUUAAACAUGAAAUUGAUCUAAAAUUACUUGAAAUAAAAAUGAGUCAACAUGUAUUAAAAUUCUUAAUGAAAGACAUGAAAAGUACUUAAAAAUCAAUUCAAAAACACAAAGACUUAGCUAUUUUUAUGCCCAAAAUUGUGUAAGAUAACUCUCUAUAAUAGAGUUAUCACACCCCUCAACUUAAUAUGUUGCUAGUCCUUGAGCAAAACCUUAAAAUGAAAUAAACAUAAAGGAUGAAAACAUCUCUUACAAGUCAGUUGCACCAAAUCCGACAUCAUGUUUAAUUUCCUCAUAAGUUAUCUUAUUUUCUUAACUCAAUGCAAAGUAUAAAUACUAUUCAAAUUCACAUUUCAACUCAAUUGCAACCUUCCUUUGAAAUGGAUUCCUGUGUGUGUGUAGUCUCUUAUAAUGAACAUCAUGUCAUUCAGAUAGGUUUAUGCUUAAGCAAAAUUCAAAUUUAGUCUAAAGUUUCAUAAGUUUGCUUUUCAUCUCUCUUUCCACUAAUGUAGACUGGCACAUAAUCAAGGAUCCCUAGGACUUUAUUCAGCUUGUAAUAUAUGGCUAAGGUCAAGGUGGGAUAUGGGAUAAUAUGUAUCUCGAAUUACUCAAAGCACAUAAUCAUUCCAAGACCUAUAAAGAGCUUUAUUUUUCACUUCUCCUAUUCACACCUCUUUUAUUCUUUUAUUGACCCUUUUUCAUUCAUCACACACGUUAUUCUAUUUUUGAUUUCAAUCUUUUUUUAUUCACAAUUUAUCACCCCUAAACUUGUUUCUUUUUGUAGUAGGUAGUGGGGUGAAUGCUAACACAACUUCUCAAAUUUUUUUCACAAGCUUCACCUUUUCUACCUUUUUGAUCACUUAGCUUAAUACACUCCCUAAAUUGAUCUAUAUACUUAGGAGUGAUGUGUGUUAAAGUGGAGAUUUAUUUACAAGCUACGGUUAUUUAAUUAUUUGUUUAACAAAGAAAACAAAAAAAUUAGGCUCAAAAGAGGUAAACUAUGGAUAAAAUAUAGCAAGGUGGGCUCAAAAGGCUCAAAUGAUCCAAAGGUGGCCUAAUUCAUUUCUUUAAUUAGCUGUAGCCUAGGAUUUCACCUCGAGAGAAACUCAAACAAAUUCUAAAACUGAAGACUUUAUUCAAAAAUUUACACUCACAUAUACUUAUUUUAAUUGAUAAUCAUAUGAGGCAUCCAAAAUUAGUGUGCAACUAAUUUCGAGUUCAUUUUUAAUUUUAUGCAUGGAAACAUUUUUUCAUAUGUGAAAAGUCUUUACUAAUCAGCAUUAAUAAUAUUAUCCAUUUUUAAUCUUAUUAGACUAUAAUUAAAUAUUAUUACAAACUAAAACAUUUUUUAAUUCAUAAUCCUUAAAUAUUACUUUUACUAAUCCUUUUAAAUUAAAGAUGAUGUGUCUUCAAUUAUCUAAUCUCAUUAGAUAAUUUGAAUAUAAUAUUUAACAUAACAUCAUCUUUAAUUAUAUUUAAACGUCCUAUUCAAAUUUCCCUCUUGAAAAGAAGGAAAUUAAUUCAAGAUAUUUAUCUUGUCCAUAUUUAUUACACUUUCAUAUUUGUAGGAAUCAAAUUCCUAAAUUUAUAGAUCUAAUUAAUUGAAUUCUAAUAUCCUUACUUUAAGGAAUCAAACUCCCUAAUUUCAAUAUGUCAAAAUUUAUCUUUCUAGAACUUUUUCCAUAAGAUAUUGUUUAGCCAAUUAGUGUUUUUAAUUGCACCAAUUUAGGUUCCAAAAAUGGGCAUUAAAAUCCCAAAAACCAUGAUUUGACAAAAGUUUGGCAGCACUGUACCAGUCAUGUUUUUGUGGCUUAAUGCGACACCAAAUCAAGGAAUUUAAUUCCCAAAUUUAAUCAUGGUCACCUAACAUAUUGAACCUUUCCAUUUUAAAAUUUUAUAAUUUUUGAACUUGAUUUAGCUGGUCAAAACCCCAAAAAAUCAUAGCCUAUGUCUUCUAAACAUAGCUACAGUUUUUAGAUUGCAUAUGCAGCAUUAUGAUGGCAUAAAUCAAGAGUUUAAAUCCCUUAAUUUUAGUAAUCUUUCCAGGAAUUUUUUGAACAUAUUCAAACUUCAAAAUUUAUCCAAAGAGGUAUAACAAUUGCACAACUUUAGGACUCUUUGAAGAUGCCUUUCUCAACCAAAACCAUGACCUGAAACUAUGACUGGCAAUAGUGCUUUUGACCAUGAUUUCAUGGCUUUACUGCAUCGUUUGCAGCUGAUAAGCAAUCAUAUUGAAACACUUCCAAUGUAGACUACUUUCAAAUCUUUCUAGCAUUUUUAGAGGCUAUUAAACCCCCAUUAAAAAUUGAAAAUCGAACCAUAUAAAAAUUCGGACAGAAACUAAUUCUGUCACCAAACCGCAUCUUGUUUCCCAUGAAUUCGAACCCUUUUCUUUCCUCACUCCUUUGUGCAUUUCAUGCACAUAUUAUUCUUGCCAAAAAUUAAACACUGAAACCAUAUUAGAAAUCCAAUAAGAAUAUAAAUUAAAAUCGAAUCUAUCUAUAAACAUUCUUUAAAACAAAAACGAUAUUUAAAACUUACUCUAUCAUUGUCGAAUGCCUCGUACCUAAUCACAAUUGAUAUUAAGCAACAACAAGAAAUUAAUUCACAUUUAAAACAAGCCAAGGGAGACUCCGAUACCACUGUUAGAUACGACAUGAUUAUAUUGAAAAAUGUAGCUAAAUAGAAAAAUAAAAUAUUUCACCUACCUCAAAUCACCUUGUUCUGUUUAAUGCGAACAGAGCAUUAUGAGAAAUGCAAUCAGAAUUAAUUACCUUGUCAAAAAUAUUAUAUUCAAUUGGUAUCCUCUUGAUGUUUAAAACCCAUGUACACCCUAAAUUGUGUAAGAACCCGAGGCACUCAAUCGCUUGGCCUCUAAUGUUGCACACAUAGCCACUAAGGAAUCUUUAGCGAGAUGGGAACUUCCAACCAUGCAUUUGUGCCAGCAAAAUGGACAACAAAUUAUCCUUCUCUUCCUCUCUUAGUCUUCAACGAAAUCACAAAAAAAACUCUUCCAAAAGAGUCUUACAAAGGAUGGCGGCACUAAAGAGAGUUGUAUUAGGUUUCUAUAAAACUAAAACUAAUAAUUAAAAGUAGUUAACAAGAUGACUUUAUAACUAGGUUAAUUAACAAUAUUAUAACCUCUUAUAAUAUUAACUUUAGCACUUAAUUAAACCAUUUUAAUUUAGUCCUUAUUAGUUAAUUAACCUAGUUUAAGAUUUAAGUGCAACUUAAUGACCACAUUCCUCCGAUAAAGGCAAGGAAAUUGCAUCCGAGGACCAGUAGUCACAGUACUUCCAAAAUUUGCACUCUAGACAUUGUGAGUAAACUUACUGUCAUUUUAAUUAUCUAGGGUGGCUUUUAGAUGAUUUCAUGAAUUCUAUGGAAAAAUGGAUUUAAAAAGGUAAAUUUUCAUGUUUUAUAAAUAAAUGUGUUUCAAUGAAAUUAAUUUACAAAUUGUUUUGAAAUUAAUAAUGAUUUUAAAAAAUAAAGUACACGGAGACUGCUAUUUGUUGCAAUUUGAUUGCUUAAAUUGAUUGGCUUAUGAUAAAUCGGGCAUGAUUAGCUAGUUGGCAAUUGAAUUGAAAUACGGAUUGUUUGUUUGCCUUGAAAGUCUGUGAAUUACAAUAUCAUGUUAUUGAAUUUUAUUGAUUGGUGGGAUAAUUAUUAACUUACUACAGUAGGCGGGUUUCAUGGACCAGCCUAUGAGAAGGGCACGGUAACCCCGUUUAUAUGUGCUCACCUUGGUUGUAGAGGCGCAUAAGGUAGCUUCUGAGGUGAUAUUUGAGUUCACUUCACACCAAACCUAUCACAACCCGAAACCUCCCUCGGGCACAUGACAACCGUCGUGACGUCCCGAUUGACACUCAUUGCUCGAAAUGCCAAUCGGAACCCCGCAAGGCUUACAUAUCAGUUUCUUGCCUUUUCUGUGAGCAAUCGUUUUUAAAUAUUCCGUUUUAAACAAUUACCAGUCGUUUCUGGCUCAAGUAAAUCAAAAGACAAAAAUAUAGCAUUUUUAUAUAAAACAAUAUUUAUAGAAACACGUGUAAGUAAAAUAAAUUCAUACAUACAAUAAUUUACAAAGUUAUAAUGUACAAUAAUAAUUACAAUGACAAGUGGCCCAUGAAUACACCAAGUACUGGUGAUAGUAACCUAUUGUCUGUGAGGUAGAGAUGUCAACUAGAAUCCUCUACAAAAUAGGGUAUCUACAAGCUGCCACAGACCUGAAAUGUUUAGAAAUGAGGUGGGUGAGAUUUUGCAAUCCUAAUGAGUAAACAGACAUUAUCAUAAAUAUCUAAAGAUGAGUAACAUGAAGGCAAGUUUAAACACAAAUUACAAACCAUUUCAUAAGGUUUUCAAUUUAUUCCUUAAACCCUAAAAUAUUUGUAAUUUACCAAAAUAGUUGUUAAGGCUUAUGACUUUUAUUAAAACAAGGCUCAAGCCAAAAUUAAUCCUCAGGGAUACCUUGGCCAAGGCAUCUAACCGAAUCCGCCAAGGUAGUUAUGAUAUUUACAUAUGAAACACAUUUUUAUUUUUAAAACAAGCCGUUCAUUGGCAUUGGUAGAGUUACAUAUUCACGUGGGGGUUCGACGUGAAGUGAGCUCUAAUACUACCCCGGGAGUUACCCUCCUCGCCUCUGCAACUGGAGUAACUAUGUAACCGGAUUUACCAUGCCCCUCUAAUAGGCAGUCCACGGAAACCCGUCACUACAGUGACUAAACCCACCAAUUUUAAUAAAAUUUCGACAAUAUAACGUGGCAUUUAUUUAUUUACCCAGCCUGCAUAGUAAAAGACAACUUACAUAAAUUCCCAAUGCAAUUAUAACAUAUAGCCACAUAUACUCAUAUAUCAUAAGCCAUUCAUAGGAAAAUAUAUAUUUCAAAAUAAUUGGCAACCUUCAAUUACUCAAUUUCAUAAUCAACAUAAUAUAUUUUUAUUUGUCACAUUUAUUUCUAAAACAUCAAAAAUCCCGUUUUAAUCUCGUUUUCAUUUCAUAAAAUACAUAAAGAGCAUUUAAAAAUAAACUCUAGAUAAUUUACAAUAAUAAUAGGUUUACUCACCGUUUGUACAAAUUAACUGAUUUUUUUAGGUGCCCCGAUCACUGUUCGUAGGGUACGACUUCCUUGCCUUUACCGGAAGACUCUCCUCCUAGACACAUUGCAAAAUUUACCCAAUUCACCACAUUGAUAUUAAAUCUCUAUAUAAUUGACUUAAAUCCUAUACUAAUGCAUGGUAUGAAAUGCAAUAGCUUAAAACGGCUUAAACGUGAUAUUAACCUAUUUUUGGCACUUUACCCGUUAAAUUGCUAACGCGCUCCAUUUUAGCUCUAAAUUGUCCCAUUUUCUCCACAACGUUUCUAACCAUUAAAUAUCAGCCAAUAACCUUCUAAAAUCACCAAAAUCAGCUCACUUUCCUCCUUGGAAAAUUCGGUCAAAAAUGGGACAUUUACUCGGUUAAUUUUCCACUUUGUUUUUCUAUCACAUUUAACCAUUUUUCAUCAUUUUCUCUUCAUUUCUCUUAGAAUAAAAAUCAGUUCAUCAUCAUUGUACAUCAAUGCAUAUUCAGCCAAGGGUGGGUAUUGUGAAAAUUUCAUGCUUUCUUGCCCAAUUUAAUUUCUAUACACAUUUAACUAACUAAAACUACCAAUUUAACUAAAAAUCAAAACCUAAAAAUUCCAAAAUCUCUCCCCUAGAAUUUCGGCCAGCCCUUGGUUUCACUUUUUGAUCUCUCUCCUCAAGCAUUCUUAAUGGAAAUAAAGGCAUAGGAAAGGUAGAAAUCAAGCUAAAAUCGAAAAAUCUUACCGUUAGAGGCGUAAACGGACGAAAAACGCGAUUUUCCCUUUGAAUUUUCUAGUUUUCCUUUGUUUUUCUCUUUUCUUCCUUUCCUCUCUAUUUUCUCUCUUGUUCUUUCCUUAUGGCCGGCCAGCACUUAAUAUGGGGUUUAAAUGGGCUAACUUUUCAUUAAAACAAUAUUAAAUCAUUAAAAAGUGUCAUGUGUCACUUUCCCAUUGGCCCAUUUUUAAAAUUUCAUCCAUUUGUUUCCAAAUUUUCACCAUACACUUGUCCCACAUAUCCAUAGCUUAAAUACAAUUCUCAGACUUAUCCAAAGUCUUGGUGGAGUAAUUUUUGAAAUUUACACUUUUGCCCCCAUAAAAGUGAAAAAUUACAUUUUUACCCCAAAAACUCAAAAAUUACCCAUAGACAUAUUUUUCAUCCCUUAUACUCAUACCAUUCUCCAAUUUGUCAAAUUUGAUCUAAAUUCUCUCAAAAUCUCAAAUUUUGUCUGCGAGUGGUAAAAUUACGAUUUUACCCCUGAACAUCAAAAUUUCCAAUUUUACCCCAAAUGAACCCUCGAACUCCGAACAAUCAUUUUUAGUCAUUCAUGGACUAUAAAAUAUUAAAUUUCAUCAUACGAUUCCUAUUUGAACUAGUUCGAGGUUAAAUCAACUCAAGUGUACCGUUAGGUACAAUACCGAGUUUCGUCUAUUCUUAGGACUUUCCUAGCAUAAUAACAUGCUACUCAGUGCAUGUAUGUCAUGACAUGUGUUUAUAGGGUCGAGUUUUACAGAACCACCACGUGAUGGUGAACUCAGCCAACGCUAAGGAAGGACUGUGAUGUCCAACGAAAAAUGUGUUUUAUGCGAAAUGUGAAUUUUUAACAACCUUGGCGGUCUUGGUAGGAUGCCUCGGCCAAGGUGUCUUCGAGGAUGGAUUUAUGGCACAAGCCUAGUUUUUAUGAGAUUCAUAAGCCUCGUUACGUAUUUUGAAUGAAAUGUGUUCUAAUGCUAUGACCUAGUUUACGAUGAUUUACUUUAUCAUCUCCAUGUACUCAACUCUAGAUGUUUAUGAUGAUGUCUGUUUACUCAUUGGGAUUUUAUAAUCUCACCACCCUCCUUUUCACCCAUUUCAGGCUCAGUAUAGGCUGUAGAUAGCUGAUAUCGUCAAAGGCUACAAUUGGCUUUACUUCCUCAACAACUAUAGGUUUACAGCCUUCGUUCAUUUUUGUCAUUUGGGGGUCCACAUGUCACUGUAAAUUAAACUUCAUACUCUAGUUAUCUGUACUACUGUAUGUAGGAAUUUAUUUUGCUUUUACGCUGUAAAAAUUAUUUACGUAGUGUUUUGAAAAUAUAUUAUUUUAUAAGAAAAUAGAAUAUUUUUUUUAAUAUUUUUAUUUUAUUCUAACAAUCAUAAUUUCACUUUAAACGAAUGUUUUAGACAUCCAAAUUUAUUUUUGAUUAUGAAAUAUGUGUUUUGCACCUUAUACUACAUUAUUAGCUAGUCUCAAAAUUUUCAAAGAAAAAUGACUAAAAUACCCCUGUGAGACAUAAAUUAUUUUUUUAUUAUUUUAAGUUGGAAAUAGUUUAAAAUGUUUUAGAAUGUGAUAUUUGGCAACGGUUACUCACAAUGAAAAUGAGAAACUGAUAUUAAAGCCUUGUGGGAUUUCGGUUAGCAUUUCGAGUAAUGAGUGUCUAUCGGGACACCGCGGCAAUUGUCACGGGCUCGAGGGGAGUACCGAGUCAUGACAAAAGGAGUAAAAAGAUUGCAUAAAGGGUUGGAGGAGAACAAGCUAAAUUGUUGAGGGGCAUUUUCAUAAUUUGAGUGAAGUGGAUAAGCUUGAGCUAUAAAUAUUUCUUUCUUCCAACAACUUCUUCUCCCAUUUUCCAGCAGCUUCUUCUUCUUCUUCCUUCUUCUCUUUCACGUUGCUUCCAACCUCCAUGAAAGCUUGAUAUAAACCUCCAUAAUCUCCCUCAAAAUAGCUCCACUUUUCAUUAUUUUAGUGAACCCUUUCAUAAACCCUUGUGCUCUUCCACUUUCUCACUUUAAAACCCUUGAAAAAAAUUCUAAUUUCCAUACUCUCUCUCACUAGUUAAGUGUUUUAGAGAGAGAAAGAGGAAGCUUCAAUAAUAGCUUGAAAGUUUUGGAAAGAAUUUCAAAUACAAGCUACCAAGGUGAGUAGUACACUAGAAUUGAGUUUUAGUGUUGAAAAUGAUUAGUGUUUAGACUUGGGGAUGAUUUGGUAGUUGGGGUUGUUCAUUCACAUUAGAGUGAUUAAGAUAGUGAACUUAGAUAGCCACUUAAAUGGUAAUUUGAAAGCUAGCUAAGAGAAAGCUUUUAGAAUUUAUAAGUAUAUGGCUUGAAUUAAUGGUGAUGCCAAUGUGAUAAUAGGUUCCAACAAAGCCCCAUCGCCCCAUUUGGACAAUUAGAGAAGUAGAGUCGACUAAAGGUUCAACAAGAUACCGGUGAGUGAACUUGCAUUUCAAAACUAUUUUGGGAAUGUAAAUGUAUUUGCACAAUGCCUUUGAAUGAGUUUAUUCAAAUUUUCUUAAAAAUGGGUACCUUGGGAACAAGCUUUUGGUUAUUGUCUUUAUAUAUGACAUGUGGCUGUUAUGGAUUCUUAUUCUAUGUCAUUGUGUUGAUAUACAUAUAUGUUGUGCAUUGAUGGCUGACAUUGUGUGAUAAUGAUAACCAUGCGUGUGCAAGAUGUGGGGGCAUGCACAUGCCGGUGAUGAUGGUGGUGAGGGUGUUGGAUGAUGAAAGUGCCCGUGUGAACAAUGUGGGGGGAUGCACACAAUGGCACUAAUUGUGCACAAUGUGGGGGGAUGCACAUGAUGACUCCGGCUAUGUGCACGAUGUGAGGGGAUGCACAUGAGCUAGAUGAGAUGAUAGUGGUAUUGGUACUUAUCCAUGUAUGUAUACGUAUAUAUGUUUAGAGAAAAAAAGUCAUGAAUAUGGUUUAUGGUUGAAAUGCAUAUGAAUUUGGCAUGUUGAACUUUGGAAAUUUUAUGUGUUUCAUGUUGAUUUUGUCAUUUCAGCAAGAUGGCCUUUUUCUUGAAAAAACGAAAAUAUUUCUUUAGUGCUCUGUUUCUCGUUGCAGCAAGAAACUCUUGAGUUUGAAGGGGUAAUGCUGGUCGAAAUCUCGCUGCAGCGAGAAAGUUACUAUAGCUUCUCAUUGCAGCGAGAUUCAUUCUCGCUAGAGUGAGAAACUUUCUGUUUUAUGGCAUAAAUUUUGCUGCAGCGAGAUUCAUUCUCGCUACAGCAAAAAACUUUCUGUUUUGUUUCUUAUUUUGUUCGGUUGUUGACUAUUUUCCACUUCUUUGGUACCAUAGUUGAGUAUGGACUUCUAACAUUAAGGAAUUAAUUAGUUAAGUUUGAAAUGAGGAGGUUUGGUGAGAAACUCUCUUCCAGUUGAGAAACCCUUGUAUGGCUAAUAACUUGAAUCCUUGCUUCCCUGCAGCAGAAAGUACACUGCAACCAGAAUACCUUUCCGCUGCAGCGAGAAUGCCUUUUCGCUGUAGCGAGGACCGAUUGCUUAUUUGACUUGAUUUGCAUGAAUGCUAUUAAAGUUUUCACUCUCUAAAUCCUUUGUUGAGCAUGGACCCUUUUCAUAAGUGAUUUACUCAUGAGGGGUUUACAUGAGGGGUUUUAAUAAGAAUUAAAACAAAUUGCAUUGUUUUGAAAAAUGAAUGCAUCAUGAUUUUGUUAAACAUUCCUUAUUGUUUGCUUGUUCCCUUCUUGUUCACUCACUAGGUUUAUACUCACCAUUUUCAACUUCAUGUUUUCUGAUCAAGAGGCAGUCGGUAACUAGGUUGAGGUUUACUCGUAGACUUGUAUCCAUCUUUUGGUAGGUAUCAAUGGCAUUCAGUAGCUGCACCUUAGCUAUAGUUGCUCUACUAGAAGUCUAUAGUCCUUUUUGUUUAACACACGUGCCCUGAUGUAAAUUGUUAAGACGUGUAUUGUCUUAAGCAAUAAAUGUUUAUAUUAUUUAAUGUUGCCACUAUGUAAUGGCACGGAUGAUAUUAUUUUGAAUCAUACAAAUAUGAAUAUAUGGUAUCGAUAGAAAAGUUUUAACAUAUUCGUUAGUAAGAAUUACGAAAUACAGUGGCAAGAAUGAAUGAUGAAAUCGAUGAAUGGAGUCACAUAGAUAGGCUUGCUUGAGCUUAGUGGGCUAUGUCCAUUGGGCCCAUGCGUCGAUCAUGGCCCGAAAAUUGGGUCAUGACAAAAGAGAAGAAAAAAAAAGUACAACUAUGACUUUUUACAAAUCUAGAAAUGUUACAACUAAGCUCAAACAUUUUUUCUAGAUUUAAAAUGAAAAGCAAGUGUUUUUAGAGAAGGAUAUUUGGCUUUUUGCUCAAAAUGGCUCUUCUUUCUUCAAAUCUACUUUCUUUGAUUGUUGGAGCUUCCUUUUAUACUUAGGAAGUCAGAUUUUUCUAUUGGAGACAGUUAUUAGCAGUUGAAGACAACUCUGAUGAUAUUCUAACAGUUAUUUUGUCCUCUAGUACUUAAAUUCAAAUGGGUUCACAAAGUUCGACUAACUAGUUACAAGUAGCUUUAACUGAUUACAACUUCUCUGCCUUGCACUGUCUUGUUAUUGUGUUAUCUGCUCUAACCGAUUACAAGAGGCUUUAAUCAAUUGCAACUUCUUUGUCUUUCACUAUCUUGCUACUGUGUUUUCUACUCUAACCAAUUACAAGAGGCUCUAACCGAUUAAGAGAUCUCUAUCUUCAAGCCUUUCUACUUUAGAAGACUUUAUCUAACUAUUUAACAGUCCUCUUAACUGAUUGGAGCUUCACCUCCUUUAGCCUUAACUUAUUAACACAAGCUCUAAUCAAUUAAAAAUUCUUCGAAUUUGUAAUUCUUCAUUUUGGCUUCAUUUAAUCGUCAACUUUACUUUGAAAUUGAAUUUUGGCGCUUAGAGGAUCUUCAAGUGUCGUGCUCUAACUGAUUAACCUCAUGCCUUAAUUGAUUAGCGCACCUUCAUUUUCCUUUGUCCAGCACCUCCCUAUUCAGUUAAGCCUAAUGUUAACUUAUUAACAUUUUUCUAUUUUGUUUUAACUGAUAACCUACUCAUUCCUUAACUAAUUAAGGCUUUUUAAUAAUCAGUUACUAAUGUCGUGUCUUCACAAACUCUUUCCAUUUUUCUCACUUUAACUUAUUAAACUAUCUAUUGCAUGAUCUUGCUUUCAAUUAUUCAUUUUAUUGAGGAAAGAUAUCCUGCACACUUAAUUAAUGAAGUUAAACAUUAAUGAAUAAGAAAUGUUUUGUUAUUAUCAAAAACAUAUGAGUCAACACACAACCCUUGUUUACCACCAUUCCUACAUGCACACACACAUAGUCAUAGGGUAAUAGAACCCACUCAACCUCAAGUCAAAUCAACAUUCAGAAUUCCCUCAUCGAACAACACACAACUUCACAAUGAGACCAUCAUGUCCCUAUCUUUCCAUAUGUCCACAAAAUAGCAACAAUCACAUUUAUCGAGCUUCAUUUGUCAAUAAGCUCUUUAAAGUUCUGAGUGCCUCAAUAAUCAUGGGUCACUGGCUACAUAUACAUCAACAGUCUCAUUUUAUUUUAAUCAUGUCCUAAUAGCUGCAUAUACAUGAAUACUAUCACAAUAGAUUAUGCAUCAAUAUUUCGUCAACAAAUGGGCAAUCUAAUCUCACCUCGUGGUAUCACCAUCACAUUGAUUUAGUCACAGCAUAUCUAGUAGCCAUUAAAAUCAUACAUCACCUAAAUGUCUAAUAGCUCAUGCUUCCCAAUGGCAUUCACAAGCAAACUCAUAUACUAACAUGUACAUUAACAAUAUUCUAGCCUAAGCACACCCAUCUAGGCAACCACAUUUACAUAUAUACAUACAUAGUUCUUUAGCCUAGGCAUGUUCAACUAGGCCUACAUUCAUAAUAUAGUACCAGUGCAGUGCAUUUUUUUAUGGAGUAGGAUCUAAGUGGAUUGAUGUGAUUGUGUAAAGCACGGAUUUCAAAAAAAUUUCUUUUAUAAAGGAAGCAAGCAAUCGAAUUACACAAGCUAAAAAACACAUCAUUCUCAUUGCAAGUAACAUAAUCACAUCAUAAAAAAAUAAAAAUCUAUUAAGUAAGAUAAAAUGUACCUUUUAUUUGAGAUUUUUAUUUACAGAUACCACCACACCAACGAUUAAUUUCUCGACCAAACAAGUUUACCAUUUAUUUGUCAAUAAUGCUUUCUACUUGAACCUUGAGUGGACUAGGUGUGCAAUGCUAGAAUACAAGAUAGCAACUGAUUUUGUCUCUCUUUUCUUCCUAAAAAUUAAUGGCUAUUUUUUUAAAAUAAAUUUAGCCGAGAAUGAGAGAGAGGAAAAGAGGUACGACAAAGUUAGGAGGUGAAGGAGGAGAGAAGUGAUGGCUGAAACUGUUUCAAGAAAGAUAUGUACGUAUUUUUUUCUCCCAAUCUAUUCUCCUUUUAUUAAAACUCUUGCCUCAAAGGUUUAAUCAAAAUCAAAUACUUUUAAAUCACUUUUGAUCAUCCAUUCAGAGUUAUGGGUGCAUCAAACAUGCUCCAUAAUUAUCAAUAUUAAAAUUAAAGAAUAAGUAAUUUAAAUUAUUUAAUUAUCAUUUAGAGUUUUUGAUAAAAUAAAACUCCUUGUUGAAUAAUAACUCUUAUUUUAUUAUUACCCAUCUUUAUUUACAAAGAAUUAACAAUAAAUAAAAAGUAAUAGUCAAACAUGGAGUCUCCUUUCAUCAACAUGGAUGUCUAAAUUAAGAUAAAACAUGUUUUCUUGUCUAAAUUAAGACAAGUAUGUUUUCAUGUCUAAAUUAUGACAAAACAUGUUAAAGCUGUUAUUUUUUUACAUAAUUUAAUUAAUCAAAUAAAACAUGCAUUCCAACUUAAACAAGUUGAAUUCUACGAAGCUAAGUGGGGAAUCUAUUUGGACAUAGAUAUUGCGAGCUCCAAUAAACUAAGAAUUAGUCUUAAUCUCAUUAAGAUAAUUCAAGCUUAUUAACCAUGAAAUCACUCCAUCAUAGAUUCAUGGUUGCACUCUUGGAUUAACUAUAAUUAUAGGAAAUGAUUCAAUACUUGACAUUAAUUAUUAGUUGUCCAAUUGCAAAUCCUAUAUUGUAAACCCUCAUAACCAUCCAAUGACAAAAGGUGAAAUUACACUUUUACCCUUUAUGUUAAUUUUGUCCCUUAGUCUAAAAUUUCAUCCAAUUAGUGAUUCAAUACUCUAGAUCUAACCUUUUGAGAAUCCAUAUGUGAUGAGUAGUUAAUUCAUCAAUCCACUAGUCCUAGAUUAAUCACCAAUCUUCCUGAAAUCACUAAGAAUGAUGUUAAUGCUAUGAACUCCAUCAUUUUGAUAUAUAUUCCCAGAUGUUCAUCUCAAUUAUAAUCUCAACAUACAAAGUCUAGAUCAACACUUUAUGAUGAUCUUGCUCAUGGUAUAUCAAAGAUUACAAGGAGAUUAAACACAAGUCCACUAUCCAUCAAGAUUUCGAUUCUACUAUAAGCAAAUGCAUAAAUGUGAGAUCAAGAUUUAAGUAACGGUUAAACUUAAAUUUGAUUCUCACAUGAUUCCAGUGCAUGUUAUAGUGUUUUAAGGGUUGUUGUCACUAUGUUGGGUUUAACAAGUUCUUAGUAUAAAGUUUCAAAAAUUCAAGCGUACUCAAGACUUGCACAAUCCAUUAACUUAAAUGAACUUGGCAAUAGGGUAGUUUAAGAAAGUAGUAAGAUAGCUUCCCCAUCUUGUGUGAGGGGGAGAUGUUGGAUUGUCGAGAUUACAACCAUGAUGGUCUAGCCUAUUUCACUAAGUCUUCCAAAGGGUAUAGAGUUAACCUCUUUAUCCUUGCUAUUUAAUUUUAAAUUACCAAGGAUUAUCUUAUAAUUAAGUUAUCACGAUUAUCAAGUUACCAAAUAAUUUAAUAAAAAGGGUUUUAUAAAUAGGCUUGAAAUCUUUAACCAAAGCACAUUUGUUAACCAAAAAACAUUAACAUCAAAACAUAAAAAAAUAACUUGCCACUCCUCAAAGAAAACCGUCUCUCGAUUCAUUACCAAGUUGGGAUUUUCACAAUGUGAAAUGUGUGGUCACUACUUGUUUUUCAAGCAAUUUUGCGUUACGAGUUUUUUAGAGAUCAAUAGGUUUGUAAAACAUCUACAAUCAAAAUCUUGGGGACACUUUACAUUAGUCUUGAAAAAGUAAAGGUUUGGCACAAGUUUGAUCAAAAAGAUUAUUUCAAAAAAAAAUUUUUAUAAUAGGAUUUUUACUUGAAAUCUUAACAAUCACACUCACAUUAGAUGUGAAGGAAUUAUGUUCUAAUACAAAUUUGAAUGUUGGAUGAGUUUUCCAACUAUUUUAACAUGAAUUUCUUUCCACGAUUGUGUUGGUUUGAUGUGAGCUUGAUGGAUGAAAGUAUGGUUAAAAAAAAAGAAACCAAAGAAAGACAUUUUUGCAAACUUAAGCAUGAAGAGUCGAUCUUUAGCUAAGGAUUAAUCCCUAGAAUUGUAUGGAUUCAAGUUAGCUACUAGAAAUGCUUAAGAUUGACCCCUACGGAAGGGAGGGUCAAUCCCCAUUUCACAGAGCACUUGGAUUAGCUACUUGAAUUGGCUAAGAUCGACCUUUAAGCAAGGAAGGGUCAAUCUCAACAUAACAAACACUUGAACUAGCUUCUAAAAUUGGCUACGAUCGAUCCCUAAGGUAAGAAGGAUCGAUCGCCAUAACCUAAAAUACUUAGAAACAUUUUGAAAACUUUAAGAUCAACCUCCAAAUGAGAAAAGGUUGAUCCCUACUAGUUAGGAAUCAAAAUCAGCUAUUGGAAUUCACAAAAAUUGACCUCCUAAGGACAAAGGGUUUAUAUCAAUAGCCUUAGUCAGAAAAAUAAAGCUUAAAUAUUGACCCCCGAGGUUUAAAGGGUCGAUCUUAGGGUUCUAGGUAAAAAAAAAUGAAAGACCUAGCCGCGAUGUUUCUCUCAUUUCUCACUUUUCUUAGCCUCCAAACACUCUCUUACCCUUAUUCAGCCUCCAUGGACUCCAUAUAACAAUGAUUAAGCUUCCAACUCAAAUUUUAGGUAAGAUUAACCAUUUUUGAAGUUAACCACCAUUUUCCAUGAAUUUCAACGAAUACACCUCCAUUAAGCUGAAGAAUUUUAGGGUUUUACUCUCCAAGGAAGCGUUUGAGGUAAGGGUGUUUAAGGUUUCAAUAAAAAUGAUUUGGGUUUAAAGUUUUAUGGAUUAUUAACUUAAAACAAAGAAUAUGGGUUUCCUUGACUAGUUUCAAAAUAAUGGAUUUGUUGGAAAAAUUAGGAAACUUAUAAUAAAAAUUAUUAUGAUAGGAUUUGUUGAGCUCGAGUAUCCUAGAACAAGCAAGGUUUGACAAAGCAAUGCUUAAAAGCAUGUUUUUGUUAAGGUGAGUGGAUACACCACCUUCAAACUAUUUUAGCAUGUAAAGCUAAAGGCAUGGUUUAAUGGUUUACUUGGUUGACUUGACUUUCAUUAUAUUUUUAAAAAUGAAGAUUUUUAUUUACGGUGAACACAUGAUUUGAAGGAAUUUUCAAAUCUAUUAUGUAUAUGUAAUAUCUUACUAUGUAUUAGAUUUCAAUAGAAAGGACAAUUCCUUUCAACUGUUUUGAACCAAACCACUACUUCGAUGAAGUAUGCUAUGUUGCAAUGUAUGUGAUGCUGUUCCAAAUGCUAUAUGAAAUAAGAAUGAACACAUGAUAAAUGUUGUGAUGCCAUGUAUAUGAUGUUAUAUCCACAUACUAUAUGAGAUAAGAACAAGCAUAAGAUAAAUGCUAAGAUGAUAAGUAUGUGAUGUUGUUUCCACAUACUAUAUGUGAUAAGAACGAGCAAAAGUUAUAUGCUACAAUGACAUGUAUCUGAUAUUGUUUCCACAUACUAUGUGAGGUAAGGAUAAGCACAUGAUAUAUGUUACGUUGUCAUGUAUGUGAUUUUGUUUCCACAUACUACAAGAGUAUGUACAAGUGCAUGCUUCAGAUGUCAUAUAUGUAAUACUAUUGAAUGAGAAUAAUGAAUUAUAUGAUAAGUAUGUAAAUUUGAUAUAGUAUAAUAGAGUGAAUUGUUGACCAGGUUAAUACGAGUUAUACCAUUCACAAAUGUAAGCUCCAAGGUAAUAGGGGCUAUACCAUUACCAUCUUUUGAUGAGAACGGGAAUGAUGCAGUGAUUCCAUUCUUAUAUGCACCACAUAUGCGAAGAAAAUAGGGGCUAUACCAUUAUAAAAUCCCAUGGGUAACCAAGGGACAUACUUUUAUUGAAUUAUGUCCUAUUGGAGAUGAACAUUUUAUUAGUCACUAGCUAGAUUUUGGCUUAACUUGUUAAUGAUUGUGAUGUUUAAUUGUUCUAAAGUGUAUGUUAUGUAACAAUGUUUAGACAAGGUCUUCUAGUCAAUCAUGGAUGGUAGUUAAGACAUGAUAUUGAUGUUAAGCAUAGAUAAUCAAAUGGGAUGAUUAAGAACCGAAAUAGCCUAAACUCUAGGGUCAUAUGGAUAAGGUAUCAAGCCAUAGAAAGCAAGCCUUCAAACCCAUGUAAUGGAAUGAUGAAUAAGUAAAUUAGCCCAUUUUUAUUUGAUUUAAAUGGUUUUACACUCAAAUUGGUUUCUAAAGGAUUACAUGAUUCCAAAAUUUGUUUGAAAAGUAAAUCAAGGUUUGAUCAAGUUCUCUACUCAAUGAUUUAAAGAUUAUGUAAAGCCCGGCCUUAUAAAAUACUUGUCAUGACAUACAUGUGAUGGAUAGUAUGUUUGCAUGCUAGGAAAGUCCUGAAAAAUUUAUAAAAGUCGGUAUUGUACCUAGAGGUACAACAAAGUUGAUUUAAGCCUCGAACUAGAUCAAAUAGAGAUUUUAGGGUGAAAUUGAAAAUUUAACAAUCCAAAAAUGAUUUAAAAUGGUGAUUUGGGGUUCGAAGAUCAAUUUGGAGUCAAACCGAAAAUUUCACUAUCCAAGGGUAAAAUGGUAACUUUGCCACUCGAGGACAAAAUGAGAAAUUUUUGAAAGAUUUUGAUCACAUUUGACUUAUUGGAGUAUGAGUUGAGGUUGAUAAGUGAAAAAUUGUAAUCUCGGUAUUUUUGGAGCAUAGGGGUAAAAUGGUAAUUUUGCCACCAUAAGGGUAAAAUUGGUAAUUUUACACCACCAACACUUGUCAUGCCCAUAGAAUUCAUCCAUUGACUUUUUAUGUUAUGGAUAAGUGAGAAAACAUAUGUGGUGGAGAUAAAAAGUUUAAAUUUUAAAGUUUAAAAAUAGACCAAUAAUAAAAUGACACUUGUCAAGCUUAGAAUAUUUUAUUAUUUUCUUUAAAAAAUCAGCCUAUAAACCUCUCACUCCUCUCCAAAUAUUNCUAUAAACCUCUCACUUCUCUCCAAAUAUUCGGCCAAGCAAGGAAAAGAUGGAAACAAAGAAAGAACAAACACUAGGUGGAGAAUUUCAAGAGAAAAAGUGAGGAAAAUCAAGGAAAACAAGUGAAAAAGAUAGGAUUUCUCAAUUUAAACUUGAAAUCUAUUUUUCUAAAGCAUUUCUCCUUAUUUUUCAUGGUUAAAUUUCAUGUUUUUAUGGUGAAUUCAUGGCUAGCCGAAUGGGUAUGGAGAGAGAAUGAUGUUGGAUUGAUUUGAUUUCAAGUUAUGUUAGUGUUUUUAGUUACUUUACUAUGUCCAGAAGUAAAACAACAAGAAAAGAAUUCAUUUUCCCCAUCAUCCAUCAAUGGCCAAACCUACCUUGUAUUGAGUGAGGAUGAAAUUGAGUUUUUUAUUUUAAGAGAAUUGGUUAAAAAAUGAUGAAUUAUGGUGUGGAAAAGUAGUAGGAAAAAUCACGGUGUUAAUGCACCAUUAUUGACCAAAAAUUCUAAGAAGAAAAGUGAAGAUGGUUUUACCAAAUUUUAGGUUAUUUGACUUGUGUUUGGGGAAUUAAGGUAUUGGAAAAGAAAUUGAGCAAUUUGGAGCUAAAUUGGACGCGUUGGCCAAUUAAUCAAGUGAUAAGACGAAUUAGGCCAAUACCGGGUUUAGAUGGUUACCCGUGCAUUUUGCAUUCCAUAUCAUGUAUUAUUAGUCUAAAUUAGUUUAAUUUCGAUUUAGUACCAAUGUAGUAAGUUUCUCGAUUAUGUACUAUGUCAAGGUGGUGAGUCCUCCGAUAAAGGCAAAGAAAUUGCAUCCGAGGACCAAUAAUCAGAGUACUUCGGAAAUCCACACUCUAGACAUUGUGAGUAACAUUAUCAUCAUCUUGAUUAUCUAAAGUGAAUUUUAAUUCAUUUUUGUGAUUUUAUGAAAAAUGAGUUUAAAUGGUAAAUCUUUAUGUUUUAAAAGCAAAAUGUGAUUAAAUGAAAUGAUUUUAUAAAAUUGUCUUGAUAUUGAAUGAUGGUUUUGGAAAAUGGAGUAAUUGGAGAUUAAUUGCUAUGUUGUAAAUUAUGGUUUCAAUUGAAUGGCUUAUGAUAAUGUGGGCAUGAGUGGCUGGAUUUGGUAAAUGUGCUGAAAAUGUAUGAACUGUUGUUUUGCCUUGACAUGCUGUGUUGUAAAAUAAUUGCCACGUCAUGCUGUUGGAAUUUUAUUGAUUUGGUGGAUAUCAAUUAGCUUACUGCAAUGGGCGGGUUUCCGUGGACCAGCCUAUUAGAGGGGCACGGUAAACCUCGUUAUAUCUUACCUCAGUAUAAGAGGCGCGGAUGGAUAACUCCUGUGAUUAACACUUUAGAGUUCACUUCAUGCAAAACCACCACGUGAGGGUGAACUCGACCAAUGCCAAUGAAAGGCUAUGUUUUCAAAAUAAAAACAUGAUUUAUGUGUAUAUAAUUUUUUAACAGCCUUCGCGGACUUAGUUGGGAUAGCCCUCGGCCAAGGUAUCCUUGAUAACUGAGUAUGAUAAUGAUUUUUUUGGCACGAGCCAAACUUUUCAGGAAAUCAUAAGCCUCAAUGAUUAUUUGGAUGAAAUAAAUUUAUUUUAUCUCAUAAAAAUGAGUUUGAAAUGCUAUGAAUUAUUUUAUGCUAAUCUAUUUUAUCUGUCUCCAUUUACUCAGCUUUAGAUAUUUUAGAUGAUAUCUGUCUCCAUUUACCCAUUUCAGGUUCAGGAUAGUCUAUAGAUAGCACAUUUCGUCAAGGACUAGCAUUGGAUUUGCAUCUUCCAAACUGUAGGUUCACAGUCUUUCUUACUUUUGGUUAUUCGAGGGCCCACUUGUUACUGUAAAUUAAAUUAAAUGCUCUGGUUUAUUGUAUUACAGUAUAUAUGAAUUUAUUUUGCUUUUAUGCUGUAAAAAUUAUUUACGCAGUGUUCUAAAAAUAUUAUUUUAUGAGAAAAUUGAAUAUUUUAUUCAAUAUUUUUUUUUAUUCUAAUAGUCAUAAUUUCAUUUUUAAACAAAUGUUUUAGACAUCCAAAUUUAUUUUUGAUUAUAAAAUAUGUGUUUUGCACCCGUAUAAUAUAUUAUUAGCUGGUUUCAAAAUUUUAUGAGAAAAAUGACUAAAAUACACCUGUGAGACAAAAAUUAUUUUUUUUAUUGUUUUGAUUUGGAAAUAGUUUAAAAUCUUUUAGUAUGUGAUAUUUGACAACGGUUAGUCACAGGGGAAAUGAGAAACUAAUAUUAAAGCCUUGCGAGGUUCCGGUUGGCAUUCCAAGUAAUGAGUGUCUAUCAGGACACCGCGACAGUUGUCACGAGCUCGAGGAAAGUACCGGGUCGUUACAGAUUAAGUAUUUAUUCCAAAUGAUUUCUAAAGUGUAUUCAAAGUCAUGAUUAUAUCUAAUUGCAAGUUGAUAAAUGUGUAUUUGAAAGAUCAUACGUACAUGGUUAUUUAAAGGUUAUAUUUGUGCAAAAGCUUUAACCCCUUUACUUGUCCCCUUCUCGUAUCUAGUCACAGAGUUCUUGUGACUGACACAUUAGUUUCUCAUUUUAUGUUACAAAUUAAUGAUAGCUGUCCAGCCACUAGUGUUACAGAAACAUGAUCCAUUCUUCUUUUGGUAAAUGAUAUAAUAGCCCUCUUUAAACCUAGGAAAUCGGGUCAUAUUUUGCUUGAGAAGUCAGUCUUUAUAUUCUUGUAUAUAAAUACUUGUUACGUUUGAAUGUUAAGCCAUUGAAUGGCAUUUAUUUAUAUGAAAAUGAGUAAAAUGUAAAAAAUGAUGGCCUAAGUGCCCAUAUGAGCACGUGGGUUGCAUUACAAAGUUGAGGAAAUGUGUAAAUGUGAAAAAUGAUGGCCUGAGAGCCCAUAUGAGCAGCUAGGGUGCAUUACAAAGUUGACAUGAAAUGUAUAUGUUACAGAUAUUGUUAAUGCAAUGCAUAUGCACAAUUUAUGUUGAGACAUUCUGUAAUUGUGUAUUGACAAUGUAUGGUUGUAUGUGUUUAUGAUUAUAAAUGCUUUUAUGUAUGAUAAUGGUGGCAAAUAAGUCACAUAUGAAUAAAUGAUGGUAAGAGGUUUAUUAAGGCCUAACGGGCCAUACCUACAUAAGACCUAGUGCCAAUCACGAUCCUAUAGAAAACGGGAUGUGGCAUCUCAAUAGAGCAAUGUAGAAAUGCACAUCAAGUUGGCACAUGCUCUAACACCAAUUACAAUGAUUUGCACCUAAACACCAUUGGUUCAACAACUUUCGAAAGCUAAACCACAUGACUUAAGAAGUUUAAAAUCAAGUUGCUAGUAGUAACUGAUUUUAAUUUUUAUGUACGACUUAACAAUUACACUCACACCAUAUAUGAAGUGGACGCCAUUGUUAGAAUUUGAGAUUAUGUGUAAGAGAUUUCAAAUUCAAACCUUAGAACAAGUGAGAAGAGAUUUAUAGAUUUGGAGAUAUUUACAUAGGCAAACCCCAAAUCAUAUGUUCUAAAAGGAAAAAGUAAACAAUAUCCUUAGUUGAGGGUGGAAGGAGACUAAUAACAAAUUAUUACAUGGCAUUGGAAUGUUGGUUUAAUUGCAUGGCAAAUAUUAACAUUGCAUGGCAUUCUGAUUGUUAAUGCAACGAUAACUAAUUAGAAAAGUUUUGUUUUUACUAUUUGCUUUUUCAUUUGUUGUUUUUACAUUUUGUUAAUAAGGUACACUACAAAAUACCGACUUUUCUAACAAAAUGUUUCAUUGGAAUUUAAAAAUAGUAUAAAUAAAAAAUAAUUAUGAUUAAAAAUGAACAAAUAAUUGAAUUAAAAUGCUUGUUAAGAGCAAAAUUUGGUCAUCUUCUACCCACUUCCACCAUGAUCCCUUCCUUAACCUCAAGGAGCUAUUUUGGAUCUUGGCAAAUGGAUUCAACAACCAAUUUAAAAAUGUACACAAAGGAAGAACUUGGACGAGUGAAGCCUAACCCUUGAAUCACACAUUUAUAAUGAAUAAACUUACCUACACUACAGUUGCUAAGGGAGUUUUAUAACAACCAAUCACUUAUCUUUUACCAAGUUGUAACCACAACUAAGAAAAAUAUAACCAAAGACCAACUUCUAACUGAUAUACAAAAAUUGAUAACCUAAAUAAACUAGGAUAAUUUCACCUAUUUUAUUCAAGAUAAACCUAACCCAAGUAACACCCAAGAAUAAUUUCUGGUGCACAUAACAUGCUUAUUCUAACAAAAUUAGUUUAUCUAAAAAUAAUGGCUAAAUUAUAUAAUUAGUCCCAAUGUUUUGUUAAACUAGUGAAUUUAGUAUUGUAUAAUAAUUUGUAAAAAUUGAGUUCGUAUACUUUCUAAAAUUCACAAUGUCAAUCUAAUCAUUAAUGGUAUUAAAAUUUUUAUAUAAUUUAUGUUGGCAUGAUAGUUGACAAUACUGAAAAGACAUUGAAUCUAAUGAUGUGGCAUUGAAUCUGAUGACGUGACAUCUAAGAACGAUGCAAUGAAGUUUUUUGACUAACUUGUUGAGACAAAUCAAAAAUCCAAAUAGGUUUUUGGGUUCUUUGUUUGAUUAUUCUCAAUUAUAUCUCUUCAAUUUUAAUCCUUUUCUUAAUUCUCUCUUGAUUAUUUCUCAAAAUGAUAUUGUAACAGAUUGAAAAAUCAAUUAUCCCUUUCUGAAAUCACCCUAAAAUAUAAUCAGACUGGAAAAUUAAAAUGGAAAUGGAAAUGAAAAUUCGAAAUGGAAAAUAUUGUUAGUGAUUAAGGAUGAUUCACCUAGAUUGAUUAUAGAAAUCGCAAAUUGUGUUUAAAAUCUAACGUCAUAUCAAUAUAAUCAUUGCAUCGUUCUUGGAUGUCAGGUCUCCAUUGCCACAUCAUCAAAUUCAAUAUCAGGUUAGUAUAGUCAAAUAGCAUAUUAGUAUAGGUAAGGAAAAGAAUUUUAACACCAUUAAUGAUCAGACUGAUAUUGUCAAUUUUGAAAAGUAUAUGAACUCAAUUUUUACAAAUUAUUAUACAAAAAUUAAAUCUAUUACUUUGACAGAGUAGAGGAACUAACGGCAUAAUUUGAGCUAAAAAUAAUAUUAUACAUUUUUUCUCCCAUUAAAAAAUUAAUGUUUAAUUAAUCAAAAAUAUUAGAUUUGCCUAUGCAUUUACUUUUGGCGAAGUAAAACGUAGCAAAAGCAAUCCGAGUUUCAAUAGAUGAAAAAUUAAUGAAAUGAAGUUUGAGAAGAAAAGGAGAGAAAAUGGGUUUUGUUCUCGGACUUCUUUUUAUGUAUUUCCCUGAAUUCCUCUAAACGCAAAGGUUUUGGGAAUGAGCUGAAAAACACCCAAACCAUUUCCAGCUCUUGGUUGAAAAUCAUACGAGCUAAAGCUAAAGCGGGCUUGAAGCUGCUUGGUUCACCCGCGGUUUUUACUUUUAGCGUGCAUAAAAGUCAUUGACACCCUGUGGCCAAAAGGAAAGUCAUCUACACCCUUAUUCCAAUGAAUAACGCUAAACGUCAUGUCAUGGGCAACGAUAGAACUUGGCAAACGAAUUACUUGAGAUUAAAAAGAAAACAACAUUUGUCUAACAAAAGCAAGAACUACGUCAAAAUUGCCCCCGGAUGAUAUGGUUUUCAUAUCAAAAUUAGCCAACGGCCACAUGUUAGGGAUUAUGAUGGACACACUUGGGAUAGAUUCAUUUCAUUCUUUAUUUCCUUCCAUUCCAUAUGAAGAAUAUCAAAAAAAGUGCGUUUUUGUAGUUUUGUGGCCACAGAUAAAAAGACGUAACGUUGGUUCUGUCUGGACAUGGGUUUAGGGACUUAGAGCAUUGGUUGGGCGGCUCAAAGAGCAAGCCCUGACAGAGUCCACAAUUGGUCGGUGACUGGCAGCACCCCUAGCACAUUCUGGGUCCCUCCAACGGGGCAGCCAGCCCCUGUGUUUGCAUUUAAUUUGUGAUUUUAACAUUGGGUUUUGUACUGAUAUAUAUAUUUCCUACUAGCAUCUUUUUAUAUAUCUACAGAUGACACGUCGCUCUUUUGGCUAGUAUCUGAAACACUGUAACUAGCAUGAAUUUUGAUCACAUGACCACAAUUCAUGAUUGGAAGAGAAUAAGCUACGAAAUAUCACAGUUGCGAAUGGAAGAGCCGAGAGAGAUAAGAGGGUUGACAACCGCCAAAAUGGUCCAAGCCACGAGAUGCGAUUGUGGUUCUCCUGGACAAAUGCUCCUCGACCAACAUGACUGCCUUGGGUCAUUGUACUUAUAGGUGGACCCUCCAGUAAUAUUAUUUGCUAUGUAUUAAUUAAUAUUCUCCACCAUGUUUAUGUGGAUCUUUUAGCAUAUAACGAGGUCGCCCCGUCGCAACUCCAUCUAAGUUUGCCUCACGGUUUUACUCAUUGACUACGGGGCUGUUAACCACCGUUUGAGUGUAGCUACAUUCAUUAUCUUUGUUUGUUUACCCCUCACAUUUUCUAACCACAAAAUUAAGUAAAUCCAAAUACGUACUUUUGUUUUCUUUUUGUUGAUAUUAACGCAUAUCAGAUGUAUAUAAUUUCUUCUCAAUUCAAUCCCAGUCCCAGUCCUACCAUAAAUGCAAGAGUCAAGGAUGGCUCUGAACAAGACUUUUGGUUUCCGUUCUAGCAAAUCCCACUACGUUACGCACCUCUAGGCUCUAGCUGGAGUAGUGAUGGUGCCACGUGCGUUAAUGAUCUGUAGGAAGUUUAAAAUUCCAACAUGGGUUAAGUUUUAAACAUUUAAUAAUUGUAAAAGAGCACAAGAUCUCUGUCUAUCAAAUAGUAAUCUUAAUAGAAUAAGUUUCCUCGGCUAUGUCCGUACUGUUUAGGAAGCCACAAUUCUAUCAUGCUGGGCAAGAAAGAUUUAUCAUAUAUCACAUAGAUAUAUAUCAUUGAACAUAAGUCUACAAUCCAUUUCUAAGACUCUCUCAUCUUUAUUUAUUUAUUUAUUUUGUUAAGAUAAGUUGAUUAUUCAUAAUUCUUAGGGAAAAGAAAUAUAAUGGAGUUUCUUUAUUUCUUUUAAGUAUACAAUUAAAUUAACAAGGUUAAGGGAGAAUUGAGGGGUUUCAAUCUUAAUUUUGAUCUUAACUUGUUAUUUAUUUUUAAAUCUUAAUUUUGAUCCAUCCAACUACGUUUUGCAUCAUUCUAUACAUAGUUUUAAACUAAAGUCUAAAUUACAUCUAUUUCUACCAUGCUUUCUCUCUUGAUUGUUACAUUUUAAAGUUUACUUUUUAUUUUAAUAUUAAAAAGUAAAGAGCUAUAGUGUUUAUAGAUACAAAACAAAAAGUUUUUGAUUAAUUAAAAUUAAUAUAAUUCUUUUAAGAGAACAAAAUGCAUGAUUAUACUUUUAUGUAAAUUUAGCGAUUACUUAAGAAUUGGUGUUAUUUAAUUAAAGAUUUCUUCAAUUUUGCUUACAAUUGAUUUUGCGAGCUACCAUUGUUUCUACUAAAUUUUAAUAAAUUAAAAGCAGAUAGUAAAGAGCAAUACAAUAAAGGUAACAAUUAAUUGGGAUCUUGAUUAAUUAGCCAAUUGAAAUUUUUAAAUUAAUAUUGCAAUAAUCCUAAUAAAAUCAUGUCAAUCAUAUUUAACUUGCCAUAUCUUGUAAGUUUCACUACCAUCAUAUAAUAUAGCAUGUGGGUGCUAUUAACGAAGCCUAUACAUUUAAGUACUAUAGUCUUCUGCAUACCCAAUACCUCAAUAAAAAGUAUACAUCAAUUAUCUACUAGGAAAAGAAUAAAAACCAAAACAAAAUAAAAAAACAAGUUGUAUACAGAAAAAUAGACAAAUUAAAGUACGGUUGUUUUUAAUUUUUAAUAAUUACGUCAAUUUCAAGAAAAUAUGAGAUGUAGCUCCGAAUGUGUAUUAAAAAUAAAUUGAUUAAAAUAACUUUCCUUUUAUGUUCUUGUUUGUUGAAUCUAAUUUCUUUUAGUUUUACAAACUGAAUCAAUGUUAUUUGACUAAUGAUACUAAAUUGAAUUAAAAGCUUUAUGUACUAAUAUAACUUAGGUUGCCUUUCAGAUUGAAAAAUUCUUAAAAAUUAUAUAUUGUUGUGGUCGGGUAGUCAUACAUAUUAUCUAUCACUAAGGGAAAAUCCAACAGUUGGAGAAAGAGAAGGAAAAAGAGUUGCAUCAUUAAUACUUGUGUAGGUUCCCUUUGAUUAGUAGAUACAUUUCAAUCUCUUCUGGUCAUCAAAUUCAAGACAUAUUUCCCACAGAGUACGUUUUAGCUUGAAAUAAAAGCACCCAAAGACAUUUGCCAUCUUUUUUUUUACUUGCCAAAAGGAGGAUUCAAUGUUUCUUACUUAAGAGCUGCAAUAAGUAUGGAUAUAUCCUAGUUAAUUACGGCACAUAAAGAAUAUGAAAUGACGAAGAAGUACAGUGAGUGGGCGAGGCUACAAGUUUCCAGUACAAGACACCUUUUCCUCAAACAGCAGAAUGUAAAGAUUGAACCGAAUCAGACAGGAGGCCAGCAUGGUCGGUCCAUUAUAUGGGUCCAUCGAAAACGAAAAAUUAUGAUUUAAUUUCACGUCUUAGAAGUAAUUAAGAAACAUAAGUCAAUACUUGUAUUAAUAUUAUAAUGAAGUGGGUGAAAAUAAAAAGCCAAAAGAUUCAUCCUUCUUGUUAAAGUAAACAACCUAACUGUAAUUUGAUGACCAAUUGGAUCACUGAAUUGGUAACCAAAUCUUUUUAGGCAUGGAUUCUAGUAGGAACGACAGAACUCAGCCAGCUCUCACUGACUUUAGAUAGGUUUCUCAGCUUCCAGUCUCAUCUUUCUUUCACACACACGUACAUAUAUAUAUUAUAUCCAAAGAUUAUAUAUAUAUGCGCCUGUGUUUGUUAAAACAAAAUAUAUUAAUGGUCAUCGGCAGAUGAUGAAAGGACAAAUUAAGGAGCGAUGUCGCUAUCAUUGAAAAUUCUCCCCCUCUCUAACUUAUUACUAUAUAAUAUAUAUAUAUAUAUAUAACUUGUAUGUUUGUGCAUUUGUGCAUGUAUGCAGCCGCUCCCCACAAUGCAAAGAGUCAAGAGAUCCUUCUCGACCCUCGACUACUUUCAUAUCUUCCUUUUCCACCCGUUUAACACUUCGAAAGGAAAAGACAAAACCAAGAAAGUCGCUUCCACGGAUGGAAAAAAUAUCAUCUAUCUGGCUAGGGUCGAUUUUACUGGGGGGUUUUCUUUUCUUUAUUCUUAUUCGCAUAGUUACUGGAAAUUGAGAGAGAGAGAGAGAAGCUUUUUUCUUCUUUCUUGGAUUCCCUGAGGACCCAUAGGGAUACGUGUGUAUGUUGAUGUUUUUAGUUCUCUAAUGAGACAUGGUUUGGCUUUUACAUAACAAAAGGCAAAAGAACUAACGAAAUAAUACUAAUGGAUAUUUUGAGAGAGAGAGAGAAUCACAGAUGUACCAUAUGUGAUGGACAUAUUUAAUUGAAUUGAAUUUAUUUAUAUAGCAAAUAGCAAUAGCAUCAUGAGAGAGCUACAAUGCUACACAUAACAUCAAACGAGUGGUAAUUCCAAUAAAUGCGAAAAGGCUCUCUGGAAGAUUUGCGGUGCUUAUUAUCUCAUCGCAUCUCAUGGUCAAAUACAUACAAAUUAAACAUCUGAUCUAAGCUGUAAAUGGGAAUUAAUUUAAAUAUCUAAGUGGAACAAUGAAAGAGAUAUGAGAGAGGAAAUAAAAACAAAGAGGAGAAAUGAGCAGUAGUUAUCAGCAACAGUAGAGUGGUCACGGGUUUCUUUUGACCGAUGCAUCCUCUUCCCCACAAGCCUCAAUUUUCACAUUCAAUCUCCAACCCAUCCCAUCCCCCACCUAUAUAUGCUUAUGCUUCGUCCGCCAGAAAAUUUUGCUCCCUUCAAGCCCCACAUCGCCACCUCCCUACCAAUUAUUUUUCUACACCUAGAUCUACUGCUUAUUAAUUAUAUUAUUCUUAUUUUUAUUUUUAGUAUAUGUUGGAUUUUCUCGAAUAAUGAAAACGUGAAUUUAUAUUAUUUAAUUUAUGUUAUCUUUUAUAAAAAAGGGACUAAUCUUAUUUAGUUUUGAUAAAUUGGCAAUAUUAUAGUUGGUAACAUAAUCUAAGAAAGUGGGUUAGCUUUCAAUAUUAACUGUGGGUUUAAAGUGUAAGUCUGUGUAGGAAACCUUAAAUUCUAUAAUGAGUAAGGACUAAAGAUUCAUUAUAUAAAAGUAGUGUUAAGUCUCUUCCCUUAGGUACACAAAACAUUAAGAAUGUCACCUAUUGGAGAAUUCCCAUAGUUAAUCUAAUUAGUAUUGUUUCCAAUGUCAAAUCAUGAAUAAAAAAUCAAGUAUGUUUUUGAAUUCUAAAAAUUAAAGUGUGGAGAAUCUUGGGUUAAUAUAAAUUUUUUAUACAUAAAAUUUAUCAAUUGGUAUUAGAGCAAAUCAUAGUUUGGAUUUAGGACCUAAUUUAACAUUAUUUUCAGUGAUUUGCUAUAAAUUUGCCAUGUUUAAGUUGAAAUCUUUAGGCAGCCAGAAAACUAGUUUUCCACCACUGGAUUUUUCAAUAAGUAUAGGGUUUGUUUUCCUCUUAAUGCAAGGAUUAAAUUCAUAUAAAGAUUUUAAAUUCAUAUAAAGAUUGUAAGUUGGUUUUGGCUUAUAAAUAAAGAAAUCAAAACUUAAAGUUUCAGGUUUAAAUUUAAACCUAAUUUGUGAAUCGAUUAAAAUCUUGAUAUUUUAUGUGCUUUAGUUCAAAUUUAUCUUUGUAAAUCACUUGUUAUAUGUUAUAAAGAUGAAACAUAAGUUUUAAUUGCAAAAACGAUUGGUUAUAAGACUGAAUAUUGAAAAAACCAAAACAGGUCAAGAAUGGGUGCAAAACUUGAAAUUUUGGACAAUUGAUCUCGAUUCAUGGGUUUCAUAAGACAAAGUGUUAAUCAAGUUUUUGAAAGCUUUUAUUCAAUUAAAAAUCAAGAAUUAAGGAGAAAAUAAGAAGACUCGAAAGGGUUAGUUUUUGCCCUGGUCGAGUCUUGAAGAAGAGCAAAUCACUUGGAUAGCGAGGUCCACUCAUGGCGUGUAGUGCAUGGGACCUACUCGGGCCAUGCUUUUUGACAAUUUUUUUUUUUUGAGCAGAUUUCUUUCGCUCUCCCUCUGCUACUUGUUUGUGCUAUUUUUUAUUUUUAGUGCAUAUUAAAUAUUUAUUUAUUUAUUAUGUGCAUUUAAUUAAUUAUUAUAAAUAUUUUGGUGAAAUAUUUCUACAAUGCAUUCGACAAAAACUCAUAUAAAUAUUUUUAAGUUUAAUGGUAACAUGUACUGUCCCAAGAUUUUUGUGUAUUUUAUAUACUCUUGGGAUAAAGUUAUAGUAAAAAUUGAUAACUAAAACUUUAUAGAGUGAUAUUUUUCAAUUUUUAACAUUAAUGAAAGUAUAAUGAUUGAGUAUCUCAUUAGGUUAUGUCCCAUAUGUAGGUAUGAUUUUUGGAGUACAAUGUCCAAUGCUCAUUAAGCUAAUAAUAAUAAUAAAAUAAAUAAAUAAAAUCAUACCAUGAAGUUUGUAUGGGUAAUAGAAAGCAAUAUCUUUUAAUGUGAGAAGUUUCAUUUAUGCUAGUUGAUUUGUAGUCACCAAAGUAGCCAAUAAGCUAGUUUUGUGGAAUUAUCAUCCUCAUAUGUUUUAGAGAUGUCUAUGGUUUUGGUGUACAUUCAUUCACCUAAAAGUAGUGUUUUAUAUUGUAGUUAAAGGGUAGCAAAUAAAAGCAUGUGUGUGGAAAUUGGCUAACUUUAUUAGUUUAUUCACCUGAAGGUGGUAAGUUACAAAGGUUGUGUUAUCUUCUUAUGACCAUUUUUAUGUGGAAAGGCUCCUAAUUACAUGUCAUGCAUUCAUCCUAAGCUGCUUAUAUGAUCAUGUGCUUGGACCUAUUUAUUAUGCUCGUUUAUGAUUUUGGACUAUUUUGAUUAUCGUAUUUAUAUUAAUUAGGUUACAUUGUUUAAAUUUUCAUUAACAUUUUCUAUCAAUAACUAUAUGGUCACCAUUAAGAUUUUGAUUGUAUUAAACAUUAAGAAUUGGAAAAGAGAUGUGAAUUUUUUUCAUUUAAAUAGAAGACAUAAACUUGGCUAUGAAUGUAAAUAAACAUGAAAGACCUGUUAAAAUUUACAAGGAAAAUAAGAAAGCUUUGAAGGCAUGAGAAAGAUCUAAUAAAUUCUAUCUGUUUGUUAUUAAAAUUUCCUUUUUUGAACAUUUGCUAGUGGACUUCUUGAUACAACUAAUGCAAAAGAGUUCUUAACUGUCAUAGGACAAAGAUAUAAGGUGUCAUCGAAUGCUGAAUUUGGUACUCUUUUAAAAGGAACUUUAUUCCAUGAAAUAUGAUGGGAUAGGAAGAGUUAGAGAAUACAUCAUUAAAAGGGUUCAUUAUCAAACCAAAUUAAGAGGCCUUGUAUCAUUAUUCUUAAUGCUUGCAUUGUUCAUCAAGCCUUGACCACUUUUCCUCCUGAAUUUGGGUGUAUAGCCAUUACAUACAACCUAUAAAAUGAGUCUUGGAUCAUUAAUGAUCUUAUCACUAGAUGUGUUGCUAAGGAAGAUAAGAUCAAAACUAAAAAAACCAAUAAUGCUCUUUUUGUUACCAAAACUUUUCAUAAGAAAGGUAAGAAAUAUAAACUUAAUGCUCCUAAACAAGUAAAGGAUAAAAGGAAAAAAUAUGGUUAAUCUACCAGUGUUUUAAGGUCCUAAAAUUGUCAUCAAGAAGGAAAUCGAGUGUUUCUUUUGAAUAAAAAAGGACAUAAGAAACAAGAUUGUCUCAAAAAUAAGACUUUGGUAGGAAAGUACAAACAUGAAUGUAACUCUUUCAUUCUUGUUGUUUAUGAAUCCAAUCCAAUUGAAGCCUUAGCUAGUUUUUGGCGGCUAGACAAUGGUGUACCUAAUAUGUCAUUUUACCUUACCAGGGUUCAUAAGCAAUAGUAAGCCAAACAAGAAUGAGUCUAAAGUCACAGUUGGCAAUAAUAUAAAGCCAGAAGUUGAGUUUGUACCAACAGUUUGCUUAAUAUUAAAUACUGAAAAUACACUUUUUUUGAAAAACAAUUUCUAUAUACUGUCAUUUAGACAAAAUUUAGUUUCAGUUUAUGUAUGAAACAAUGCUAGUUAUGCUUUCAAAAUAAAGGAUUUAAUUAUUAAGAUAAUUAUUGAUUCAAGAUAUUGGCUUGUGGUCUUUAACUCAUGCAUUAUGUAGAUUAUAUUUAGCCACUACUAAUAUUUAUGCCACCUCAUAUAAUGUUGAAAGAGUUGUCUAAAGGUCCCACAUAAAGGAAACAUCUUCCUUGUUGUUGCAUAAAACACUUGGUCGCAUCUCCAUGGAAAGAACAAAAGGUUAAAAAAGGAUAAUAUCUUUACUACUAUUAAUUAUGAUGACUCGGACACAUGUGUUGAGGGGUAAAAUGACUAAGAUAAAGGGAAAGGAAUCAAAUAAAAGUUCCAAUUUAUUAAAACUUAUUCACAGUAACAUAAUUUUGAACCAUAUAUCCAUACAAUCUACAAUCAUAGAUAUUUUGUGAUAUUUAUUGAUGAUUUUUCUGGUUAUAGUUAUAUGUCUUUAAUUUAAAAAAAGGUUUAAAGUUAUUGAUAAAUUUAGGAUCUUUAAGAUUGCAUUUGAGAAACAGUUUGGAAAAACCAAUAAGAUUGUCAAGUCUGAUAAGGGUAGUGAGCAUUAUGGUAGACAUGACACAACAUGACACAACAUGACAACAAAAGAAUAUAUUUGUGGAAUAGUGCCUUAAUACACUAUGCUUGGUAAUCCUAAAUAAAAUUGUGUGGUUGAAAGGCAAAACCAUAUCUUAAAGGAUAUGAUGAGCAGAAUGGUGAGUAGGGAUAAUGUACCUAAAUAUUUAUGGGAAAAAGCAGUCAAAACAACCUUAAAUAUUUUAAAUAGAAUUUUUAUUGAGUAUGUGCCUAAAACCUCUUAUAAGUUGUGGAUCAAAUGGAAACCUAGUUUUAAUCACUUGCAUGUUUAGGGAUUUCUUUCAAAUGUGCGUUUUUAUGAUCCCAUUGAGACUAAGAUACAGUAUUGUGUCACUUAUUGCUAUUUUAUUAGGUAUCCAAAUCAUUCCAUAGGCUAUAGAUUUUAUUGCUUAAGUGGAGGUGGUCACAUUGUUGAAGCAAAAACAUUUAAGUUUUCAGAGUUAGAUGUUAUUGAUACUAGUUGCCCUAAAGUUAGAUAUAGAAAAAAGCGUAUUGAGAUAGUAAGAAUUCCUAUACCCAUACAAAAUGAUGUUAUUAAGCAUACACCAAUUAGGGAAUAUGAACAAGUUCAACCAAAUAUUAAUGAGGUCUAUUAGCACCAAAAUGUUAUAGAAAAAAAACUACAAAGAAGAUCCACAAAGAUAAAGAGGUAUACUCUUUCUUCUGAAAUCUAUAAAUUUUAUCUCAGAAGGGGUGACUAUGAUAUUGGCCAUUUAAUUUAUUUAAUAACUCUUUUAGAAGCUAUUUCUAGUCCUAAAUCAAAUUUAUGUCAGGAUGCAAUAAGGGUUGAGAUCUAAUCUAUGUCACAUAAUGGUGCGUGGGAACUCAUUAAACUACGUGAGGGUUGCAAACCCAUAGAUUGUAAAUCAUUGUAAAUAGUUGUGCAAGACAAAGAAAGAUUCCAAAGGAAAGGUUAAAAGGUUUAAAACUAGAUUGGCAGCUAAAGAUUUUACACAGAGAAAAUGCAGUGAUUACAAAGAAACUUUUUCUCACGUAUGCUUUGAGGAUGCUUUUAGAAUAAUUAUGGUACUAGUAGCUCAUUAUGAUUUAAAACUACAUCAAAUGGAUGUUAGGACUAUUUUCUUGAAUGGGAAUCUUGUUAAAGUGGUCUAUAUGUUGUAGCUUGAAGGAUUUAAGGAGGAUGGUGAAUAUUAUCUUAUGUGUAGACUCAAAAAGUCUAUAUGUGGGCUAAAAAUAAAGCUUUUCUGCAAUAUUAUAUUAAAUUUGAUGAAGUAAUCACAUAUUUUGAUUUUGUUGAGAACAAGGCAGACAGAUGCAUAUAUCAAGAUCAAUAGGACCAAGUGUGUCUUUCUUAUUUUGUAGGUCUAUGAUAUUUUUCUUACUAGUAAUGCUUUAAGGAUGUUGGAAAAGACUACAAGGUUAUUGUCUAGGCAAUUUGACAUGAAAGAUCUUAGGGAAGCAACCUAUGUCUUUGAGAUUGAAAUCCAUAAAAAUUGAUCUCGUCACAUGUUAGGACUCUUUUAACAUGUAUACAUAGAUCACGUGUUGAAUAGAUUUUCUAUACUUGUUUACAAAGGUGGAGAUGUGCCAAUUAUUAAAGGUGGUAAAUUGAACUUGGUCUAAUGUCCUAAAAUGAUGUUGAUAGGGAAUCUAUGACAGUAUUACCAUACGGAGUGCAAUGGCAAGCCUGAUGUAUACUCAAGUGUGCAUAAGGUUUGAUAUUAGAUUUGUAAUGUGUCUUUUAGGGAGAAUAUUCUCUAAUAUGGUAAAGAUCAUUGGGUAAUUAUAAAGACGGUGACGAGAAAUUUAAAGAGAACUAAGGAUUAUAUACUAGUUUUAUCGAAAGGUUAAGGACCUUAAGUUGAUGGGUUAUACAAAUUCAAACUUUGCCAAUUGUUCAGAUGAUAGGAAUUCCACAUCAUGAUACAUUUUUAUGUCAACAAUAUCUUGGAAAAGUGCAAAUUAGGUGCUUGUGACUUCAUCCACUAUGCAAUUAGAAUUUGUAGUAUGUUAUGAAGUAGCUACAUAGAUUAUUUAGUUGAGAAAUCUCAUUACAGAACUGUGGAUGGUUGAUUCUAUUGUUGGACUCAUAUAGUUGUACUGUAAUAAUGUUGUAGUAGUUGUGUUCACAAACAAUAAUAGAGGUAUCAAUGGGCUAAGCAAAUAGAGAUAAAAUAUGACAGUUAAAGAACUUGUGAAAAAAAGGUGACAUUUAGGUAGAGCAUAUUAGAACUGAUGAAAUGGUAUUUGAUCCUCUGACCAAGGGAUUGCGCAUUAUGACUUUCAAGAAACAUAUUUAUGACAUGGGUGUUUUAUAGUUUUUUAAUGUGCUUGGUUAGUGGGGCGAUUUGAUAUUAUUCUUUUUUAUGCUUUAUGCUUAAUUUGUUUGGAACACAUCGUUGACGAUGUAUUUGGAUUUUUUUAUUAUUAAUGAUUAUUCAAAGAUAUUCACUAAUAAAGUGUUUAUGUAUAUAUAGAUUCUUACAUAUGUGAAGACUUAGACAUGUCUUAGUCUUAAGCAUAGGCUGGGGCAUAAAUUGAUAACCUUAAGGUAUGUCUCUAACACAUAAUCAGUAUCUCGAGAUCUGUAAUGCAAGCUUACAAGUUAAUUGAGUAGAUCAUAAAGUAUUUCUCAUGCCAAUUGGACUGCAUAAAGUGGAGAAUAAAGUUAUUUAGAAGUGAAUACAACAUAUGAAAUAGAUGAUUAAAGAAAUGUUGCUAUUCAUUGCUACACUACCACAUUUACUUCAUGCCUAUGGGAUUGAGCGGUGUAUGUGAUUAUAGUUAUUGUAUCUUUGGUAGAUGUAGUUAAUACUAUUAUUCUAUAUCACAAAUUUUAUUAGACAGAUAGAUCUUUUGGAGUGGUCUUAAGAACAGUUUGUUUUUAAAUUGAGCUCAUAAAGUUUUAAGGUAUCUUAUCCAAUGAGUUGUGCUCAAUAAAAUGCGUUUUCAAAAUUUGAAUUUAAAUAAUAUAGUCUAAGUGAGAGAUUGUUAAAUUUUUCUAAAUAAUUAAAAUGUGGACUUACAUUAUUUAAUUUAUUUUUCUAUUUCUAAGAAAAAAAGGGUAUGCAUAUUUUUUUUAUAAAGUGACAAUAUUAUAGUAAAUAAUAUGAUCUAAUAAAGUGGACUAGGCUCUAAUAUUAAAUGUGAACUUAAAGAGGAUAGACUUAUGUAGGAAACCUUAAAUCCUAUAAUGAUUUGGACUAACCAUUCAUUAUAUAAAAGUAAAACUAAAUCUCUUAUCCUAUCUACACAAAGUAUUGAAAAUCUCACCCAUUGAAGGGUUAUAAAAUAAGGAGGUGAAAGAUACCAGUGCAUUGAAUCCCAACAAUUAAUCCGGUUAGUAUUGCUUGUACUGUCCAAUCAUGAAUAAAAAAUCAAGCAUGUUUUUGUAUUUUAAAAAUUUAACUUUGAAGAAUCUUGGGUUAAGCACACGCUAGUACAUAUAAAGUUUAUCAACAUAAAUCAAUGAGACUAAAAUUCAUUGGUUAUCUAUAAUUUAUAAUCUACAAUUGUAAUAUUAUAUAAAAGUAAGAAUGUUGAAAAACUUUUUCAUUUAAAAAAUUGAUCAUACCUGUGCAUUAAAUUUCUAAAUUAUCAUUUUAAAUAUUUUUAUUAUUAAUAAUUAAUAAAACAAUCACAUUCAUUGUUUAAUAUAGUUGAGAAGUGAGAGGAAAUAAAAAGUACAUCACAUUAUUUUACCAUUAUAACCUUAAUUUUUAAUAUAGUUUAACUUUAUUUGAAUGUAAACUUAAAGAUAACAUAUAUUAAGAACGUAAUGGGUCAUACACACUAAAAGAUAACAAGUAAAAAUGUAAAAUUGGAGAUAAAAUUAAACUUGAUUUAAAAAAAGUAUUGACUUCUUAGUACUAAAUUGAAUGAUUAUAAUUUUGUUAAGAAAUUUUACAAAUACCAUAAAAGUUACAAAAAUCUUAAUAGGAUUUAGAUUAAUGCCAUUGUCUAUAAAAUAAAAGGCAUAUGUUGCAUUUAUGAGGCACUGAAAAUCUUGAAAGGCAUAUAAGAAAUAAGAGGUGAGAUAUCGACAACCAUUAGCCCUUCCUAUCCUUGAGUGUUGGUGGGAUACUAGAGCAAGCCAAAUGUUUGGUUUUGAACCAUUUCCCAUUGUCCCCAGCUACAGAAAACAAAGGAUGACAAAAGCGCGAAACUUCAGUAUGAACAAACAAGAAGCAUAGGAUUUCUAGCAAAAUCAUCAAACAUUCUCAACUCACAUGAAUCAAUUAACACCCUAACAUCACCGAUAGACAUUUAACAGAUCUGGUUUUCUAAGAACUCCCUCAUUUGCCAAUUUGUCAGCAACACUAUUAGCGCUUCUCGAAGUGUGCACUACCUCUUAUCCUUUCACCUUGCUUUUCAAGGAUUCAAUGAUGAGAAUCCAUCUCCUGUGCUUCCAAAGAGCAUGCUAGGAGUCAUCACCUAUUUAAAAACAUUCAAUGAAUCACUCUCCACCUCGAGAUAAUAUGUCUUAGCCCAUCUUGAAGCAACAAAAAUGGUAAAAGCCUUGUUAAUAGCUAUUAGGUUAGUUAAAUUAGCAUCGCACACCCUGAUUGACUGAGAAAAAAAUUACUUUCACCUCUCCAUUUUGAUUCCUUUGUACACAUCCUAUACAUGCAUCCCCCAAAUUACCCCUAAUCGCACCAUCUACAUUAAACUUUAGCCACCCUAUCGAUGGUAGGGACUAGUCCAUAGUGAUUUUGAUUUUAGCAGUUCUAUUCGAUAUCACAGCCACAUUUGAGGCAGUGCAAAAUCACUAAUGUUGGUCAUCAUAUUUGGCCAUUUAGCCUUUCCCCAUGAAACAACCCUUAACUUGACAUGAUCAAAAGCUUGCUUGAUGUCCCAAUGCUUGCCCCAAAAAACAAUCUCAUUGUGCAAUAGCCAUAAAGUCUAGACCAUCGUGAAAAAUGCCAUAACACAUACAUCCUUAUCUCCAUCUUUAUGUUGAACUCCAUUCCGUGCUAGGAAACAAACCUUAGCAUCCCCCAAUGUAGUCCAUGCAACACUCCAAAAGUCACACCAUAAUCCCCACAAUUUCGACAAUUCACCACACAAAUGCUCAAUAGUUUCCACCUUCACCCAACAUAGCUAACAAUUAGCCUUGGUUCUAGUCAACAUACCUCUUUUAUUAAACUCACUCUUAACUACUACUUUUCUAAACAACAACUGCCAAACGAAAACCUCAACUUUUUGUAAUGCAAGAUCUUUUCAAACUUGUCUCCAUGCCUCUUAACUCUACCUUAUCCCAUAACCGACUUACAAAAUGACCUGACAAUAUAAACCCCACUAGACUCACAUUUCCAUACAAGCCUAUCCCUUGAGCCUUUAUUAGGUGGAUACCCUCCCAAAAGCCUUAUCAUUUGGUUCCAUUGUCCCAUUUCCCACCCAAACACUAUACUUCUUAACUCCACCCUCAAAGUCCACUCCUUACCAACAAAUUCCCCAAAGUCACUAACUUCACCCCCCCCCCCCAUUUUUUUCUUUUAUUUUUAAAGAAAAUAUCCUUAGAAAAUAGCAUUUAACCUUCAAUCCACUCACCUUUCCAAAAGGAAAAAUUCCUACCAUUCCCAAUAACCACUCCAAAGUCGAAAGUAAAUUGUAGUAAAAAUUUUUUAGUGGGGGAAAGGGACUAAUAAUAUUAUGCCAUAGCAUGGAACUUAACGAUUCACCACAACCUCUGGAAUCAAACUCAUGGAAUCACAACUAACCUUCCUUUCCACCAUUUCCCUCCAUAGACUCCCCUUUUAUUUCUAUACUGCAAAAUCCAUUAAUUAAGAAAAGCCUUAUUUUUAAUCCCAAGGUCCCUCAAUCCAAGUCCACCAUUCUCUCGAUAAUCACAAAUGGUACUUUAAUCCACUAGGUGCAUUUUAUUUUUAGGACCACUUCCACUCUAAAGAAAUCUCUGCUAGAUCCUUUCAAUUUCAUUUAUCACGCCUUUAGUUGCUUGAAAAAGAAAUAUGUAAUAUAAAGGCAAGGUAGUGAAAAUCAAUUGUAAGAUCGUAACUCGACUACCCAUUGAUAGUGGUUUAGACUUCCACUCUGCAAACUUCUCCUCAAUCUUUUCUAACAUCGGUUUCCAUGUCUAUAGACACCUAAGAUUAGUCCUUGAUGACUGUCUCAAAUAUGUCAUUGGUAAGGAACCAACUCUAUAACAAAUAAACUCCGUUUAAAAGCCAAACAUAGUUGGAUCAAUCCCCACACUUAUAGUUCUUAAAAUUAAUUUUAAGCCUUAACACCAGUUAAAAACUCCUAAAUAUUCUCAUGAUAUUAAUAAUAUCCUCCAAUUGAAUCUUAUAUAAUAGAAAUGUGUCAUGCCUAUACUGAAGGUGUGACACUACUCUACCCCCUACCCUCAUAACAAUGCUCUAAGACAUCUGCCUUUGCUCUGCUUUCAUCAACAAAACACUUAGAGCUUCAGUUACACUGCUAAACAAAAAAAGGGAUAGGGACUAACCCUAACAUAACCCCUUACGCAAUCUAAUAGAUGUGGUGGGGGCAACCAUUCACCAACACCAAAAUUGAAAAUGUGAAAAUGCACUCCAUGAUCCACCCCAUCCACCUAUCACUGAAACCUAUCUUGCCCGUAAAAAAAUCAAGAAAUUUCCAACAAAUGUUAUCAUAGGCCUUUUCAAAAUCCACAUUAAAAAUUAGCCCACUCCCCGACCUCUUUCUCAUCAAAUCCAUUAACUCAUUUGCUAUCAAUGCACAAUCAAUAAUAUACCUACCUUUGAUGAAGGCAUAUCAGAAUUCCCCAACCACUUCACCAAUCAAUACCUUUAAUCUAUUAGUAAGAAACUUCGUUAAAAUCUUAUAGACACUACAAACUAGACUAAUUGGGUGAAAGUCAUUACACAACUUAUCCAACGAUUUUGAUCCAAUUGUAAUCUUUUAAAGAAUGGUAGCUUGAAUAGAAACUUCAAGAACAUAAGUGAUCAAUUGAACUUACCCUUUGUUUUGUGAAAGUUUGAAAAAUAAAUAAAAAUUGAAGAAAAAAGGAAACAAAGGAAGAGAGAGUUUGAUUGUAAUUAAUAAGACUAAUAUGUUAAAACAUUUUUGGUUCUAACGACUAUAUUUUUUUGUGUGCAAUAUCUCUAAAUUAUGACGAUGACAAUAAAAUGGAUCAAUCUAAGAAAAGUUGGACAAAAAAAAAGUAGGUAUUUGAAUUUUUCUAUUUAUUUAUUUAUCCCAUUUUCCAUUAAUGAAAUUAUUGUUAGCAAUUGUGACUUAAAUACCAAAUAGAUUUUGAUAGAUCUUUUAGUUGGUUGGAAGAUAAUGCUUGGCAAUCAAGUUUACUUAACAAAUAAAAAGGCUUGUUAGGCAAAAAUUUUAAGAGGAAAUAGAUUCUUGUUGGUCAAGUUAACUGCGCUACAAAUAUAGUUAUAAAUAUAGGGGAGUCUCAAAGGGUGAGUUAUGAGAGAAAGAAGUAGAGUUGUACAGUUUAAAAGGUUGGAUGCGUAGGCACCUCAUGAAGUUAAGGGAGAGAUAAUGAGUGUGAAUGUUUAAUGUUUGGUAAAGAUGUGUUGAGACUGAGCAAGAGUGCUCACAGAGACGGAGUCAGAAUUUCAAAUAAGGUGUGACCAAACUAAAGUAAAGAAUUUAACGUAAAAAGUUUUAUUUAGCAUAAUUGAUGUAUAAUAUUAUCUUAUGAAAAAAUAAUAAAAAGUUAUAUGCCAAAUAUAAACAUAGACGACAUACAUAAAAGUUCAAGUACUAAAAUGAAAAAAAUAUAACUAUUACAAAUAGAGAGAAGUUAGAUGCAUUUAUUUAAAACUGAGCACCAGAUUCUUUCAUAGAAACAAAAUCAUUAAGAAGAGUCAAAAAAGUUUUAGCAAUUCCUUUCUCAAUGUAGGCAAUAAGAUUCACUAGAAGGAAGUCAUGCUCCAUUUUGUUGUGAAGUUUUCUUUGGAGAAUUGUUAUAAUUGAAAAUGCUCUUUCAAUAGAAAUCGAAAGAGUCAAUAAAAGGGAGAAUCAAUCUAUCAACAAGAAAAUACCCUUUUGAUAUUUACGUCUUUACUAAUCCUUGACAUAGUUUAGAAAUUAUAGAUAAAUUCCACAAUUUAGAAUAAUUUAGGGCAUUGAGUUUAUAAUGUUGCAAUUGGAACUUCAAGUUUAUUUUCUCUUGUUUAGUGAAAUCAAAAGGAUAAUAUUAUUUUAUUUGGUCUAUUAGAAUGAAGGUGCGUUAGCUAAAAUCCAUUUCUCUUGUAGGUUUUUUUUUUGUUUGAAAAAUGAGAACUAAAUUAUAGUAAAUUCUUGGCAUAAUACCUAAAAACACCCUUGAAUUAUUCAGAAAAAUUUAAAUAAGCUCUUAUUAUUUUAUUGCAUUCAAUUACGUUCUUAUAUUUUUAUUUUAACUCAAAUAAGCUCCUAUGACGAAUAAUUUACUAAUUGUUAUUAAUUAAAAUGUCAUUUGUCAUUUUGUAUUAUAAGAUGUUAACAUGACAUGGUCACUUGUCAUAAUAAUGAUGACGUGGCAUGAUGACAUGAUCAUGCCACGUUUGUUACUCUCCAUGUCAUUGUCAUCAUGUGGGUAUAAAAUGACAAGUCUCAUUUUGACUAAUGACAAGUAGUUAACUGUUAAUCAUAAGAGUCUAUUUAACGCAAAAUAAAAAUAUAGGGACUUGAUGGAAUGUAAUAAAAAAAUAAUAGUUUAUUUGAAUUUUCUUCAAUAAUUCAGGGGUUUUUCAGGUAUUAUACUUAAAUAUUUUUUGGUAAUUGGUUGGGAUUUUGAAAUUGAAUAUUUGUGUAUCAUUGGGGUUCAUAGUUUUUUUUUUGGGAGUCAUUAGUAAAUUGAGAAAUCUGGUGUGUUCGUGUGUGUGUGUGUAUUUAUGUAUGUAUGUAUUAACAAUAGAAUUUUUCAAAAAUCUUAGAGGGCCUCAACUUUAACAUGGCUCCGACAUUGAGUGCUCAUGUGUGUGAUUUUGCGUUUGGUUAUGAACUAUAUGAGAAUGUGCUUGUUGAGACCGAGUAACAGUAUUCUUAUGUGUUUCAAUUCAGAAUUGUUUUAUGAGUGUGAGUUUGAGUGUUGAUUGUUGAUGAUUUGUUGAUAUGUUUGUUUUUCUUUACAACUAGUGAAUUAUUUUUUUUCAUCCAUGAAUGUAGAUAAGUUGAGUGUCGAAACACGUUAAAUUCUUGUUUUUUGAGUGGAUGAUUUUUUCUUUCUGAUUAUGCUUCUGUUCGCUUAGAUGUUAAUUGAGUGGGCGUUUAUCAUAACAAACCUUAACUAACUUAUUACUGCGCUCAAAUGUUAAUUCCAUUUAAUUUCUUAGCUGGUUAUCCUACAGCAUUUGAAAUGUUUUUGAGCGAAGAAUGGUUAGAGUAAAUACAGAAAGGUAAUUUACUUCUACUUGUAAAUUAAUAUAGUCAAUGUACUUAAGACAUAGAAAACUGCGGUCGCCACGGCCCGGCCCGGUCGUCAUCGUGCUUCAGCAUUAACUAUCUAAGCAGCCUAACAGUACCGUGCCUACAACCAGCCCCCCAAAUUAAUCCACCAUCCAACUUCCAGUACUGCUAUAUGUAUUAAUCUUAGAUUCGAAAAGGUUAGAAGAAAAGAGAAAGAUUAAUAAUGCAUGUGUGGGAAUGGAGGUGAUAAAAUAAAAAAAUUAGCUGAGCUGAGCCAUGCCCUUAAUUAUGGAGUUUAAGCAUAGGUAAAGUGGUAGACCUAACCAUAAGCACAAGAAGAUAUAUUCUAUCUAAUGUCAGACAGAAACUACAGAAUUUCAAGUUUCUCUUGAUUGCUUUUCAUCUUCAAGGCCUCUAUGUCGCAGGUAUCAGGUUAUAGCUUCGCUAAGGGUAUCCAAUUUUCCUUGGAGCAUCACAAUCACAAAUGCCUUUAUACCUUAAAAAUUUAUUUCUUUUAAAAGGCAAAUGACAUUUUAUUGAAUAAAGUGAUCAAUUAAGCACACUACAACUUGUCAUAUGGUUUGAGUACACUUAUGAGAGCUUGGGCCUGGCAUGGAUUUGUUCCUCUGAUCUUAAGAAAAAAGAGCGAAACACAAAAAUAAUAAUAAAAAAAAAUCAAAUUCUGACUCUUUAUGAGACACAAAAAGAGCAUUAACUUUUAUAGUACAUAUAUGCUAAUAAUUUGGAUAAUAGACAGCACAAUAUAACUAAACUAAUAAGUAAGCGACGGGUGAUAUAUAACACCUUAACUUUAGUGUGGAAUCCGCUGAAUAAAAAUUAGAAGAGUUGAAUUUAUUUAUAAAAAGAAUAGAGAAAAUUAGAAUUUCUAUGGUGGAAGAAAAGUCCAAGCGCACCGCUAAUGGCUGUGGCCAUCCUGUCCACUUUUUGACAUGUCAUUUUCUCAUCUUUAACACCUUUAGGCAUACCUCUUCCCAUGUAGGGCCUGAAAGCUAUGUAGAUCUUUCUUUUUAACUCCCCUCUCAAAAUUUUCUUUUUCUUUUCUUCCCCUCCUCCUCCUCUUCUUUAAGGAGAUAGAAAUUAAAGAAGAUUUACCUUUUGGGCAGUACGAUAAUUUAACCUUCUCUUAUCUUUGCCUACCACUUGCACCACUCGAUUCGUACAAAGCCCUCAGGUAUAAAGAGGGGAGGCCAAACCCAUGGAGGAGCUGAUUAUGAGCCAUUUGUUGCUUAGUUUAUGGCAAUAGCAGCAGCAGCAACCAUGAGCAACGACCCCAACGAUAAUAACAAUAACGACGACCACAACAACAGCAGCAGCAGCAGCAAGGAUGACCACGAACACGACAUGGUCAUGCCUGGCUUUCGCUUCCACCCUACCGAGGAAGAACUUGUAGAGUUCUACCUUCGCCGUAAGGUUGAGGGCAAGCGCUUCAAUGUUGAACUCAUUACUUUUCUUGAUCUAUAUCGCUAUGACCCGUGGGAGCUUCCUGGUAAACUACCUACCCUGCUUUCCUAUCUUUCUCAAACAACUCUUUGUCUCUUUCCUUAAUCAAUCAUUCUCUUUCCUUUGGUUUUUUAAAAAUCUUUUUUUUUGGUUUUUUUCAUCAUCCUUGGAGUGCCUACUCUUUAUCAUGUGAGAUUUUCAUCUCAUGGUUUAAAAAAUAUUUCCUCUUUAAUUAUUAUCAUCAUUUAUAUAUGUAUUCAAGUAUAUCUAUACGUGUUCUUUCAACAAUCACAGUGAUUCAUCUUCUUUGUCUUUUGUCUAUAUAAUUUUCUGCCAUCAGCCUUGGCAGCAAUUGGGGAGAAGGAAUGGUUCUUCUACGUGCCCAGAGACCGAAAGUACAGAAACGGGGAUCGACCAAACCGUGUUACUACUUCUGGCUACUGGAAAGCAACAGGAGCUGACCGCAUGAUUCGAGCAGAGAACUCUCGAUCAAUUGGCCUCAAGAAAACCCUAGUCUUCUACUCCGGAAAAGCUCCGAAAGGCAUCCGCACCAGUUGGAUUAUGAACGAGUAUCGUUUACCUCAGCACGAAACUGAGCGUUACCAAAAGGUACCCAUUUUUCUACAGCUCUUCCGAUCCACAAAGAAUCAUCAAUAUUUGAUAUAGAAGAAUUACAGAAGAGCCUUUUUGGGCUCCUUCAUCCUCAAGUUCCUCAAACAGUACUUGAUAUUUACACAUCCAGCGGGUCAUAAGAUCCAUUGGGUCCGAAAAUUUUGAAUCAUACGUUUCUCUCCUUUCACAAAACCCUAAUUUCUCUUUUUAGAUAAUUCAAACUAGUAUAAUCUUCUUAUUCUCCUAAAAAAAGGCUUUUCAAGUUUAAUUGUCAGUUCCAAAGUUUCAGUUUUGGUAACCACGAUCCAAAGCACGUACAGCAUGAUUCCAUUCAGGAAAUCAAUAUAUAAUUGCAAGAUUUUGCUCCGUAUAUGGAGCAAGACAAACAGAUAAAGAUAAUAGCAUCACAAAGAACAUUACUGACAGUGGGGUUUCCAGUCUUGUUGUUAUUUAAUUGAUUUCAUUAUUAAAUCUUUCUCUCUCAAAACUGAUAGCAACAUGCAUGACCUUCAAAUUCAAUGACCCAUACGGCCCUUACAUGUAUUGAAUACUACUGCUACUUCUAAUAACUGCAACGGUGCUCAAUGUCUUGAAAAUUUUUAAUUUAGGUCCCUUAUCUUCCAUGAAAUUUGCUUCGUCCUUCACCGGCUCCUUGCUUUCUUUUUCUUUCCGUGUUUCCUUUUUUCCAGGCUGAAAUAUCUCUUUGCCGCGUCUAUAAGAGAGCUGGAGUGGAAGAUCACCCCUCGCUCCCUCGUUGUCUUCCAACCAGGCCAUCCGCCUCAUUAAGAGGGCAGCAGUCGGGCAAGAAAUAUCCCCACGAUGCUGCUCAACAAGCCAUGGAAAGGUUUCAAGGUUUUGGAGGACAAUCACAACAAAUGGAGAUUGAAAAGAUUAGUGAAACUGAUGGAAGCAGUAGUAGUACUUCCGAUGUUACAACAGCUCUCGGACUUUCCAAGCAGAAUGUAUACCGUCCGAUGGCUCCUAUAAGCACAACACUUGGGUUACCAUCUGGAAUAGAAGAGGAAGGAAUGUUCUUAAAUCAGUCUAAGCAAGGCUGCAGCUCUUUGGUCCCCAAUUGCACAACUGUCUUUACAGUUGGCUCUUCUGUUUCGCCAAAUGUUGUCGAUGAUCUCCACAGGCUAGUAAGCUACCAACACGCUACAAUGAAUCAGCAGCAGCAUUACUAUAGUGAUCAUCAUCAUCAACAGCAACAACAAUCCGAGUUUUCUACGUUGCCUCCACAAUCACAGCAGCUUUCUCUCAACAUGCUGCCCAGCUCGCUUCCGAUGGCCUUCUCUGACCGGCUGUGGGAGUGGAAUCCAAUCCCCGAGGCAAAUAGGGAGUACAACAAUCCUUUCAAGUAGGCCCUGAACUGCAUAUAUCAUACAUAUAGAUAUACUCUAUGUUGCUCUACUGAUUUGUGUCUAGACGUCCUUAAUUUCUCUACUUUCAUUUUUACUAUCUCACUAGCUAGCAUUCAGAUAUAACUGAUAUCGAUCAACUAGUAUUUGUUUCUCUAGUAGUUUUUUUUUUUUCUGGGUUUUUAUGAGGUUGUUUGAUUCCUUCAGUAGUAAUUUCUUGCUGGGGUUUAGCUACAUAGGUCAGGGCACUGCAUCCUGGGGCUCCAAGUUAAAGAAGGAAUAAAUAUUGUCAUCAACUUAUUCAUAGUGUCGAUCUUGAAGACAAAGUAAUGUUUCCAGAUCCAACUGAAUCUGGUUAAUUUAAUCAGAAUUACAUUUUCUUUAAGCUUCAAAACACCGACAUGGCCUGAAAUGGAGUUUUGUUCUCUGAUGUGUCACUGUACACCAGAGAACGAUGAUGGGAUGAUCGAUGGAUGAUUGAUUCCCAAAGCAAAGAUUACUAGCGAAAAGCAAGAUACAUCUUGAAGAGUAUUGCAGAAGUGCGGUUGAACCCAUCCCUCAAACAAACAUCCGCAAUGAAGACAUCAAUGACUGUCCUGUUUUGAUGCUUUUGUUCGUGAAAAAAGCUUAACUAGUCGUCCCCAAAGGAAAAACAUCGUUGGAUGUUUUGCACUCAAGCUAAAAGGUGAAUCAAAAGCAGACAACAUUGAGAAAGAGCACGCCCACGAUCAAGGAAAUCACACAUCUUCUUAUCUUCAUUUUGAUUAAAAGUAGUUGGAUUUACAAAACCCCUCCCAUCUGACUCUCCCUGCGCGAGUAAUUAUAGACACUAAAGAACAUAGAGCAUGGAUAAUCUGGUCUAGUUGUCUGCAGUAACCAAGUCAUAGGGCGUAGCUGUAUUUUAAACUAGGCAUCUAGGGUGCAGUCAUUAUUGCUGCAAAGUCAGGGAGAACUGCAUGUGCACACUUUGUGGGCGUGCUUGCUUCAUUGCGGGCGGAGCUUUGUGGCUAUGGCGUUUUUAGUUUAGAACUAGAGAGGUCCAUGGCCCGACUGUGUGCAGCGCACUGUCCUCCUAUGACCUAAUUCUACUUUAUCAGCUCUUUUUUAUUCCUCAGUGAAUGAAAAUAAAUGCAUGUUGACAGUCAGAAAGAAACGUACGGUUACCAUUUUUACCGUCGGGGAUAGUUGACGUGGUGACACCCUUCUCUCUCUCAUUUCGGCACGAAGUAACAUAUUAAACAAGUUAACACACAAUUAGACAAUUUAAAUUUGUUGCAGAUGGGUUUGAUUUCUUGAACCUUUAGAUCAACUAAAUCCAAAUAAGAGAUGCUGAGAAGGGCCUUAAAUUAAAAACAUCCCCAAACGUCAUGGAGCAUAACUCGUAAUUCAGAUUUCAAUCGUAGUUUACAUGAUCCAUUACUUUUUUGGCCAUAAAGAACUUUACAGCGUGUUAUGAUUUUCAUUUCAGUUAUAAGGUUUACGUUUUUCAUUUUUUUGUUCAUCAGGAUUUUAAGCUAUACAAUCUUCUUAAUCAUAUAAAUUUUAUGUUAUCCAUCACAACUUUGAGAUUUUCAUAAUGAAGUUCUCGACCGUGAGAAUGCCCGGACAUUACAAGUUGACCCUAUCAACCAUCAUCAUAUCCCUACUUCUUUAAAUUCUUGAAACUAUAUGUUACUGAACUUAAAUUAACCUAAAGUUAAUGAUGACUAACAAGCAAAUGCAAUCUUUUGGAAGAUAAAAUUUUGUAGGUGUCAAGUAGGCUUGCUAAAAGCCAACAUUCCAAAACAGUUUAAAAGACCUGUCGCUUACGCUUUGGUCUCAAUUGUCUUAAGGUAUCGCACUCAGGGUUAAAAGGUGAAGGAGUCACAGUCCAGAUUCAUUAAGGAGUUUGGAAACUCAAACUUGCAACGAGACUCCUACAAAGGACUUAACUUCCAUCAUAAUAGUAGAGAUGGAUUUGGAGAUAAGAUACAAAAUUAGGUGUUAAGAUACAAAAUUAGGUGUUAGACACCUUUUCUACCGAAGCAGAACCUAGCCUUUACUAUUAUUCAACGAACCAUAAAAUAAUAAAGAGGAAAAACAACGAAGAGCUUCUUGAACAGUUUAUAUAAUAAAUAUAAUGCACAAAAUAACUAGAGAACAUGUUAUCAAUCAAAACAUAUACAACAAUCAUAUCAUAGCAAUAAAAAAAUGCAUAGCCUAAAUCACGUUUUUCUAAGUAUAAAUAAUAGGGAAAAUUUUUUUUAGCCCUUAAAAGUAACGUGUUUUUGUAAAUAAGUUUUCAGAUAAUUUUAACUAUUUUUAGCCACGAUAAUAGAUUUUGGGACAAAAAUGCCCUUAAUGAGCUAUCUUCGUUGACGCACACUCUCAAAUAGACGAAAAACGAAAAAAUAAAUAUGUAAAGAAUUUACGAACAUCUAAUUUUGUGUAAAACAUCCAUUUUUUUUCGUGAAGCUUGUGCAAAACAAAAUAAUGUUGCAUGAGAUGGCUUUCAGAGAUUUGGGACAUGGCAUUCAGAUAAUAAGAGAAGAAUGAUAUUAAACCUAACGAGGAACCGGUCGUAAUGAAUGGAAAGCUUGGAGAAUGAAGUGAAACCAGAAAUCCCUGAUACGAUGGUGAAUCGAAAGGAGAAAGACGUGAAUCCAAAGCACGAAAUGGUCGUGCUACAGCAGGCCAUAUGUGAGACGGCUGUGGUAGGGCAGGAUUUAGAGUUUGUGAAACGGCAUGUUAGGAAUGUGUGACAUGACAUGGUGGGAAUGUGUGACAUAGCUGUGACACGACAGGGUUUAGAGUUUGUGAUACGACAUGGUUGGAAUGUGUGACACGGCUAUGACACGUCAAGGUUUAGAGUUUGUGACACGCCAUGGAGGGAAUCUGUGUUACGCCAGCGUUUAGAGUUUGUGACACACCAUGGAAGAAAUCUGUGACACGUUAGAGUUGAAAGUUGGUGACACGCAAUGGAUGGAAUCUGUGACACGCCAACGUUUAGAGUUCGUGACACGCCAUUGAGGGAAUCUGUGACAUGCUGGCGUUCAGAGUUCGUCACAUGUGAUGGAGGGAAUCUGUGACACGCCAGCGUUCAGAGUUAGUGACAUGCCAUGGAGGGAAUCUAUGACACGUCAGCGUUUAGAGUUUGUGACACGCCUUGGAGGAAAUCUGUGACACGGUAGGGUUCAGAGUUUGUUAGACUCCAUGGAGAUCCGUGACAUGGUAGGGUUUAGAGUGGGUGACACAACAUGGUUUGAAAAAGGAAAAAAAGUUGGCAAAUAACGAGGAAACCGAUUGGACUUCAACUGAAUGAAUUAAAUAAAUGAAUAUUGAUAGAGGAAAUUGUGAGGCCAUUUCAUUUUAUUAAAUAUUUUCCAGAAAUCGCAAAUGUCUAUGUGAAGAGGUUCAUUCUUCAUUCCUUAUUCCCAAAGAUGCCAGAGUGUUCGACUUUCUUCUUUGCAAGCUUGACAACACUACAACAACAAUGUCUGUUAUCAGUGAAGAGGUUAGUCAGUCUGAAAAUAAAACUUUUAAAACUUUCUUCUGUUCAUUGAUUUUUUGCUAGGUUUGUGUGAUAUGUUUGUGUUUUUUUCAAUCUUUUUCAAUUGUUAUGUUUAAACUGUUAUCUUCCUGAUUUUAUGGUCGUACCAAAGUUUUGAACUACAACAGAUAUGGCGUGUAGUGGGUAAAUUGCUUUUUGGGGUUUUUAACAUGUCACGACAUUAGUUAUUUUAAGGCAGUUCGUGUAACGAGUUAGUAAUUACAUUGAUUGUUGUGUCACACGCCAUGGGUGUUUUAGGCCAGUUCGUGUAAGGACAUAGUAAUUAUAGUGAUUGGAGUGUCAGCGUUGGCAUGUUACAACAUUUGACUUAAUACGCAUGGCGUGUUACAACAUUUUACGUUAUAUGCAUGGCGUGUUACCACAUUUUACGUUAUGCAUGGCGUGUUACCACAUUUUACGUUAUACGCAUGGCGUGUUACAACAUUUUACGUUAUAUGCAUGGCGUGUUACCACAUUUUACGUUAUAUGCAUGGCGUGUUACCACAUUAUGGGUUAACUCACUCGUGCAUGUGUGCCAUAUUAUGGGUUAACUCACUCGUGCAUGUGUGCCAUGUUUUGUAGAUGCAGUCCAGACAGUAUGAGGAUCUUGACAAUUUGCUUAUUGUGUCGAGGGAGAAGUGGGCGUUCAAUGUCGCUAUUAACACCCAUUGUAAGUGGUCGCAACAGCAUUACAUCAACAAGACCCUCUAAGAGAAAGAGGAGUACGAUGCAAUGAAGCGUACGUGCUUCGGAAUGCUGCUGGACUUAUAUCCGCAAGGCUACUUCUCCAUUGGUCUCCUGCAUAACAUCAUGAUCUGUCGAAUCACUGUGACAGAUUCAAUGGAGCAUGAGCUAUGGUUUGCAAUUGGGAAAAGCAAGGCGAGCAUAUCAAAGUAGGAGUUCUGUGUUGUCACCGGACUGAAGUUUGGUCGAAUGCUGGAUGUGUUCACACAACCGUACAAGGUUGUUGUGGACGAAAUUUAUGUGCGAUACUGGAAUGGGCAGUAGAGCGUUAAGUUGCAGGCCUUGCUUGAUACAUUCUACGGAGGCAACUUUCAGCAAUCGGGAGACAUGACCAAGAUGGCACUCAUCUUGAUUAUGAAUAACAUUUUAAUUGGUCAAGACUUCCCUAGAUGGGUGACGCCUUGGCUUUUGUCAUUGGUGGACGACAUCGACACUUGGAAUGUCUUCCCAUGGGUUCACUAUGUUUGGAGGCUGACCUUGGACUACCUUUUGAAGGGGUUUGAAGUGGUUUCCUCAAACGUGUAUAAGGAUCAUUUACGGUACAACAUUUACAGAUUCGAAUAAGUGAUACAAGUAUUGUCACAUAAUAUUUUUCAUUCUCCUUUUGACAUAAUAAUUUAUGGUUGCAAUCGUUUAUCAUUUAUGGUUUGAUAAUGGUUACAUUUGACUUGCAAUUCUGGGCAAUUGAGGCAAUUUUGGCCUUGCGAAAGAUAGUUGGCCCCCCUGCUCCGAAGGAUGUCUACCCACGCAUGUGCAAAUGGCAAUGCAACCAAAAGCCAAAAGACUUUUACAAGGCAAUUGAGAUGUUGGAGUCAUCUUAGCAGGUGAGUGAACAACUAUUAAUUUCUGUUGUGAAUUUGUAUGAUAAUUUUCCCUAAAAUUUAAUCACAAUCCCUAUUUUGCAGUUGUGGGCAGUGGAGACCUUGGAGCCCACCCCGGAUGAGGCUAGCUAGGAUUAUUUUAUGGACAUUGAUGUCUUAUUAUCUGAGGGCCACUAAUACGUGCUAAUAGGGCACAUGGAGGAUCGGGCGGACUGGGGCUUAGGUGUAAGGGAAAAAAGGAGAAACUUGAAGCAAGAAAGAGCCACUGGCUCCAUGAAGUGAAGGUGCACCACUGCUGCUGUCGUUAAUGAGCUGUCGAUCCUCGAGUUGAUAGAGGAAGGUGAUAACCAUGGCAAUGGCAAUGAAGAGCCGGUAAGGACAAUUCUAAAGGUUUGUGUUCAACAAUUCCAUAUGUGAUUAUCAAAUAAUAUAUCUGUGUUUGUAGUUGGACCAUGCAACGACAGCUCCACAACCACCGAUAGGUCUUCUUUAUACUCAUAGUGCUAACGAGGAGUCGAUAAAGAUGGUUGUAACGGUUUGUGUUCAACAAUUCUAUAUGUGAUUAUCGAAUAACAUAUCUGUGUUUGCCGUUGGAUCAUGCGAUGACAGCUCCUCAACCACUGAGAGGUUUUCCUUUGAUGCACAGUGUUAAUGAGCCGUCGGUAAGAUCGGUUCUAACAAUUUGUGUUCAACAUUUCCACAUAUGUUUAUCGAGUAACACAUUAAUUUCUGUUACUGCAGUUGAGGGAGGCGACCAUAACUCCUUAACCACCAAUCGAUCUUGCUCAACUGUAAAGUGGUGAUGAGCCACCGGUAAAGAUAUUAAAGUUCUAACGAGUAAUGUUCAACAAUUCCAUAUAUGAUUAUUGAAUAGCAUAGUAAUAUAUGUUAUUGCAGUUAACCCAUUAAACAAAAAUCAAUGACGGAGUAGUCACGAAGCGUUAGCUGCGACAGAUUAUGCACCAGUAUAAAAAGACAUGUCAAAGUUGAAGGCUUCAAUUUAGUCAUUGACUCUGGCGAUGUAAACGUUUGAGGACCGUGUCAUUGCUCAGAUUCUAGACUACCUAAAAUCACAAGUACAUUAUUUUAUCUUCGCUCAUAUAUUGGUCAUUUACGUUUAGCAGGUGUAGUUUUAUUUUUUAUUCUCGGUUUGUGGUUUGUGGUAUUUUAUGAGUUAACAGAUUUUCUCAUUUGUCUCAUUUUGUAGGGCAGACCUUCAUCUCAUGGUGCUGGUGAGGACCACGAUGAUGCUGAUGAUGGGCACCAUGAUGAACAUGGUGUGCACAUUCAUGAUGACGUUGCUGGUGCUUACGGAGACCCUGUUCCUGAGGUUGAUCCGGUUAUCAAUGCGCCUGCGAGAGGGGAAAGGGACCUCCACUUAGUGAUGGUUGAAGGAGAGCAUAUUCCUCAGGCCGAUGCAUUAGUGGAGGCAGCAGCAAGAGGGGACCAUCUUCCUUAGAGCACUCUUGAAGUCAGCGGCUCACAAUUGUCGUCACUAGAGUCAUCUGAUGUCCAUCAUCGUGCAGCACAAAUUUCAAACCUAAUUGAGCGGGCACAGGUGAAAAUGACGGGCAAAUACACGGCAAGCCCAUACGUCAACCCCUCAAUGAGUCGUCGGGAUGUAAAGAACACAAUGGUUGAAGCAUACGAAGCUUUCAAGAAAGACGAGUGCACGAGGUAAGCUCAUAAAUAACAUUGCAAAUAUUGUUUUUUAAUGAAACAUUAACCCACCAAGGCUUUUUAAACUCAUUCUGUUACAUAUGCAGGUGUAACGUAGGGAUCCUAGGGGAUUAAGGGGCUAACUUUUUCACAACAUUAAAGGAUCCCAAAGAAAAAAUGACUAGUGAACAUAUAGAUGCAUGCCUCAAUGUACUUUGUAAGCAGAUGACAGAGCUAAAGUCAAAGUUGUACACGACCAAUGCAUGCGUGGUUGACACGAUAUUCUUCGUAAGUAUAUUUGAAAAAUUUUCAAUUUUGAAAAUACUAAGUUUUUGAUUGCAUUAAGUGUAAGCUAAUGUAUACAUGCUUCACAGGACACCAUCCAUAUGCUCCACACCUCAUUUCCAAUUGAAGAUGCCCGAUCGACUAUGAAAAUUCCAGAUGAGUUGCUAGCGUAUGUGGAGGGUAAGAAGCAAACAUACGACAAAAAAUAGGAAGAUGUCGAUUUCAUCCUCGCGCCUUGCAAUAUGUGUGGGCAUUGGGUGGUAGCGAAGAUCGACUUGGUGAGGUGGAUGAUCAAGGUGGUGGACUUCGCAAGAACUUCGGAUGCUUAGGACAACGAAGUGCGAGUGGCUCAGAUGACACCCCUUACGACAAUUAUGCCCAUCAUCUACCACCAAGCUAGUUAUUUCAAUAAAACAUGGUGGAAGACACAGUAUUUGAGGUCAACACCAUUGGAAAUUCAUUUUCCAAAAGCUAAAGUACAUUGGCAAUAUGAUAGUGUCAACUGCGGUAUGUUCAUGAUAGGGUACAUUGACGAUAUUUUACAAUCAGAAUCGAUCAGAGUUAAUCAAAAAAUGAUUGCAAAUUUGCAUAACCAAUACACUCUAUAAAUUUUUUCCAACAGUUGUGAGAGUGAACCCUAAACAUAUCGACCCUUUUCUGUACAUUUUUUGUAUAUACAAUAAAUUUUAUUAAUUUUAAUAUUCGUACAUUUUAUACAUUACUUUUUCUUUCUCAAUUCAAACACAAUGCCUUUAAAUCAAUAUUGUAACCAUUUGGCGUGUCACACAAUAGGGGCAUGACGUGUCACCCCUGAAAACUAGAACAAGUCAACGUGUCACGCCAAGUAUAUGGUUCCACUCAAUGUGUCACCACAAUUGGGAGUGUCGUGUCAUCCCACAAUAUAGCAAGAAGUCAGCGUGUCACUACAGAAAUCUGCAUGCACUCAGCAUGUCACGCCAACUAUCUACUUUCACUCAGCAUGUCACCACAAGAUGGGGCAUACCGUGUCACCCUAUAAUAUUGCAAGAAGUUAGUGUGUCACCACAGAAAUUUGCAUGCACUCAGCAUGUCACACCAACUAUUUGCUUCCACUCAAUGUGUCACCACAAGAUGGGGCGUGUUGUGUUAUCCCACAAUAUUGUAAAAAGUCAGCAUGUGACCACAGAAAUCUGCAUGCAGUCAGCGUGUCACGCCAACUAUCGGCUUCCACUCAGCAUGUCACCCCAAAAUAAUGCAAGAAGUCAGCGUGUCACCACAAAAAUCUGCAUGCAAUGAGCGUGUCAGCUUAGCAUAAUAUAUUUUUUAAGAAUUUUCGUCUUUAUAUUUCAAUUUUAUUUUUAAAAUGUUUUAAUUUAAUAAAUAUUAAUUAUGAUGAUUCAUAGAUGAAAUUUGAUUGGAUGAUCCAUAAAUUUUUUAAAUUUGUUUGGUCAAGUUAUGUGUUUUAAUCUUAAAUUUCAUAUCAUCUGUUUUUAAUUAGUACAAAUUUUCUCUUUCUAGACUUGCAUCCUUUGAAGUAAACUCCUUGGUGCAAUAUUAUUAUUAUUAUUAUUAUUAUUUUGUUAAGUGAUUGGCUUAAAGUUUUAUAUGGAGGUAUUAAUAAGAUAAAAUAAACGUUGUAAUUAAAAAAGUAUAAAAAUAAAUUGAAUAUGAGGAUUUAAAAAGCUACUAAAGUUAGAUGAAUUAAUUUUUUAUCUCUUAAGAGAUUUGAUUGUAAGAACAUAAAAGUUUAAAUCAAAUGAAAUAGAAAGAAAUUAAAUUAAAUCAUUAAUUGUUUAAUACAAGUUGUAAUAGAAUGUGAGAAAGGGGGUAACAGUAUAGGGACUUCACAAGUUUGUUCAAUGUUCAAAACUACGGACAAAAUGAAAUGAAUAAUCAAAUAAUAUAUCUAUAAAAUUAAUAAAAAAAAUAAAGACUUAUCUAUAAGAGGAAACUAAUAAACACAAAAUCCAAAUAUGAAUGAAUAUAAGAUAUUGCAAGAGCAAAUUGUGACAUAGGUAUUGCACAUGGGUUACACAUUUAGUUAGGCUGACAAGUUGUCUUCAUCCACAAGACACCCUACGUUUUUGAACAUUGCCCUUCGUAUUGGACAGUUGUUGCAUGUGUGAUCGAUUUGUCUGUAACUUGAACACGUUUUCGGCCGGCGCACUCGUGGAGGCACCGAUUAACUUGGAAAUGGUGCCGGAUUUGUGGAUGGAACUAUAAAUGGUGAUGGGCAAUUCUGUCUAUUAUGGAAGUACCUCUUGCAUUGUGAACAUCUUCGUGCUUGACUGCCUUUACCGGCGGAUGAAAUCCUUCUCCUCCGAGGUCUUCUCGCUUGGCCUCGCCAAGGUGGUGGCAAGACGACAAUUUAUUUAACAUGAGAGGGGAUGUCCCACUCACUAGGAUGCCUUACUGGGCGAAUAGACCCCGCAUAACCCUUCACCAAAACGGUUGUCUUGUAGUAGUCAGCGUAGAAUUCAAUGGCUUAACGUUUGCAUUGACUGAAAAAUACAAUGAACUCAAUGUUCAAGCACAAUGUAAAUACUAUGUCAAUUAGGGUUCAAAUAAGAAAUAAAGAUAUUCUGACCUUAUGGCUGCAACGGCAUGGCUGCAUGGCAGUAAAUCUAUUUAGAACUCACAACAUGAACAUGUCUUCAUGGAUAGGUUUACAAGUCCAUCCCUCUUCCCGUUUUUAACUUUGAACUCCACUCGAUUGAUAGGUUUAACCACAAAGCGAUGUACAUCAUUAAACCGUUUGCUCAAUUUGUUGGCAACCCAAGGGCCGAGGGGCAUAGUCACCUUGACGGCCUCUUUGUAUUUGUCAUGGAACCAACGUUGGAACAUGUCUCUGAUGAACUAGAUCAAAACAGUGAUUGGCAUUUGUCUUGCAUGCUUCAAGCAUGAGUUAACACAUUCCACAAUGUUGGAUGUCAUCAUUUGGUAUCGCCUUGCCGGUGAACAGGCACAUACCCAUCUCUUAGGGCCUAUUCUCAUAAGGUCAGCGUGGGCUCCCGCGUGAAUCUACUUGAGCUGGUUCAUAUGUUUGUUGAAAUCGAAAACCUUAUAGCAAUCUCGAGCAAGGAUGAAAAUCAUAGCAACGUCGUCGCGCUUGAACUUGUUUUCAAAGUUUUUCUUCAAGUGGUACUCGCAUAAACCAUGGUACGUUUCUGGGUAUGCAUUUUAGAUUACUUUCUUAAUGCCGAGAUGCUGAUCAGACAUGAACAUAGUGUUUUCAAGAUAACCAACUGCAUCACAUAACUUGCUAAGAAACCACGUCCAUCAGUCUUAGUCCUUAACAUGGCCGAUGCCAAAUGCAACUGGAUGUAUGCACUCAUUUGCAUCUUUGCAUACAUCGACAAACAGAACACCCUUGAACUUGCCUUUUAGAUGUGUCGCAUCAAUUGCAAUCGUAGGAUGCAUUACAUCCUUAAACCCUCGAAUACAAGCCCUGUAUGCCUAGAAACAAUAAUUGAAUCUUUCUGCAGCAUCAAUAGCCACUACAGUGACUGUGCUAGGAUUUUCUUGCUCCAACUAUAAAAAUACGAGGGUUGUAGUUGAAAUGACUCCUCCGGGGGACUGAAAACAAGUCUCUCCGCAUACUCGUUCACUUGCCAAGCCUUACUAUACAGGUAUUCCAAUCCCUACUAAACCCUCAUCUCACCAAUUAUGUUCUUAGGUCUUAAUGCUAUUCCAUUAGCUUGAAGCUUGAGUGACAUAAGUUCACCAAUUAUCUUCGCACUCGCGAUUAUAAAUUGCCCUUGCAAACAUUGACAGUAUACGUGUGUACUUUGUGAAACAUUCGAACUUACCAAUAUUUUCCUCCUUCAGGUAACUUCGUUGCACACACACUGAACUUGCAUGCCUUGUCCUUGCAACCAACAUCAUUAUGAGCUUUACAUGACUUUUUUACUCUUAUCCCAAACUGCUCUUUUAGAGCCAACAUGUUCAAAGCUCGUUUCAACUCGACCUUUGAGGAAAAUAUUUUUCCUUUAUAUAAGUGAUCAUCGACAUAUGUCGACUCCUCAAUUGUAAUUGUUUGGUAGGAGAAUCUUUCUGCACCUGGAAUUACCCAUGUACGAGAUAUCCCUGCAUUUCCCUUUUCCUAAAACUAUCAUGGAGCAAUGUACUAGGGGAACGAAUCCCGUUCUCAUCAACGAUGGGGUUAUUGUAUAUGGGGUCAUCACACUGAACAUCUCCUACAUCAACACCUGCAACAGGUUUCGUUUCGCCUUCAACAUUAUUGCAACUUAGAAUGUCACUGUCAUAAAGCCAGUCCUCUUCUGAACUCUCAUCAUGCCAUUCAUCAAGCCCAUCAUCCAAAUUGUCAUCAAAUUUAUCUUCACCGACAAGGAACAAAUCCUCAUUUUCCUCAUUAGAUGCAGCAUUAUCCUCGAGCGUCACAAUGUCACCCUUCAACGUCACAGUGUUGUCCUCAAGUGUCGCAUUCUCAUUUGAAAAUGCCAUUACACCCUGUACAGUUUCACCCGAUCAUUACAUUUAUUGGAUACAAGUAACUAAUUGGUUUGAUGCACAUCUUGAUCGGAAUUGUGCAGCCAACUAUUCUGUGAAUGUCGUGUGUCUAUCGGGCUACACAAACUCUUGUGCAUACGUCAAUUGCCAUUGUUAUGGGUUAUGGACCGAAUGCUGUGGUAUAUGUGAAGCAUUGUAUAUCUCAUUUUAAUUGAGCUGAUUACCAUGUUGUUCAGCUUCUUCAUGUGACAUAACAUUUGUUUGGCGUCCCUUAAUGCUGAUAUACACGGCUGAAACAUUCAUCUGUUCUAGCAGAAUUAAUGUAACAUCUUCAUCGUCCUUGAUAAUUGGCCAUGAUAGCUCUCCAGGUGUACUGAUCAAUGCAUGUAACUUAAUCUCAUCAAUUUCUAAGUUUCAACAACAUCUUCAACCAGCUUCAUCAAUCCCACAAAUGACAAAUCACUCUUAACCCCCUACAUUCGUGACUCACCACCCUUGUAAAUACUAUCCACUCACUGCCCACCGGGUCUUAUCAUAAGUCGCACAAUUGGAACCCCACUAAAUUUUGAAAAUAACAAUAAUUUGUCAAUCAUUUAACACAUUACAUAACAUGCCGUGUUCUAGAAUUUAUUAGUCAUGUUGUAACACGCCUUGCAUAUAAUGUAAAAUAUUGUAACACGCCAUGCAUAUAAUGUAAAAUGUUGUAACACGCCAUGCAGAUAACAUAAAAUGUUAUAACACGCCAUACAUAUAACGUAAAAUGUUGUAACACGCCAAUGCUGACACGCCAAUGACUAUAAUUACUGUGUCCUUACACGAAUUGGCCUAAAAUACGCAUGGUGUGUGACAUGCCAAUCAGUGUAAUUAAUGACUCAUUACACAAACUGUCCUAAAAUAACCAAUGUCGUGACACGCUAAAAUAACACUAACACAUGUUAUAGAUGCAUGGCGUGUAACAACUUUAGGCAAUGUCUCUAAUCCAUGUUCUAAUUUACACCAAAUGUUUCAAAUUUAAGUGUUGUAGCAAUAAACCCAAUAACAUACCUUGAUGUCAUCUCUGAUAUAGGGUCUGUUAAUCUACGACAAUAUGGCCAUAUGCUAAGAGAUAGACCAUAGCCCGAUGACGAUGGUGCUCAAUAGAGAGUUGACAGAGCUCAUAAAGUUUAGAGAGCUAAGAAAGCUGAUGACAAUGGUGCUUAAUAGAGAGUUGACAGAGUUGAGACAGUUUAAAGAGUUAAGAGAGAAAGAUGAGCGAGCUCAAACAGCUGAGCAUUUAUUUAUCUCUAUAUUCUCUCUAGUGGGAGGGAAAUAUCGGGACCUUAAUUUGAAACGAUGGUUUUUAGGGCAUUUUGGUCUACUCAUGCUUCUUUUUGGCUAGAAAUAGAUAACUUUAUAUGGGUGGUUAUUUCUGAAAUCACCUUAUCAAGAGGUCCAUUUCUCAUAAUUUCCUCUAAAUAAUAUUCCAAAUAUAGGGCUAGGAUUGUGUAGGAAAAGGAAGGGGAAGAAUAAAGAAAGUGGAACCAAAAAUUGAAGAAAGUGAGGAAGGAGUGGUAAAGUCUUCCCUAACUGAAAUGAUGUUGGGAAUUGUAAUAAGACCAUAAAAGCAGAGGCAAUAGAAUGUUGGAAGAUAGUGAUGCAGCGAGUUAGCGUGAAAACAAAGGCUUGCACUUGACAGAGCCUUUAAGAUUGAUAACCAAGUUUCAAACAAAAAAACUUACACUCAAAUUUUGAGAGAAAAUAGAAUAUUGUUCAAUAGUUCAAAGAAAAUAAGUUAAGUUGUCUUUUAAUUAAAUUUAAAGGUGCUAUUUAUAGUAGUUUAAUCCUACUUAACUUAAACUUGGAGUGCAAGUAAAGUAAAUUAAAAUAGGAAGCAUUAUACCUUAGACUUGGAGUACAAGGAAAAUAAUAUCCUAAACCUAUACUUACUUGUCGUCCAAGUAAAAUAAAAUAAAAGAAAAGUCUAUUAUACCUAUAUUUCCUAUGUAAGACUCUCAACUAAACAAGGAAAAUAUUAAAUUAUGAAUAUGCCCAUUUAUGACUUUUGGGCUUUCGUCUUGACUUUUGACGCCCAGCCUACUUUAAGAAAUUGUCUAUUAGAUGUUCUACGUUAGUCCCCUCCACUUGAAAAAAACUCGACCUCGAGUUAACUUGUAGAUCUGGAUAUAAAUGUUCAUCUGAUGGAUAAAAUGGGUAAAUAUCCAUCACAUUAGAUGUUUUGGAAAUUCCCAUUGUAUCUGGCAAAUCCACAGCAUAUUCAUUGUCAUUGUAUCUAGCACUAGGAAUCAAAUCAAUAUGGUGCUAAAAAUCUCUCAUGGAUGGUAAGCCAUCAGGAAAAUCUUCUAGCAUCACUUCACUGAAUUCUUCGAGUAACAGUUUAACUACUUCUAGAUGUUUUACUAUUUUCUGAUUUCUUGUUUUGGAAACAACAUCAUUCUUCUCACCACAUAGUUUUGGCCAUCGUCAUAAUCCUCAUACUCGUCAUCAUUCUUAUCUGGACCAUAGCAAAUCUCAUAAUCCCCUUCUUCUAGUUCCACCACAUGAAUUGCUUUUCUGAGAGGACAAUCACUAGAUAUGUGACCAGGUUGAUUGCAUUUGAAACUCUUUCCUAGGGUUGGUUGGACAUAAGGAUUUGCAGCUUUUUGCCCUUCCUUCGCAUUUAUUAAUUUAUACUUUCCAAUUGCUUUCUCCUUUCUGUACUGGCCAUUGUGUGCAGAACUAUCAUGAACUGAUUUAUUCUUAUCGUUGGAUGCUCUAUAAUUAUCCCCAUUGUAACUUUUGCCAAAAUAAUCAAAUCUGUUCUUUUCCUACAACAUCAGUUUAGCUUUUAAAGCAAUAUUUCGUGCUUUAGAUAAAUUUCGCAAUACUUGUACCCUUAUCUUUUCUCUGAUAAUUGGCUUCAACCUUUCAAGAUACCUAGUAACCUGUUGCCCUUCGGUAUCUCUCAAGUCAUUCCUUUUGGCCAGCCUCAGAAAUUCAGCAGUGUAGUCAUGUACAGUUUUUUGACCUUGAUUGCAUCUUUGGUAUUUCUAGAACAAAAUUUGCUCAUAAUCAUGGGGAAGAAAAUCCUUCUGUAACAGUUGCUUCAUCCUAUACUAGGUUCUAACUGGUGCUUUUCCUUCACGAUUCCUUCUAGACUGUAACCUUUCCCACCAUGUACAAGCUCCACCUUUUAAUCUACAAGUGACAAGUCUCACCUUUUUUCCUUCUGAAAUCUCCAUAUAUUCGAAAAACAUGUCCAAAAAUUCUUCAAUAUUUAAAUUCCCAUUAAAGCAACUAAUAUCCACCUUUAAUUUGAAAUCUCAGAUAUCUCGAUCAUCAUAAUCAUUCCUUUCAUAUUCAGUGUAUCUCAUAGGUUGUGCAACAUAAUCAUCUUGUUCAUCAAAAUCUUCCAUGUAGACUUGUUGUUUACGCCCAUUUGCAAGAACAGGUAGAUUUCAUGUUUUGAAACAUCAAACAAAGUUUUUAACUUAGGAAAAUUCAUAUUUUGAUGUACUAUGAUUUGAAAGGAAAAGAAAAAAGGACUUCAAAAUUGAUAUACUAUGAUGAUUUGCAAAAGUUUAGGGGAAAAAAGAGUUCAAUUGGACAAGUUUCCAAAGCUUAUUUUUUACAUACUAUAGAAAAUGUAUCGAUACAUGUCUUAGUCCCAAUUAAGUGCUAGAAAGGGGGAAUCUUUUACCUUAAAAAUUCUCAUUAAUUUCAAUCAAAUAACCUAUUUUGUACCAAAACUAUCGAUACAUUCUUAAAUGUAUCAAUACUUUCAUGCAUUUAUUGAUACAUUAGUAAAAUGUAUCACAUUUUGCAUAAAAAAGUUUCUUAAAGCAUUUUGUUUAGAAUGUAUCGAUAUUUUCAGCCUAGAACCCAAAUUUUUGGGCAAAAUCCUCCAUUUUUACCAUUUCUUAAAUUCCCUUACCUAUUAGGACUUUCUUUAAAGCUCAGUCUUCUUCACUUAGCACAUUUUCAUGCCAUCAUAGAGUACAAAUCAUGAACAAUGCUCAAACAACAUUAGUAUGGAACAUACCAUAAACAUAGUAAUUACGAUCAUUCCAUUAACAUUAAACUUAUACUUUAUGAUGGUACGUCCCGCAUCAGCCUUGGGCUAGCAAUGUACAGUCCCAUUUCUCCUUGGAUAUUUAUGAUGCAUCAUAGGAGUGAAGUCAUCACUUGUACCCUGUGAAAGUGGAAUUAAUUGCACUCAUAGAGUUCUCAUACUUGUAGUAUUAGGUAUGUGGAAUGUCCUUCACAUAGAAGCUUACUCAUCACAUAAGAUACAUGAAAAAUACAUCAUAUACAUAAUCUCAUGGCAUUCAUCAUGCUUUCUUAAUCAUCUCUUGCAGUAUAUGAAAUAUACAUCAUAUACAUAAUAUCAUGGCUUUUAUCAUGCAUACUUAAGCACCUCAUAUGGUAUAUAAAGUUUACAUCAUAUACACUAUCUUAUAGUAUACAUCAUGCAUACUGAAUCAUCUUAUAUGGUAUAUGGAAUUUACAUCAUAUACUUAAAUCUUAUGGCAUUCAUCAUACCAAACAUGCACAUCAUAGCAUCGAUAAAUACACAUAUAAUAUCUCAUAUCCACACUAGUAUGAAGAUCGAAGUAAUCGAGUGGACUUCAAACAUAAAGUGCUUAUCCCCCCUUGUUGAAAACUAAUACAUAAUAGAAUAUUUACAUACGUAGUAGAUUCAUAAACAUUUUAAAAACCACAGAGUCAAACAUAUCAAAAUCAUUAACAAUUUAUUUUCUUAGAAAAUUGUUUCAUUCUUGAGACUUAAAUCCUUUGGCAAACUAUUUUAGAGACAUCAUUUCAACAUACAUAAUUAAUCCUUUUUCAUAGAAAUCAUGCUAGCUUUACAUAUCAAAAUAAUUUGAAAGUGGUGUAUCAACUUACCUAGUUGGAGAUUCGAUUCCUAGCUCCAAUCACAAUUUCAUUCAGGCGAAAUCUAUGGAGUUUUCAAGUAUUCUUAUCUUACAACAAUCAUCACAAUCAUUUACAAGAAUAAAAAUCUCAUAAUAAUCAUUUAAGGUACUUUCAAAACUAUUUGCUUUUAGCUAAACUAAAUUUCUAGCUAAAACCCAUGAUUAGAAACUCAUAAAUUUUUCAUCCUUACCUUAGGUGAGCUUAGAUGCUUAAGAAAAUCAUAAAACCUUUAAACUUUAAUCAUCAACAGAAAAUUUAGGCAAUAAAACAACUAUUUAAGUUUUGGAAAUCCAAGAUCAAAGGAUUUAAAAGCUAAAGAUAUCAUCUUUUUCUAUAAAAACCCAAAACUAAGCUUUAGAAUCAUAAAAAUGGAGUUUUUAGUUAAAAAUGAGUUGAAAGAGCGUAAGAGUUGGGGUUCUACCUUGCAAAUGUGACUGAAGGUUGCCAACCUUCAAAAAAUGGGGUAUAUUUAAAAGCUAGGGUGUCAAAAUAUAUUUUCACCCCUUUUAUUUUUCUAAAAUCAACAAAAUGUAUCGAUAUCGUGGCCCAUGUAUCGAUACAUUUGGUUUUGGGAAAAAUGUAUUGAUACAUUAUGAACAUGUAUCGAUACAUGUUUAUCAAAAACCUUUUCUAGGCUAAAUGUAUCAAUACAUCACGAACAUGUAUCGGUACAUUUGAGACAGAAUGUAAUUUCUGAGGUAGAUUGCUUAUAGAAACCUACCCAGCUUAUUUGCAUUAAAUACUAUUUAAGUAAAUGGAAAGUAAAAAGUAUCUUAACUAAAUGGAGAGUAUAAAGUAAAUAGGACAUUUACUUAAAUGGUAUUUAAUGUAAAUACGCAAACAACCCCCCAUUUGGAUUCAAUAAAAAUAUAGAAAAAACAAAAUCCAAAAGAAUCAAAAUCUAAUUUUUGGUUCAAGAACAAAAUAAAAAAAGUUUGAUUGAAAUUAAUUUUGCAGUUCCCAUUUACCAUAUCAAAAGUACUCCAAAAAUAAUGAAAAAAAAUAAUUUUUGGUCAUCUAAAAAUUAAGGGAAUCAUUACCACUAAUUUUUAUUUGUAGAAGGUUGUUCUAUAAAAAUAACAUAUUUUAACCUUUUCCAGACAUAAAAAAUUUUUUGCUUUAAAAGUGACUGACAACCAAAAGUGUUAAUGAACUCUUUUGAAGGUUAAAACUACAUUUGAUGUUCAAAACAUGUAAUCUAUAUGCUUAUCUAAGGAUUUCCUAACUUAUCCUCUUACUUAUGGUGGGAUUUCAUAACUUGGUAUGAGAAUCUAGCAAAUUGCUUGGUCAAAAAUGACUUCAAUAGGGGGAAAGUUGAUGAAAACCCUUUUCAUCAAAAGCAAUGGAAAGGAUAUUUUAAUUGUGCAAAUAUAUGUUGAUGAUAUUGUUUUUUGGGCCAUUAAUAAAUCUCUAUGCCUAGAGUUUGCUAAGUUUAUGGAAGGAGAAUUUGAAAUGAGUACGAUGGGUGAACUUAACUAUUUUCUUGGUCUUCAAAUUAGACAAAGACAAAAUGACACAUACAUAAAUCAACCUAAAUAUACAAGAGACAUGUUUAAAAAGUUUGGAUUGAAUAGCUCAAGAUCAUAUGAAACUCCAAUUAGCAUGACAACUAAGCUUGAUAAAGAUAAGCAAGGUUAGACACUAACCUGAAGCUUUAUAGAUCAAUGAUUGGCUCAUUGCUAUAUUUGACUGCUAGAAAACCAGACAUUAGUUUUUGUGUAGGACUUUGUGCUAGAUUUUAGUCAUCACCUAAAUAGUCACCUGUAAAAGCUGUUAAAAAAAUAGUUAGAUAUUUGAGUGAUACACCAAAUCUAGGCAUAUGAUAUCCCAAAAGCUCAAGCUUUGAUCUUCAUGCCUAUUCAAAUGUUGAUUUUGGUGGCUGCAAGAUAGAUAAGAAAAGUACUUCAAGAACUUGUUAAUUUCUAGGAAAAAUGGUAGUGUCAUGGUUUUUUAAGAAAUAGAAUAGUGUAAAACAAUCAACAACUGGAGCUAAGUAUGUAGUUGUUGGUAGUUGUUGUGCAUAGAUUCUUUGGAUAAAACAACAAUUAGAAGACUGUGGAAUAGUUUUUAAAAAGAUUUCUAUAAAAUUUGAUCACACUAGUGCAAUAAAUUUGACUACAAAUCCUAUCCAUCAUUGUAGGACAAAACAUAUAGAAAAAAGACAUUUUUUUUAGGGAUCAUGUACAAAAAGAAAAUAUAGUUUUAGAAUAUGUUGGAACACAAGAUCAAUUAGCAGAUAUUUUUACCAAGCCUUUAGAUACAGAAAAAUUUUGUAGGAUUAAAUCUGAACUAGGACUGAUGAACAUGCAUUGAUAUUCAUUUCUUUAUAAUAUAUUCAAUAGUAUAUUGAUUUUUUAAAAAGUUCUUUUCACUUAAACUCUUGCUACUAAUGGUAUGUUUUCUUAAUGAGUUUUAUAUUUUAUACUUUAUUUUCUGUUCCUUUUUGAUAUAACAAAAAGGGGGAGAAUAUUGUGAGUAAAUUUUCCAAGUUUAACUUCUCUAAAUCUUAUGGCUAGAUUUUUCAAAAUGAUUUCAAAAUGCAUUCAAACUUAAAUAUGAAUCUUUUUGAAAAGAACACAAAUUCAAGGGUAGCUUUACUAGAGAAAAAUGUUUCCAAUCAUUUUACCUUUGUUUUGAAAUCUUUCGCAUAAUUUUGGGGGGUAUUCUUCAAUUAGCAAAUUUAACUCUUAAUUUUGUCUUACCAAAAAAAAAGAGAUUGUUAGCUUUAUGCUUGUUUUUAAAUAACAAAAUUGAUUGAACUAAAUAUGCUUUGAAAAUGAAUGAAAGAUAUUUUUGAAUAUGAAGAAAAUCCUCAUAAAUGUUUUGAAGCUAAUCUUAAAGAGGGAUAAAUUGAAUAUGCUUUGGAAAUGUUGAUGAACUUAAAAAUAUGCUCUUAAACAUGCUUAAGGAGUUUUGAAAGUUUAUGUGCAAGGAAACUAUUUUUUAAAGAACUCAACCUUAAAGUACCAGCCUAGUAAUCAAAUUCUCAAAUGUGAAGACUUGAUUCUUAAAUGAAAAGAAAGCAAAAUUUAUUUCUUUAUCAUAGGAAAUAUCAAUUUUGAAGAUAGGAGAAGUUAGUUCUUAAGUAGACGUAAACAGUGAAGAACUAAUUAUGAGAAAAAAAGAAGUCGGUUCUUAGAAGAUAGAAGUUUCAAGAUUUAUGAAGAAACGACACCUAAGAAAAAAAAAGAAUUCAUUCUAAAGGAACAUAACGUAGAAGGCAAAAAUGUGAAAAAGAAAGAAUCGAUACUACAUGGAGAAGAUAUCGGUUCUUAAAGCAACAAAAGUAAUAUUCAUAAACUUGGUGACCAAAAAAGAGAUGGUACUAUUAGAUAAGAUUGGAACACUAAAAAUUAAGCUCAAAUUCAAAUUUUGGUGCUAGACCACAUGAAGAAUAGACACCUUAUGGCAAAAAAAUCGAUUUCCUAAAAGUGCAAACAUGUCACCUUUAAACCUAGUUGUAGAAGAAUCGACAUCUCAAAAUAAAAGAAUCGAUUCUAUAAAGACACAAAUAUCCUUUCUUUAUGAAGAAUCAACAACUUAUUAUCAAAGAAUCGAUUUUCCAUGUGCCACAAAAAUGUGCUAGUUAACUAGAACGUACAAAAGCUUAUUCAAAUUUGACUCCAACAGGCAAGAAAUCAUAAGACUUAUAAAUAUCUACUUUGAGAACGUUAAAACAGAGAACUUGAUUGAUUUUGAAUCAUCUUUGAAAAGAAAAAAAGCACAAAAUAAUCAAAAGAGUUGUGAGCCAAAAAAUAUAUCUUCGAGCAUGAACGAAACCUAAAGAUCACAUUUUUAUCUUUUAACUGAUACGUUUUCAGCUUAUGCCUUACUUCAUCUUUCAUAACUUUUUAGAAAGCUCUCAUCCUUUUGAGCUUAUGAUAACCUUCUGCUCCCGUUCCUUAUUUGUCUUAAGUCGAGACUUGUUCAUGGUCUUUCGAAAGUUAAUCGACUAUCGAGUCGACCAUUUGGUCUCUUCCCUUAUCCAUCAUCCGUCGAGGUUCCAACACGUAUCUCAAGUCCUCCGAGAGCCCGUCGACCACUAGGGUGACCUUUUACAGCUGUCCCCUAUCUAUCGACCAUCAGGACUUUUGGCUUCAUCUUGAGACUCAAGAAUCCAUCGACCAUCGACACCCGUCCCCUAUUUGUUGCAAGUUAGGGAUCCAAGACCUACCACUUAUUCUUGAAGAGACCAUCGACUACUAGGCUGACCUUUUACUUUCAUCCCCAGUCUGUAGUUCGUUAAGGUGAGGGACACUGUUCGAGCCCUCUGAAAACCUAUCAAUCAUCAGACCAACCUACUACAGUCGUCACCUAUCUGUCGAUUGUCGGGGUUCUAGGACAUGUCCUAGGUUGGGGUUCUAGGACCAUUCCUUGGUAUUCUGGAAGCUUGUCGACCACCAAGCUGACUUUCUGCUGCCAUCCCCACAUUGUCAACCAUUGAGGUUUUGGGACCUAUGUUGGGUGCUUUGAGAGUACAUCAACCAUCAGCUCAACCUUUGGCUACCAUCCCUUGUUCGUCGUAAGUCGGUGCUUUGAGAGUCGUUUUAGGUCCUUCGUGUUGGUCCCAAAUAAAUGUGCUAGAGGGGGGGUGAAUAGCACAAUUUGGCUCUUUCAAAGAUUGACCUCUAAUUGGAGACAAAUGCACAAUAAACGAAAGAACUUAAAAGUGAAUAAAAACUAAAAACAAAACAGACAAACACACAACUAUUUAUAAUGGCUCGGUCCAAGACCUACAUCCACUACCUUGAUUGUUCAACCAAGGAUUUUCCAAUCAAUCCACUAAGAACGGUGAAAUUCACAGGCUUUCACCAAGCUUUACAAUGGCUUUUAGCAGGCUUAGCCAAAACGUUUAACAAUAAUUUUUCUCGGGCUCAACUAUAACCCAACACCUAACUUUUCAAGGCUAAGUUAGAACCUUAACACAAUCAAACAAUCCUAGCUUGAAACAAACACUUAGAGUGACUCGCUCACUCUAAGAAUACAAAGAGAGAAGUAAAAAGGGUGUACCAAUGAUCACAAGAUUGAUCUAAGUGGUAAAAAUGAAGUGCAGAUCACGAUUGCAAAGGAUAAGAGUUAAGUGCAGUAAAAUAAGCAGCAAGUUUUCUCUAAUUUUUUUUAGCUCUUUUUGAGUUCUUGAAAGCCUUCAAAAUUACAUUUCUAGUUGUUAGAACCCUCUUUUAUACUUGGAAAAACAACUAUGAUGGCAGUUAGAUAGUUUUCUAGUCGUUGGAAGCAGUUAGGAGUUGGUUCUAGUCGUUAAACUGUCUUUUAGUGCAGAAUUCAAAUUUGCAGGCAGAAUGCUCUUGGUCAACUAAUCGAUAUCUUAGUUGACUAAGUCGUCUCUAUCUUCUGUUCCCAGUUUCUGGCAGUUCUGGUAGUCUACACUUAGUCGACUAACUCAUUCCUUGAUCGACUAAGUUGGUUCUAUUUCUCAACACUCUUCAGCCCACCAACCCUUGAUUUAAAUCUUAGUUGACUAACUCUUCAUUAAUCAACUAAGGGACUUUUGCCUUGCUAUUCAAUUGUGACUUCCUUAUUCCUAUGCUCUUUGACAUGUGCAUUUUAAUGAUAAAUUAUUUGUUUGCAUAUAAUUUUGUCCUGCACACUUAAGUAAAAAUAUUAGACACAAAUGAAAUGGGAAUGUUUUAUUAUCAUCAAAAACUAAUGGAGCCAACACUUUGGGAACUUGUCGACCACCUGGCUAACCUUAUACUCUCAUCCUAUUUUUGUAGUCCAUCAAGGCUCCGGGGCACUUCUCGUGUCCUUGAGAACUCAUUGACCUCAAGGUCGACUUUCUACACUUGUCUUUUUUUCUUUGACUGUUGAGGCUUUGAUACCAAUCCCAAGUCCUCUAAGAGUCUGUCGACCACCGAGCCGACCUUUGGUUCCCUUAUUCUAUCUAUUGUAAGUCGGGGCUCCGAGACUCGUCUAGGUUUCUCUAAGAUCUAGUCGAUCACUUCGUUAACUUUCUACACUGUCCCCCUUUCGUGGUCCAUUGUUGUUAGGGCUCUAAGACCCUUUUUGAGUCUUUCAAGAACCAAUCAAUCACUAGGCCAACUUGCUACACCUGUCCUAAUUUUGUGAUUCGUUAGGGCUUUAAGACUUGUCCUACGUCUUUUAAGAGCCCAUCGAGCACUUAGCUGACCUUAUACUCCUGUCACCUAUCCAUUGAUCGCCAAAGCAAUAGGACCCUUAUGAGGUCUUUUUAGAGCCCAUCGACCACCGGGUUGACCUUUUACUCUCGACCUUUGUCCAUUGACUAUCAAGUCUCCAAAAUUUAUCUUAGUUCUUCAGGAGCCUAUCAACCACAAGGUUAACUUUCUCCUUUUGUCCCUUUUUCGUCUUUCGUCAGGGCUUUAAGACCUUUCCUUAGGUUAUUUAAUAGCCCGUCGACCAUUGGGCCAAGUUUUUGCUCCUGUCCUCUCUUUGUCUUAAGUUGAGGCUCUAGGACCCAUCCAAUGUCUUGCAAGAGCCCAUUGACCACUAGGCCAACCUUUUACUUUUGUCCCCUAUCCAUCGUCCUUUGGGGCUUUAGGACCAGUCUGGUACUAUCAACCACUAGCCUAACCUUUGGCUCUCGUUCCCUAUCUAACGUAAGUUUGGGCUCUAGGACUUAUCCCAAGUACUCCAAUAGUUGGUCGACUUUCUAUUCCUAUCUUUUUUUUGUAGUCCAUCAGGGCUCUUCGACUCUUCCCGAUUCCUCAAGGAACCCAUCUACCAAUGGGCCAACCUUGUGCUUCUAUCCUUGGUUCGUCGAUCAUCUGGGUUAAGGAACCUGUCUUGGGUCUUUUCGGGAACCCGUCGACCACAAAAUCAACUUUUGUCUUUCAUCCCUUGUUUGCCAUCUAUAGACGAUUCAAGACUAGUCUCGAGUCCUCUGAGAGCUUGUCAACCACUAGUUGACCUUCUGCUCCCCUCUCAUGUUUGUCGACAAUUGAGACAUCGGGACACGUCUUAAUCUUUUGAAAACUCGUCUACCACCGGGCCAGCCUACCCCAAUCCACUUUUCAUCAUUGGUCAAGCCUCUUUGACCAGUCAACCACUAGGCAAACUUUGUCAGGUCCUUUGAGAGCUUGUUGACCAAUGAGCUAACCUACUACUGUUGUUCCUUGUUCGUUGAUUGUUAAGUUUUUAAGACAUGUCAUAGGUUCUCUAAAAAUUCAUCGACCAUCAAGUUGACCUUUUGUAUCUAUCAUUUUUCUAUCUUAAGUCUAGAGUUCAAGACCUUUCCCAAGUUUUCUGAGAGCCUAAUGAGCACCGGAUCAACCUUUUACUAUUGUCCCUUGUCCAUCGAUAGUAGGGGCUCUAAGUCUCAUCUCGAAAACUUCGGGAGUCCAUUAACAACGAGCUUGACCUACGGCUCGUGUCCCUUAUCUAUCAUAAGUCAGUAUUAUAGGACCUGUCUCAAAUGCUUCGAUAAUCUACCCAUCACUAGGCUUACCUUCUAUUUUUGUCCCAUGUUAGUAGUCUGUUGGGUCUCAAGGCCCUUUCUUGUGUCCCUCGGGAGCCCGUCAACCCUUGACUUAACCUUUUGUACCUAUCUCUUUUCCGUUGAUGAUGGAGGCUUUGUGUCUCAUCCCAAAUCUUUUAAGAGUUCAUCCACCAUAGGGCCCACCUUCAGCCCUCAUCCUCUAUCUAUCAAAAGUUAGGGCUAUGAAACCUGUCCUAGGUCCUUUGAGAGUUAGUCGACCACUGAGCCAACCUUCUACCCCAGUCCACUCUCCGUUGUCUACAAGGGCUCUAGUACCCUUCUUGGGUCCUCCGUGACUCCUUCAACCAUCGAUUGACACUCUGCUCCCAUCCCUUGUUUGUCAUCCGUCGGGGCUUUAGGACUAGUCUCUAGUCCUUUGGGUGUUUGUUGACCACAAGGCCGACCCUUUACUGUUGUCUCUCGUCUGUUAUGAAUCAAGGCUACGAGACUUGUCUCGUGUCUUUCUGUGAAACCUUGACCUCCAUAGAUACUUAACUAGAAGUAGAUGAGAUAACACGGACUAGGGGUAAUUUUAUCAUUUUCCUUGGUGAGCUUUUAGAAAUGGGUUUUCUAAUAUUAUUAAGGCCUAAAUAGGCCUAAGGAAUAAAUGAAUGAUGCAUACAAUAAUGAGAUAAGUGAAGAAAAUAGAAAUAACGAUAAUUUCCAUGAUUAAGGUAAAAUGGUCAUUUUGGGUCUCGAGUCUAAAAUUUUAAGUUUUCAUGAACUUGAGUACCUCUAAUUUAUUAUGGACUUUUUCUUAGUGUCAGAAGAGUAAAAAGUUUGAAACAAGUGGAAGAAGAAGAAGGCAGAGUCAACUAUUGAAUGUCAUUUUUAUAAAUAAAAGGAACUUUAGUUAACUAUAAGAUAAAUAUGAAAAAUUUCCAGUAGCUUCUUCUUUUUCUUCCCAUCUCUUCUCUCCAAUUCACGUUCUUUAUCUUCCAUGGAAGCCUCCUUAAAAACCUCCAUGACUUUCUCACGUUAAACCCCAAUUUUCAUACUUUUGUGUACCUUUUCAUAAAGUCUUUUGUGCUCUUUUACUCUUCCACCUUAAAACCCUUAAAAUCUUACCUUAACACUUUUCUCACUAGCUAGGUGUUUUAGAGAGAGAAAGAGAUACUUUUUAUAAUAGCUUGAGAAAUUUUGAAAAGGAAUUCAAUUGCAAAUCUACCAAGUUGAGUAAUGAAAUUGAGCUGAUUUUUGAGUUGUUGAGAAUGGCUAGUGGCUAGAUUUGUGAGUGUUUUGUAGUUGAGGUUGUUUUUCCAUCUUUAGUAUGACUAGAAUAGUGAGAAUAAAUAGCCAUUUAAUGGUAAUUGGAAGCUAGUUAAGAAUAACUAGUAGAACAUGAUUUAGGAGAUAGCCUUAAGAAUAUAUAGUUAUGUUAAUUGAGUUGAUUAUGAUGUUAUUGUGUGUGAUAGGUUCCAACGAGGCCUCACACCUCCACAAGGAGAAUUAGUCUAAGUUGGAGUCGAUCCACAAGCAUUAAUAAAGACAUGUGAGUGAACUUGCAUUAAUAAUGUUUUGGAAUAAAUGAUUAUGUGCUUGAUUGAAUCGCUUGAAAUACUUUAUUGGUUUUUCUUUAAAAUUGCAUGGGAACAAGCGCUUGAUGAAACGUUGUAUGUUAUGAAUGUGUAAUAUGAUGAAUCCUUGUGCUUUUAUAUUAUGUGCAUAUAUAUAUGUUGUGUAUGGAUAGUUAAUAUUGUGUAAUAAUUAUAACCGUGCAUGUACGGUGUGGGAGUGCACAUGCCAGUGAUGACGAGGAGUGGGAGUGUGAAUGAUGAUAUUACCUGUGCACAAUGUGGGGGAGCACAGAAUGGCAUUAACUGUGCGCGAUGUGGGGGAGCACACGAUGGCAUUAGCUGUGUGUGAUGUGGGGGUGAACACGAUGGCAUUAGCUAUGCGUGGUGUGGGAGUGCAAAUGAGCUGGGUGAGGCAGUGGUGGUAUAUGUGUUUAUAUAUGUACAUAUAUAUUUGCUAUAUAGAGAGGUUUAGAAUUAAUAUGUAUUUGCAUUGAAUAUUGAAUGUUGAAAUUGUUAAAUGCUUCCAAAUUGAAUUGCAUUGUAGAAAAACUAGAUUUUUAUUGUGACAAAAAUUCUUCUAACUUAAUUGCCCUGUUUCUUGCUGAAGCGAAAUUCAUUCUCGCUAUAGCGAGAAACUCUCGGGUGCUAGAGAAUUUCAUGGCUUGGUUUUUCGCUGCAGCGAAAAUGCAUUCUCGUUACAUCGAGAAACUCUCCGGUGGUUGGGUAAAAAUGCUGCCUAAAUUUUCACUGCAGUGAAAAUGGAUUCUUGCUGCAACGAGAAACUCUUGGGUUGUUGGUUCAAGAUUUUGCCCUGAAGCUACAGUGAGAAUGAAUUUUCGCUGCAAUGAGAUUCAUUCUACUAUGCUUGCCUUGCUUGAACUCUACUGUACUUUUACUCUUUAACUUCUUUAUUGAUCAUGGAUUUUUCAAUAUUAAGGCACUAAAUGAUCAAGAGUUGAAUUAAGGGGUUUUAAUAAGAAAUUGAGCUAAAUUGCAGUGUUUUCAACAUAAGUGCAUCAUGUUUUCUAAAACUUCUCGUAUUAAUGCUUGUUCCCUUCUUAUGUUCACUCACUGAGUUUAUACUCACCCUUUUUCAACUUCAUGUUUUUUAGAUCCGAAGAUAGUUGGAACCUAGAGUGAGGGGUCCAUGUAUAUUUGCCCUUUUGGUAGGUACCACAACAUUCAGUAGCUGCACCUUCACCUAAGGUCACUCCGCUGGAAGUCGAGAGUCUUUUGCCUGUGUAAAUGUACACGUGAUGUAAAUCACUAAGAUACAUGUUACAAACAGUGUGUGUGCAUUCUAAUUAAUGUUGCCACUAUGAGUCGACUAUAGUUGACAUCAUUUUGGGUUAAUAUAAAUGCAAGUAUUUGGUUGUCAUAGCACAUUACUAAAGUACUUAUAGUUGUGAAUUAAGAAAUGUAACUUUAGAAAUUGUUUGAUGGAAUGGUGAACAAGUUGCAUAAGAGGCUUGCUUGGGUUGGGUGGGUUAUGCCCAUUUGGCCCAUGCACCGGUCAUGGCCCGAAAAUUAGGCAUGACACUUUUAGGUGAUCGUAGAUGUCACGACCCGAAACCUCCCUCGGGCCCAAGACAACUGCUGCGACGUCUCGAUUGACACUCAUUACUCGGAAUGCCAACCGGAACCCCGCAAGGCUUACAUAUCAGUUUCUUUCCUUUCCUGUGAGCAAUCAUUGUUAAACAUUCCAUUUAAAACAAUUACCCAUCGUUUCCGGCUCAAAUAAAUCCAAAGAAAUUUUUUUAAAAAAGAUUUAUAGACAAAUAUCACUAUUCAAAAUAUUGAUUAAAAUAUAGCAUUUUUUAUAUAAAACAAUAUUUAUAGAAACACGUGUACGAAAUCUUUUGUAAUGUGUAAGUAAAAUAAAUUCAUACAUACAAAAAUUUACUAAGUUAUAAUGUACAAUAAUGGUUACAAUGACAAGUGGGCCAAAAUACACCCAGUGUUGGUGCUAGAAACCUACUGUUUGUGUGAUAGAGAUGUCAACUGGAAUCCUCGACAAAAUAGGGUAUCUACAAGCUACCACAGACCUNNNNNNNNNNNNNNNNNNNNNNNNNNNNNNNNNNNNNNNNNNNNNNNNNNNNNNNNNNNNNNNNNNNNNNNNNNNNNNNNNNNNNNNNNNNNNNNNNNNNNNNNNNNNNNNNNNNNNNNNNNNNNNNNNNNNNNNNNNNNNNNNNNNNNNNNNNNNNNNNNNNNNNNNNNNNNNNNNNNNNNNNNNNNNNNNNNNNNNNNNNNNNNNNNNNNNNNNNNNNNNNNNNNNNNNNNNNNNNNNNNNNNNNNNNNNNNNNNNNNNNNNNNNNNNNNNNNNNNNNNNNNNNNNNNNNNNNNNNNNNNNNNNNNNNNNNNNNNNNNNNNNNNNNNNNNNNNNNNNNNNNNNNNNNNNNNNNNNNNNNNNNNNNNNNNNNNNNNNNNNNNNNNNNNNNNNNNNNNNNNNNNNNNNNNNNNNNNNNNNNNNNNNNNNNNNNNNNNNNNNNNNNNNNNNNNNNNNNNNNNNNNNNNNNNNNNNNNNNNNNNNNNNNNNNNNNNNNNNNNNNNNNNNNNNNNNNNNNNNNNNNNNNNNNNNNNNNNNNNNNNNNNNNNNNNNNNNNNNNNNNNNNNNNNNNNNNNNNNNNNNNNNNNNNNNNNNNNNNNNNNNNNNNNNNNNNNNNNNNNNNNNNNNNNNNNNNNNNNNNNNNNNNNNNNNNNNNNNNNNNNNNNNNNNNNNNNNNNNNNNNNNNNNNNNNNNNNNNNNNNNNNNNNNNNNNNNNNNNNNNNNNNNNNNNNNNNNNNNNNNNNNNNNNNNNNNNNNNNNNNNNNNNNNNNNNNNNNNNNNNNNNNNNNNNNNNNNNNNNNNNNNNNNNNNNNNNNNNNNNNNNNNNNNNNNNNNNNNNNNNNNNNNNNNNNNNNNNNNNNNNNNNNNNNNNNNNNNNNNNNNNNNNNNNNNNNNNNNNNNNNNNNNNNNNNNNNNNNNNNNNNNNNNNNNNNNNNNNNNNNNNNNNNNNNNNNNNNNNNNNNNNNNNNNNNNNNNNNNNNNNNNNNNNNNNNNNNNNNNNNNNNNNNNNNNNNNNNNNNNNNNNNNNNNNNNNNNNNNNNNNNNNNNNNNNNNNNNNNNNNNNNNNNNNNNNNNNNNNNNNNNNNNNNNNNNNNNNNNNNNNNNNNNNNNNNNNNNNNNNGGCCAAAAAUGGGACAUUAACUCGGUAAAUUUUCUACUUUGUUUUUCUAUCACAUUUAACCAUUUUUCAUCAUUUUCUCUUCAUUUCUCUUAAAAUAAAAAUCAGAUUAUCAUCAUUUUACCUCAUUGCAGAUUCGGCCAAGGGUGGGUAUUGUGAAAAUUUAAUGCUUUUUUUUGCCCAAUUUAAUUUCUAAACACAUUUAACUAACUAAAACUAUCAAUUUAACUAAAAAUCAAAACCUAAAAAUUUCAAUUUCUCCCCCCUUGAAAUUCAUCCAACCCUUGACAACUUUUAGAUCUCUCUCCUCAAGCAUGCUAAAUGGAAACAAAGGCAUAGGAAAGGUAGAAAUCAAGCUAAAGUCGAAAAAUCUUAUCGUUAGACGCGUAAAGGGGUAAAAAACGCAAAUUCCCCUUUGAAUUUUCUUGUUUCCCUUUGUUUUCUUUGUUUUCUUCCUUUCCUCUCUAUUUCCUCUCUUGUUCUUCCUUAUGGCCAGCCAUCACUUAAAAUGGGUUUAAAUGGGCUGACUUUUCAUUAAAAUAAUAUUAAACCAUUAAAAAAAUGCCAUGUGUCACUUUCCCAUUGGUCCGUUUUUAAAAUUUCAUCCAUUUGUUUCCAAAUUUUUACCAUACACUUGUCCCACAUAUCCAUAGCUUAGAUCAAAUUCUCAGACUUAUCUAAAGUCUUGGUGGAGUAAUUUUUGAAAUUUACACUUUUGCCCCCGUAAAAGUCAAAAAUUACAUUUUUACCUCAAAAACUGAAAAAUUGCCCAUAGACAUAUUUUUUAUCCCUUAUACUGAUACCAUUCUCCAAUUUGUCAAAUGUGAUCUAAAUUCUCUCAAAAUCUCAAAUUUUGUUCAUGGGUGGAAAUAUUACGAUUUCGCCCCUAAACAUCAAAAUUUUUCAAUUUUUCUCUAAAUGAACCUUCGAACUCCGAACAAUCAUUUUUAGUCAUACCUUGACUAUAAAAUAUUAAAUUUCAUCCUACGAUUCCUAUUUGAACUAGUUCGAGGUUAAAUCAAUUCAAGUGUACCGUUAGGUACAAUACCGGGUUUCGUCUAUUCUUAGGGACUUUCUUAGCAUAAUAACAUGCUACUUAGUGCAUGUAUGUUAUGACAUGUAUUUAUAGGGUCGGGUUUUACAGUAGACCAGUGAGCCAACUUUAUACUCUCAUCCCCUCUUUGUCGUCCAUCGAGCCUCCAAGACCUUACUCAGGUCCUCUAAAAGCUCAUUAACCACAAAGCCUACCUUCUUUUCUUGUCCCCAAUUCGUCAUCAGUUGAGGCUCCAAAAUCAAUUUCGAUUUUUUUAGGAGCUCGCUAACCACCAGGCUGACCUUCUACACCCUUCCUCUAUUUAUAGUCUAUUGCGGCUCCAAGCCCGCCGUAGCUAGUUGAUCACCAAGCCUACCUUCUUCAGCCCCCUCUUCGUUUUCCAUUGAGGCUCGGACACCCUUCUUGGGUCUGCCAAGAGCCUAACGAUAAUCAAGCCAACCUUUUGCUCUCGUCCCCUUUCCAUCAUCAAUCGGGACUCCGAGACCCAUCUUGGGUCAUCCGGGACUCUUUGAGCACUUGAUCGACUUUCUACUCCAUCCCCUAUCCGUAGUCCGUUGAGGCUCCCAAAACUUUUUAGGGUAUUUUAGGAGCCGGUUGACCACCGGGCUGACCUUCUACUCUCGUCCCAUGUCCGUAGUCUGUUAAGGCUACAAGACCAUUCUUGUGUUCUUCGGAAGCUUGUCAACCUAUGCACCCAUCCCUUGUCUGUUGACCAUCGAAGCUUGAAGACCCUUCCCAAGUCCUCCGAGAGUUCGUAAGCCAUUAGGCCAACCUUCUACUUUCAUCCUUUAUCCAUCAUAAGUCGAGGCUCCUGUGUUAUGAAGGUUAUGCCUGAUCAUGUUAAAAGGCAUGUUGUCAAGGUUACACAUGACCCUGUGGAAAAGACAAGUUGAUAAUGGAUGUAAACUCAUUGUGCUAUCAAGGGAAAGGAUGUAGGCAUUGGAAGGUUGAACUUUUAUAAAAAUUUAGCCAAGUACUUUUACUUUUCUACACUAUGCUUACUUAGUUCAUACUCUGUUUUUGGUUUAUUUCUGUUGCAUUUUCAAAGAUCUUUUAAAAAGGGGGAACUUUUAGUUUAUAUCCAAUUCACCCCCUUUUAUUUACUUUACUUUAAGCUUAUCUUCCUAACAACAUCUUUUUUCCUAGAACAGCCUAGAGACAUUGAAUCUUUUUGAUAAGGAAAUAGUUAUUGGAGUAGUGAUAGCGAAAGUGAUAAGAUGGAUGGUAGACCACCCAAACAGCAGACUUCAGGGCAAGAUUGUUAGUCUACUCCCUUAUGUCCUUCUUGUAACAAGAGGCAUUGAGGUCAUUGUCGUAUGGAGACCUUAUCUUGUUAUACUUAUGGUUUGACUGGUGUUGUCAAUUUUGCACACGCAAGUAUACAUAUUGAACAAGUAACAUAUAUAGUAAGUCCAGGUUAUCGUUCCCACAAGGAUUUGUUUCUCAAGUUUCACUAAGUACUAAAAUUAUAUAACAAAUUAAUCUUAUUUAAGUAAACUAAAAAUUGAAAAACUUAUUAAAAGCAAAAUAUAACCUACAGAAAUUAAAUAUAUUGACAAAGCAAUAUAUUAAAAACCUAGGAUUAUGUGUUUAUUCAACACUUCAUCUGAUACUAGCUUUUCUUGUUAUUUAUCUUUCUUGGGUAAUUUUACUAACAUAGAAUCCAAAGCUAUGAACAAGUCUCUGUCGAGAUACUUGCACAAAUACCAAACUUAAUUAGUUCACUAUAUAUAUAAAAGAAUCAAUUAACUUAAGUUCAUUAAGCAAGUUUCCUAAUUUAGCUAUGUAUGGUAAAUGGCGUACGUCUACUCGAAUCGUGAAUCAAAUCACUUAAGUGACAUGAACAUCAUUAUACAAAUCUUAGUCCAACCUAAAAUCUCUCUGUCGAGUUUUAAUUAGAUUCAUAGAUCAAUUAAUUGUUGAUUAGACAAUUAAAGGCAUUAAUAACAUAUUUGAAUAAGUAAAAUGGUAUCCAUUCAUGAUAAAUAACAAAAAAACAAGAUAUUAGGCUACAUGUUGAAAUCCACCAUAAUCCUAGAUAAGCAAAUUAGUUCAUAAUAUCUAAAUAAAACACUAUCCAAAGAAAUUUAGCCAUGAAUUCAAAACAAAAAAAUAAGAAUAAUACAAAAGGAGAGAAAUAAACUAGUGUCAAAGCCUAGUUGAUUGUGAAUCUCUCUCAAUUGCUCUUGAAUUCUUACUUGAUUCAUAGCUCCAUUCUCUAGAAAAGUUGCAACCAUCUCCUCCUCUGAAUACUUUAAAAAAGCCUCUUAAAUAUGUGGAAGAUGCCCUACAUUCCAAUUUUCUAUCGAGCGUUUAUUUUUAGAAAUCAAGGUGUUGUUGCGGCCUUGACUUCUUUGCCUCAUGGUGCCGUGACAAGCCUUGGUAGAGCAGCGGUGCUCCUUUUCUAGCACUGUGAUAAUCUGCUUUCGAGCUUUUGUAUAGUACACCCCUCCAACUCAAUGUUGUAGCCAUGAUCCUCCCAGCGCUACAACGGUAGUUCCUUUAGUGUCGUAGCCAUGAGUAACUCAAAGCCAUGACCUCAAUCACCAUGUUGCACACACCAUUUCUAUAGGGGCAUGUCAAGCUCAAUUAACACAGUGCACUUACCUUCGUGCACAUAAACAUUGGUUUACACUUUCCUCGAUACUUAAAUUUAUAAACCUCAAGCUAGUCAUAACAAUCACUAUUCAUUCCAGUCAUAAUACAGCUCUUAUUACCAUUAUCGUACGUCCUCCCUAUAUUGACCUCAAAUACAAUCCAUAGUCUCCAAAAUUUUAAUUUUUUUUUAUAACCAUGGGUUCAAAUCAUAAUUCCACCAAAUGAAUAACUAUUAUGGACCUAACAGUCCAGCUCCACCUUCCUCUAUCCUUAGUCGGAAGAAUAUAUCAUUAUAUUGACCUUUCAUUAGGAGCAUUUGCUUAAAAAUAUUUCCAAUAAUGGUUUGUGUCUUAGGUGGCAUCUCAAACCCAAGCAACGAUACCAUUUAUGCCCUUUACAUGACGAUAGCAAAAAGGUAGGUUACAGGAAUAGGAGUUCAUAUAGCUUCUUGUCUAUGACUUGUGCUGCAGUCACAAACCAUAGAUAGGACUCUACAUUAACUCUGACAACUCCGCUGACUGACACGAGAAUCCCUAGGACUCGACUAAACCUAGGGCUCUGAUACCAACUCUGUCACAACCCAAAUUCCCAGGCCAUGAUCAGUGCAUGGGCCCAAUAGGCAUAGCCCACUAAGCCCAAGCAAGCCUCUUUAUGCAAUUUCGAUUAUCAUUCCCAUCCAUCAUCUUUAAAAUGAAGUGCUGUAACUCUCAAAAGUAAAUGUUCCAAUAAUAUUUUAUAACAACUGAAUAUUCACAUUUAUAUUACAUCAAAGUACUGUCAUUAUCAUUCCAAGAUAUACAUACUUCAUUUAUAACAUGACUCUUAGUAGUUUACAUAACAUAUACAUGUUCACAAGUAAUAGACUCGAGACCGUCAACGGAGUGACUUAGGGUGAAGAUACAGCUACUGAGAUGCCAUAGUACCUACCACGAAGACAAGCAUAUGUGUGCAACUCAAUCUAGGUCCCAAAUGCCUCCAAAUCUAAAAACAUGAAUUUUAAAAACGUGAGUACGAAACUCAGUGAGUGAACAUAAGAAGGGAACAAGCAAUCAAUAGGAAGAAUUUGGAAAUCAUGAUGCACUUGUUUCAAAAACAAUGUAAUUGAUUUAAUUUCUUACUAGAAACCCCUCAUUUAAAACUUUGAUCAAUAACUUCAUAAUGUUGCAAAAACCCAUGAUCAAUCCAUGAAGUUAAAUGGGUGAAAAUAUGUCAAAAACCGAAUAGGGUAGCAUGCAGGACAGAAUGUUUCUCGCUGUAGUAAGAAACAGUAUCAGUUUGCAUGUAUUUCAGUUUUUCUAACAUAUCUUCAACUAAAAAAGUCCAAUUGACCUGAUUUUUAGACCAUUAGAAAGCUAAGAGGCAGGGUUACACCUUUUCUGUUUACCACUUUUCCCAGUUCGGAAGGGAAUGUGGUCAAAAUCUUCAUCAAAGUUCUCGCUACUCGCUGCAGCGAUAAUGCAUUCUUGCUGUAGUGAGAUUCAAGGCAGAUGGCAAUUAAAGGAUUUUAACAUGCCACAAAAUCCAUCCCUAACAUAUUGCACAUCAAAGUGAACACAUUGACAAUGAUCAAGUUAUCAAUAUUUAAAACAAUCGCAUGUUAUAAUCAUAAACUUCCUAUCCCAUAUACAUAUAUAAACAUAUAUCAACAAGUACACCACCCCCACUUCAUUCAUCAUCAUGUACACGCUCCCAUCAUCAUCAGCUCAUGUGCACUCCCCACUCGCACAUGGCUGGGUCAUCAUAGGCUUAUGCGUACCCCCACUCUCAUAUAGCUGGGUCAUCAUCGGCUUAUGCGCACUCCCACUUGCACAUAGUCGGGUCAUCAUCGGCUUAUGUACACUCCUACUCGCACAUAACCAGGUCAUCAUCGGUGUAUGCGCACUCCUACUCGCACAUAGCCGGGUCCACAUCAACAUACAAAAGAAACACCCAAUGCAUAUUAUACAUAUCAUCAUAUUGUGAUAACACAGAAACCAUUUAUAUAGCACAUUUUCAGAAGAUAAAAACACUUCACCAAAGGCUUGUUCCCCAAGUACAUUUUUAAAGAAAAGCUGGAUAAAUCAUUCAAAUGUUUCAUGCAAAACACAAUUUAAUUUCCCAAAACGAUUUUGAAAUGCAAGUUUACUCACUGGUAUUAUUUGAGCCUUUAGUCGAUCCUAACUUUCCUAAUUGUCAAAAUGGGAUGAUGGGGCUUCGUUGGAACCUAUCAUCACAUUAGCAUCACCAAUUUGUCAACUCACAUACUUAUAAAGUCUAAAGCUUUCUCUUAGCUAGCUUCCAAUUGCCAUUUAAAUGGCUAUCUAUCUUCACUACCCUAAUCACUCUAAAAUGAGUGGAUAACCUCAACUACAACAUUCAAAAGUCUACUUACUAAUCAUUCCCAACACAAAAAAAUAAAUUCUAAUUCAUUACUCACUUUGGUGGCUUGUAACUUUGAAAUUCUUUCUAAUAAAUUUUUCAAGCUAUUAUGGGACCUUUUCUCUCUCUUUCUCUCUCUAAACACCUAGCUAGUGAGCGAAAGUAUGAAAGUGGGAUUUUUUUCAAGGGUUUUAAAGUAAAAGAGUGAAAGAGCAUAAGGGUUCCAUGAAAAGGUGCACAAAGGCAUGAAAAUUAGAGCUAGAGAGAGAAAGUUAUGAAGUUUCAUACCAUGCUUCAAUGGAGGGGGAAAUAAACGUGAGAUGGAAAGAGGAAGAAGAAGAAGUUGCUGGAAAUUGAAGAAGUUGCUGGAAGGAGAAGAUAUUUAUAGCUCAAACUUAUCCAAUUCCUUUAAAAAUUACGAAAAAGCCCUUUAGCAAGUUAACUUGUUCUUCUCCAAUCCUUUGUGCAAUCUUUUUAUUCUUUUGACUUGGGACAAGGUCCAAAAUGAUCUAAACUACUCGAGUUUACGAAAACUUAAAAUUUUGACUUGGGGUGCAAAAUGACCAUUUUACCCUUUUUGUUUUCUUUCAUUUUAAUUUAGUCCUCCCAACACUCAUUUAACUCUUAUUUCCUUCUAUUAUCUUCUUCUACACAUGUACAAACAAAGUACGAAGUUUGUACUCCAAUGCGAUGUCCCCAUAAUAUUUAAAAUAUUUAUUUGUUCGCGCUAUCUUUACUUAAUGAAGACACGAGGCCCCAUUAACGUCAUUUUUCUCCAAAAUUCUCUCAUUCUUCUCUCCCCCACUUAAAUGGACCAUAUCCUCCUUCUUCAUGAAAUAUUUUGACACUGACUAAAAUAUUAAUAUUUUAAUAUUAUUUUAUUCCGAAAAUUUUCUCUUAUCUCCUUGGCACCCAAAAUACCUUAUUAUGCCUCAAUUGAAUUCUGAAUCACUUUUUAUCCUGCAAAAUCUUCUCUGAUAAAAAUAUUAUUAUUUUCUCGCAUGUGAAAUAUUUUAUCCCAAACUAUUCCUUAGGCCUACUUGGACCUUAAUAACAUUAGAAAAGUACUUUUAGGGGCUCACCAAGAGAAAUAAUGAAAUUACCCCUGAUCUGCAUUAUCGCGUCUACUUCUAGUUAUGUGCCUAUGGAGAUCGAGAUUUCACAGGUUCACUUAUGAAUUACCCUUUUUAACUCAAUAAUCAACCUCAAUUGGCAUCCAUAAACUUUAUUAGCUACCGUAUCAAAAUACGGGGUACUACAUGGACCCGCUUCGACGUUAUAACAUUUGGGAGGCCCCCAUCCAUCGAAUUCCCAUAGCCAUGGUAGUCUCGACGAUGUUGGCCAACGUCAGAGAAGUCGUGUGGUUGCAACCACGUAUUUCUACUUGUGGCCUAGCCACGUAUAACAACCCAUUGCCUUGCCACGUAUAUAUAUCACAGACCAUGGCCUAGCCACGUUUAACAGCCCAUUGACGACCCAAAGGUUCUCUAGCUAGAGCUCACUUAUGCAUAAGGGUCACACUAUCCCGAUGUGACAUUCGACCUACUAUCGAAUCUCCUGGUUUGACAAAACCAUUUAUAACCAAGUUAGGUUCUCAAAAGCUUAUUUUAAAUCUAUUUACAAAAUACCAAUCACAGUGACGUGAUAAAUCCAUUUGUAAGACUUUAUAAUGUAAAACCUUUGCAUGAGGUUUAAAUAUUAAAUCAAGCAUGGUGAACAUAAAGUUUAUUCAUGAAUGCACAUCAUAAAACAGUAAGGCACGUUUUGACAUAAACUGUGGUAAAGAGCUUGUUUCUUGAUUGGUAAAACCUUUUACAUAAUAACUUAUAUAUAUACAAAGCGUUUCGAAAAACAUGGCAUUCACAAGUGCCUAGCAUUGUACCAACUCAUGCUUUCCACAAUAACAGUACAAUCCGAUUGCAAAUCCAUUUAAAAAUCACCUACCCAAACUAACAACUCAUGCUAUCCACAAUUGCAUUUAAAGAAAACCGACAAUGUUUUUUAUACAUAUAUCAUUACAUAGUUUACAGAACUUUUGAAAUAGACACUCGUACUCACCUCACAAUAGUGGGAUGUUACUUUGCCACUGAUUCGGAUGCGUCUCUCGCUAAUUUUACUUAUUGAUCACCCGUCACCUCCUCCGAUACACCACCACAGUAAUCUUUCCUCACUUAUACACUUCCUAGUAGCAAAUUAAACUUAAUGUACUUAGUGAACGUCACCACAAUUUGGCCCAUAUUUGCUGCUCUAUAUACCAUAUUCUUAGUUCUUUUUGCUUUCAAGAAUCCCUCACAAUAAUCAACCUCUUUCAUUAUGUCUACUUUCGUAUUUAUACUUAAUUGUACACAUAUAUGGGCAGCACCUUAAUCAAUGAAUCUUUAAUCUAAUUUCACAUUUUUCAUCCUUAUUAUUCACAACAAUUUAACAUGAAAUCUAUAAACUUUCAACUAACCAAAUCCAAUGUAACAUAGUAUACCCACAUUGCAUACUUACCUUCCAAUUUUUACCUUGAAUUCUAUAUACAACUCACUAACUCCUCACAUCCUCAGUCACCCUUGCUGCCACAAGCACAAAUAAUCAAUACAUAUUUUUAUUUUUCCUUUUCACUUAUGAUCUCAAGGUUAAAAACACUUACACAGCAUGUUUCUUGCUUAAAAUCACCAUACUUCUAAGAUUAACCCACAUGCAUGCACCUCGGUUCUUUGAAUCCUUGAAGAUCCUUGCUAUCGCAAGUAUAAUUUCACAUCACAACCGGUUCACAAGGCAUGCAUUCAAACAAAAUGACAGCUUUUACCUUCCUUACCUUAGAAUCACUAAGUUGAACCACCAAUUUCUCUUCCAAGCAUCAACAAUGGCGUACGGGAGAAAACCUUUCAGUUUUUCUCCAACUUCUCCAAAAUCAAACCUCUUUCUAGCUUUUUUUCUUUCUUCUCUCUCCUUUCUCUUUCCUUUUUUCUCUUUUCUUCUUUCUUUUUGCUUUCAAAAUUGAUUUUUUUUCUUUUCUCUCAAAGGUGCGAUUUUGCCAAUGUUCUCCAAGCUUUCCUUGUCUUUUCCUUUUUGUUUUAGUUAUUUCCCACCUUUUACUCCUUCAUGCCUCCUAUUGGACCACUUCACUAUCCAAUAGUUUUUCAUGCACCAAUCUUCCUUUUAGUUUGUUGGUUUAAUAUCUCUCCAUUUUUCUUCUCCAUCCGCCACCUUCACUACCUCUUUCUUUCAUUCUUCAUUCUUUAUUUCAUGCGCCACCUCAUUCAUCCAAUCAUAUUUCAUGCAUAAUCUUUACUUUAUAUUUUAUUUGAUCAUUCAUUAAACAAUUCAAGACACAUGCAUCCCACAUUUUUCUUUCCUCAUUUGGCCACCUAAUGCACCAAUCUCAUCACAUGUAAUAUGAUUUAUUCUUAUUCUUCUUUUCACUUCACAUGGUGGGGGUCUCACAUGUUCCCCACUAACUUUCUCCUUUUUGCAUGCAAUAAUUUGCAUGUAAUAGUGAAUUCAUAUGCACAUUUCAUUAUCCCACAUAUCCUCAUGAUCUCAAUUAAUUCUCCAUGUCUCCAUUCCUUCCAAACUCACAUAUAUUAUUAUUAAUACUUAUAUUACUAAAAUUUCACUCAUUAAACUAAUAUUCUAUAAUUAAUAAAAUAAUAUUUUAUUAAUCAAAUCAUCAAAAUUAUGUUAUAACUCCCCCAUUUAAGUUCAAUGCUUAAAUUAUGUGAGUUUGUCCAUUACUCACAAUAGAAUUAUCUCAACAUUAUUUUAAUAAUAUUUUACUAAUUAAGUAUUAUUAAAUUCUAAAAUUUUUCAUUUGGCUUCAAGGGUUUGAAAAAAUUGUAAUUUAUCUCGGUUUAGCUCCAUCGCUUCUUUUUACUCCAUUACGACAACCUUAAUAAAAUAUUAUUAUUUUAUUAUGUAUGAAAUAUUUUAUUCUAAAAUAUUCCAUUUCUCCUUCACCACUUCUAAACUCUUGAAUUGACAUCUAUCGGUCUUAAUCUUGUUCUUAAAGUCGUAUUAACCACUGUCUAUCCGUCUUAAUCUUGUUCUUAAUGUUGUAUUAACCACUGUUUUAGGUCACGAGGUGUUACAAUCUCCCCCACUUAAAACAAAUUCGUUCUCGAAUUUAAAUGGAGUGGGUUGGUAACGCAUACCUUAGUCUUGAAAGAGGUGUGGGUAUUCCUUCUUCAUUUCCUCUUCAAGUUCUUAGGUCACCUCUUCCACUGAUCGAUUUUGCCACAAGAGCUUCACCAAGGCAACUUUUUUAGAUCGUAACUGUUUCACUUAUCGAUCCAGUAUUGCUACUGGUUGUUCUUUAAAAGUUAAUCUUUCAUCCAGAGGAACCAAAUCAUAACGUAUAACAUGCUUUGAGUCUUUAACAUACUUUCUUAACAUAGACACAUGAAAAGUGGGAUUCAAACAAGCUAGCUCCAUCGGUAAGGCUAGUCGAUAUGCUAUUAACCCAAUUCGUUCCAAAAUCUCAAAAGGUCUAAUAUAUCUCAAACUCAACUUCCCUUUCUUUCUGAAUCUUUUACUUCAUUUUAGUGGAGAUACUUUCAAAAGCACAAAAUCUCCCACCUAGAACUCCAAGGGACGACGUUUAUUAUCUGCAUAAGACUUCUGCCUACUUUGUGCUGACCUUAGACGUUCCCUCACCAAGCUCACUACAUCGGUUGCUUGUUGCACCAAAUCAAGACAUAAUAAUUUUUUUUCUCUCACUUCAAACCAUCCAAUGGAUGAUCUACAAUUUCGUUCGUACAAUGCUUUAAAAAGAGCCAUUCCAAUAGUAGUUUGAUAGCUAUUAUUAUACGCGAAUUCUGCCAAAGAUAACUGAUGAUUCAAGGUGAUUCCUAAAUCCAACAGUAUUGAUCUUAGCAUGUCUUUGAGCAUUUGUACCAUAAGUUCUGAUUGACUGUCUGUUUGAGGGUGAUAUGCAGUACUGAAAUCUAAACGAGGGCCUAAAGCUUCAUGUAAACUUCUCCAAAACUAUGGUCAUGGGAACUCCAUGUAAUCGCACGAUACAGUCAAUAUAAACCUUGGGAUACUUAGCCGACCCAUAACUAGUUUUUACUAGAAUAAAGUGAGUAGAUUAAGUUAACCGAUCCACGAUUACCCAAAUUGAAUCAUAUCCCACUCUGACACAGGGCAAUCCAGUCAUAAAAUCCAUAGCCACAUGUUCCCAUUUCCAUUCGGGAAUCGGUAGGGGCUGUAGCAAACUUGGGGGUUUCCCAUGCUCAACCUUAACUUGUUGACAAGUUAGGCAUUUGGCUACAUAUUUAGCUACAUCUUUGUUCAUUCCUUGCCACCAAUAAACCAUUUUCAAAUCGUGAUACAUCUUGGUGGCUCUUGGAUGUACAGUGUAGGUAGUGAUGUGAGCAUCCUCUAAAAUCUCUUCUCUCAAAUUAUCUCGAUCUGGCACGUAUGUUCGGGAUUCAUACUUUAAGAAUCCAUCAUCUCCAUACACAAAUUUUUUGAUCUCGCUCUUCAAAUCCUAAAAUUCUCAUCUCGAAUUCAUCUUGAUCCUAAGCAUUGCGAAUUCGAUCCAAGAUCAUUGAUCGUACUUGAAAAUGAGCAAUAAGGGUAUUAGGCCCACCAAUAUCGAUCUUGAUCCCCAUACUACCUAAGCUUCGCCGUCCACACAAUAUACUUCUUUGUUCAAUAGACAAAUGUGCCAAAAUCCCCCAUAAACUUUUGACUCAAAGCAUCAGCCACCACGUUCACCUUACCAGGGUGAUAUUGAAUUGUACAAUCAUAAUCUUUGAGCAAUUCCAUCCAUCAACGUUGCCUUAAAUUGAGAUCACGUUGUUGAAAUAUAUACUUUAAAAUCUUGUGAUCAAUAUAUAUUUCAAAGCUUUCCCCGUAUAACUAAUGACGCUAAAUCUUUAAUGCAAAUACUAUCGCUGCCAUUUCCAAGUCAUGGGCAGGAUAGUUUCUCGUGCCGGUUAACUUUCCUUGAAGCGUACACGAUAACUCUACCAUUUUGCAUUAACACGCAUCCCAAUCCAACUCUUGAUAUGUCACAAUACAUAACAUAACCUCCUAAACCAUUUGGUAAACUUAAGACUGGUGCCGAAAUCAAACACACUUUUAGUCUUAAGAAACUAUCUUCACAUUCAGCAGUCCAUUCAAACUUAGCUCCCUUUAACAUCAACUUAGUCAAUGGUGCUGCGAGUUUCAAGAAAUCUUACACAAAUCGACGGUAAUACCUUGCCAAUCCAAGAAAACUUUGAAUCUCAGUAACUGUACUCGGUCUUAACCAAGUUUGAAUUGAUGUAACCUUUUGCGGAUCCACACAAAUCCCUUCCUUUAAUAUUACAUGUCCAAGAAAGUUAACACUCUCUAACCAAAAAGCGCACUAAGAGAAUGUUGCAUAUAAUUCAUGUUCUCAAAGUGUCUGCAACACCAUUCAUAAAUGUUGUGCAUGUUCUUUGGGGCUUCGAGAAUACACCAGGAUAUCAUCAAUAAACACCAUAAAUAUAUCCAAAUAGGCCCAGAACACUCUAUUCAUUAAAUCCAUAAAAACGACGAGAGCAUUGGUUAAAUCAAAGGACAUCACCAAAAACUCAAAAUGCCCAUACCUCGUACGGAAUGCAGUAUUUGGUAUAUCCUCUUCUCAAAUUCUUAACUGAUGAUACCCAAAGCACAAGUCAAUUUUUGAAAAAUAUCAUGCUCCUUGCAGUGGAUCAAAUAAAUCAUCGAUCUUGGGAAGUGGGUAUUUAUUCUUAAUAGUUACACUAUUCAACUUUCGAUAAUUCAAACAUAACUUGAAACUUCCAUCCUUUUUCUUUACAAAUAGUACUGGAGCUCCCCAUGGUGAAGUACUUGGGUGAAUAAAUCCUUUCCCCCUUAACUCUUGUAAUUGUUCUCGCAGUACUCAUAUCUCUACUGGUGCCAUUUGGUAAGGAAUUUUGGAUAUUGGUUCCGUGCCAGGAAUCAAAUUAAUGCAAAACUUAACUUCCUUUUCUGGGGGCAACCUUGGCAAUUCUUCUGAAAACACAUCUUCAAAUUCAAUAACUGUUGGCACCAUUUUAAUAUUCGGGACCUCUUCCUCCAUAAAUUCAUCUUCUUUGGCUACUACGCACUCUAAAUAAUUUUGCCCCAUUUCCAUUUUAGUGACUCCCGCUAAUAUUCCCUUAUUGCACGGGCUCCUAUGUCCAUAGAUAAUAAAGGGAACUUCUUCGAGAAACUUAAAUUCUACAUAUUUGUAAUGGCAAUCGACAUUGGCGUAACAAUCGUACAACCAAUGCAUUCCUAAUAUUGCAUUAAAUCCCAAUGUCAUCAAUAACACCAAAUCCACCAAUGUCUCUCGAUGGUUAAUUUGAACUACACAAAACUUCUAAACAAACUCUAUUGUAUAUAUUUCUUCUAAAGGAGUGGUCACUACCAAUGGAUCUACCAUUAUUUCAUAAGGUCUAUUCAAUUUUGACACAAAAUUCAAGGAAACAAAAGAAUGGGUAGCUCUAGGAUCAAAUAAUUGUUAGUAUAAGCCCUACAAGCCAAUUUGUGGUUGUAUGGGAAUUGUAAUUUUGAGAUAUUCAUGUAUGACAUUUUGUUAUGCAUAAUAACAUUGAGGUAGUUCUUUAUCCAUAAGUUUGUGAUUUAAUUACUUUUUGUACUUAUGUAGAUAAAGCCCAUGGAACUAUAUAUGCCUUGCAAAGGAAUUGUAUUGGGAUACAAUUACGAGAUCCUUAUGCAUUAAAGCAUUGUUCCUAAAAGUUCCUAAUCAUUGUAUUAUUGAGACAGGGCAUCAAUAAUGCUCAACGAUUAGCACAUGUUAUGUUCCUUACUUGUGAAGCAAGCAAUCGUUCUCAUAGGUUGAAGUAUAGAGAUACUUGGAACUAGCAUGUGGGUGCUUGCCAUGGGAGAGCGAGUUCAUUGAACUUGACCCACCAUGAGAAAUGCAUUUGGUAUUUUACUCAAGUGUCUAUGCAAUACUUCUCAUGUGUCACUUGUGUAAAUACUCCCUAGACUUGAGACACCAGGUUGUCUUACAUGUGGAGUGCUAUGCUUUGAUUUCAUUCCUAUUGGUGCCUAACCAAGGAUGCUAAAACAUGAUGCUUUUGGGUAUAGCAUGAAGCAUGUGAAGGCAAAUGAGUGGUCAAGAUAGGAAUCAUCACCCCAAGUGAUUCAAAGGGAAAUAUCUCAUUAGUUCUUGGUUGAUAUUAGCUUAAUCAAAUCCUUGGCCAAGGUGAUUAGGAGAUUAUGAAAUGAGUUUCAUAAGUCUCCAUAAAGCUAAUGAUCUAAUUGCAAGAACAAAUAUGGAGAUCAAUAAGAGUAGGCACUGCACCAAGCUCUUCUCAUCUUCGGGAUAUAUGAUGAGGGAAUGAAUUACACUGAAAAACUGUGCACUGAAAGGUUGUCAAAGAAUCUUUUGACUCUCCUAACAAUUGGGUGGCCAUGAUGCAUUGCUAGAUGCCAAUCAUGGUCUAUGGAAUUGAAUUAGUUACAAUUGAAUAUGAUUCAUUUAAAUUAAUAAAUUAAUAAUAUUAUAAUUCAAUUCCAUUGGCAACAUGUUAGGAACUUAAUGGGUCACACACAAAGGUUGCAAUUUGGAUUAAGUUGAGAGUGUGAUGAUUUAAGUUAGACUUAAAUCAAUUUCUAGGUUUUAACUAUUAAGGACCUAAUUAAAAGAGUUUAAUUAGAUAUUGGUUAAAUAUUAUAAUUGUUAUAAUAUUAAGGACUUAUUUUGCAAAUUUUAAUAACUUAAACCUAGAUAUAAAUAUCACAUUAUAGCCACUCUUUUGAGAAGUGGAUAAGGAUUUUUCUCUUGAGUGCUGCCACUCUUGAGACGUUUAUUUCUUUUGAAAACUUCUCCUUUGAUUCUUUGCUGGAAAUCAAAGAAGAAAAGAGGACAAAUCGUUGUCCACUUGCUAGCACAAGCCCGUGGCAUAAAGCUCUGUCCUUGAGAAGGAUCCGUUGCAAUCGUGUGUGCAUCAUUGGAGGCCAAGCGAUUGAGUGGCUGGGAGUCUUUUACACCAAAGGUGUUCGCGUUUUGUCACCAAAAGAAAUCCAUUUGAUUACGAUAUCACUUGGAAAGGUAAAUUCUUUUUCCGAUUUUAUGUGGUACAUAACUUUGCAUUAAACAACCAAGGUGAUCCAAAGGUAGGAGGCAUGGUUUUUAUUUUUAUUUCAACCCUUUUUUUAUUCUGCUGCGUUGAUGCUCUAAUCAUGCCGUUCCUACCAGUGGUAUCAUAGCCUCCCUUGGCUUGUUUUAAUGCAAAGGUAUGUCUUGUUAUUGUUAAUUUCAAUUCUGAUUGGAUGUGAGGGAUUUGGAAGAGAGCAAGUAAGUGUUAAAUUUCAAUUAUGUUUUAAAGUAGUUUAUCACAUAUUCGAGUUUUGAUUUUUAAUACUUAUUUGUUUCAGCAACUAAUCUUGUUUAAGUGUCUCAAUUUUGCAGAACAAUAUGUGCAUGAGAUGCACAAAAGAGUUUAGCAAGAAAAGGAUUCGAAUUCAUGGGAAACAAGAUGCGGUUUGGUGAUAGAAUUCGAUUCUAUCCAGAUUUGCAUGUGGUUUGAUUUUCAAUUUUUAACAAGGGUCUAAAAGCCUCUAAAAAUUCUGAAAAAAUUUGGAAGUAAUCUACAUUGAUAUUGUUUCAAUAUGAUUAAUUACCAGCUGAAAAUGGUGAAGGAAACGCCAUGAAAUCAUGGCUGAAACCAUUGCUGCCAGAAGUAGUUUCAGGUCAUGAUUUUGCUGAGAAAGUCAUCUUCAAAGAGUCCUAAAAUUGUGCAAUUGUUGUACCUUUUUGGAUAAUUUUUGAAGUUUGAAUAUGUUCAAAAGAUGCCUGGAAAGAUCACUAAAAUCAAGGGAUUUAAUCCCUUGAUUUAUGCCAUCAUAAUGCCACAUAUGCAACCCAAAAACUGCAGCUAUGUACAGGAUACAUAGGCUGGGUUUUUUUGGGGUUUUGACCAGCUAAAUCAAGUCCAAAAAUUAUAAAAUUUUAAUAUGGAAAGGUUCCAUAUGUUAGCUGACAAUGGUUGAAAUUUGGAAAUUAAAUUUCCUGAUUUGAUGCCGCAUCAAGCCAUAAAACUGUGACUGGUACACUGCUGCCAGAAUUUUGUAAAGUCAUGGUUUUUGGGAUUUUAGUGUCCAUAUUUGCAGCCUAAAUUGGUGCAAUUAAAAACUCUAAUUUACUAAACAAUAUCCUAUGGAAAAGUUCCAAAAAGAUAAAUUUUGAUAUAUUUAAAUUAGGGAAUUUGAUUCCUUAAAAUAAGGAUAUCAGGAUUUAAUUAAUCACAUCCGUAAAUUUAGGAAUUUAAUUCCUACAAAUAUGGGAGUGUGAUAAAUAUGGACAAGAUAAAUAUCAUGAAUUAAUUUCCUUCUUUUAAGAAGUGAAAUUCGAAUAGGACACUUAAAUAUAAUUAAAGAUAAUGUUGUCUUAAAUAUUAUAUUUAAAGUAUCUAAUGAGAUUAGAUAAUUGAAGACACAUAAUCUUUAAUUUAAAAGGAUNCAACCUAAAAAUUACAUCUAUGUAUAUAAUACAUAGACUACGAUUUUUUAGGGUUUUGGAUAUCUAACGCAAGUUCAAAAAUUAUAAAAUUUUAAUAUGAAAAGGGUCCAUAUGUUAGCUGACCAUGGUUAAAAUUUGGGAAUUAAAUUCCUUGAUUUGGUGCCAUAAGCCACAAAAUCGAGACUGGUACAGUGCUGCUAGAAUUUUGUAAAGUCAUGGUUUUUAAGAUUUUGGUGUCUAUAUUUGCAACCUAAAUUGGUGUAAUUAAAAAUACUACUUCACUAAACAAUAUCUUAUGGAAAAUUUCUAGAAAGAUAAAUUUUGAUAUAUUUAAAUUAGGGAAUUUGAUUCGUUAAAAUAAGGAUAUCAGGAUUUAAUUAAUCACAUCCGUAAAUUUAGGAAUUUAAUUCCUACAAAUAUGGGAGUGUGAUAAAUAUGGACAAGAUAAAUAUCAUGAAUUAAUUUCCUUCUUUUAAGAAGUGAAAUUCGAAUAGGACACUUAAAUAUAAUUAAAGAUAAUGUUGUCUUAAAUAUUAUAUUUAAAGUAUCUAAUGAGAUUAGAUAAUUGAAGACACAUAAUCUUUAAUUUAAAAGGAUUAAUAAAAGUUACUUAAAAUGUUUAAAGAUUACAAAUUAAAAAUGUUUUAAUUUGUAAUAAUAUUUUAAUUCUAAUCCUAAUGAGAUUAGGAAUGGAUAAUAUUACUAAUACUUAUUAGUAAAGGCUUUCCAUACAUGGAAGACUGUUUCUAUACACGGAAUUAAAAAUGAACUCGAAAUUAGUUGUACACUAAUUUCGGAUGCCUCAUAUGAUUAACAAUUAGAAUAAGACAUAGUUUUAAUUUUCUAUUCAUGUGGAUGGAUGUAUGUGGAUGAUUAUGGACUAGGCCCAAUAUGAUUGUGGUUGUUUGGUUAAAUUGUAUCAUGGUUUUAUUUAUUAAAUAGGGUCUACGCACCCUGCCUUUCUCUUGAUUUUCAUGGAUUAUAAAAUUCUUUCCUCACCUAACUCCCCUCGAUGUACCGGGAGGUUUCUUUACUAAAAUGUAAUUAGUUACAUAUAAGUGUAGAAUUAGGAUUAGUUUAGGAGUUAUUUUACAAUUUGAAAAUGAAGACCUAAAGGAGCCAUGAAGAUAUGAGGAGGAAGAUUACAACAUGUUGUAUGUUAUCCCCUAGGUUUGACCAAGCUAAUUUCCUUCGAUGGCUCAAAGAAAUUAGUAUAGAUAAAGUCCAUAAUCAUCCAAAGUAGUAUGCAUGAGAUAGAUUUUUUUAUGCAAUUAAUAAAUGCUAUUCAUGCAAAGAUGAGACCUUAACUAAGUUAAUAAUAAUAAAAAAAAAUCCCUCGGUAAAUAUUGAGCCACAAGCCACACAUGAUUAAGUUGCCUUCCACCAUAUAGCAAGAUAACCUGGCUACUCUCUUAAUUAGAGACUUGUUGAGCACACUCAAGGUCACACUUUUACAUGAGUAUGUUUCAGCUAUUGGUGGGUCUUACUCAACUAGUUUCAUAAAAUUCGGAUGCUUGGAAACUUGAUUAUUAUGGAAACUAGAGGCAAUAGCUAGGCGAAACAUAUAUGAUAUGUUUAGGCAAUGUCUUGUCACCUAGCUGAUCUAGGAGUUGUAUAGAGAUACAAUUGGUAAGCUUAGUUACCUACCUAAUCCAGCUAUCAUGGCUUGUUGAGCACACUCAAGGCCAUGACUAGAUGGAUGGGAUCCUAGCCCACUAAGAGAAUCCUAGUAGAGAUCUCUCGAGGUGAUAUGGAGGGUUAUCAUCAUGAAGAAAAUAGUGAGAGCAAUCAAUUUAAGAUUUACUAUCUCAUCUUAAUUGAUUAUAAUACAUGAUUACUCAUAAACGUUCUUUAAAUGCCUAGGUUGUUAAAAUGCGAAUACAUAUUACUUUGCACGGCAUACUUGAUGUCAUCAUGAAAUUUGAGCCAAAAUGUUUAGACUGGUAUAUCAAGUUGAGAAGUGUUCUCAAAUAUCUAUUUUGAAUAUAUGUCAUUAAAGAAGAUAUCCUUGCCUUUUUGACAAGGUCAAAGAAUUAGAAACUUGUAGAAGUUUCAUCUUUUACCAUGUAUAUGAUUGAAGUAAAUCUAUCUACUAUUGAUCCGUCAUCAUGGGUAUUAGAUAUUGGAUGUGGGUCACACUUAUGUAAUGACAUGAAGGUACUAGAAACAAGUAGAAGAUUAACGAAAGGAGAGGUGGUAAUGGAGCAAAGGUUGCUGCAUCGGCUGUAGGGACAGUUACCAUACCUUUACCUUCUGGGUUGAUCUUGGAAUUAAGAGACUGUUACUAUGUUCCUUCCAUAUCUCGAAAUAUCAUAUCUGUGUCAUACUUGGCAUUAUAUGAUGAUAUGGAAUUUUGCAUUAAGGGCAAUUGUUGUUCUUUCUAGAAGGGAGAGAUGCAUUAUGGUGCAAGGACACAUUCAAACGGUCUCUAUAUUCUUGAUCCUGAAAGACCCAUACUUAAUCUAGAGGUCAAGAAAGCAAAGAAAGAUGAUCCAAAACUAUUCUACAUUUGGCAUUGUAGGCUUGGACACAUCAAUGAGACUUGCUUAACCAAGUUACACAAACAAGGUUUUGUUGAUUUAUUUAAUUAUGAAUCUUAUGGAACUUGGGAAUGUUGUCUCCUUGGUACGAUGACUAAGUNCAUGAUGAUCCAAAACUAUCCUACAUCUAGCAUUGUAGGCUCAGACACAUCAAUGAGACUCGCUUAACCAAGUUACACAAACAAGGUUAUAUCGAUCCAUUUAAUUAUGAAUCUUUAUGGAACAUGUGAGUGUUGUCUCUUUGGUAAGAUGACCAAGUUGCCUUUCACUAAAAAGAGUGAACGAGCUGGGGUGUUACUAGGACUUGUACAUUUAGAUGUAUGUGGUCCUAUGAAUACUAGUGCUAGAGGAGGAUACUCCUACUUCAUCACCUUCACAGAUGAAUAUUCUCGCUAUGGUUAUGUAUAUUUGAUGAAAUAUAAAUUUGAAUCCUUUGACAAGUUCAAUGAAUACAAAGCGGAGGUUGAGAAACAAACUAGGAAGAGUAUUCUCACUCUUAGAUCUGAUCGACGAGGAGAAUAUCUUAGCCAAGAGUUUCAGGAUUAUCUAAAAGAGAAUGGGAUUCUUGCACAAUGGACUCUUCCAGGGACUCUACAGCACAAUGGGGUAUCUGAGAGAAGGAAUCGAACAUUAUUGGACAUGGUUCGAUCCAUGAUGAGUCGUGUAGAUCUUCCUAUAUCUUUAUGGGGAUAUGCCCUAAAAACUACUGCUCGCAUACUGAACCAGGUUCCUACCAAAUCAGUUGAUAAGACACCAUAUGAGAUAUGGAGUGGGAAAAAGCCCAACUUGUCUUACGCUAGGAUUUGAGGAUGUAUUGCUUAUGUGAAGCGUACAAUGUUUGAUAAGCUAGAAGCAAGAUCAGACAAAUGUAAAUUUAUGGGAUAUCCUAAAGAAACACACGAAUAUUAUUUUUAUAAUCCCAUUGAGCAAAAGGUGUUUGUCUCAAGGCGUGCCACUUUCCUUGAGAAAGAGUUCUUAAAUGAAAGGGCUAAUGGGAGUAAAGUUGUACUCGAAAAAGUUCGAGACCCACAAAUUGACAUUCCAUUGGAACUUGAACCUAAGAUUGUGACAUCUGAUAUACAACCAUAAUCUCAAGAGGCACAACCACUCAAAAGGUCUAGUAGAAUACGUCAAGCUCCAAAGAGAUAUGGAUUUCUCUUGGAAAGGGACGCAUUGCCCAUAAAUGACGAGCCUACAACCUAUGAGGAGGCAAUGUUGGACAUCAAUUCUAAGAAAUGGCUAGAAGCCAUGAAAUCUGAAAUGGAUGCCAUGGAUACUAACCAAGUAUGGACUUUGGUGGAUCCACCUGAAGGGAUAAAACCCAUUGGGUGUAAGUUGGUCUUUAAGAGAAUGACCGAUGUAGAUGGCAAGGUGAAAACCUUUAAAGCUAGACUGGUAGCAAAGGUUACAAACAAAGACUAGGUAUUGACUUUGAAGAAACCUUUUCACCAGUUACUAUGCUUAAAUCCACUAGGAUUUUGCUUACAAUUGUUGCAUACCAUGAUUAUGAAAUAUGCCAAAUGGAUGUAAAAACUGCAUUCCUUAAUGGAAACUUGCAAGAGGAAGUGUACAUGACACAACUUGAAGGUUUUAUAUCCAAUGCUAAUGCUAAUAAGGUGUGCAAGCUUCAAAAGUCCAUUUAUGGACUUAAGCAAGCUUCUCGGAGUUGGAACAUUUGUUUUGAUGAUGCUGUAAAAGGGUUUGACUUCAUCAAAAAUGAGGAUGAACCAUGUGUCUAUAAAAAGGUUAGUGGGAGUGCCAUAAUUUUCUUAGUGUUAUAUGUUGAUGACAUAUUGCUCAUAGGAAAUGAUAUACCAUUGCUGUAAUCUACAAAGAUUUUGCUAUCCAAACAAUUCUCCAUCAAGGAUUUGGGAGAAGCAACUUACAUUCUAGGAAUAAAGAUCUAUAGAGAUAGUUCUAAAAGGUUGCUAGGUCUUUCCCAAACCACAUACAUAGAUAAGGUGCCAAAGAGGUUUAGCAUGAUGGAGUCCAAGAAGGGACACUUGCCUAUGUCGCAAGGCAUCUAUCUUUCCAAGGACAUGUAUCCAAAGAAUCAAGAAGAGAGAGAUCGCAUGGAUAAGAUCCCAUAUGCUUCAGCAAUAGGAUCUAUCAUGUAUGCAAUGCUUUGCACUUGACCAGAUGUAUCUUAUGCUCUAAGUGUCAUGAGUAGAUAUCAAGCUAAUCCUGGUGAAAGUCAUUGGAUAGUUGUGAAAAACAUCUUUAAGUACUUACGAAGAACUAAGGAUAUAUUUCUAGUUUAUGGAGGAGGUGAACUCCAAGUUAAGGGUUAUACGGAUGCAAGCUUUCAAACUGACAAAGAUGAUAGCAAGUUUCAAAGUGGAUAUGUGUUCACACUCAAUGAAGGUGCGGUGAAUUGGAAGAGUUCCAAACAAGAGAUGACUGUAGAUUCUACAACCGAGGCCAAAUACAUUUCUGCGUUUGAGGCAGCGAAAGAGGCAGUUUGGAUUAAGAAGUUCAUUACUGAGCUAAAUGUGGUUCCUAGCAUUAUUGAUCCAAUACCUUUGUAUUGUGAUAACAAUGGAGCCAUUGCACAAGCAAAGGAACCAAGGUCUCAUAAAAAAUCCAAACAUAUAUUGCAGCGGUACCAUGUGAUCAGGGAGAUCAUUGGAAGAUGAGACAUUUCCAUAGAGUGUAUACCCAUUAAGGAUAAUAUUACUUAUCCUCUCACUAAAGCACUGUCCCAGCAGAAGCAUAAUCGUCAUGUUGAGAACAUUGGUAUUAGAUACAUAGGCGAUUGGCUUCAGUGCUAGUGGGAGAUUGUUAGUAUAAGCCCUACAAGCCAAUCUGUGGUUGUAUGGGAAUUGCAAUUUUGAGAUAUUCAGGUAUGACAUUUUGUUAUUUAUAAUAACAUUAAGGUAGAUCUUUAUCCAUAAGUUUGUGAUUUAAUUACUUUUUGUACUUAUGCAGAUAAAGCCCAUGGAACUAUAUAUGCCUUGCAAAGAAAUUGUAUUGGGAUACAAUUACGAGAUCCUAAUGUAUUAAAGUAUUGUUCCUAAAAGUUCCUAAUCAUUGUAUUAUUGAGACAAGGCAUCAAUAAUGCUCAAAGAUUGGCACAUGUUAUGUUCCUUACUUGUGAAGUAAGCAAUCGUUCUCAUAGGUUGAAGCAUAGAGAUACUUGGAACUAGCAUGUGGGUGCUUGCCAUAGGAGAGCGAGUUCACUGAACUUGACUCGCCAUGAGAAGUGCAUUUGGUAUUUCACUCAAGUGUUUAUGCAAUACUUCUCAUGUGUCAGUUGUGUAAAUACUCCCUAGACUUGAGACACCAGGUUAUCUUAUGUGUGGAGUGCUAUGCUUUGAUUUCAUCCCUAUUGGUGCCUAACGAAGGAUGCCAAAAUAGGAUGCUUUUAGGUAUAGCAUGAAGCAUGUGAAGGCACAUGAGUGGUCAAGAUAGGAAUCAUCACCCCAAGUAAUUCAAGGGUGAUUAGGAGAUUAUGAAAUAAGUUUCAUAAGUCUCCAUAAAGCUAAUGAUCUAACUGCAAGAACAAAUAUGGAGAUCAAUAAAAGUAGGCACUACACCAAGAUCUUCUCAUCUUCAGGAUAUAUGAUGAGGGAAUGAAUUACACUAAAAAACUGUACACUGAAAGGUUGUCAAAGAAUCCUUUGACUCUCCUAACAAUUGGGUGGCCAUGAUGCAUUGCUAGAUGCCAAUCAUGGUCUAUGGAAUUGAAUUAGUUAAUUUACAAUUGAAUAUGAUUCAUUUAAAUUAAUUAAUUAAUAAUAUUAUAAUUCAAUUCCAUUGGCAACAUGUUAGGAACCUAAUGGGUCACACAACAAAGGUUGCAAUUUGGAUUAAAUUGAGAGUGUGAUGAUUUAAGUUAGACUUAAAUCAAAUUCUAGGUUUUAACUAUUAAGGACCUAAUUAAAAGAGUUUAAUUAGGUAUGGGUUAAAUGUUAUAAUUGUUAUAAUAUUAAGGACUUAUUUUGCAAAUUUUAAUAAGUUAAACCUAGAUAUAAAUAUCACAUUAUAGCCACUCUUUUGAGAAGUGGAAAAGGAUUUUUCUCUUGAGUGCUGCCACUCUUGAGAUGUUUAUUUCUUUUGAAAACUGCUCCUUUGAUUCUUUGUUGGAAAUCAAAGAAGAAAAUAGGACAAAUCAUUAUCCACUUGCUAGCACAAGCCCAUGGCAUAAAGCUUUCUCCUUGAGAAGGAUCCGUUGUAAUCGUGUAUGCAUCAUUAGAGGCCAAGCGAUUGAAUGGCUGGGAUUCUUUUACACCAAAGGUGUUCGUGUUUUGUCACCAAAAGGAAUCCAUUUGAUUACGUUAUCACUUGGAAAGGUAAAUUCUUUUUUUGAUAUUAUGUGGUACAUAACUUUGCAUUAAACAACCAAGGUGAUCAAAAGGUAGGAGGCAUGGUUUUUAUUUUUAUUUCAAUUUUUUUAUUCCACUACGUUGAUGCUCUAAUCAUGUCGUUCCUAGAAAUAAUACCAAUGCUUCAAAACCACAAUUUAAAAGAAUACUUGUCACCAUAUCAUUAGAAAUAGGCACAUCUUGUGGAUCCAUGGCAAACAUUCUCGCUUGUCUUCUUCUAAAGGUACCUUACGGUAUUGACGUAAUGGGUCGAGAUCGGGAGGUAAAAGCUAUUCCCUUGCCUUUAUUGGGUCAGCCUCUCCUAACUAGAGGUGAAACUAUGGAUGUUACUAUGAAUGCUGGUUGAAUCAAUCCACUACCAGUUCCUUGUGAUCUCCCAUCAUAGGGGCAGUCCCUUCGCAUAUGUCCCACUUGACCACAGUUAAAACAUACAUCAAAUGACUAAGCACAUGGCCCCACAUUCAUAGUACCAUAAUGUACAUAGUGAGGACUCCUUUAGCCUAUCAAUUUACUAUUAACACUAGUCAUUUCACUACCAUGUCCUCAACGAUUAUUUACUCUAGAAAAAUUUCCAUGACGAGGUGGACUACUAAACUGAGGAUUUCUCCUCAACCCUUGACACCCAGCUGACACCUGCCUUCUAUUUUGAAUAGUAUCUUUUUGAUUUGGUCAACUUAUCCUUCCAAAAGUUGUUUCUCGAUUAGUGCUGCUUUGACUAGUUUGUCUUUCAGUUUUAGUCUUUCUAGUAUUUUCACGAAGUGCCCUAGCCUCCAUACUACGACCCUCUAUUAAUUGAGCACAAUCCACUGCAUCAUAAUAUGAAUCAAACUGCUAUGGAGCAACAACUCUAAAUAAGUACUCGAAUAGUCCAGCCAUAAACUGAUUCACUCUCAUUUCUUCAGAAGAUACCAAGUGUGGCGCGUAUCUAGACAAUUGAGUAAACUGCACAUCAUAUUUAUAUAUCGUCAUCUCAGUGUUUGUUUCAAAGGCUCAAACUCCAUAGCCUUAGCCACUCACACACUGCGAGGCAUAAAUCUAUCCAUAAAGGCUUUAUCAAAUUCCUUCUAACUAAACAGACCAACAUCGCUAGGUCUACCCCACUUGUAUGAUGUAAUCCACAGCUGUGCUACAUCCUCAAGACAAAAACUGGCCAAUGUUACUGACCUCAUACUUGAAGCUCCUAAUGGCGACAAAUUCUUUCCAUGGUGUCCAAAAAUCUACGUGGGUCCUCUCCCAUAGUGGAACUAGUAAAUGAUAGAGGUUUUAACUUCAUAAAUGCAAACAACAAGGUUACCUAAAGGAGAUUAUUGGCAAGUUCACACAUUUUAAAAGGUACACAUGUGUAUUGUCAAUGUUUUACAAGGUCGAUUCUGAAUAGUGAGUGCAAAGAUAAGUGGUGAACUUAUGUCACCCAAGCUUUAGGCUAAUGGAGUAGCAUUGAGACCUAAAGACAGAAUUGGUGAGAUAAGGGUUUAGUGGGGAUUUGAAGCUUGUAUGGUAAAGCCUAGCAAGUGAAGGUAUAUGCAGUGAGGCUUGUUUUUGAUCCCCCAGAGAACUCAUUCUAACUCUUAGCCUCGUAUUUCCAUAUGUUGGAACAUGAAAAUCCUAAUACAGUCACAACAGUGGCUACUGAUGAGGUAAGACAAUUCAAAUAUUGUUUCUAGUCGUACGAGGCUUCUAUCCAGGGGUUCAAUGUUGUAAUAUGGCCUGUGGUUACUAUUGAUGCUACACAUCUAAAAAACGGGAAUUCUGCUUGUUGCUAUCUGCAAAGACACGAACUAGUGCAUAUAUCCAAUUGCAUUUGGCAUUGGCCAAGUUGAGGACGAAGACACAUGGACUUGGUUUCUUACCAAACUGCGUGGUGUGGUUGCUUGUCCUAAAAACAUAAUGUUCAUUUUUUAUAAGCAUUUUGGCAUUAAGAAGGCAAUCUAAAAUGCAUACCUAGACAUGCACCAUAAUCUAUAUGGUUACUAAUUGAAGAAAAACUUCAUAAACAAGUUCAAGCACAAUGACAUUUUAGCGAUUUUCACCCUUGCUCAAGACUGCUACAAGGUAUUUGAAUUCAAUAGACAUAUGAACUAGCUGCAAUAGAUUCAUGUGGGAGCCCACUCCAUCCUUAUACAAAUAAGCCUUGAGAAAUGGGCAUGUGCACGGUUACCGAUAAAGUGAUACCAACUCAUGACAUCCAACAUUGCAUAAUGUGUUAACUCAUGCCUGAAACAUGCAAGACAUAUGCCAAUCACCAUUUUGAUCGAGUUUAUUAUAGGCAUGUUCCAACAUUAGUUCCAUGACCAACACGAGGAGGCCCUCAAGGUGACCACGUCUAACAGCCCUUGGGCUGCUAGGCAAUUGAGCAUAAGGUUCAAUGAAGCACAUCACUUUCUAGUUAAACCUAUUGAUCAAAUGGAGUUCAAAGUUAAAGAAUACAAGAAGGAAGGUCUAGUAAACUUGUCGAUGAAGAUGUGUUCAUGUUGUGAGUCCUAGACCGAGCUACACUCUUACAACCAUGCCAUUGCAACUAUAAGGUACGAAUUUCAAUAUAUUUUAUUUGACUUGUAAUCAACUUAAAUUUUACAUUAUGAUUGAAUCGAGACUUCAUUCUUUGCAUAGUAAAUGCAAACAUGAAGCCAUUAAUUUCUGCUUGGACCACUACAAGACUUUCUAUUUGGUGGAAGGUUUUGCUAGGUCCAUUCUCCCGGUCAGGCAUCUCAGUGACUAGGACAUCCCCUUUAAUGUGAAAAAAUCAUCAUUUUGCCACCACUUUGGUGAGAUCAAGCAAGAAACCUUAAAGGAAAAGAAUUCCAUUGAUUGGUAAAGGCAGUCGAGCACACAAAUGUUCAUAAUUGAAGAGCUACGAUCGUAAUUGAUAAAAUUUCCCAACGCUGUUUGCAGUUCCAUCCAUAAAUCUGGCACCAUCUUUAAGUCAAUUGAUGCGUCCAUGAUGACAACGCUUGAAAGCAUGUUCAACAUGUAGACAAAUUAACCUCACAUGCAACAUCUGUCCAAUAUGAAGGACAGUGUUUCAAAACGUAAGGUGUCUUGUAGACAAAGGCAAUGGCUUCACCUAACCAAAUGUGUGAGCCAUCUCCAUUAUGUUUCUUACUUGCAAAACAAUUCUAUAUGGAAUUGGUGAAAAUGUGCAAUUACAAAGGAAUGGUAUGUCGUGUAGUUUCUUACAUGCAUAUCUUUUGUAUGUUAUGUAGUAAUUAACUAACUUGAUUUGUCAUAUGCUUUUUAAUCUAGUUUCUCAUUGCAACUAAAAUCCCUUUACUUACAGGGAAUAUUAAAGGAAGGGCAAUCGAGGAAAUGGAGUUAGGUAUUGUUUCUCCAUGUUGUCAGCCCAAAGCAAGCUUCAAAAGUUUUAUAAAUAGUUGUCAUGCACCAUUCCUUGGGAGGCAAUUAUCGGUACAUGCGAUCUUUAUAUAUUCUGUGCUGUUACAUGCCAUGCCUAUAAACUCAAGUUGUUACAACUUGAGUUUAGUUGCUACAUGCCACAAAGAUAAUAGGGAAUGUUUAUACAGACCAUGCCAACAAAUAGAAACAAGUAUUUUGUUUUCUUAGUUUUUGCUUGAGGACUAGCAGUGAAAUGCCAGGCAUAAAUAAAAACUGGUAUUACACGUCAUUUUAUAUUAGUCCUAUUUCAAGAUUGAAGCAUUGAUUUUGUUGAUCAUUUUCUUUUUUCUUCAAACCUUGAGUCCAUUUUUCCAUGGUUUUCAUGUUAAGAAUAUGAUUUUCCAACAUGACGUUUAACAACAUUGUUCAUUUACAACCUUCUUCUUUCAUUGUCAAAUUGAGAUACAUUUCUUGGGAUGUAACUUAUUUAUUUCUAUUUAUUGUUUGAUGACUUCUACACACCAUGCGUAAUGACCAAAUUGUUACACGGAUGCAUCAAUGGACACUGUUAUUACAAGCCAUGGAUAUUAGGUAAUUGUUGCUAAAGGCCAUGCCAAUAUAUAUUGUCACUUGGAGGCCAUCCUUAUAUAUAUUGCCAGUUUCACGCCAUGCUUAUACAAGUUGUCAGUUACAUGCCAUGCCUAUAUAUAUUGUCAAUUACACAGCAUGGCUAUAUAUUUUGUCAAUUACCCUUUAUGCAUAAAUAUACAUUGUUAUUACAUGUGAUGCUUAACUUUAUUGUAAAUAUAGGUAGUAUUAAUUAUGUAGCUAACAUGAGGAUUCAUUUACAAUCAAAACAAGCUUCAAAAUUCGAAAGAAGAAAGGCAUUGACCACUUUCUUUUAGCAUAUCCUAGAUUUCUUUUGCACCAUCAGUAGUUUAUUUUGAAUCUCUGAUUUUGAUAGUUGCUUGAAAGUUAUCAUAUUUUAAACUUCUUUAAAACUCUUGCAUUCUUUUGGAAAAACUCAACCAUUUCCAACUCACAAUUAAAUUAAUAGAUUUCAAUCACCUUAAGUUAAGGCAAGAGACAAGAAGGUACCUUUUGAGGUUGAUGCCAAAAUAGAUCUCCAAAAAAUCCCUAAGCCUAAAAAGAAAAAGGAAAACAUAAAAGCUUGGAACUUUAGAAAUGCGUAGAGUAAUUGUUAGAUAUAUUUUAAUUUAAUUCACACAUUAUGAAUGAUAAGAGUCUCUAAGUUAAUUGAACUUUCAAGUAACUCAGCAAGUCUAGUUCUUUGCCACCAAGUCCUCCUUCUAAUAUCUACAUGGACCAUCUUAUGAAACACAAGCACAUGCUGCUUGCACAAACUAAAAGCCUAAAAAUGAGAUAAUAAUAACAACAAAUAGGUAGUGUUAGACUAUAAAUUGCAAUAAAACUAUAAAUUCAAUAUAUUACACUACUCAAAAACAUAAACAUAAAUCUACGAUGCAAUAAUUUACAAGCAUCCUUUUAGGGUCUAUUUUGAAAAGACCAAUUAUGGGAUAUUUGUACCAACUAUAUUUUCAAAAUAUUGCUUCAACAAGAAAGAGUCAGUGAACUUACCCGCAGUAACUCAUCAUUGAAAUAAAGUGAUCAAACAUGAUGAAUUCCAUUAAACAAAUUACUUGCAACAUCAAUGUUGAACUCAUCUCUAAAUCCAUUAUGUAGAUCUAUCAUCUCAGCCUUGACAAUAAAAAGUAGGUUUACUUAUGAAUAACUCUUUAAUAAAACACCACAAUAUUUGACGUAGACAAGACUUGAGGCAUCAAUGCCAAGAUGAAAAGGUUUAUUGGAGAUAUCACCAUGAUGAUCUAAAUCUCUUUAGUGAAGGUUUACAAAUAUUUAACUCUAUUAGACUUUCAUAUUGACAAGAAGGCUAAAUCAACAACUUUUCAAGUACAAGGCAACUAGGCAACUCUUCAAGCAUGGGUCAAGUUUGGAGGAAAUUUCAAGAAGCCUUAGGCUUGAGAUUGGAUUUUAAUAUGGCUUUCCAUCCACAAACAGAUGGCCAGUCUGAGCACACCAUCCAAACCCUUGAAGAUAUGUUGAGGGCAAUUGUGCUCAAUUUUAGAGUCUCAUGGAACCAUUACUUGCUUUUGGUCGAGUUCUCUUAUAACAAUAGCUAUCAAGCCACAAUUAGUAUGGUUCCAUAUUAGGCUUUGUAUGCACAAAGAUGUAGAUCGCCUAUUAGUUGGUUUGAAGUUGGGGAAUGAAAACUCUUAGGUCUGAAGAUGGUCCAAGAAGCUGAACGAGGUGUUCAGGUAAUUCGAGAAAAGAUGCCAAUGGCUCAAAGUCAUCAUAAGUCUUGCACCAAUAAUAGGUGCAAACCCUUGGAAUUUGAAGUUGGCGAUUAUGUGUUCUUGAAAAUCUCACCAACCAAGAGAGUGAAAAGAUUUGGAAAGAAAGGGAAAUUGAGCCCUAGAUACAUCGACUCCUUUGAGGUGUUAAAGCGUAUUAGCAUAGUUGCUUAUCACUUGGCGUUACCACCCAACUUAUCCAAUGUUCAUCUAGUAUUUCAUGUGCCCAUGCUUAGGAAGUAUGUUCCUAAUCCUUCGCAUGUGAUAUGGUAUGAUGAAGUCCAGUUACAAAACGGACUUGGUUAUAAGGAGCAACCCAUAGCCAUAUUGGGUCGACAAGUCAACGGCUUCACUCCAAGGAUACUGCUUCGGUGAAAGUAUUGUGGCAUUGGCAUUCAGUUGAAAAGGCCACAUGGGAACUUGAGGAGGAAAUGAGAGAGAAAUAACCCCAUCGUUUUGAGGUUUGAUAUGUGUCUUAAAUUAUGAAAUGUAAUUAAAUUCAGGGAUGAAUUUUCUAUGAGGAGGGGAAAAUGUAACACUUUUAAUUUUUUGACGUAAAUUAAGUUAAUUGAGAAUGAUCUAUUAAAUAUAUAUUGUUCCUCAAGGACAUCAAUUAUAUGUUAUUUAUGUCAAGUGUGGAAAGUGUAUCAUUUACAUUUGGGUGAAUUUUUUUGAGGAAAUAUGAGAACUGAUGAAUAAACUCUAUGGUUUGAGAUUUUGAAUUGUAUUUGACGUGAUAAUUAAGGGUAUGUAUGUGUGGAUUGCAUUUUAUGAAUAAGUUGAGGUUGUGGAAGAGAUUUAUAAUGAGUUUAGACUAUAAAAGGAACAACAUUUACGAAUUUAGACCAAAAAAGUCGAUCUUAGUGCAAAAAGGGUCAAUCUUGUGAAGUAAAAAAUAGGGGAAGUCAAGCAUUCUGACCUGAUAUCAACUAUAAGCCCUCUAUAGUCAAUACUAGAAAGGAAAAAUGGAAGAAAUGUGGACAUUUUGGUCCAGGAUCGACUAUAGACUCUCCACAGUCGAUCCUAUGAAGCAAAAUCAACUAAAAACAAACAUUCUGGUCCAAAAUCGACUAUAGACCCUCUAUAGUCGAUCCUAUGAAAAGGAAAAAAAGGGUGAAAACAAACCUUCUAGUCUAGGAUUGAUUACAAACUCUCCAUUGUCGAUCCUAAGAUGCCUAGUCAACUUAAACUGGGCUUAAAAGCCUCAAAAUAAAAAAUUUCCUCAUUUUCUCUUUAACUCUACAUUUCUCCACCCAUUUUCUCUCAACUCUCACACCCUUCAAACCCAUUAAACUCCAAUCAUAAAUCAUGGAUUCUAAAAGUUAAAGGAAGGAGACUUCACUAUUAAAAGCUUGAUUGUGUGAUUUUACUUUCUUUCUCUAAAACUCAAAACCCUAACCUCUUAAAAUAAUUUUUAAAGCUAUUUGGGGUAUAUUGGAGUGGAUUAGAGCUGGGGAAAUGCUUCCAAAGGUAAGAUUAAGUGUUUUACUGAUUGAAUUUCAAUUUAAUUGGCUAAUGACUUAGAUCUAAUUUGAUCCAACUUUGAAGAAAUUGGCCCUCUUGAGCUGACCAUGGAUUUAGGGUUAAUGAUUGUACAAUCCAAUUCUUAAGGUAUGGAUCUAGCUUAUUAUUGAAGGAUUUAAGCUUAUAUGUAGGAUUGUUAAGGAUUUGGUUAUUUUGAGAAAAGCUAGCAUUGUUCGAAAGCUAGGAUUUAAUUAGUUUUGUAAUAUUUUGAUGUGCUUACAAGAAGAUUGAGCCAUUUGGGCACAUUUGUGAGGUGAAAUACAACUAGAGGCUAAGGAUUGAAGCUUAGUUGUGUAGCACCUCUAAUUUGUCACUAUGAGUGAGAUUAUUAAAUGCAUGUAAUGCAUAACGCAUGAAAAAUGUGUUGCACUGGUACUAUAUUGUAAAUGUAGGCGUAGUUGAACAUGCCUAGGCUAAAGAACUAUGUACUAAUAUAUGUGAAUAUGAUUGCCUAGAUGAGUGUGCCUAGGCUAGUAUAUUGCUAAUGUACAUGUUAGUAUAUGCGUUUGCUUGUCAAUGCCAUUGGGAAGCAUGAGUUGUUAAACAUUUAGGAGAUGUAUGAUUUUAAUGGCCACUAGAUAAGUUGGGAUUAAAUCAGUGUGAUGGUGAUACUACGAUGUACGGUUAAAUUGUCGUUUGUUGACGGAAUAUUAAUGCAUGAUCUAUUGUGAUAUUAUUCAUGUAUAUGCAGCUAUUAGACCAUUAUUAAAUUAAAAUGAGAUUAUUGAUGUAUAUGUAGCCAGUAAGCCAUGAUUAUUGAUGCACUUAGGACUUUAAGAGCUUAUUGAUAAAUUAAACUCGAUAAAUGUGAUUAUUGCUAUGUCGUGGACAUAUGGAAAGAUAGAGAUAUGAUGGUCUCAUUGUGUAAUUAUGUUUCGUCUGAGGAAUGAAUUUUGAACAUCGAUUUGACUUGAGGUUGAGUGGAUCUCAUUACCUUGUGACUGUGUGUGUGCAUGCAGGGAUGGUGGAAAAUGAGGGUUGUGGUUUAGUCCUGCCUAUGAUUCCCACUUGUAGUGUUGUGAUGCCACCUAUCAAGAGAUUACUCCAAGGGAUGUCGUCGAUGGGAGAUUACUCCGAGCAAUGUCAACCGUCAGGAGAUUACUUAAGUCGAUGAUAUGAUUUUCUCUAACUACUUCAACAUUGGGCAUGAUUUGAUUCUCUGUCCGUUGCUUCGGCACACAUGCGACUUGUGCUCCGUCAACUACUUCAGUGCUGGGAGUGAUUUGUUUCUCUGUUGACUAGCCACCAUGUGUGAUUUGACUAUGUCCAAGGGAAGACCACUCAUUGAUUUAAUGUGUAUACAAUGUGAGAUAGCCUGGGAGAGGCUUAGAUAAACAUGAUAUGGUUUAAUGUUAUACUUCAACAACUAGAAUGUGCCAUGGAAAAUGAUGUGGCAGACUUUGGUUGGCUAUGAAGGUAAGUCUAAUGAUGUGUGUGAGGAUCUUUAGGGAUGAUGAUGAGUCCUAUAUCUUUGGAGAUGUUCGGUAGAUCAUGUAGAUGCACUAAGAGUGCCAUGUCCAUUAUGUGUUUAAUAUAUGUAUAUAAAUCUAAUUAUGUGCACCACUCACUGAGUAUUAUAGUAUUCACCCAUUUUUGUACCAUGUGUAGAUAAGUGAGAUAAACGUGGCUUAGAUUUGUCAUUUGGACGCACGAGUUUUGGCAUCCGAUAGGUUUCCACCUAAUGGUUCACUCUGCUAGGUCCUGUCCACACUAGUUAUUGCACCUAAAAUAUUAAAGUUUAGAAAAUAAUGUAUUUCAAAUAUUGUAAGCACUGAGUGCCAUGUGAUAUUGUGUACAAAGGGUCGUAUGAUAUGAACCCGAUAAUUGGCCUAUGUAUGGCCUUAUAGAUAUUUGUAUGAACUAUGUGCCAAGGAUAACGUAUUCUGUUGAAUUAAAUGUCAUUUAUGAAUAUUUGGUUAUGUAGUCCCUUGGCUUUAUGUUAUAUGAUUAUGGAUUCUGAGGCUUCCACAAGUCUCGUGGGCUUUGCCUGCUAGCCUCGUGCGCUACUCACAUACCCUUGGGUUUGGAUCGUGACACAUUCGUCUAAGGUAAUUGUAGUACCUCGUACUUUGAGGUGGUGGCUAAUAAUGCUUACCGUCUACUAAUUGAGGUUGAUUACCGAGUAAAAGGGGUAAUUUAAAAGUGAACCUGUGAAACCUCGACCUCUAUAGACACGUAACUAGAAGUAGACGCAGUAAAACGGACUAAGGGUAAUUUCAUCAUUUUCUUUAGUGAGCCCUUAGAAGUAUGCUUUCAAACACUAUUAAAGCUUAAGUAGGCCUAGGGCACAAAUGAAUGAUGAAAAUAAGGAUAAGAUGACGAAGGAAAUAGAAAUAAUGAUGAUUUCCAAGGUAUGGGCAAAAUGGUCAUCUUACAUCUCGGGUCUAAAUUUUUAAGUUUUUACGAACUUGAGUACUCCUAGACCAUUAUGGACUUUAUCUCAGUGUCCAAAGAGUAAAAAGUUGAACCGAAGGAAAGAAGAAGACAAAGUCACCUUAUGAAGGGCAUUUUGGUAAAUUACAUGAAAAAUUGGAUAAACUUUAGAUAUAAAUAUCUAAAGCUGCAGCAAUUUCUAGCAACUUUCAGCCAUUUCGUCUUCCCUUCCCAUCUCACGUUUCUUCAUCUCCAUGGGAGCCUCCCAUAAAGCUUCCAUAGCUCUUUUAAAUUAACUUCAAUUUACAUGCUUUGGUGCACUUUUUCGUAGAACCUUUAAUGCUCUUUCACUCUCCCACCUUAAAACCCUGAAAAGUCUUUCUUCGACACUUUCUCUCGCUAGUUGAAAGUUUUAGAGAGAGAAAGAGAGACUUGCCAUAGUAGCUUGAAAACUCUUGAAAAGGAGUUUAACUAGAAGUCCACAAGGUGAGAGAAGAGUUAGGGUUGAUUUUAGGUGGUUAGAGAUGGGUAAUAAUUAGAAUUGUGGGCUGUUAUAUUUUUUAUGGUUAUAUUGUGUAUGAUAGGUUCCAACGAGGCCUCAAAUGUUCGUUUGAAGCAAUAAUUGAAGUUAGAGUCGAUUAAAGAUUCAAUAAAUACCGGUGAGUGAACUUGCAUCAAAGUGUUUUUGGGAAAUACAUAUGUGUUGGGACGAAGCAUUUAAAUGAUUUUACUUGGUUUUUCAUUAAAUUAUGCAUGGGAACAAGCCCUUGAUAAAAUGUUUUGAUGUUGUGAAAGUGUGAAAUGUGUAAAAAGAUGAAUCCAUGUUCUUCUAUAUUAUGUUGGUAUGUAUAUAUAUGAAUAUAUGUUGUGCAUUGAUGAAUAAUGUUGUGUGAUAAUGAUGACCCAGCUAUGUGCGCUGUGGUAGUGCACAUAAGCUAAUGAUGACCCAACUAUGUGCGAGUAAGGAGUGCGCAUAAGCCGAUGAUGACCUAGCUAUGUGUGGUGUGAGAAUGCACAUGAGCUGAUGAUGAUGACUUCGACUAUGUGCGAGUAAGGAGUGCACAUGACUAUGAAUGAAGUGGGGUGGUGUACAUGUUUAUAUAUGUUUAUAUAUGUAUAUGUGAUAGAAAGUUAUGAUUAUAAUAUGUGAUUGAAAUGAAUAAUGAGAAACUUAAUUAUUGUCAAUGUGUUCACUUUGAUGUGCAAUACGAUAAGAAUGGAUUUUGUGGCAUGUGAAAAUCCCUUAAUUGUCAUCUGCCCUAAAUCUCGCUGCAGCGAGAAUGCAUUCUCACUACAGCAAGAAACUCUCGGGUGGUGGGGGCACAAACCAACCCUCUUUCUCGCUGUAACCAAAAAGAAUUCUUGCUGCAAAGAGGAAUUUCACUGCAGCGAGAAACUCUAGGGUAGUUCCAAAUUCCUAGUGCAGUGUUUCCACUUUGACAACAAUUUUGACCACCUUUCAGUCAGAACUAGGCAAAGUGGUAAACAUAAAAGUUGUAUCCCAGCCUCUUAUCUUUUUAAUGGUCUAAAAAUAAGGUCAAUUGGACUUAUGUAGUGGGAGAUAAACUGGAAAAACCGAAAUAUAUGCAAACUAAGGUUGUUUCUCGCUGUAGUGAGAAACUUGCUGUUCUGCUUGCUACCUUGCUUGAUUUUGACAUAUUUUUCACCCAUUUAACUUCAUGGAUUGAUCAUGGGUUUUUGCAACACUAUGAGGUUAUUAAUCAAAGUUUGAAAUGAGGGGUUUUUAGUAAGAAAUUAAAUCAAUUGCAUUGUUUUUGAAACAAGUGCAUCAUGAUUUCCAAGUUCUCCUCAUCGAUUGCUUGUUCCCUUCUUAUGUUCACUCACUAAGUUUUAUAUUCACAUUUUCAAACUUCAUGUUUUCAGAUUUGGAGGUAGUUGGGACCUAGGUUGAGUUGUUCAUGUAUGCUCACCUUCUUAGUAGGUACUAUAGCAUCUCAGUAGCUACACCUUAACCCACAAUCACUCCGUUGACGGUCAAGGGUCUGUUAUCUGUGAACACGUAUAUGUAAUGUAAUCCGCUAGUAUCCAUGUUAUAAGUCAAAUUAUGUAUCUUUGAUUACUGAUGCCACUAUGAGUUGGCAAACGGGUGACAUUAUUUUGACAUAAUAGAAUUGUGAGUUUUGGGUCAUUAUAAAAUAUUACUGAAAUAUUUUUAGUUCAGAAUUUCAAUAUGUGGUUUUAGAAAUGAUGGUUGGGAAAGAUGACCGGGUUUGCAUAAAAAGGCUUGCUUGGGCUUAGUGGGCCAUGCCCAUUGGCCCCAUGCACCGAUCAUGGCUCGAGAUUUGGGCUUUGACAAAAGUGGUAUCAGAGUAAAGGGUUGUAACACAAUCCCUGGGAACUCUCGCAUGUAAACAGUGGGCAAAGCAUGACUCUCCACCUAGGGGCUAUAGAGGAAAGGGCUACCUCUAUCAGAGAGUGUGGAGCCGCCUUAUUAAUGCGCUGAUAGAUACCCUUUUGUCAUGACCCAAAUUUCGAGCCAUGAUCCACGCAUGGACCCAAUGAGCAUAGCCACUAAGUUCAAGCAAGCCUAUUUAUAUAACCUAUUCAUUAAUCUAUUGAGUAUUCCUAAAGUCACAUUUUAUGAUCUCAACUGUAAGUACUUGAAUGAUAUUCUACCAUGAUCAAAUAUUCACAUGUAUAUAUAUAUAUUACCCAAAAAUGGUGCUAACCAUUGCCAACUCAUAAUGGCAUUACCAUUCAAAGUAUAUAUAUACAUAUAUAUUGUCUAAGAUAAGUAUCUUAAAAUUUUACAUUUCGUUUAUCUAUAUAUAUAGCAUAAAGACACUCGACUUCCAGCGGAGCAACUUUGGCGAAGGUACAACUAUUGAAUGCCAAGAUACCUACCAAAGAGACGAGUCCACAUGGACACCUUGACCUAGGUUCCAACUGCCUCCUGAUCUGAAAACAUAAAGUUGAAAACUGUGAGUAUGAACUCAGUGAGUGAGCAUAGGAAGGGAACAAGCAAUUGAUAAGGAAAAUUUAAAAAUCAUGAUGCACUUGUUUUGAAAACAAUGCAGCUUGGUUUAAUUUCUUCCCUAAACCCCAUGUUUCAAACAUUGGUAAAUAAACUCUUAGUGUUGCAAAGACCCAUGCUCAAUCAUGAAGAUAAAAGAGUGAAGAAAAAUUAUAUAAAAAACCAAGCAAGGUAGCAACGUGACAGCACGUUUCUCGCUACAGUAAAAGGCAUUCUUGGUUUGUAUAUGUUUCAAUUUUUCAAGUAUAUCUCCCACUACAAAAGUCCAAUUGACAAGUUUGUUCAUUCAUUAGAAAGCUAAGAGGCAGGGCUAUGACUUUAGUGUUUACUACUUUGCCUAGUUCUAAACAAAAAAUGGUCAUAAUUACUAUCAAAGUGAUAGUACUGCACCACCACCAGAGAGUUUCUGGCUGCAGCGAGAAUCCAUUUUUGCUAUAGCCAAAUUCCUUGCUGCAAUAAACAUCAAUUUGAAAAUACUUAAAUACUUUCACUGUUCAACAUGCAAGAUUCCACAUACAUUACAAUCAUUUACUAUAUUCAUAAACUUUCUACUACGCAUGUAUAUAUAUAUAAACACGAAUACCACCACCUUCCUCAGCCAACAUGCACUCCCCACACGCACAUCAUUACCAGCAUGUGCACUGCCCACUCCGCACAUGCACAGUUGUAAGUGUCACAACAUUGUCAUUCGACUGGCAUAUGCACUACCCACUCCGCAUAUGCACGGCUGUAGUUGUCACAACAUCGUCAUUCAACUGGCAUAUGCACUGCCCACUCCGCACAUGCACAAUUACAUCAAUUACACAAAAUUACUUAGCAAUACAUAUCAUAUAUUUUUAUAUACACAUCAACAUCAUAUAAAGGUAUAGAGAUUCAUCACAAUCAUGUUCCACACCACCAAAAACAUUUCACUAAAGGCUUGUUCCCAUGUAUUUUAUAGAAAAACAAUUAAAAUGUCUCAAUCAACCACAUGUGCCUUAAUCCCAAAACAUUUUGUGCAAGUUCACUCACCAGUAAUUGUUGAAUCUUUACUCGACUCCAACCUCCACUAAUGGUCCAAAUGGAACUGUGGGGCCCCGUUGGGACCUAUCAUCACAAUAACAUCACAACCAACUCGAUUUGCAUAAUUAUUUUUCUAAAACCUAUCCACUAAAUCAUGUUCUGCUAGUUGUUUUUAACUAGCUUCCAUCAACCAUCAAGUGACUAUAUAUUUUCACUAUUCUAGUCACACUACAAUGAAUAAACCACCUCAACUACAAAACACUCACCGAUCUAGCCACUAGCCGUUCUCAACAACUAAAAAAAAAAAUCAACUCAAUUUCACUACUCACCUUAGUAGCUUUGUAAUUGAAUUUCUUUCCUAAAAGUUUUCAAACUAUCAGGAAAAUCUAACUUUCUCUCUAGAACAUCCAGCUAGUGAGAGAGUGUAAUAAGCAAAUGUUUUUGAGGGUUUUUAUGGUGAGAAAGUAUAAGAGCACAAAGAACUUUGGGAAAGGGUACACAAAAACAUGAAAAAUCGAGGUUAACUUAAGGAAAUAUAUGGAAAUUCAAGGCAAGCUUCCAUGGGAGGGGUGAGAGAACGUGGGACAGGAAGGAGAAGAAGAAGAAGUGCUGGAAAUUUGAAGAACAUCCUAGAAACUUAGAUUUUUAUGGCUUAAGUUUAUCCAUUUCUAGCAAAAUUACCAAAAUGCCCUUAACUAUGUAAUUUUGUUUUUUUUCAUUACUUUAAUACAAUCUUUUUACUUCUUUAACACUGAGACAAGGUCAAUAAAGGUUUAGAAAUACUCGGGUUCAUGAAAACUUAAAAUUUCAACUCGAGAUGUAAAAUGACCGUUUUACCCAUACCGUGAAAAUUAUCGGUAUUUCUAUCUUCUUCAUUAUCUUAUCCUCAUCCAUUCAUUCCUUAGGCCUACGUGGACCUUAAUAACAUUAGAAAACAAGUUUUAGGGGCUGACCAGGAGAUAUGACAAAAUUACCCCUAGUUCGUGUUAUCGCGUUUACUGCUAGUUACUAGUCAAUAGGAGUCAAGGUCUCACAUUCUCCCCCACUAAAAGAAAUUUGGUCCUUAAAUUUAGAUCUAGUAUAAGAUAGUCUACCUCUAAGUAUUAAAGAGUUGCGAUACUUUGUCCGCAUCUCCUCUUCAGUUUCUCACGUUACCUCCUCACUAGUGUGGUUUCGCCAUAACACCUUCACUGAGGUCACAUCCUUUGAACAGAGCUUUUUGACUUGUCGAUCUAGGAUAGCUAUCGGUUGCUCCUCAUAGGUCAAAUCAUCUUUCAGUUGGAUAUUUUCAUACCGUAUUACAUGCGAUGGAUCCGGAUUAUACUUCCUAAGCAUCGACACAUGAAAUACGGGUUAAAUAUUUGAAAGGUCUGACUGUAAUGCCAAAUGAUAUGCUACUGCUCCAACCUUUUCUAAGAUCUCGAAGGGUCCUAUAUAACGAGGACUUAAUUUUUCUUUCUUGCCAAAUCUCAUUACCCCUUUUGUUGGUGAGACCUUAAAAAAUACAUGAUCUCCCACUUGAAACUCCAAGUCCCUCUGUCUAUUAUCAGCAUAGGACUUUUGUCUACUUUAUGCUAUUAACAUCCUCUGAUGGAUCAUGCAUAUUUUCUUGGUGGCAUCCUACACCAACUCAGGCCCCAAGAGUUUCCUCUCUCCUACCUUUAGCCAUCCAAUGGGUGACUUGCACCUCCGUCCAUAUAAUGCUUCAAAUGGUGCCAUUUGGAUGCUAGCUUGGAAACUGUUAUUGUAGGCAAACUCCACUAAGGGUAGAUAUCGAUCCCACUUGACCCCAAGGUCUAGUACACAGGCCCUCAACAUAUCUUCUAAUGUAUGUAUCGUCUGUUCAGACUGGCCAUCAAUUUGCUAGUGAAAAGCCAUGCUAAAAUCCAACUUAGUGCCCAAUGCUUCCUGCAACUUUCCCCAGAACCUAGUAGUGAAUUGAGCUCCUCUGUCAAAUACUAUAGAAAUCGGGAUACCAUGCAGCCGUACUAUCUCAUCAACAUAAACUCGAGCGUACUAGGCAACACCGUAAGUAGUCUUAACCUAAAGAUAAUGAGCUGAUUUCGUUCACCGGUGUACUAUAAUCCAAAUUGAGUCGUAACCCCCACUAGUUCGAGGGAAACCCGUUACAAAGUCCAUGGCAAUAUGCUCCCACUUCCACUCGGGCACUGGUAACGGUUGUAGUAGCCUUACAGGCCUUUGAUGCUCAGCCUUAACCUGCUGACAAACCAGGCACUUGGAGACGAACUCAGCUACAUCUUUCUUAAGUCCUUCCCACUAAUAUACCUCUUUCAAAUCUUGAUACAUCUUUGUAGCCCCUAGAUGCACCACAUAGGCUGCCAUGUGUGCCUCCUCCAAUAUUUCUCUCCUUAAUCCAUCACUAGCGGACACAUAAAGUCUAGUUCCAUACCUCAAUACUCCAUCUGUGCCUUUACUAAACAUCUUUCCUUUCCUUCUUUGAGGAUCCUCUAAGGCCUUAGUUAUGAACUCAUCUUUACUUUAUGCUUCUUUAAUCCUGUCCAUUAAGAUAGGCCUCACUCUAAAAUGGGCUAACAAUGCAUUUGCCUUUGAAACUUCCAAAUGCACACCCAUGUCUCCCAAGCGAUGCAUCUCCUUAAUCAAGAAUCUCCUAUCUGCGAAGAUAUGUGCCAAGCUUCCCAUCGAUUUUCGACUCAAGGCAUCUGCCACUACAUUUGCCUUACCGGGAUGGUAGAGAAUAGUACAAUCAUAAUCCUUUAGCAACUCCAUCCACCUACGUUGCCGCAAAUUAAGAUCCCUCUGCUGAAAUAUAUACUUCAAGCUUUUGUGGUCCGUAUGUAUCUCACAAGUCUCACCAUACAAAUAAUCCCUCCAAAUCUUUAAGGCAAACACGAUUGUUGCCAUCUUCAAAAUGUGUGCGGGGUAAAUUCUGCUCAUGCCUUUUAAGUUGCCUUGAUGCAUACGCAAUCACCUUCCCAUGCUGCAUUACUACACACCUUAAGCCAACCCGCGAUGCAUCACAAGACACCGUAUAACCCCUUAUGCCUUGUGGUAGGCUUAAUACUGAGUUGUGGUGAGACAUGCCUUAAGCUUCUCAAAGCUAUUCUUACAAGCAUCUGACCACUCAAAUUUUGUAUAUUUGCGUGUCAGCUUAGUUAGAGGGGUGACUAUUUUGGAGAAGUCCUUUACAAAAUGAUGAUAAUAGCCAACCAAAGCCAAAAAGCUUCUAAUCUCCAUAACUGAUGUUGGCCUUGGCCACUUUUCCACUACCUCGACUUUCUUUUGGAUCUACUUGGACCCCAUCUUUGGAUACCACAUGUCCCAAGAAUGCAACGCUUUCAAGCCAGAACUCACACUUGGAGAACUUGGCAUACAAUCGAUGUUCUCUCAAAGUUUAGAGCACUAUCCUAAGAUGCUAUUCGUGCUCCUCCCGGCUCUUCGAGUAGAUCAAGAUGUCAUCAAUAAAUACCACCAUGAACUUGUCCAAAUAGGGCUUGAACACUCGGUUCAUCAAAUCCAUAAAGGUCGUAAGGGCAUUAGUAAGCCCAAAUGACAUCACCAAGAACUCAUAGUGCCCAUAUCUUGUUCGAAAAGUAGUCUUAGGUAUGUCCUCAUUUCUGACCCUCAAUUGGUGGCACCCCAAUCGUAGAUCUAUCUUAGAGAAACAUUGUGCCCCUUGUAGCUAAUCAAAUAGAUCAUCUAUUCUUAGGAGGGGCUACUUAUUCUUUACCGUUACCUUAUUAAGUUGUCGAUAGUCAAUACAUAAUCUAAGUGACCCAUCUUUCUUCUUUAUAAAUAGCACUAGUGCUCCCUAUGGUGAGACGCUGGAGCGAAUGAAGCCUUUAUCUAACAAAUCCUCCAACUGAUCCUUAAGUUCCUUAAGCUCCGUCGGUGCCAUUCUAUAUAGGGGUAUGAAUAUAGGUCUAGUGUCGGGAAUCAAAUCUAUACAAAAUUCAAUCUCUCUUUUAAGAGGCAAACCUAGUAGUUCCUCAAGAAAUACAUCCAUGAACUCAUUCACCACCGACACUUGGUUUAUAUCUCCCACCUUUGCUUGAGUAUCCCUUACCACAACCAAGUAACCUGAACAACCCUGUCUUAAUAACCUUUUGGUAGACAUGACCGAUUUCAAUUUGGUUGAAGCAUUACUCCUAUCCCCUUGAAUACUAAAUGAUGGUUCACCAGGAAAAUCAAAUCUUACCAGUUUAUGAUAACAAUCCACACUGGCAUGGCAGGGUGAUAACCAAUCCAUUCUUCAGAUCAAGUCAAAGUCUAAGGUGUCUAACACCACUAGAUUCACCAAAGUGUCUUUGUCCUUGACUCAAACUACAUAGGACGCAUAUUCCCAUUCUGCCAUAAAUACCUCUUUUAAAGGAGUAGACACAAUUAAUUGUUCCUUUCUCCUAACACGAUCCUUACCCAGAAUAAGUGCAAAACAUGGAGAAAUAAAGGAGUGGGUAGCACCAGGAUCAAACAAUACUCGAGCAUUCAUAUUACAAACAAAAAAAGUACCCAAGACCACUGCAUUGGAUGUUUGGGCCUCUUGAGGUGUUAAAGCAUAUACCCUGUCUUGGCCUCUACCGGCGAAACUCUAACGUCCAGAUCUAGAAGGCAUGCCCUAAGAGGAAGUAGUAGCACCUCUACCUUUUGAUUUGCUAGCCUCUCGAUCAGAUGAGGUAGUUACUGAAUGAGCAGACCAAGUUAGUUGGGUGGAGCCGCGAGCAAAACCUUGCGAUUGAUGAGCCAUGGGGCAAUUCCACCUAAUAUGUCUAGGUUGACCACACCCAUAACAAACACUCGGAGUACGAAAGCAUCGCCAGCUAUGUCGCCCCUCACAAUUAGUGCAACGUUUGAUAACUUGAUUGUUCUGUCUUGAAUCUUGUUACGUUCCAGCACUGAAGGUCAUUUGUCCUGCCCCAAUAAUAGCACCAGGUGAGUCACUCCCUUUUUGGGGCAAUUGUGAGUCCUGUUGUGGACCUUGACUGCUAGAAGAUGAAACACCGCUGCUGAAAUCUCUAUGGCCUUGAUAACCCUUUUGGCCCUUUUUAGUCUUUCCCUCGCAACUCUACUCUCACUAGUCCUCAUCUCAAUACGUUGAGCACAAUCCACUGCUACGGAGUAGGUUUUGAAAUCUCGAGAUGCCACAGCCCUAAACAAUGGCUCCACUAGCCCAUGUACAAACCUCUGAAUCUUCAUCUCCUCAGUGGAAACUAAAUAAGGUGCAUACUGAGCUAGCUACAUGAAUUUGAUGUUGUAUUCUGACACCGUCAUACUUGGGGUCUAUACCAAAGUCUUAAACUCCCUAGCUCUGCCAUUACGUACAUUUAGUGGUAAAAAUCUAUGCAAGAAAACAGUACUGAACUCACUCCAAGUCAACGGUGCUGCGUCCGUUGGUCUACCUCUACAUAAAGAGCUAUACCACUAUUGCGCCCCGUCCUCUAAUUGAAAGGCAGCUAGCUCGACUGAUCGGACCUUGGAACAUCCUAAGGCUUUACAAAUUUUCUUCAUCUUAUCUAAGAAAAUUUAGGGUUUCUCCGAGGCAUCAGAUUUUGAAAAUGAUGGAGGUUUAAGCUUAAGAAAAUCGGAAAGAGAAAUCUCUAAAUGACCCCUCUAAACCUCAUGAUGUUGGCGAUCAGCUUGUCUUUAAGAGCUAAGGGAUUCUUGUACUGUAGGUCUCCCAUCCACUAUGCUCUGUAUAUCAUCCAUACGGGUCACCAUCAUCUCUACGAUCUGGUUGACUCCCUGUAGGCCUACCGCUAAAUAUUCAAUGGUAAUACCCCUAGUUGGUUAUCUAUCUGCAUCACUUGAAGAUUGUGCUUCUUCUAGCCGACUCACAAGAGUAUCCACCCUCACUGGCCUAGUGGCCCUACAACGUCUACCUCAGCCCCUAAAGGUAGAUGCUCGUGGCCUAUCUGUCAUUUCAUUAGGGGCAUCUUGCUCCCCUAUCCGGCUUGAGGCAGCUCAUGUCUUAGGUGACAUUCUUACCUAGACAAGAGCAACACCUAUUAUUAAACACAUUUUCUAUCAAGCCGUACUCUAUUAUAUACUUGUCAUGUUAUUCAUGUACUUGAUAACAUAUCUACAUACUGGGAUGCCUCGGAGAAUCGUUAAAAGUUGGUAUCGUACCUAGUGGUAUAAUUAAGUUGAUUAAAACCUCGAACUAGUUUGAAUAGAGAUUUUAGGAUAUAUUUGAGAGUUAUUGAAUCUUAGAAUGUUUUAAUAUGGUGAUUCAGAGUUCGAGGAUUAAUUUGGAGUCAAAUUAGGAAUUUUCAUAACGUAAGGGCAAAAUGGUCAUUUUUCCAUUCGAUGGUAAAAUGGGAAUGUUGGAUGAAAUUUUUGACCAAGUUUGACUAAUUGGAGAAUGAUUUGAUUUGAGAAAUGAAAAAUUUUAAUUUUGACAUUUUUCGAACAUAAGGGCAAAAUAGUCAUUUUAUGUGUCCACGGGGACGUAAUUAGAAUUUUUGGAAUUUUACACCAUCAUAACACUUGUCAGGCCCAUGAAUUUCACCUAUUAUUAUUAUCAUACUUUGGAUAAUUAAGAGAUUACAUGUGGUGGUGAGAAAAUGCUUAAUUGUUAAGUUUUAAACAUUGACCAAUCACAUGGUGACACAUGUCAAGCUUUAAUAUUUUUAUAAUUUCCUUUAUAAACUCUCCCAUUUCACUCUUCAUGGCCGGCCGAAGCAAAGAACAAAGAGAAAAGAAUAGAAACAAACCCUAGAAAGGAAAAUUCAAGAGAAAUUUGUAGAAUUUCUAAGAACAAAGCAAUCAAUUGUAAGAUUUUUCAAUUUUAGCUUAAAAUCUACCUUUCCCAUGCUUUCUUUUUCAUUUUCUAUGGAUGAAACACAAGUUUCCAUGAGGGAAUACAUGUUGGCCGAAAAUAGGGAGAGAGGUUUUGAUGGUGGAUUUUGCUAGAUUUCAUGAUAUCUUAGUGUUUUUAGUUGUUUGAUGAUGUUUGGCAUGAAAAACAAGCAAGAAAAUCACAUGCACUUCAACAACCCUCUUUGGCCAAAUUUUGUAGAUGACAUGUUGAUGAUAGAUUUGAUUCCUAAUGAUGUAGAUGGAUUUAUUGAACUGUGUUAACACUGAUUAGCACGUUAGUUCGAAAUCAGAAUGAAUUUCGGUUAUGAUGAAUUAAGUCACAAUCAAGCUCAUUGAGGUACUUUGGUGUAUUUGGAAUAUUGGAAGUGUAAUGAAUAUAUUUGAAGUUGAAUCGGAAGUUUUGGCUAAUUCAACAGUGCAUAGUUUGAGUUAGGUCAAAUACAAAUUCAAUCUGAUCAUAAUUGAACCCACGUAGAACACCGUCUUUAAGUGAUUAUUCGAACAAUUCUCAUUCAAUUUCAUGAAUUCAUAUAGAGCCUAAAAUAGUUUUAUAACAGUUUUGGCACAAAUAUAUUGAAUUACGUGUUGUGUAUUAUGUAUAGGUGGUAAGCCCUCUGAUAAGGGUAAAGAUAUCGUACUCGAGGACCAAGGAUAAGAGUACUCCAAACUCCCGCUAUUAUGAGUAAUCAAAUGUUCAUCUUAACUAUCUAAAGUAGUUUAUACUCAUUUUUAUGAUUUUAAAGAAUAAUGAACUUAAACCGUAGAUUUUUAUGUUUUAUAAGUUAAGUGAUGGUUAAAUGAAUGAGAUUUAUAAUUUUUUUUGCAAUUCAAUGAUGAUUUUGGAAAUUGAGUAAGUGGAGACUAAAUACUUGUGUUAUCUAUAUAUAUAUAUGGUUUGAAUUGAUGGCUUAUGACAAUAUGAUGGCAUGAAUGGCUGGAUUUGUGGUUUGUAGAUUAUAUAAACUAAUUUGUUUUACCUUGACAAGCUGGGUAAUAUUAUAUUAGCCAUGACAUGCUGUCGAAAUUUUAUUGAUUUGGUGGGUUAUUUGAUUAACUUACUACAGUGGGCGGGUUUCUGUGGACCAGCUUAUUAGAAGGGCACGGUAAACCUCGUUAUAUUGUACCUUAGUACGAAAGGCGUGAAGGGUAUCUCCUAAGGUAGUUUAGAGUUCACUUCACGUCGAACCACCACGUGAGGGUGAAACUCAGCCAACGCCAAGGAACGGCUAUAUUUUUAAACGUAAAAACAUGUUUUAUGUGUAUAUGUUAUUUAACAGCCUUAGCGAACUCAGUUGGAUGCCCUGCGCAAAGUGUCACCGAGUACGAGUUUUGGCACAAGCCAAGUUUUUAAGAGAAUCAUAAGCCUUGUUGAUUAUUUUGAUGAAAUGUAAUUGUUUUAUAUGAAUUGAAAUGAGUUUUAAAUGUUAUGAAUCAUAUUAUGAUGGGAUGAUUUAAUUGUCUCCAUUUACUCGGCUUUAGAUGUUGUAGAUGAACUUUGCUGACUCACUAGGUUUAUAAAAACUCACCUCUUCUUUUUACUCAUUUCAGGCUCAGGAUAGUCUGUAGACAGCCGAUUUUGUAGAGGGUUGCUUUUGAAUUUGCAUCUUUAGAAAUCGAAGGUCUACAGUCUUGUAUAUUUUUGGUUAUUUUGGGGCCCACAUGUCAUUGUAGAAUAUUUUUGAAUACCUGGUUUAGUGUGCUAUUAUAUAUAUGAAUUUAUUUUACUUUUACGCUACAGAAAUUGUUUAUGCAAGAUUCUAUAAAUAUUGUUUUUAUAAGAAAAUAGAAUAUUUUAUUUAAUAUUUUUAUUUAGUUUGAUUAGCCAUAAUUUCAUUUUAAUGGAUGAUUUAGAUUACUGAAAUUAUUUUUAGAUAAGAAAUGUAUAUUUUUUUAUCGUAUGCUAUAUUUUCACCAGGUUUCAAAAUUUUCUAGUAAAAAUGACUAAAAUACUCCUGUGUGGCAGGAAUUACUUUUUGUUUGUUUUAAUUUAAAAAUAAUUUAUAUUCCCUUAAAACAUGAUAUUUAGUAUCUGUUGCUCACAAGGGAGAUGUAAAAUUGAUGCAAGAGCCUUGUGAGGUUUCGGUUGACAUUUCGGGUAAUGAAUGUUUAUCGAGACAUCGCGGUAGUUGUCACGGGCUCGAAGGGAGUACUGGGUCGUGACAUUUUCUAUAAUCAUAUAUAAAGAAAAAGGUGGUUUCUAAGAUAGGAAAUCUAUGUGGUCCUUUGGUUGUAAAAUGUGUCGCAAUUCACACUUCACAACUGAAGUUCCCACAUCAAGACCUGACACUCCGCUAGAUCAACAAAAGAAAGUCUUACGACCUAGACAACCUAGAGCUCUGAUACCAAUAUUGUCACGACCCAAAUUUCGGGCCGUGACCGGCGCAUGGACCUAAUGAGCAUAGCCACUAAGUCCAAGAAAGCCUAUUUAUAUAACUUGUUCAUCAAUCUAUUGAGUAUUCCUAAAGUCACAUUUCAUGAUCUCAAUUGUAAGUACUUGAAUGAUAUUCUACCAUGAUCAAAUAUUCGCAUGUAUAUAUAUAUUACCCCAAAAUGGUGCUAACCAUCGCCAACUCAUAAUGGCGUUACCAUUCAAAGUAUAUAUAUACAUAUAUAUUGUGAAACCCUAUCAAGCUCGAUUAAAAGACGGUAUUGUACCGAGUGGUACAACUAAGUUAAAUCGAGCAUUGAACUAGUUCAAAUAGAAAUUCUAAGAGGAAUUUGAAAAUUCUAAAACCCACAGAAUGACUUAGAAUAGUGAUUCGGAGUUCGAGGUCCAGUUUGGAGUCCAUCCGAAAAAUUGACCGAUUAGGGACAAAACGGUCAUUUUACCAUUUGAUGAUAAAAUAGAGAUUUUUGGCCAAGAUUUGAUCACAUUUGACCAAGAAUAAUUAUAUGAAAUAUAAUUAUGAUUAUUGGAGUAUAAAAUAAUGUUUAGCAGUGAAAAAUUGUGAUUCUCGGUAUUUUUGGAGCACAAGGGCAAAAUGGUAAUUUUACCACUAGAGGACUAAACGGGAAUUUUUAUAAAAUGAUUUUUACCUCAUUUGGUUAAUAUUGAUCAAUAUUAGUGUUAUUUGAGGUUGAAAAUUAGAAAUAAUGUGAUUCCGGUAUAUUUCGGAGUAUAGGGNNNNNNNNNNNNNNNNNNNNNNNNNNNNNNNNNNNNNNNNNNNNNNNNNNNNNNNNNNNNNNNNNNNNNNNNNNNNNNNNNNNNNNNNNNNNNNNNNNNNNNNNNNNNNNNNNNNNNNNNNNNNNNNNNNNNNNNNNNNNNNNNNNNNNNNNNNNNNNNNNNNNNNNNNNNNNNNNNNNNNNNNNNNNNNNNNNNNNNNNNNNNNNNNNNNNNNNNNNNNNNNNNNNNNNNNNNNNNNNNNNNNNNNNNNNNNNNNNNNNNNNNNNNNNNNNNNNNNNNNNNNNNNNNNNNNNNNNNNNNNNNNNNNNNNNNNNNNNNNNNNNNNNNNNNNNNNNNNNNNNNNNNNNNNNNNNNNNNNNNNNNNNNNNNNNNNNNNNNNNNNNNNNNNNNNNNNNNNNNNNNNNNNNNNNNNNNNNNNNNNNNNNNNNNNNNNNNNNNNNNNNNNNNNNNNNNNNNNNNNNNNNNNNNNNNNNNNNNNNNNNNNNNNNNNNNNNNNNNNNNNNNNNNNNNNNNNNNNNNNNNNNNNNNNNNNNNNNNNNNNNNNNNNNNNNNNNNNNNNNNNNNNNNNNNNNNNNNNNNNNNNNNNNNNNNNNNNNNNNNNNNNNNNNNNNNNNNNNNNNNNNNNNNNNNNNNNNNNNNNNNNNNNNNNNNNNNNNNNNNNNNNNNNNNNNNNNNNNNNNNNNNNNNNNNNNNNNNNNNNNNNNNNNNNNNNNNNNNNNNNNNNNNNNNNNNNNNNNNNNNNNNNNNNNNNNNNNNNNNNNNNNNNNNNNNNNNNNNNNNNNNNNNNNNNNNNNNNNNNNNNNNNNNNNNNNNNNNNNNNNNNNNNNNNNNNNNNNNNNNNNNNNNNNNNNNNNNNNNNNNNNNNNNNNNNNNNNNNNNNNNNNNNNNNNNNNNNNNNNNNNNNNNNNNNNNNNNNNNNNNNNNNNNNNNNNNNNNNNNNNNNNNNNNNNNNNNNNNNNNNNNNNNNNNNNNNNNNNNNNNNNNNNNNNNNNNNNNNNNNNNNNNNNNNNNNNNNNNNNNNNNNNNNNNNNNNNNNNNNNNNNNNNNNNNNNNNNNNNNNNNNNNNNNNNNNNNNNNNNNNNNNNNNNNNNNNNNNNNNNNNNNNNNNNNNNNNNNNNNNNNNNNNNNNNNNNNNNNNNNNNNNNNNNNNNNNNNNNNNNNNNNNNNNNNNNNNNNNNNNNNNNNNNNNNNNNNNNNNNNNNNNNNNNNNNNNNNNNNNNNNNNNNNNNNNNNNNNNNNNNNNNNNNNNNNNNNNNNNNNNNNNNNNNNNNNNNNNNNNNNNNNNNNNNNNNNNNNNNNNNNNNNNNNNNNNNNNNNNNNNNNNNNNNNNNNNNNNNNNNNNNNNNNNNNNNNNNNNNNNNNNNNNNNNNNNAGCAUGGACUUCCAACAUUUAGGACAAAAUGAGUUAAGUUUAAAAUGAGGGGUUUUUAAUAUGAAUGGAACUAAAUUCCAUUGUUUUGAAACAAGUGCAUCAUGAUUUUAAAUUCUCCCUUGUUGUUGUUGCUUGUUCCCUUCCUUGUUCACUCACUGGGUUUAUACUCACCAUUUUCAAAUUCAUGUUUUCAGAUCACGAGGCAGCCAGUAACUAGGGCGAGGUGUCCUUGUAGACCUGUGUUCAUCUUUUGGUAGGUGUCUCGACAUUCGGUAGCUGUAUAUUCAUUUGAGUCACUCCGCUGGAAGUUGAGUGUUAUUUUGUUUUGUAUAGACGAACUUAAUGUAAAUUAUUAGAAUACAUGUUGUAGACAUUGUAUGUAAAUUUUUAAGGAGUAAUGCUAGUACGAGUUGGCAAUGUAUAUCAUUAUUUUGAUUCAAAGUUAUUAAAUAUGACUUAGUGAUAUUAGAUGGAAUUAUAAGUAAGAUAAAUAAUAGGCUUGCUUGGGUUUAGUGGAUUACGUCCAUUGGACCCUUGCGCUGGUCAUGGCCCAGAAUUUGGGUAGUGACAAUGUUGGUAUCAAAGCCCUAGGUUUGUCUAGGUCCUAGAACUUCCUUUUGUUGGUCCAGCGGAGAGUCAGGUCUUUAUGUGGGAACUUCAGUUGUAAAGUGUGAACCGCGACACAUUUUACAACCAAAUGAUCGCGUAGAUUCUCUAUCUUAGAAACCACCUUUUGCCUUAAGUAUGAUUAUAAUAUGUGUUUAAUAUCAGGUGUUUGCUCUUGUCUAGGUAAGAAUACCGCCUAAGACAUGAGCCGCCUCAAGACGAAUGAGGGAGCAAGAUGCUCCUAUUGAGAUGGCAGAUAGGCCACGAGCAUCCACCCAAAGAGGCCGAGGUGGACGUGGCAGGGCCACUAGAUCGGUGAGGUCAGAUACGCUUGUGAGUAGGCAAGAGGAGGGACAGUCCUCAGGUGAUCUAGAUAGACACCCAGUUGGGGGUAUUACUAUUGAGGAUUUGGCGACAGGCCUACAAGGAGUUAACUGGGUUGUAGAGAUGAUGGCGACCCGUGUGGAGGAUAUACAGAGGGUAGUAGAGGGGAGACCUACAGUUCAAGAAUCUCCUAGCUCCCAAGGACAGGUCGAUCGCCAAUAUCUUGAGGUUAAGAGGGGUCACUUAGAGAUUUCUCUUCUCGAUUUCCUAAAGCUGAAGCCUCCAUCAUUUUCAGGGUCUGAUGCAUCAGAGAAACCUCAGGUUUUCUUGGAUAAGAUCGAGAAGAUAUGUAAAGCUUUGGGAUGCUCCAGUGUUCGGUCAGUUGAGUUAGCCGCAUUUCGAUUAGAGGAUGUGAUGCAAUAGUGGUAUAGCUCUUUAUGUAGAGGUAGACCGAAGGAUGCAGCGCCAUUGGCUUGGAGUGAGUUUAGUGCAGCCUUCUUGGAUCGAUUCCUACCACUCAGUGUACGUAAUGCUAGAGCUAAGGAGUUUGAGACUUUGGUACAGACUUCAAGUAUGACGGUGUCGGAGUAUGACAUCAAGUUCACACAAUUGUCUCGGUAUGCUCCCUACCUCAUUUCUACUGAGGAGAUAAAGAUUCAGAGAUUUGUGGAUGGGUUAGUAGAGCCACUGUUUAGGGCGGUGGCAUCUCAAGAUUUCACUAUCUAUUUCGUAGUAGUAGAUUGUGCUCAGCGCAUUAAGAUGAGGACCAGUGAGAGUAAGGCUGCGAAGGAUAGAGCAAAUAGGGCCAAGACAGAGGGUUAUCAGGGCCGUUGAGAUUUCAGCAGUGGUGGUUCGUCUUCUAGCCAUUAGGAUCCACAGAGGGAUUCACGAUUAUUCCAGUAAAGGAGUGACCUGCCUAGUGCUAGUGUUGGGAUGGGACAGAGAACUUUCAAUGCUAGGAGGCAACAAGAUUCGAGACAGAGUAGUCAAGUUAUCCACCCUUGUAAUAUCUGUGGGAGGAGACAUACUGGACGAUGCUUACGUACUGCAGCAGUUUGUUAUGGGUGUGGCUAACCUGGGCACAUUAGGAGGAAUUGUUCGAUGGCUCAUCAAUCACAAGAUUCGGCACGUGGUUCCACCCAGCUAGCUUCGUCUACUCCUUCCGUUGUUGCCUCAUCUGGCCGAAAGGCUAGUGGAUCGAGAGGUAGAGGUGCUGAUACUUCCUCUCAGGGUAGGCCAUCUGGGUCCGGACAUCAGAGUUCUGUUGGUAGAAGCCAGGCGAGGGUGUUUGCUUUAACACAACAAGAGGCACAGACAUCCAAUGUCGUGGUCUCAAGUAUUCUUUUAGUUUGUGAUAUGAAUGCUCGAGUCUUAUUUGAUCCUGGUGCUACCCAUUCUUUUAUCUCUCCAUGUUUUGCAUCUCGGUUGGGUAGAGAUCGUGUUAGGAGAGAGAAACAAUUAGUGGUGUCUACUCCUUUAAAGGAGAUAUUUGUGGCCGAAUGGGAAUAUGAGUCCUGUGUAGUACGAGUCAAGGACAAGGACACUUUGGUGAAUUUGGUGGCGUUAGACACCCUAGACUUUGAUGUGAUCUUGAGGAUGAAUUGGUUAUCGCCCUGUCAUGCUAGUAUGGACUGUAAUCAUAAAUUGGUUAGAUUUGAUUUCCCCGGUGAACCAUCAUUUAGUAUUUAGGGGGAUAGAAGUAAUGCUCCAACCAAUUUGAUAUCGGUCAUUUUUGCCAGAAAAUUAUUACGACAGGGUUGUAUAAGUUACUUGGCCGUGGUAAGAGACACUAAGGCGAAGGUGGGAAAUGUAAGUCAAGUGUCAGUUGUGAAGGAGUUCGUGGAUGUAUUUCCCGAUGAGCUACCAGGUUUACCUCCAGAGCGGGAGAUUGAAUUUUGCAUAGAUUUAAUUCCCGACACUAGACCUAUAUCCAUAUUCCCAUAUAGAAUGGCACCGACAGUGCUUAAAGAGCUUAAGGAUCAAUUAGAGGAUUUGUUGGAUAAAGGCUUCAUCCGUUCUAGUGUAUCCCCAUAGGGAGCACCGGUGUUAUUUAUAAAGAAGAAAGAUGGGUCACUUAGGCUGUGCAUUGAUUAUCGACAGCUUAAUAAAGUGACAGUGAAGAAUAAGUAUCCUCUCCCAAGGAUAGAUAAUUUAUUUGAUCAACUACAAGGAACACAAUGUUUCUCUAAGAUAGAUCUGCGAUCUGGGUACCAUCAGCUGAGAAUUCGAAAUGAAGAUAUACCCAAGACCGCAUUUCGAACAAGAUAUGGGCACUAUGAGUUCUUGGUGAUGUCAUUUGGGCUCACGAAUGCUCCUGCAGCCUUUAUGGAUUUGAUGAACUGAGUGUUCAAGCCUUAUUUGGAUAAGUUCAUGGUGGUGUUUACUGAUGAUAUCUUGAUAUAUUCGAAGAGCCGAGAGGAGCAUGAGCAGCAUCUUAAGAUAGUNNNNNNNNNNNNNNNNNNNNNNNNNNNNNNNNNNNNNNNNNNNNNNNNNNNNNNNNNNNNNNNNNNNNNNNNNNNNNNNNNNNNNNNNNNNNNNNNNNNNNNNNNNNNNNNNNNNNNNNNNNNNNNNNNNNNNNNNNNNNNNNNNNNNNNNNNNNNNNNNNNNNNNNNNNNNNNNNNNNNNNNNNNNNNNNNNNNNNNNNNNNNNNNNNNNNNNNNNNNNNNNNNNNNNNNNNNNNNNNNNNNNNNNNNNNNNNNNNNNNNNNNNNNNNNNNNNNNNNNNNNNNNNNNNNNNNNNNNNNNNNNNNNNNNNNNNNNNNNNNNNNNNNNNNNNNNNNNNNNNNNNNNNNNNNNNNNNNNNNNNNNNNNNNNNNNNNNNNNNNNNNNNNNNNNNNNNNNNNNNNNNNNNNNNNNNNNNNNNNNNNNNNNNNNNNNNNNNNNNNNNNNNNNNNNNNNNNNNNNNNNNNNNNNNNNNNNNNNNNNNNNNNNNNNNNNNNNNNNNNNNNNNNNNNNNNNNNNNNNUAUGGUGAGACUUGCAAGAUAUACACGGACCACAAAAGUCUAAAGUAUAUAUUUCAGCAGAGGGAUCUUAACUUGCAGCAACAUAGAUGGAUGGAGUUGCUAAAGGAUUAUGAUUGUACUAUUCUUUAUCAUCCCGAUAAGGCCAAUGUAGUGGCGGAUGCCUUGAGUCAAAAAUCAAUGGGAAGCUUGGCACAUAUUUCUACUGAUAGGAGAUCAUUGGUUAGAGAGAUCCAUAGCUUGGGAGACAUAGGUAUGCAUUUGGAAGUUGCGAAGACAGAUGCAUUGCUAGCACAUUUUAGAGUGAGGCCUAUCUUAAUGGACUGAAUCAAAGAAGCACAAAGUAAAGAUGAGUUUGUGGCUAAGGCCUUAGAGGAUCCUCAGGGAAGGAAAGGAAAAAUGUUUACCAAAGGCACAGAUGGAGUGUUGAGGUAUGGAACCAAACUUUAUGUGCCUGAUGGUGACGGGUUGAGGAGAGAAAUAUUGGAGGAAGCUCACAUGGCAGCUUAUGUGGUACAUCUAGGGGCUACAAAGAUGUAUCAAGAUUUGAAAGAGGUGUAUUGGUGGGAAAGACUUAAGAGAGAUGUAGUUGAGCUUGUCUCCAAGUGCCUAGUUUGUCAGCAGGUUAAGGUUGAGCAUCAAAAGCCUGCAAGGCUACUACAGCCAUUACCAGUACACGAGUGGAAGUGGGAACAUAUUGCUAUGGACUUUGUAACGGGUUUACCUCGAACCAAUAGGGGAUAUAAUUCAAUUUGGACAGUAGUAGACCGGUUAACAAAGUCAACUCAUUUUCUUCCGGUUAAGACUACUUACGGGGCUGCCCAAUACGCUCGAGUUUAUAUGGAUGAGAUAGUACGACUACAUGGUAUUCCCAUUUCUAUAGUAUCUGACAGAGGAGCUCAGUUUACUAGUAGGUUUUGGGGAAAGUUGCAGGAAGCAUUGGGCACUAAGUUGGAUUUCAGCACAACUUUCCACCCUCAGACUGAUGGACAGUCUGAACGGACCAUACAGACAUUGGAGGAUAUGUUAAGAGCUUGUGUGAUAGACCUUGGUGUCAAGUGGGAUCAAUAUCUACCCUUAAUGGAGUUUGCCUACAACAAUAGUUUCCAAACUAGCAUCCAAAUGACACCAUUUGAGGCAUUAUAUGGACGGAGAUGUAGGUCACCCAUUGGAUGGCUAGAGGUGAGAGAAAGGAAACUUUUGGGGCCUGAAUUGGUGCAGGAUGCAACCGAGAAAAUACGCAUGAUCUGUCAGAGGAUGUUGAUAGCACAAAGUAGAUAGAAAUCAUAUGCUGAUAACCGACGGAGAGACUUCGAGUUCCAAGUAGGAGAUCAUGUAUUUUUUAAAGUUUCGCCAACUAAAGGGGUAAUGAGGUUUGGCAAGAAAGGGAAGUUAAGUCCUCGGUAUAUAGGGCCAUUCGAGAUCUUAUAAAAGGUUGGAGCGGUGGCUUAUCGUUUGGCAUUACCACCAAACCUUUCGAAUAUUCAUCUCGUGUUUCAUGUGUCCAUGCUUAAGAAGUACAACUCGGAUCCAUCACAUGUAAUAUGGUAUGAAACCAUUCAGUUGCAAGAUGAUCUAACCUAUGAGGAACAACCGGUAGCUAUCCUUGAUAGGCAAGUUAAAAAGCUCCGUUCAAAGGAUGUAACCUCAAUGAAAGUGUUGUGGCGGAAUCACACUAGCGAGGAGGUAACGUGGGAAGCUGAAGAUGAGAUGCGGACAAAGCAUCCACACCUCUUCGAUAUGUAUAGGUAAGCCACUCUACAUUGAAUUUAAAUUCGGGGACCGAAUUUUUAUUAAUGGGGGAGAAUGUGAGACCCUGUCAAGCUCGAUUAAAAGACGGUAUUGUAUCGAGUGGUACAACUAAGUUAAAUCGAGACUUGAACUAGUUCAAAUAGAAAUUCUAAGAGGAAUUUGAAAAUUCUAAAACUCACAGAAUGACUUAGAAUAGUGAUUCGGAGUUCAAGGUCCAGUUUGGAAUCCAUUAGGAAAAUUGACCGAAUAGGGACAAAACGAUCAUUUUACCAUUUGAUGAUAAAAUGGAGAUUUUUAGCCAAGAUUUGAUCACAUUUGAUGAAGAAUAAUUAUAUGAAAUAUAAUUAUGAUUAUUGGAGUAUAAAAUGAUUUUUAGCAGUGAAAAAUUGUGAUUCCCAGUAUUUUUGGAGUACAAGGGUAAAAUGGUAAUUUUGCCACUAAAAGACUAAACGAGAAUUUUUAUAAAAUUAUUUUUGCCCCAUUUGGUUAAUAUUGAUCAAUAUUAGUGUUAUUUGAGGUUGAAAAAGUAGAAAUAAUGUGAUUCUAGUACAUUUCGGAGUAUAGGGGCAAAAUCAUAAUUUUUUCGCUCCAGGGGCAAAUCGGUAAAUUUUUCACCUCAGUACUUGUCAAGACCAAGGGAUUUUAAUUGUGGUAGGAUUGGAUAAAUACCAGAAUAUUUGUGGUGGAAAAUUAAGAGGAAAAAGUCAAAAAGUUAAAAAAAAAUUGGGCCAAUAAGUAUGUGACACAUGGCAUGCUUGAUUAUUUUAUUAUUUUCUAUAGAUAUCAGCCCAUUAAAUCCCCAAUUCUCUCACCAUAUUCAGCCGAGGCAACCAGCAACAAGCCCAAAGGAAGAACAAAGGGAAAAACAAGAAAACCUAGGUGGAAAUUCAAAGAAAAAGGGAAGAAAUCAAGGAAACAACCUAGGUAAGUUAGAAUUUCUUUAAUUAUCCUUGAUACCUAGCUUACCCAUGCUUUUGUUCUUGAUUUCCAUGGUUGAAUAUUGAGUUAUCAUGAUGAAUUCAAUUCUGAAAAAUAGGUAUGGAAGAAGAAUUGUUGUUGGAAUAAUUUGAUUUUAGACUAUGUUAGUGUUUAGAGAUAGUUAAGCAUGGUUAUGAACAAAAAAACAAAAGAAAUAUUCAAUUUCUCUAGGGUUCCUUGUUGGUCGAACCAUGAGGGUUGACUAUCAAUGGGCGAUUGUUUUUAUUUCAAGGAAAAUGGCUUGGAAAAUGAUGAAUUAAGGUGAAACGGUUAUGUAGAAAAAUAAUUAAGUGCUAGUGCACCAAAUGACAGAAUUUUUCUAUAAGGAACUGUGAGGGUUCUAAUGCUGAAUUUGGCUUUAUUUAAAUGGUAUGUGGUAAAUUAAGGUAUUAGAAGAGAAGUGGAUUAAUUUGGAGGUGAUUUGGACACAAUCACCAAUUAAUCGGGUGAUCGGUCGAAUUUAAUCGAUACCGCGAUUAAGCGGUAAUCGGACGUAUUUUUGCAUUUACAUAUCAAGCAUUAGUAAUUUAAAUUAGUUUAUAUCAAUUUAGAGACAAUAUAGUAAAUUCCUCGACUUUGUUAUUUGUCAAGGUAGCGAGACGUCCAGAAAAGGUAAAGGAAUUGCGCCUGAGGACUAUUAGUUCGAGUGCACCCGGAAUCCAUAUUUUCGACACUUGUGAGUGGACUGCCUUCAAACUUGUUUUGGGAAAUAUAAUGAAAUUGCCACCCAUUUGAAUGAAUUACCAAGCUUUUCAUGAAAAUAAGUGCCUUCGGAACAAGCUUUUGAAAAAUGGUUUUAUGUUGUACUAUGUGAUAGCUAUGGAUUCAUGCAGUAUUGUAUUAUGAUGAUAUAUAUAUAUAUAUGUGUGUACAUGAUGUGGGGAAUGCACAUGCCAGUGAUGAUGGUGGCGUGAGAGAUAGAUGAUGAUAGUGCCCGUGUGCACGAUGUGGGGGGAUGUACACGAUGGCACUGAUUGUGCACGAUGUGGGGGAUGCACAUGAUGGUGCCGGCUAUGUGCACGAUGUGGGGGGAUGUACAUGAGCCGGGAGUGAUUAUGAUGAUAUUGAUGUUUGUCUAUGUAAUUAUGCAUAUCUAGAUUUAUGAAAUGAAAGCUCAUGAAUGUGAUAUAUGGUUGACAUAUAUGUGAAAUUUGACACAUUGUACUUUGAGAAUUUUGAUGAGUUUUAUGUUGAUUUUGUUAGUUUAGCAGGAUGGCUUUUUGUUGAAUGAGGAAAAAUAUUUCUCUUGUUGCUCUGUUUUUGCUGCAGCGAAAUUCAUUCUCGCUGCAGCGAAAAACUUUCUGUUUUAUCUCCUUUCUUGUCCAAUUGUUGCCUUAUUUUUCACUUAUUUUUUACCAUAUCUGAGCAUGGACUUCCAACAUUUAGGACAAAAUGAGUUAAGUUUAAAAUGAGGGUUUUUAAUAUGAAUGGAAUUAAAUUGCAUUGUUUUGAAACAAAUGCAUCAUGAUUUUAAAUUCUCCCUUGCUUUUGUUGCUUGUUCACUCACUGGAUUUAUACUCACCAUUUUCAAAUUCAUGUUUUCAGAUCACGAGGCAGUCGGUAACUAGGACGAGGUGUCCUUGUAGACCUGUGUCCAUCUUUUAGUUGGUGUCUCAGCAUUUGGUAGUUGUAUAUUCAUUCGAGUCACUCCGCUGGAAGUCGAAUGUUAUUUUGUUUUGUAUAGACAAACUUAAUGUAAAUUAUUAAAAUACAUGUUGUAGACAUUGUAUGUAAAUUUUUAAGGAGUAAUGCCAAUACUAGUUGGCAAUGUAUAUCACUAUUUUGAUUCAAAGUUAUGAAAUAUGACUUAGUGAUAUUAGAUGGAAUUAUAAGUAAGAUAAAUAAUAGGCUUGCUUGGAUUUAGGGGAUUACGUCCAUUGGACCCUUGCGCCUGUCAUGGCUCAGAAUUUGGAUCGUGACAUAUAUUGUCUAAGACAAGUAUCUUAAAAUUUUACAUUUCGUUUAUCUAUAUAUAUAGCAUAAAGACAUUCGACUUCUAGUGGAGUGACUUUGGCGAAGGUACAGCUAUUAAAUGUCGAGAUACCUACCAAAGAGACGAGUCCACGUGGACACCUUGACCUAGGUUCCAACUGCCUCUUGAUCUGAAAAUAUGAAAUUAAAAACUUUGAGUAUGAACUCAGUGAGUGAACAUAGGAAGGGAGCAAGCAAUUAAUAAGGAAAAUUUAAAAAUGAUGAUGCACUUGUUUUGAAAAUAAUGCAGUUUGGUUUAAUUUCUUCCCUAAACCCCGUGUUUCGAACAUUGGUAAAUAAACUCUUAGUGUUGCAAAGACCCAUGCUCAAUCAUGAAGAUAAAAGAGUGAAGAAAAAUUAUAUCAAAAACCGAGCAAGGUAGCAACAUGACAGCACGUUUCUCACUGCAGCAAAAGGCAUUCUCGGUUUGCAUAUAUUUCGAUUUUUCAAGUAUAUCUCCCACUAUAGAAGUUCAAUUGACAUGAUUAUUGAGUCAUUAGAAGGAUAAGAGGCAGGACUACAACUUUAAUGUUUACCACUUUGCCUAGUUCUGAACGGAAGCUAGUCAAAAUCACUAUCAAAGUGACAGUACUGGACCACCACUAGAGAGUUUCUGGCUGCAACGAGAAUCCAUUUUUGCUAUAGCCAAAUUCCUUGCUGCAAUAAACAUCAAUUUGAAAAUACUUAACAACUUUCACUGUUCAACAUGCAAGAUUCUACAUACAUUACAAUCACGUACUAUAUUCAUAAACUUUCUGCUACGCAUGUAUAUAUAUAUAUAAACACGAAUACCACCACCUCCCUCAACCAACAUGUGCUCCCUACACGCACAUCAUUACCAGCAUGUGCACUGCCAACUCCGCACAUGCACAGUUGUAAGUGUCACAACAUCAUCAUUCGACCGGCAUAUGCACUACCUACUCUGCAUAUGCACGGUUGUAGUUAUCACAACAUUGUCAUUCAACUGGCAUAUGCAUUGCCCACUCCGCACAUGCAUGGUUACAUCAAUUACACAAAAUUACUUAGCAAUACAUAUCAUAUAUUUUUAUAUACACAUCAGCAUCAUAUAAAGGUACAGAGAUUCAUCACAAUCAUGUUCCACAUCACCAAAAACAUUUCACUAAAGGCUUGUUCCCAUGCAUUUUAUAGAAAAACAAUUAAAAUGUCUCAAUCAACCACAUGUGCCUUAAUCCCAAAUCAUUUUGUGCAAGUUCACUCACCGGUAUUUGUUGAAUCUUUACUCGACUCCAACCUCCACUAAUGGUCCAAAUGGAACUGUGAGGCCUUGUUGGGACCUAUCAUCACAACAACAUCACAACCAACCCGAUUUGCAUAAUUAUAUUUCUAAAAGCUAUUCGCUAAAUCGUGUUCUGCUAGUUGUUUUUAACUAGCUUCCAUCAACCAUCAAGUGACUAUAUAUUUUCACUAUUCUAGUCACACUACAAUGAAUAACCCACCUCAACUACAAAACACUCACCAAUCUAGCCACUAGCCAUUCUCAACAACUAAAAAAAAAUCAAUUCAAUUUCACUACUCACCUUGGUAGCUUUGUAAUUGAAUUUCUUUCCCAAAAGCUUUCAAACUAUCAUGAAAAUCUCACUUUCUCUCUCUAGAAUGUCCAGAUAGUGAGAGAGUGUAAUAAGGAAAGGUUUUUGAGGGUUUUUAUGGUGAGAAAGUAGAAAAGCACAAAGAACUUUGGGAAAGGGUACACAAAACAUGAAAAAUCGGGGUUAACUCAAGGAAAUAUAUGGAAAUUCAAGGCAAACUUCCAUGGGAGGGGUGAGAGAACGUGGGAGAGGAAGGAGAAGAAGAAGAAGUUCUGGAAAUUUGAAGAACAUCCUAGAAACUUAGAUUUUUAUGGCUUAAGUUUAUCCAUUUCUAGCAAAAUUACCAAAAUACCCUUAACUAUGUCAUUUUGUUUUUUUCCAUUGCUUUUAUGCAAUCUUUUUACUUCUUUAACAUUGAGACAAGGUCCAUAAGGGUUUAGAAAUACUCAAGUUCAUGAAAACUUAAAAUUUCAACUCGAGAUGUAAAUUGACCGUUUUACCCCUACCGUGAAAAUUAUCGAUAUUUCUAUCUUCUUCAUUAUCUUAUCCUCAUCCAUUCAUUCCUUAAGCCUACUUGGACCUUAAUAACAUUAGAAAAAAAAUUUCAGGGGCCAACUUGGAGAAAUGACGAAAUUAUCUCUAGUACGUGUUAUCGUGUCUACUGCUAGUUAGGGGUCAAUAGGGGUCAAGGUCUUAUACCUUUGUUGCCACCAUCAAAGGGGGAAAGGGCUACCUAGAAAGGUGGAGCCACCCCUAGUGACAAAGGUGAUAUCAGAGCCCUAGGUUUAGUUGAGUCCUAGGGAUUCUUGUGUUAGUCAGCAGAGUUAUCGGAGUUAAUGUAGAGUCUUCUUUAUGGUUUGUGACUGCAACACAAUUCAUAGAUAGAAGGCUAUAUGAACUCCUAUUCCAAGUAACCUACCCUCUUGCUAACAUUAUGCAAAGAUCAUAAGUAGUGUCGUUGUUCAAGUUUAAGAUGCCACCCGAGACAUGAGCUGUUGUUUGAAAGAUUUUGAGCAAAUGCUCAUAAUGAAGGUUAAUGUAAUAACAAAUCCCUCCGAUUAAAGAUAGAGGAAAUUGAAGUUAGACUAAUAGGUCCGUAAUGACUUAUUCAUUCAGUGGAGUUAUAAUUUAAGCCCAUAAUUUUCAAUGGGAAGAAAUUGGAUGAUGUUAGAUCAUUAUUGAGGUCAAUAUAAAGGAACAUGUACGAUAAUGGUAAUAAGGGGAGCGACUAGAAUGAAUAGUGAUGGUUGUAAUUUAUUUGGAGUGUAUAGAUCUAAGUAUUGAGGAAGGUGUAAACUGAUGUUUAUGUGCAUGAAGGUAAGUGCACUAUGUUAAAUGAGCUUGUCAUGCCCUUAUAGAAAUGGUGUGGGCUUUUGAAAUAUUUGUAAGUAUAUAAGUGUCGAUUAUUUGCAUAGCAGCUUAGAUGGAGCUGGUUUCGAUUUCAAUUAAGUAAUUGCAAGAUCCCAAGGUUCAAUUUGAACUAUUAGGGUUUAAAAUUAAAGAUAUAUGAAUUAGCUCAAGAGUGAAAAUCAGUGAUCAUUAUAAUUGAUGGUAGUCAUAAAGAAAAAGGCUAGUAAACAAACCUACUCUAAGGAUGAGCUUGAAUUUUGCUAUGCUUAGCUUGGAGCCAAAGGAUUAAAGGACUAGGUGUGGAUUUAGCAGUUUAAAGUUAAAUGACUUAGAAAUGAUGAAUUUAGUAUAAGUGCCAUAUGGAGUUCUAUAUUGAGAUUGAUAUAUGAAUUGCUUUAAAGGUCAAUUUAAAAAUCUGUUUGGUUCAAUAUGCAACCUAUGAUGUAAAUGAUUAGUCUUGAAUGUGAUUUCUCCAAAGGUAAGGAACUUAGAACAUGUGGAUUUUCAGAUAUGCUCUAAAAGGAAGCUUCUGCAUCUUAAGUUUAAGAAAUUUUGAUCUUAUGACUGCAAAGGCAAGAUACAAAAAUUAAGUGAAUUAUUUAUCUUAUGGAUGUAAUUGGUUAAGAAUUGAUGAGUAAAGUCAAGAUCUCAACAUUAAGUGGUGUACAAUUUGAUAUAUGUGUAUCUAAGAGUAAAUUUGGAGAUCAUUGCUUAAUCAAUUUGCACUGAAUGUUAUGGUAAAGGUAUGCGAAUGCCAGUAGUGAAGUAUGCCCAAAAUGAAAUACGUUGAGACUAAUGUUCCAAUCGCAAACUUGUGAUAGAAAGCUAAUUUUGCAAAUUGUGGUUUUUAUGACCAUGAAAUAUAUGGAGGUUACCAAUAUGUAAGCAUACACUCGGAGUUGUAUAUCUUGUGAUUCGCAUUCAUCGUAUGGAAGGAGAUAUUCCAUAGAAGGAUUUGGCCUAAUUGGUGAUUACAUGACUAUAUGCUUGGUAUGAGAUUGAGAAUGCCCUAACAUGUAUGAGAAGUGUGUUGCGAAAGGCUGAAAGUCAUUAAGACGAAUGAUGGGUGAAACAUAGAUGCUGUUAUGACAAGCAUAAAAAGCUCAAGGAUAAUCAAUGCAAUUAUAUUAAGUUAGUUUGGUUCGGUCUGAAAUAAGAGUAAGGACAUCUUGAAAUAUCUUAAAAUAAUGUUCAAUGGGGUUAAUGAGCUAAAUGUUAUCGAAUAUAUAUUAAAUUGUUAAAGUUAUGCAUGGCUUUGAAGAUAAGCCUUUGAUUGUCUGAGUCCUCAACAGAAUUCUAUUAAAGGAUGUGUUUAAGCAUUUUGGAAGUGUAUUGGAAAACAUAAGAAUAAUAUACUAGUUUGACUCACUAUAGGAGGUCGAAUUUGGAUGGCCAUGAGUGGCUUGUGAACAAUCCAGCAGUGUAAAGUAUGUGCUCAUAAAGGGAGCUAUGAUUGGUAGAUAAAGGUGGAACUUUAGAAUUUUAUUAUCAUAGUUAUUAGAUUAUAUUUUGUAUUAUAUGAUAUAUCAUAAAACAUCAAUGAUGAGAUUGUGUUCAAUGCUUUAAGCCUUGAACUAUAAGUUAUGGACAUGUAUCCACCUUGUGAAUACCCUGAUGAGAUAAAUUCGAAAGAUUUUUCACAGUGAGACAACAUUAAAGCUCAAAGAGCAAAUGGCUAUAUAGUCAAGUUAGGCUCGUGACGGAUAUGUCAUAUAAGUAUGAAGAUAUGAUACAAGCAUAAGUAUACUUGGAAAUGCUGGUUUGAAGCAAUGAUUAUCCUACCAUUUUGUGGACCUGAUGAGGUUCUAGUCUCGACAUAAUUGUAAACACAAGGCAUAAAUUGUGAAAUGUGCUUCCCCCACAAGUUCCAAUUUAUUUUGAGUAAUUAUCAAGGUAAAGUGCCUGAUAGGGAUAGGCAAAGGUUGAAUUAUGCUUCAAAUGUUUAGAGAAGGAAGGUGACAUGGUUUGAUUAAAUGAUACUACCCUUGGUAAGGGAAUAGAAAUACUCUACGAAAAUUGUAGAAAUCUACUUAGAAAAGAAAUGAUGAUUGGAGUGUUUAUAUACAAGUAAAGACUUUGGUAAUAAGCUACGACCUAGAAGCAUGAUAUUAGAAUAUGAAUUUUGGCUAAGAAAAAUCGAUUUUUAAGGCACAUGGUGCUUUGGGGAUGGUGCCAAUUAGUGGUCGAUUCUCGUAUGAGAAUAGAAUAUUGGGAUCAGCUUUGUGUAUUCACCACAAAUGAUGAGCAUGAUCUAACCAACUAUAAGAAGAAUUGAUUCUAAAGUUGAUUGUUGGUUAUUUUGGUUUUACAAAUGGCUUAUUGUGCUUGAUAUGCCUAAGGCUACCCGAAGUUAAAAUUUUUGGAAAAAUAUAUAUGCAUGGAUAUAUAUGUUGCAUAUUGGUACAAAAAAAAAACUCAUAUGGAGUUGGUUAUAAUUUGAUUCGAUGAUAAUAUUCUAUCAAUGGUUAUAGCGCUAGAUAGUGAUUAAGAUGAUUUAUCAGUGAUUUUGGCAGUGAACAAGUUGGUUAUAAUGUUGUUAGCUUAAAAGUAAGUGUUUAUACUUUGGGUAUAAGUUCCUCAAUUUUUAUUAUAUUGUGAUCAAAUUUGGUGUUUUGAUAUAGCCUGAGAGGCUUGGCAUAUGAACUAGCUUCAUUGUAAGCUAGAAUUUGUUAGGCUGUUAUGAAGUACCCAAAUAGAGAAGUAUGCCAUAGAUUUAAUUCUCUAAAGGCUAAUGGAAUAGAACGUACGAGUACUGGUAUAGUUUUAAUAUAAGGUUUUGACUUAUGGAGAUUUGGGUAAAAUUUAUAGCUUAUGCGUAAAGGUGUGCAUUUGAAUUCGCGUAAUUAAAAAUGUAAAAUCUUCCUUGAUUGGCAUAGAACCCAUGAUUCAAAAUGAAGGAUUAUGGAUUUAAUUUUCUAAGGUAAAAGGGCUAAAGAAGUUGAUUUUAGAAAGGUCUUAGUAAAUGAUUCCUUGAUUUUAAAGUACACUUAAGGAGAGGUAAGUGUCAAAUUUCAUCUUCGGACUGAUAAACUAAUAAGGUCACAAGAUUUAGCAUCUGGAGUAAAUUUGAAGAAUUUCAAGUUAGAUAUGUUGUAUGUGAUUGAUGACGAACAAAUUAGCUAAGAUAUUGGAAAUAUAGAAAUGAUUAGUAAUCAAGAUGAGACUUGGAAAGGAACCUUAAAGGAAAAUUUUGAGCAACUUUAACCUUGAGAAGUUGAGUUAUUGAUUAAAGGGAUUGGUUAAGAUCAUAAGAGGUAUGUGAAUGAUUUAUUGAAAUGCUUCAUGGUAUAAGUUAAGAUUUAUCUAGUAAGCACUCGAUCAUGAAAGUACUAGAGUUUUGUUUUUCUUUGGAAUAUGGUUACUAAUAGUUACUAGAUUUGAAUCAUCUGUGAUGUUAAAUAUAUUUGAAAUACAUAAAGUUUGUUUUGAUCCUUGCAUAUUAUGAAAUGCUCAAAUGGAAUUUGUAUGGAAUUAUGUAAAACGGAAUAGACGUUUGUUGAUGAUUUAGACCCACAGUCAAUGGUUGAAUAAAUGCUUGAAUGUUCGAAGGUUUGAUAAAAGGUCGAGGUAGAGGAAUUGUGGUUGGUUAAGUAAACAUGUAUAAUUGAUGAUUUAAGGAUGAUUUGAUUGAUAUGUGACCAGAAUUAAUAGCAUAUUUGAAUUCUCUUCAUAAGAUGAAGAAUGGUAUCGUUUUGAUCCAACAAGAGUAGUACACAUAAUUAUAUAUCUUAUGUUAAGAAUGGCCAACAGAAGUGAUGUAGAAGAAUUUUAGAAUUUUGAUUGUUCACCCCACGCUUAUUCAAAUUCGAGGAUGAAUUCAUUUUAAGUGGGGGAGACUAUAGUACCUCGUACUUUGAGGUGGUGGCUAAUAAUGCUUACCGGCUACUAAUUGAGGUUGAUUACUAAGUAAAAAGGGUAAUUCAGAAGUGAAGAUGUGAAACCUCAACCUCUAUAGACACAUAACUAGAAGUAGACGCGGUAAAAUAGACUAGGGGUAAUUUCAUCAUUUUCUUUAGUGAGCCCUUAGAAGUAUGCUUUCAAACACUAUUAAGGCUUAAGUAGGCCUAUGGCACAAAUGAAUGAUGAAAAUAAGGAUAAGAUGACACAGAAAAUAAAAAAUUAUGAUUUUUAAGGUAAGGGUAAAAUGGUCAUUUUGCAUCUUAGGUCUAAAUUUUUAAGUUUUUGUGAACUCGAGUACUUCUAGACCAUUAUGGACUUUGUCUCAGUGUCCAAAAAGUAAAAAUUUGAACUGAAGGAAAGAAGAAGACAAAGUCACCUUAUGAAGGGCAUUUUGGUAAAUUAUAUGAAAAAUUGGAUAAACUUUAGAUAUAAAUAUCUUAUGCUCCAAUAAUAUCCAGCAGCUUCCAGCCAUUUCUUCUUCCCCUCCCAUCUCAUGUUUCUUCAUCUCCAUGGGAGCCUCCCAUAAAGCUUCCAUAGCUCUCUCAAAUUAACUUCAAUUUACAUGCUUUGGUGCACUUUUUCAUAGAACUUUUGGUGCUCUUUCACUCUCCCACCUUAAAACCCUCAAAAGUCUUUCUUCAGCACUUUUUCUCACUAGCUAGAAGUUUUGGAGAGAGAAAGAGAGACUUGCCAUCAUAGCUUGAAAAAUCUUGAAAAGGAGUUCAACUAGAAGUCCACAAGGUGAAAGAAAAGUUAAGGUUGAUUUUAGGUGGUUAGAGAUGGCUAAUAAUUAGAAUUGUGGGCUGUUAUAUUUUUUAUAAGGUUGAUUUUAGGUGGUUAGAGAUAGCUAACAAUUAGAGUCGUGGGCUGUUAUAUUUUUUAUAGCUAUAUUGUGUAUGAUAGGUUCCAACGGGGCCUCACAUGUCCGUUUGAAGCAAUAAUCAAAGUUAGAGUCGAUUAAAGAUUCAACAAAUACAGUUGAGUGAACUUGCAUCAAAGUGUUUUUGGGAAAUACAUAUGUGUUGGGAGGAAGCAUUUAAAUGAUUUUACUUGGUUUUUCAUUAAAUUAUGCAUGGGAGCAAGCCCUUGAUAAAAUGUUUUGAUGUUGUGAAAAUGUGAAAUGUGUAAAAAGAUGAAUCCAUGUUUUCCUAUAUUAUGUUGGUAUGUAUAUAUAUGAAUAUAUGUUGUGCAUUGAUGAAUAAUGUUGUGUGAUAAUGAUGACCCAGCUAUGUACAAUAUGGUAAUGCACAUGAGCUGAUGAUGACCUGGCUAUGUACGAGUAGGAAGUGCGCAUAAGCCGAUAAUGACCCAGCUAUGUGCUGUGUGGAAGUGCACAUGAGCUGAUGAUGACGACGCCGGCUAUGUGCGAGUAGGGAGUGCACAUGACGAUGAAUGAAGUGGGGUGGUGUACAUGUUUAUAUAUGUUUAUAUAUGUAUAUGUGAUAGAAAGUUAUGAUUAUAAUAUAUGAUUGAAAUGAAUAAUGAGAAACUUGAUUAUUGUCAAUGUGUUCACUUUGAUGUGCAAUAUGGUAGGAAUGGAUUUUGUGGCAUGUGAAAAUUCCUUAAUUGUCAUCUGCCCUGAAUCUCGCUGCAAAGAGAAUGCAUUCUCACUAUAGCAAGAAACUCUCGAGUCGUGGGGGCAUAAACCAGCUCUGUUUCUCACUACAACGAAAAAGAAUUCUUGCUGCAACAAAAAUGGAUUUUCGUUGUGGCGAGAAACUAUCGGGUAGUUCUAAACUCUUAGUGCAGUGCUUCCACUUUGACAACAAUUUUGACCACCUUUCAUUCAGAAUUAGGCAAAGUGGUAAACAUAAAAGUUGUAUCCUAGCCUCUUAGCUUUCUAAUGGUUUAAAAAUCAUGUCAAUUAGACUUCUUUAGUGGGAGAUAUACUAGAAAAACUGAAACCUAUGCAAACUAAGACUGUUUCUCACUGCAGCGAGAAACUUGCUGUACUGCUUGCUACCUUGCUUAUUUUGACAUAUUUUCACCCAUUUAACUUCGCGGAUUGAUCAUGGGUUUUUGCAACACUAUGAGGUUAUUAAUCAAAGUUUGAAAUGAGGGGUUUUUAGUAAGAAAUUAAAUCAAUUGCAUUGUUUUUGAAACAAGUGCAUCAUGAUUUCCAAGUUCUUCUUAUUGAUUGCUUGUUCCCUUCCUAUGUUCACUCACUGAGUUUUAUACUCAUGUUUUUAAACUUCAUGUUUCAGAUUCGGAGGCAGUUAGGACCUAGGUUGAGUUGUUCAUGUAUGCUCACCUUCUUGGUAGGUACUAUAACAUCUCAAUAACUGUACCUUCACCCACGAUCACUCCGUUGACGAUCAAGGGUCUGUUAUCUGUGAACACGUAUAUGUAAUGUAAUCUACUAGUAUCCAUGUUAUAAGUCAAAUUAUAUAUAUUUGAUUACUGAUGCCACUAUGAGUUGGCAAACGGGUGACAUUAUUUUGACAUAAUAGAAUUGUGAGUUUUGGGUCACUAUAAAAUAUUACUGAAAUAUUUUUAGUUCAGAAUUUCAAUAUGUGGUUUUAGAAAUGAUGGUUGGAAAUGAUUAUCAGGUUUGCAUUAAAAGGCUUGCUUGCACUUAGUGGGCUAUGCCCAUUGGGCCCAUGCAUCUGUCAUGGCCCGGGAUUUGGGCUGUGACAGUAAUCUACUCUUUGACAUUCAUCAUAUCCUCUAGACUUCUGAUUCUAGGUUCACACAAUUUAAGCCACCCAUGUGGCUUGCACUAAGGCACACAAUCACACAAAAUUCCACAUUUUCAUUAUUUAGCCUAGGCACAUACAUCUAGGCAAACAUAUAUAAUCAAUUCCAAUACCACGGCAAUGCCUAUAACAGGCAUCAUGCAUUACAUGCAUUUUAAAUUAACCCACUAACAGUGACAGUCAAGGCACAUCUACAACCAAGCUCCGAUCCUUAGCCCUCAGCCGUCUUUCAACUCAGAAAUGCACUCAAAGUGCUUAAUCUCCCCUUAAACACAUCAACACAUUACAAAACUAAUUAUUUUCUAGCUUUCGAAAAUAUCCAGCUUUUUAAUAAUACCCAAAUUCUUAGCAAUCGAACAUACAAGCUCAAAUCCUUCAACAAUGAGCUACACCCAUACCUUAGAAGCUGGAUUGCACAAAUCUAGGCUCCCAAAUUUUAGCAAUUACAAGGAAAUUCACCAAAGUUGGAAAAAUUGGAUUUCUAAGUAUUUAACCGAUUAAAUUAAAAAUCAAUCUGUAUAAAGGCAUAAUCUUACCUCAAUAAUUCUUUCCCAAGCUCAGAUCUACCUCCAAUGACUCCAAAAAUUCAUUUGAAUGUUAGGGUUUCCAAGUGGUAGAGAGAAAGAGUUAGGGUAAUUGUGUAAAAGGAUAGUAUGCCUAAAACCUUUUUUUUAUUUUUGCUUUUACCCAGUGAUGUAUUGAUACAUUGGGAAUGUAUCAAUACAUUUGCAUGGGUUUUGUUCAAAUAUAUCGAUACAUUGGGCAAUGUAUCGAUAGAAAUCACGUAAAAUGCUACUUACCCAAAAUGUAUUGAUACAUGAAGAAAUCUAUCAAUACUUUUCCACUUGGUUUUCUUUGCUUCAAAUCUAUCAAUACAUUUGGACAAUGUAUCAAUAGAUGUUCAACUUUGUUCAAAUCCAUUGAUGUACUCUUGAAUGUAUUGAUAAAAAAUAUCUUGUACGCCAUAUAUUGCUCAUCUUGCCAAGAAUGUAUCGAUAUAUUGCGGAAUGUAUGGAUACAUUUUUCCCCUGUAGGCAAAUUUUCAGCCUUUCAAACUUCCAAGAAUCCAAACUCAUCACCCCAAAUUAUCCCCUAUUUAUAUCACACUUCAAACAAUUCAUAAAACUCAAAUCCGUACAUAUAUAUCUUCAAAAUAUCACAUGAAACUUAAAUCAAAACCUCAAACAUUAGGAUUCAUUCAUCAUUUCUCAUAAAAAUAACGAAAGUAUCAUAACAUAGGCUACAUACACUCAUCAAAUUCAUCAUAUCAUAAAUUUUCAAGAUAACCCUCUUGUUAUUAGAUCUUAGUGGAUUAAUGUGAUUGUGCAAAGCAUGGAUUUCAAAAAUUUCUUUUAUAAAUGAAGCAAGCUAUCCAAUUACACAAGCGAAAACACACAUCAUUAUUAUUGCAAGUAACAUAAUCAGAUCCCAAGAAAAAGAAGAAUUUAUUGAGUAAGAAAAACCAUACCUUUUAUUUUCAAAUUCUUAUUUACGAACACCACCACACCAAUGAAUGAUUUCUCGACCAAACAAGUUUACUACUUAUUCUUCAAGAAUACUUUCAACUUGAACCUUGAGUGGAUAAGGUGUGGAAUGCAAAACUACAAGACGACAAUCGAUUUUGUCUCUCUUUUCUUCAAAAAAGUUUAGAAGAGGAGAAGAGAAGUGAAGGCUGUAACUUUUUCAAGAAAAAGUACAUUCUUUUAUUUUCUUCCAAUCUCUUCUCUUUUUAUUAAAACUCUUGCCUCAAAGGUUUAAUCAAAAUGAAACACCUUUGAAUCAAUCUUGACCAUCCAUUUAGAGUUAUGGAAGCAUCAAACAUGCUUCAUAAUUACCAAAAUUAAAAUUAAAGAAUAAAUAAUUUAAUUCUUUAAUUAUCAUUUAGAGUUCUUGAUAAAAUAAAACUCCUUAUUGAAUAAUAACUUUUAUUUCAUUAUUAUCCAUUUUUAUUUAAAAAGAAUUAAUAAUAAAUAAAAGAGUGAUAGUCAAACAUGGAGUCUCUUUUAUUAACAUGGAUGUCUAAAUUUAUUUUACAAGAAUCCUUUGUCAUCACCCAAUUUCUCGGGCCAUGACCAGCGCAUGAGCUCAAUGAGCAUAGCUCACUAAGCCCAAGCAAGCCUAUCUAUUUACCUUUGCUUAACAAAUUUAUCAUAUCAUGCAUACACACACACUUGUUCUCGGGUGUGAACAUAGCCAAAACACAAUGGCAUUAUCGAUAAUAAUAUACAUGCACUAUACCAGUCAUGUAUUUAGCAAUUUACAUCACAUACACAUAUUCACAUUGUUAGAUUGUAUUCACAAUACAAAAGGACCCAUGACUUCCAGCGGAGACAUUUACAAUAAAAGGGAUUACUAUCGAAUGCCAGACACAUACCCAGGAGAUGCACUACGGGGACUCCUCGAUCUAGGGUCCAACAGUCACCUGAUCUGAAAACAUGAAUUUUUAUAAAACGUGAGUACAAUACUCAGUGAGUGAACAAGAAGGGAACAAGCAUACCAUAAGGAAUGUUUAUCGAAAUCAUGAUGCAUUCAUUUUCUCAAAACCAUGCAAUUGUUUUAGCUCCUUUAAACCCCUCAUGUAAACCCCACAUCAGUAAAUCACUUUACAAAAAUCCAUGCUCAACUAUGGUACCAAAGAAAUGAGAAAUAUGGAAAAAACCCACAAGUUAGCAAAAUGGACAGAAAGUUUCUCGCUACAACGAAACAGAGCAACAAGAGAAAAGUUUCCCUUCACUCAACAAAAAGGCCAUCCUACUAAACCAACAAAAUCAACAUAAAACUCAUGAAAAUUCUCAAAGUACAAUGUAUCAAAUUUUACAUAUAUGUCAACCAUAUAUCACAUUCAUGAGCUUUCAUUUCAUAAGUCUAGAUAUGCAUAAUUUGAUAGACAAACAUCUAUAUCAUCAUAAUCACACCCGGCUCAUGUACAUCCCUCCACAUCGUGCACAUAGCCGGCACCAUCGUGUGCAUCCCCCACAUCGUGCACAAUCAGUGCCAUCGUGUACAUCCCCCCACAUCGUGCACACGGGCACUAUCAUCAUCCAUCUCUCACGCCACCAUCAUCACUGGCAUGUGCAUCCCCCCACAUCGUGCACACACAUGGUUACAGUCAUUAUACACAAUAUCAUUCAUCAUGCAUAACACACACACACACACACAUAUAUAUAUAUAUAUAUAUCAUUAUAUUGCAAUAAUGCAUGAAUCCAUAGCAAUCACAUAUCACAACAUCAAAGCAUUUAACAAAAGCUUGUUCCCAAGGUACAUUUUCUAAGACAAGUUGGAUAGAAUCUUUUAUAUUCCCCAAAACAAGUUUGGAAUGCAAGUCUACUCAUCGAUAUCGAAAAUUCAGAUUUCGGGUGCACUCAGACUAAUAGUCCUCAAGCGUAAUUCCUUUGCCUUUUCCGGACGUCUAACUACCUUGACAAAUAACAAAGUCAAGGAAUUUACUAUAUUGUCCCUAAAUUGAUAUAAACUAAUUUAAAUUACUAAUGCUUGAUAUGUCAAUGCAAAAAUACGUCCGAUUACCGCUUAAUCGCAGUAUCGAUUAAAUUCGACCGAUGACCGAUUAAUUGGCGAUUGUGUCCAAAUCACCUCUAAAUUAAUCCAUUUCUCCUCUAAUACCUUAAUUUACCACAUACCAUUUAAAUAAAGCCAAAUUCAGCAUUAGAACCCUCACAGUUCCUUAUAGAAAAAUUCGGUCAUUUGGUGCACUAGCACUGAAAUUUUUUCUACAUAACUGUUUCACCUUAAUUCAUCAUUUUCCAAGCCAUUUUCCUUGAAAUAAAAACAAUCCCCCAUUGAUAUUCAGCCCUCAUGGUUCGACCAACAAGGAACCCUACAGAAAUUGAAUAUUUCUUGUGUUUUUGUUCAUAACCAUGCUUAACUAUCCCUAAACACUAACAUAGUCUAAAAUCAAAUUAUUCCAACAAUAAUUCCUCUUCUAUACCCAUUUUCAGAAUUGAAUUCAUCAUGAUAACUCAAUAUUCAACCAUGUAAAUCAAGAACAAAAGCAUGGGUAAGCUAGGUAUCAAGGAGAAUUAAAGAAAUUCUAACUUACCUAGCUUGUUUCCUUGAUUUCUUCACUUUUUCUUUGAAUUUCCACCUAGGUUUUCUUAUUUUUCCCCUUGUUCUUCCUUUGUUCUUGUUUCUGGUUGCCUAGGCCGAAUAUGGUGAGAGAAUUGGGGAUUUAAUGGGCUGAUUUCUAUAGAAAAUAAUAAAAUAAUCAAGCAUGCCACGUGUCACAUGCUUAUUGGCCCAAUUUUUUAACUUUUUGACUUUUUCUUCUUAAUUUUCCACCACAAAUAUUCUGGUAUUUAUUCAAUCCUACCACAAUUAAAAUCCCUUCAUCUUGACAAGUGCUGGGGUGAAAAAUUUACCAAUUUGCCCCCGGGAUGAAAAAAUUACGAUUUUGCCCUUAUACUCCGAAAUGUACCGGAAUCACAUUAUUUCCACUUUUCAACCUCAAAUAACACUAAUAUUGAUCAAUAUUAACCAAAUGGGGAAAAAAUCAUUUUAUAAAAAUUCCCAUUUAGUCCUCUAACGAAAAAAUUACCAUUUUGCCCUUGUGCUCCAAAAAUACUGGGAAUCACAAUUUUUCACUGCUAAACAUCAUUUUAUACUCCAAUAAUCAUAAUUAUAUUUCAUAUAAUUAUUCUUGGUCAAAUGUGAUCAAAUCUUGGCUAGAAAUCUCCAUUUUAUCAUCAAAUGGUAAAAUGAUCGUUUUGUCCCUAAUCGGUCAAUUUUCCUAAUGAACUCCAAACUGGACCUUGAACUCUGAAUCACUAUUCUAAGCCAUUCUGUGGGUUUCAAAAUUUUCAAUUUCCUCUUAGAAUUUCUAUUUGAACUAGUUUAAGGCUCGAUUUAACUUAGUUGUACCACUCGGUACAAUACUAUCUUUUAAUCAAGCUUGACAAGGUCUCACAUCCUCCUAACAUUAUCUUAAUCUAAUAUAACUCUUGUUUUUAAUUAAGACAAAAAUAUUUUAUCUGGCCUAAAUUGAGAUAAAUAUGUUUUCUUAUCUAAAUUAAGACAAAAAAUAUUUUUCUUGUCUUAAAUUAAGACAAACAUAUUUUCUUGUCUAAAUUAAGACCAAACAUGUUUUCUUGUCUAAAUUAAGACAAGCAUAUGAAAGCUACAAGUUUUGUACACAAUUUAAUUAAUCAAAUUAAAACAUGCAUUCUAGCUUAAACAAGUUGAAUUCUACGAAGCUAAGUGAAAAAUCUACUUGGACAUAGAUAUUCCAAGCUCCAAAAACUUAUUCUUAAUAUCAUUAAAAAUAAUUCAAGCUUAUUAACCAUGAAAUCACUCUACCAUAGAUUCACGAUUACACUCUUAGAUUAACUAUAAUUACAAGAAACAAUUCAAUACUUGAUAUUAAUUAUUAGUUGUCCAAUUACAAACCUUAUAUUGUGAACCUUCAUAACCAUCCAAUGAUAAAAUGUGAAAUUAUCGUUUUACCCUAUAUGUCAAUUUUGUCCCCUAGUCUCAAAUUUCAUCCAAUUAGUGAUUCAACACUCUAGAUCUAAUCUUUUGAGUAUCCAUAUGUGAUGAGUAGCUAAUUCAUCAAUCCAUUGGGCCUAGAUUAAUCACUAAUCUUCCUAAAAUCACUAAAAGUGAUAUUAAUGUUAUAAACUCCAUUAUCUGGAUAUAUGUUCCUAGAUGUUCAUCUCGAUUAUAAUCCCAAAAUACAGAGUCUAGAUCAACACUUUAUGAUGAUCAUGCUCAUGGUAAAUCAAAGAUUAUAAUGAGAUUAAACUCGAGUCCACUAUCCAUCAGGAUUUCGGUUCUACUAUAAGCAAAUGUAUAAGUGUGCGAUCAAGAUUUAAGUAAUGGUAAAAUUUAAAUUUGAUUCUCACAUCAUUCUAGUUAAUGUUAUAGUUUCAUUACUCGAAGUCAACCAUUUCAAUGAUUUGAGACUCAUCAUUCCCUUGAAAUGAAUCACAUUUGUUUUGUUGGAAGUAAUCUGAACACUACAGCCUUAACAUAAAGUGACCAGCUCUAUUAUAUGACUGUGAACAAUUUUUAGAUUCAAUUAAAAUACAUGUCUUCUAUGUAUGACUCUUCAUACAAAUGUAUUUUAAUAUCUCAAUAUAAUCAUGGUACCUUAAUAACUAGAUAAUGAUUGCUUACUAAAGCAGACUCUUCGUCUUAUUAUCAAAAUUCACUUUCAUUACAAACAAAUUUAAUAAAAUUAAGCACGAGAAUACACUUGCUUUCUAGGGCACCAUAUUCUCAAAAUUCUUAACAAUCUCCCACUUGCCCUCAAACAAGUAUGACAUAACCCUCAUUCCAAGACCUUCUAAGUGACCACUGAAACUCUUUUGUGUUAGAGUCUUUGUGAAGGGAUCGAUAAGGUUCUACUUUGUUGGCAUUUUCUUCACAAGUACUUCUUCAUGUUGUAUGAUCUCUCGAAUGAUAUGAUACUUCCUUUCAAUAUGUUUUGCUGCUUUAUGAUUUCGCUGUUCUUUUGAGUUAGCCACUGCUGCACUAUUAUCACAAUAGAGUGUAAUAGGCUUGUCCACAUCUAGAAUUACUUCAAGGUCCAUAAAGAACUUACGGAGCCAUACAGCUUACUUUGCUGCUUCACAAGCCGCAACAUAUUCUACCUCUAUAGUAUAGUUUGCAAUACAAGAUUGCUUUACACUCCUCCAAACUAUGGCUCCUCCUCCAAUGGUGAAAACAGAUCCCGAUGUUGAUUUCCUAAAAUCAACAUCAAACUAAAAAUCUGAAUCAGUGUACCUUGUUGCUACAAGGUCACUUCCAAAAUAGACAAGCAUGUUGUUCUUCACUCUAUGAAGAUAUUUAAAAAUGCACUUGACUGCAAUCUAGUGCUCCAUGCCUGGGUUUGAUUAAAAUCUGCUAACCAAUCCAAUUACAUAGCAAAUAUCUAGCCUAGUGCACAGCAUAGCAUACAUGAGACUUCCAACGAUAGAUGCAUAUGGAAUCCAUCUCAUGUUUUCAACUUCCUUUGGAGUUUUGGGUGACAUAUCCUCAGAAAGUUUGAUGUUAGGUCUAAAGGGCACAAAACCCUUCUUGGAAUCUUGCAUAGCAAACUUGUCCAAACUCUUAUCUAUGUAGGAUGCUUGAGAUAAUGCUAUCUGUUUGUUCUUAUGAUCCCUUAUAAGUUUGAUCCCCACAACAUAGCUAGCUUCUCCCAAAUCCUUCAUAUUAAAUGUUGGUUUAGCCAACAUUUAACUGUUGAUAACAUUCCUAUAUCAUUCCCAAUGAGUGAAUGUCAUCAACAUAAAGGACUAGGAAAAUAACCUUUUUAUCUUGUAUCCUUUUAUAGGCACAGGGUUCAUCAACAUUUUGCUGAAAAUCGUAUGAUUUGAUAGUAGUAUCAAAUCUUAUGUUCCAAGACCUAGAUGCUUGCUUUAGUCUAUAAAUGGACCUAUGCAAUUCACAAACCUUAUGCUCAUGGCCCUUAUUAAUGUGUCACAACCCAAAUCUCGGACCAUGACGAGUGUAUGGGCCCAAUAAACAUAGCCCACUAGGCCCAAGAAAGCCUUUCUAUGAAAACUUAUUCCUUAGACUAUCUGUCCCUCAUUUACCUCUAAAGUUAUUAAUUCAUAGUUUUCAAAAAUAAUUUCUUCUCAAGCAUAAAUCUUGGCAACCGAACAUAUACCAUUCACAAAAUAAUAUUACCGUUUGCCAACCUGUGGCGACAUUGUCAUGCAAACUAAACAUACAGUGUUUACAACAAAUCUCAUGAAUUACAUUUAAAUAACCACCAUAUACACAUACCAAAAGACUUUAACUAUUAAUCGAGUGACUCUGGCGUGGAUACUAUUAUAGAGUGUCCUAGUAAACCUACCAUAAGAUGAAUAGAAAGAAGCACCUCUACCUAAGAUCCAACUACCUUUGAACCUGAAAACUAAAACAUGAAGUUGAAAAGAAUGAGUAUAAACCUAGUGAGUGAACAUAAGAAGGGAACAAGCAAACGAUACGGAAGGUUUUCGAAAACAUGAUGCACUCGUUUUAAAACUAUGCAAUUUCACUUAAUUUCUUGUAAAGCCCCUUAAUUCAACCUUUGAUUAUUUAAUCCCUUAGAGUGAAGGAUUUAUGAUCAACAACGAAGUUGAAAAAAGUGGAAACAACAGUAAAUAUCCAUGCAAGACAAGCUAGAUAGAAAAUUUCUCACUUCAAUGAAAAUCAAUUUGGAAGCAAUUAACAAUUUCAACAUUCAACUUUCAUUGCAAUCACAUAAUACUUUCUCUAACCUCUCUAUGAUAUGUGUAAACAUGUAUACAACCACCGGUUCAUCAACUCAUGUGCACUCCCACAUCGCACAUAGCUAGAAUCAUCAUGUGCACUCCCACACCGCACAAGGCAAUAUCAUCAUGUACACUUCCACACCACAUCAUCACCGGCAUGUGCACUCCCACACCGCACAAUACCAAUACCGUCACGUGCACUCCCAUACCGCACAUGCACGGUUAUAGUUAUCAUACAACAUUAUCAUUCAAGGCAUAACAUACAUAUCCACAUAAUAUAGGAACACAUGGUUUCAUUAUAUUACACAUUUCACAACAUAAAAAUGUUUCAUCAAGGGCUUGUUCCCAUGCACAUUUAUAGAAAAGACCAAUAAAAUAUUUCAAGUGAUUCAAUCAAACACAUAUGCAUUUAUCCCAAAACAUUUUAAUGCAAGUUCACUCACCUAUCUUUGUUGAUUCUUUUAUCAACUCCAACUUCAACUAAUGCUCCAAAUGGAGAUGUGGGGUCUCAUUGCAACCUAUCACACACGAUAGCAUCACAACCAACCUAAUUUACUUGAAUAUUAUUCCAAAAGCUAUUUCCUAAAUCAAACUUUGCUAGUUAUUCCUAACUAGUUUCCAAUUACCGUUUGACUAGUCUUUAAUUUGCAUCAUUCUAGUCACACUAUAAAUAAAUAAAUAUCCUUCAACAAUAGAACAGCCCACAAAUGUAAUUAUUGGCCAUCAUCAACAACUUAAAAAUCAACCCUAACUCAUUACUCACCUUGGUGAACUUGUAGUUGAAUCCUUUAGUGAAAAUUUAAGAGAGAAAAUUCUUUUUAGGGUUUUCUCAAGCUAUUUUGAAGAGUUUCUCUCUCUAAAAUGUUCAAUUAGUGAGAGAAAAUGCAUAGGAAAAACUUUUUGAGGGUUUUUGAGGUGUGAAAGUGAAAGAGAAUGAAAAACCCUAUGAAAAAGUGUACCAAAAAUAUGAGAUUUUGGGUUACUAUAAAAAGGUUAUGGAGGUUUUAAGGGUGGCCUCCAUGGAAAAUGGAAAACUUGAAAUGGGGAAGAAGGAUGGGAAGAAGAAGAAGAAGAUGUUGGAAGUGAGGAGAAACUGCUAGAACUUUAGAUAUUUAUCUCUAAAGUUAGUCAAAGUUUCACGUAAUUUACAAAAUGCCCUUUUUUGUUCUUCUAGUGUAGUAUUUUCAAUUUGACAAAGAUUUUAACCACUUUUCAAUCAAAACUAGGCAAAGUGGUAAAUAUCAAAUUGUAGCCCUGCCUCCUAGCUUUCUAAUGGUCCAAAAAUCAUGUCAUUUGGACUUCUGUAGUGGGAGAUAUUCUUGGAAAAUCCAAACAUAUGCAAAUAAAGCAAAAGUCCAUCAUAUACCUUUCUUCACCAAUUGAAAUUAUUUUUGAUCCUACUCCUAUAAAAACAUAAAAUAAAUAUAAAUAACGUAAAACUAACAUUAUUAACUUAAAAUAAACAUUUAAACAUAAAUUAAUCUAAACUAAUAAAAUAAAUAAAAAUGCCUAAAUUCGAUCUUAAAUCUAGUCCAACUUAGACUAAUUAGGUAUUUAAUUUCCCAUUAAAUAUAUGAAUUUGAAGCAGUCAUCAAUCUACCUCUAGUUACGCGUCUAUGGAGGUUGAGGUUUCACAUAAUGAAACCUUUUAAUUGAGUCAUAUAAAUGCAUUCUUCAAGAUCUCCAUUUAAAAAUGUGGUCUUGACAUCCAUUUGCCAUCUUUCAUAAUCAAGAUGUGCGGUUCUAGAUAGGAGGAUCCUAAUGGAUUUAAGCAUAGCAACUGGUGAAAAGGUUCCUCAUAGUCAAUCCAUUCUCUUUAGGUAAAACCCUUGGCCAUUAGUCAAGCCUUGAAGGUCUCCACCUUCCCAUCACUUUCUUUCUUUCUCUUGUACAUACAUUUGCACCCUAUGGGUUUUAUCCCUUUAGGUGGAUCUACUAAAGUCUAGCCUUUGUUGGAAUCCAUAAAGUCCAACUCAAAUUGCAUUGCCUUCUGCCACUCUUCAACAUCUACAUUGUUAAUAGCUUCUUUAUAUGUAAUAAGGCCAGAUUCAUGUUCAUUUAAGAGUACAAUCAUGUUUUCUCCCAGACCUAUGUAUCUCUUUGGUUGUCUCACAACCCUCCCACUAUGUCGAGGCACCACUAUUUGAUGUUCGAUUUGUGUUUCUGUUUCAACCCUUGAAUCAGACUAUGUUAUGACAUCUUUAGAAUUAACUCUUAAGUCUGAAUGAUUAGACAAUUCUUCUAAGAAAAUUUUGCUUCUAGAUUUGUGAUUUCUCACAAACUCUUCCUCUAAGAAAGUGACAUUCGCACUAACAAAAACUUUCUUAUCUUAAGGACUAUAGAAGUAAUAACCUUUUAAUCUUUUUGGAUAUCCUACAAACAAGCACACCUUAGCCUUUGGUUCCACCUUUGUGGACUUAGGCUUUAAAACAUGAGCAAGACACCCCCAAGUUUGCAGAUGACAUACAGAUGAUUUACGCCCUAUCCACAGCUCCUGUGGUGUCUUAGGCAUAGCCUUAGAUGGAGCAAAAUUGAACAAGUACUUAGCAAUUUGCAUAUAAUAUUCCCAUAAUGAGAUUAAAAGGUUAGCAUAUGUAAAGCCUGACCUUAUAAAUACUUGUCAUGACAUACAUGUGAUGGAUAGCAUGUUUACAUGCUAGGAAGUCCCGAAAAAUUUAUAAAAGUCGGUACUAUACCUAGAGGUACAAUAAAGUUGAUCUAAGCCUCGAACUAGGUCAAAUAGGGAUUUUAAGGUGAAAUUCAAAAUUUUAUAAUUCAAGAAUAACUUAAAAUGGUGAUUCGGAGUUCGAGGAUCAAUUCAGAGUCAAACCAAAAUUUUCACUAUCUAGGGCCAAAAUGGUAAUUUUGCCACCUCGAGGGUAAAUCGGUAAAUUUUCACCCCCGACACUUUUCAAGACCAAUAGAUUUUAUUCAUCAUAGAAAUGGAUAAAUAUGAGAAAAUGUGUGGUGGAGAAUUAAAGAAUUAAAAGACAAAUAUUUAAAGUGUGGACCAAUCACAGAGUGCCACAUGUCAAGCUUUAUUAUCUUAUUAUUAAGCUAUAAAAAUCAGCAUAGAAUCAGCCCAUUCUCACCAUAAGGGUCGGCCAAGCAAAAAAACAAGAGAGGAAAGAAAGAAAAUAAGGAAAACAAACCCUAGCCAAGAAAAAUUCAAGAGAAAGUGUGAAAAUCCAAGGAAUUAAGCAAGGUAAAGUGAAAAUUCUUUAUUUUUACUUGAGAUUUACAAUACCCAUGCUUUAUUUUCUUAUUUCUAUGGUUGAGAAGCAUGAUUUCAUAGUGAAUAAGUGGUAGGCGGAAUGGGUAUGGUGAGAGAAAUGAUGUUGGAAUUGUUUGAUUUUAAGUUGUGUUAGUGAUUAAGGUUAGUUUAGCAUAUUUAGAAGCAAAACAAUAAAAAACAAAGAAUCCAUUUUCCCCAUGAAUCUUCAUUGGUCGAAUCUUCCUUGAUGUGUGUGGGUGAUGGAUUGUUAUUAUUUCAAGAGAAAUGGCUUAGAAAAUGAUGAAUAAUUGUGAGAAAAUUAAGUAGGAAAAAUCACGAUGUUAGUGCACUGUAAUGGCCAAAUUUUUCCAUAAAGAAAUGGGAGGGUUUUGAUGCUGAAAUUGGUGUUAUUUGAAUAAUGUUUGGUGAAUUGAGGUAUUAAAAAAGAAAUGGAGUAAUUUGGGAUUAAAUUGGAUGCGUUAGUAAUUUAAUCAAGUGAUAGGCCGAAUUAGGUCAACAUCGCGUUUAAGCGGUUGACCGAGCAUUCCAUGCAUUCAUUUAGAUUUAGAGGGCCUGAAAUAGUUUAUGACAAAUGGACACAAAUUAUUGAAUUUUGUGUCAUGUGUGAUGUAUAGGUGGUGAGCUAUUUGAUAAGGAUAAAGAGAUUACACCAAAGACCGAGACUAGGAGUAUUUCUUAUCUUGAUACUGUGAGUAACCUUCCUAUCAUCUUAAUUAUCUAGAAUGGUUUUUAUUCGUUUUAGUGAUUUUAUGAAAAAUGAGUUAAAUGGUAAAUCCUUAUGUUUUAUAAGUAAAAUGUGUUUAAAUAAAAUGAUUUUAUAAAUUGUCUUAAAAUUGAAUUAUGGUUUUGAAAAUAGAGUAAUUGAAGACCACUUGAUGUGUUGUAAUUUUAUGCUUUUAAAUUGAAUGGCUUAUGACAAUAUAUGAGCAUGAAUGGCUAAACUAAUUUUUGGUGUUAGAAUUAUUUGUACUAUGUAUUCAGCCUUGAGAGGCUAGGUUGCGAUAAAUUGCCAUGUCAUGCAGAUAAAGAUUUUAUAAAUCAGGUGGUAUAUAAAAUAAUCCAUAAUCCCUGUAGUGGAGGUUCUGUGGACUAGCCUAAGAGAGGGGGCACAGAAUCAGAUAUACCUUACCUCGGUCGAAGAGUCGUGUGGAGGGUGUCUCUGGAGGUAAAGAUUUAAGUGCACUUCACGUGGACCACCGUGUGAGAGUGAGACUCAGCCAAUGCCAAGGCAUGGCUAGAUUUUCAAAUGUAAAAAUAUGUUCAUGUGUGUACUACACUGAACAGCCUUGGCGGUCUCGAUCAAAUGCCUAGGCCAAGGCAUCCUCGGGAAUGAUUUUGGCAGGAGCCAAGUUUUAUGAAAUACAUAAGCCAAGUUGAUUAUUUGAGUAAAUUGAUUAUUGAUGUUAUGAAAAACAUACUGGAAUGGAAUAUCUUACUUGUCUCAAUUUACUCGACUUUAGAUUGUUUAGAUGUUAUUGUUUACUCACUGGGAUUUUAUAAUCUCACCACCCUCAAUUCUCCACAUUUCAGGCUCGAGAUAGCCGGUAGAUAGCCAAUUGCAUCAAGGACUUCAGUUAGCCUUGCAUCGACAGAAUUGUAGGUUCACAGACUUGCACCUUAUUGGUUAGUUGGGGGCCCACGUGUCAUUGUGAAAGUAAUUUUAUACUUUAGUUAUCUGCUUUAAAGUACAUAUGAAUAUAGUUAGCUUUUACACUACAGAAAUUAUUUACAAAUUUCUCUAUAAAUAUUAUUUUUUUAGAAAUUAGAAUAUUUUAUUAAAUAUUAUUAUUUUAUUCAAACAAUUAUAAUUUCAUUUCAAAUAAUUAUUUUAGACAUCUAAAUUUACUUUUAAUUAUGAAACAUGUAUUUUUCACCCACAUACAAUGUUUUUGGCGGGUUUCGAUAGUUUCAAAGAGAAAUGACGAAAAUGCCCGUGAGCUAGAAAAUAAUAUUAUAUUGUUUUGAUUUGGAAACGACUUAUGAUUUCUUGAAAUGCGAUUUAAUAACUGUCGCUCACCGGGGAGAUGCGAAAGCUAAUGCUAAGCCUUGCUGGGUUCUGAUCGGCAUUUUGGGUAAUAAGUGCCUAUCGGGACGUCGAGGCGGUUGUCAUGGGCCUGAUGGGAGUUCCCAGUCAUGACAGCAUAGGACAUCAUUGAUCUAACCAUUUUUAAAAGAGUUAUAUUUCUUCUUUCAGUUACACCAUUAUGUUGAGGUGUUCUUGACAUUGAUAAAUUGGAAACUAUCCCAUUGUCAGUGAGAAAUUGCUGAAAUUCAUCUAAUAAAUACUCACCUCCUCAAUCUGAUCGAAGUUGUUUCAAUGGCUUGCCUAGUUACUUUCAACUUUGGCUUUGAAUUCUCUAAACUUUUCAAAAGAUUCACUUUUUCUAUGCAUUAAAUACACAAAGCCAUGUCUUGAGUAGUCAUCUAUAAAAGUUAUGAAAUAUUCAUAACCUUCUCUAGCUUCUACGUACAUUGGUCCACAUACAUCUGCAUGCACCAAGUCUAGAACAUUUGGCAUUUUGUUACCUUUUGCCGUAAAAGGCCCUUUAGUCAUUUUAGCUUCAAUUCAAAACUCACAUAUUAGCAAAGGACCCUCAACCAUGUCUAGUAGAGUACCAUCCUUUAUAAGCCUAUUGAGUCUAUUUUGAUUGAUAUGACCUAAACGCAAAUGCCAAAGAUAAUUUUGAUUUAUAAUAGAUUCUUUGACUCUUCAAGCUUUAAAUCGUAUUGCUUCUAUAGCAUUUGCAGAAUAAGUCAUAGGCUCAAGGAAAUAAAUAUUAUAUCUUACAAUUGAGAACAAAUAAAAUCAUUAUUCAAAUAAAUAGUGAGUUUCUCACUGAAAUAAACUGAAUAUCCAAACUUUAUUAAACAAAAGACAAAAAUCAAAUUUCUAUAAGUCUCUAAAAUGUAAUAAUCAUUUUCCAAAACUAAGCUAUGACCAUAAGGAAAUUGAAGAAUAAUGGCUCCCACUGCUAAUGCUGAAACGAAUAUGCCAUUUGCCAUCCUCCUCCGAAACUGCCCUUUACUUAGUGGCUCCAGAAUUACAAACAUGGUUAAUGGCUCCAGAAUCUACUAUCAAAGUAUCUAUAGAAUCAACCACUAAACAAGCUUUUGACAUAUUUAGAAAGCCCAUACCUUGUUUACUCUUUUGGAUUUCUUUAAGGUAAACCUUGUAAUUUCACUUCCAAUGUCCUUUCACACCACAAUGGAAACAUUUUCCUUUAAGGUUGUCUUUCGAAACAGUCUUUUUCUUCAUAGGCUUUUUCUUUCCUCCCACUAAGCCCUUAGAAAUCUUUUUAUUUCUAGCUAUUUUCCUUUACCCUUAGGUUUGGGCUUAGAAGUGGAAAUUGCAUGUCUUCAAUCUUCUUUUUCAAAUCAAGAACCUCUUCCACAUUUUAGAGAUCAUUCAUUAGCCCAUUUAGGGUGUAAUCCCUAGUGUUCAGUUCAUAAUCCAAUUUGAACUGUGAAAAUGAUGAAUUCAAGCUAUGAACAAUCAUUGAUAUUUGUGUUUCUGUAUCUAUCUCAGCACCAUUUAGUUCUACCUUAUUAAGACAAGAGAUCACUUUGAGCAUGUAAUCUCUAACUGGCUCCCCAAGUUUCUACUUAAGGUCCUUAAAAGCAUUGAUUACUUUCACCUUAGCAGACCUUGUUUUCGUACCAAACAUGUCAUGCAGGUGCAACAUUAUGUUAGCAGCAUUACCCAUGCCUUCGUGCUGCUUUUGCAAUAUACUGUUCAUAGAGGCUAGUAUAUAGCAUUUAGCCAAGUCAUUUGCACCAUGCCACUUCUUGUGAUAUUCAAUAUCUUAUGGAGUUGAUUAGGGAGUUAGUGCUUCAGGCUCAUGGUCAAAAAGAACCAAUGUGAUCUUGUCAUAAUUAAGGAUGAUAUUAAGGUUUCUUUUCCAUUCAGUGUAGUUAUCACCAUUCAAAGUGCAUUUGUUAAGCAAAAUUGAAAGUGGAUUCAUAUUUGUGAUGCAGAUAUGUUUCUGAAAGUACAUUUUGAAAUUAUGUAAGCAUACUAGUUAUUUAUGGACUUUGAACAUUUCAUGAUGCAUUUAUGCAUGAUGACAAUAUAUAAAACCCUAUAAAUUGUAUUAUUAGUUCAACGAUCAUCUACCUUUUCGUAAUAAAUUAACUGACUAUGGGCAGUGAUAAUUUACUACCAAGCAAACUGGGACCCUCCCACUUAACUAUGUUGCCCAGUAUCUUCGUACUUAACAUGGUUAAGGAGUGCUUUCAUUUGAUCCACGAAGUUUACUAACAAAGAUACUGUAGGUAGGUUAGUGGUAAAUUCGUAUUAAGUGUAACAACCAUUGUUUCUAUCAAACCCUGUUCUAUAAAAUAAUUACGACGUCAUUUACAUGCUCAAUAGAAUGUUUGCAUGUUUAGGAAGUUCGAGGAAUCGUUAAAAGACGAUAUUGCCCUUAAUGGUACCAUUAAGUCGAUUAAGCCUCGAACUAGUUUAAAUAGGAAUUUUAAGGUGAAAUUAAGAGUUUCACAGUUCAGGGAUGAUUCAAAAUGGUAAUUUGAAGUUCGAGGAUCAAUUUGGAGUCAAACCGAAAUUUUCACUAUCCAGGGGUAAAAUGGUCAUUUGCCACUUGGGGACAACAUGGGAAUUUUUAGAAAAGAUUUCUUAGCCCCAUUUGACUUAUUGGAGUAUGAUUUGAGUAUUGGAGUAUGAUUUGAAGUUUAGAAGUGAAAAAUUUUAAUUUCGGUAUAAUUUGGAGUAUAGGGGCGAAAUGGUAGUUUUGCUACCCCAAGGGCAAAUCGGUAAAUUUUCACCCCCGACACUUGUUAAGACCAAGGGAUUUUAUUCAUCAUGGAAAUGGAUAAACAUGAGAAAUGUGUGGUGGAGAAUUAAAGAAUUAAAAGUCAAAUAUUUAAAAUUUGAACUAAUAAGGAAAUGCCAUGUGUCAUGUUUUUAUUAUUUUAUUAUUUCUUUAUAAAAAGGCAAAAAAUCAGCCCAUUUCUCCCAUAGUGAUCAGCCAAACCANNNNNNNNNNNNNNNNNNNNNNNNNNNNNNNNNNNNNNNNNNNNNNNNNNNNNNNNNNNNNNNNNNNNNNNNNNNNNNNNNNNNNNNNNNNNNNNNNNNNNNNNNNNNNNNNNNNNNNNNNNNNNNNNNNNNNNNNNNNNNNNNNNNNNNNNNNNNNNNNNNNNNNNNNNNNNNNNNNNNNNNNNNNNNNNNNNNNNNNNNNNNNNNNNNNNNNNNNNNNNNNNNNNNNNNNNNNNNNNNNNNNNNNNNNNNNNNNNNNNNNNNNNNNNNNNNNNNNNNNNNNNNNNNNNNNNNNNNNNNNNNNNNNNNNNNNNNNNNNNNNNNNNNNNNNNNNNNNNNNNNNNNNNNNNNNNNNNNNNNNNNNNNNNNNNNNNNNNNNNNNNNNNNNNNNNNNNNNNNNNNNNNNNNNNNNNNNNNNNNNNNNNNNNNNNNNNNNNNNNNNNNNNNNNNNNNNNNNNNNNNNNNNNNNNNNNNNNNNNNNNNNNNNNNNNNNNNNNNNNNNNNNNNNNNNNNNNNNNNNNNNNNNNNNNNNNNNNNNNNNNNNNNNNNNNNNNNNNNNNNNNNNNNNNNNNNNNNNNNNNNNNNNNNNNNNNNNNNNNNNNNNNNNNNNNNNNNNNNNNNNNNNNNNNNNNNNNNNNNNNNNNNNNNNNNNNNNNNNNNNNNNNNNNNNNNNNNNNNNNNNNNNNNNNNNNNNNNNNNNNNNNNNNNNNNNNNNNNNNNNNNNNNNNNNNNNNNNNNNNNNNNNNNNNNNNNNNNNNNNNNNNNNNNNNNNNNNNNNNNNNNNNNNNNNNNNNNNNNNNNNNNNNNNNNNNNNNNNNNNNNNNNNNNNNNNNNNNNNNNNNNNNNNNNNNNNNNNNNNNNNNNNNNNNNNNNNNNNNNNNNNNNNNNNNNNNNNNNNNNNNNNNNNNNNNNNNNNNNNNNNNNNNNNNNNNNNNNNNNNNNNNNNNNNNNNNNNNNNNNNNNNNNNNNNNNNNNNNNNNNNNNNNNNNNNNNNNNNNNNNNNNNNNNNNNNNNNNNNNNNNNNNNNNNNNNNNNNNNNNNNNNNNNNNNNNNNNNNNNNNNNNNNNNNNNNNNNNNNNNNNNNNNNNNNNNNNNNNNNNNNNNNNNNNNNNNNNNNNNNNNNNNNNNNNNNNNNNNNNNNNNNNNNNNNNNNNNNNNNNNNNNNNNNNNNNNNNNNNNNNNNNNNNNNNNNNNNNNNNNNNNNNNNNNNNNNNNNNNNNNNNNNNNNNNNNNNNNNNNNNNNNNNNNNNNNNNNNNNNNNNNNNNNNNNNNNNNNNNNNNNNNNNNNNNNNNNNNNNNNNNNNNNNNNNNNNNNNNNNNNNNNNNNNNNNNNNNNNNNNNNNNNNNNNNNNNNNNNNNNNNNNNNNNNNNNNNNNNNNNNNNNNNNNNNNNNNNNNNNNNNNNNNNGUAUUUGUAUCAAAAUUAUAUAUACUAUGUAUUCAGCCUUGAGAGGCUAGAUUGCGAUAAAUUGCCAUGUCAUGCAGAUAAGGAUUUUAUAGAUCAGUUGGUAGAUAAAAUAAUCCAUAGUCACUGCAGUGGUGGGGGGUUUUGUGGACCAGCCUAUUAGAGGGGCACGGUAAACUCCUUUAUAUUCUCACCUCGGUCGUAGAAGCACGUAGGGUAUCUCCUGAGGUGGGCUUUUUGAGUGCACUUCACGUUAACCACCACGUGAAGUGAGACUCAGUCAACGCCAAGGAACGGUUGCUUUUUUUUCAAAAUAAAAACAAGUUUUAUGAUUAUAUAAAAUUUUUCACAACCUUGGCGGACUCGGUUGGAUACCCCUAGUCCAGGUGUCCCCGAGUACAUGAUUUGGCAUGAGCCAAGUUUUGAGAAAUUUACGAGCCAUAUUGAUUAUUUGGUUGAAAUGAAUAUUCAUGUUGUGAAAAUUUUGCUAAAAUGAAUUAUUUUUAAUUGUCUCCCUUUACUCGCCUUUAGAUAGUUUAGAUGGUAUCUGAUUACUCACUAGGAUUAUGUAAUCAUAAUCUCACCCCUCUUCCUAUCCAUUUUUCAAGCUCAGGACAGUUUGUUGAUAGUGGAUUCAGACGAGAAUUAAUCUCGGAGUUGCAUCCUAGAAAGUAAGGGUUCGUAGCCCUACACCUUCUUGGUCAGUUGGGGGCCCACGUGUCACUAUAAAAGUAAUUUUAUACUUCAGUUAUUUUAUUUAAAGUAUGUAUGAACAUAUUUAUCUUUUACAGCAUGUUUUUGGCUAGUUUCGAUUUUUUGAAGAAAAAUGACGAAAAUGCCCCUGUGAGCUAAAAAAUAAUAUUUUAUUAUUUUGAUUUGAAAAUGACUUAUGAUUUCUUGAAAUGCAAGAUUUAAUAACUGUCGCUUACUAGGGAGAUACGAAAGCUAAUGCUAAGCCUUGCGGGGUUUCGAUCGACAUUCGGGGUAAUGAGUGCUUAUCGGGACAUCGCGACGGUUGUCAUAGGCCCGAUGGGAAGUUCCGGGUCGUGAUAGUUUCAUUCUUUUAAGCUCCUUACAUAAUGAGCCUCCAUGGGCGGUCUCACUUCAUAAUCCACCUAAAAGGAUUUAUCCUUUGGGAGACCUAGUCCGUCAUGAUCUAGAUUCAUGUCCGCCUAUAGGAGUGACAUGUUUCAUAUGCCAAUGGGCCAACAAUGGAGACCAUGGACUCUAAGAUUACUAGCAUCCUCUCCCACUCAAUAUUUUUAUAUAUAAGGUUUUAAUUGACUUUUUACUGAAUUUUCUAGAUUCAUAGUUAGAAUAUCUUAAGUCAAAUUAUAGGCAUGGUUAUGUUUCCAACUAAAUGUUUUUAGUAUAUACGAAAUCCAUAUUACCAUCUUGUCUAGAUGUGAUUUAUUUUCUUAUAUUCAUUAUGCAUUGUUAGCUUUAAAAUAAUUAUAGUUUUGAUUAUGCCAAAAUGAUCAAAUUUGCUUGAACAUUAUUUGAGUAAUCUUUGACAAAUUCUUGAAAUGAUUUAACUCCCAUUCAUUUGUUCUUACAUAGACACAAGCUUGACUCUUGAAGUUAUUGAACUAUAUCUAUAAGCAUGUAUGACUUAGGUGUAUGAGUGCUUAUGAAUCUCAUUCAUUAAAGUUUGAUUUAAAGAUUAAAGGAAAAUCUUGAUGCACUCAUUAAGAAGGAGUUUUGAAUAUCUUGUUUAAUGAUGAAAAAGAAAAAAGAGAGAAGGAAGACUAAAUCAAAUAGAAUUAAAUAGGUCUUCAUGUUUAAUUUAUGUGUGUGAUGCUCAAUGUUGGUUUUGUUGAAUAUUAUCUAAAGAAAAGUAAAUGCAUCGACUAAGGGGGAGCACCUCAUUAUGCAUAAAGAUUUGAAGCAUUCAUAUUGAACAUAGACAUUGCAUUCUUAAUCUUGGAGUGUUUUGUGAUCAUCAAAAAUAAGAGAUAGAGAAUGUUGACUUUAUAUAUUUUUGAUGAUAGCAAAAUAUUCCCAUUCAUUGGUGUCUAAUAUCUUUAUUUGAGUGUGCAGGAAAAUUAAUAUAUGAAAAUUAAUUUUUCAACUCUUCAAAGAGCAUUUCAAAAGAAAAUGAGGGAUAAAAAUAACAAAAUGUAACUGUCUAACAAAGAGGAAGCUUAUUUGUGAAACAAGGAAGAAUGUUAGUUGACCAAGUUUCAAAUUAAAGGAAUGGCAGACUGAAAAGUUUGAGAAACAUAACCAACUUAGUCAACCAAGUCAGUAGACUAAGUGCUCUCUGCUAGAAUCUGUAACCUGAAACAGAACCAACUUAGUUGACCAAGUCUGUCGACUAAGAGCUAUUUGUCUACAAUUUGAACCAGAGCACUACAAGAUAGAUUAACAGCUAUACCUCAUCCUCAACUGUUUCCAAUGGCCAUAAACUGUCAAAGUGCCAUCAGAGUUAUUUCUCCAAGUAUAAAAAGGUUUUCCAAUGGUUAGAAAUCAGUUUUUUUUUAGAGAAUUGAAGGCUUCCAAGUGAUAUAAAGUUGAAAAACCAGAAAAUCUUCUCUGCACCUUACUGCACUUAAACACCAAUUUUUGUAAUAGUGUUCAACACUUCAUCUUGUACCAUCUAGAUCAAGUAAGUGAUCAUAGGUACUUCUUUAUUUCUUCUCUUCUUGUACACUUAGAGUGAGCGAGUCACUCUAAGGGAUUUAUUCAAGCUUUGAUUGCUUGAUUGAGUGUAAAGGUUCCAACUUAGCCUAGAAAAGUUGGUUGUUGGGUUUUGGUUGAUCCCAGUAAAAACCAUUGUUGUGGUUUGGCCUUUGAAAAACCACUUUGGAUUUGGGUUGAGCCCGUGAAAAACCAUUAUGAAAGGUUGUGGUUAAGCCUUUGAAAAACCACUUUGGGUUUUAGUUUAGCCCAUGAAACAACUAGUGUAAAAGGUUUUGGCUGAGCCUUGUAAAAGCCAUUGUAAAGCUUGGUGAAAGCUUGUGAAUUUCAUCGGUUAUUAGUGGAAUUAUUGGAAAAAUCCUUGGUUGUAUAAUCAAGGUAGUGGAUGUAGGUCUUGGACCGAACCACUAUAAAUUAUUGUGCAUUGUCUACUCUAUUUUUAUUGUCUUUGUGUGGAAAUUAGUUCCUCAUCUUGUCAAGAGCCGAUUUGUGUUAUUCACCCCCCUCUAGCAUAUCUUAUUGGGACCAACAAGUGGUAUUAGAGUCUAACUCUUAUUUUUAAGGCCUAACAUCCUCAGGGUAUAUACUAAUGGCUCUAGAAAAUUUUGUUGAUGUUGAGGGUCAAAGCAUAAAUAUGCCUCUUCUAUUUAAUGGAUCAAACUAUCCUUAUUGGAGUACUAGAAUGUCCAUUUAUGUUAGGGCUUAUGACUAUGAGAUAUGGGAUGCCAUUACCGAUGGUCCUUUCAUUCCAAUGAUUGCGAAUUCGGUAAAUGGUGAGAAAACUCCCAAAGAUAGAAAUAAAUGGACUGAAGCUGAAAUGAGGAUAGUACAAAUGAACUCUAAGGCCAUGCAUACUCUCAUUUAUGCACUUGAUUAUAGAGAAUACGAUAGAGUAUUUAUGUGCAAAAGUGCUAAGGAAAUUUGGCAAAAAUUUGAAAAGUUAUAUGGAGAAACAAAUAUGGACAAGGAAUUGGAAGUCAACUUUUGCGAGAAGCAAUGCUCAACAAGUAACAUGGCAAAUGCAAAUAAGGAAUCAAGUGAAGAUGAAUACUCAAAUCAAAUUAAAUUAUGCUUCAUGGUUCUAGAAGACAUAAAGGUAUUUUUUCAUCUUGUGAACUUAAUUCAUAUGCUUUUGAUGAAUUACAUGAUGUUUUUGAGGAUUUAGCAUUUGAGUUUGACAAAAUGAAUAUGAAGGACAAGAAAAUCAUUUCUACACUCGAUGUUGAAAAUGAAUUUUUGAUGAAAACAAAAAUUGAUUUGGAAAAAGAAAAUGAAAAUUUGGAAAAGGAUUUUAAAGCUUACCAAGAGCAAAUUGAUUUUUUGGAAUAACAAAAUUUUGAUGUGAAAACAAAAUUUGAAGAUUUAUCAAAUGAGAGAAAGUGGAAGAGAGAGCAAACUUGUGCUUGAUGGCCAGAGAUGAUGAAUCCAAGGUGUCUUCUGCUUCUUGUGAUAUUUCAAUUGAUGAGCUGCAAGAUGAAUAUGAAUGUCUCUAUGAUGAGUUUGAAAAGCUUGCAUCAAAAUAUAAAACUUUGAAAAGAAUAGCUGCAUCUCUUGAAAAUGAUUUGGAAAAGAUAAGACAUGAUUUCAACUCUGUUUUUGAGCAAAGAAAUUUUCUGCAAAUUGAAUUAGAACAUUCAAAAACAGAUUUUGAAAAUCUACAAUUGGAGUUGAAAAAUAGAACAGAUGUUUUACAAGCUGCAAUUGAUGAAAAUUCUGCUCUUAAGAAUUUGAGAAAAGAAACAUCAAGGAAGAAUACAUAUUUCAGAAAAAUUGCUAAUUAUUUUUCCUUUAGAUGUUAUGUGUGUGAUAAACUUGGUCAUUUAUCUUAUGAUUGCUAUAAAAGAAGAAACAAACAAAAAACAAAGAAUGAUGUGGGUUCCAAAAGGAACUUUAUGCAAUGAGACUAACUUUCAAGGAUCCAAAGCAAUUUGGAUACCAAAGAUCAAAUGAAAAAUGUCUCUUGUAGGUGUGCUAGAGCAAGGAGAAAUAAUUCUUGAAGAAUGAAUGCUCUUGAGUCACACAUAAAGGAAAAUGGGUGAUCUCUAUGCUAAAACUCUUUUGUUUGUUUAAAUGAGAUUUUUAAUUGCUUAUUUAUUGAAUGUUUCAUUGAUUUAGCUUUGGUUUCUAAAAUUGUUUGCUCUUUUUAAUUGAAAACUUGGUUGCCUAUUCUUGCUUGAAUAUUAAGUGCAAAAUUCUUUGAGCUUUAUUGAUAAAUCUUGGCUAUGCAACUUGAUUUGAUAUGAUACAUGCUUUAAGUUGCAAGGAAGUAUGAAUCUAAAGAUGGAGUAUGUUCUUAUAUUUGAUCUUGAAUAUAUCAUCAUCCUUGUUUUGAGAAAAUUGUUUUAUUAAGAUUGAUUAAUUAUGGAAAAUUGAUUCUUUAAAAUUUUCUCAUGAUUUAUGACAUUGUUUCCAUACUACUUCUUUGAGAAAAAAUGAUUUUUGUGGAUAAUUUUGAAACAUGAAAGGUUAGAUAAUAUGAUAGAAAUAUGAGAAUACUUGAUGACUUACACUCACACCUAUUCAAGUAGCCUAAGACAAGGAAAAUUGAAUUAAAAAAAAAUUAUCUUUGACUUCCUUAUGCUUAACAUAAGUUGACCAUUUGAACAAUCUUGAUUUACAUUCUAGGACUUGCUUGAAUAGUUCAAGAUGGUUGACAAUGAGCUUGAAAGUUUUAACUACUUUUAUUGGUACUUUUAAUGCAAAAUGAGCUUAAAUGAAAAAAUUUUGCCAUCCUUUAAGUUUAGAAUGAUUUAUGAAUUGAACAAGUGUGUUUCGUAAUGAAAAUACUCAUGACUUGUUCUUAUUGGAUGUGCAUGCUUACUUGUUAGCUUGAAAGGUUAUAAGGGCAUUUUUGGAACAUAAUUGUGAGAUACUUGUAAAUGACCCUUGACAUGCAUAUACAUGAUUCAUUAUGCCCAUUACAUAUUUCAUAAAUCAUAUAGAGCGUAAUGGAACAAAAUUGAGUGAUAUUGAGCUCAUGAUUUUUCACAAAGCAUGUCUAAUCUUGAAUGUUUCAAGUUGAAAAGUUUGCAAAUAAAGAUUAAAUCUCUAUCAAUUGAUCUUCUUGGAUAAUCUUUUUAUCUUUCUUGAUUGAAAAUGAUUUAUUAAUUCUUUAUUUUGAAUGAUAUGGAAUGGUGGAGCAAACUUGAUUUGAUAUAUUUAUAUAAAUUGCACAAAUCCUAUUUUGCUUGAUAUUUCUCUCAUGAUUUAUGAAAUAGAUUGAAAGCGUUUUCUUAAGCAUAAUCAUGAGUAUGAUAAUUUGAAAUUGGUGAUAUUUUAAGCAAAGUACAAACCUUCUUGUGAUGCUUGAGGCUACAAUUAUCUCAAUGAUAUAAAACUUGAACAAGUGUGCUUUAUGUUGAAAAUGCCAUUAUAUCUUGCUCUUGUUGCAAAUGAGUGCUUGAAUAACCUCAAGGGCAUUUUUGUCCAUCUGCUGAAAAAUUGUAGAAAAUGCUAAAUUUGAUGCUUAUUAUGCUUAAACAUUGUUUAAAUACUUGCUAUACAUGUUAUAAGUCAUAGUCACCCAUCAUGAUGUAAUUUGAAUAUGUUUGAGCAUAUUAAAGGCAUGAUUCUUCAAAUGAGCAUUUCAACUUUUUAUCACUUGUGAACAAUGAGCAAUAAAAGCCAAAAUUUGAGUUCACAUGUUUUUCUUGAAGAAUCUUUGAUCAUACAUGUCUAAAAUGAUGUUUUAACAUGGUUGAAAUGAAAUUCUAAAUUGUUCUCACAUAAAUCCAUGUUUUAAGAUCAUUAUACCUUAGAAUAUUGCAUGUUUUGUACCUUUCUUUGGAUUUUCAAUAUGCAGGAAUCAAGCAUAAUUGACUCUUCAGCAUUGCUAGUCGACUAUUGUAGAACAAAAUGCAAACAAUGCUGCUGGACCGAAGGGAUAUGUAGUUGACUCUUAAGUGCUCUAAAUCCAAAAUGGACAGGUUUUGAGUUCCAAAAUGUCUUUUUACUUUACAUCUUGUCCAUUACAAUAUUUUCUUCCCUAUAUUUCCUUUUUCAAAGAUGAUUCUUGACUCUUAAAAACUUGCAUUGUGAAUACUCUCAUUAUCAUUUGGUGCAAGUACAUGUUCUUGAAAUUGUAAAACUUGUUGAAAAAUGGGAAAUCCUUUUUGAUGACAUAAAUCUAUCUAUUCCCAAGCAUGGCACUCAUAUUGAUUCCAUAAAUUCUCAUGUAUUUACAAUGAAAAAAUAGAAAUAUGAGAAAUUGUUCACCAAUUCUUGAAUUUGUUAAUUCGAUUGGAUUUUCAUGUGCUUAUAUAGAAAACAUCUUCUCAUGAAAAUUGAAAUGUUCAAAUGCUAAUCUAGAAACAAUUCUUGAAAUAUAUUUUACAUUUGUGCUUAAAUGAUUGUUUCAAAAAUUGAUUUCUUGAUUAUGCAUACAAACUUGAUUAAGAUGAACUCAUCAAACUUAAUGAAAAUAUUCUUGGUUCAUCUACUAUAUUGGUCAAGACACAUGCUUAUAUGAUUUUUCUUUAUGCUUGACCUUAAGGUUUGAAAUCUAAAACUUGACUUGAGCUAUGCAUUUGAAUAUUAAAUUACUUGUCAAGUUUGAUCAUGGCAUAUAUUGUGAGUUGACAUAGUUGAAAUUUAUUUUGAAUAUGCAUUUAAAUGUUAACUAUGUCUUCAUUGAGCCUUAACAUUUACAUGAUCUAAGGAUUUUGUGUGAAUCCAAUUUUAGCUUAUAGGUCACCAUAAACAACUUGACAUGUGAAAUAAAAUAUGGCCUAUAGCUUUAGUUAGCUAUGAAUGCCUAAUGUGCUUUGAUUAAAUUUUUUAAUCUUGAUAAUUGGUAUUCAUUGAUGAUUGAAUGUUCACUUUGAAUAUAUUCAUGAGUUGAGUGCUUUACUUUCAAUAUUCUGUAACAAUUAAUAUCACUCAUGACUUAUGAAUUAUUGAGAAAUUGCAUGUACCUUGAACUUUAAUGGUUCCAUAUUUUUUCAAUGGGUAUAUGUCUAUAUUGAACUCAUGCUUGCAUUUUGAUGAACAAAAUUGGAAUCAUGAUUAAGGAAGAUAGCCAUGUUAUUUCUUGUAAUAAUGUUUGUGCUUAUUUGAUCAUAAUCUCAUACAUGAUUACAAUAAAUGCAAAAUGCUUUAGUCAUGCUUCAUUAAUAAUGAUAUGCCUAUUUUGAAAAUUCUCCUUGCAUUGACAAUUUCAUAUAUAUUUUUUAGAAUACAUCUCGUAAUGCUUGCUUUAAAAUGACUUGGAUGAAUGAACACUUGAAAAUAAUUUGGAAGAAUACUCACUAAAAUGCUUAAUGAUGAUAUUUUUCAAUUCUCCUUGAGUUGCUAUUUUUAAGGAAUUUCCUAGAAAUGCUUGAUUGAUAUACUGCUUGGCUUAUUGAUAUUGAGAAUGAAUAAUGAAUGCUUGAUAUGAUUGGUAAUUCUUGAUGAUAAUUGAGAAUGUGCUUGAAGACUAAUUAUUCCUUAGACAUGCCUAGGAACUACUUUGCAAAUAUUUCUUGAAAUGUGAAUUAUUCAAUGCAUAUGUUGAACAUUUAUUCAAAUGCUCAUACUUCUUUAGUUCCAUGAAUACUUGAGUAUUAAGGAAAUAAUUGAAUAUCCAUUUGAAUGCUCAUUUAUUCUAGGCUCAUGAUUUCUCUCCUAAUACUUGAUCUAUUGAGGAUCUCUAAUAAUUUGUGUUGAGCUUAUGAUUUCUUAAGGGGGAAUCAAUCAUUGUCUUUGAGAUCAUAAGGAAUUAAGAUCUUCAACAACAAGGUUUGAUGAGAUUCAACAUUUGGUGUUCUUCGCUACCAGUAACAUCUUUCUAAACACCAAAAUAGAUAUUGUGCCUUAUAUUGCUUCUCACUUAAACUUGAAUGUUGAAAUGCAUAAUUGGUAUCAAGCUUUAAGUUUUCUCAAUUAGUGUCUAGCUUUAAAAUUAGUAUCAAGCUUUAUAAUUGUCUCUUCUCUCUUGAGCUUUAAAUUGAUCAUAUCUUUCUUAAAUGUUUUGAGCCUUGAAGUUGAUAUGCUUGAAAUGCUUAGUGAUAUGGGAAGUCUUUACUAAUGCUUUACCGAUUGAUAUAAUGAGCUUUAAAAUGAUUCCAUCUCUCAUAAUUGAUAUUGUGUUUUUACAAAGGGGGAGAUUUACUUAUAUCGAUCAAUUGGUAAAUUGAGCUUUAACACUUGGUAUUGGAGUUCAAACAUGGGUUAGUGCUUAUUGAACAUCUUUAUGAUCAUCUUUGUUGGACUUCAUAAUUGUUGUUCACAUAUUUUGCUUAUAGUAUAUAUUCAAGUGGUUAAGUGCAUAUAUAUGAUGACUUGGUGACUUUAUGCUUACAUAUUCAUGGUCUUAAUGCUUUUAUUCUUGAUGGAUUUUGCUAACCAUUAUUUCUUGAGCUUAAAUGUUUAAUACUCACUCUUCUUAACCUUUUUGAUAUAACAAAAAGGGGGAGAAGGUUUAUGAGCAAAUUUAAUUUUAUGCAUAUGUUGAGGGGGAGAUUUUAAAAUCAUUUCAAAUGCAAAUUAUGCUCAUACUUUUGUCAUAUCAAAAAGGGGGAGAUUGUUAGCUUUAAAAUUAUUAUAGUUUUGAUUAUGACAAAAUAAUCAAAUUUGCUUGAACAUUAUUUGAGUAAUCUUUGACAAAUUCUUGAAAUGAUUUAACUCCCAUACAUUUGUUCUUACAUAGACACAAACUUGACUCUUGAAGUUAUUGAACUAUAUCUAUAAGCAUGUAUGACUUAGGUGUAUGAGUGCUUAUGAAUCUCAUUCAUUAAAGUUUGAUUUAAAGAUUAAAGGAAAAUCUUGAUGCACUCAUUAAGAAGGAGUUUUGAAUAUCUUGUUUAAUGAUGAAAAAGAAAAAAGAGAGAAGGAAGACUAAAUCAAAUAGAAUUAAAUAGGUCUUCAUGUUUAAUUUAUGUGUGUGAUGCUCAAUGUUGGUUUUGUUGAAUAUUAUCUAAAGAAAAGUAAAUGCAUCGACUAAGGGGGAGCACCUCAUUAUGCAUAAAGAUUUGAAGCAUUCAUAUUGAACAUAGACAUUGCAUUCUUAAUCUUGGAGUGUUUUGUGAUCAUCAAAAAUAAGAGAUAGAGAAUGUUGACUUUAUAUGUUUUUGAUGAUAGCAAAAUAUUCCCAUUCGUUGGUGUCUAAUAUCUUUAUUUGAGUGUGCAGGAAAAUUAAUUUUUCAACUCUUCAAAGAGUAUUUCAAAAGAAAAUGAGGGAUAAAAAUAACAAAAUGUAACUGUCUAACAAGGAAGAAGCUUAUUGGUGAAACAAGGAAGAAUGUUGGUUGGCUAAGUUUCGAAUUGAAGGAAUGGCGAACUGAAGAGUUUGAGAAACAGAACCAACUUAGUCAACCAAGUUAGUUGACUAAGUGCUCUUUGCCAAAAUCUACAACCUGAAACAGAGCCAACUUAGUCAACCAAGUCAGUCGACUAAGAGCUUUCUAUCUGCAAUUUGAACUAAAGCACUACAAGACAGAGUAACGGCUAGAACUCAUCCUCAACUAUUUUUGACAGCCAUAAACUGUCAAACUACCAUCAGAGUUAUUUCUCCAAGUAUAAAAGGGUCUUCCAAUGGUUAGAAAUCAGUUUUUUGUGAGAAUUGAAGGCUUCCAAGUGAUAUAAAGCUAAAAAACAAGAAAAUCUUCUCUGCACCUUACUGCACUUAAACGUCAAUCUUUGUAAUAGUGUUCAGCACUUCAUCUUGUACCAUCUAGAUCAAGUAAGUGAUCAUAGGUACUUCUUUAUUUCUUCUCUUCUUGUACACUUAGAGUGAACGAGUCACUCUAAGGGAUUUAUUUAAGCUUGGAUUGCUUGAUUGAGUGUAAAGAUUCCAACUUAGCCUAGAAAAGUUGGUUGUUGGGUUUUGGUUGAUCCUGAUAAAACCCAUUGUUGUAGGUUGUGGUUGAGCCUUUGAAAAACUACUUUGGAUUUUGGUUGAGCCCGUGAAAAACUAUUGUGAAAGGUUGUGGUUAAUCCUUUGAAAAACCACUUUGGGUUUUGGUUGAGCUCGUGAAAAACCAUUGUGAAAGGUUUUGGCUGAGCCUUGUUAAAGUCAAUGUAAAGCUUGGGGAAAGCUUGCGAAUUUCACCAGUUAUUAGUGGAAUUGUUGGGAAAAUCCUUGGUUGGAUAAUCAAGGUAGUGGAUGUAGGUCUUGGACUGAACCACUAUAAAUUGCUGUGCAUUGUCUACUCUGUUUUUAUUUUCUUUGUGCUAGAAAUUAGUUUCUCAUCUUGUCAAGAGCCGACUUGUGCUAUUCACCCCCCGCCCCCUCUAGCACAUCUUAUUAGGACCAACAUGUAUCUCAUAGCAUAAAGCUCCUUUUAAACUAAAAUACAUAAUGCAUGCAUGGCAUUCCUUCAAAGAAGUUGGCACCUUAAUUCUAGAUGACAUGUUUUUAAGCAUACAAAUAAUAUCUAAUAUCAUUUAUAUAUAUACAUAUAAAUAUACAGAUCAAUAAGCCACAUUAAUGUCCAUCCUAGAAAAAAUUUUAAAAAAAUUACAACUUGUAAUUCUCUUCAAUCUCGCUUGCUUCUGCUGCUUGUUAGGAUCACAUCCAUUUGACACUCUUUUGAAUUUUAUAACUAUUUAAAAUCCCUAAUUUUAAUUUUAAUUUUGACCCAAUUUGAGAAAAUAAUUUUAUUAUGUCCAAUUAAUUAAUCUCAUUAAUUAAUACCAAAAUAAAAUCAUUUUCAAUCCAACGUUAAAACAAAUUAAUUUUCCAAAGAACUAAAUUUUGAAAAAAUUUUAAGAAUAUAUAUAUAAUUUUUUAAAAAAAAAUAAUUUAUUAAAAAAAUUUUGGAAGGGGUUCACCCUAAGGGCUGUUGCCCAACAACCUAAGAGUGGGCUGUUGCUAGCAGCACACAACAAAGGACUGUGUUGCCUGAUAGCAAAUCCCACCUCUCUUCCCUUUUUUUCUUAAAUCAAAAAUAUAUAUUGUAAUAGAAAAUAUAUAUUAUAAUAAUAGAAUUUAAUACAAGAAAAACUAUUUUCUUUAAAAAAUUGAUACAAGAAAAACUCCUUUUUCUUAAAAAAAAAUUAAUAGUCAUACAAAAAUUAAAGAGACCAAAUAUUACCUAAUUACCUUUUUCUCUUAUAAAAGAAGCAAAUAAUCCAAUUACACAAGCGAAAACACACAUCAUUAUUAUUGUAAGUAACAUAAUCACAUCCUAAUAAAAAGAAGAAUCUAUUAAGUAAGAAAAAUCAUACCUUUUAUUUUGAGAUUCUUAUUUUCGGAUACCAACACAUCAAUGAAUGAUUUCUCGACCAAACAAGUUCACCAUUUAUUCUUCAAGAAUACUUUCAACUUGAACCUUGAGUGGAUAGGGUGUGGAAUGCAAAACUACAAGAUGGCAACCGAUUUUGUCUCUUUUUUCUUCGAAAAAAGUUUGGACAAGGAUAAGAAAAGUGAAGGCUAAAAUUUUUUCAAGAAAAAGUACGUUCUUUUAUUUUCUUCCAAUCUCUUCUCUUUUUAUUAAAACUCUUGCCUCAAAGGUUUAAUCAAAAUGAAACACCUUUAAAUCAAUCUUGGCCAUCCAUUUAGAGUUAUGGAAACAUCAAAUGUCAUGACCUGAAACUCCCUAUCGAGCCCGUGACAACCGCCGCGAGGCCUCGACAAACAUUCUUCACCCCGAAUGUCGAUCGAAACCUCGCAAGGCUCUCGUAUCAGCUUUCGUACUUCCCCGGUGAGCAAUAAUUAUCAAAUAUCAAAAUUCGAAGGAUUUCAAAUCAUUUCCAAAUCAGAACAUAACAUAUUGUUUUCUAGCUCACAUGGGCAUUUUCGUCAUUUUUGUCGAAAACCUCGAAACUUGCUAAAAAUGUAGUAGGUAAGCAGAAAAUAUAUAUUUAAUAAUUUAAAAACAAAUUAAGUAUCUAAAACGUUCAUUUCAAGUAAAAAAUUUGACCAUUUGAAUAUAAUAAAAAUAUUCAAUAAAAUAAACUAUUUUCUUGUAAAAUAAUUUUCGUGAAACUAUCGGUACAUAAUUCUUAUAGCGUAAAAGUUAAUUAUAUUCAUAUAUACUAUAAAGCAAAUAACCAAAGUAUAAAAUUUCUUUACAGUGACAUGUGGGCCCACAUCUAUCCAAAAUGCAUCAGAAGCUGAAAACCUACAGCUUUUACCGAUUCGAGUACAAAUAAAGGUCCUUGUCAAAGUCAGCUAACUAUGGAAUUUCUCCGAGCCUGAAAUGUGAGGAAAUGAGGGUGGUGAGAUUAUAAAAUCCCAGUGAGUAAACAGAUACUAUCUAAACUAUCUAAAGUGGAGUAAAUGGAGACAAUUAAAAUAAAUCAUCAUACUGUAAUUUCAUUACCUUUCGACUCAUUUCAACCAAAUAAAAUCAAUCCAUAAAAAUCGAGUAAUCAACUUGGCUUAUGAAUUUCUUAAAACUUUGGCUCGUGCCAAAACUCAUACUCGGUGAUACCUUGCGCAAGGCAUCCAACCGAGUCCGCCAAGGUUGUUAAAAUUUUUGUAUACACUUAAAAUAUAUUUUUAGUUUGAGAAAAAUACAGUCGUUCCUUGGCGUUAGCUGAGUUCCCCUUCACGUGGUGGUUUGGCGUGAAGUGAACCCUAAGCUUUACCCCAGGAGAUACCCUACGCGCCUCUCCGUUCGAGGUGAGAAUAUAAUGGAGUUUUUCGUGCCCCUCUAAUAGGCUGGUCCACGGAACCCCCUCUGCAAUGAAUAAUUAAUAUAUAAUCCAUCAAUCAAUAAAAUUCAUUCUAGCAUGACAUGGCAAUUUAUUGCAACCUAGCCUCUCAAGGUUGAAUACACAGUAUAAAUAAUUCUAACACCAAAAUUAGUUUAGCCAUUCAUGCUUAUUUAUUGUCAUAAGCCAUUCAAUUCAAAACCAUAAAUUUGCAACAUAAGCAGGCAGUCUCCAAUUACUCUAUUUUCAAAACCAGUAUUCGAUUUUCCAGAAAAUUUAUAAAAUCACAAUUUCUCUUAAAACAUAGCAAUUUACCAUUUAAACUCAUUUUUCGUAAAAUCACACAAUUGUAUAAAACUACUCUAGAUAAUUAAGACGAUAAUAAGUUCACUCACAAUUCUAGGAGUCGAUGUACUCCUAAUCCCAGUCUCAAAGCACAAUCUCUAUACUUUUACCAGUGUAGUUGCUCACCACCUAUCCACAAUGUAUAAUACAUAAUUCACCACAUCAAUGCUUGACCAUUAUAAAAUCAAUUCAGGCUCGGUAUAUAUGCAUGAUAUGAUAUACAACUUAUCCAACUACCGUUUAAAUGCGGUGCUGACCUAAUUCGGCCUAUUAUAUCCAAUUUAACUCCAAAUCAAUUCUUCUCACUUUCUACACUCCAAUUAUACCUAAAUUACCUUAAUAACUGUGAAUGAGAUUCAAUUUAUCAGUCCCGAUAGCAAAUUACGAAAAUACCCCUAGUGGGUAAAAAUUCAUAUUUUUACUCCGAAAAUUCCCAUUUUUUUUCUAGGCUCAUAAUUCAUCAUUUCUUAACCAAUUCUCCUAAAAUGAAAAUCAAAUUCAUCCUCACUCAACACAUGAUAAAUUCGGCCAUUAAUGGUUGUGGGAGAAAAUAAAUUCUUUUCUUGUUGUUUUGUUCCUAAAUAUGCUAAACUAACUUAAAACACUAACAUAACUUAAAAUCAAAUUAAUCUAACAANNNNNNNNNNNNNNNNNNNNNNNNNNNNNNNNNNNNNNNNNNNNNNNNNNNNNNNNNNNNNNNNNNNNNNNNNNNNNNNNNNNNNNNNNNNNNNNNNNNNNNNNNNNNNNNNNNNNNNNNNNNNNNNNNNNNNNNNNNNNNNNNNNNNNNNNNNNNNNNNNNNNNNNNNNNNNNNNNNNNNNNNNNNNNNNNNNNNNNNNNNNNNNNNNNNNNNNNNNNNNNNNNNNNNNNNNNNNNNNNNNNNNNNNNNNNNNNNNNNNNNNNNNNNNNNNNNNNNNNNNNNNNNNNNNNNNNNNNNNNNNNNNNNNNNNNNNNNNNNNNNNNNNNNNNNNNNNNNNNNNNNNNNNNNNNNNNNNNNNNNNNNNNNNNNNNNNNNNNNNNNNNNNNNNNNNNNNNNNNNNNNNNNNNNNNNNNNNNNNNNNNNNNNNNNNNNNNNNNNNNNNNNNNNNNNNNNNNNNNNNNNNNNNNNNNNNNNNNNNNNNNNNNNNNNNNNNNNNNNNNNNNNNNNNNNNNNNNNNNNNNNNNNNNNNNNNNNNNNNNNNNNNNNNNNNNNNNNNNNNNNNNNNNNNNNNNNNNNNNNNNNNNNNNNNNNNNNNNNNNNNNNNNNNNNNNNNNNNNNNNNNNNNNNNNNNNNNNNNNNNNNNNNNNNNNNNNNNNNNNNNNNNNNNNNNNNNNNNNNNNNNNNNNNNNNNNNNNNNNNNNNNNNNNNNNNNNNNNNNNNNNNNNNNNNNNNNNNNNNNNNNNNNNNNNNNNNNNNNNNNNNNNNNNNNNNNNNNNNNNNNNNNNNNNNNNNNNNNNNNNNNNNNNNNNNNNNNNNNNNNNNNNNNNNNNNNNNNNNNNNNNNNNNNNNNNNNNNNNNNNNNNNNNNNNNNNNNNNNNNNNNNNNNNNNNNNNNNNNNNNNNNNNNNNNNNNNNNNNNNNNNNNNNNNNNNNNNNNNNNNNNNNNNNNNNNNNNNNNNNNNNNNNNNNNNNNNNNNNNNNNNNNNNNNNNNNNNNNNNNNNNNNNNNNNNNNNNNNNNNNNNNNNNNNNNNNNNNNNNNNNNNNNNNNNNNNNNNNNNNNNNNNNNNNNNNNNNNNNNNNNNNNNNNNNNNNNNNNNNNNNNNNNNNNNNNNNNNNNNNNNNNNNNNNNNNNNNNNNNNNNNNNNNNNNNNNNNNNNNNNNNNNNNNNNNNNNNNNNNNNNNNNNNNNNNNNNNNNNNNNNNNNNNNNNNNNNNNNNNNNNNNNNNNNNNNNNNNNNNNNNNNNNNNNNNNNNNNNNNNNNNNNNNNNNNNNNNNNNNNNNNNNNNNNNNNNNNNNNNNNNNNNNNNNNNNNNNNNNNNNNNNNNNNNNNNNNNNNNNNNNNNNNNNNNNNNNNNNNNNNNNNNNNNNNNNNNNNNNNNNNNNNNNNNNNNNNNNNNNNNNNNNNNNNNNNNNNNNNNNNNNNNNNNNNNNNNNNNNNNNNNNNNNNNNNNNNNNNNNNNNNNNNNNNNNNNNNNNNNNNNNNNNNNNNNNNNNNNNNNNNNNNNNNNNNNNNNNNNNNNNNNNNNNNNNNNNNNNNNNNNNNNNNNNNNNNNNNNNNNNNNNNNNNNNNNNNNNNNNNNNNNNNNNNNNNNNNNNNNNNNNNNNNNNNNNNNNNNNNNNNNNNNNNNNNNNNNNNNNNNNNNNNNNNNNNNNNNNNNNNNNNNNNNNNNNNNNNNNNNNNNNNNNNNNNNNNNNNNNNNNNNNNNNNNNNNNNNNNNNNNNNNNNNNNNNNNNNNNNNNNNNNNNNNNNNNNNNNNNNNNNNNNNNNNNNNNNNNNNNNNNNNNNNNNNNNNNNNNNNNNNNNNNNNNNNNNNNNNNNNNNNNNNNNNNNNNNNNNNNNNNNNNNNNNNNNNNNNNNNNNNNNNNNNNNNNNNNNNNNNNNNNNNNNNNNNNNNNNNNNNNNNNNNNNNNNNNNNNNNNNNNNNNNNNNNNNNNNNNNNNNNNNNNNNNNNNNNNNNNNNNNNNNNNNNNNNNNNNNNNNNNNNNNNNNNNNNNNNNNNNNNNNNNNNNNNNNNNNNNNNNNNNNNNNNNNNNNNNNNNNNNNNNNNNNNNNNNNNNNNNNNNNNNNNNNNNNNNNNNNNNNNNNNNNNNNNNNNNNNNNNNNNNNNNNNNNNNNNNNNNNNNNNNNNNNNNNNNNNNNNNNNNNNNNNNNNNNNNNNNNNNNNNNNNNNNNNNNNNNNNNNNNNNNNNNNNNNNNNNNNNNNNNNNNNNNNNNNNNNNNNNNNNNNNNNNNNNNNNNNNNNNNNNNNNNNNNNNNNNNNNNNNNNNNNNNNNNNNNNNNNNNNNNNNNNNNNNNNNNNNNNNNNNNNNNNNNNNNNNNNNNNNNNNNNNNNNNNNNNNNNNNNNNNNNNNNNNNNNNNNNNNNNNNNNNNNNNNNNNNNNNNNNNNNNNNNNNNNNNNNNNNNNNNNNNNNNNNNNNNNNNNNNNNNNNNNNNNNNNNNNNNNNNNNNNNNNNNNNNNNNNNNNNNNNNNNNNNNNNNNNNNNNNNNNNNNNNNNNNNNNNNNNNNNNNNNNNNNNNNNNNNNNNNNNNNNNNNNNNNNNNNNNNNNNNNNNNNNNNNNNNNNNNNNNNNNNNNNNNNNNNNNNNNNNNNNNNNNNNNNNNNNNNNNNNNNNNNNNNNNNNNNNNNNNNNNNNNNNNNNNNNNNNNNNNNNNNNNNNNNNNNNNNNNNNNNNNNNNNNNNNNNNNNNNNNNNNNNNNNNNNNNNNNNNNNNNNNNNNNNNNNNNNNNNNNNNNNNNNNNNNNNNNNNNNNNNNNNNNNNNNNNNNNNNNNNNNNNNNNNNNNNNNNNNNNNNNNNNNNNNNNNNNNNNNNNNNNNNNNNNNNNNNNNNNNNNNNNNNNNNNNNNNNNNNNNNNNNNNNNNNNNNNNNNNNNNNNNNNNNNNNNNNNNNNNNNNNNNNNNNNNNNNNNNNNNNNNNNNNNNNNNNNNNNNNNNNNNNNNNNNNNNNNNNNNNNNNNNNNNNNNNNNNNNNNNNNNNNNNNNNNNNNNNNNNNNNNNNNNNNNNNNNNNNNNNNNNNNNNNNNNNNNNNNNNNNNNNNNNNNNNNNNNNNNNNNNNNNNNNNNNNNNNNNNNNNNNNNNNNNNNNNNNNNNNNNNNNNNNNNNNNNNNNNNNNNNNNNNNNNNNNNNNNNNNNNNNNNNNNNNNNNNNNNNNNNNNNNNNNNNNNNNNNNNNNNNNNNNNNNNNNNNNNNNNNNNNNNNNNNNNNNNNNNNNNNNNNNNNNNNNNNNNNNNNNNNNNNNNNNNNNNNNNNNNNNNNNNNNNNNNNNNNNNNNNNNNNNNNNNNNNNNNNNNNNNNNNNNNNNNNNNNNNNNNNNNNNNNNNNNNNNNNNNNNNNNNNNNNNNNNNNNNNNNNNNNNNNNNNNNNNNNNNNNNNNNNNNNNNNNNNNNNNNNNNNNNNNNNNNNNNNNNNNNNNNNNNNNNNNNNNNNNNNNNNNNNNNNNNNNNNNNNNNNNNNNNNNNNNNNNNNNNNNNNNNNNNNNNNNNNNNNNNNNNNNNNNNNNNNNNNNNNNNNNNNNNNNNNNNNNNNNNNNNNNNNNNNNNNNNNNNNNNNNNNNNNNNNNNNNNNNNNNNNNNNNNNNNNNNNNNNNNNNNNNNNNNNNNNNNNNNNNNNNNNNNNNNNNNNNNNNNNNNNNNNNNNNNNNNNNNNNNNNNNNNNNNNNNNNNNNNNNNNNNNNNNNNNNNNNNNNNNNNNNNNNNNNNNNNNNNNNNNNNNNNNNNNNNNNNNNNNNNNNNNNNNNNNNNNNNNNNNNNNNNNNNNNNNNNNNNNNNNNNNNNNNNNNNNNNNNNNNNNNNNNNNNNNNNNNNNNNNNNNNNNNNNNNNNNNNNNNNNNNNNNNNNNNNNNNNNNNNNNNNNNNNNNNNNNNNNNNNNNNNNNNNNNNNNNNNNNNNNNNNNNNNNNNNNNNNNNNNNNNNNNNNNNNNNNNNNNNNNNNNNNNNNNNNNNNNNNNNNNNNNNNNNNNNNNNNNNNNNNNNNNNNNNNNNNNNNNNNNNNNNNNNNNNNNNNNNNNNNNNNNNNNNNNNNNNNNNNNNNNNNNNNNNNNNNNNNNNNNNNNNNNNNNNNNNNNNNNNNNNNNNNNNNNNNNNNNUAUCCCAAUCCUAGUUUCAAUAUAAUAAUUCUUAUAGUGCAUGUCAACCUUCUUAUUAUACUUGUGUAUAACUUCAUAUCAUUCAUAUCAUUUCCAACCAUAUGUUUGAGUUUCCUUAUACUAUAUAUCAUUCAUCACAAUGUCAUCUCCAUUGAAUUAUAAUCUAUUAUGCGUGUAUGCUUUAUAAUCCUAUUGAUGCCUCAAAGAUUUAUCUUAACUUGAUCAUUGCAUCUCAUGCAAUACCACAAUUCCUAAGAGUCAUCCUUUUGUCCUUAAUCAUCUUUCAUGCCUCUAUAUUACCUUGUAUCUUUCUUGCAUUAUGAUAUUGAUUUGUCACUUAAGACUCAAACUCAUUUGAAUCAUGUAUACCUCAAGCAUUUUCGAAUUCUAAUUUCCAUAAUAUAUAUUAGGAAAGUUUCAUUAUCUGACUUCAUUUUCAAGGUCAACUUCUAUCAUCUUUUGUUCCACUCCUUCAUAUGAACAUAACAUCAUUCUUCCUUAACCAAUUUAUAAAUUGUACUUGAAAUUGUAAAACUUAAAACUAGAUUCUCCUUAAGUAUUUUUCAAUAUUAAUACUAAUAUCACUCUCAGCUUACAGCUUCCUUUUUAUAAUCACAUAACUUAGUGCUUGCUUUAACGAGAUCUAUAACAAAACUUCUCUUGAGUAUUUCCUUGGGAAUAUCUAUCUUAAACUUAUGUCUCACAACAUGUGAUCCCUUAACUUGUGAUUUAGCUGUUAGGCUUCUCAGCAAGUUUUAAAAAUUUUACGUUUCAUACUUGCUGUGUAUGAUUAGAAUCUCUUCUCAAAGAUGUUUAUGUAUUCCUAAAACACUUACUCUUAAAGAUAUAUAAAUACGUACUCAUCCAUUCAAUCCCUAACUCAUCGUCAUAGGUUUCUAGGGUGUCACACAAUUAGCUUAAUGUUGUUCCUAACUUUUGUCAUUUUACUGUAUCAAAACAGAUAUUACAAAUUCUCGUAAUGAUAUUCUAUAUAAACUGAUUUUCUAUACCUAUCUCGUAAUUCUUCCUUCACACUUUCAUUAUUUGGUAUCUCAUCUCAAUAUAGUCAUUUCAAGAAUCUUUCAAUUUUUCUUUUAAUUAUAUGCCUAUAUACAAGGCAAUAAAGAAGCUUUUCAAUUCAUUUGAGUAAACAUUCUCCAAAAUAUUUAAAACUCCCAGAUAACAAAACACAAUGACCAAUAACCAAAAUUCAAUUUGUAAGCUCAUUAUCGUGUCACUCCCAUCUUACUCAUGCAUCAUAGGCGUGAGGUAUUUGGAGCAUUACAGCGUUGAAUAGUCAAUGCUGAAAUACUGUAGCUAUUGGAAAUUUUCUUCAUCAAAACUAUUUGUUUGCAUUGAAAGUCACCACAUCAAUCAUUCUCAACCAGUGGGUUUCUUUUCUAGACUUAUAUCAUGAGUUCCAUAAGUAUAGGUACCUUCUAUUUUUUUGUCAUACACACUAAGCCAGAUUAAUACUUUCAUCUCAUGUCAUCUUUUGACUUUUAUCAACAUUCAUAAAAUUCCACCUCAAAACAUCCUUUCCAUACAGUGUAAUAAAUUCAUGAUACAUAUACCACUCCACACAUAAGUAGCUUACUAUCUACAACUUUUCUCAAAUUUAUUGUCAUCCCUAUCCAAUUAUCUUCUUUGUCUUAUACUCCAAUAAUUUUAUUGACUUUCGGUAUAAUUAACUACAAAAACAGCCCAGCUUUCUCCUCACUUUAUUCUCGCAAUCCUUACUGAAUCAAAAUUUUAUAUUCCCCAUAUUCCAUAAUUUAACUUCAUUGGGGUAUAUUUGUGCCCAAUUAUUACCUCAUAGUAUCAUGGCAUCACUGAGUAAUCCCUUUCAUGCUUAAAUUACAAUCAUCAACUUAAUCACGUUACCCAUUUCGAAUGUCAUUUAUAACUUUAUUGCUUCCUUCUAUAACCUUCCUCAAUAAUUAUAUUACCAAUUUAUCUCUGUUAUACUAAAAGAUUCUCAUGCAUAUCUAAUUAUUUAAACAGCUAUUUUACAUUUCGUUCGAGUAAUACAAAAUAAAAGCCAUUCCUAACUCCUUUAUACAGGUAACUACCACAUUUUCCCUUAAACGACACUUGCCUAGAUUUAUGAUAAUACAACUUCAACUAAAGUAUUAAACAUCUUUAGGUUCCUCAUUGUCUUGAUCCGGGCACAUCAAUGGAUCCUUUUUCUCCUAAGAUUUUCUCCUUUGUUCUUCAAUCCAGGCUUGUUGCAAUCUCCUACGUUUCUCAUCACUUAUCGGUGCAGCAUUUCUUCCACAACCAGGAGGAAAAUAUCGUACAACGUUCACCCCCCUACGGGGUUUACUUACCACUGUUACUUUCUCCUUAUUCUUUUCUAGUUGUUCCCUUACAUUUCUCCCACAGCCUAGUGGAAAGUGUCAAACUACUAUCACGCUCUUCCGAGAAUGAAUACCUCAUUCGGCUAUCCUUAAUUUCCCCCUUUCUUUAGCAUGUUUCUUAGAUUCUCUCAAAAGGGAACCUCUCAUGCUUACAUUAAUAUUAUCACUAUCUGCACUUUUUGGACUACUCGGUUCGGGCUGCCAUCGGCUCUUAGCAGUAGAAUCUAGCAAUCCCUCGCUAAUACUGUGAGAGGCGUCGGGACUACCGUCUCUCCUAGACAUGGUGUGUAUGUCACCAGCGCACCUCAAAACCUAUACACAACCAAGUAGUAAUUACUUAAUCAUUCAUGUAUCCCAAAAGUAGGUAGGUUUCUAUAUGUAGAUGCAUGCAUUCUAUUCAAUCUAACCUAACUUAACUUAUCUUAACUUAACUAGACUUGGGACCACGCAAUGUCAGUGUGGAUUUCUUAAAACAACCUUAAAAUCAAAAACUUUUAAAUCCAAAGCUUUAAAACCAAAAUCUUUGAUCUUUAAACCAUGCUCUGAUACCAAUCUAAAUUGUCACGACCCGAAACUCCCCAUCGAGCUCGUGACAACCGCCGCGAGGCCUCGACAAAUAUUUUUCACCCCGAAUGUCGAUCAAAACCUCGCAAGGCUCUCGUAUCAGCUUUCGCACUUCCCCGGUGAGCAAUAGUUAUCAAAUAUCAAAAUUCGAAGGAUUUCAAAUCAUUUCCAAAUCAGAACAUAACAUAUUGUUUUCUGGCUCACAAGGGCAUUUUCGUCAUUUUUGUUGAAAACUUCGAAACUUGCUAAAAAUGUAGUAGGUAAGCAAAAAAUAUAUAUUUAAUAAUUUAAAAACAAAUUAACUAUCUAAAACGUUCAUUUCAAGUAAAAAAUUUGACCAUUUGAAUAUAAUAAAAAUAUUCAAUAAAAUAAACUAUUUUCUUGUAAAAUAAUUUUCGUAAAACUAUCGGUAAUUCUUAUAGCGUAAAAGUUAAUUAUAUUCAUAUAUACUAUAAAGCAAAUAACCAAAGCAUAAAAUUUCUUUACAGUGACACGUGGGCCCACAUCUAUCCAAAAUGCAUCAGAAGCUGAAAACCUACAGCUUUUACCGAUUCGAGUCCAAAUAAAGGUCCUUGUCAAAGUCAGCUAACUAUGGAAUAUCCCUGAGCCUGAAAUGUGAGGAAAUGAGGCUGAUGAGAUUAUAAAAUCCUAGUGAGUAAACAGAUACCAUCUAAACUAUCUAAAGUCGAGUAAAUGGAGACAAUUAAAAUAAAUCAUCAUACUGUAAUUUCAUUACCUUUCAACUCAUUUCAACCAAAUAAAAUCAAUCCCUAAAAAUAGAGUAAUCAACUUGGCUUAUGAAUUUCUUAAAACUUUGGCUCGUGUCAAAACUCAUACUCGGUGAUACCUUGGGCAGGGCAUCCAACCGAGUCCGCCAAGGCUGUUAAAAUUUUUGUAUACACUUAAAAUAUAUUUUUAGUUUGAGAAAAAUACAGUUGUUCCUUGGCGUUGGCUGAGUUCCCCUUCACGUGGUGGUUUGGCGUGAAGUGAACCCUAAGCUUUACCCCAAGAGAUACCCUACGCGCCUCUCCGUUCGACGUAAGAAUAUAAUGGAGUUUUUCGUGCCCUUCUAAUAGGCUGGUCCACGGAACCCCCUCCGCAGUGAAUAAUUAAUAUAUAAUCCACCAAUCAAUAAAAUUCAUUCUAGCAUGACAUGGCAAUUUAUCGCAACUUAGCCUCUCAAGGCUGAAUACACAGUAUAAAUAAUUCUAACAUCAAAAUUAGUUUAGCCAUUCAUGCUCAUUUAUUGUCAUAAGCCAUUCAAUUCAAAACCAUAAAUUUGCAACACAAGCAGGCAGUCUCUAAUUAGUUUAUUUUCAAAACCAGUAUUCAAUUUUUCAGAAAAUUUAUAAAAUUAUUUUAUAAAAUCACAAUUUCUCUUAAAACAUAGCAAUUUACCAUUUAAACUGAUUUUCCAUCAAAUCACACAAUUGUAUAAAACUACUCUAGAUAAUUAAGACGAUAAUAAGUUCACUCACAGUUCUAGGAGUCGAUGUACUCCUAAUCCCAGUCUCCAAGCAUAAUCUCUGUCCUUUUACCAGUGUACUUGCUCACCACUUAUCCACAAUGUAUAAUACAUAAUUCCCCACAUCAAUGCUUGACCAUAAUAAAAUCAAUUCAGGCUCGGUAUAUAUGCAUGAUAUGAUAUACAACUUAUCCGACUACCGCUUAAAUGCGGUGCUGACCUAAUUCGGCCUAUUAUCUCCAAUUUAACUCCAAAUCAAUUCUUCUCACUUUCUACACUCCAAUUAUACCUAAAUUACCUUAAUAAUUAUGAAUGAGAUUCAAUUUAUCAGUCCCAAUAGCAAAUUACAAAAAUACCCCUAGUGGGUAAAAAUUCGUAUUUUUGCUCCGAAAAUUUCUAUUAUUUUUCUAGGCUCAUAAUUCAUCAUUUCUUAACCAAUUCUCCUAAAAUGAAAAUCAAAUUCAUCCUCACUCAACACAUGAUAAAUUCAGCCAUUAAUGGUUGUGGGAGAAAAUAAAUUCUUUUCUUGUUGUUUUGUUUCUAAAUAUGCUAAACUAACUUAAAACACUAACAUAACUUAAAAUCAAAUUAAUCUAACAAGUUUCUCUCUCCUAACCCAUUUUUCAGAAUUGAAUUCAUCCUCAAAUCACAUGAUUCAACCAUGGAAAAUGAUGGGAAAUGCAUGGGAAAGGUAAAGCACAAGACAAAUUUAGGAAAUGUUACCUUUUUUUCAUUUGAUUUUUGAAUUUCCACCUAUUUUCCCUUUAAAUUUCUUGGCUAGGGUUUUAUUUUCUCCUUUCUCUCUCUUGUUUCUUGCUUGGCCAAAUGUUGAAGAAGAAGAAUGGGUUAUGGGCUGAUUUUUUUAUGCCUUUUUAUUAGUUUAAUGAAAUAAUAUUAUUUUAUUCAUAUUUUGAAUAUUUUAUUAAUUCAUUUUUUUUUUUAGCCAUCCACUUGUCCUAUUUUUUCCACCAUGCAUUCCCUUUGACUUAUCCAAGUCUUAAGUGAAAUUUCCAGAUUUUUCCAAAGUUUUGGUGGAGCAAAUUUUUCAAAAUUACACUUUUGCCCCCAAACUUUUAAAAAAUUACAUUUUUCCCCAAAAAUUGAAAAUUUGCCAUAAUGCAGAAUUUUCACUCCUCAUACUAAUUUCACACUCCAAAUAAUUAAAUUUGAUCAAAAUCCUUUCAAAAAUUAAAUUUUCAAUUUCGGGUGGUAAAAUUACCAUUUUGCCCCUAUACUCCAAAUUAUAUCGAAAUUAAAAAUUUUCACUUCUAAACCUCAAAUCAUACUCCAAUAAGUCAAAUGGGGCCAAAAAAAUCUUUUCCAAAAAUUUCCAUUUUGUCCCUAGGUGGCAAAUGACCAUUUUACCCCUGAAUAGCAAAAAUUCCGGUUUGUCUCCAAAUUGAUCUUCGAACUCCGAAUCACCAUAUUAAACCAUUCUGGGACUUUAAAAUUCUUAAUUUCAUCAUAAAUUCUCUAUUUGAUCUAGUUCGAGGCUUAAAUCAACUUUAUUGUACGUCUAGGUACAAUACCGACUUUUGUAAAUUUUUCGAGACUCUCUUAGCAUGCAAACAUGUUAUCCAUCACAUGUAUGUCUUGACAAAUAUUUUUAUAGAGUCGGGCUUGUCAUCUUCUCCCCCACUUGGAUCAACCAUAUGAUCCUUCUUCAUGACUGAUUUCGAUGUCCGACUAAAUAUUAAUAUUUUAAUAUUAUUUUAUUAAUAAAAUAUUAUUUUAUUCUAAAAAUUUUAUCUUGUCUCCUUGGUACCCAAAAUACCUUAUUAUACCUCACUUGACUUCCGAAUCGCCUUUUAUCUCACAAAUUCUCCUCCGACAAAAUUAUUAUUAUUUUAUUGUUAUUUUCUCACUUUCGGAAUAUUUUAUCCUAAACUACUCCUUUCGUCUUUUAUCACUUCUAAACAUUUUAAUUGACCUCAAUUUGUAUUCGAUCAACUUUAUUUAUCACCAUAUCAAAGUAUGGGGUAUUUCAUCAAACAUACUCCAUAAUUAUCAAAAUUAAAAUUAAAGAAUAAAUAAUUUAAUUCUUUAAUUAUCAUGUAGAGUUCUUGAUAAAACAAAACUCCUUAUCAAAUAAUAACUCUUAUUUCAUUAUUAUCUAUUUUUAUUUAAAAAAAUUAAUAAUAAAUAAAAGAGUGAUAAUUAAACAUGGACUCUCUUUUUAUCAACAUGGAUGUCUAGAUUCAUUUUGCAAGAAUCGUCCUAACGUUAUCUUAAUUUAAGAUAACUCUUGUCUUUAAUUAAGACAAAAAUAUUUUAUCUUGCCUAAAUUGAGACAAAUAUAUUUUCUUAUCUGGAUUAAGACAAAAAAUAUUUUUCUUGUCUAAAUUAAGACCAAACAUGUUUUUUGUCUAAAUUAAGACAAACAUGUUAAAGCUGUCAUUUUUGUACACAAUUUAAUUAAUCAAAUUAAAACAUGCAUUCCGACUUAAACAAGUUGAAUUCUACAAAGCUAAGUGGGGAAUCUAUUUGAACAUAGACAUUCCAAGCUCCAUUAAACUUAGAAUUAUUCUUAAUAUCAUUAAAAAUAAUUCAAGCUUAUUAACCAUGAAAUCACUCCACCAUAGAUUCAUGGUUGCACUCUUGGAUUAACUAUGAUUACAAGAAACAAUUCAAUACUUGAUAUUAAUUAUUAGUUGUCCAAUUGCAAACCUUGUAUUGUGAACCCUCAUAACCAUCCAAUGACAAAAGAUAAAAUUACCGUUUUACCUUUUAUGUCAAUUUUGUCUCCUAGUCUCAAAUUUCAUCCAAUUAGUGAUUCAAUACUUUAGAUCUAAUCUUUUGAGUAUCCAGAUGUGAUGAGUAGCUAAUUCAUCAGUCAACUAGGCCCAGAUUAAUCACCAAUCUUCCUAAAAUCAGUAAAAGUGAUGUUAUUGCCCAUCAUUUGGAUAUAUGUUCCUAGAUGUUCAUCUCGAUUAUAAUCUCAAAAUACAAAGUCUAGAUCAAUGCUUUAUGAUGAUCAUGUUCAUGGUAAAUCAAAGAUUAUAAGGAGAUUAAACACGAAUCCAUUAUCCAUCAGGAUUUCAGUUCUACUAUUGGCAAAUACAUAAGUGUGCGAUCAAGAUUUAAGUAACGGUAAAACUUAAAUAUGAUUCUCACAUGAUUCCAGUUCAUUUAUAGUUUCAUUACUCAAAGUCAACCAUUUUGAUGAUUUGAGACUCAUCAUUCCCUUCAUAUACAUCACAUUUGUUUCGUCGGAAGUAAUCUGGACACUACAUACUUAACACAAUAAAGUGACCAGCUUAAUUAUAUAGCUGUGAACAAUUUUUAGAUUCAAUUAAAAUACAUGUCUCCUAUGUAUGACUCUUCAUACAAAUGUAUUUUAAUAUCUCAAUAGAAUCAUGGUACCUUAAUAACUAGAUAAUGAAUGCUUACUAAAACAAACUCUUCGUCUUAUUAUCAAAAUGCAUUUUCAUUACAAAUAAAUUUAAUGAAAUUAAGCAUGAGAAUAUACUUGCUUUCCUUGGUACCAUAUUCUCAAAAUUUCUAACACCUCCAUACAUAUAGGCAUGCUCUCAAGUAACUUGGUUCACAUCAAAAUCAAGGGCGUUGUUGAAGAGGAUUCAAAUCAUGCUAAGGUGAUCACACGUAGAGGAAUAUUAUUAAAAUUUUAAUCCUAAAGCCAUGGAUCACUUUAAUUGAAAAUAAUCUAGAAAAAUCACAAGAGAAAAAUUUCGACAUACCAGAAAGUUUGAUGUCUACUUUCUUUGGUGGAGUCUUCCUUAGCUUUCGUUUUUUGACUUUUGUACACCACUAGCACUUAUCAAACUGUAGCAGCACAAUUGUCCUGCCUUUAAUGGUGAUACACAUAGUUAUUUGUCAAAAUCUCUUCACUAAGAGUGUGAAUCUCUAAGCCAAAGUUUGUGCUAGCAAACUCUCAAGUUUGAGCUCUCUUGUGUUUCUCUCUUUUUGGCUGUGACCCUAUCUUAACACAUGAGAAAAUAAAAUAGGACACUUCUAUACAUUCAAGAGGUGGCUAAAGAAUUCUCUUAUAGAUUGAAUUGACCUACUUUAUAUCUAACAAGGAUUAGAAAAUGUCUUGGGUUAAUUGGUAUUUUAAUAUCUUAAUAGAAUCAUAGUACCUUAAUAACUAGAUAAUGAAUGCUUACUAAAACAAACUCUUCGUCUUAUUAUCAAAAUGCAUUUUUAUUACAAAUAAAUUUAAUGAAAUUAAGCAUGAGAAUAUACUUGCUUUCCUUGGCACCAUAUUCUCAAAGUUUCUAACACCUCUAUACAUAUGCAUGCUCUGAAGUAACUUGGUUCACAUCAAAAUCAAGGGCGUUACUCAAAAGGAUUCAAAUCAUGCUAAGGUGAUCACAUGCAGAGGAAUAUUAUUAAAAUUUUAAUCCUAAAGCCAUGGAUCACUUUAUUUGAAAUUAAUCUAGAAAAAUCACAAGAGAAAGAUUUCGACAUACCAGAAAGUUUGAUGUCUGCUUUCUUUGGUGGAGUCUUCCUUAGCUUUCGUUUUUGGACUUUUGUACACCAACUAGGAUUUAUUAAACCGUAGCAGCACAAUUGUCCUGCCUUUAAUGGUGAUCCACAUAGUUAUUUGUCGAAAUCUCUUCACUAAGAGUGCGAAUCUCUAAGCCAAAGUUUGUGCUAGCAAACUCUCAACUUUGAGCUCUCUUGUGUCUCUCUCUUUUUGGCUGUGAUCCUAUCUUAACACAUGAAAAAAUAAAAUAGGACACUUCUAUACAUUCAAGAGGUGGCUAAAGAAUUCUCUUAUAGAUUGAAUUGAUCUACUUCAUAUCUAACAAGGAUUAGAAAAUGUCUUGGGUUAAUUGGGCCUUUGUUUAAUACUCCAUCAUAUUAUAUUUGAUUUAGCCUAAUACUUAAUUGGAUUAAGCCUUUAUAAAAUCAAUUAGAUCACAUCCAAUUGAACUUAAAUUAAUUUCGAUAAUUCACUUUAUGUGUGUGACCCAUUAGGUACCCAACAUGUUGGUAAUAAAUAUAAAUUAAUUUAACUAAGAAUUUAUAUUUAUAUUUAUAUUUAUAGAUCUUGAGUAGCAUCUAGCAAAACAUCAUGACCACCCAAAUGUCAGAGGAGUUAAUAUGGUUUGACUAACCUUUCAGUGUAUAGUAUCUCAGUGUAGUUCAAUCCUUUCAUCAUAUAUUCUAGAUAGAUAGAAUACCUGGCUCGAUGUCUACUUUUUAACUUAUCCAUAUUAGUCUUGCAGCUUUCAUUUUGACAUAUCAAUAUGGUCUUGGCCAAGGACUUUUAGUCAAUAUAAGCCAGGAGCAAAUGAGAUACGACUCUUUCAAAUCACUUGGGGUGAUGAAUCUUCUUUAUACUACUCACUUAUCUUUGCAUGCUUCAUGUCAUACCCAAAAACACCCUGUUUAGGCAUCUGGUCACCUUCAGACCAAUAAAGGUGAAAUCAAAGCAUGACAAUUCACAUACAAGAUGACCUGGUAUCACAAGUCUAAGGAUUACUUACGCUACUAACACAUAAGAGUAUUUUCAUGGACACUUGAGUAAAAUACUAAAUGAAACUCUCAUAACGGGUCAUGUUCAAUGAACUUAUUUGUCACGACCCAAUUUUUGAGCCAUGAUCGGCGUAUGGGCCCAAUGGACGUAGCCCACUAAGCCCACGCAAGCCUAUUUAUAUGCUCCUGCUCAUCAUCCCGUCGACUAUUCUUACAUUUACAUCUCAUAAUCUCAACCCUUAAGUACUUUAAUAGUAAAUUAUAACAAUCAAAAUUUGCAUUUAUAUUAGCCCAAAAUAACAUUAACCAUUGCCACUCAUGGUGGCUUUAGCAAUCAAGUCAUACAUAUAUGGCCUAAGGCAUACAUCUUAGCAUUGUACAUCACAUGUACAUAUUUACAAACAAAAAUGACUUUGGACUUCUAGCAAAGUGACCAAGGUGAACGUGCGGCUACAAAAUGCCAAGAUACCUACCAAGGAUACGAAUCUACGAGGACACCUCGACCUAGUUACCGGCUGCCUCUUGAUCUGAAAACAUCAAAUUGAAAACGGUGAGUAUAAACUCAGUGAGUGAACAAAGGAAGAGAACAAGCAAAUGAUAAGGAAAAUUUAAAGAAAUCAUGAUGCAUUUAUUUUUCAAAAACAAUGCAAUUUAGUUUAGUUCUUAUUAAAACCCCUCAUUAAACCCUUAAUGAAUUAAUCACUUGACAAAAAAGGUCCAUGCACAACAAAGGAUUCAAAGAGUGAAAACUUUAAUAGUAUUCAAGCAAGUCUAGUCAAGUAAAAUGAUGGGUCCUCACUGCAACGGAAAGGCAUUCUCGCUGCAGCUAAUGAAUUUACGCUGCAACAAAAUUUGGCUCAAAUUGUCAACUAGCCAAGGGUUACUCACCAGACCCCUUCAUUUCGAACUUAAUUAAUUUAUUCCCUGAUGUUGGAAGUCCAUGCUCAACCAUGAUGUUAAAGAAAUGAAAAACGUGGCAAAAACCAACAAGGUAGCAUGCUGGACAGAAAGUUUCUCGCUACAGCAAAAUUCAAGCAGCAAAACAAAAAGUUUCUCACUGCAACGAGAACUCAUUCUCACUACAGCGAGUUACAAGCAACUAAAACAGAAAGUUUCUCGCUGCAGCGAGAAGCAAGGCACCUAAAUAAUGAGGGACCUCAUUUGUACUAAACAUCCAUUUAAUGCUGCAAUAAAAUCAAUCUGCAAUUAAAUGGGAAAUUUUCAAGAUUCAUCAUUCCAUACAAUCACAUAUUACAAUCAUGGUAUUUCUAUUGCAUAUACAUAUACCUAAACAUAUAUCAAUUUGUAUACCAUCCUAUCUCACCCAGCUCAUGUGCAUCCCCCCACAUCGUGCACAUAGCCGGAGUCAUCGCGUGCAUCCCCCCAUAUCAUGCAUAGUUAAUGCCAUCGUGUACAUCCCCCCACAUCGUGCACACGCACAGUUAUGAUUAUCACACAAUGUCAACCAUCAAUGCACUAUAUACCAACAUAAUGUAGUAGUACAUGAAUCCAUAACAACCACAUAUCACAACAUAGAGACAAUUUAUCAAGGGCUUGUUCCCAUGCAUAAUUUAAUGAAAAGCUAGGUAAAAUCAUUUAAAUACUUCAUCCCAACACAUAUGUAUUUCCCAAAAACACUUUGAUGCAAGUUCACUCACCGGUAUUUGUUGAACCUUUAGUUGACUCUAACUUCCCUAAUGGUCCAAUUGGGGUUGAGGGGCCUCGUUGAAACUUAUCACACACCAAAAACAUCACAGCCAAUCAAAUUUACAUUAACAUUGCUCCAAAGCUAUUUCCCAAAUCAAACUUCAAUAGCCCUUCCUAUCUACCUUCCAAUUACCAUUUGAUUAGCUAUUUAGUUUCUCUUCUCUAGUAACACUAGAAAUAGAUAAACAACUUCAGCAAUAACACAACUCAUUACUUCAAUUACUAGCCAUUAUCAACAACUUAAAACCACUCUUAAUUCAUCACUCACCUUGGUGGAUUAUAAUGAAAAUUCCUUUUUAAAAUUCCUCCAAGAUAUUGUAGAAGUUCCCUCUUUCUCUCUCUAAACACCUAGCUAGUGAGAGAAUGUAUGGAAGUAAGAUUUUCAAGGGUUUGAAAGUGAAAGAGUGAAAGAGCACAAAGGUUCUAUGCAAAAGUGCACAAAAGCAUUAAAAUUAGAGCUAUUUUGAUAGAGGCUAUGGAGGUUUCAUAACAAGCUUUCAUGGAGGGGGAAACAAACGUGAGAUGGAAGGAAGAAAAAAAGAAGCUGCUGGAAAUAAUGAUAUUUAUAGCUCAAGCUUAUCCAAUCUCUUCUUAAAUUACAAAAAUGCCCUUAACAAGUUUGCUUUGUCUUCCUCAAAUCCUUUGUGAAAUCUCUUUACUCUUUUGACAUCAAGACAAAGUCCAUAAUAGUCUAGAAAUACUCGAGCUUACAAAAACUUAAAAAAAUUUUGAACCGAGAUGAAAAAUGAUCAUUUUGCCCCUACCUUAGAAAUCAUCAUUAUUUUUAUUUUUUUCGUCAUUUUACCCUUAUUUUCAUCAUUCAUCUAUGCCUUAGGCCUACUUAGGCCUCAAUAUUGUUUGAAAGUCUACUUCUAGAGGCUCACUAAGAAAAUGACGAAAUUAUCCCCGGCUCGUGUUAUCGCCUCUACACCUAGUUACGAGUCUAUAAAGAUCUAGGUCUCACAUUAUUCCUUAAUAAGCACCCACAAACUAUCCCCAAGUAUCUCGCAUACUUCAACCUUGAGAUUAGUUGCUUACUUCCAAAGUAAAAAGGCUUAGCAUGUACCAACUUGUGAACGUUAUCAAUGUCCUUAUUCUUGACAAUACAAUGACCAGGAACAUAUUUAGGAACAAGGCUUUGAUGCAUAAGAAUCUCAUAAUUAUAACAUUUAUAAUUUCUUUACAAGGUCAUUAUGUUCCAAGGACUUUGUCUACAUAAGUCUCUCAUAACUUUUCAUAAAUAAACUCAUGAAUAAAGAAAUACCUCAUACAUUAUAUAAAAUAUCCAUAAUGUAUUUAACAUAAAUAAUGACUAAUUAAUGUAGUGUUUUACAAGCACAAAACCAAUUGGCUUGCACGGCUUACACUAACAGUUACAUUUGCUCUCCAUAUGCUAACAACAUUCGACCCAAAUGGGCAUGACAUGUAACAUCUUUGGGGAUUUCAACAACUUCAAGCAACACUAAAUGCCAUUUAACGACAAAACCCUAAACUACAUUCUCAAGCACUAUGACAUUCAAAUCACAAAACCCACUCAAAAACACAACAAAAAAUUUAUCAUUAACUGACUUAUUGUUUGUUACUAACUUGUUUGCUGUGAUUGAUUGCUUUGCUCUGAACUUGUUCGAACACUUUUUUAUCUUUGAGAAUGGAUCAAAUGAUCAUUUAAUAAACAUGUAGUGUAAUAUACCUAGCAUUUAGGAUUUACGUCAACAUCCAAAAAAUCAAAAAAAUCUUCUUGUGCAACAUGAAGAGGUUUUUAAUAAAAUGUCAUGUAGCAAAUUGUGGGUAGGUUUAUUUUCACAAACCUUCACAUGAAUGAGAGUACGCAUAAAUGAGAAAGUUUCAUUAAAGGCAUUUUUGUCCAAAAAUCUUAUCUCUUAGUUAAAAACAAUUAAAAUUAUGAAAAGAGUUAUUUCCCAAAGCACCUUAUCUUUGUGCAGGCUAAAAAAAAUUUAUCCUAAGAUAAUUAUACAUGAUAUAUAACAUUCAUAUACUUGUUAUAUUGACAUUAAUAUAUAACAUUAACGUAAUGUAAAUUAACGUUAAUGUUGAGUAUAUUACCUUUAAAUAUUCAUAUUUCUUAUAAUUAUAUAAUUAUAAUAUUAACAUUACAUAUUAUUAUAUUUUAUACCUUUAAAUUAUAAUAUAAAAUAUUUGAAAGUAAUGAAUUUAAUCAAAUUAUAGUAAUUAAAUAUUAUGUUAAUGUUAAAAUAAUAUUUUAUAUUCUACCGUGAGAACGUGAGAUUAAAGAUAAAAAUUACAUUAACAUAUAACAUAAAAUGAAUAAAGUUAUAUAUUACACGUUUACUUGUUGACCUGUUUAACAGCACAUGCAUGCGCAUACGCAAGAUAUCUGUCAACUAUAUGUAUGCACAAAGUUAUUCCAAAAGAUAACAAAAAUUGUAAGCCAAAAAAUAAUGAACGAAUAUCAACUGCAGGACCCUCCGUUCAAGUUAAACUUCCCAUGCUUAAGCAUCAACACUUCUCUUGUCCGACAGGAUCCUUCCAACUCCUCUGCCAAUAGAUUGGCCACUCUUACUGCCGCUACCUCCAGAUACUCUAGGAACAGAACGCUGCAUGAUCCGAAUGGGAAUUCCGCCCAAAUCAAAGUCUUCCUUCAAGGACUUUGUUAGAAACUUCACAUAUGUAUCCGAGAGCAUGGUCUUUCCACUCAAAAAGGCAACAAAAGUAGGAGGCCUAGCUUUCACCUGGGUGAAGUACUUGAUCUUGGUUUGUGCACCCUGGUCUUUCCAAGAAUGCCUGCUCAUAACCUGAUCACCAAGAGAGAAGGAUGGAAACAGGCAGAUCCACAAAGUUCAAUUACUAAUUACACUUUCAGGGCUUUAAGAUAUCAAAGUGAAGAUAUUGGCCACAGACCUUACGCAACCAACGGUUAAGACGAGCUGUGGACAACCUUAAACACCACUUAUCAUAUGUAUCAAUAACUUGGCGCAUAACAGCUGUACGUCCCCUGCCCUUAAUUGCUGAAAUGAAUAUAACCGGUAUACCAGUCACCUGUAGGCAAGGCCAUGACAAUGUCCAAUCAUCCAAUGGCACACAUUAUGAUUUUUAAUAUUAACCACAUUAAUAAAAGGUGUUUAAAUGCAUCUAUAGAAGAUCAUCAUAGAAUGCUUCUAUUCUAACUAGCUCCCUGUGACCUCACUUAACGCUCUCUUUUUUUUAACGACAGGUGACAAAAAUCCUAUACUGAACUGUCAAAUGUACAUUUUCCUAUCCGCGCACUAUUCUGCAGCAAAUGUUUCUACAAUGAACUCUGAAAAUCUAAACAAGCAUAACUUGUCAGAUUGAUCAAUUGCAAGCAUAACUUGUCAGAUUAAUCAAUUGCAAUAAUAAUGUCUUUCAUGCUUCUGCCAAAUGUUAUAACAAUUCAGACUUAAUUCAAUUCCGAGUCAUAAUUACCACACGAAACAAGCAUUUGGCUUAUUCAUGCCAGUAGAAUCAUUAAUCAUUACCACUACCCCAUCGCAGCAGAAGUCAAAGGGUUUACUAGCCAGGUUGACAAUAUAUGCACAUAACAUCAACUUUUGCACUGAUUCCAUCAUUAUCUAUACACUAAAGGACCUUCUAAAGUAAAAAUACCUUUAUUUCACUUCCCUUAAAGAAAUUAAAAUAUUUAAAUGAACACAAUUUACUCCAAGGAGUAGACAAUGAAAACUAUUCUUUAAAUAUUAUCCAAAUAAAAAAUAAAGAUUAAGAAGCUGAUAAACCUGGGGCAUAACCAUCUGAAUUUCUUGAGGAACAGCUUCCACGACCUUUUUAUAUAAUGUAGAAUUUCUUUUCCCCUUUAGAAGAUCCAUCUUGUUCACAAUUACAACCAGACCACGACCUUCUUCCACUGCUCGUCUUGCUAUAACUACUUCUGCAUGUGUCAUGCUACGCCUAGCUUUUGCAAUCUGAUCAUCCCAUGGACAUAGCAACCAGAAGUAUUAGAUGUAUAGAAUAGCUCUCCCCACUGUCAUAAUAUUUAAAGUGCAUGUGUUCCAUACCAGCAAAAUUUUAAGCUACCAUUAUCACAUAGAUCUACUAUUUUUUGUAUAUUCAGAAUGAAGAGGAACAAAAAAAGAGAACAAAAUAGCAAAAACAAUUCUCAAAUUAUAGGAACUCUGCAGCACUCAAUUCUCAAGAUCUGACAAUAUCUCAACACAGUCUAUAAAUAACAUAGAUAUUUAUAGACUGCUUACUAACAACUUCAUAAGUAAAAAAGAUUGUUAUACAUAGUUAAAUAUCCUAAAAUAGAUAUAUAAAAUUACAACUAACAAUAUAAAUCCAUAAUAAUAUAAUUCUUGCAUUUGAAACAUUCCUCUCCUUCAUCAUCAAACCAUUACAAGGUUCACAGAUUGACCAAGGCAGGAGGUCCCAAAGACUACCCACUAUUCCCCUUUAUUUAAGCAGUCAGACAGCCUCCAACACAAAGAAAAUCUACAGCUUGCAAAUAAUGAAGCACCCUUUCUCUCCAUCAUGCCAGAAAAGAUAGACCUCCCAAGACAAAAUCAUUUUAAAGAUGUGAGACAAUCUAAUGUAUGACAAACCUCUUCAGCAUCGAGAACCAAAGCAACUACAUGAGCCCUCAUCAGAUUUUUUCUUGAUUGCAUAACACUCAAUGAAGCUGGUCCUUUCUGCCGAUCAGCUCUUUGCAACCAACCAGCAGUAUCAACCUGAGAAAUAAACCACAGCAAAAUCAAAUAAUAAAUGCUUGAUUAAAGAUAGUUUCACCCAGAGACUUAGAUCAAACAACUGCAAACAGAAUUAAAGCACAUAGUAUCAGUUAAUCCUAAAUCAAAUUGGGUAUAGUAGCUCAUGUACUACAAAAAACAAGACCCAUUAAUCUGCCUUCUGGCAAUUACUAAGAGGUUCAUUCUCCACAAAGGGAAAGGGCAAUUGGUCCACAUGAUAUGGCAUGAGCUAGAAAAUAAAAGAAAGGAAAAUUUUUGGCCUAGAGGGGACUAUAAAUUUUGGAUUUGGAAUGUCAUUAAGAUAACUGAAGGGAAACUGACCUUAUGAUAGCUUCCACAAGGACAGUACUCAGGAGAGCUUCAAUAAUUUAGAUAGUAAAAGGAAACAACAGAAAUGGAAUCAAACAUUGACUUUAUGAGAGCUUUGAUUUUUUUUUUUUUUUACUUUCUGCAGAGAAAAGAAAAAACAUCGUUUGGGAUUGACAAGUUACAAACCAGUCCAAAAAUAUCAAGAGACCAGGUAGCUAAAAUGUUAGAUGCUUUCAAUUUACAAAACAGUGCCCAACAGUCAUGUGACCAGAUAAAGAGUUAAAACAAGCAAUUUAUCUUGUACCAGAUAUACAGUUCUUCCUUGAUAUUGAAACUCUGCUCUCACUGAAUCUCUCGUCAAACCAGCUUCAGGACCAACCAGAACACGAUCUUCUUGUAACAAUAUAUUUAGUAAUGUAGACUUCCCCACAUUGGGUCGUCCUACAAUAGCUAAUUGUAGUGGCAGCUUAGACUCAUCAACCUUACAAGAGUCACUGUUUGGCUUGAAGUUUUCAUCUUGGCUACUGUUGUCUAGGACAAGCCAAAAGCAAACACAAUGAGAAAGAGAAAGAACAGGGAGGGGAGAGAAUGACAGCAUAAAUAUUCCAAUUACCAAGAUUAUAACUUGCACUGGUUGCAAAAGAGUUUGAAUUAAUAGGCUACCUACUGGGUCUCCAUAUAAACCAAAUGCACACACAUACACAUGACUAUUCUUAUAAAGUCUUAAGAUGUAAAUCUUAGAACUGACUAAAGCCUUAUCAAGAGCAAGAAGUUUUCUGCACAAUGCACAAAAUAACUAUGAAUUAAGGACAAGUAUCAACAAAAAUGGAUGAGUUUUUACAAAAAAGCAUCCAUAAAAGUUUCUAUUGUGCACACAUUGCGGGAGGGUAAUUUAUUUACCGAUUCUCUUACUAAGUAUGGCAUUGACCAGCAAAGUAUACUUUCGGCAUGGUGGUGAUUAGUUUCUGGAACCACUCUAUCUUCAUGCAUUAUUUCCAUGAUAUUUUGCUAUGUUUUACUUUGGCUCUGCCGUGUGCGUUUUUAUGCUCUUGAAAUUUUAAUUAUGGUUACAUCUGUGGCAUUGUACUCAGACAUUAUGGAUGGCGUUGCUGCUCACCUAUAAGGAUGGCAUUGCAACCCCAUACUGUCUUAUCAGUAAUAUAUAAAAUCCCCACUUUGGCUGAGCAAAAAUAAAAAUAUACAUAAAAAGUUUCACAAAAGUGAAGAUUCAAAAGCAUUUGACAUGAAAGAAAAAGAAUUGCAGAACAAGAAAUUUAUUUAACAAUAUUGGCAACCCAAUCUAGUUAUGAAUUAAGAUCAUGCACAUAAAAAUAUACUUGUAAUGCAGAGAAAGAGAAUAAAAAUAAACUUCUUUCUAAAGCAUCAGCAUAUCCCCUUUUUAACCAAUUCUAAUCUGGAACCACUCUAUAUCAUUUCACAAAAUUAUUAGAAGCCUAAUAAAUAAUAUUGAACCGCUUUGCACAACCUAUGAUAUAAUUAGCAUCCCCCCUCAAAUGAAUAUAUUUUUGGGGACAUCAGUUAAUAAUUCCAAAAAACUUACUUCUAGUGGUGAAACUUAUUUCAUUUGGAACAUCAGCCGAUAAUUCAAAAAAACUUAGUGCUAUCUUUAAAUUCUAUCAAAGACUAGAUCUAGCCUCUGAGCCAUUUGAAUGAUAUCAACAACUAGAUUUGGCCACCGGUGACUUGAUCCAGUUAGCUUAAUGCUCAAUUAUUAUCAUUUGCAACUUUCCCAUUGUUGAAAACGCCGUGGCAAAACUGCCAGUACGUACUGUCUCCAUUCACACCUUGGACAUAUUGGGAUUUCAGUAAAUACACAAGGAUAAAUUGGUGAAAAAAGUGGCAUCUCUAUUCCAUAAAACCAGAAUAGCCAUUCUUAGGGGAAGCCUAGAAAAAUUAUUCUAGGACUUUAGGGAAUAAGGGGGGUAUGGCAAUUCCACAUAAUAGCCAUUCAAUAAACCAAACCCGUGCAUUACUAUUCACCGCAAAUGAGUGGAUUUGGCACUAGCAGGGGCUAGAUAUAGUCACCCGCAAGCUGAUCUGGUGAUUAUUCAUUAAAACCAUCCAUCAUCAACAUCUUUAAACUCUUUAAAAGACUAGAUCUAGCCGCCAACAAGUCACUUGAAUGCUCUCAGCAGCCAGAUUUGGCCACCAGGCAAAUUGAUCUGGUCAGUCUAAUGAUCAGUUAUUACCACUUGUAACUUUCUCAUUGCCAAAAACGACAUCGCAAAAUUUCCAGUAGAUCAUCUCUCCCCUCACACCUCAAGCAUAUUGAGAUUUCAAUAAAUACAAAAGGGUAAAAUGGUGAAAAAAUGGCAUCUCUAUUACAUAAAACCAGAUUAGCCAUUCUUAGGGGUGAACCUAGAAAAACUAUUCCAAGACUUUAGGGAAUAAGGGGGGUAUGGCUGUUCCACAUAAUAGCCAUUCCAUGAACCAAACCCAUGCAUUACUAUUCACUAAGUGAAAAGGGGAAAUGGAAUAGCCAUUCCCCACAACCAAACAUAACAUAAAUAUCUCCUUGUUGACUUCAAAUUCACAACUAAUAUAACGCCAAGCUUGUUUUUACAAUCAUUAUCAUUUUGCUAUAAUUUCAUUACCACUUAAUGAGUCUAUGUUGAACAUUUAUUCAUUAUGUCAUAUUUGACAUAGACACUUGCUCAUAGAGUUUCAUCACAUGAUCAUCAGCCUCUUCAAGAAACAAUUUUCGGUUAAAAAAUAUACUCCUUUUAUUUUAUCAGAUAAUACUGCAAUGCCUAAAUAUGCUUUCUCCACGAUAGCAUAGAAUAAGUAUAAUGUAAUCUUUCUAUAAUGUAUCUAAAAUUAUUCAAAAAAAACAAGUGUACUAGCAUGCUGCAACUUAAGCAAUGAUGUAGCUCAAAAAUUUUCAAUUGUGUCAUAAACCAACUCACUUUUUAUAAGCAAAAUUCUUUUAUUCAUUGUAUUAUUAAAGAAAAAUUUACGUUGAAUCCAAAAGAUACAAUAUAAAAAUAAAAAUGAGUAUAUUAUCUUAUUACUUAAGAAAAAUUACUACAAUGAGAUAUUAUAAUGCAGUGCGGAAGUGGAAACAGUGAAAAAAAAUGCAAAACAGUAAAAGAAAAUCAAAACAAAGGUUAAACUUUUAAAAUCAAAGUAGGAACAAGAUAAUCAGGGUUUAGGGUGGUAGAACUUCUGACAAAAGAUAAUCCAAAAUAAUAUGGCUGCCCAAUGUUUCUAAACAACUAUUUAUACUGAGAGCAGCUUUUAAUCCUAGCCCUUGGAUACACAUAAACCCCAUCUAAUCCUGGUCAUUCAAACUCAUUAAGGCAUCACAUGUUUGUCACAUGACCACUUAAUAGAAUAAAAACAUAAUUACUAGCUAAUAACUAUAUUAAACAGUAAAUAAAGGAAAUAUAUCAAGAUAAAUAAUUGGAUAAAUUCUAGAAUGCUCCUGCUCAAGCUCCUUGAGUUGACAAAAGGCCUCCUCAUUAAUGAGAAGUUUGGCAGCUUUAGCAUAGAUUUCUGGAUCAAUCCUUUUUAGUUCACCAUUUACAAUCCAAGUACUCUCAUUAGCUAGCUUACUCAUAUCCUCCAUAAUACAGUUGAAGCAAAGAUCACAUGAGUACUGAACUUUUAGUUCUUCAAAACCAGUAACUUGAUUGCUCAUUAUUAUUUCCAGUAGCCUCCCAUCUUUACUAUAAACAUCUUCAAUUUCAACAAGUGCCUUUGUCAUCAAAUAACUUCUCGAAAUUUGGUAGUAAUAGAACCAGUGUCUGUCAUCAAAACUCAAUCUGUUCAAUAGCUCUUUGUGCAGAAUUUUGACACUUAAAGCUGUCCCUUUUCCAGCAUUCAGUGAUACAGCUUAUAAUGGAACUGAAAUUCCAUGUGUACCAUUUAUAGAAGGAAGCUAACUCAUAAAAACGUUGAACUUCUUUUUGAUUGGUUUUGGUGUUGGCCAUGCUCUAAUGGCAUACACCUUCUCCCCGAUCCAGUUUAAAUCUAUCUGCCUAAGACAAUAAAUCACAAAAACAGAAUCACAUAACACAAGAAAGAGCACUCAGUCAAUUUGAAUGAUUGUAUUUAUAGCAAUAGAGAGAUGAAAUAGCAUCACUAACUAUCCAUUGAACCCAUCUGGUGUCUUGUGCGUUGUUUUCCCAUCCCAUCCAAACUCUUGGUAAGCAACUGUUCAACCUGUUUUUGCAUCUCAGCUCACUCCAUGGAGGCAUUCUAUAAAACUAGCAUAUUAGGUAACAAAUCACCCAAACCAAAUCAAUAGCAUGUUGGUCACUACUUAUUGGUGUUAAAACAGAUGGCAAUUCCUCAUUAAACACACCUUUAAGUUCUUUUAACAACUGCCAAACUUCAAAAGGAUGCUUUGGUAUUUCACCUACAAGUAAUCUUGCACAAACUGGCUAACUAAAACAUAAACAAUUGCACUUCCUCUACUCUCUGAUUCAAAAUUCCCCAUUGACACUGACUCUCCUUGAAUUGGAUAAACAUCAACUUCCCCAUUGUCUUCAUCAUACUCAUCAUAAAGGGGUUGUGAUUCCUCAUCUUCAUUCUAAUCAUCAUCACAUACUGGUUGAAAUUCCUCCUCUCCGCCCUCUUCACAUUAUGCCUUUAAAUUAUCAAUAGCAGAACUGCAUUGUACUAAGUAAGUUGCUACUUUCUUCCCUUAGAAGUCAUCAACCUUUAUCAUAACUCCACACACAUUCAAGGCUAGAGCAUGUAAUAACUGCUCUCCCAAUUCACCAUGGACAGCAAGAAUUGCUGGUCCAACAUCAUAAAAAGGGCUUUCAUCCUCUCCAUAUUCAAUUUCAUCCUCAAGACACCCUCCAAUAAAUCCAAAGAGUCAAGGUUGCCGUCUAGACUCUCCAAAUAGGGUCCCAUUGAUUCCUGUCACUGUAAAUCUUGCACAGCCCAUGACAAAUCUUCAAUCAUACUCCUCAUGAUGUAGCCGAAAGGUUUAGGGCAAUUAGAACUCAACAAUUAAGGCUAGAAUAGGACUGAUUGUAUUGGAACAAUAGAAAGAUAAUUGAGUUUUCAAAUAAACCUCUUCAAUAAAUAUUCAAAAUAACAAAAGAUGAUAAUAAUGAUUUUCUAUCUAAGAUCACCUAUUUAUAAUAGCUAAAAUAAAUCCUAAUCAAAUAGUAAUCUUAAUCCUAAAUAAAGACUUAAAGUACUAAAAUUCUAAUAAAGAUAGGAAAAGAAUGUUAAACUAAACAAAAUAAAAUCCUAAGCUAACGAAAAUACUAAAUAAAAUAAAAUUCUUGAUGCACCUGCAUCAGUCCCCUCGGGUUAGAAAAACUCAGCUCCGACGAGUAGGCCUUAAUACACUCCUCAUAGAUGUCUGGAUUUAAUUGUUUCAAUUCCUUUUCAUUGCUAUCUUCAGCUUCAAAAUUUUCAACAGAUAGAUACCCAACAAUUUUGCUGCUUGUGGGGCUUGAAGUUGCUGAUUUAUUAAUCUCUUCUUUAAGAGGAUAUAAAGUAUAUCUCUUGUUAUCCUUGUAGAAAGAAUAGGUAUUUGGUUUCGUCUUAUAUUCCAUAUCGUAAUCAUACAAUUAAGGUCUACCAACAAGAAUAUGACCAACAUCCAUUGGCACAACAUCACAUAAGAUCUCAUCAUCUAAGUUACCUCCCAUAGUGAAUUUCACCAAACAUUGAGUAGUUACUAAUAUUUCAUGUCCUUUCUUUAUCCACCUAAUCUUAUACGGAUGAGGAUGUUUGCUUGUAGGAAGCUUCAAUUUGUCUACUGCCUCUUUUGAAAUAAUAUUUUGCACGCUUCCUCCAUCAAUAAUAAGAUCACACUUUACCCUCACAAACAACGUGGGUGCGAAAAAUACUUUGCCUCUUCCAAUCUUCUUCUUCCUCAUUGAUUGUUGCAGUCAUCACUCUUCGUACCACCAAGGACUCACCUAGUACAAGAUACACAUCAAUUUCCUCUAUUUUCUCAUCAUAUUUAUCAUAAAUAGGUUCUAAUUCCUCCCUAAAUUCUACUAAGUUCACCCUUCUUUGUGGGCAAGCAAAAGAAGUGUGUCCCUUCUCCCCACAAGUAAAACAUCGAAUAUGGGAAUUACUACCUCUUUUAUUUGUGAUAGAACUAGAACUGUUUUGUCCACCAUAAGGCAUUAUACUCUUGCCUUUAUCGUUCUUUUCAACAUUGGUUGGACUUUCAUUGGUUGUGGUUACCUCUUGAUAAUUUUGUUGAGAUGUUUGGUAAUCUUGUCUUGCUCUAGAAUCGUUUUGCCAAUCAGUACCAUAUAAGGGCUUUCUGCUCAAAUCCUUAUAAGAUAGUAAGAUCGUUUGCUCUGAUACCACUUGAUGUAGCCGAAAAGUUUAGAGCAAUUAGAACUCAACAAUUAGGGCUAGAAUAAGGUUGAUUGUGUUGGAAAAAUAGAAAGAUAUUUGGGUUUUCAAAGAAACCUCUUGAAUUAAUAUUCAAAAUAACAAAAGAUGAUAAUAAUAAUUUUCUAUCUAAGAUCACCUAUUUAUAAUAGCUAAGAUAAAUACUAAUCAAAUAGUAAUCCUAAUCUUAAAUAAAUAUUUAAAAGUACUAAAAUUCUAAUAAAGAUAGGAAAAAAAUGUUAAACUAAACAAAAUAAAAAAAAUAAAAUCCUAAGCUAACGAAAAUACUAAAUAAAAUAAAAUUCUUAAUGCGCCUGCAUCACCUCAACUCAGCCAAUUCUAGUUGUUAAGCUUGAUUUCCUCCUCCACAUCCCCUACCAUUAUCAGCCAUGGUUUAUAUGAUAAACCCUAGUUCUUUAGGAUCUGUUCACCUUGUUACCACUUUGAUAUAGUGCGAAGGUAGAAACAAUAAAAACAAAAACAAAAACAGUGAAAGAAAACCAGAACGAAGGCUAAAAUUAAUGUAAAAUUGAAGUUGACACAAGAUAACUAGGGUUUACAAUUGUAGAGCUUGUCACAGAAAAUAAUCCAAAAUAAUACGACCGCCUAAUGUGUCUAAAGGACUAUUUAUACUAUGGUUACAACAAUUUUUAUUCCUAGCCCUUGGAUACACAUAAUCCCCAUCUAAUCAUAGCCAUUCAAACUCAUUAAGAGAUCACAUGCUAGUCACAUGACUACUGAUUAUUGUUAGUUAAAAUGCCACUUAUCAUUCUAUACUGUGGCACUGAUAUGACAUGCUGACAUGUCAUAAUGGAUGAUGACAUAACAUGUUGAUUUGGCAUGAUUUUUCACCCUCCACAUCAGCACCAUAUCGACACCACAUGGGCACAAAAUGAUAAAUGGUAUUUUGACUGAUAGCCUUCAAUCAACUAUUAAUCAUGAGGGCCUAUUUGAUUCAAAAUAAAAAAAUAAAGACUUGAUUAAACACAAUAAAAGAAUAAGGACUCAUUUGAAUUUUUAUGAAUAGUUAAAGGGCUUUUUCUACCAUUGUGCCAAAUAAAAGCAUACUUACUACCUUAUAAUUAUAGUAAAAUAGUAAAUAUAAACGAAAACAUAUCAAGAUAAGCAAUUAGAUAAAUUUUAGAAUGCUCUUGCAUCAUAGUAUCUCGUGCCUACAAUAUACUCAUCCUUGAAUUUCAAUGAGUUAAGCUGGGUUUCAUUUGGUUAUUACUUUCGUUAUUUACAUUUUGCUUCUUAAAGUGUUAAAUACAUGGGUAAAAAUAAGUUUUGAAAAAGUAAAAUAUAUAUAUAUAUAUAUAUGUUGAUCUUUGUGAAUACAACCUCAUGCUUGUACUUUAUAGAGAACAACUAUAUUUAAAUGUAUAACACAUUUCACAUUUUAAUUAAAUGCUUUUUAAAGUAUCGCCAUAUCGAUAAUACAUAUAUAAAGACCUUUUAAACUGAAAGCUACAUAUUGCUUAUUUUCAUUAAAAAUGGAUUAAACAUCAACCUAUUUGACACCUUCUCUUCAGGUUUUUAUUUAAUUUUAGUGGGGUCAAUAUACUACAAAUUUUACUAAACACACACACACUUACUUUUUCUAGAGUUCAGCAAGGUCAAUUGACCCCACUCAAGUAUAUGUAGCUAUGCCCCUAAACUGGAGUGCCUUCAAAACAAUUGUACAAAAUAUCAAGGCUAUGAUCCACUUAUUCCUAGAAGUCUGCCAUAGUUAACAUAAGAAAAUACAUAUACUGGAGCCAUGGAGAAGCUACAUCUAUAUGCACUCAACAGUAUGCUUGGAUGUGAAAUCUAACCUAAGUUUAACAAAUCUCAAAUACUAAUUACAGCACAAGAACAGGUACCUUGAUCAUGCACGACUACGCAUUUAAAAAUAACAUUAGUGCUUACCAUCUAAAACUCUGACCAUAUAAUCCUCAAAUAUUGGCCGAAGAGCUUCAUAAAGUGCCACCAUACCCAGCCCAGUCUCAGCAGAUAUAGCAAUGGGUUCACCAAAUCCUAAUAUCUGGGCUUCCAUAGCAGCUUCAGCAAAAGAGUCUAUAUCAUAAUGAAGUGAUUCAGAUUUAUUCAUCGCAACUAUAGGAUUGACUCCUGGUGCGUGCCUGCGCAACCACUUUCCAACCUCCUUAUCCAAGGGAUGUAGUCCAGUUCUAGACUCAAGAAAGUGGCAAGAAAUAAAUUAGAAUUUGCACACAGGGCAGAAAAAAGGAACCCAGAAAACAGUGGCCCAAGACAGUUUUCACCAGAAUGAUACAGAGAAGAUAGAAGUGCACAGCAGCAAAACCAAGAUUUCGAUUGAAACAUGUCAAGGAAAUUGAUGUGAUAUGAUAUAAUGAGUCCUGUCAAAUUUAAAUAUAAAUAUUACAAAAAUUUCUCAAAUAUUAAUAUUAAUUAAGUUGAUUUACAAUAUUACACUAAAUAAAAUGUGGUUAAAUAAGGGAAGAAAUAUGCAGUAUCUAAAUUCAUAAGCAUCCAAAUGACUUAAAUCUCUAUUUCCAUAAAUCCAGAAGUUCAUCCUGCAUGCAUAGACACAUUUUACAUUUCGUUUUUUCAUUUUUCUAUCUUCGUAAAUAAAGAAAUUAUAUUUCUUCAUUUUUUUACUUCUGUUUUUUUCACAGAAUCACAAUUGUCUUGAAUUAAUCAAAUAAAUUAACAGAACAAAAAUUAUUGCAACGAUGAAGACUGCAAACUCUUGUUUCCAAAGUUCUCUCUUGGUCUUUAAAAUAAAAUAAAAUUAAAGUUCUCCCCUGGUUUGUAAACAAAAAACAAUAGAUUUUCUUUUCCUUUUCUCUUUUCGGUUAAAAAGUUAUGAAAAUGAGUAUUAUGUGCUAAACUAUUAAAGAAGAAUCUUUUUUGAGAAAACUUUUGGACUGAAAUUUGUGUAUGAGUUGUGUGUGUGUGCAUGCGUGUGAGAGAGAGAAAGAGAGAAUAGAAAAAUUACAAAAUUUUACACAAAACAAUGAUAUAUCACAUCACUUCUGAUUAAGUUAAAAAUCAAAUGGGAGACGUUAUCAACUGAGAACCAGAAACAAAUUUUGCCCAGCCAAAUCAUAAAUGCUAAUUUUCGUCUUCACAAGACAAGAGAAGCCAGACAAAUAUUCCCCUUCAAACUCCUGACAGUAACAUAAAAUCGGCAAGAAAAAUGUCCUAUGAUGCAGUCAUUUUCAUUAAAAAUCUCCAUAUAUGGAUCCUAUGCUGAAAGUUAACAAAAUUUACCUAUUAUUCACCCAACAUCAAAAUUUACCUAUUAUUCACCCAACAUCAAAUGUGAUUUAUGUGUCUCCUCUGCAUGUUAAAACCCAUUAAAUUCCACAGUUUUAAAGCUUUCAAAUUCAUUCCAUAGUUGUGCUCCCAUUGCAUUAUGCAUAUGUUGUGUUUUUUGCUAGUUGCAUCAAUUCAAUUUAGAGAAUUUUAACUCUCUCAAAUAUAUGUUUUAAACUCUAGGCUAUAUAAAUGAAGCAUUAAGUUAUCUUACAAAUCCCAUAUUUGUCACGUUUGUUGUAGGAGAAUAAGGACUCAACCAUUUUUUAAUUUCUUUGGAUACAUCAUAAGUAAAUACUUAAUUCAUGUACAAGAAGGUGAUCAACAUUGAAAAACUGACCUGACAUCAAUUAGGAAAAUUGCAAAUUGAGAUCUAGCUAGCACAUUUGCAGUCAUGCCAGCUGUUCUACUAAGAAUUGAUCCUGAAGAGGCUUCAGUUUCCAAGCCAGCAGAAUCCAACACCCUAAACCGAAGAUCCCCCAAUUUAGCAAGCCCUUCUCUUAUGUCUCUAGUGACAUGAUCAUCAGGUGUGUUGUACACAAGGGCCUCUCUCCUCCUAAUCAAACUAAAAAAUAUUUGACCGAAAAUAAAUAAAACUGACAGUAGGGAAUAUAGGAUUUGCCUGUGGUGCAUUCAAAAAGGACAUGAAAUGGAGAGGGGCGCUUACUAACCGGUUAAACAAGGCAGACUUCCCUACAUUGGGGCGACCAACGAUCAUGACAGUGGGAAGCAGAUUGAUGUCAAUUUUGGUGAAAUCAAUAUGUUUUUUGGAGACAAAAGCAGCCUCUUUUGUAUUCUUGGAAUGAAGCUGCGAUUUCUCCAACUUGGCACACGCGUCAUCCCCAGAGACAGAGAGCGUGCAAAAUCUCAUAGUGGCUUGCAUCGAACUCCUAAAGCUGUUACGCAGAUGAGCAAUUCCAUGACUCUUGAAAAGGAUAGCAUCAACAAAUGAUCCUGAGAAAGACAGUCAAAAGCUCACUGACUGAAAAAAUUAAUGAACAGAAUAAUCUAUCUAGAAAAAUAUAAACAAAACCUGACUGACCGAAAGUUGAAACGAUGGGGUGAGCAGAACUGGUGGUGCCCCUGUAAGUGGCGGUCCUACGCAGCAGAGUGAAAACCAAAUGCCGCCUCUUGUGGGCAGAAAGGUAAUGAGACAUAUCACUCAAUGAUUUUCUUUUUCUUAUUUUAAAUUUCAGCAAGUCAUCACUGAGCAGAGAGUGCUUUGUAUUGGUGAUAUGCAGAUUUUGAAGAGUGGGAAAGAGGGAAGCAGGCAAACAGCACGACAGCAGAGUAGCGGUGAGCCGGCGAGGGAGAGAAUACACAAAGGCUUAGAGCUUUUGGUGGAGAUAGAAGCGAAAUCCUUCCAGUAGCGGGCUCUCUCGGCACCCGACCUGGACAAAGAAUCAGCCCGUAGUGCCUGUAUGUUCAAGUAUGGUCGGAUUGAGGCGAAAGGAGGGAAAGGAGGGAAGGGACAGGAAAGGGGAAACAUGUAUCGAAGUUUUUAUAUAAAAUAAGAAAAAGGAGAACUAAAACAAAACUUUAAAAAAUAAAAAAUAUAUUGAGUUUCUUAAAGUGGAAUGUACUCCAUUUGCCCUAAAAAAGUUAUUAUUAUUUGACUUCUCAUGGUAUGUUUUAUUAAAUUUACACCUCCUAAAUACCUUUGUUAGGGAGGAUUUGGAUUUUUGUUAAGGGUGACCUGAAUUGGGAAGGUCCACGUACAAUCUCUUCAUUCUUGGUUCGAGUCUAUCCACUACUAAUUUUGGUCCAAAAUGAUAAAAUAAGGUCAAGGAAAGUUGGGUCCAACCAGAAAAGGGAGAGCUUAAGGUUUCGAGUUGUCGGUGGUGGAGGAAGAUUGCAAAAGAGAAAAGAAUGCAACCUCUCCAAGCCCUUAUUUUUAUAUAUGGCCGAAAUAGUAUAUCAAGUGGAGAAGACAUCACGUGAGUUACUUUAUUGUUGAAAAAAUAAAUACAAAACUUGGAAAAUAUUGGAAGGUAGGUGGCAUUUGAUAUUUUACAAAGAAUGUGAUUGUUGAAAAAAUGAUUAUUGAAAAGAAAAUUUUGUAAGAUUUGGUAUAAUAUGGGAAAAUGAUAAUUGUCAAAAUUAUGAUUGCUAGAAAAAUUACAUUUGUAUUAUUUGAUUUGAAAAUAUAAUAUAAAUUUAUAAAAUUACCUUUAUAUAUGAAAAUAUAAAGUUGAAUACUUACAUUCUUUUUAAUACAAAUUUUUAAGUUUACAUUUCUCUUAUUAAAAUUUAUUAAAGUAAAAAAAAUAUAAAAUUAGUUUUCAAAAUGGUGAAUCAAAAUAUAAGAAAUAAAGAAAUAAAAACACCAAAUAAAAGAAGAAAGGCAAUGAAAUCCUAGGGGUGUUGAAAUUGGAUUGUUGUUGGAUUUUUUCUUUUUAUUGAUUUACUUUGUUUUGCCUUUGGCAAAGUAAAAAUUACUCAAUAAGCUAUGGCCCUACAAAGUAAAAAGAUCAAUCCUCGUUCUAAGCACACCACAAAGUGCCUUGAGCUAGAAAGAGAAGAAUAGAGAUGAGAUUGACAUUUACAAAGCUCUUUAGUAGAUUUUUUUCCAAGAACGAGGUGCCUAUUUUGAUGGUGGGUUUUUAUGCUACUAGUAAAACCACUAUUUUUUACAAACUUAAGCUCAUUGAAAAAAAAAAAAACUAUGACCACUGGUAUGAAAUUCAUUUUUAGAAGAAUAAUAAGAAAAAGGGUCAGAUUAUGGUGAGGACAAUUUGGAGAAAAAAAUUAUAACUUGAUCUUCACGAAGGAAAAGUUACUUUCCUCCCAUGAGAGAAGGGAAUGAUAUUCCCUUUGCUCACUACAAUCACUUUACAAUGAGAAGACUUUCUCUUGUCUUUUUUACAAACCAAACACUAUAAGUACAUUACAACCAAUUAAAAUGUAGGGAAUCUUCCCUACUUACACCAUACUAAAUGCCCCCAUAGAAUUAUAGAGGGAUGUGGGAAAAGAAAAAUGAAUUAUUGUUGUGGAACUCCUAAUUUUAGUACAAGAAUAAAACGGUAAUUUUCUUAGUGAACCUAGUAAAUAUAUUUCACCCAAAUAUUUUUAAAAGAUUAUUCUUUGAAAACACAUUUUCAUUAGUUAUUAAAUCUAUUUGAAAGAAAGUAGAGAAAGAAAAAUUUAAAAAAAAAAUAGUAUAAUACAAAUUAAGGGCAACAUAGUCAUCAUUGCAUUUAACACUUUAUUAAAGUGUUGCCUAAUUGUCUCACCCAGCCUUCUAAAAUUUUGCCUAAUAACUCGACUUUUAAGAUGAUGAACAAUAAUAUAUAAGAACAUUGCUACUAGUUCAUCUAUAAGUACGUUCCUUGUUGAUUUCAACCCUUUAAUAUUUUCUAACAUCUCACAUAGUUUAAAAAAGGUGCAUCUAUUCAUUUUAACUUGUGAAAUACACGAAAAACCAUUAUCAUGCACAAGUUGCAUCACAUACUCUCGAUUUGCAUAAAAAUAGAAGUUAUAAGAUCUCACUCUUCACCUACAAUUUCGUAAAACACAAAUGAAUGCCAACAUAAACCAAAACCAAGUGUCACGACCCGGAACCUCCCUCAGGCCCAUGACAAUCGCCGCGAUGUCCCGAUUGACACUUAUUAUCCAGAAUGCCAACCGGAACCCCGCAAGGCUUACAUAUCAGUUUCUUUCCUUUUCUGUGAGCAAUCAUUGUUAAAUAUCGAGUUUUUAGAGAAUAUAUACUAUUUUAGAUCAAAAACAAUCAAAAUAAAAUUUUCGCCACAUAAGGGUAUUUUGGUCAUUUUUUUCUCAAAAAUUUUGAAACUGGCAAAAUGUAAUAUACAAGUACAAAACACAUAAUUCAUAUUCAAAAUAAGUUUAAAAGUCUAAAAUCUUCAUUUAAAANUUAAAUUUCAUCAUACAAUUCCUAUUUGAACUAGUUCGAGGUUAAAUCAAUUUAAGUGUAACCGUUAGGUACAAUAUCGGGUUUUGUCUAUUCUUCGGUGCUUUUCUAGCGUAAUAACAUGCUACUUAAUGCAUGUAUGUCAUGACAUGUAUUUAUAGGGUCGGGUUUUACACCAAGAAACAACAACACAUAUUUCCAAGAACACUAUCAACAUAACUACAAUAUUUUUUCUCCUAUUUAAAUUUCUACGCAAACCCAAAUGAGCCAUGGCUGCAAAAAUUAGAUUUUCAUAUCCAUGAUUUAUGUUGUUAAGAAAAAAACAAUAAAAAUAAACAUAAAAUAAAUUUUUAUUAGACCGAGUUAAUAAAUAUUUAUUCAAAAGUAAAACCACAAAAUCACAACAAUAAUAAUCAACACAUCGCUAUAGAAAACCAAAUAGAAAUAAAAAAGAAGGAAAAUGGUAUCUUCAGACUUGAUAGAAUAUGUCAUCAGGUGGCCUACUUUGGGAUAAGCUAAUUUCAUUGCCUAGCUUGGUCAGCAUGAAGUCUUCGGCCUUGUAAUCAUUUUGGGCAAACUUUUGUUCACAACUCCUUUUACACAUGCUUGAAAAAAUUAUGUUCAUUCAUUGUUUUCGAUAAUUAUUUAUAACAUCAGCCAAUCCCUUUUUUCCAUAAAGCAAGUUUGAUCUGCACCUAUAUAUUGCAAGAUGACAUAAAUUUUAAGCUCAAAGUCAUUAAUCCUACCCGUUGUUGACCUGCACUUAUUAUAGAAUUAGAAAUAGAAAGCUUUGACUUUCCUAUCACUUGACUGAGCAAAGCUCAACACGUAGUCGAAUAUUGUAGUAUUACUAUACAAUAAUUUUGUAUUGAUAUUUUCACUCCGCAUCUAUUUGUAUUCAAAAUUUAUAAUUCUAGUAUAUUUGGUAUAUAUUAGGCCUAGUUAAUAAAUAUUGAAAUAUUGUUGGUUUUGCUUUUUUAUCUUUUAUUUUUUUUGUUUAAUUCCUUGCUACCGUCUCCACCUUACUUUUCAUCUUGAAAUCCAGAAUUAAAAUGAAUGAAGAAAAAUAAUAUAAUCUAAAAUUAUCCACCUUCCGAACAGAACAAAGAUUUACAUCAUCAAGUAGCCACAUCUUCUAUCCAAAGUCUCAAACUAGUCUAAUAAGGUAAAGAAAGUUCAUAAAUAAUCCUAAUUGAUGAAAACCAUUUAAGCUUUGCAAGCACACUACCCCAAAGUUUUUUUGAAGGUCAAAAAUAUAAAUUUAACACUACUCAUGUUGAUUGUAAUACAUAACCAAAACAUAAAAAUGUAACACCAUAGAACAAUUCUCAAGUCAUCAUAAAAAGCAUCUAAAAAAGACUUUACAUGAUAAAUAGGUGAUAGCACCCAAGAAGCAAUUAUAACCAAAAUAUAUAAAGAGAUAGAAAACAAAACCAAAUUGUAGCAAAAAAUAUGCUACACAUACAAAAAACAACCAAGCUAGAAUAGUGAGAAAAAAACCAUACUCACCAAAGACGAAAAAAUUGAUAGUGGAAAAAUGAAUGGUAGUGGGAACGUGUUGCAUUGGGGAAGAGAAAAACAAAAAAUGAUUAACCUAAAAUUAUUCAAAAAAAAAAGUACCCUAACUAGAAGAGAGAGACAAUGAACAACUCACUGAAUAUAGGGAAAUCGACAAUGAAAAAAUGGAAAGUAAUAGAGAGGCGAGACAGUAGAUGGCUGUUUACAAAGAAAAGGAGUCUUGAAGAGAAAGAAACUCACGAUGGUUGGUUUAGGUGUGGCUCUAGGUUAGGUAUUAUAUAGUAAAGUAAUUUUUUAUAUUGUUAAGGGAUAUUUAUGUUUAAUUAAUUUUUAAGUCUAUUCCUAGCCCUUUGGAAUAUCUAAUACCAAAUGGGGCUCAGUUUUGGCAAUUUAGAGUCCUCUUCGAAUGACCAUUCUUCUUCAGAAUGGCCAUUCCAUUGAACCAAAUGUAAUCUUUGAUUGGUGAUUGGAAUAAAGGGGGAAUGAAGUAGCCAUUCCCCCCCACCAAGGAUGUUGUAAAAGUUUAUUUUAAGGAUUUCGAGCUAGGGUUAGAAGCUCACUUAGUAAAAACUUGGUGCAAGUUUUUAAUUCCACUAGUUUUAGUGAAGUUGAGUUAAAAUUUUUUAAUUGGGAAGAUGAAGGUAGUGGAUGUAUGUGAGGUGGACCAGACCACAAUAAAUAUUAAGUUUGAUCCACUUCUCUUAACUUUUUUUUACUUGGUGUUCUAUAACCUCAAAAAGUUUUCAAACCUUCCAUCUCAUUUCUUCCAAACGGUUUUUGUUAACUGAUAGGAUUUCUUUCAAAAAUAUUUUUAAGUGUUGCUUACCCUCUUUAGCACUUCUUUUGGGACCAACAAGUGGUAUCAGAGCCUAACCCUUGAGUUUAAAGUUUAACAUCCUUAAGGUGAUAUCUAAAUGGUUAUGCAAAACACCAAUAUAGUUAAGGAGCAAUCCACAAAUAGGCCUCCUCUAUUUGAUGGAUUCAAUUAUCAUUAUUAGAGCACUAGGAUAUUUAUCUACAUUAGAAAUGUUAACUAUGAAAUAUGUGAUGUAAUCACCAAUAGUCUUUUCAUUCCUACUAGAACCAACUUAAUUAAAAAUGAAAAAAUUCUCAAAUCUAGGAAAAAGUGGACUAAAGCAUAAAUGAGAAAAGUUAAUAAACUUCAAAGCCAUUAACACUUUUCAUUGUGCUUUAACCCUUGUUGAGUUUAACAAAAUUUUUGGCUAUACCACAACCUAAGAAAUUUGGGAAAAACUUAAGAUCAUCCAUGAGAGCACUCCUCAAGUUAAGAAGUCCAAAAUCACCCUUCUAAGCCAUAAUUAUGAAAUGUUCAAAAUAAAACCUGGUGAAGACAUAACCACCAUGUAUGACCAAUUCACUAACAUAGCCAAUAAGCUCAACUAGCUUAGGAAUGUGAUACCUAAACAUAAGUUAGUGAAAAGGUUGCUUAGAAGUUUACCAAAAGUUAAAAACCAAAAAUAACUACCAUCUAAGAAGCUAAGGACCUCAACAAAAUCAACUUUGAUAAAAUAUGUGGUUCACUUCUCACGCAUGAGUUGGAAAUGAAAAAAGAAUAAGAGAAAAAAAGGAAGUUAAGGAGAAAAAGAAAAAUUUUGCAUUAAAAAUGAGCUCACUUGAAGAAAAAUUGGAGAGUCUCACAAGUGAUGAUGAUGAUGAGCUAGCCAUGAUAGCUACAAGAUUCAAAAAGCUCAUGGGUCAAAAAGACAACAGAUUAGAAAGAAGAAAUCAGAAAAAGUAUCAAGGUUCUUCAUGGAAGAACAAAUACAAAAAUGACUUCAACAAAACAAAUGAAGUGGUGUGCUUUAAAUGCAAAAAACCUAGUCACUUUAUAUCUAAAUGCCCAUUACUCAAGGAGGAAUCUUCAAAGAAGACUAAAAAGCCAAAGAAGGCAAUGGUGGCUACAACUUGGUUUGAUAGUGUUUAAAGCCCGACCUUAUAAAAUACUAUUCAUGACAUACAUGUGAUGAUAGCAUGAUUGUAUGCUAGGAAAGUCCCGAAAAAUUUACAAAAGUCGGUAUUGUACCUAGAGGUACAACAAAGUUGAUUAAUCCUCGAACUAGAUCAAAUAAGAAUUUUAAGGUGAGAUUAAGAUCGUCACAGUCCAAGGAUGACUCAAAAUGGUAAUUUGGAGUUUGAGGAUCAAUUUGGAGUCGAAUCAGAAUUUUCACUAUCUAGGGGCAAAAUGGUCAUUUGCCACCUGAGGAUAAAAUGAGAAUUUUGAAAAAGAUUUUUUUGACCCCAUUUGACUUAUUGGAGUAUAAUUUGACUUAUUGGAGUAUGAUUUGAGGUUUAGAAGUGAAAAAGUUUAAUUUAGGUAUAAUUUGGAGUAAAAUGGUAAAAUGGUAAUUUUGCCACCUUAGGGGCAAAAUUGUAAUUUUCCACCAUCAGGACAUUUUUUCCAGCACAUGGUUUUCAAAUUAUUUAACUAAAAAAAAUGGACCAAUAAGAAAAUGCCAUGUGUCAAGCUUAUGAUAUUUUAUUAUUUAACUAAAAAAAUCAGCAUAAAUCAGCCCAUUACUCUCCAAAUAUUCGGCCAAGCAAGGAAGAGAGAGAAAGAGAGGAAGAACAAACCCUAGGUGAGGAAUUUCAAGAGAAAAAGUGUGGAAAAUCAAGGAAAACAAGUGAAAAAGGUAAGAUUUUUCAACUUAAGCUUGAAAUCUAUUUUCNNNNNNNNNNNNNNNNNNNNNNNNNNNNNNNNNNNNNNNNNNNNNNNNNNNNNNNNNNNNNNNNNNNNNNNNNNNNNNNNNNNNNNNNNNNNNNNNNNNNNNNNNNNNNNNNNNNNNNNNNNNNNNNNNNNNNNNNNNNNNNNNNNNNNNNNNNNNNNNNNNNNNNNNNNNNNNNNNNNNNNNNNNNNNNNNNNNNNNNNNNNNNNNNNNNNNNNNNNNNNNNNNNNNNNNNNNNNNNNNNNNNNNNNNNNNNNNNNNNNNNNNNNNNNNNNNNNNNNNNNNNNNNNNNNNNNNNNNNNNNNNNNNNNNNNNNNNNNNNNNNNNNNNNNNNNNNNNNNNNNNNNNNNNNNNNNNNNNNNNNNNNNNNNNNNNNNNNNNNNNNNNNNNNNNNNNNNNNNNNNNNNNNNNNNNNNNNNNNNNNNNNNNNNNNNNNNNNNNNNNNNNNNNNNNNNNNNNNNNNNNNNNNNNNNNNNNNNNNNNNNNNNNNNNNNNNNNNNNNNNNNNNNNNNNNNNNNNNNNNNNNNNNNNNNNNNNNNNNNNNNNNNNNNNNNNNNNNNNNNNNNNNNNNNNNNNNNNNNNNNNNNNNNNNNNNNNNNNNNNNNNNNNNNNNNNNNNNNNNNNNNNNNNNNNNNNNNNNNNNNNNNNNNNNNNNNNNNNNNNNNNNNNNNNNNNNNNNNNNNNNNNNNNNNNNNNNNNNNNNNNNNNNNNNNNNNNNNNNNNNNNNNNNNNNNNNNNNNNNNNNNNNNNNNNNNNNNNNNNNNNNNNNNNNNNNNNNNNNNNNNNNNNNNNNNNNNNNNNNNNNNNNNNNNNNNNNNNNNNNNNNNNNNNNNNNNNNNNNNNNNNNNNNNNNNNNNNNNNNNNNNNNNNNNNNNNNNNNNNNNNNNNNNNNNNNNNNNNNNNNNNNNNNNNNNNNNNNNNNNNNNNNNNNNNNNNNNNNNNNNNNNNNNNNNNNNNNNNNNNNNNNNNNNNNNNNNNNNNNNNNNNNNNNNNNNNNNNNNNNNNNNNNNNNNNNNNNNNNNNNNNNNNNNNNNNNNNNNNNNNNNNNNNNNNNNNNNNNNNNNNNNNNNNNNNNNNNNNNNNNNNNNNNNNNNNNNNNNNNNNNNNNNNNNNNNNNNNNNNNNNNNNNNNNNNNNNNNNNNNNNNNNNNNNNNNNNNNNNNNNNNNNNNNNNNNNNNNNNNNNNNNNNNNNNNNNNNNNNNNNNNNNNNNNNNNNNNNNNNNNNNNNNNNNNNNNNNNNNNNNNNNNNNNNNNNNNNNNNNNNNNNNNNNNNNNNNNNNNNNNNNNNNNNNNNNNNNNNNNNNNNNNNNNNNNNNNNNNNNNNNNNNNNNNNNNNNNNNNNNNNNNNNNNNNNNNNNNNNNNNNNNNNNNNNNNNNNNNNNNNNNNNNNNNNNNNNNNNNNNNNNNNNNNNNNNNNNNNNNNNNNNNNNNNNNNNNNNNNNNNNNNNNNNNNNNNNNNNNNNNNNNNNNNNNNNNNNNNNNNNNNNNNNNNNNNNNNNNNNNNNNNNNNNNNNNNNNNNNNNNNNNNNNNNNNNNNNNNNNNNNNNNNNNNNNNNNNNNNNNNNNNNNNNNNNNNNNNNNNNNNNNNNNNNNNNNNNNNNNNNNAAAAAUUAUUCACGUAUAACUCUAUAAAUAUUGUUUUAUAAGAAAAUAGAAUAUUUUACUUAAUAUUUCUUUUAUUUUCUUAUUAUAUUCAAAUAACCGUAAUUUCGUUUUAAAUGAAGAUUUUAGACUUUUAAACUCAUUUUGAAUAUGAAUUAUGUGUUUUGUACUUGUAUAUUACGUUUUAGUCAGUUUUGAAAAUUUUGAGAAAAAAAUGAUCAAAAUACCCAUGUGAGACAAAAAUUAAUAUUUUAUUUAUUUUUAGUUGAAAACAGUUUAAAAUCUUUUAGAACAUGAUAUUUGACAAUGGUUGCUCAUAAAGGAAAUGAGAAACUGAUAGUAAAGCCUUACGGGGUUUCGGGUUGACAUUUCGGGCAAUGAGUGUCUACCGGGACACCGCGGAGGUUGUCACGGGCUCGAGGGGAGUACCGGGUUGUGACAUAGUGACUCCUUUAGCUCGGAGGAAAAGAAAAAAAAGAUAGAAGAAAAAGCCAAUUUUCGCUUAAUGGCAAAGAUGAAGAACCUGAGGCAACAUCUACCUUAUGUGACAUUUCAUAUGAUGAAUUUCAAGAUGAGUAUGAUUUGUAUGCUGAAUUUGAAAAACUUGCUUUGAAAUACAAAGUUUUGAGAAACAAAGCAAUAUGUUUAGAUAAUGAACUAGAGAAAAUCAAACAUGAAUUCAAAAAUGUUUUUGAACAAAGAAAUAUUUUCAAAUUGAACUUGAGCAUUCCAAUACAGAUUUUGAAUCAUUGAAGUUGGCACUAGAGAGCAAAAAUGGAGCCUUACAAAAGGCCUUGGAUGAAAAUGUUGCUUUUAAAACUUCAAUGGAAGAAAUUUCAAAUUUGAAAUUGGAAAAAGAAAAAAAAAACCAAAAAGAAAUGCCAAUUUUAGAAAGAAAAAGAAUGCAUUUUCAUCUUAGUGUUAUAUGCGUGGCAAAAAAGGUUAUUGCUAUCAUAAAGGAAGUAACCUCCAUAAAAGCAAAUCGAUUUGGGUGCCUAAAGGUUCAUUUGCUCCCACUAACCUCCAAGGACCCAUCAAAGUAUGGGUACUUUUAAAGAAGAACUGAAAAUUUGUUUUGUAGUUUAAGCAAAGACAAAAAAAAAAUAAUAAUGUUUGAAAGCUCAACCAAAGGAGAGACAUCCUUGGUACAUGGACAUUGGUUGCUCAAGACAUAUGAUCAAGAAGGAAAGAUUAUUUGUCAAGCUUGAUAGAAAGAAAAGUGGAAGUGUCUUUUUUGGUGAUAACUCUAAAGCUAUUAUCUAAGGAAUUAGAACCAUUGGUAACACUUCUUAAACUCAAAUUAAGCAUGUUUUAUUUGUUAAAGGGUUAAAGUACAAAUUGUUAGGCAUUAGUCAGCUUUGUAAUAAAGGAUUAAAGUUUUCUUUGAUUCCUAUGGAUGUCAAAUAAUUAAUAUUAAUACUAACAAAGUAAUAUUCAUUGGCAAAAGAAUUAAGAAUAUGUAUGUGAUCUUUCUUGAUGAGAUUGUGCUUCAAAAUGAAUCUUUUCCCAUGGCCAAUGAUGUUUGUGAUAGUUGGUUGUGGCAUAGAAGAUUGUGACAUGUUAAUAUGCACAUUAUUUCAAAACUUUUAAGAAAGGACUUAGUUAUUGGACUUCUAAAGAUCUUUUUUGAAAAUGAUAAAAUCUGUUAUGCAUGUCAAUUUGGAAAACAAGUAAGAAGUUCUUUUAAAUCAAAGAAAGUAAGUUCAACUUCUAGAUCACUUGAAACAUUGCACAUAGAGUUGUUUAGACCAAUUUAUGUUGUUAGUUUGGGAGGCAAGUCAUAUGGCUUUGUUGUUGUUGAUGAUUACUCUAGAUAUACAUGGGCAUAUUUUCUUGCUCACAAAGAUAAUGCAUUGCCUUCUCUUAUUAAUCAUUGUAAAAAUGUUCAAAAUGAAAAAUGACUUUCCAUUUUUAGCAUUAGAAGUGACCAUGGUAGAGAAUUUGAAGGUGAUAAUUUUGAAACCUUUGUAAUGAAAAUAGUUUUGAUCACAAUUUUUCAACCUUUUGAACUCCACAACAAAAUGGAGUUAUUGAGAGAAAGAAUAGGACUUUAAAAGAAAUGGCAAUGUGAAAGAAACAAGGUUUGGACCUUAAUUCCAAGGCCAACCAACCAUCCAAUCAUAGGUACUAAGUGGGUAUUUAGGAACAAAAUGGAUGAGUUGGUUAAUAUGGUAAGGAAGAAGGAAAGGAUGGUUGCUCAAUGCUGCAAUAAAAAAAAAGGUAUUAAUUACGAUGAACUUUUUGUUCCCGUAGUUGGAUUAGAAACAAUUAGACUAUUGCUUGCAUUUACAUGUUAUAUGAAUUUCAAAUUGUUCCAAAUGGAUGUUAAAAGUGCAUUGCUAAAUGGUUUUAUUUAAAAAGAAGUUUAUGUUGAACAACCCCCUAGUUUUGAAGAUUUUGAAAAGAUUGAUCAUGUUUAUAAAUUGUAUAAAGCUUUAUAUGGAUUAAAGCAAGCUCCUAGAGCUUAGUAUGAAAGACUUUCAAAAUUUUUUUAUAGAAAAAUGAUUUUCUAAGGGUGGUAUAGAUAUACUACUUUUUGUUAGUAUAUGCUCUUGAGCCAAUUGGAUUGGUCAAAGAAUAUAGAUUAUUGUUGAUCAUGUUUAUAAAUUGCAUAAAACUUUAUAUGGAUUAAAGCAAGCUCCUAGAGCUUUGUAUGAAAGACUUUCAAAAUUUUUUAUAGAAAAAAGAUUUUCUAAGGGUAGUAUAAAUACUACUUUUUGUUAGUAUAUGCUCUUGAGCCAAUUGGAUUGGUCAAAAAAUAUAGAUUAUUAUUUAAUGCAUGCUUAAUCGCAUAACUAUAUGUGAUAGAGGUUUUCCUUCAUGUUAAUGUAAUAAUAAGGAGUUAUUAAGUAUUAAUUGGAUAAAACUCAUGAAGCAUAAAGGCUUUGCAAGAGAAUUGUAAAGUUGUUAGAAUUAUGAGAUCACUAUGCAUUAAAGCCAUGUUCCUAAAAUUAUUUUUGAUCAUUGUAUUGUCAAUAUAGGGCAAUGACAAUGCUUAAAGAUUGGUACAUGUUAAGCCUCUUUACUUGAAAAGUAAGCAAAUCAAUCUCAUAGAUUGAAGUAAAUGGGAUGCUUGAGGAUAACAUGUAGGUACUUGUUAAAGAACAAGUUCACUGAACAUGACCCUCUAUGAGAACUCUAUUUGGUAUUUCACUUAAGUGUCUAUAGAAUAUGUUCUCAUGUGAUAGUCAUGCAACUAGUCCUUAGACUUAAGACACCAGGUCAUCUUGUAUGGGAAUGACAUACUUUGAUUUCACCCUUACGGGUAUAGAGGUGAUCAAAUGCCUAAACAGGACAUUUUUGGGUAUGCCAUGAAGCAUGCGAAGGUGAAUAAGUAGUCAAGAGAGGAUUCAUCACCCCAAGUGAUAUAAGAGGAUGUAUCUCACUUGUUCUCAGUUUUUGAUUAACUUGUAUAAAGUCUUUGUCCAAAGCAUGAUGAAUUUGAGGAAAGUUAGUUUCCUAAAUUCAUAAAGUUAGUCAUGAAUUAUGAGAACUAAUAUAAAAUGUUAUAAGUAGACAUUGAGCCAUAUUUUAUAACAUAUCUAAGAUAUUUGAUGAGAAAACCAUAUUGCACUGAGAGGCUUAUUACUAAAGAGCUUUGUCAAAUUCUUUAAUUGACUCUUUAACAUUUAGGUGGUCAUAAUGUAUUGCUAGUUGCCGCUCAUGAUCUAUAAAUAUAAAUCAAUUAUUAAAUUGAUAUUUGAUUAGGAUUUAUAUUUAUUGUUAACAUGUUAAAAGCCUAAUGGGUCACACAUUAAGUGACAUGAUUGAUAUUAAAAAAAGAUAAUCAAUUAAGUUGGACUUUAUUGGAAUAUACUAAAAUAAAGUGAGAAAUUAAUUAAGUUCACAAGGACUUAAUUGAAUUAAAACACAACUGUUGUAUCUAGGGUUACAACUUAGUUUGGCUAUAUAAAUAUGUUCUGUUAUCAAACUAAAACUUCAAGCCUCUAGCCACUUCUCAACUAUUUCAUAAAAUAAGAAAAAGGAAAAAAAUAGCUUUAUUUAUUUGACAAAAAUAAGAUUCAGUAAAAAUUUUUGGUCUUUUUGUUUAGAUACAAAACUUGCUAGCACAAGUAAAAUCCUACACUUGAGAAUGUCUUAUUUGGUCACUAUGUGAAUUACUGUUAGAGGCCAAAACUUAGGUGGUUGAAGAUCUGACAUAUCCUAAAGUUGAAGAAGCAAAGAUUUCAGUUGCAGGAUUUUAUAUCGUCUUAUUCUUUUUUUAGUGUUUCUUGCUUCAUAACAAGCAUUUUUUGAUUUAAUUGGCUCUUGAUUGUGAUAUCUAGAACAAGUUAUUUAACUCUUAAACUUAUGAAUGUGCAUAAUUAAUUUAAAAAUUAUAUGAGAAAUACAAACAUUGAUUUUGUGAGAUUCGGCUAUUUCUCUGAUUAAAUGCUAGUUUACUUUUUCACUACAUUAUAUUUUUAAUUUCUUGAUUAAUUUCAUGUUUGAGCGAGAGGUCAAAUCCCAAUAAUGGUAUCAAAGCCUUUUUUUGAUGUUUUCGAAUAAUAUGCAUACUUGAUUCUUGGUGAUAAUCAAUAAGAUUGAUUUGUGUGUUGAUUUGGUGUAUAUUAGUUUUGAAGGCUAUCUUUAAAAUCUAUUUUUCUAUUUUAAUUCAAAUCUGAACAACAUGUAAUUAAUUCAUUAAAACGUGUUUGAAAAGGUUUAAAAUCAUGCUUAGUUGAAGAAUUAAUAAUUGGAUUAAAAGGCUUUCAAAGCCAAGUUAAAACCAAAUAGUUUUGAGGUGUUUCAAAGACUAAUGUGCCAAAUAUUUUUUACUAACAUUGGGUAAGUGUUAUGAGCAAUUUUUAAUUGUUAAAAAUUAGUUUUAUCAAAUUAAAUUACUGAAUGUUUCAGCCAAACUUGAUUUAGUAUCAAAAAGGUUCAUAACAAUCAUGUUUGAGCAGGAGGUCGAAUCCCAACAAUGGUAUCAAAGCCUUUGUUUGAUAUUUUUAUGUAAUAUGCAUGCUUGAUUCUUGUUAUUAAUCAAUAGCAUUGAUUUGUGUUUUGAUUUGGUGUAUAUCAGUUUUGAAGGCUGUCUUUAAAAUCUGUUUUUCUGUUUUAAUUCAAAUAUGAACAACAUGUAAUUAAUUAAUUAAACAUGUUUUAAAAAGUUAAAAUUAUGUUUAGUUGAAGAAUUAAUAAUUGGAUUAAAAGGCUUGCAAAGCCAAGUUAAAAUUGCAUAGUUUUGAAAUGUUUUGGAGACUAAUAUGUCGAUUAUUUUUUACUAACAUUGGGUAAAUGUUAUGAGUAGUUUUUAAUUGUUAAAAAUUAGUUUUAUCAAAUUAAAUUACUACAUGUUUCGACCAAACUUGAUUUAGUAUGAAAAAGGUUCAUAAAAAUCAUGUUUUCAAGUUCUAAAACAAUAAAGAUUCAAUGUAGAAAAUUUUAAGCAGCUAUGAUCUAUUUUGGUAGCUUAAUUCUUCAUGAAUUUUGUGUUUAAUUGUUAAACAUACUUGCUAAAAAUUUUCAGCAGCUUUUUCAUGAGUUUGACUCAUAAUUUAUGGAGUUUUAAGAGUACUUAAAUGCCAUCUAUUUUAAUUUUGGGUGAUUCAUAAAAAAUAAAAAAUUGUUUCCUACUUUCAAAGUAAUUCUUAAAAUUAAAGAUAGAAUUUUAUUUUUGGGUGAUUCAUAAAGAAUAGGAAAUUGUUUCCUACUUUAAAAGAUAUUCCUAAAAUUAAGGAUAGUAUUUUAAUUUGGGAAAUUCAUAGGGAAUAGUUUUCUACUUUAAAAUAAAUUUCUAAAGUUAUGUGAUAGCAUUGAACUUUCUUUAAAAUUUUGGUUUGACUAGAAGUUUUCAAAAUUUGUUAAGUCACCAUUUAGGUAACUUGAACAAUAUACAAUUUAGGAAACUAAUCCAUGUUCUAAAUGCUAGAAAUUAAAAUUUUGUCUUAGAUAUAUUUUAGGAAGUUUACCUAAAAUAAAGAGGUUUCCAAAAUUAAAAGGAGUUUUAAUUAUGGAAAGAAUUAAAAUGGAAAGUUUUAAAAAGAAAAUUUUUAUUUCAAUGAAUUUCUAAUAAGAAAUAAGAAGUAAAAGGUUUACUUUAAGUGUUUUGAAAAUGAAAAUUUCUUAAACAUUAAAUUGACAUAAAACAAUACCAAAUAUUUUGAGUCUAGCAUUUUAAGUGAAUUAAUUGAUACUUUUUUCAAAUAACACAUAAGAUCACCAAGUGACAUUGAGUUUGCAUUUAUUUCUAUGCUUUUGAUUGUGAUUAUAAAGUACGAGGAUAAUUAUGGACUUAGACCUUAGAAGAUUGGGUCAUGAAUGGUUAAAUUUAUUUCUCAUGUUAUUUAUUUUAAAAUAAGAUCUGUGCACCCUGCUUUAUCUUUAUUUUCUCUUGGUUGUAAAAUUCUUUUCUCACAUAACUCCCCUUCAAUGUACCUCAAGGUUUCUCUAUUAUAGAAUGUAAUUAGUUACAUCAAAGUGUAAAACUAGGGUUAGAUAAAAUAUUUUUGUAACUUGAAGAUGGAGAUCCAAAGGCACCAUGUAGAUUCAAGGAGAUUAGAAGCAAAGCUUGAAGACAACGUUUUUGUAAAUCUCCUAGUAAUUUGACCAACUAAUUUCCUUAAUGACUCGAGGAAAUUAGAAUUAGUAAUUCCAUAAUUAUCCUAAUAGUUGGCAUGAGAUAGAUUUAUUUUUCAGUAUGUAUAUAUGAUAUAUGUGAAAUGUGAUAAAUGCUAUGCAUGUCAACAACGUCAAAUCUAUCACGACCCAAUUUCCUGGGCCAUGACCGGCGCAUGAGCUCAAUGAGCAUAACUCACUAAGCCCAAGCAAGCCUAUCCAUUUACCUUUGCUUAACAAAUUUAUCAUAUCAUGCAUACACACACACCUUUUCCCGGGUGUGAACAUAGCCAAAACACAAUGGCAUUAUCGAUAAUAAUAUACAUGCACUAUACCAAUCAUGUAUUUAGCAAUUUACAUUGCAUACAUAUAUUCACAUUGUUAUAUUGUAUUCACAAUACAAAAGGACCCACGACUUCCAGCGGAGACAUUUACAAUAAAAGGGAUUACUAUCGAAUGCUAGACACAUACCCAGGAGAUGCACUAUGGGGACUCCUCGAUCUGGGGUCCAACAGUCACCUGAUCUGAAAACAUAAAUUUUUAUAAAACGUGAGUACAAUACUCAGUGAGUGAACAAGAUGUGAACAAGCAUACCAUAAGGAAUGUUUAUCAAAAUCAUGAUGCAUUCAUUUUCUCAAAACCUUGCAAUUGUUUUAGCUCCUUUAAACGCCUCAUGUAAACCCCACAUGAGUAAAUCACUUUACAAAAAUCCAUGCUCAACUAUGGUACCAAAGAAAUGGGAAAUAUGGCAAAAACCCACAAGUUAGCAAAAUGGACAGAAAAUUUUUCGCUGUAGCAAGAACUAGAACAUCAAGGAAAAAGUCUCCUUUUUCCCUUAAAACAAGUCAUCCUGCUAAAAUAACAAUAGCAACAUGUAACACAUGUAAACUUCCAAAUUUCAACAAAACAAAUGCUUACAUAUUUGCAUUUACAACCAUAUACCCAUCAUCAACAUGCACACCAUCCCAUCAUCAUCAUCAUGCACACCAUUCCAUCAUCAUCAUCUCAUAUGCAACGGCUUAUGCUAUUGUCACUAGGGGGUGGGAGAUCACGAAGCAUCCCCCCCUUCACUCGGUAAGAGGUGCACUUCACUCCGGAUCAUGAAGCAACGGAGCAGUCCCUUCCCUCCUCUUCCAAGCUCCUGGGCGGAGAGUUAUACUUCACCUCAAAUCAUACCUAUCCCUUCACUCGGCAAGAGGUGCACUUCACUCCGGAUCACGAAGCAACGGAGCAGUCCCUUCNNNNNNNNNNNNNNNNNNNNNNNNNNNNNNNNNNNNNNNNNNNNNNNNNNNNNNNNNNNNNNNNNNNNNNNNNNNNNNNNNNNNNNNNNNNNNNNNNNNNNNNNNNNNNNNNNNNNNNNNNNNNNNNNNNNNNNNNNNNNNNNNNNNNNNNNNNNNNNNNNNNNNNNNNNNNNNNNNNNNNNNNNNNNNNNNNNNNNNNNNNNNNNNNNNNNNNNNNNNNNNNNNNNNNNNNNNNNNNNNNNNNNNNNNNNNNNNNNNNNNNNNNNNNNNNNNNNNNNNNNNNNNNNNNNNNNNNNNNNNNNNNNNNNNNNNNNNNNNNNNNNNNNNNNNNNNNNNNNNNNNNNNNNNNNNNNNNNNNNNNNNNNNNNNNNNNNNNNNNNNNNNNNNNNNNNNNNNNNNNNNNNNNNNNNNNNNNNNNNNNNNNNNNNNNNNNNNNNNNNNNNNNNNNNNNNNNNNNNNNNNNNNNNNNNNNNNNNNNNNNNNNNNNNNNNNNNNNNNNNNNNNNNNNNNNNNNNNNNNNNNNNNNNNNNNNNNNNNNNNNNNNNNNNNNNNNNNNNNNNNNNNNNNNNNNNNNNNNNNNNNNNNNNNNNNNNNNNNNNNNNNNNNNNNNNNNNNNNNNNNNNNNNNNNNNNNNNNNNNNNNNNNNNNNNNNNNNNNNNNNNNNNNNNNNNNNNNNNNNNNNNNNNNNNNNNNNNNNNNNNNNNNNNNNNNNNNNNNNNNNNNNNNNNNNNNNNNNNNNNNNNNNNNNNNNNNNNNNNNNNNNNNNNNNNNNNNNNNNNNNNNNNNNNNNNNNNNNNNNNNNNNNNNNNNNNNNNNNNNNNNNNNNNNNNNNNNNNNNNNNNNNNNNNNNNNNNNNNNNNNNNNNNNNNNNNNNNNNNNNNNNNNNNNNNNNNNNNNNNNNNNNNNNNNNNNNNNNNNNNNNNNNNNNNNNNNNNNNNNNNNNNNNNNNNNNNNNNNNNNNNNNNNNNNNNNNNNNNNNNNNNNNNNNNNNNNNNNNNNNNNNNNNNNNNNNNNNNNNNNNNNNNNNNNNNNNNNNNNNNNNNNNNNNNNNNNNNNNNNNNNNNNNNNNNNNNNNNNNNNNNNNNNNNNNNNNNNNNNNNNNNNNNNNNNNNNNNNNNNNNNNNNNNNNNNNNNNNNNNNNNNNNNNNNNNNNNNNNNNNNNNNNNNNNNNNNNNNNNNNNNNNNNNNNNNNNNNNNNNNNNNNNNNNNNNNNNNNNNNNNNNNNNNNNNNNNNNNNNNNNNNNNNNNNNNNNNNNNNNNNNNNNNNNNNNNNNNNNNNNNNNNNNNNNNNNNNNNNNNNNNNNNNNNNNNNNNNNNNNNNNNNNNNNNNNNNNNNNNNNNNNNNNNNNNNNNNNNNNNNNNNNNNNNNNNNNNNNNNNNNNNNNNNNNNNNNNNNNNNNNNNNNNNNNNNNNNNNNNNNNNNNNNNNNNNNNNNNNNNNNNNNNNNNNNNNNNNNNNNNNNNNNNNNNNNNNNNNNNNNNNNNNNNNNNNNNNNNNNNNNNNNNNAAAAAAACUCAUUUUAUAAAAAUUCUCGUUUAGUCCUCUAGUGGUAAAAUUACCAUUUUGCCCUUGUGCUCCAAAAAUACCAAGAAUCAUAAUUUUUUUCACUGCUAAAUAUCAUUUUAUACUCCAAUAAUCAUAAUUAUAUUUCAUAUAAUUACUCUUGGUCAAAUGUGAUCAAAUCUUGGCUAAAAAUCUCCAUUUUAUCAUCAAAUGGUAAAAUGACCGUUUAUCCCUAAUCGGUCAAUUUUCCUGAUGGACUCCAAACUGGACCUUGAACUCUGAAUCACUAUUCUAAGCAAUUCUGUGGGUUUCAAAAUUUUCAAUUUUCUCUUAGAAUUUCUAUUUGAACUAGUUCAAGACUCGAUUUAACUUAGUUGUAGCACUCGGUACAAUACUGUCUUUUAAUCGAGCUUGACAAGGUCUCACAAAAUCAAUGAAACCUUAAUUAAUGAAUUAAUAAAUAAAAAUCCCUCAUUAAUAUAUAUUGAGUCCAAAAGUUACCUUGUAAAGCCUGACCUUAUAAAUACUUGUCAUGACAUACAUGAGAUGGAUAGCAUGUUUGCAUGCUAUGAGAGACCUGAAAAAUUCACAAAAGUAAGUAUUGUAUUUAGAGGUACAACAAAGUUGAUUUAAGUCUCGAACUAGAUCAAAUAGAGAUUUUAGGGUGAAAUUGAAGAUUUUACAAUCCAGGAAUGAUUUAAAAUGGUGAUUUGGGGUUCGAGGAUCAAUUUGGAGUCAAACCAAAAAUUUCACUAUUUAAGGGUAAAAUGGUAAUUUUGCCACUCGAGGAUAAAGUGAGAAUUUUUUUGAAAGAUUUUGAUCACAUUUGACUUAUUGGAGUAUGGUUUGAGAUUGAGAAGUGAAAAUUUGUAAUCCUGGUAUUUUUCAGAGCAUAGGGGUAAAAUGGUCAUUUUUUCACCCUAGGGGCAAAAUCAUAAUUUUUGACACCCAAUACUUAUCCAACAUAUGGAUUUUACCCAAUAUUAUUAUGAAUAAUUGAAAGAAUUUAUAUGGUGGAGAGAGAAAGCUUAAUAGUUAAGAAAUGACACAUGGACCAAUAAUAAGGUGACAUGUGUCAAGUUUAUAACCAUUAAUUAUUUAGCUUAAAAAUUAAAACAAAAUCAGCUCAUUUUCUCUUCAUAUGGCCGGCCAUAGUAAGAACAAAGAGAGGAAAGGAAGAACACAAAACCUAGGUGGGAAAAUUGAAGAAAAAGUGUGGGAUUUCAAGGAAUCAAGCAAUCAAAGGUAAAAUUUCUUGAUUUUGACUUGUGAUCUACCUUUCCCAUGCAUUUCUCCUUAUUUUCCAUGGUUAAAUUUCAUGUUUUCAUGGUGAAUUCAUGGCUGACUGAAUGGGUAUAGAGAGAGAAUGAAGUUGGAUUGAUUUGAUUCUAAGUUAUGUUAGUGUUUUUAAUUAGUUUAUCAUGCCUAGAAACAAAACAACAAGAAAAGAAUUCAUUUUCCCCAUCACCCAUCAAUGGUCAAAUUUUCUAGGGAGAAUAUUGUGGCUAAAUUUGAUGAUAUUUCAUGAUAUUUUGGUGAUAUUUGAUGUUUGGUGAGGCUAGAAAUUAAAUGGGAAAUUUUGGUGUGAAAAUCUGAAUUUUUGCUCAACGUAUAGACAUGUGUAAUUAUUGACUCAGGACUGAUAAAUUGAACCUCAUUCACAGUCACUGAGGUAAGUUAGGUAUAAUUGGAGUGUAGAAAGUGAGAAGAAUUGAUUUGGAGUUAAAUUAGAGAUUUUAGCUGAUUAGACCGUGUAAAGCCCGACCUUAUAAAAUACUAGUCAUGACAUACAUGUGAUGAUAGCAUGAUUACAUGCUAGGAGAGUCCUGAAAAAUUUACAAAAGUCGGUAUUGUACCUAGAGGUACAACAAAGUUGAUUUAAUCCUCGAACUAGAUCAAAUAGGAAUUUUAAGGUGAGAUUAAGAUCGUCACAAACCAAGGAUGACUCAAAAUGGUAAUUUGGAGUUUGACGAUCAAUUUGGAGUUGAAUCGGAAUUUUCACUAUCCAGGGGUAAAAUGGUCAUUUGCCAUAUGGGGACAAAAUGGUCAUUUUUAGAAAAGAUUUAUUUGGCCCCAUUUGACUUAUUGGAGUAUGAUUUGAGGUUUAGAAGUGAAAAAAUUUUGAUUUCAGUAUAAUUUGGAGUAUAGGGGUAAAAUGGUAAUUUUACCGUUCUAGGGGCAAAAUUGUAAUUUUCCACCACUAGGACAAUUUUCCAGCAUAUGGUCUUCCUUUAUCCUCAUUUUUGACCAUUGACUACUCAUGUGGUGGAGAUAAAAUGUUUAAAUUUUUAAAAUUUUAAAAAUGGACCAAUAAGAAAAUGCCAUGUGUCAAGCUUAGGAUAAUUUAUUAUUUAACUUAAAAAUCAGCAUAAAUCAGCCCAUUACUCUCCAAAUAUUCGGCCAAGCAAGGAAGAGAGGGAAAGAAAGGAAGAACAAACCCUAGGUGAGGAAUUUCAAGAGAAAAAGUGUGGAAAAUCAAGGAAAACAAGUGAAAAAGGUAGGAUUUUUCAACUUAAGCUUGAAAUCUAUUUUCCUUAAGCAUUUCUCCUUAUUUUCCAUGCUUAAAUUACAUGUUUUCAUGAUGAAUUGUUGGCUGAUCAAAAUGGGUUAGGAGAGAGAAAGUUGUUGGAUUGAUUUGAUUUUAAGUUAUGUUAGUGUUUUUAGUUAGUUUAGCAUAUUUAGAAACAAACCAACAAGAAAAGAAUUUAUUUUCUCCCACAACCAUUAAUGGCUGAAUUUACCAUGUAUUCAGUGAGGAUGAGUUUGAUUUUUAUUCUAGGUGAAUUGGUUAAGAAAUGAUGAAUUAUGGUGUAGAAAAGUAGUAGGAAAAAUCAUGGUGUUAAUGCACCAUUAUUGGUCGAAAAUUUUAAGAAGAAAAGUGAAGAUAGUUUUGCCAAAUUUUAGGUUAUUUGAUUUGAAUUUGGUGAAUUAAGAUAUUGGAAAAGAAUUGGAACAAUUUGGAGUAAUUUGGGAUUAAAUUGGACGCGUUAGUAAUUUAAUCGGGUGAUAAGAUGAAUUAGGCCAAUACCGGGUUUAGAUAGUUACUAGUGCAUUUGUGCAUUCCAUAUCAUGCAUUAGUAGUCUAAAUUAGUUUAAUUUCAAUUUAGUACCAAUGUAGUGAGUUUCUCGAUUUUGUACUACGUCAAGGUGGUGAGUCCUCCGAUAAAGGUAAGGGAAUUGCAUCCGAGGACCAGUAGUCUGAGUAUUUCGAGAAUCGGCACUCUAGAUAGUGUGAGUAAACUUACUGUCAUUUUAAUUAUCUAGGGUGAUUUUUAGAUGAUUUCAUUAAUUUUAUGGAAAAAUGGAUUUAAAAAGGUAAAUUUUCAUGUUUUAUGAAUAAAGGUGUUCCAAUGAAAUUAAAUUAUAAAUUGUUUUGAAAUUAAUAGUGAUUUUGAAAAAUAGAGUACACGGAGACUGUUAAUUGUGGCAAUUUGAUUGUUUAAAUUGAUUGGCUUAUGAUAAAUCGGGCAUGAUUAGCUAAUUGGCAAUUGUAUUGAAAUACGAAUUGUUUGGUUGCCUUGAAAGACUGCGAAUUACAAAAUUACCAUAUCAUGUUAUUGACUUUUAUUAUAUGGUGGAUUAUAUAUAUUAAUUAAUCACUACAGUAGGGGGUUUUUGUGGACCAGGCUUUUAGAGGGGCACGGUAAACCCCAUUAUAUUCUUACCUUGAACGGAGAGGCGCGUAGGGUAUCUCCUAGGGUAAAGCUUAGGGUUCACUUCACGCCAAACCACCACGUGAGGGGGAAUUCAGCCAACGUCAAGGAAUGGCUAUGUUUUCAAAACAAAAACAUGAUUUAUGUGAAAUGUGAAUUUUAAUAGCCUUGGCGGUCUAGGUGGGAUGCCUCGGCCAAGAUGUCCCUGAAAAUGGAUUUAUGGCAUAAGCCUAGUUUUUAUGAGAUUCAUAAGCCUCUUUACUUAUUUUGAACAAAAUGUGUUCUAAUGCUAUAACCCAGUUUAUGAUGAUUUACUUUAUUGUCUCCAUGUACUCAACUCUAGAUGUUUAUGAUGAUGUCUGUUUACUCAUUGGGAUUUUAUAAUCUCACCACCCUCCUUUCCAUCCAUUUCAAGUUCAGUAUAGACUGUAGAUAGCUGAUCUCAUCGAGGACUACCGUUGGAUCUGCAUUUUUCCAAACCGUAGGUUCACAAUCCUCUUUACUUUUGUUUAUUCGGGGGCCCUCUUGUUAUUGUAAAUUAAAUUAAAUAUUUUGGCUUAUUGUAUUAUAGUAUGUAUAAAUUUAUUUAGCUUUUACGCUAUAAAAAUUAUUCAUGUAUAACUCUAUAAAUAUUGUUUUAUAAGAAAAUAGAAUAUUUUACUUAAUAUUUCUUUUAUUUUCUUAUUAUAUUCAAAUAACCAUAAUUUCAUUUUAAAUGAAGAUUUUAGACUUUUAAACUCAUUUUGAAUAUGAAUUAUGUGUUUUGUACUUGUAUAUUAUAUUUUAGCCAAUUUCAAAAUUUUUGAGAAAAAUGACCAAAAUACCCCUGUGAGACAAAAAAAUUAAUAUUUUUUUUGUUUUAAGUUGGAAAUAGCUUAAAAUCUUUUAGAACACGAUAUUUGACAAUGGUUGCUCACAAGGGAAAUGAUAAACUGAUAGUAAAGCUUUGCGGGGUUUCGGGUUGACAUUUCGGGCAAUGAGUGUUACCGGGACACUGCGACGGUUGUCACGAGCUUGAGGGGAGUAUCGGUUCAUGACAGACCGAGUAUAGUGUGACUUAGGUUGAAUAUUACAUUUAAGCGAUUAAUCGGACAUUUUGCACUCCAUAUCAUGCAUUAGUAGUCUAAAUUAGUUUAAUUUUAAUUUAGUAUAAUAUGGUCAAUUUCUCGAUUUUGUACUGUGUCAAGGUGGUGAGUCCUCCGAUAAAGGCAAGGAAAUUGCAUCCGAGGACCAGUAGACAGAGUACUUCGAAAGUCUGCAUUCUAGACAUUGUGAGUAAACUUAUUGUCAUUUUAAUUGUCUAGGGUGGUUUUUAGAUGAUUUCAUGAAUUCUAUGGAAAAAGGGAUUUAAAAAGGAAAAUUUUCAUGUUUUAUGAAUAAAUGUGUUUUAAUGAAAUUAAUUUAUAAAUUGUUUUGAAAUUAAUAAUGACUUUGAAAAAUAGAGUACAUGGAGACUGUUAUUUGUUGCAAUUUGAUUGUUUUAAUUGAUUGGCUUAUGAUAAAUUGGCAUGAUUGGCUGGUUGGCAAUUGUAUUGAAAUACGAAUUGUUUGGUUGCCUUGAAAGGCUGCGGAUUACAAAAAUUGCCAUAUAAUGUUAUUGAAUUUUAUUGUAUGGUGGAUUAUAUAUAUAUUAAUUAAUCAUUGCAAUAGAGGGUUUCCAUGGACCAACCUUUUAGAGAGGCACGGUAAACCCCAUUAUAUUCUUACCUCGAACGGAGAGGUGCGUAGGGUAUUUCCUGGGGUAAAGUUUAGGGUUCACUUCACGCUAAACCACCACGUGAAGGAGAACUCAGCCAACGCCAAGGAACGGCUGUAAUUUCUAACAAAAAAUGUGUUUUAUGCAAAAUGUGAAUUUUUAACAGCCUUCGCGGUCUCAGUAGGAUGCCUCGGCCAAGGUGUCCCCAAGGAUGGAUUUACGGCAUAAGCCUAGUUUUUAUGAGAUUCAUAAGCCUUGUUACGUAUUUUGAAUGAAAUGUGUUCUAAUACUGUGACCUAGUUUACGAUGAUUUAUUUUAUUGUCUCCAUGUACUCAACUCUAGAUGUUUAUGAUGAUGUCUGUUUAGUCACUGGGAUUUUAUAAUCUCACCACCCUCUUUUCCUUUCAUUUCAGGCUCAAAAUAGACUGUAGAUAGCUGAUCUCAUCGAGGACUACCGUUGGAUUUGCAUUUUCCAAACUGUAGGUUCAUAGUCCUCUUUACUUUUGUUUAUUCGAGGGCCCACUUGUUAUUGUAAAUUAAAUUUCGUACUCUAGUUAUAUGUACUAUUGUAUAUCGAAAUUUAUUUAACUUUUAUGCUACAAAAAUUAUUUACGUAUAACUCUAAAAAUAUUGUUUUAUAAGAAAAUAGAAUAUUUUACUUAAUAUUUCUUUUAUUUUCUUAUUAUAUCAAAAUAAUCGCAAUUUCGUUUUAAAUGAAGAUUUUAGACUUUAAAACUAAUUUUGAUUAUGAAUUAUGUGUUUUGUACUUAUAUAUUACAUUUUAGCCGGUUUCGAACUUUUUAGGGAAAAAAUGACUAAAAUACCCAUGUGAGACAAAAAUUAUUAUUUUAUUUGUUUUGAGUUGGAAACAGCUUAAAUCUUUUAGAACAUGAUUUUCGGCAAUGGUUACUCACGAGGGAAAUGAGAUACUGAUAUUAAGCCUUGCGGGGUCCUGGUCGGCAUUUCGGGUAAUGAAUGUUUAUCGGGAUACCACGACGGUUGUCACGAGCUCGAGGAGAGUACCGGGUCAUGACAUACCUUCCACCAUAUAACAAGAUAACCAGGUUGCUCUUUUAAUUGGAGGCUUGUUGAGUCACUCAAGGCCAAACUUUUACACAAGUACGUUUGAGUUAUUGGUGUGUCUCACAAAACUAGUAAAAUGUUGUUCGAAUGUGUCACACUUUACCGCAUAGUAUUAGAGGCAUAGUUAGAGAAAAUAUAUAUGAUACAUUUAGACAAGGACUUGUCACCUAACUGAUCUAGGAGUUGUAUAAGAUACAAUUCGUAAGCUAAGUUAUUUGCCUAAUUAAUGUCAUCAUGGCUUGUUGAGUCACUCAAGGUCAUGGCGGGAUGAAAAGGGUCCUAACUCAAUAAGAAGUGUAACACCUCGUGACCUCGUUUAGCAGUCAAUUUGACCCUGUUGACAAGACGAAGGGUCACUUGAUGUAAAUUUAAGUGUCAAAAAGCGAUUAUAGGUGCGAAGAAUAUUUUAGAAUAAAAUAUUAUUUUAUGAAUAAAAUAUAUUAAAAUAUUAAUAUUUUAUUAAUUAAGGGAAUCGGUUUGAAGAAGGAUUAUAUGAUCAAUUUAAGUGGGGGAGAAGAAGAAUGAAUGAAUUUUGGAGAUAAAUGAUGUAAGUGAGACCUGCGUGUUUUAUUAAAUCGAGCUAGUACGGGUAAAUAAAUAUUUAAAUAUUAUAAUAAUACCGCGUUGAAAUGUAAUUUUGAUAUUUUGGUUGUUUACGUGUAAAGGAGGAAAGAUAGAAGGAAAUUAGAAUUUUCAAACUUGUCGGAAGGAUCAAAUUUUAAAAAUAUGAAAGUUAGAGGGUUGUGUAGUCAAUAAAAUGAAGUUGAGGAUUUACAUGUAAAUUUCAAUAUUUGGAAAGAAUAAAAUAAAUAAUAAAAUAAUAAAGAAAUAAAAAGAAUUUAGAGGUGGCGGAUGGGAAUGAAGAAAAGACAAGUCAAGUGAGAAGUAAAAUGAGAUAAGGAUGAGAGAAGAAAGGACAAGCAAGGAGAAAAAAAAAUUAUGUGGUAAAAGGUGAUGAAUUGGGCAGCCGCCCAUGUGGGGAAAAUAAGGGAGACAAAUUUUGUUUAAGAUAAAGAUAGAGAGGCUGACUGCGUGGAGAAACAAAAGAGAAAUAAAAGAAAAAAAAUGGAGAAUUGACAAACAAGCUUGUCAUUGUCGGCCCCACUAGCAACCCACAUCAAACAAAAUUUUAUCAAUUUCUUUUGGUUACCAACCGGUUAUGGAGACAAAAGAAAGUCAAAGCUAUUAUUAUUAUUAUUUUAAAUCAUGUGUGAAAGUAAAGGGGAGUCGGCCAUUGAAAUGAAAGGCCAUAUAAAAGAGAGAAAUAAAGAGAAGGUGUAGUCAGUUUUGUAAGAGAGAGAGAGAAAAACAAAAUAAAAAGGAGAUAAAGGAGGUUGGUUCGGCUAGAAAGAAAAAGAGAGAAGGAAAUUCGACUAAAAUCGAGAAGAAAAGAAAGAACAAAAGAGGAAGUGCUGCUGAUUUUAAGGGGAAAGAAGAGCUAGUUUUGCUGUCAAUUUUAAGGGAGAGAAAGAGCUGAUUUUUUAGGAAGAAAUAAGUAGCUUUGACAAUCAAUUUUUUAGAGAGAAAAGAGCAGCUUGGGUGCUAACUUUUGAGAAAGAAAAGAGUAGCUUUGGCUGCCGAUUUUGAGGGAGAAAAAGAAGAAACUUAUUGCUGGUGGUGAGAGGAAGAAAAAAAUGAACAAGCUAUUGGUGUGGAGAGGAAGAUAUGGUGGAGUUGCUGCUAGUGUAAAGGAGGAAGAAAAAAAAAGAGAAAGAAAUGAAAUGAAAUAAGAAAAAAAAAUGGGCAUAGCCCAAUAAAAAAAUAGGCAUGGCCCAAUAGAAAGAAAUGGGAAGAGCCCAUGGAAAGGGCCCAAUGGCAAUAAGAAAAGAAAAGUCCAAAAGAGAAAAGGAAUGUCAAGCCCGACCUUAUAAAAUACUUGCCAUGUCAUUCAUGUGAUUGGCAAUAUGCUUGCAUACUUGGGUACCUUGGAAAUCGUUAAAGGACGAUAAUGUACCAAAUGGUAUAAUUAAGUUGAAUUAAGCCUCGAACUAGUCCAAAUAGAGAUUUUAAGAUGAAAUUGAGAAUUUUAAAUUCCCAGAAUGACUUAAAAUGGUGAUUCGGAGUUCAAAGACCGAUUUGGAGUCAAAUUGGAAUUUUCAUGAUCUAGGGGUAAAAUGGUCAUUUUGUCACUUGAGGUUAAGACGUGAGUGUUGGAUGAAAUUUUUGACUAAGAUUGAUCAUUUGGAGUAUAAUUUUAGUUUGAGAACUGAAAAAUUUUAAUUUUGGCAUUUUUUGAGCAUAAAGGGUAAAAUAGUCAUUUUACCACACCAAGGGCAAAAUUGUAAUUUUGCACCACCCAACACUUGUCCAGCACAUGGAUUUUACCCAAUAUUAUCAUGGAUAAUUGAGAAAAUUUAAGUGGUAGAAAGAGAUUACUUAAUGGUUGAGUAUGACACAUGGACCAAUGAACGGUGACAUUUGUCAAAUUCUUAUCCAUUUAUUAUUUAGCUUAAAAAUCAGCACAAAAUCAACCCAUUUCUCAUUCAUAUGGCCGGCCAUAGCAAGAACAAAGGGAGAAAAGAAAGAACAAGAACCCUAGGGUGAAAAUUCAAGAGAAAAAUUGAUGGAUUUCAAGUAAUCAAGCAAUCAAAGGUAAAAUUUCUUGAUUUUGACUUGUGAUCUACCUUUCCCAUGCAUUCUUUUGCAUUUUUCAUGGUUGAGAAUCAAGUUUUCAUGAUGAAUCCCUUGUUGUCUGAACACCUAGGAGAGAGAAUUUGAUGAUGAUUUGGUUAGAUUUUAAUGUAUUUUGGUGUUUUUAGUUAGUUAGUGAUGUGUAGCAUGAAAAGCCAACAAGAAAAAUUCAUUUUCUCUCAUUACCCAUCAUUGGCCGAAUUUUCCUCGUAGAGUGUGGAUGGUAGAUUUGAUUUUAUUUCAAGUGAAUUGGUUAGGAAAUGAUGAAUUAUGGUGAGAAAAUCAAGUAGAAAAAAUCAUGGUGUUGAUUCACCCACCAUGGCCGAAAUUCUCAAGAGAAAACGUGGAGAUGAUUUUGCUAAAUUUUAUGCUAUUUGACUUGUGUUUGAGGAUUUGGAGAAUUGGAAGAAAAAUGGAGUUAAUUGGUGUUGAAUUGGACAUAUUGGCCAAUUAAUCGAGUGAUAGAUCGAAUUAGGCCAAUACCGUAUUAUUUAGGUACACAAUUAAAUUUGUGUAGAACACUGUGUGUAGACAAUAAUCCGAACAAUUUGCAUCCCAUUUCAUACAUUAGUAUAAAGCCUGAAUUGGUUUUAUAACAAUUUAGCACAAUGUAUUAAAUGGCUUAUUGUGCAUUAUGUCUAGGUGGUGAGCAUUCUGGCAAAAGUAAAGAGAUAGUACCGGAGGAUCAAGAAUCGGAGUACAUGGAAUUCGACUCUCGAAAUAGUGAGUAACCUUACUAUCGUCUUAAUUAUCUAAAGUGGUUUUUAUCCGAUUUUGUGAUUUUAUGGAAAAUGAGUUUAAAUGGUAAAUUUUUAUGUUUUAUAAACAAAAUGUGUUUAAACGAAAUGAUUUUAUAAAUUGUCUUGAAAUUGAAUGAUGGCUUUGAAAAUAGAGUAAUUGGAGACCAUUUGAUGUAUUGUGAAUUUAUGUUUCUAAUUGAUUGGCUUAUGAUAAUAUUGGCAUGAAUGGUUGAAUUGGAAAAUGUGUUGAAAAUGUAUGAAUUGUUGAUGUGCCUUGAAAGGCUAUAAAAUAAAAUAAUUGUCAUAUCAUGUUAUUAAAUUUUAUUGAUUGGUGGGAUAAUUAUUAGCUUACUGCAGUAGACAAGUUCUGUGGACCAACCUAUUAGAAGGGCACGGAAUCUCGUUAUAUUUUACCUCGGUUGGAGAGGUGAGUAGAGUAACUCCCAAGGUAUAACUUUUAGAGUUCACUUCACGCCAAACCACCACGUGAGGGGGAACUCAGCCAACGCCAAGGAACGGCUAUGUUUUCAAAAUAAAAACAUGAUUUAUGCGUAAGUAACUUUUUAAUAGCCUUGGCGGACUCGGUUGGGAUAGCCCACGAUCAAGGCAUCCCUAAUAAUUGGGUAUGAGAAUGAUUUUGGCACGAGCCAAAGUUUUAAGAAAUUCGUAAGCCAUGUUGAUUACUCAAUUUAUAUGAAUUGAUUUUAUUUGGUUGAAAUGAGUUGAAAGGUUAUAAAUUACAAUAUGAUGAUUUAUUUUAUCUGUUUCCAUUUACUCGACUUUAGAUAUUUUAGAUGGUAUUUGUUUACUCACUGGGAUUAUAUAAUCUCACCACCCUCCUUUCCACCCCUUUCAGGCUCAAGAUAGUCGGUAGAUAGCUCAUUUCGUUGAGGGCUACAAUUGGACUUGCAUUCUCAAAAAUUAUAGGUUCACAGUCUUUCUUACUUUUGGUUAUUUGUGGGCCCACAUGUCACUGUAAAUUAAAUUAUAUUUUGGUUAUCUGUAUUACAAUAUGUAUGAAUUUAUUUAGUUUUUACGCUACAAAAAUUAUUUACCAGUAACUCUUUAAAUAUUGUUUGAUAAGAAAUAGAAUGUUUUAUUGAAUAUUUUUAUUAUAUUCAAAUUGUCAUAAUUUCAUUUUUAAAUGAAGGUUUCAGACGUUUAAACUUAUUUUGAUUAUGAAUUAUGUGUUUUAUACUCGCAUACUACAAUUUUAGUUGAUUUCGAGAUUUUUGAGGAAAAAUGACCAAAAUGCCCUUGUGAGAAAAAAAUUAUUUUUCUAUUGUUUUGAUUUGGAAAUAGCUUGAAAUCUUUUAGAAUAUGAAAUUUGGCAACGGUUACUCAUAGGGGAAAUGAGAAACUGAUAUUAAAGCUUUGAAGGGUUCCGGUUGAUAUUCCGAGUAUUGAGUGUUGAUCGGGACACUACGACGGUUGUCACGGGCUCAAGGUGUGAGACCUUGUCAAGCUCGAUUAAAAGACGGUGUUGUACUGAGUGGUACAACUAAGUUAAAUCGAUCCUUAAACUAGUUCAAAUAGAAAUUCUAAGAGAAAUUUGAAAAUUCUAAAACCCACAAAAUGGCUUAGAAUAGUGAUUCGGAGUUCAAGGUCUAGUUUGGAGUCCAUCAGGAAAAUUGACCGAUUAGGGAUAAAAUGGUCAUUUUACCAUUUGAUGAUAAAAUGGAGAUUUUUAGCCAAGAUUUGAUCACAUUUGACCAAGAAUAAUUAUAUGAAAUAUAAUUAUGAUUAUUGGAGUAUAAAAUGAUGUUUAGCAGUGAAAAAUUGUGAUUCUCGGUAUUUUUAAAGCACAAGGGCAAAAUGAUAAUUUUGCCAUUAGAAGACUAAACGAGAAUUUUUAUAAAACAAUUUUUAUCCCCAUUUGGUUAAUAUUGAUCAAUAUUAGUGUUAUUUGAGUUUGAAAAGUAGAAAUAAUGUGAUUUCGGUACAUUUCGGAGUAUAGGGGCAAAAUCGUAAUUUUUUCGCUUCAAGGGCAAAUCGGUAAAUUUUUUGCCCCAGCACUUGUAAAGACCAAAGGAUUUUAAUUGUGGUAGGAUUGGAUAAAUACCAGAAUAUUUGUGGUGAAAAAUUAAGAAGAAAAAGUUAAAAAGUUAAAAAAUUGGGCCAAUAAGCAUAUGACACAUGGCAUGCUUGAUUAUUUUAUUAUUUUCUAUAGAAAUCAGCCCAUUUAAUCCCCAAUUCUCUCACCAUAUUCGGCCUAGGCAACCAGCAACAAGAAUAAAGGAAGAACAAAGGAAAAAACAAGAAAACCUAGGUGGAAAUGCAAAGAAAAAGUGAAAAAAUCAAGGAAACAAGCUAGGUAAGUUAGAAUUUCUUUAAUUCUCCUUGAUACCUAGCUUACCCAUGCUUUUGUUCUUGAUUUCCAUGGUUGAAUAUUGAGUUAUCAUGAUGAAUUCAAUUCUGAAAAAUGGGUAUAGAAGAGAAAUUGUUGUUGGAAUAAUUUGAUUUUAGACUAUGUUAGUGUUUAGGGAUAGUUAAGCAUAGUUAUGAACAAAAACACAAAAGAAAUAUUCAAUUUCUCUAGGGUUCCUUGUUGGUCGAAUCAUGAGGGCUGAAUAUCAAUGGAGGAUUGUUUUUAUUUCAAGGAAAAUGGCUUGAAAAAUGAUGAAUUAAGGUGAAACGGUUAUGUANNNNNNNNNNNNNNNNNNNNNNNNNNNNNNNNNNNNNNNNNNNNNNNNNNNNNNNNNNNNNNNNNNNNNNNNNNNNNNNNNNNNNNNNNNNNNNNNNNNNNNNNNNNNNNNNNNNNNNNNNNNNNNNNNNNNNNNNNNNNNNNNNNNNNNNNNNNNNNNNNNNNNNNNNNNNNNNNNNNNNNNNNNNNNNNNNNNNNNNNNNNNNNNNNNNNNNNNNNNNNNNNNNNNNNNNNNNNNNNNNNNNNNNNNNNNNNNNNNNNNNNNNNNNNNNNNNNNNNNNNNNNNNNNNNNNNNNNNNNNNNNNNNNNNNNNNNNNNNNNNNNNNNNNNNNNNNNNNNNNNNNNNNNNNNNNNNNNNNNNNNNNNNNNNNNNNNNNNNNNNNNNNNNNNNNNNNNNNNNNNNNNNNNNNNNNNNNNNNNNNNNNNNNNNNNNNNNNNNNNNNNNNNNNNNNNNNNNNNNNNNNNNNNNNNNNNNNNNNNNNNNNNNNNNNNNNNNNNNNNNNNNNNNNNNNNNNNNNNNNNNNNNNNNNNNNNNNNNNNNNNNNNNNNNNNNNNNNNNNNNNNNNNNNNNNNNNNNNNNNNNNNNNNNNNNNNNNNNNNNNNNNNNNNNNNNNNNNNNNNNNNNNNNNNNNNNNNNNNNNNNNNNNNNNNNNNNNNNNNNNNNNNNNNNNNNNNNNNNNNNNNNNNNNNNNNNNNNNNNNNNNNNNNNNNNNNNNNNNNNNNNNNNNNNNNNNNNNNNNNNNNNNNNNNNNNNNNNNNNNNNNNNNNNNNNNNNNNNNNNNNNNNNNNNNNNNNNNNNNNNNNNNNNNNNNNNNNNNNNNNNNNNNNNNNNNNNNNNNNNNNNNNNNNNNNNNNNNNNNNNNNNNNNNNNNNNNNNNNNNNNNNNNNNNNNNNNNNNNNNNNNNNNNNNNNNNNNNNNNNNNNNNNNNNNNNNNNNNNNNNNNNNNNNNNNNNNNNNNNNNNNNNNNNNNNNNNNNNNNNNNNNNNNNNNNNNNNNNNNNNNNNNNNNNNNNNNNNNNNNNNNNNNNNNNNNNNNNNNNNNNNNNNNNNNNNNNNNNNNNNNNNNNNNNNNNNNNNNNNNNNNNNNNNNNNNNNNNNNNNNNNNNNNNNNNNNNNNNNNNNNNNNNNNNNNNNNNNNNNNNNNNNNNNNNNNNNNNNNNNNNNNNNNNNNNNNNNNNNNNNNNNNNNNNNNNNNNNNNNNNNNNNNNNNNNNNNNNNNNNNNNNNNNNNNNNNNNNNNNNNNNNNNNNNNNNNNNNNNNNNNNNNNNNNNNNNNNNNNNNNNNNNNNNNNNNNNNNNNNNNNNNNNNNNNNNNNNNNNNNNNNNNNNNNNNNNNNNNNNNNNNNNNNNNNNNNNNNNNNNNNNNNNNNNNNNNNNNNNNNNNNNNNNNNNNNNNNNNNNNNNNNNNNNNNNNNNNNNNNNNNNNNNNNNNNNNNNNNNNNNNNNNNNNNNNNNNNNNNNNNNNNNNNNNNNNNNNNNNNNNNNNNNNNNNNNNNNNNNNNNNNNNNNNNNNNNNNNNNNNNNNNNNNNNNNNNNNNNNNNNNNNNNNNNNNNNNNNNNNNNNNNNNNNNNNNNNNNNNNNNNNNNNNNNNNNNNNNNNNNNNNNNNNNNNNNNNNNNNNNNNNNNNNNNNNNNNNNNNNNNNNNNNNNNNNNNNNNNNNNNNNNNNNNNNNNNNNNNNNNNNNNNNNNNNNNNNNNNNNNNNNNNNNNNNNNNNNNNNNNNNNNNNNNNNNNNNNNNNNNNNNNNNNNNNNNNNNNNNNNNNNNNNNNNNNNNNNNNNNNNNNNNNNNNNNNNNNNNNNNNNNNNNNNNNNNNNNNNNNNNNNNNNNNNNNNNNNNNNNNNNNNNNNNNNNNNNNNNNNNNNNNNNNNNNNNNNNNNNNNNNNNNNNNNNNNNNNNNNNNNNNNNNNNNNNNNNNNNNNNNNNNNNNNNNNNNNNNNNNNNNNNNNNNNNNNNNNNNNNNNNNNNNNNNNNNNNNNNNNNNNNNNNNNNNNNNNNNNNNNNNNNNNNNNNNNNNNNNNNNNNNNNNNNNNNNNNNNNNNNNNNNNNNNNNNNNNNNNNNNNNNNNNNNNNNNNNNNNNNNNNNNNNNNNNNNNNNNNNNNNNNNNNNNNNNNNNNNNNNNNNNNNNNNNNNNNNNNNNNNNNNNNNNNNNNNNNNNNNNNNNNNNNNNNNNNNNNNNNNNNNNNNNNNNNNNNNNNNNNNNNNNNNNNNNNNNNNNNNNNNNNNNNNNNNNNNNNNNNNNNNNNNNNNNNNNNNNNNNNNNNNNNNNNNNNNNNNNNNNNNNNNNNNNNNNNNNNNNNNNNNNNNNNNNNNNNNNNNNNNNNNNNNNNNNNNNNNNNNNNNNNNNNNNNNNNNNNNNNNNNNNNNNNNNNNNNNNNNNNNNNNNNNNNNNNNNNNNNNNNNNNNNNNNNNNNNNNNNNNNNNNNNNNNNNNNNNNNNNNNNNNNNNNNNNNNNNNNNNNNNNNNNNNNNNNNNNNNNNNNNNNNNNNNNNNNNNNNNNNNNNNNNNNNNNNNNNNNNNNNNNNNNNNNNNNNNNNNNNNNNNNNNNNNNNNNNNNNNNNNNNNNNNNNNNNNNNNNNNNNNNNNNNNNNNNNNNNNNNNNNNNNNNNNNNNNNNNNNNNNNNNNNNNNNNNNNNNNNNNNNNNNNNNNNNNNNNNNNNNNNNNNNNNNNNNNNNNNNNNNNNNNNNNNNNNNNNNNNNNNNNNNNNNNNNNNNNNNNNNNNNNNNNNNNNNNNNNNNNNNNNNNNNNNNNNNNNNNNNNNNNNNNNNNNNNNNNNNNNNNNNNNNNNNNNNNNNNNNNNNNNNNNNNNNNNNNNNNNNNNNNNNNNNNNNNNNNNNNNNNNNNNNNNNNNNNNNNNNNNNNNNNNNNNNNNUUUUUUCUCAUUUCCAUGCAAAAUUAGAAAGUGGGUAUGGACACCCAUGCUGGCCAAACCUCCAUGGAUGAGUUUUGAACUUGAUUUUUGGUUGAUUUUAAUUGAAUUAAGUGAUUUUAGUUAGGUUAUAUUGAAAUAUAGCAAAAAUAAGCUAGAGAAAUAAUUUUCUCCCAUUGAAACCCAUUAUGCCGAAUUUUCUAGGGGAAUAUUGGCUACUGAUCUUGAUGUUUAUUUAAGGAAUUAUGAUGAAUAAUGAUGAAUUAUGAGCCUAGAAAAAUAAUGAGAAUUUUCGGAACAAAAAUACGAAUUUUUACCCACUAGGGGUAUUUUCGUAAUUUACUAUCGAGAUCGAUAAUUUGCACCACACUGAGCAACAUUAAGUCAAUUUGGGUGCAAUUGAGGUACAAAAAUUGAAAAAAAUUAAUUUGGAGUUUAAACGGACGCGCAUAUCGAUUUAUCGGGUAAAAGACCGAAAUAGGCUAACAUCUCGUUUAGGCAAAAUUUAGACAUUUUGCACUUCAUAUCAUGCAUUAAUAGUAUAAAUUAGUUUAUUUUGGUUUAGUACCAAAGUAGUAAACCUCUUAAUUAUGCAAUUUGUCAAGGUGGCGAAUCCUUUGGCAAGGGCAAAGGAAUCGCACUCGAGGAGUAAUAGUUAGAGUACCCGAAUUUAGUUUUCAGAAAUUGUGAGUAAACUUAUUAUCGUCUUAAUUAUCUAGAGUAGUUUUAUACAAUUGUGUGAUUUUAUGGAAAAUGGGUUUAAAUGGUAAAUUGCUAUGUUUUAAGAGAAAUUGUGAUUUUAUAGAAUGAUUUUAUAAAUUUUCUGGAAAAUCGAAUACUGGUUUUUAAAAUAGAGUAAUUGGAGACUACCUGCUUGUGUUGUAAAUUUAUGGUUUUAAAUUGAAUGGCUUAUGACAAUAAAUGAGCAUGAAUGGCUAAACUGAUUUUGGUGUUAGAAUUAUUUGUAUUGUGUAUUUAGCCUUGAGAGGCAAGGUUGCAAUAAAUUGCCAUGUCAUGCAGAAAAAGAUUUUAUAAAUCAGGUGGUAGAUAAAAGAUUAGCUACUGCAGUGGUGGGGGGUUCCGUGGGCCAGCCUAUAAGAGGGGCACGGUAAACUCUUUUAUAUUCUCACCUCGAUCGUAGAGGCGCGUAGGGUAUCUCCUGAGGUGGGCUUUUUGAGUGCACUUCACGUGGACCACCGCGUGAGAGUGAGACUCAGCCAACGCCAAGGAACGACUAUGUUUUAAAAUAAAAAUAUGAUUUAUGCGAAAUAUGAAUUUUUAACAGCCUUGGCGGACUCGGUUAGAUACCCAUGGUCCAGGUGUCACCGAGUACAGGAUUUGGCAUAAGCCAAGUUUUGAGUAAUUCACGAGCCAUAUUGAUUAUUUGGUUGAAAUGAAUAUUCGUGAUGUGAAAAAGUUGCUGAAGUUAAUUAUUUUUUAAUUGUCUCCAUUUACUCACCUUUAGAUAGUUUUGAUGGUGUCUGUUUACUCACUGGGAUUUUAUAAUCUCACCACCCUCAAUUCCCCACAUUUCAAGUUUGAGAUAGUCGGUAGAUAGCCGAUUGCAUCAAGGACUUCAGUUAGUCUUGCAUUGUUAAAAUUAUAGGUUCACAAACUCGAAUCUUAUUGGUUAGUUGAGGGCCCACGUGUCAUUGUAAAAGUAAUUUUAUACUUUAGUUAUCUGAUUUAAAAUAUGUAUGAACAUAUUUAGCUUUUACACCAUGUUUUUGGGGAGUUUCGGUAUUAUCGAAGAAAAAUGACGAAAAUGCCCUUGUGAGCCAAAAAAUAAUAUUUUAUUAUUUUGAUUUGGAAACGACUUAUGAUUUCUUGAAAUGCAAGAUUUAAUAACUGUCGCUCACCGAGGAGAUGCGAAAGCUGAUGCUAAGCCUUACGAGGUUCCGAUCGGCAUUCGGGGUAAUGAGUGCCUAUUGGGACGUUGCGGCGGUUGUCACGGGCCUGAUGGGAGUUUCGGGUCGUGACAAUUGGACCCUUGCGCCGGUCAUAGCUUAAAAUUUGGGUCGUGACACAAGGGAAGUACUGAGUCGUGACAAUUAGAUUGGUAUCAGAACUUUUGGUUUUAAAGAUUAGAGCUUUUGGGUUUAAAGUUGUUUUAAAGUUAUUUUCAAAACUAUAGUGUCAGUGUGGGUCAAGUUAAGUUAAGUUAAGUUAGGUUUAAUAGAAUAGAAUACGUGCAUCUGCAUAUAGAAUUGGGACUUGUUUAGACUCGUUCUGUUUCUUCUUAUAGAUCUUAUGGGAGCAUAAGUCAUAGACAGGGAGCUAUAUGAACUCCUGUUCCCAGUAAUCCAUUUCCUUGUUAAUGUCAUGUAAAGGUCAUAAGUAGAGCCGUUGUUCGGGUUUAAGAGGCCACCCGUGACACGAGCCAGUGUUAGAGAGAUCUUCAAACGAAUGCUCCUAAUGAAAGAUUAAUGAAAUGAUAUAUCUCUCUGAUUAAGGAUGGAGAAAUUUGGAGUUAGACUAAUAGGCCGUGAUAAUUUAUUCAUUUGGUGGGGUUAUAAUUGAACUCAUGGUUGUCAAUUGGAAAAAGAUUUGGGGACUAUGGAUUGUAUUAGGGUUAAUAUAAAGGAGCACGUGUGAUAAUGGUAAUAAGGGGUGCACUUUGAUUAGAAUGAAUAGUGAUGGUUGUAAUUCACUUGGAGGGUAUAAAUUAAGCAUUGAGGUAAGAGUAAACCCAUAUUUAUGUGCAUGAAGAUAAGAACACUAUGUAAAUUGAGCUUGUUAUGCCCAUAUAAAAGUGGUGUUGGGAUUUUGAAAUAUGUUAUACGUGAAUAUGUGUUGAAUAGGUAGAGCAGCUUAGAGGGAACGAGUGUUGAUUUCAAUUAAGCGAUUGUGAGAUUUCAAGAAUUGAUUGGACCUAUUAUAGUUCAUGGAUAUAAGCAUGUGAAUUAACUCGAGAAUGAGUAUCAAUGAUUACUAUAAUUGAUGUGUGGUCAUGAAGUAAGAAGUUAGUAAACAUAUCUGCUUUAAGGAUGAGCUUGAACUUUGCUACUCAUAGCAAGGGGGAGCUAAAGGAUGGAAGGACUAGAUGUGGAAUUGGCAGCUUGAGGUUAAAUGACUUGGAAAUUUUGAAUCUAGUCUAAGUGCCAUAUGAAGUUCUAUAAUUGAGACUGAUAUACAAAUUACUUGAAAGAUCAAUUAAAAAGUUUAUUCGGUUCAAAGUGUGGCCUAGGAUACGAAUGAUCAGUCUUGAAGGUGAUUUCUCCAGAGUAAGGAAUUUAGAGAAUGUUGAUGUUUGGAUAUAAUCUAAGAGAGAGAAUUUCUGCAUCCUAAGUUUAGGACGACUUUGAUCUUAUGAUUGCAAAGGCAAGGUGUAAUAACUAAGUAAAUUAUUCACUUAAUAAAUAUGAUUGGUUAUUGAUGAAUAAAGUUAAGAUCUUAACAUUUAGUGGUGUACAAUUUGAUAAUUAUGUAUUUAAGAGUUGUUUGGAGACAAUUCCUUCAUCAAAUUUGCACUAAAUGCUAUGGUAAAGGCAUAUCAAUGUUAAUAUGGAAAUGUAUCCAGGAAUGAUCUUAACCUAUCACCAAAAGAGAAUUAAACAUGUUGAAAUUAAUGUUCUAAUAGUGUGCAUAUGAUAGAAAGCUAGUUUGUAAGUUGUAGUUUUCAUGAUCAUGAAAUACAUAAAGAUUGUCAAUAUAUGGACAUACACUUGGAGUUGUAAUUUACAAGUUUGGAGUAUUUAAGAUAUGAUUAAAUGGAAUUAGCAUUAGUUAAGGUACGUAAAUCUUUUAAUUAAAUUCUGUGGAGUAUGCAUGAUAGUAGAAUGGAGGAACAUAGUGCCGUGAUACUAUAUGGUGAAGUUACUAUACAAUAUGGAAAGAGUAUUCUAAAGUGGGAUUUAUUGAUUGUUGACAAGUGUUAUAGGAUGAGAUGAAUUUGAAAAUAUCGACUUUACCUAUUAUAUGCGAUAAGCACAAGAGGAUAUAAAUGGUUAUAGAAAUUAUGACGUAAGCUUGGAGGGAAACUAAACGGUUGAGAAUGAUUAGUGUUGUAACCUUAAGUAUAGAUGAAUAACAUUGAUUAAGUAAACUCCAACAGCCACCGUGCCGCGGUGCUAAGAACACUUCAUGUUUAGGACGCAUGAAUAAAAUGAGACAGAUGUGAAGUUGAAUUUACGAGUUGACCUAAAGUCAUUGAACUUGAUUCUAAGUUUUGUUGAUUGGAGUUUUAAGGUUUUGGAAGGUAUCGAUAUGAAUGAGUUAAAGCUGAAAUGGUUAAAGGCGUUCCCUUCGAGAAGAGCAAAAAGUCUGGGGUUCGAAACUUGACGAGAAAAUCCUGCAAGGCCUAUCGUGUCACCCUUAGGCUCAACGGAAGCGAGUAAGUCAAGUGAUGGGAAUCCAGACAUAACAAUACCUUGGAGUGGGCCCUAAAGAGGAUGCCACAUAAAUGGCUAAGUUACGAGUUAAGUGAUCAUAUGUUGUGAGACAUAAGUUUAAGAUAGAUAUCCCCAAGGAAAUACUCAAGAGAAGUUAUGCCGUGGAUUUUGUGAAAGAAAGCACUAAGUUAUGUGGUUAUAAAAAGGAAGCUAUAAGCUGAGAGUGAUAUUAGUAUUAAUAUUGAAAGGUACUUGAGGAGAAUCUAGUUUCAAGUUUUACAAUUUCAAGUGCAAUUUAUAAAUUGAUUAAGGGAGAAUAAUGUUAUAUUCGUAUGAAAGAGUGGAACAAAAGAUGAUUGAAGUUAACCUCGAUAAUGAAGUCGGAUAAUGAAACUUUCCUAAUAUAUUAUGGAAAUUGGAAUUCGAAAAUGCUUGAGGCAUACAUGAUUCAAAUGAGUCUGAGUUUUAAGUGACAAAUCAAUAUCGAAAUGCAAGAAGGAUACAAGGUAAUGUAGAGGCAUGAAAUAUAAUCGAGGAAUAAGGAUGAGUUUUAGGAAUUAUGGUAUUGCAUAAGAUGCAAUGAUCAAGCUAAGAUAAAUCUUUGAGGCAUCAAUGGGAUUAUAAAGCAUACGCGCAUAAUAAAUUAUAAUUCAAUGGAGAUGACAUUGUGAUGCAAUGAUAUAUAGUAUAAGGAAACUUAAACAUAUAAUUGGAAAUGAUAAAAAAAGAGUAUAAGUAUGUAAAUGAUGUGGAACUAUGCACAGGCAUGAUGAGAAUUUGUAUGAAUUAUGAAGAUUAUUUUAUUGAAUCAUGGUUAUGGAUGGGAAUGAACAAAGAGAAAUUAGUCUGAAGGCAAUUGAAAACAGAGACCCAUAUACAUAAUGAGGAAUAUGGACAUUUGAAUGUACAUGUAUAAGUAUGUGUGGAGUUAGUGAUGUACCCAAUUAAAAUGAAGAAUGGUUUUAGUGGUUCGAGAUUUGAACUCAAUAUGUUUGAUGUCAAGCCCAACCUUAUAAAAUAUUUGUCAUGACAUACAUGUGAUGGAUAGCAUGUUUGUAUGCUAGGAGAGUCCCAAAAAAUUUACAAAAGUAGGUAUUGUAACUAGAGGUACAACAAAGUUGAUUUAAGCCUCGAACUAGAUCAAAUAGAAAUUUUAAAGUGAAAUUAAGAGCUUCAUAGUCCAAGGAUGACUCAAAAUGGUAAUUCGGAGUUUGAGGAUUAAUUUGGAGUCAAAUCAAAAUUUUUGCUAUAUAGGGGUAAAAUGGUCAUUUGCCACUUAGGGACAAAAUAGAAAUUUUUAGAAAAGAUUUUUGACCCCAUUUGACUUAUUGGAGUAUGAUUUGAGGUUUACAAGUGAAAAAUUUUAAUUUUUGGUAUAAUUUGGAGUAUAGGGGUAAAAUGGUAAUUUUGCCACCCCAGGGGCAAAAUUGUAAUUUUUCACCAUUAGGACAUUUGUCCAGCACAUGGUCUUCCCUUAUCCGUAUUUUUGACCUUUGACUAAUCAUGUGGUGGAGAUAAAAGGUUUAAAAUUUUUAAAGUUUUAAAAAUAGACCAAUAAGAAAAUGACAAGUGUCAAGCUUAGGAUAUUUUAUUGUUUAACUUAAAAAUCAGCAUAAAUCAGCCCAUUACUCUCCAAAUAUUCGGCCAAGCAAGGAAGAGAGGGAAAGAAAGGAAGAACAAACCCUAGGUGAGGAAUUUCAAGAGAAAAGGUGUGGAAAAUCAAGGAAAACAAGUGAAAAAGGUAAGAUUUUUCAACUUAAGCUUGAAAUCUAUUUUCCUUAAGCAUUUCUCCUUAUUUUCCAUGCUUAAAUUACAUGUUUUCAUGAUGAAUUGAUGGCUGAUCAAAAUAGGUAUGGAGAGAGAAAGUUGUUGGAUUGAUUUAAUUUUAAGUUAUGUUAUUGUUUUUAGUUAGUUUAGCAUAUUUAGGAACAAAACAAAAAGAAAAGAAUUUAUUUUCUCCAACAACCAUCAAUGGCCGAAUUUACCAUGUGUUGAGUGAGGAUGAAUUUGAUUUUUAUUUUAGGAGAAUUGGUUCGAAAAUGAUGAAUUAUGGUGUGGAAAAGUAGUAGGAAAAAUCACGGUGUUAAUGCACCAUUAUUGGCUGAAAAUUUUAAGAAGAAAAGUGAAGAUAGUUUUGCCAAAUUUUAGGUUAUUUGAUUUGAGCUUGGUGAAUUAAGAUAUUGGAAAAGAAUUGGAACAAUUUGGAGUAAUUUGGGAUUAAAUUGGACGCGUUAGUAAUUUAAUCUGGUGAUGAGAUGAAUUAGGCCAAUAUCGGGUUUAGAUAGUUACUAGUGCAUUUUUGCAUUCUAUGUCAUGCAUUAGUAGUCUAAAUUAGUUUAAUUUCAAUUUAGUACCAAUGUGGUGAAUUUCUCAAUUUUGUACUAUGUCAAGGUGUUGAGUCCUCCGAUAAAGGUAAGAGAAUUGCACCCGAGGACCAGUAGUCUGAGUAUUUCGAGAAUCUGCACUCUAGACAUUGUGAGUAAACUUACUAUCAUUUUAAUUAUCUAGGGUGGUUUUUAGAUUAUUUCAUGAAUUCUAUGGAAAAAUGGAUUUAAAAAGGUAAAUUUUCAUGUUUUAUGAAUAAAUGUGUGUUAAUGAAAUUAAUUUAUAAAUUGUUUUGAAAUUAAUAAUGAUUUUGAAAAAUAGAGUACAUGGAGACUAUUAAUUGUUGUAAUUCGAUUGUUUAAAUUGAUUGGCUUAUGAUAAAUCGGGCAUGAUUGGCUAGUUGGCAAUUGUAUUGAAAUACGAAUUGUUUGGUUGCCUUGAAAGACUGUAAAUUACAAAAAUUGCCAUAUCAUGUUAUUGAGUUUUAUUGUAUGGUGGAUUAUAUAUUAAUUAAUCACUACAGUAAGGGGUUUCUAUGGACUAGCCUUUUAGAAGGGCACAGUAAACCCUAUUAUAUUCUUACCUCAAACGGAGAGGCGCGCAAGGUAUCUCCUGAGGUAAAGCUUAGGGUUCAUUUCACGCCACACCGCCACGUGAGGGGGAACUCAGCCAACGUCAAGGAACGGCUAUGUUUUUAAAAUAAAAACAUGAUUUAUGCGAAAUGUGAAUUUUUAACAGCCUUGGCGGUCUCGGUAGGAUGCCUUAGCCAAGGUGUCCCUGAUGAUGGAUUUAUGGUACAAGCCUAGUUUUUAUGAGAUUCAUAACCCUCUUUACGUAUUUUGAAUGAAAUGUAUUCUAAUGAUGUGAUCCAAUUUAUGAUAAUUUACUUUAUUGUCUCCAUGUACUCAACUCUAGAUGUUUAUGAUGAUGUCUGUUUACUCACUGAGAUUUUAUAAUCUCACCACCCUCUUUUCCACCCAUUUCAGGCUCAGUGUAGGUUGUAGAUAGCUGAUAGCGUCGAAGGCUACAGUUGACUUGACUACUUCAAAAAUCGUAGGUUCAUAGCCUUCUUUCACUUUUGUCAUUUGGGGGCCCAAGUGUCGUUGUAAAUUAAAUUUCAUAGUUUAGUUAUCUGUACUAUUGUAUGUAAGAAAUUAUUUUGUUUUUACUCUGAUAAAAAAAUUAAUUACACAGUUUUCUAAAACUAUUAUUUUAAAUUGGAAAUGAGAUACCGAUAUUAAGCCUUGCGGGGUCCCGAUUAGCAUUUCGGGAAAUGAGUGUCUAUCGGGGUACUGCGGUGAUUGUCAUGGGCUCGAGGGGAGUACCUGGUCGUGACGAUUCGAUUGGUAUCAGAGCUUUUGGUUUUAAAGAUAAGAGUUUUUGGUUUUAAAGUUGUUUUAAAAAUUUACAGUAUCAUGCGGCCUCGGAUUAAGUUAGGUUAGGUCGAAUAGAAUGCAUGCAUCUGCAUAUAGAGCCUAAGGUUCCCUAAACUUGCUCGUUUUCUCUUAUAGAUUAUUAUGCCUUAUUUUCUCGAACGCCCACCUCUCACUAGAUCGGUUAGGAGGGGAAGAGGACGUUCCCAACGUCAUCAGUUAGAUGCAGUAGGGGAAGAAUUGGCUGUAUCUACCAUUCCGGCAGCACCUGCUGCUGAACAGGCCGAUAGUCGUCCACAUCCUCCAUCUCCUCAACCACCUACUAGUAUUCCUGCCAUGCCUACUGAGGCAGCACAUGCAUUGGCAACUUUCUUUACCGCAAUGGCUAGUCAAGCUCAGACUAGUCAAGUUCCACCUGUAGUGCCUCCAGCUACUCCUUUAGUUUCGCCAGUACAGGAUGUAUCCAUUUCUAAGAAGCUGAAGGAGGCUAGGCAAUUAGGUUGUGUGUCUUUCACGGGUGAGUUGGAUGCCACUAUGGCAAAGGACUAGAUUAAUCAGGUUUUAGAGACUCUCUUUGAUAUAAGAUUAGACGACGACAUGAAGCUGAUGGUGGCUACGAGAUUAUUAGAGAAGAGGGCUCGUACCUGGUGGAAUUCGGUGAAGUCCUGUUCCAUUACUCCUCAGACAUGGCCUGACUUCCUCAGAGAAUUUGAUGGUUAGUAUUUCACUUACUUUCUUCAGAAAGAAAAGAAAAGAGAAUUUUUGAGCUUGAAACAAGGAAAUCUAACUGUAGAGGAGUACGAACUCGUUUUAACGAGUUAAUGUUAUAUGUGUCGGAUCUGGUGAAAUCUAAGCAGGAUCAGGCCAGUUAUUUUGAGGAAGGGCUCCGUAAUGAGAUUAGAGAGCGAAUGACAGUGACUGGUAAGGAGCCACAUAAGGAGGUGGUACAGAUGGCUUUACGGGCUGAGAAGCUCGUGAUUGAGAAUAGGAGGAUUCAGACCGAGUUUGCAAAAAGAAAGAAUCUUGGUGUAUCUUCUAGUCAACCACCAAAGAGAGGCAAGGACUCAGCAACUUUAGGGAGCACUACUUUUGUUUCAGUGACAUCUCCUCGACCUCUAUUUCCACCAUCACAGCAGAGACCUUUGAGGUUUAGCAGAUCUGCCAUGACUGGUUUUGGGAAGAGUUUCAGAGGUUUGGAUAAAUGCAGAAUUGUGGAAAUUAUCAUGUUGGGCUGUGUAGAGGGCCCGCACUAUGUUUUCAUUGUGGUCAGUCGGGUCAUAUUAGGAGUAGUUGCCCACGGUUAAGACGAGCCACUGUAGUUGCAUCAUCUCCACCAGCUCGCACUGAUAUGCAGAGGAGAGAUUCUUCUGGGUUACCAUCGAGACAAGGAGUAGCCAUACAGUCUGGUGUAGAGAGUAAUACCCCGGCACAUCCACCUUCGAGACCACAGACUCGUACUUCGACAAGAGUUUUCGCAGUGACGGAAGAUAAGGCACGAGUCUGACCUGGAGCAGUGAUAGGUACUAUGUCUUUAUUUGAUAAAGAUGCUUAUGUUUUGAUAGAUUCUGGCUCAUAUAGAUCUUAUGUGAGUACGACAUUUGCAUCAAUUGCUUAUAGAAACCUGUCACCAUUAGAGGGAAAAAUUGUAGUGCAUACCCUUCUAGGAGAACAAUUGAUUAGAAAUACUUGUUAAAGAGACUGUGGGGUAAGAGUAGGUGAGAAAGAAUUUAGGGGUGGCUUAAUUCCUUUAGAGAUCUUGGAUUUUGAUCUAAUAUUGGGUAUGAAUUGGUUAACUGCACAUCGGGCGAACAUAGAUUGUUUUCGAAAAGAAGUUGUUCUUCGAAAUUCGGAGGGAGUAGAGAUUGUAUUUGCAGGGGAACGUCGAGUAUUACCGUCUUGUGUAAUCUCGACCAUCAAAGCUUUGAAACUAGUGCAGAAAGGGUAUCCAGUUUAUUUGGCUCACAUGAUCGAUACUUCAAAGGAAGAACCUAAGUUAGAGGAUAUCCUAAUAGUAAGUGAGUUUUCUGAUGUAUUUCUUAAUGAGUUACCGAGACUACCUCCUAAUCGAGAGCUUGAGUUCCUUAUUGACGUACUUCCAGGUAUUACACCUAUUUUUAUCCCUCCAUAUAGAAUGGCUCCGGUAGAGUUGAAGGAACUGAAGGUCCAACUGCAAGAUUUGGUGGAUAAAGGUUUCAUUCGCCUUAGUAUUUCUCCUUGGGGAGCACCAGUCCUAUUUGUAAAAAAGAAAGAUGGCACUCUUCGGUUAUGUAUUGAUUAUCGUCAGUUGAACCGAGUGACCAUCAAGAAUAAAUAUUCUUUACCUCGGAUUGAUGAUCUUUUUGAUCAAUUACGAGGUGCUAUGGUGUUCUCUAAGAUUGAUUUGAGGUCUGGGUAUUAUCAGUUAAAGAUUAAGGAGCAUGAUGUACCCAAGACUACUUUCAAGAUGCGUUAUGGGCAUUAUGAGUUUCUGGUGAUGCCGUUUGGUUUGACUAAUACCCCGACAAUUUUUAUGGAUCUUAUGAACAGGGUGUUUCAUCCAUACUUAGAUAAGUUUGUGAUAGUGUUCAUAGAUGACAUGCUGGUUUAUUCAAAGAAUGAUGAUGAACAUGCUGCCCAUUUGCGCAUUGUGUUGCAAACUUUGCGCGAGAGACAACUCUAUGCCAAGUUCUCUAAAUGUGAGUUCUGGUUAAAGGAAGUGGUUUUCUUGGGACAUGUGGUGUCCGGAGUUAGAAUUUAUGUCGAUCCCAAGAAGAUUGAGGCAAUUUUAUAAUGGUGAGCGUUGUCGAAUUUUUACUGAUCACAAGAGUUUGAAAUAUUUGCUCACCCAGAAAAAGCUUAACUUGAGACAAAGACGAUGGUUAGAGUUGAUUAAGGAUUAUGACUUGGUGAUUGAUUAUCACCCUGGAAAGGCAAAUGUUGUAGCAGAUGCCUUAAGUCGUAAAUCCUCGUCGUCGUUAGCAACACUUCGGAGUUCUUAUUUUUCGAUAUUACUUGAGAUGAAAUCUCUAGGGAUCUAAUUGAAUAAUGGUGAGGAUGGAACCUUACUUGCUAGUUUCGUUGUGAGACCUUCAUUGUUGAAUCAAAUAAGAGAAUUACAGAAAUCCGAUGAUUGGUUCAAGCAGGAAGUUCAAACGCUGCAAGAUGGAGAAACUAGUGAGUUUAGACUCAACGAUGAUGGUACUUUGAUGCUUAGUGUCACAACCCGGAACUCCCAUCGAGCCCGUGACAACCGUCGCGAAGCCUCGACAGACAUUCUUCCCCCGAAUGCCUUUCGAGACCUCGCAAGGCUUUUGUACCAAUUUUUCUAUUCUUAUCUCUUUUCUCUUUUUUUUUUGAAUAAUAAAAUAAAAUAAAAAUAUUAAUUAAAAUAAUCUAUUUUGAUGUAAAACAAUAUAUAUAUAUUUUUAAAACAUCAAAAAUUAGUUUUCUGCACAUAAAAACAAAAUAAAUUUAUACAUACUGUAAUAUAGAAAAUUGGAGUAUACAAUUUAAAUUACAAUGACACGUGGGCCCCCAAAUAACUAAGAAGGCUUAAGUCUAUAACCUUGCUUUCUAGGAUGCAACUCCGAAAUUUACUUAUCGAUGCAAUUGACAGUUUAUUGCCUAUUCUGAGCCUGAAAAAUGUAUAGGAAGAAGGGGUGAGAUUAUAAAAUCCCAGUGAGUAGACAGACAUCAUCAAAAUAAUCUAAAGUCGAGUAAUAGGAAACAAUUAAAAUAAUUCAUCCCAACCCAUAUAAAUAAUUAGAUUUCAUUCAAUUACUCAACAUGGUUUAUGCACUUUUCAAAAACUUGGCCCUUGCCAAAAAUCCAUUCUAGGGGAUACCCCACGAAAGCAACUUACCCAGACCGCCAAGGCUAUUUAUUGUCACACACACAAACACAUUUCACCUCUGACAACACAGCAGUUCCUUGGCGUUGGCUGAGUCCCAGUUUCACGUGGUGGCCAGCGUGAAGUGUACUCAAAUCCUACCUCGGGAGUUAUCCUACGCGCCUCUCUAAUCGAGGUAAGCUCAAUAAUUGAGAACCGUGCCCCUCUAAUUAGGCUGACUCACGGAACCCCCGUCACUGUAGUGCCCACUUUAUAAUCCACCAACCAAUAAAAUCACAAUAGUAUGACAUGGCUCACUUAACACAUUCAAGGCAAAUCAAAGCAGUUCACAUAUUCUUUAAAUCAUAAAAAUAACCAGUCAUACCCACAUUUAUCAUAAGCCAUUUAAUGUAAAAUCAUGAAUAAACAACACAAUCAUAGUAUAGGUCUCCAAUUACUUUAUUUUUGAAAUCAUUAUUAAAUUUUCAAAAAUAUUAUAAAAUUAUUUUAUAAAAUCCCAUUUUCCCAUAAAACACAAUAAUUUUCCAAUUAAACCAUUUUUCCAUAAAAUCACACAAUUAAAUAAAUCUACUCUAGAUAAUUAAGACGAUAGUAAGUUUACUCACUAUACUAGGAGUAGAUAUACUCCUAUUCUCGAUCCUCGGGUGUAGUCUUUUACCCGUAUCAGAUAGCUCACCACCUAUCCACAAUACAUGACACAAAAAAUUCAAUAAUUUGUGUCAAAUUAAUAUAUAUUAUUUCAGGCUCUUAUCCAUGCGUAUGCACUAGAUAGGGUGUGAAAUGUUUGGACAAUAGCUUAAUCACAGUGUCCGACCUAACUCGCCUAUACACGGUGUAAAUUUCUAAAAUCUCCAAUUCAACUCCAAUUCCAUCCAUUUCAAUUUCAAUAAUCCAAUUAUAUCCACAAUACCUCAAUGACUGUGAAUGUGGUCCAAUUUAUCAGUUUGGACCACAAAUUAUGCUUUUACCCCUAAUGGGUAAAAAUUUCAAUUUUUUUGCACAAAAAAUUCCCAUUUAAUUUCCAACCUCAUAAUUCAUCAUUUUUCCAUCUAAUUCUCUUAAAAUAAAGUCAACCUCAUCCUCACACACCAUUGGCUAGAUUCGACCUAUAGAAAUUCAUGGAGAAAAUGAAUAUUUUUCUUGUUGUUUUACUCAUAAACAUGCUAAACUAACACUAAACACUAACAUAGUUCAAAAUCAAAUUAAUCUAACAACUUUCUCUCUCUAAACCCAUAUGAUCAGAUUUGAAUCCAUCAUCAAAACACAUAAUUUAACCAUGGAAAAUAAGGAGAAAUGCAUGGAAAUGAUAAAUCUUAAGCUAAGCUUGAAAAAUCAUACCUUUAAACACUUGAUUCCUUGAAAAAUCACACUUUUUCUUUGAAUUUUCUCACUCUAGGGUUUGUUCUUAUUUCUCUCUCUCUCCUGCUGGUUUUGGCUGACCNNNNNNNNNNNNNNNNNNNNNNNNNNNNNNNNNNNNNNNNNNNNNNNNNNNNNNNNNNNNNNNNNNNNNNNNNNNNNNNNNNNNNNNNNNNNNNNNNNNNNNNNNNNNNNNNNNNNNNNNNNNNNNNNNNNNNNNNNNNNNNNNNNNNNNNNNNNNNNNNNNNNNNNNNNNNNNNNNNNNNNNNNNNNNNNNNNNNNNNNNNNNNNNNNNNNNNNNNNNNNNNNNNNNNNNNNNNNNNNNNNNNNNNNNNNNNNNNNNNNNNNNNNNNNNNNNNNNNNNNNNNNNNNNNNNNNNNNNNNNNNNNNNNNNNNNNNNNNNNNNNNNNNNNNNNNNNNNNNNNNNNNNNNNNNNNNNNNNNNNNNNNNNNNNNNNNNNNNNNNNNNNNNNNNNNNNNNNNNNNNNNNNNNNNNNNNNNNNNNNNNNNNNNNNNNNNNNNNNNNNNNNNNNNNNNNNNNNNNNNNNNNNNNNNNNNNNNNNNNNNNNNNNNNNNNNNNNNNNNNNNNNNNNNNNNNNNNNNNNCAUUUUGUCCUCAUAUUGCAAAAUAACCAUUUUACCCCAUAACCGGUCAAAUUUCCUGAUUGAUUCCAAAUUGAUCCUCGAACUCUGAAUCACCAUUUCAAGUAGAUUUUGGGGUAUCAUAACUCUCAAAUCCCUUUUAAAUUUUUCAUUUGAACUAGCUUGAGGUAUAAAUCAACUUCACAGCACCUCUAGGGGCAAUAUUAUCUUUUGUCUAUUUCUCGGGCUUCCUCAAUAUACAAACAUUCUAUCGAGCAUGUGAAUAACAUCAUAAUUAUUUUACAAAGCAGGGUUUGACACUUAGAGACUGAAUUUGUGUCCUUAAGGAUGAUCAGUUGAGAUGAGUUAUUUUGGAGGAAGCUUAUUCUUUCGCCUACGCUUUACAUCCCGGAAGCACCAAGAUGUAUCGAAUUAUUAAGAAAAGUUAUUGGUGGCCGGGUAUGAAAUGAGACAUAGCAGAGUUUGUAGCAAAAUGUCUCACAUGCCAACAAAUCAAGGCGGAGCAUAAAAAAUCAUCAAGUACUCUUCAGCCUUUACCGAUUCCUGAAUGGAAGUGGGAACACGUGACUAUGGACUUUGUAUUGGGUUUACCGGGAACACAAAGUGGGAAGGAUGCUAUUUGAGUGAUUGUGGAUAGACUGACUAAGUCCGCACAUUUCUUGGCUAUCCAUAGCACGUAUUCUAUUGAGAAACUGACGAAACUUUAUAUAGAUGAGAUUGUGAGAUUACACGGAGUUCCAAUUUCUAUUGUGUUAGAUCGAGACCCUCGGUUUACUUCUCGAUUUUGGCCGAAAUUUCAGGAAGCUCUCGGAACUAAAUUGAGAUUUAGUACUGCCUUUCAUCCGCAGAUUGAUGGUCAAUCUGAGAGAACUAUUCAGACCUUGGAGGAUAUGUUACGGGCUUGUGUCAUUGACUUUAUUGGGAGUUGGGACAGACACUUGCCAUUGGUGGAGUUCGCGUAUAAUAAUAGUUUUCAGUCUAGUAUUGGGAUGGCACCAUACGAGGCAUUGUAUGGAAGGAAGUGCCGAACUCCACUUUGUUGGGAUGAAGUAGGUGAGAGGAAAUUGGUGAAUGUGGAAUUGAUUGAUAUGACAAAUGACAAAAUCAAGGUUAUCAGAGAGCGGUUAAAGACAGCUCAAGAUAGGCAAAAGAUUUAUUCUGAUAAGCGAAGGAAAGAUUUGGAAUUUGAAGUCGACGAUAAAGUUUUUCUUAAGGUUUCUCCUUGGAAAGGUAAUAAUUUGAAAAUUCCAAGUAUUAAAUCUUAUUUGAUUAUACUAUUGUGAUAAUUUGUGGUAUUUAUUGGAUAAUGAAAGGUGUGAUUCGAUUCGCGAAGCGGGGAAAGCUCAAUCUGAGAUACAUUGGACCCUUUCGUAUCAUUGAAAGGAUUGGGCCAGUGGCUUACAGACUUGAAUUACCCCUGGAGUUAGAUCGUAUUCAUAAUGUCUUCCACGUCUCAAUGUUGAAAAAGUAUGUCCCCGAUCCCUCCCACAUCUUAGAGACACCAUCGAUUGAGUUGCAUGAAGAUUUGAAGUUCGAGGUGUAGCCUGUACGUAUUCUAGAUCGAAAAGAUCGAGUGCUAAGGAACAAGAGCAUUCCAAUGGUGAAAGUAUUGUGGAAGAAUGCUCGAAUGGAGGAGAUGACGUGGGAAGUCGAGGGCUAGAUGAGAAACCAAUAUCCACAUCUUUUCUUCAAAUCCGAUAAGUGAAAUUUUGAGGUCAAAAUUUUAUUUUAAGGGGGUAGUGCUGUCAAGCCCGACCUUAUAAAAUAUUUGUCAUGACAUACAUGUCAAGCCCGACCUUAUACAUGUUUGCAUGCUAGGAGAGUCCCAAAAAAUUUACAAAAGUAGGUAUUGUACCUAGAGGUACAACAAAGUUGAUUUGAGCCUCGACCUAGCUCAAAUAGAAAUUUUAAGGUGAAAUUAAGAGCUUCAUAGUCCAAGGAUGACUCAAAAUGGUAAUUCGGAGUUUGAGGAUUAAUUUGGAGUCAAACCAAAAUUUUCGCUAUCUAGGGGCAAAAUGGUCAUUUGCCACCUGGGGACAAAAUGAGAAAUUUUAGAAAAGAUUUUUGUGGCCCCAUUUGACUUAUUGGAGUAUGAUUUGAGGUUUAGAAGUGAAAAAUUUUAAUUUUUGGUAUAAUUUAGAGUAUAGGGGUAAAAUGGUAAUUUUGCCACCUUAGGGGCAAAAUUGUAAUUUUCCACCAUCAGAAUAUUUGUCCAGCACAUGGUCUUCCCUUAUCCUCAUUUUUGACCUUUGACUAAUCAUGUGGUGGAGAUAAAAGGUUUAAAAUUUUUAAAGUUUUAAAAAUGGAGCAAUAAGAAAAUGACAAGUGUCAAGCUUAGGAUAUUUUAUUAUUUAACUUAAAAAUCAGUAUAAAUCAGCCCAUUACUCUCCAAAUAUUCGGCCAAGUAAGGAAGAGAGGGAAAGAAAGGAAGAACAAACCCUAGGUGAGGAAUUUCAAGAGAAAAAGUGUUGAAAAUCAAGGAAAACAAGUGAAAAAGGUAAGAUUUUUCAACUUAAGCUUGAAAUCGAUUUUCCUUAAGCAUUUCUCCUUAUUUUCCAUGCUUAAAUUACAUGUUUUCAUGAUAAAUUGAUGGCUGAUCAAAAUGGGUAUGGAGAGAGAAAGUUGUUGGAUUGAUUUGAUUUUAAGUUAUGUUAGUGUUUUUAGUUAGUUUAGCAUAUUUAGAAACAAAACAACAAGAAAAGAAUUUAUUUUCUCCAACAACCAUCAAUGGCCGAAUUUACCAUGUGUUGAGUGAGGAUGAAUUUGAUUUUUAUUCUAGGAGAAUUGGUUAGAAAAUGAUGAAUUAUGGUGUGGAAAAGUAGUAGGAAAAAUCACGGUGUUAAUGCACCAUUAUUGGCCAAAAAUUUUAAGAAGAAAAGUGAAGAUAGUUUUGCCAAAUUUUAGGUUAUUUGAUUUGAGUUUGGUGAAUUAAGAUAUUGGAAAAGAAUUGGAACAAUUUGGAGUAAUUUGGGAUUAAAUUGGACGUGUUAGUAAUUUAAUCGGGUGAUAAAACGAAUUAGGCCAAUACCGGGUUUAGAUAGUUACCAGUGCAUUUUUGCAUUCCAUAUCAUGCAUUAGUAGUUUAAAUUAAUUUAAUUUCAAUUUAGUACCAAUGUGGUGAAUUUCUCGAUUUUGUACUAUGUCAAGGUGGUAAGUCCUCCGAUAAAGGCAAGGGAAUUGCACCCGAGGACCAGUAGUCUGAGUAUUUCAAGAAUCUGCACUCUAGACAUUGUGAGUAAACUUACUGUCAUUUUAAUUAUCUAGGGUGGUUUUUAGAUGAUUUCAUGAAUUCUAUGGAAAAAUGGAUUUAAAAAGGUAAAUUUUCAUGUUUUAUGAAUAAA